rnacentral:lncRNA from 1 species
CAAUUCUGGAUUUCAACCCUAUGAAACAACAGCAAUUGUGAAUGUGACAUGGUUCAUAGGGAUUAUAUAUAUUGAAAGAAAGGAAAUUUGGUUAGUCGUGAAUGAAUACGACCAGAUCAAGUGUAGAAAAAGGUUGUAAUGCAUCUUAGAUUGGCAAGUGUAGAAAGAACUCGAUGAUGUACUUCUUACACAUGAAAUAAUUGCAGAAUUGAAAGUUUGGUGUGGUGUUCGUUGCAGAGUUGAAAUACUGCUGCCAUAAGCUUUGUGCAAUCUCCUAGCCUGCUCCCAAGUGCCGAGGAACGUCCCCACUAUCUGUCAUUCAUAUUCGGUCGCAAGACUGGUAACUCACAAAUCUUUUGACUGAAAAUCACUUGACUAAAUAUUCGGCUUGUGAAUUAAGUUCCCCAGUUUUUUAUGAAUCAAAAACAUAUAGUACUGCGUCAGACAUAAUCAGUUCCAAGAAUAUCCAUCAGGAGAAAAACAUGAAAAAAAAUCUUAAUCUUAGCGGGUGCAUCUCAUGAGCGAGCCCCCUGCCAUCUACUGGUCAUUGACCAUCUCGUGCUAACAAAUGUCAUUGCAUGCACACGAAUAAUAAUAUAAUGGAAUCGGAGCACCCUUCUGAUCUAGUAAGUGUUUAUACCCACUAACCCUUUAUACACAGUGUCUUUAGACUCUCCUAUCCUCUGGAGCAGGAUAGAUUAGGUUAUAUAAAUGUUAUCGUUGCAGUAAAAUAAAAAAAAAAAAUAGUAUAAUGGAACCAAAUUCUUGCAAAAACAAAAGAGAUGCAAAAGAAUUUGAGAAGCUAACAAAAGAACACGUGAAUAAUGCAAAUGCAAAGGAGGUGUCGGUGUUGAGGAUGGUUAGGACGAUAUUAUUCAGUGUGCCUUUUAUAAUCAAUGGUCCCAAUUGACAUUGAUAUCUUAACAGCAUUAACCAGAAGCGAAAUGCAAUCAAUCUAAACUAGAGCCCCUUUUAGCUGCUCUCUCUUCUCCACCACUCCACCCCUACUCUUUCUCUACCUCUCUUUUUAGGUUUAUUUGCCCCCAGAAUCCAACCUUAUCAUCCCAUCUCUAUUCAUUCACCGACAAGAAAGCCAAAACAGGGAGUAUUAUUUUGUUGAACAUUUCCUUUAAUACUGUAACAAUUUCAGCACAUAAAUUUGUUACUGCAUUGAAAAGCUUGCAAAAAAAUCGCAGAUGCUUGAUAAUCAAUCUAAUAGGUUAAACAGAAAAUACUAGUGUGUUUCAAGUAAUCUGCCCAAGAAAAAAAAAUUAAAAAAAUAUAUAUAUAUAUAUGGGAGCGACUACCAAUGGUGGAGCCUGUCUAUAUAAAAUAAGCAUAAAAACUAACCAAGAAGCCACACAUAUAUAGCCAAAGAUGCAUAGACAUAACUAUUUGAUGGGAGUAACAUAUUCUUAUCUAACCGGGCUACUCAACCAUCCCUUUCCCCUAACGUCUACCUUCCGCACUCUCUCUUUUCUCUCUUCCCUUUUCAUCUUCUUCUCUCUCUCUCUCUCAUCCUUUGCUUGCUUCGUCUAGUUUCCAGUUUCCCUCAACCUCAAGGUACGCAUUCCUCUUAUUCUCUCCUUCUUUCUUCUGGACUAUAGCGCCUGGAUUCUUCUGUUUUUCCACUAUUCAUCUUAAUAUAUAGUGCUAUAUACAUAUAUAUAUAUAUAUAGAUAUGUAUGGCUCAAUGCUAAAUCUAUAACCUGUACAUGGCACCAUAAAUAUGCAAUGCACAUAGAGCCAUUAACAGAGUAUAGCCGGUGUUUCCCUCCCUGCUGAUUUCCUCCUUCCUCCUCCACCACUUUUGCUGAGCAAAACUACACACACACGCAGUACACACACAAGUUUGUGAGUUCAGCUGGCAUUUAUUUGUGUGUGUGUGUGUGUUUCUCUUUUUAGUUUUUUUUUUUUUUUUUUGAAUUUUUAAUGAUUGAUGAGGAAAUGGAAGUACCACUACUAAACAAAUACUCACUAAUGAACAAGGAAUGAGUGAUGUAACAGGAACCGGAUUAGCAGAUGGCAGGCGUUGGCAGAAGCGAGGAGCAACAUCAGCACCGUACUGCCUCUGCCACCGAAAAUCAUGAGGUAUUAUUCAUCUCUAGCUAAAACUCCUUUUGUCCUUAUCUUUUUAACCUGAAUUCGUCCUCAUCCUCUUUCUCAUUCUCCGUCAACCUAUAUACUUUUUUUUUUUUUUUUUGUAAAUAAAUUUUAUAAAGAAAACAACAACAAAAUAAAAAGGUGAAUUCAGUAGAUAGAUCUACAUUAUGGGAUGUUCAGAGUUCUGGUUCUCAACAUAAAUUUUUUUAAUGAAUUUGCUGCAUUGGAAAUUCAUCUGCGCCAUUGCUAAUUAUUGCUAUUUAAAACCAUUAAUAUUUGCUUAUAUUGGCAUUGACACUUUUUUUUCUUUUUUUUUGAGCUUUUUCAAGUAUUCUCGACCGGAUUAACUGCCGUUGUAGCAUUUCUAAAAGUGACAUGGAGCCAGGACAAAAACGUAAUGCAUUGAGGAAAAAGUGUGAAUAAGUUUGUGUUUUUAUUACGCUUUUCUUUUAUAUAUGUAUAUAUAUAUAUAUGGACAUAAGAUUUCCUAGGAUUUGUGGGGCAAAUAAUUCAUGUGUCAUGUAUAGCUCGCUUGGUCCCUUUGAACGAUAUAUCAGUCAUGGCCUUGUGAGCUUUCAUGUCCCCCACACAAAAAGCUAUUUGUAACCACCAGCCGACCCAUGAGCAUAAAUUAGAGACAUCAUCAACAAGCAAGAUGAUGCACUUUUGGGGAGUAUAAUCUUCUUCUUCUUCUUCUUCUUCGUUUUUUAGUCUUUGUUUUAACAAUUGUCUGAAGUGAAGUAUACCAGAAUCCAACUUUGAACAAUAAUAAUAAUUUGUAUGUACCUCAUCGUGCAUCAACACUAAUAAUAAUUGUAAACAGUCCAACUUUGAACGGGCGGCAUAAUAAUGAAACAUGCGUAAAAGAAUGAAAAGCUGAAUCUUUGAAUUUGAAUUUGAAUUUAGGAAACAAAUAAUAAUUUGAAUUCUUCGAGUUAGGCAUGAAAUUUGAGUAAGGGUGAAGGAAACGCCAACAACUGGAAAUUAUUAGUCAAUCACUUUUUAAAAUUGAGAGUUGUUGGCGGCAUCCUCCUUUAAGGCUUUAACAAAAGACAAAGCGUUCGGCUUUGGACUACAGAACAAAAAGGCUAAGUCAUUGACCGGUUGGCAUCUUUCCUGGGAAUAUUCUUCACCAUCGGUUUAUCAGAAAUCAAUUAUGCUUUCGCUUGCUAAUUACUACUAGCUAUAUUUGUACAGCUUGGAUCAUCUUUUCAUCCUAAGCUGCAUACUUCGGAAAUACUUGAUUUGUCAGAUCAGUCUAAUCCAUUUUGCUGUCUCCAGCGUCAAGUAGGAGGAGGAAUAAUUGAACUCUUGUUUCAUUAAUGUUUGAGUUUCAAGCUGAAUAAUCUUGUUUCUUUCUUGGAAGAAAUUUCCAAGAUCCCUUUUUCUCCAAGGACAAACUAGAUGAUUAUUGUUCACAUCUGCUGACUUCCUUUUCAAUUCGGGGCAGGUGGCAUCUCAAGACAAGAAAUAUGGGGGAAUCGUGCCAAAGAAAAAGCCCUUAAUAUCCAAGGCAAAGUCAUUUAAAUCUACUUUGGCUUUUUUUUUUUUCUUUCUCUCUCUAAUUAAGAAGAAAUAUAUUUUUUUUAUUAAAAAGGAAAAACAUACUGACUGUUGUGAAUGCAGGAUCCCGAGCGAGCCUUCUUUGAUUCAGCAGACUGGGCUUUGUGCAAGGUAGUACGACAGAUUUUGCUACAUGAAAAAAUAAAUUUUAUUUACUUUAAUUUAGAUUUGCAGGGAAUUUUUAAAAAAUGAAACAAAAUUAUUGUUUUAAUGGAAGGACUUCCUCUCCCCUUUCUUCCAAGGAGCGACCGAGUCCAAUAUCUUAGUUUCAAUAUAGUCUUUUUUUUUUUGCUUUUUUGAGCAAAUACAACUUAAUCGACUACGAAUGACAAACAGCAAGGUGCAGGCGCAUGUCAUGAGAAAUCAACAGUUGCUGUGGAGACAUUGCGGCCAAAGCUACAGGUAAUUGACAAAUUAAUUGAGAGCCCAUUUACCAUCUCAUCUACAAAGUUAAAGUCAUAUUUUGUGAAAGAAAAAUGACGUAGCAACAAGUAAAUUGAAUGUAAAAGUGUUAGCAUAUGAGAGAAUUUUGGUGGUUCUUGAUUUAAUCAAGUUUUAAUUGACAAAUUGCAGAGAACGCCUCAUCAGCAAUUGCCUCCUAGGAGGCCAACUUGUACGUCUGGAAGUGGAAGGGAUUCUUCAUAAAUCAUAGCAUAGCGGGUUAGGCUAAAUCUGAAGUCCUUGGUCGAUUACUACUACUAUUUACUGCCACUGGUGGAGUAGAUCUCCAUAGAGAGUGCUAAAGCAGUGAGAGUCACCCCCCCACAAAAAAAUAGGGUAGUGAGAGUCAUCUCAUCUCAUCUCAACUCAUCUAUAUGUAGUUCACACUUUAUAACUGCCACCAUGCAUCGAUUGGCGUACGUGUAGUUUGUACUAUUGGUGGUUCAAUAAGUUUUUCUUUCGUAAAUUUUUUUCCUUUCAAGUUUUGUGCAAGGUUGAUGAUGAAUAGGCUUGUUUUUGGUUUUUAAGAUCCAACCAGGCUCAUCACAAUAGUUGAAGAUCCAGACUUGGGAACUCUCUUGCUCAUGGAAAGCAAGGAAUUAAAAAGCAACUCACAAUACCAUGAACCACCAGUCAGCUGUAAUAUAUACAUGAAAUACUUGGAAAACUUGAAAUAACUGAAACUGAAACGCCUGUAGAGCUUGAUCAAACAGUAAAGGAAGCAAGAACCAAAAAACAAUCAAGUUCAGCAUGCAUUUCUUUAUAUGCAUUUGACCACAGCCAAAAUUAAUGUAAUUGUCACAAGCAUGUGUAUGCAUGUUACGGACAAAGCUUCCCACAUAAGUGGAAGUGGAAACCUUUUUUUCUUUAUCCCCUCCCUCUCCGGUCCCCAUUCCCUUCUAUCCCAACCCUGGCAACUAGGGGCGCUACUCGAGUCGAGUUUAAGUAUCACCAUGCUUGAGUUUGAAUUCGAUCACUAUCAAUAUUAUUCGAGAUUGACCUCGAGCUCGAUCAAGUAUAUAAAUUUGAGCUCGAAUUUGACUUGACAUAAUGGAAAUCAAACUCGAACUCGACUUGUUUGAGCUCGAGUAAAUUGCAAGCCUUAUCAAGUUCGGGCUUGAGUUUUCCUUUUCUUGUUUUUAAUUUUUUACAUUUUAGAUUUAUCCGAUUACCAUUUUGCCAUCCAUCACUUUUUUUUUACUGAACAUUACUUCAUGUAAAUUUAUUAAAAUACGAACCUAUAAUAGUCAUUUCAUAAUUAAAAUAUAUAAAAUAUAAAUAAUACAAAUACUCGAUUAAGUUUGUUGAGUACUCGACUAUUUACUUCUAUGCUCAAACUCGACUCGACACACGUAAUGAGCAACUUGAAUUCGGUCAAACCAAAUUCGGGCCAAGCUUUUGAUCGAGCCGCUCGUAAGCUACUCACCAGCAGUCUAGCUCGAUAGCACCCCUGCUGUCAACCAACUAGAUUGAACGAGAGUUCAACUUUCUGACCAGUAGCUCCCACAACUAAUGGUUAAGUGGAAACAUAAUUAGCACCAGCUUCACAUCAAACAUAUGCAAACUAUAAUGAACGAAUUAAAGGUUAGUAAAAAUAUCAAAUAUAAUCAUAUUAAAAUUGGAAUUGUCCCAUUUAUUAUAUAUACAAGUCGCCUUAACUUAAUCAACAAAAAAUCAUUUUGCUACUUAAGCAACCAAUAAUUCAACUUCUUGUUAUUUCACAUAGUAUAUAAUGUUUUGGUUUCUUAAUUCAAAUUCUUUUCUUUCCAUCUCCUACCUUUUACUUUUAUACAAUAUUUUGGACUAUUGCCAGUACAUUUUGAUAGAUAAUCUCUACAUAUGCUCUUUAGAUACCCAAACGUGCUCUUUCCACAAUUUUUGCACAAAUUACUAGGAAUAUGUCCAGUGUCCUUAAAUAAACUGGCUUCUCUUGAACGGGAAGAUUAAAAAAAAAAAAAAAGAGUAGAAAAGAUAAAAGUAGCAUCUUACUCCUGUGAGGCGGUCUCCAUUCCAUCAAAUGGAAAACGUAAAGGCAGCUUUCCUCUAGAGGUACUGAUGGAAUGAGAGACUAUGAGAAGGUUUUGUUCAUUGGCUUCCAGGGCUUCACCUUUUGAGAAGGAACAACAUUGCCAGACGAAACUAAGAGUUCAAAAGUCCGCAAAGGUCAAGUCUUUAACAACUCCGUUUGCUCGAAACCCUGCCGCCCCUUCAACAGGUAAAAAUUUCAAAGAUCCUAACUUGAAUCCAAUUUCAAUUACUUCUGCUGCGGUUCCUAAACAAAACCCGAGAUUGCAUUCGAAGCCUAUUGAUCACCAGUACUUUACUCACAUUCUGUCGAGAAAAGAUUGGUAUAUAUUGCUGAGACAAGAGUUUAAGGCCCGGAGAGUGAAUUUGAACUGCCAGUCAAUCAUUAGUAUUUUGCAAAAUCAAGAAAACCCUUUACUCCCUCUGCGAUUUUAUAUCUGGGUUUUGAGUAUUAACCCUUCAUUCGGCAAGAAUCAGUCGAUUCGGGGUGUUUUGAGUAAUACCCUUUAUAGGAAAGGUCCAGUUUUGUUGUCAGCUGAACUGGUUCAGGAUAUUAGAAAUUCUGGUUCUGGAAUUACUGAGGAUUUGCUUUGUGUUCUGAUUGGCAGCUGGGGGAGGUUAGGGCUAGCGAAGUAUUGCGCUGAAGUUUAUGAGCAGAUAUCAUAUUUGGGUCUCAGUCCUAGCACUAGGUUAUACAAUGCAGUCAUUGACGCUUUAGUGAAGGCUAAUUCACUUGACCUGGCUUACCUGAAGUUUCAGCAAAUGCAGGUGGAUAAAUGUUUUCCUGAUAGGUUUACGUAUAAUAUUCUCAUUCAUGGAGUUUGUAAGGUUGGCUUAGUUGAUGAGGCACUUCGUUUGUUGAAGCAAAUGGAGGGAAUGGGAUUUGCACCCAAUGUGUUUACAUAUACAAUCCUAAUUGAUGGGUUUUGUACUGCUAAACGUGUAGAUGAGGCAUUUGCCUUUCUAGAAAAAAUGAAGGAAAAGAAUGUGACCCCAAAUACUGCUACUUAUAGGUCCUUAGUUAAUGGAUUGUUUAGAUGUUUAUCCCCAUCUGAAGCCUUUAAGUUAUUGUCAAGAUGGGUGGACAGAGAGCUUAAUUUGCCUAAAGUUGCUUGUGAUGCGAUGCUAUGCUGCCUUUCUGAUAGUUUUUUGCCAAGGGAGGCUGCUGCAUUUCUUAGAAAAUGUUGUCAAAGGGGUUAUGCUGUCGAUAGUUCAACAUUUGAUGUUACAAUGACUUGUUUGAUUAAGGGAUUGGAUCUUGAGGAGACUUGCCAGUUGUUAGAUAAAUUUACUGAACUGGGUACAAAGGUGGGGUUAAGAACGUAUCUGCUUAUUAUUGAGGUAUUGUUCAGCUCAGGACGAGAAGAAAAAGGUAAUCAAUACCUGAAGCAGAUGCUCCAUGAUGGGCUUGUGAGGAAUGUAAAUUCAUAUAAUAUGCUGAUUGACUGCUUCUGCAAGGCAAAAAUGAUUGGACUUGCUUCAGAAGCUUUUUCAAAGAUGCAUAACAGAGGUAUUCGCCCUAAUCUUGUUACUUUCAAUACUCUCAUUAAUGCACACUACAAGGCUGGGAAUAUAGUAAAGGCACAAGAACUGCUUGUAAUGUUCUUAGAGUAUGGAUUCAGACCUGAUAUCUACACUUUUAGUUCAGUGAUUGAUGGACUUUGUAGAGCACACCGAAUUGAGGAUGCUUUUGAUUGUUUAACGGAAAUGGUGGAGUGGGGAGUCACCCCAAAUGCACACACAUACAAUAUAUUAAUCCGCUGGUUAUGUGUCACUGGAGAUGUCUCUAAAGCUGUGAAUCUGUUGAGACAAAUGCAAAUUGAUGGGAUAAGGCCUGACGUUUUCUCAUUUAAUGCUCUAAUUCAACGUUUUUGCAGAAGUAAUGAGAUUGAGAAGGCACAAAGACUGCUUUUAAGCAUGUUAGCAUUGGAUUUGAGUCCUGAUAAUUUUACAUACACAGCUUUUAUAAGGACCUUGUGUGAGUUAGGAAGAUUUGAUGAAGCAAUAAGGUUGUUUCACUGUAUGGAGGCUAAUGGAUGUGUCCCUGAUGCAUAUACAUGUAACUCAUUUAUUCAAAUUUUGGUUAAGAAAGCUAAAUUUCAUGAAGCGCAAAACAUCUAUAAUGACUACAGGGAGAGAGGUAUGCCAUUAAAGCCCAUCAGUGUUUUCUAGUAUGGUUUUAAACUGGUGUACUCCGCAUUGUACUGAUUCAUGCGGUCUUCUGCUGUAUGCAACAUGCCUUGAGAUGACAUGAGGAUAACAUUCUGAUCCAGGCUUCCAAUAAAUCAGGAAUCAUGUGGUUUAGUGCAUUAAUGGGGUGAGUUGUUUCUGUUACUGCCUUCGCCUUUCAUUUUUUGAAUUUCAUCUUAUUGUUGUUUAACAAAGUUAUUUGCAUUUAUGAGCUCUUGGGUUAUGGUUUUUGGGAGGCCUUUUCUAGCUUAAAACAUCCAAAAGAGUGAACUCACAACCUUGUUGAAUAAUGUGGUGAUAAUUUUAUCAUUAGUUUCAAGUUCAUUUUGUACCUCGAGGCACUGUUUUGUGUGUGUGUGAGAGAGAGAGAGAGAGCAUGCAUUUUGUAAAUAUUGAGAUAAUCUAAGGAGAAACUACUUCGAAGUUGACAGCCAUUGUGGUUUAGUGCGUUUCUUUUCAUUUUAUUUUAUGCAGAAAAGGGAUUGGACAGAACAAAUAGCUGAUGAAUCCUUUUAUUGGUCUGAUAGCAGGGAAAAAGGAAGCUAGGAAACAAGAGUUGAUUCCUCGAAUGUGGCUUAUUUCCUGCUUCAUUUAUGAGAGCUUGUUCAUAUGAUCUCCAAAUCAAACAAGGACAGGUGAUUUUGGCGAAGUACAUAGUAAAUGUCCAUAGAAAGAAAUGGCAGUUGCUUCCAUCCUUUCCAUGACUGUGCCAGGGAGUGUGGCAGGAUUAUCAUUUGUAACACUUGAGCUGUACAUCCUGGCAUGAUGCACAAAUUGUCUUGAAGGCUUCAAGAAAUAUGUCGGAAUACUCUUCUUCCAGUUAACUGUGGCUACUCCGGUUUUGCAACUAGCUCGCUGUACAUGAACCCCCAAACAGGGCUAUAUUUUUACAUUAGUAACCCACAGGACGAGGAUCUCUUGCUGGGGGUCCCCACGUUGUAACAAUUUUUCUUUGGUAUAAUGCAAAUUAUUAUACAAUGGAAUAAAGUGAAAAUACACUGAAAAUGUUUUUUUCUUUAGAUUUUUGUUGUGUUUCAAGUACAUUUUUUGAAUGCUAGUUGCUUGGAUAUUGUUGAAGACAUGAUAGCUAAGGUAACUCUCAUUAUUGGGCUUGUCUGUACCUUGUUAAUUGCUUUUAGAUUUGCACAAUCUCAUUUCUUGAUCUUGAUCGGCAAUUGUUAUCUGCUGCUUGUUGACAUUUCUGAGUCUCUAUGCAAGUACUUAACACAGACAGCAAACGUGCUACCUCCUACUUUUCUCAAUGUUGAACGGUAUUGUAAUCCGGUAAUUAUCCUUGUGGGUUGUUAAAUGGAAAUUAUGGUUUCUUAUUAGCUUGGCACUCGUUCUUCUAUGAUUUUUAACAGCAAUAGAAACGUGGAGCAAAUUACAUAUUUUUGCUCAUUUCAGCUUCACUUGAUGCAUUGCUUCCCUUUGAACAAUUUUCUUGUUGGGCAAAAAACUUCAACGGUCACUAAAUUACUGGUCGGAUCAUGUUUUGGCCAUCAAACUAUUUUUCGUCAAUAAUUGGUCAUUAAACAACUUAAUUAAUAAACUCAUGAUCAUUUGGUUGAUAAUUGCUCUAAAUUUAUGAAAUUAGUAGUACGCGUGACAAAGCAUGGGGGUAAUUUUGUCCGGCGAUUACACGACCCUAUUUCACAGAUUAACUGCUAAUUUCACAGAUUAAGAGUAAUUAUCGACCAAAUAGUCACGGGUUUACUGAUCAUGUUGUUUAGUGGCCAAUUGCUGACAAAAAAUAAUUUAAUGGUCAAAAUAUGAUCCGACCAACAGUUCAGUGGCAGCUGAGUUUUUCUUAUUUAAUGGCAGCAAAAAGUGCAUUUGUAGACUUUGUUCUGCUCUUUCGUAUCGGAACGGGGAGAUUUUUUAAUUUUACUUUACUUGAAGUGUACGUAUGGGUAAUGCCUUCAGGGUUUGCUUUCUGAUGGCUAAAAUUCUCGGUUGUGGUUUAGCCGUUCAACUGCCUCUUCUUUAGUCAUCUCUGGCCAGCUUCCUUCAUUCUUUAUCCAAAUCUGGAGAACAGAUUACCUAGCACAUUUACAUUUUCCUCAUUGUAUUUGGUGCAUUACGUUAUAGCACAUCAAAGUUAUACCCUUCUAUGUCAAGCUUGUUUGGUAGCACCUAUAAAAGGUGAAUAUUUUAAUAGCCCGCCACACAAAUUUUAACCUUCUAGAUCACUGCUUUCUGGUGCUAGCCAAAUUUCUCUAUAAUUGUCAAUUACGCAAGUCUUUACACCACCAUUUUACAUUUAUACAAGCAAAAACCAGAUUUCCAGCUCGUCUGUAAACGAGGGUUUUAUAUUUUCCCCCCAUUUCCUUUUUUCACAAGCCAUAUAUAAUGCAGGCAGUUCUUGAACUUCUAACAAACAGUCGGUUGGUUUGAAAUUUGCAAGUUGAAAAUUUCCAAUAAAGCUAUAUAUUAAGCCCGCAUGUGCAUGCUUAGGCUAUUAUUAACAUAAACGUGACUUUUCACUUGAAAAAAAUACAGGUUUCUGCAAUGGCCUUCUCAUUUGCCUUGAGGCAUUCGCGUUUAGCUCUGGCUGCGUUUUAUAUCCUUAUUUCUCUUGGAAAAUUUGGUUUGUGUUUGAAACCGUUGUCAUGUUUCUUUGGCUUUUUCACAGCUUCUUAUGAUUCAUUGCAACCUUUGCAGGCAAAUCACAAGGGACUCCUUCAGAAACAGCUGCUGCAGGAGUACUUGCAAAUGAAUAUUUGCCCGGACAAGUAGGUGCAAAUCAAGGUUACCCCCAAGCAGGAAACGUGGAUAAGGAUCCGGAUCAUGUUGUCAAUGAAGCCCUGCUUUGUUUCGAUGAAAAGCAAGUAAAGUUGCCCAUCAACUCAUGUAGUAAAAUCAAGAUUUACAUUUUCCUGCAAGAGGCAUUUAGAUUAUCAUGUAUCAGGACAUCCUAGCCUUUGAGAAUUGAGAUCAUGCAACUCUUUAGCAGACUAACGUUAUUGUCUGGUCGAACAAACUACAGAUUUACAGCAGCUGCAGUGAAGCUUAUAGAUUGUCCUCGAGUGGAGACCUUAACGUGCCAGCAGAAUACACAGACCAGUACUGCAAUGGACCUUGUGUCUCUGAGACGCACCUUGUUCUUAACUGCAUCGAAGGUGUACUCUUGCAGUUCAAGUUCUACAAUCAGGCCACCAUAAGUGAUGUGAGAGAGACAAUCAAAUCCGGAUGUAGCUAUGGCUCUAAAAGAGGUAAAUAGCUUGUCCGAUUACGCGUUUUCUCGUUUAGUCUUCUCGCAGGGUGAGAAUGAAAUCCUGGCUCCUAAACGAAAAACAAGACCCUUGAUCAUUGACAAAUGAGAACCGAGCUACAUAACUUAUCUAUUCGAGUAUUUUCUUCUAAUUCAUGAGAAAGUUCUGUUUUCCACAGGUGACUUUAAUGUAGCUGAGCGGAUCCAGGAGGAACAUAGCAAUGGGCACAGGACUAAUUUCAGUCUUUUUCUUUCUGGCCUUGUUUUGAUCAUAAUGACACGUCGUUUAAUGCUCUGAUGCAUGGCUUUUUUUUUUUUUUUUUUCUUUUUCAAGGGCGAGCAUAUACAGUAGUGAUUGUCUGGCGCGAAUUGAUCUGCAUAUUUGGCCAUCUUGCUGUGGUCGAAUUAUGCCCGUGAAAAUUAUGUUGUCGUCUAUAUAAGCAAUCCAACCAUUUCAAAUGUUUCGUCUGUUUUUGUACUGAUAAUUCCAUGAGGAAAAAUAAGGACUGUGAAAUAUGAAUGUAUAUUGUGGGUCAAGCAAAGGUCAACUCGAUUUCUAUUGCACUGUUUGUCCAGCAAAAGCCUUAGCAUAUGUAAAUUUGAAGGAAAUUUUAUAUUUCGUACACAACUUGAAGGAGUUAAGAUCAGUGUUUGGUUGUUCUUAUGUUUUCCUCUUGUGAAAAAACAAGCUGACAAUUUUAGUUGACAAUGAAUCUCGAUCUAGUUGGUGUUGGUAAUACGUUUAGUUCUUAACACGGAAGAAAGGUUGAACCGAAGAUUCUAUCUAUUACUCUAAUUGAUUUGAGGUAAUGCAAUGAUGGAUAAGUGGGAAAAAAAAAAAAAACGAAAAACAGAGUAAGAGCAGAUUAACUGAUUGUUAAACCAUCGGAUUACCAAUUUUAUGCGUAGUUGUUUUCCCAUUUCACCCAAGUAGAAGAUGAGGUCAAAAUCGUAAAUUAAACAACAAAGAGCACGCGGCAUUUCCCUCCUCAACACAACUCCCUCCUGGACGCGAUCGAGUAUAACCGCCACUCCCACCCUCAGAAACAGAGCGCGCAAUGCCAUCUCUGGUCUCUGCUUCGUCAAAAUUUUUCGUUUCUCAACUCUGCAAUGGAUUCGUUCAAGAACUUGUUCUUCGAUUUCUCAAGAAACUUCGGUCAAUCACUGCCAAAAUCCAGAACGAAAGGGCUUUUCACUCUGUUUUUAACUCUAGUUCUUGCCAUCAUCUUCUUCUCACCCCUAUCCAACAAAUCCCCUGCUGUAACUUCCAAAAAUCUCCUUUCUCAUCUUCACCCCGGCUCAAAUUACAUCUCUUCUUUAUCCUCAAUUGUUCCCGGUGAACCCCAUUUCAUUUCACAGCCUCCAAGAACUUGCACUGAUGCUGUCACGUUUUCUGCUGUCAAUAAGAGCAAUGAAACUUCAAGAAUGCAUGAAACCGUGGCAACUCAUGAAAACAUCAUCAGUUCUUGUGAUAUCUUUGAUGGGAACUGGAUUCUGGAUGAUUCUGAGCCGCUCUAUAGACCAGGAUCUUGUCCUUUCAUUGAUGAUGCCUUCAAUUGUUUCAAGAAUGGCAGGCCCGAUUCAGAUUAUCUUAGGCUCAGGUGGAAACCCCAUGGCUGUGAGAUUCCAAGGUUCUAUUUUUUGUGCGUUUUCCCCCGUUUGUUUCUUUAGGACUGAGUUCAAAAUGUUCGCGUUUUCAUAUAGGUUUCGUUUGAUUUUGUGAGAUUCUGGUUUCUUUUUUCUGUUCUGCUUUAUGUUCAGGUUGGAUGGAUUGAAAAUGCUGAAAAUGUUGAGUGGAAAGAGACUGGUGUUUGUAGGGGACUCGCUGAACAGAAACAUGUGGGAAUCAUUGGUCUGUGCUCUAAGAGGAUCAUUGGGCAAUACCAGCAAUGUGUAUGAAGUUUCGGGUCGCCGCGAAUUCAGGACAGAAGGAUUUUAUUCCUUCAAGUUCCAGGUUAAAUCUCUCUCAAUGGAAAUAAGAUUUUUGAAAUUAGAUUCAACAGAAAUCUUUCUCGAUGGUGUUAAUUGUUGACUGAUAUGUUGGAGUACUAUUCUUCGGUUGAUGUAGGAUUUUAAUUUGUCAGUGGACUUCAUUAAAUCCCCAUUCCUAGUUCAAGAAUGGAAACUCACUACUAAGGCUGGAAUGCGGAGAGAAACAUUGAGAUUGGACAUGAUUCAGGCUUCCUCGACCAAGUAUCAUGACGCUGAUAUCAUUAUCUUCAAUACAGGCCACUGGUGGACUCACCACAAGACAUCUAAAGGGUAAAUAAAGCUUUAAUCUUUUUGUGCUACUUGACAAGAGUGAAGUUCCAACCCUGAGAAACAUUUUUGACGCACAUAUCAUGGUUUUGCCACAUUUACUUGAGUUCUUCAAAGAAAGCAUUUUCCUGAUCAAGUCUAUGUUGUUAGUUCAGGAAUAACUAUUUCCAGGAAGGCAACCGCGUCUACAACACAUUAGGAGUAACAGAUGCAUUUACUAAGGCCCUGAAGACAUGGGCUCGUUGGGUCGAUUCCAAUAUUAACAGCAGUCAAACAACGGUCUUUUUCCGCGGAUACUCUGCUUCCCACUUCAAGUAAUACUAUCCCACCAAGCUAUUUUCUGUGUGUGCAAAACUGUAAUGUGUUUCUAGCAUGAACUCUGAAGUUCAGAGUCCGAACCAGGUCUUUGGUUGGCCCGACAAAUCGAGACUGGUUUUCUAGAAUUUGAUUCGGGGCUUGGCCUUUUCAAUUAAUUGUAGAUUCUCUGUGCUGGCGUGCAAAUUUUCGUAGCCUGAUUUAGCAUUGUUGUUCAAUGGUUCAAAUUGCGCAGAGGUGGUCAAUGGAAUUCAGGAGGAAGCUGUGAAGGCGAGACGGUACCAAUAACAAGCGACACCUAUCUUUCUCCACAUCCAUGGAUGAUGACCAUCCUCGAAUCGGUGAUAUCAGAGAUGAAGACCCCAGUAUUCCUCCUGAACAUUACAAAAAUGACAGACUACAGAAAGGAUGGCCAUCCUUCUAUAUUCAGCCAGCCAGAAGCAAUUAGGAGGCCUGGGAUGAUACAAGACUGCAGCCACUGGUGCCUUCCUGGGAUUCCAGAUUCCUGGAAUGAGCUUCUAUAUGUUUCUUUGCUCGCAUCCCGCAAUAAAUUUUCGUAGUUUUCAGUUUAAAAGGAAAAAAAAAAUUCUGUUGUUGUUGUUGUUGUUGUCCAUUACAUCCGUUGGCACUUUCUGCUGUCUACCAAUUUGUAGAUUCUGUUGUUGUUGUCCAUUACAUCCAGAUGGAAUAGGUCCUGUAAAAAUGUUUUUGCACUUGAUAUCAGUUCAGGUAUUGAAUUCCACUAGUCCGUUUAUCAAUUCCAUUGUCACUUUCUUACUUCGGGCAAACCUUUACAUCUGCAUGAAUGUAAAUCACAGAGAAAGGAACGUGGGAUCUGUCUGGGUACUCAAAACUUUAACUGUUGUCUGAUGUUCCUUCGAAAUAGCUGUUAUCUGUUAGGCUUUAUUAGUCAUUCAGCUUCCCCUAGAUUUAUAAUCAAACAGCAGUUUAAUUUGCCUCCGCUACUGAACAAUCCUUAGAUGUCUACUUUAAUUUAUCUACUGAUACAACAUUAGAUGUCUUAACAUAUGAUACAUUAGUGCAAAGAAAGUAUGUGUAACUCAUAUUUUGCAUAGAUAUUAAUUAACAGAGAACAGAAAACAUAUCCCUAACAUUAGUUAUAUAUUUUCAAUUUAAGUAACUAGUAGCACCGUAAUUUGAAUGACGAUAAGCGAAAUUCUAAUUUAAAAGCGUAAAUAAUAUAAAUGGAAAAAAGAAAGAAGAAAAACUUUUAUAUUUAUUGUGAAUUGUGAAAGAGGUCUAAAUUUUGUAUAAAACUAAAAUUAGUGAGACAAUUAAUUUUUCUACAUUUUAUGAAAAAAUAGUAAACCCUCUUAAUGAGUUUGAAAUUGUUAUUUUUGGCUUAAUUAUUAUAGCAUCUCAAUUAAUUUUUUUUUUUUAAAAAUGCAAAUAUCAAGUUAUCGUUAAUGGAGUGGAAUGUUAUUAUCCAAUUAUGUAUCGUGACCUUUGACUUGAUCAGUUGACAACUCAAUCGUGCAGUAUUAGUUCAUUUUUCCGACCACCACCCUUUGAAAAAAAAAAAAAAAAAAAAGAGAGAGUCCAUAUUACUCUGCAAUUCGCUCCUGCCCCAAUUAGAAGGUCCAGUUCGGAAUUCGGGUCCUUCAAAAUAAGCGGUAUCCUUAGGGGAGAAGACACUCUGUCGACAUUAAAAGCUUUACUGUCGUCCUCUUCUAUAAAAACGACCCAGUUUUUGGUCAAACCUUUGCGUUCACUUCUCAACAGGCUCCACGUUCGGGAAAACUCGCCUAACAUUUCCAACUGGGGAACGACGUCGCAUUGCAGUAGGAGCAGAACAUUUUCCCUUCCCCGGUGGUUCCCCAUCGUCGUUGGAUAAUGAGGCGGCCGGCGAACAAAUCGACGAUUAAUAUCAGCGCCAUGGCGCGCAAAGUUGACGUCGAUAAUCGAAUUCCUCUCCGUAAUUACUACCGAAUUGCCGAUAAUCUCCUCAAACAGGUCAUCCAUUUCUCCUUGCCAAUAAAUAUUUUUUUGCCCCCAAUUUACGUGAAAAUGAUUUCCCCAAAUCAUUUAUGUUAUGAUUGUAUCAUGUUAUUUAAGGAUUUGUAGUUGAUUAGUUACUGUUUACGGUCAUUUCAAUUCUUAAUCAGGGUUUAUGAGUUUGUAUGGGCGAUUUUGAUUAACUUAAAGUGAUCACUUGCUUUGUACAAAAUUGUCUGUUUAUGAUUUAUGAAAAUAUUGGGUCUUUUAUGGCAGGCUAACAUUUAUCGGGAGGAGAAGAAUAUUAUCGACUUGUAUAUAAUACUUCUUAGAUAUUCCAGGUACAGACAAAGAAUAAUGCUGCCACAAGAAAAUAUUUUGUAAUACACUAAUGCAUUUUUUUUUAAUUAUUACUUCAACGAACUUUUUGUUGAUUGUUUGGCAGUUUGGUUUCUGAGACUAUACCGUUCCAUCGCGAUUACCAGGCUUUGUAUCCUAAAGAAAGAACGUCUUUUAGAAAGGUUUGUCUGAUGUUAUUGCAUUACUGUAGAUACUGCAUACUGGUGAGCCUUUGUGUGUAAAGGUGUGGCAUAUUGUUUGAUGCUGGUUCUGUUGUAGAAAUUAUCAAGUGUGCUAGAUGAGCUGGAGGCCUUAAAACCGGAAGCACAACGGCAGUUGCAUGAUAGAGGAAGAGUUGAGGUGAAAGAUGAACCUUCUUUACAUGAUGGAGAGAAAAGGGCUCCAUCUGCAUCAGCAUCCUUUCAAGAAUGGCCAACUGCAAACAAUAGAGCAUCUUUAAGCUACGACAAUCAAAGGGUACUGCUUCUGAUUCUGUUCACUAGUUUUCAGUAGGAUGGUUGUGCAUAUGUUUUUAGUGCUAUUUUUCCGAAACCAUCUCAAGUUUUUGUUUCUGGCUGGACUUUGACAUCUCUCGUGUAGCACCUAUCUGAGACCACAUUUCAGUGGUUCGAUGAUAUUCUCUAGGAUUCACCAGGAGGCUUUUUCCUUGUACUAGCGGCUAUAUGUUCUUCUUCCAUUUCAUUCUUGGACUAUGGUUUUUUUUUUUUCCUUUUUUUUUUAAAGUAAAUGACUUCUUCUUCUUCUUUUCCUUUUGGCUUCCCCUCUACUUUUUAUAGUCAGUUGGAAAUGCAUACUUCUUCUCAUACGUAUGUUUGUAUAUGUUUCUCGUAUGUUAAGAUUUCUUUUGGACAAAUGUCUUUCAUUUCAUUGAUUCUUUUCGUUGUUGGAUUUUGUCCUUAUAUUUCUGCCAUAUGGACCUUCUUUAUUUAUGUUUUUCCCAACUACAGCAGGCUUGCACAGCUCAGUCUUCAUGGAAAAGGAAUGAUAACUACAGUCUAGUUCCAUCAACGAGUCCAAUUGAUAAGCAUUUCCAGAAGCUGUGAGUAUUCAUGAUUUAAGGUGUUUAAUUGAAUCUGUUAAAGGUGGGCAUUUUUGGCUCAUCCCUCUUAUAAUUCAGCUGAAUAUUAGUUAUGUUCUCCCUCUUGUUAGUCUUGAUAUGUGUUGCUUUCUAGAUGAACUAUUGUCAUUGGCUACAGGUAAUAGUAUUGUCUCUGGUCUGUAUUUUGAUGUGCAGCUUAUCUGAACUUUAGAAUAUGUGCAAAAUAUUUCUUGAGGACAAUAGUCGAAUAAAGUAGCCCUGAGAGAUUUAUUGAUCCCUGCCUUUGUCUUGGAUGUCUCACAUAUUGAAGUUUGUGCCUUCUCAUUUGACGUUUUCUGUUUUACUUCAAGUUUGCUUUUCAGCAUAAUAACAGCAAUAGCCAAAUUAAAGAUGUUUGUACAUGUUGAUAUUGAAGAAUCACGGUCCAUUUACAUAUAUCUAACAAUGGGUGAUUCUCUGAUAAACGUACAGAAAUCUCAGUUUACCUCUUCCAAAGCAAGAAACAUUGUCUAGACACUCCUUUUUAGGACCAAAUGGUCUUCAUGGUCAGUGGCUAGGAUCUACCACUGAGAUAAAGGUAAACUUCAUCAUGUAGUACCUUAUUUGCGAAAACUUUUGGGCAUGAAUAAAGUAGUUGGUUUUUGUUGUAUGCAGGUCAACUAUCCAAUUAACACAGAUUUAGCUUCAAAUGAAGUCUCAAGGUCAGGAACCUAUAUAUUCCUGAUUGUUCCGUGUUGGCCCUGCAAGUCUGCUGUAUUUCUGUGAAUACAAAUUAUUAAUCAUAUGAUUGUGCCUGAGGGUUUUUCUUUUUCUUUCCUGCUUAAUCAAUCAUGGCAUUGUUCUGUGUGAUGUCUUUCUUCUGUCAGAACCUGUAACAUUUCAAAAUGUUUCUAUGCAUUGUUCUAGCCUGGAUCAGGAUGGAAAAUAUGAGAUUGUCACAUCAAGGGAUGGUGAUCUGGAAGUGGAAAAGUCUGCUAUGGCAUCUGUUCUCUCUCUAGAUGAUGGAAGAUGGUCAUCUCUUGACAAGGAGUCCGCUCGUCCAUUUGAUGACGAAGUGAGAGAUAUUUUUCCAUUGGUUAGACAACCAUCUCCACCUCCUGUCCUUGCUCAGGUGCAACCCGAGUAUCUUCCCAUAUCUCCUUCAAAGGUUGCAGAUCCAAGACCCGGACCUGCAAAAUCCUUUUCAGAUGGGACAGCCAGUUCUAACUCAUAUCAACAUCUGCAUAUUGUGAGUCGUUUUCUCUUAAUUUUCUAUUAACAAACUCCCCUCCCCCACCUCCCCCCAACCCCCAGACAAAACCUCCCUACAGAUUACUGGGGUAGUUAUGUUACUAUAAAGCGUUGUUUGAUCUUUAAUUAGUUACUGAGUUGCUUACAUUUAGUUCACUAAGAAUGGGAUGCUUGUUUUGUUGCAUUAUGUUGCAGCCGGUGAAGAUGAUGGAUGAUUUCUUGAGAUUGGCUCAAAAAAAUACAUCAAGAAAUUUGGAAACAUGUGGAGUUCUUGCAGGGACUUUGGUAGUUGUCUCUUCCUUUCUCGUCAACUAUUAUGUCUCAAUGAGCCAAAAGUAAAUGUUGUAUUCUCCAUGGUAUCUAAUUGCAGAAAAACAGGGUGUUCCACAUAACAACACUUAUCGUCCCAAAGCAGGAAUCAACUUCGGAUUCAGUAAGAGAUGUCUCCAUUUUCUGUAAAAAAAAACCAUUUAAGGCUGUUUAUAGCACUGUUUUGUCUCUACUAUCCCUUUGCCCACUCUCCUGGUAAAGAAAAGAUAUAGAGGAAGAGGAACAUGCAAGAAAAUUUUGAAAAAGAAAAUGUACAAAAAAGUUGCUGUGUCAGUCCUUUUUGUUUCAACUUGAAUUGUGACUGUCAUAUGUUGCUGCUGACAUCUUUACAAGCUAGAUAGGGAACCUGACAAACUUGUAAUGUUGAAUCUUCUCUUGAUAUCUCAAUGCAUCUUAGGUUCAAAGUGUAACAGCGGGCAUAUGCAUGGGUCUGUGUAUGCAUAUUUUAUUUUAUGCUAAUGUUUUAGAUGGGUCAAAUGUCAAGGACUUCUGUUUCCCAUGAUCAGAAACUAUGAUUAUCAGUUCACUUAUUACUGAUGAUCGAUCUUAUUGAAUAAGUUUCUCUCAUUUCAGUGUCAGACAUUGAAUGAAGAAGAAAUCUUUGACGUUCAAGACAAGUGUUCUCUCUUCCCUCUUGGGUGGAUUCAUGUAAGUCUGGAAAUAGCUCUAAUGGGCAUUAUUUGUUAGCUGAUCUAUCGUGCUGUGCUCAUUAACUAGGAUCGGAAGUUCUUGACAACUUUGAAGAAUUUUGGAUCCCAUCAUCAUUGAUUUUGCUUAUCUUCUGCAUCACACUUUGGUCCUCAGUUGAAAUGGGCCUGUUGUGAUUUGAGGACGUUGUUUAAUGUUAUUUUUAUUCAGUGAGAUGAGUUUAAUGAAUAGAAAGAUUUUGAACUGGAUUUUUUGAACAUUUGUUUCAAUCCUUAAAACCAUGUUAAAGAGUGUGAGCAGCAGAUUAUUUGGAGCAACUUAGAUUGGAAGUAAAAGGCAAUGGUCCUCGUAUGAAUUUUGUUUACAAUCUUACUUUCAUCCAUUGAACCAUUCUUUCUUGAUUUUCAGACACAUCCAUCUCAAACCUGCUUCAUGUCAUCGGUUGACCUUCACACACAUUACUCAUAUCAGGUAAUAACAGAAAUAGUAUUUUGUUAUUUAUACUUUCUCCACAUUGUUUUAUUGAAAUUUAUUGGCUUUUUGUUGGCAAUGUCGAACAAAUAGUGAUACAUGUACUUUCUACUUUGAUUUGAUUUUUGUAAUCAUUUAUUUCGUUCAUUAGCUUUAUAGACAUGCUGGGUGGGUACUGCAUUAUUUUUAACAUUUCCGGAAAAUGUUUGCACGUAUACAUGCUUAUUAUUCUACUUUUCGUUGUCAUGGGUAAUUUUUCCGACUCAUAUUUUCAUCCCACCAAACAUGGUGUGUUCUUCCUCCGACCACACUUUCUUGACAUGUUUUGUUGGAAUCUGGUUUUUUUGUCCUGUAGCCAGUGAUGUUUUCACCAUUAGUAUAGGUUGGUGUAAUUGGAGUGGUGGAUAACUUGUUUGAUUGUGGAGUUUGUAGCGGAGGUUAAUUAUUUUGAAGAUAGUAAAAAAGAAAUCACUUUAAAGGAUAUAUUUUCAAAGGUUGGCAGUUAACUAAAUCGUAAACAAUUAUAUUCCAGCUAUUUGACAUUAUUACGAACAACUUUUGAUUGUUGUAGUUCUGGUGUUAUUCUUGCAGUAGAUGCUCUUGUAUUUCCUUUGCUGAGUCACAUUUUGUCAUAUAACAGGUGAUGCUACCAGAAGCCAUUGCAAUUGUUAUGGCUCCGACAGACACAUCCAGGUAUAGCUAUAUACACCUUUAAGUCCUUCCAUAAAUGCAUUCAUAGGCUGAUUGAAGUUUUUGAAACUACCAAUCUCUAUUUUUCACGUAUAAAGUGACCGGUAUACCACUCAUCUGGUGGAAACAAAAGGUUGCUCUGAGGGCAUUUUUUGGUCAUUGUCCAUAUCAAUUAUGUGGCAACUGUCAUGAAAGUAAGCACAGCCAACAUGUACCAUUAUAAAUUGAGGAUGGGGGAUGACAAGCGUAGUCUUUUGACAAUGACCUAAUUGCACCUUGAAAGUUGAUAUUCCAUUGGCUGGCUAAUGUGGGUUACUUUUAAAUUUUAACCCCUUCAUUUCAGUAUCUGUAUGUCUGCUAGUAUUUCUGUAUAGACAUGUUUCUUGUCAGCCUAAUUUCGUCUCAUUCAAUUACUUAUUGCAGUCCUCAUGGCAUUUUUCAUUUGUCCGAUCCGGGUGGUGUGGCUGUUAUACGCAACUGUCAGCAACGUGGUUUUCAUCCACAUGAGGCUGCUGAAGAUGGAAGCCCCAUAUAUGAGCACUGUUCGCACGUGUAUAUGAAUUCUAAUUUGAAGUUUGAUGUGGUAGAUCUUCGGUGAGCUGAUGUUAUACGGCUAAUUUUGUAUUGAUAGAAAUAGUUUCGGACAUGAAGCGAGUCUUAUUAAAAUUAAGAUGCCUUUGUGAAUAGCAUUUGACAGGGAAAGAGAAUCGUUCGUUUUGUGUACCAUCGAAUGAUCAGCUAGAGGUAAUCAUUCAGUUUGAGGAUGUGUUGCGAUGUUCCAAAAGAAAUUUGUUUCCAAACCCAUGCCUGUUAAAUUCAUGUACCUUUUAUCUUGUGCAUUUUUUUUUUUAUCUUGUGCAUUUGAUGAGAUAAAUUUUUUUGCAUAGCACUCAAAAAGUGUAUUUGCUUCGUCGGAUAGGUGUCUGGUUUGUGUUCCGAUACUGUACUUAAAUUUGCUCUCUCUUGUGUGGAUUCAUUUGUAGUAGAAAUAGGAGGCUAUAUGCCUGCCGCGGAAAGGGACAGACAACUUUGUUUUGAAAAUUCUUCCUUGAUUGCGUACAACACUUGUUAUGAGCAUCUCUCUCUCUCUGAUGGUACCGUAGUUACCAGGUAGAAAUGCUAUCUGAUUGCUAAAUACUGCCAGCUUCGGAAGUGUGGCCGUCGACUUGAAACAGUUUUAGAUGAAGGCAGAGAAAAUUAAAAAAAGUCUGCACAAGGGGUUGGUCGUAAGCUGGUAAUGUAACUACAUUUAUAUUAACUUUAGAAAAUUAAUGGUUUUGAAAGUUAUUUUAAAAUUAGAGAUAAUUUUUUAAAUAUAUAAUAUAAUCCAAGUAGGAAUUAAUGUGGGUGAAAUUCAAGUGAUUCAAGACCCAUUAAUUCUCUCCAAUUAGCAAUGCCAAGUGGGAAAGAAAAAACAUUUGAUUGAAAUAAUAACUUUCAUAUAUAGAUUCCAAUGGUUCCUAAGGAAACAAAGCUGAGACCCUUGAUCCAUUUUCACUUGAUUACGACUCACUCAAACUUGGGCCUUAACCCACUGGGUAAAUUAUAUAGGGAGUUUUUAAAGAACUCUAAUGGUUGGCUUUUAAUUUAUUUCAAAUCUCAAAUCGGCUCCACAAUAAUAAAAAAUAUAUAUAUAUAUAAUCUUUCAACCCAUUAGACCCAUAAAUAAGAAGGUUUAACAGUGGAGAUGAAUGAAAGGAUAGCAAUGUAAGGCUUUUUUUAUAAUUGAAGAUCCAAUUUGAGAUUUGAAAUCGAUAAAGGGUCAAAAGUUCACGAUUGAAAUAGUUUGAGGGAUUUCUUUAGUAGUUUACCCUCACUCAGUUAACUUGAUUAUGACUUGUCGAACUUGACAUUUUGCGGAAUCCGACUCAACAUUACAUGUGAAGCAAUAGGCUGGCGUAGAUGAUGUAAACCUAUUUAAAGAUCGAACUUCCAAGUUUUCCCAAGUUUCAAUUAAUUUGCUUAUCAAAAAAAAAAAAAAAAGUUUGCAUUCAUUUGGGUGAAACUAAAAUUCUGACAACCCACGGGGGAGCCGUAGCGAAAGCGACUCUGAUUCUCCGGAGGGCAAUCUAUCCACGACCAAGAUGACUGGGAACCUGCUGACGUCGUAGCAAAGGCGAGUCUUCGCAUGGCAAUAAUUGUCACCGCUCAUGCUAUCCGUGACCGCGCGAUGAUUUGGGUGUAAACUUAGAAUUUAUCAAUUCGUGGAUCUAAAUGAAUUAUCACAACAGCAACAACAGGCGUACAAACAUACACCAAAUGAAGCAAGGAUUGCACAAAUGUGAGCCCCUGAUCCGGGCCACGUUCUGAUUACGUGUCUCAAAUGUCUCCGCCACAUCUUUGACACAUGGCACCCGCCAGUUAAUAUCUCGAACCUGAAAAGAAAAAAAAAAUCAUAUUCAUUAGUAGAGACUAGAGGGUCCUUCAUUGCCUCGUAACUCAGAAUCAAAGGAACACGUCUCUUGGCUCUUCAAAUUUUUCCGGCCCUCUGCCAUGGCUUUUUAAUUUAGAUUUGACAUAAAACAUGCAGGCAGGAGGACCUUCACGUCCUCAAUUAUUAUUGUCCUGUAACUUUUUUUUUUUUUUUUUUUUUGUCGAUACAGGGGGUGUUCGAGUCAAUCCUUACGGAAUCCGACUAAUUUCUCGCGAUCCGAGAGAGAAGGCCCCACUCCACAUUGAGCACGUUAACAACGGGACUCGAACCCUGGAUAAGUCAGGAAGGUUGCCAUACCCUAAGGAGGGAGAGCAAACCGCUCGAACUAUUCCGUGGGAGCAGAAGACCAACCACGUAAGGUGACAAGUUUGUGAGAGGCAGGGGAUGAACCCUGACCUCCAGCAUCACCAAAGAGAGUGAUGACCACCGGACCAAAUGAGCAGUGGCAUUGUCCUGUAACUUAGUAGUACUAUUACUAGUACAACAUACAAUAAUAUAUAUAUAUAUAUAUAUAAAAGAGAAAUCUUCAAGUCACUAAUAAUAAUAAUAAAAAAAAUGCAAGAAAGUUGCCUCGUCAUUUAGCCCACCACCAAGCCAAAUUAAAUGAAACUCACCUGGUACAUUACAUAUGAUGGUUGUACUACCAAGGGCAGCAUCUUCGCCCUUGAACUGGUGGUGGCCCGCCGCCCCCUUGUUAUCAGAUGGACGCGUAGAUUUGCUACGAUUUCCUGAAUCUAACGGUAGAUUUGCUCCCUAUUAUCGGAUAUUUUCAAUCACUUAACAAAAGUCCAGACGCGAGGUGUGGUGGUUCUGUUUUACUGCUCUUUUUUUUUUCUGUUUUCGGGCAAGCAAACAUGUGAUCUGGAGUCCUAGACCGUUCAAGACAGGACAUGAAAGUUUGAGGGAAUUUUUCUGGACAUCCAAUCGUACGAGUCUUAAAACCUUCGAUGAGAGAUGAAAUAAACAGGUCUAGUCCUACUAAUUACUCAAAGACUUGACUUGAGGGUUAGAAACACAACCUCCGACUGAUUGAACCAUACAUGCAGUGACUGUAUUGUUAUUGAAUGGCCGUUUCAAGUUUUCUGAAUGAUAUUGCCGUACCUGCUGCUGCAUCGUUAGCGUCAAAAUUUUCCUUUUCUUCCCCGAAACAGCAAUAGACUAUCCCUGAAGGAUGAUUUGGAUGGUAUGGGGUUCCUGUCGUGGAUUUAACAACAACAUUGCCCAUUUGAGGCCAAAAUGAUCAUCCAAUGGGUGGGUUGGAAGCUGGAUUCGUCGAAGCUAUGCCAUGAAAAAAAAUGACUUGGGUCGGGUCGUGGAUCGCAUGGUCUCCAAGUAAAAAUCCUUUCUCCGCGUGAACUCAUCUGAAAAUAGAUUAGUAUUAUCUCCAAUGAAAACUUUGGAGUCUCCCCAGGACGGCAAAUGCGAUCACUACUGAGAUAUUUGAUGGAACCAAUUGACAAGGUCAACACCCAGCGAUCGAUACACGCACACCCAACCCUUGACGCAUAAACUGAAGAUAUUAACCAAUUAGUUGUGGUUUAGAAUAUAUUCCAAUUAAUUGAGGAUCAAUUUGUUAUUUUUGCAUUUAUUGGCUGGCAAGUACAGAACAAGUUUUUUACUUGCGGAAUAAGUACUUUUCCAUCAUGUUGAAUAAACAAGACAGCACUAUGUAUGCUCAUUGAAGAAAAAGAAAAAUAAUAAUAAAAAGGAUAGCACUAAUCCAAAAUUUGUUCAAAUAUCAAAUGAUUUCAUGUUGACCGUGCCAAGAUUAUUAGGAGGUCUAAUGGUUUAUUAAUAGUUCAAAAUUUUUUGCAUUGUCUCAAGCUCCUAAUUGCUAAUGAGACCUUUGUUUAAUCAUUAAGAUUCAGAUAUCUUGGUUUUCUUUCUUUUUUUCACCGCAACGAUAACAUUUUUUAUCAUCUAAUCUAUCUUAAUUUACAGGAAAUAUGAAUCUAAAAUAUAUAUAUAUAUAUAUAUAUAUAUAUAUAUAUAUAUAUAUAUAUACAGAAUUGGCUCAACUAAAAUAAUAAUGUUUUGACACCUUUUUCGAAUUUUUCUCAGAGUUUGAACUCCGAACUAUGGCCCAAAAAGAAAGUUAGUCCCUUCUUUGGCUCAGUGGUUGGGUUCAAGUCUUUCACUCAUCGCCCAACUCAGUUGGAAGUCACAUCAUAUUGUUUAUUUUGUUCAAAAAAAAAAAAAAAAGUUUCCAAUAGCUUGACCCGGUAACCCGUAUCCAAUUUAAGAGACGGUCCAACUUGUGUUAGGAAAUAGUAGUAUGUAGAAUUUUGAGAGACAAAGAAAUGGACCACGAUUGCAAGAAAAAGACGUGAAAAACGUGGACCGCAAUGUUUUAUUUCGAUUUGGAUAGUUCGCGCUCCACCCAGUCCUUCCAGACCAAAAACAAAAUACUUGUACUAUGUGUAAUCUGGAUUGUACGUCGUGUGAUGCAAUUAUUGAUCCACCAUCCGUGGGCCCAUAAACUAUCUCUACCAUCGGAAUCAGGCAAAUAAAAACUUUUUAGUAAUUUAAACCCUGCGUGGUUGGAGUUUACAAUCUCUGGUCCUGGUGCAUCAAAUUGUUCCUUACUUUUGGAGAUUAAUUGUAAGGGUUAAUCACAAAAUAGCCCCAAACAUUACAUAUUUCUUCUGAAAUUACCUUGCUUACUGUCCAAUUCAAUCAAUUUGUUACCAAAAUAUUUUGACUUCUCCCUGCUGAUCCAAUAAACUUGACAAAAUGUUAUGUUACAUUUGAUUUUAUCAUGAUUCCACUUCACAUAUUGCGAGGACAUGAAAAAUAUGCCUUAAAUCAAGUCAAUAAUUCAUCGAUUCAGUGGAAAUAUCUAUAUAUAUAUAUAUAUAUAUAUAUGCACAUGAGGGCAUUUUUGUCAUUUUAAUGAGGUGGGCAUAGGUAAGGUCAUGUAUUGUCAAAAAAAUGAAGCACAAAUAUAGUAGUUUUUAAUUGUACAAUAUACAAUAUGACCUUGAAUGUUUUAACAACUCAACGGAUAGCCAGCGAGACGAGUACAUGUGCUUCAACCAAACAAAAAGAUAAUCCUUCCGUUCUAAUUAUUUUGUCAUGUUUUGAAAUUUUAAUUUUUAAAACAUAGAGGUAUGAUUAUGAUGUUUGUAUUUUUCUUUUCAAUCUUACUCUCACAAUUUUAAAAUUUGAAUUUGAAUUGUCAUGUGCAUAUGAUUCAAAGAAAAUACUACAUUGGAAGCGGUGACGGAGCCAAGAUUUUUUUCUUUGAGGGAGGAGCCAAAAUUUUUCUAACAAAAUUAUUUUAAUAUGUUAUGUUCCAAAUAAUUUUCAUCUAUUUAAAUAUAUGACAUCUGAAAACAUUAAAUAUUAACUUUAAUUAUAAAGAUAUGCCUAUUUUAUAAAUAUGUAGCAUGGUCAUAACGAAAAUUAAGACAAAAAAUAACCAUUGAUUAAAUAUCUUAUAAUAUCGCAAACCACCCAAGUUGCACAUUAUGAAAAGAUGCUCCAUUAUGUCACAUAUGCAAAUAUAUAUAUAUAUAUAUAUAUAUAUAUAUAUUUUAGUGUAAGCAGGAGGACUCGAACCCGAGACCUCUUGCUUACCAUCCCUCCUCCCCGCAAAAAAAUAUAUAACUAUGUAAUAUAAAUAUAAAUAUUUUCAAUUAAAAGGAUAAAAGUUAUGUUAACAUACCAUGAAAUUCCACUCCUUUUCUUACAAGUAAAUUGAACUUUAAUCAGUGCUAAACUUUCGGUAACUUCCUUUUCUUUGUACAUAGUUAAACAAUCAUUCAAUAAAUUAUCUUCCAUCUUGUUUCGGAGUUUUGUCUUGAUAAUUUUUAAUAUUAAAAAGAUCCGUUCUCUAGUUACGGUUGAUAUAGGAAAAGUAAAAAUAAGUCUAAUCAAUUGGAUUAAAUUAUAGAAAUGAUGGGAAGAAAUUGAAGUACAAUCGGAUUACCAAAAUAUCAUAAAGAAGCUGCAACAGGAAGAUAUUGAGGACAACACAUGUGCGACGGUGUUCGAGGAUAUAGGAAGAUUGAAGAAGCAUUGUUAAGUCUUGUACUUUUUUGUUUAUUAGGAGAGCAGGCAAUGUAGUGGGCCAUGCCCUCACGGUAGUGGUCCAGCGUUAAGCGAGCUCUUAAGAACUCUUGUGAUUUUGAAUUUGAAUCUUACCCUGAACUUGAACCCCUAUGACUUGCUCGGGGUCGCUGUGUAGGGCGGUGGCGCACUCCUCCGAUUUGGUGAGCUGGCUUGAGUCAUAAGGCUUCGAAUUGAAGCAUGUUCCGAGUUACAAAAAAAAAAAUGUAACGGGCCACAAGUUAGCAAAAUUUGCCUUAAAAUGUUGUUUAGAUGUACUAUGGAAAUGUGACUUUCCCCCCUACUAGUCAAUGCCGCAAGGGAUGAUUUAACAGAGCAGUUGCUCUGAGUGUAAAAUAUUGACAGUUAAUGACAUGCUAUUAUCGUUUGGAAAAAAAAAUUGGGUUAAAUUGUACACUGGCCAAAAUUAUUUUUGUUUUAACCCACUGACAAGUAUGAAUUGAGUCUUUUUAUUAUAAUGUAUUAAAUUGGGUCAACUUACUAUGGAUCAUCAAAUUAUAUAUUUAAUUUUUUGAAAGUUAAAUAAGUAGCACAAUGAAAAAAAAUAAUUUUUUUGAAGAAAAAAUUAAUUCAAAAGUGUCUAAUUCAUAUAUAUAUAUCUAUAAACGUAUGUAUAAAAUCUCAUAAUAUAAAUUAAAAUUAUAAACAUUUGGGGAGUCGACUUUAUUUUACACAUAUAUUUAUAUAUUAUAAAUUAAAAUUUUCAAAACUUAAGAGUGGACCAUGACCCCUCUCAAACCCCUUUGACUUUGUCAUUAAUUGGAAGGAGCUACUAAAAUGCACUUUGACCCUUUUAAUAUGACAAAUAUUUUGAAACAUUUUAAAAUGAAAAAUAUGAUACUUUCAAUGAAACGGAUUUACGCUUUAUUGCUUGCGAGCUGAUAGUGCUACGUGAAUGAGACUUGGAGGUCCAUCCCCCAAAUUUCACAUCCAAGAAACCCAGGAUUCUCAAUUUAAGAGUCUCUCCUGUAUUAUUUUAAAUCACGCUACAAAAAAAUGAUUAACUAGUGUAAUAUUGAAAUGCUUCAAGAGUAGUGUCUCUAUAACAAAAAAGAAUCAACCAUUAAGAGGUCUGCCUCUGCUUUAAAGAUGCAACGUGGAAAUGGACGAAAACCAACCAAAUCACGUAAAGAUAAGUAAAUGUCUUGUCGGGUAAUUCAUUAUUAACAACUUUUUCUUUGUUAUUCAUUAUUAUCAACUUUUUUCCUCACAUUAUUAAUUUGUAGAUCAAAUCGAGUUAUUCCACUGUGGUUGCAAUGAUUGUUCAAUGCGGGACAGAUUCAUUGCUUUAUCUGGAGCAGCGUCAGGGAUAUUAUAAACUAUCAAUGGGUAAAAGUUUUAAUGCAAGGGAGGUGAGGUAAUAAGCAGCAAUGGCCAAUAUAAUGGAUCGUACACAUUUGUAAAGCUCAUCGUUGAGUCUUUGUCUAAGAAUCGUACAGUUUAGCUUUUAAUCAAUAAAAAUUGAUCAUUUCAAUAAAAAUAUAUAGAAUACAUUGUACGUUUGAGUCCCGUGAAUGUAAAAAAUCUUGUUAAUAGGCAAUGUCUUGAUCUACAACAAUGAUCAUAAUUCAACCAAAACAUUUUUUGUCCGUUUGAAUUUUAUGUAUUUUGGAAAAACAAGUUUUUCAUAUAUAAUAUUAUAAUAAUAUAUAAAUAAAAAUACUUCAAAAUAUCACAUUCAUACAACAUAUCAAAAAAAAAACUCUAAAUAUAAAAAAAAAAUUUAUAUCAUUUUCUUCUUUUAUCUAUUACCACAAUUCCCUCAUUCCUACUCUUUCCUCUCACUCCCUCUUCCACCUCCUGAUGCGGUUGAGCACGAAAUCCAUAAUGUUCAAAUAGACCCUGUGAAAGUGUCCCAAGAUCCAGUGACACGAGCACAAGUUAAGAGAUUCAAGGAGUCCCUCCAAGCCUUAGUCCGUGCUGUUCAAGCCCAAAAAAAACCGGCCAUUGAAGGAAUUGAGUUGAAAGAUACUUGUACGACUACUAAAAUGCUGCUUACAAUUGAAGAAGAUGCAAGUGUUCAAGCUCCAAACGGCGGGCUGAGCCGCAGUUAAGUAUCCUCACUGAGCCGUACAACGGGCUGGGCGAACUUUCCUUGUUAUUUUUCCAGUUUAUUAGGUCUUAGUCACGGCUAUAAAUGGUCUCAAGUCGUAUGUUACAUGCAAUUUUUGAGAGUAUUGAAUAAAAUUUUCAGAAUUUCGUCCAUUCCUUGUGGCAAAUUCCCUUAGCUUGUGAAAGUUAAGUUGAACAUCCUAGAGUUGAUUCUAAGCUAUUAUUGACUUAUCAAUCAAGCACACAUACUUGAUUGUAGCGUCUUCUACCGUUAAAUCUGUUCUUGAGUGGUCCAAAUUCGAGUUCAACGCCAUCAAAUCUUUAACGUGUUUUUCUAGAUCCGAAAUAGCUUCCGCGUCUCGCAUCACCUCCUCUCCUCCCUUCUCCUUCCCCUCCUGUUUCUUACCACACCCAUCAAGGUCAUGUAUUGGAGGAGGGGAGAGGAAGGGAGAAGAGAAGGAUAAGGGAAGCGACAUAGGGAAGAGAGGGAGAGAAAGAAAAGGGAGGAGGAGGAGGAUGGAGGGUCAGUGGUGGUGUUAAUUUUUUAAAAAAAUAUAUUAAAAAUUUUUAAAUUUAAAAAAUAUCUCAAAAUAUAUUUUAAAAAUAUUUUUAAAAACAUCACCAAAAAUAUUUACAGUAAAAAUUUUCAUAUACAUUAUUAUUGUAAAAUAUUUCAAAAAAUAACUAAUUCAAAUGGAGCUUAUAUAUAUAUAUAUAUAUACAAAAAAAUUAACAGUAAUGGACAAAUAAUAAUAUAAAAAGAGCAAAAAUAAAACACAUGCUGCAUAAAUGGUGGGGCUAUGGUUCUUGUGGCGCAUUUGAUAUCCGUAAACAUCUCUAUCAGGAAGCCCCACCUCUUUACAUCUCUGACGAGUUUUUUUCCGGUAUAUAAAAGCAACUGCAAAGUCACGUUGGUCUGAAGUUGUGCUCAUGAUCGGUGGGAGAAAGAGAACAAGUCUAGCGAGCUAGUAGAUAUUAUUGGUCCUUCAUUGAUUAUUCUUUGCUAGCUAGUAGAUCACACAGUGUCGUUUCCAAUUUUUUUCUUUUUUUUUUUUUGGGGUGGGAGGGGGUUUGGAAAUUAAUAAUGGGAAGAGCACCUUGCUGUGAGAAGGUAGGGUUGAGGAGAGGAAGGUGGGCAGCUGAAGAAGAUGAGAAAUUGAUCAACUACAUCAAACAAAAUGGGGAAGGGUCCUGGAGAUCCUUGCCCAAGAACGCAGGUAUAUAUAUAUAUAGAUGUUUUUUUUUUUGCAUGUUGGAAUUCUUGGAACUCUUAGCUCCUUCGUGCAGGCAAUCAAAUCACGUCUUGCCAUUGCUAUAUUUUUGUCGCCAUCCUUUGCGGAAAAAAACGCGACACACUAAACUAAAGUCGCACCGCAUAAACCAAAACAGCAGACAACAACGGACAAUGCUAGCAACCAUUUUGCUAGACCUUUUGCUAUCAAUCCAAAUGCCCUUUCAAUCUUUGGGCUUCAACCCAACAACGGGUCAGGGUUCAUAUAUCUAUACCAAAAACUAUAUAUCAAUGCUCCAAUAUUUCAUUGCCGAUCGAUGUCAAAGCCAACCAUUAGUGCUGGUUUUUUAUUGUUCUUUUUUCUCUCUUGCAUUCAGUUUUCAUGCUCACCUUUGUUCUUCAUGGCUUUCAAAUCAAGACUUCAUUUUGGCAUGGGAUUUUGUAGGUUUACUGAGGUGUGGGAAGAGUUGCAGACUUAGAUGGAUUAAUUACUUGAGAGCAGACUUGAAGAGAGGAAACUUCACCAGAGAAGAGGAAGAGACAAUCAUCAACCUGCAUCGAUCUGUGGGAAAUAAGUGAGAGUCUCUCUUAUUCGCUUUUCUUUCCCCCCCUUCUUUUUAUUCUCUGCAAGGCCUAAGUUUGGCUUCACUAAACAUAGUUACAGACUUGUACCAUUUCGUUAUUAACAUGUAGUUGUGCGUAAACAACGGUCCAAAAAGAAGAAAAAAAAAUCAGUUCCAACCUAAUGAGUUGUUAGCACUUAGUAACCUGCUGAAUCGUGCGUAAAAAAAGGAAAAAAAAAAAGGGAAACUUUAUUGAAGUGUACUUGGUACUUUAGAUGCUGAAAAGUGAAUCUACAGUAAUGGAGAAAUUUCUUGACUUCGAUACAAUUGUAACUUUGUCGUACCCUCUCCUGCCAAUUCUUGGUGGAUGGUAAUAAAGAUGAUGAUGAUGUAGCGUAGUGGUAUGUAUGUAUGCAUGCCACGAGUGAGUACGUUCUCCUUUGUUCACUCGACAGUCAUCAUAAUCCGUGACUCGGUACUGUUGAUCUGCGAAGUUCCACGUCUAAGAAGGAGGCCUUUUGAGAAGCAUUAAGUUAGUAAAACGUCGAAGAUUGCGAAACAAAAGUAUUGCCGACCACUAAAAAUGCUUGUUUAUUUGUGUUCCUUGUAGUAUCUUCUGCCUUUAAUGAGUUUGGUGGAAAAGAAAAUUACGGCCAAAGAAAUUAAAAUUGUGGCUGCCUUCACUUGGAAAUGAGGGCAUUAAAUUUUCUAGACCCCAGUCCCCGAACUUGAAGUCGUUGAUCUCUAUUUUCCAUCUAAAAGUUGGUCAGGAAGCAGCAAAUUAAUUAUGAGCAACUCGAAUUUACUCGAUCGUACGGUUUCUGUCCGUGGCUCUUGUACUAGAGUGUUUUUUCAAUUUACAUUUUAUUAAUUCAUCAUGAGAUGAGAGUUUUAGUUUUUACUUCAUGGGGUGGGGCGAUGCGUCGCAGGUGGUCCUUGAUAGCAAGCAAAUUACCAGGGAGAACAGAUAACGAAGUGAAGAACUACUGGAACUCUCACCUCAGUAGGAAAAUCUACAGUUUUAGGUCCAGCGAUGGUUCCUCGGUGACCACCUUAGACAUGGUCAACAUGCCUAGCAAAUCUAAGAGAAAAGGCGGUCGGGUGAGCCGAGCGGUUGCCAAAAAGUACAGCAUGCACCCAAUCACAAAAGCUCCUAUCACUACUGCUACUAAUGAAACAUCAUCGUCAUCAAAGAUUAGCAGCACGAGUGGGGUUCAAGAGGCCACAACAGCAGCGCAAAAUGCACAGGUAGGUAUGGUCGAAGCCACCACACAUGGGGUACCUGAGUCCGCGGCAGCAGCAGAAAAAGUUUCUGAUGACGCGGCGGUAGGUGCGGUUGAGGAGAGCGGAAAACAUCAGUUGCAGCCAAUGGCCAAUAAUAAUUAUGAUUACGAUGAGAGCGAAGGGGGAUGCAUUAAUAGCAUGCACGAUAUUAGGUGUGAUGGAGGUGAAGGAUGUGCGAGGGCAUUAUUGGUGCCCUCUCCAGAAAAGCUGGAAGGAGAAAAGGGGGUCGCGGGACCAAAUGAUGAGCUAGAUGAUGUAACUUUGCUUCUUGAAAGUGUUCUGGAGAGCGAAUUGAUGGACCUGAGCGAGAUUUCAGUGCGUACUGGGGACACGGAAAAUGAAUCAAUAAUGUAUCCAGAAAGCGCUUCAAUUAACAAGGACAGCGACUCCGGCGCCAGCUACUCAAAUUCAGACACGGGGGAUGGCCUGUACGACUGUUUCCCACCGUUAGAUUCUUAUUUCAAUCAUACCUGGGAUGCAGAAUAUGCUGUCCCAGGAUUCGGGCUUUGGGAUCAAGAAGAUGACGACGUACUAUGGCCAUGGGAGAGUUAAACCCACAAAAACAAAGACCUGUUGCAGUAGUUCAACAUCAAAAUGCUUCAUCGGAGGAGAAAGGCAUAUAUCGUCAACUUUUCUUGCUGCAGCUGCUGUAAUCCCAUCUCUAAAAAGUAAUAGUCGGCUAACAUAAAAAUUAGUAGUCCUGAAUAAAUUCACAAUUUUAGCUAGCAGAUUGUCGCUUUGUGGUAGGUAGCAUGUGUAGGCAAUUGAUCAUCAGCAUGUACAGUAUCAAGACAUUUGCCAAAAAUAAAUAAAAACAGUACGAGAGUAGAUGAGUAUUCUAACUUCCUCAAAUUUGAAAGCUGAUGCAUUUACAAAUAAUUUGACAGCUUGCGAGUAGAUGAUGCUUGCAACAACAAUUAGCAACCGUCCCAGCAUGAUGCAUUUCCUAAUGCUAGUUUUUUAUGCUUAUAAACAUAGUUCGGUAAUUCACUUUAAUAUGGUCAAUGUGAAACACUCGUGUCAAAGCUUGAGACAAAAUGUUUAUUUUCCAGAGGUGCAGCAUCAGUAGUAAGAUCACUUUGGGACAAUUAGACAACCAGAAAACACGAGAGAAUGGAAGGGGAUCAAUGAUAUUCAGGAAGCAAGACAUCAUUUGUAGAUACAGGAGAUUAAGGCAUGCAAACAAAUAUCCAAAAGUGAGAAAAAACCAGUACUUUUCUUUUCAAGCAGAAGGAGGGGUUCUCUAGAGCAACUUUUGUUAUUUAUGAUUCCAAAAAAAAACCUCUUAAAAAUCUCAAGCAAAAUUCUAAACAGGACGAAUUUCCUGUUCAAUUCUAUAGGAUUUUCGCAAAAUGAAAAUAAAUCAAGCUUAUGCAGGAGGUGAAGGAAAGUUCAGCUUGAGCCAUUAGGGUACCAAUAUGUCUGCUAUGACUUCAUCUAGUAAUAGAUUAAGUAUGCGGUUCCCAAUCUGCACUCCCAAUUCAAAUGCUUCAAUCUCAAAGUCAAGCCAUCUUCCAUGUUUGCUGCUCAUAUCUUUGUCUACAAGUUCAUCCACCAUGCAGUCCCCCAUGUCAUUCCACCCUGAAAUUUCCUUGUAUGCUUCCUCUGCAAGUUUCCCCUUGCUUCUCACCAAGGACAGACCAUUUACCCAUGUUUUGUAUCCGCCACCAACAUACCUCUUAAAUCUUAUGUCCAGGCACUCUGCAACACUGUCAAAUAAUACUUGCCGGCUUAUUUUGGGUUCGUCCUUACACAACACUGUUUGUUGACUUUCCAACUGAUCAAAGAGGCCAGGGUUAAUUAUCUGACCAGCCCUACCCAAUGCAAAAUCCUUGAACAUCAGCUCUAUGUUGGACAACAUUUCCUUCACAUAGUCCAGUUCCCAUUUUGCCGAGUGAUUGAGCUCUGUCAUUGAUAAGGAAACCGCUUGCUUUUCACUUAUGCUUACAGUGGACAUGGACGAGGCUGAGUCUGACAACUCGGUUUCACUAUCCACUAGAUGGGGAUUCUUAAAACAACUAAUACCAAGCACUUCCUGAGCAUUUACUGAUGAACUUUCUUUGCUACCUAAAAUAAUUACACAAUGCUCAAUUAUUCAGGUUUCAUCUAGUAUUCCAUUGUGCGAGACUAUUUGUCUGCAAAAGGAAGAAAUGAAAAGAAAGCUUAAAAGCCCUGCCCUUACCUCCAGUAUUGAUGCUAUCUGCUGUAUCUGAAGAAUUGCAACUCUCUGUGAAAAUGGAAUGCCCAAGAACAGAUACAGGACUUGGAAGUCGAUGGUGGAGGAAUUGUCUUGCGUCAAAGUUGUUUCUGCUAUUGUUAUCCAUAGCUUGAUCAGUCACCUGAAAACAUAUAAAUCAUCAAUGCUUCAAAAGAUUCUAGAGAGAGUUUGACAAGCUCUCAUGCUAAGCUCAGAAGGCAUGUGAUUCAAAACCAAGUUUAUGGUCAUAGAUCCUCAUAGAUAUUGACAUCAUUACAAUAUAAUCAUGUAAGCCACAAGAUGAGUCAAGACCACAUCCAUUAGCAUUAACCCCCGCAUUGGUGCAUCUGAAUUCCUCAUGGUUACUCUUCAUUUUUUGUUAGUUCACAAGAUGAGUUUCCUGGGAUAUUUUAUUACCAUCAGAUUUUCCAUAGGACAGAAUGGACAUCAUUGACCUAACCAAUUUCAGAGUGCAUAUUUUAUAAACAGAUAUCUCUCUUUGUACGAGAGAGUAAAAAAAUGAUUGAGAUUCACAAACUCUACCUCUACAAGCAUCAAAAUUCACAAGAAGAGCUGCACCAAGGCAAUUUGAUGGUAAAGUAAUCGCAGGAUUGUAACCUUCUCUACAGUUCCAGUAUGGAAUGACAGUAAAAAAAUGAUAUCCUUCUAAUUUAUCUAGUGUUUAAGUGUAGAAGCUGAAUGCAGAUUGAGAAUAUCAGAGAGAACAAUUUCUAGUUACUUCACUGAAUUAUAUAAAUGAUGGGAAUUUUGAAAGUGGAAGAACUUGUUUGACUCAACAGUUGAUAGAUAGAAAUCAUAUUUAAAUGAUACCUGGGAUUUGUGUUUCAUUAUGAAUCCCUGAAGAUCAGUUGAAAAGCCAGAGUUACAUUUGUCAACAAUAUGAUCUCUGUUGAUUCCAUCUCGACUUCUAUCAUCAAGCAAACUGGUUGAAGAGGAUAAUGCAUCUAGAUCAGGCAUAGAAUCCUGGAAAAUGGAUGGGGAAGUCCAACCUGUCCCUGCCUUGAUGCGUGAAGUCUCAACUGCAUGAGUUAAUUCCCUUAGCUUUUGCUCCAAAAGAGUGCUCAAUGCAUCACCUCCUAUAAUAUUAGGUCCAAAGAGAGAAAACUUCUUAUGCAUGUUAUCCGAAGUUUGCGAUGACCUUUUACCUCUACAAUCAGCAGAAAGGGCAUCACUAUUUUUCUCACUUACUUCUCUAAAUGCCUCAGGACCAUGAACAAAUGACCUUGUCAUUGGAGCUGUGAAUGUAAAAGAAAUAACAUCUGUUCCUUUUCUUUUGCAAGCUUCUGUGAGACUAUUCUGCUUGUCCGCCAAUGUGCUAGAUUCAAUCAACUUUCCAUUCUUACCAAUGAUGUCGUUAUCCAAAGUACGGUUUUUCUCAAACUGAAAAUUGCCAUCUAUAGACCUCUUCUUGCAAGUGAUAUUUCUGGUAGUGGGAGAAGAAUCUUCUCUUUUACUAUUCAUUGCUUCUGUAUUCAACCUCCUGGAAACAACUUUAGAGUUUGAAGCAUUUUUGCUUGCACUUUUGUAUCGUGCAGACGAAGAAUUUCCAUUAUGUGGUUUCCCACCGUGCACAUUUGAAGUAGAUGGCUUAGACAUUUGCUUUCCUCCUUCAACUGAGCAAUUUUGUUUCUGAUUAUUCUGUCGAAGGACAUUAGAAUCUGCAAGAGUGGAUGGUUUCUUCUGUGUGCUCUUUUGACUACUUACUCGGUUUUUGAAAAACUCGCUCGAAAUGACUUCAGGAGAUUCUUUCUGGCUACUCAAAAUUCUGCUGGUGUUUGAAUUUAAACCUUCUCUUUUCUGAACAUUGGCCUUUGCCUGUAAUGCCAGAGAGAUGGAUUUACCUUUGCUUUUGGCAGUAGAUGAACAUUCUUCUGAGUUGGAAGAAAUCUUUGAUGAUGUUGUAUCUGCUGAUCCAUUCCAGCUCUUAUUCAGGGAUUGUCCCUUGAGAUGUUUAAAAGCAUUAGCUUCAAUUGGACGUCGAGACACCUCACUGGAUUUGGAUGGUUUUUGAGAAGAUUCAACCUUUUCUUUCAAGUCUCUUACUUUUAAGGGAACAGAAGAAGACCCAACCACGGGCAUUUUUACAUUAGUAGUGGUAGCCUGAGGUCCAGGUCCAAUAAUUCUAGCAGCUGCUUCCAUUAUGUGAGCAGCACUCUCAGAAGGGAUAAAAUUGGCACUUUUGAUUGGAGACAAAAGCUUAUGAUGGGUGAUUGGAAUUGACUUGGCUGAUUUAGGUGGCAAUACUUCGGUUUGAAACUUCUCAAUGGGCCUGCUCAAAGGCUUUGGACGCUUUGGCUCCAGAGAAUUCCCAACGGAGGCCACCAUAUUGUUCUGCAAGUUGCCUGACAGGAUUGAUUGAUAUUCACAGUGACCUCCAAGGUUUUUGGAAUGAUAAUUAGAAUCCUUAAGAGACUGUGAAUACAAAUAUGGGGUAGCAUAGGGCUCCGCUAGAUUGGAGGUUGGCAUGGCAUCCAGUCCCAUAAGCCUUGCAACAACUCCAGGUGCCCUUACUCCACCAAUGUCCUCAUCAGUCACUGAUGAAGCACAACUAUAAUCGCUACUUCCUUUUAUACUUGAUCCAGUUACAAAUUCAUCCUCAUCUAUCUGAAAAUUUCCAGACAAAAAGCAUAUACAGUUUAACGACAAUGUAUACUCCCAGCCAAGGGGAAAAAAGGAAGUAGUCAAUGAGAAAAUGUGCUCAAAGAAUGAUACUAGCAACAAAUCCAACAUUCAUAAAGUGAAAACAAAUAUACAUAAAAUGUUUGUGUUUCCCACCAGAUGAAACCGCGUCCUUGGUAAAUUUCCAUCACAUCUCUUUUUCUGUUUCGAUAGCUCUACGAGACAAGCAACAAACAAAAACAUUUACUCAAAAUCAUUGAAAACAAGGAUAAGCAUGGCUAAACCUACAAAAAGCAUAUCAAUUUCACAAAUCAAUGUAGUGAAUUGGUAAGUAUAUGAAUGAAUUUACCAGGUAUACUAGACUUGCUUGAGAACAAUUUCUUUCGUGAUUUUGCAUUCCAAUCAAAUAGAUGUAGCAACCCACCAACAUAGCCACCUCCACUCUUUGAACCAUGUUUUUCAGCCCCCAUCUUCACUUGCAGAUAUCAAGUACGGUUCACCAAUGACAAACUAAAGAAACAAGUGUUAAGCCAAACAUUAUUUUGAUGGCAAAAGUCCAAUCUGCAAAAGUUAGACUUCAAGUUAAUUUACCUUGCAACAAUUUUAUAUCCUCAAAACAAGCUUCCAGACACCAAUUGAUAACAUGCUUUACCAGGUUGUUUAUGGUCAGUCUACAAUUGAGUGACGUUUAGCAUGGAAAAUCCCUGUUAUCACAAGACAAAGGGAAAUAGCAGCGAUACCUUAAUCAUAUGCUCUAAAAGGCCGACACUCGAGUCAUUUAAUCAUCUUGUCAUACAAGGACUGCUCGAUGACGAUACCACUGGGCUGUGUGAUUUUCUUUUCAAUGCAGCCAUUUCCCUGCAAAAGCUAGUCAGUUUCAUGCCCCAAUUCUACCCAAUAACAGCUGUAAUUUAAAGAAAUACCACUAUGUGGAGAUUAACAGAAAAAUGCAUCCGCUGUAAUUUUGAAUUUCUCGUUUUCCAAAUUCGGGUCUCCAAAAGAAAGAUCAUCCGGGUCUUUUCUAACUAUUUGUACUAUAAUAAGCGUACCUUUGGAAUUCACAACAAAACUGAAGAAAAGAAAAUUCAAAUGCCAACAUAGUUUUACCUAACCUGCAAACUAAACAAAACAAGUCAACUUGGUUUCGCACCACUUCCAUUCUUAGCACAUGCUACUUCAAUUAUGCCCAGCUUAGCACACUUCCAUUUAACUAAGAGUAAUAUCUAAGCCAAAAAUUCGAUCUUUAUCACGAAAAAACUACAUGCUUCUACUUGUAUAAAAGUUUCGAUGUUUUUCCUACCACAUUUCCCUAUUAACGUUUGCUGAACAACCAAAUAAAAAUUAACCACCAUCACCAAAUCAAUCUACGACUAUGCAUCAAUCCAGAAACAACUUGAACCACACAAAUCACGGGACUCGAGCAAGAAUAGUAAUCUACGCAGACAUGAAGAUAAAUCAGACAUCAGCACUGAGACCGCACCAAAAAAAAAAAAAAAAGAACCCUGAUGUUGAUUUCAGUCAAAAAAACAUGCCAAAGCCAAACAAACUUACAUGACCAGAGGACAAUUCCAGAUCUUCAAGCCUUUUCAACCACAAAAAAGAUUUCUGCACUUCAAAGCCAUGUAUGUGAAGACAUAUUCAAAGUGAUGCUGGAGGGGAAAGAGAAAUGAGAAGGAGAAGGUUUUUAGAGCUGUUUUUCUCAGUCGUCGAGUAGUCAUAUCAUACUCCGAAAGCAUUAAAUGAAGGAGACAGAAAAUGAAUUUAAGGAAACAAUAAAAGGUGUUUUUUUUUUUCGAAACAACAAUAAUGAUUUUUUAAACAGAUAAUUGUUUUUAAACUGCAGAAAAGGUUAAAAAGGAGGUAACGUCUACUUUUUAGAGAGGGAGAGAUUUCAAAUUACAAAUAUGGUGAGGUGGGCCAAUAAAUAUCACUAACUGGAUUGGCAUUGGAUUUUGGCGUCGAAGCCGGUGGAGGUCCGAUUACUCCUGAGGCGGUCAAGCAGAGGGUAAAUGGUUUCCUUGUGCACCGAGAUAAAGUAAAUGAGCUAGGUGCGUAAUUUUUUUUCUUUUUCUUUUUUGGUCUAACCGCCAACCGUCUAUUUCUACAUUUACACUGCGGGAGAAGUGGAAGUCCAAAGGAGGCCCAAAUAAGAGCACCAUGUCACCCAACCCACAUAUUUUCCCCUUUGAUGAGUUGAGCUUGACAUGUAUAAGUUCGAUAAAAUAAUUAAGGUCACGUUUGAAUUGCAUUUUUUUGAAUUUUUUGUAAAAAAAAAUUAUUAUAGCAAUUUAAUAUAUACGAGGUGAUUAGAAAAUGCAUUCACGAUUUGAAAAAUUGCUUUCCAAAGAAGUUCUAAAUUUUUCUAGAUUUGAGCUCCAAUGCCUCCGAGGCUAGCUAAUGAAUUUAUUAUAUGCAUACGUCUCUUGAAAAUAUUUGAUUCUGUAUAUUAUUGUAUUUCAUUUCAUUGCAUAUUUUUAGUCAUACACACAACAAUUACAUGUAUAUGAAUUUGUUAGAUUUAGGAAUCAAAUCUUAUUUCCUUAGGAGUAAUUUAAGCUUUUAACAAUAGCAUAUGUUUCUGGCAUAAGCAAUUACAGGGGGAAUUUGAACAGCUUGUGCUAAUUGUACCCUUUUCAAAAAAAAAAAGAAAAAAAAAGAAGAACACAAAAUGGGGAAAUUGAUCUAACUUUAGGGGGAAAUGAAGAAAAUUGAAAUCAACCCAGAUAAAAAAAAAACUAUGAAUUUAAACCUUUCAUGGUGAAUUAAUCAUGCAAUGUAAGUAAUAUGUUUGAAGGAUUGAAGUAUAUGUUGCACUAGACACGAGAAGCUCCUAGCCAAAUACUCAAGUAACUAAACUUUACUUUUAACUACGUACCCAAGUGACUUGAAUUUGGUCAAAGGGAACUGGAUUUGGCGUUUGUGAAGGCGAUCUUCUUUGGGGUAAUUCGUCUCACACUUGCAGCCAUAGGUUUGCCAUAACGUCUUUGCUUUAAAGUACUUUGCUAAACUUAAGAAUGGACAGAACGAUUCUAUCUUACCAAUUUUGAUGGAGAAUUGCAGCAAGACAAGAACAUUAACUACUAGCUCGAGUCGAAGAAAGUUUCCCUUAUCAUCGAUCAUUUGGGGAACAUGUUUAGUUUUGCAUUUAAUUUCUCGACCAGCAUCAGCUUCACUGCUUGCACGGUCUACUUGCAGUAGAAUGAAUCCACAAGGAGUGAAAGCCAAAAAGAAUGUAACAAGGAUUCUCGUUGUUGGUGUGUUUUUGGAGCUAAAAGUAUGUAUAAUAAAUGAGUUAGUUUAGCGAACAAAUGCUCGUGGGACACUCGUUAAAAGGGGUUCGUUCUUUCUUUCAGAUGUUAAUUUUUUAGCAAAAGUUUAGAAAAGUAACCAUGUUCGAUAGUGUAAUAAACAUGAAUUUAUGCAUUCAUUUACACCACUAGGGUGCACUUGGUUCAUCCAAAAAAAAAAAAUUAAUAAUGAGAGGGAAUUAUCUAUUCUCAGACAUUUAUCUUGGAUUGAGUCAUAAUCUUGUAUUGUAUUUAUUUGGUUUGGUUGUAGAUAAAAUAAGUGAGGACUACUUAUUUAUACAUCAAAACACCACCUUUGGCAAGGAUGAGGUGGGAUUACUUAUUUAUACACCAGUAUACCCUCUUUGGCAGACUUCUAAUUAGAAACAUGAAUCAGGUAGUAGUAACAAGUCCAUAAUAACAACAUACGCUUAUAAUUAAUAGAUAUCAAAGGAUCAACCAAUACAAAUUGAGAAGAAAAAUAAAAACAAAAAAUAUACAAGAGAUUGAUGUAUGAUACAAAUAUUGACCAUAGGAAAAGGGAAGAAAUAAAAGACCUCUUCCAACAGGGUUGACAAACAAUUAAUUCGAUCAAUAUCCAUGCACGAAAUAGCUAUACUUGUUCUUCAUCCAACGAAAAGUUUUACGUACUGAAGCCUUGAUCUUCCCUUCAACAGCGUAUGCUUUGUAGGACGCAAUCCGUUGCUUCCUCUUAACUUCUGAAUCUUUCCCACGUUGCCAAGACGAUUUUGCAUUGGAAGAGGCGGGGGUUGAUGAUGUUGUAAGCCUAGUGUUACGCGACGUCGUAUCUGAUCCGCCAUAACAAGAAGAAGAAGAAGAAGAAGAAUCUGGGAUGCGAUACAUGGGAUUUGCAACUACAUUGGUAUGGUUUGAAAGCUUGGCAGCCCGGAUUGGCUGAAACCUAUGGUCAAGGGUUAAGGACCAGUGGGACGAGGCCAUUGUUUCCUUCAUUUCUCCUCCUUGAAUUGAUUCAGGACACGUCGUGUUAUGGCUGUGGUAGGGGAGAAAGAUAGGAGGCAAAAGUGCUGCCCUUUGGACUAGGCUUCAUUUUAUAGAAACAAUAACAUUGAAGCAGGCAAAAUCAGGGUGCUGCUGAAUCCAUGGGUCUUUGUGUGUUGUCCGAGCCAUCAUUUUGGCAUUACCACCCCAACCCCCCCCCACCACCCCCCCCCCCCCCCCCCAAAACAACAAAAAAAGGUAAAAAAAAAUAAUCUGCGGGCUUUUCUCUGAGAGACAGUGGACGACCUCAAACUUCUCAUUAUCCAUCAACCUUUUAUUUCUUUGCAUUCUCUCAAAAUUGUUUUUAUCUAUGAUGAAGAUUACAGCAACAACAUUUUUUUCCUAGAAAUAACAUCGAAAUUAAUUUGUCAAAUUUUAUUGUCGAUCGAUGGAGUUCUUAAAAAAAUAUACAGUUUAAUCAUUUAUGACAUGUCAUGGUAAUGCAGCAUUAAUGCCUAUUUGGGAGAGGGCUUAGGCACUUUUUUUUUCUUUUUUUUCUAUUGUUUCAGAAUUUAGUCCUCAAAGUUUAGAAAUGGGACGAAAUUUCUUCUUCUUCUAGAUAUAGGAUCAUGGAAGCAAAUUAGUCCAGCACACUAUUGAUUGUAGAUACAAAUUUUAAUUGAGUAUAUUGUCGGUAAGGUAGAUAGAUACAUUAAUAGGGUUAGACACAAAUUUUGAACUUUAAAUUCAAAUUAUGAUUUGUUAACGUGCAUCUAAACUUAAACAAUGCAUAUGUAUGAUUAGUUAAAAUUCCUUGUCCUCUUAAUGAUGCAUCAUGCAUUAAUUCGUUAAUGCUUUGAUUGAUAUAAUUUUUCCACACAUUUUAUGACAGUUUUUCUCAUAAAAUCCAUUCUCCUUGGGAGUGAAUCUUAUAUAAUUUCCGAAAAUUCCAGAAAUUAAUUCCAGAAGUGCUAAGUAAGGAAUGUUUCCAUAGUGAAAUUCAGAAUUUUUGCCACAGCAAGACAGGCAUCUGAAUUGUCAAAUAAUGACCCCAAAAGUAACUAUAGCUACAAUGGUUGAAAAGGAUGUUACACUCGCUAAGUCAUUAUUUAGCUCAUUAAUUGUUCUUAUCCUUGUCCAUCCAGCUGAAAAAACCAAGGACAAUUCUACUUUCUUUACAAAGCUUUUAGAUAUGAAGAGGAGAAGGGAGAAGAAAAUUUAGCUCUCGUUAGGAGAUAUGAAAAUAAUGUCCUUGACAAUUGGAUCCUGCCACGAGAUUUAGAGGUUAGUUCCACGGCGUCAAGAGCACAGAAUAGAGAUAAUUCUACCGAUCUCCUGUUGGUGCUAGUUAUAGAUGGAGAUCAACGUCCACUUCAUCAUUGAUCUCAGACACUGAUGAAGAUUUUGAGGAUCUUACAGUAGCGCGUUGGAGAUGGUUAACCUCCGCUUGCUCUGAUCUUCCAACGUAAUUAGUUGCACAAGGAUAUCUAAUAGGUAUCCCAGAUAGCACCUGAGGUGGGUGUGCGAAGCUGUACUGAUGAGCAGCCGACGACCCUAAGUGUGGGGCGAUGUAUGGACCGAUGCUUGUAGCACAAGGCGGUGCUGUGGAAUACAAGAAAGGUCCCGAUCGAGCUGCAUGUUGAUUGAUCAUAGUGUCAUGACUAGCACUAGCGUCUCCAAAUUUUGGAAGAUAUUGAUCAUUAAUGAACUGCACUCUUUUUAGUCUUUGCCUCUCCUUCUUGUGUGCAUUCUGAUGCCCACCUAAAGCUUGCGAAUUUGCAAACUGGCGGUGGCAGUAUUGGCACUCGAAUCUUUUGCUGUCUGCAUUCUGGUGUGCCCCAAGGGCGCUUCUGCCCCAUUGGGUGACAGGAAAACCAAAUAGCUUCACUACUGAUGGUGAAGCUGUGAGACUCAAAUCUAAGGCUUCAGUAGGAUCUGCGGUUGAUGCUGAGCUGCUUUGGUUUGAGCUCUCAGCCAUUUGUGCAUAGUAUCCUAUUGCAUGGAUAAUAGAUUCCAGAAUCGUCUUCACAAGAUGAAGGAUAAUUCUUUGGUGUGUAGCAUAUAUAGAAGACUAGCUCUUUACUUGGGAAUCUGGAACCAUGGUUUUUGAUUUUGGAUUGAUAGACGGACACUCAAUCUGAACAAAAGGUAAAGCACAAAAUAAAGUCAUACUUGGAGGUACAGUAUUGCUUUGCCGUUGCAUCUUGUACAAUUUUGCACAUUAGUAACAGUGGGUCAUGUCAAAGCCAAAACUUGUAAACUAGAUCGCAGAUAGGUUUAAAACUGGAUCUUUCACUUUAACCUUUAUUACUGUUUCUCGCUGUUUCAAGGUAUAAGACUUCCUUGUUUACCGAAGUGUUUUUCAUUCACUUGCCAGCCAAAAAUAUAUACUGAUCAAUGAACAGAGAGAGAAAAGGAAAAGAAAAUGUAUAGGCCAUGAAUUUAAUUACCCAGUAGGAAACAGGCGUACUAGAUUAAUCAGCAGAUUCCCCAUGUGUUCUGUCUUUAUACAUGGAAGUGCUAUAACAGGGGCCAACCUGCACUAACCCCAUCUAUCUGGUGGAGAUGGCCAAAUCUUUCGAAAUCAAUUCUAAAUAUGAUGUUUUGUCUGUUUUCCUCUAGCUCAACCUAGAUAUAUAGCUAUGAUAAACCCAAAAGUGCCUAAGGACGCUCCAAAAAGUACUGUUGUAACACACGCCAGAUAUGCUAUGAAUGCGCUUCAAGAUAUAUUAUUACUAAGAAAAUGGACUAGGAAAUUAUCCUCAAUUCCACACCAUGCAUUUCUUUCUAUCGUAUCGUUGAUAACCACCGCUCACCUUGCGGGAUGUGUAGAUGUCAAAAUUUUCUUUUUUCGGCAUGGAAAAGGCAAUUGAGCUCUUACUAAUCUUGCCAUGCACGAGCACACAGUUUUGUAGUGUUUGCCUCUAGGAAUUUAGGAUUGCACAAGUGACUGGCAGGAGAUUUUGGCUAAUGAAAUUGCAGUUAGCAAAUGUCAUCAGGUGUUGAAUUCAUAUUAAUGCUGCUGCGUCUAUAUGAAUACUGAACUGUGCUGCUUUGCAGUGUUAGACAGAGUUAAAUCAUCAAAUGUAUUCAUGAAUAUCAUUUCAUCUUUUCUUGAACUCAAGAAUGCAGCACCAGACUUGUUCCCAAGUAACUUGCACGGCUUUGGAUCUGUGGAUGCAUAUGGAGCUCCUCAGAGAAGUGAGCUUCUAACAUGUGAAUGGGGUCGGCAUGUGUGCCACUGUCGUUUAGGAAAGGCAGAAAAGAGAAUUCUGCUUUCUGAUGGGCUGAAUAUCCAAGUCUUGAUACGUUGUUUUCUUUUCUUUGUUCUUAACUUUUUAGUGUUUGAAGUUUCAAGUACAAAUAAUUCUGAGUUGUAUGGCUUUUUCAUGUUAUCUCCAAGUUACUCCUACAGCUUUACCACUUUGAUCAUUGAGCACCCAAGUUGUCCCACUAAGUUUGGAUUCAGAAUUUUUAGUAGGAUAUGUCUUUAUAUCUUGUCCAUUUGAUAGAGGAUCCAGCAGGUCUAGACAACACUGACACUUCUUGCUUCUACUUGACACAACACAAUAGUGAGACACAGGCUGGUGGUAGAGGCCUCAUCCGAGGAAUGGCAAAAGCAGACAUGACCAAAAUGGUUGACGAACCUAGGCCGUUGGUUUUUUGUGCUUCAAUUCCUAUCUCCUGUUCUUUCAAUUCUCAAGUGAAAAAAUGGAAACAUGCAAUCCUCUUCAUAUCUUCAACAUCACAUCACAGUCCUCCUUUGCCAUUUACCAAUGUCCGAGAAGCCUGAUUUCACGUGGAGUCUUCCAAAUUAUUCCAUUCUGCUUGGAAUAAUUUGCUUCCAAAUCCGUAUUAUAUAUAGCCCAAUGCAAUUCUAACUCGUACUUGAAUUUUAUACAGUUCCAUAAACAAUAUAUAUAUAUAUAUAUAUAUAUAUAUAUAGGGUCUAUCUAUCUGACGAGUGCUCGUGAAGUAGUUCGACUUUUAAAUUUUUUUUUUAAGAAAAGUAUUAGUUAAUUACAAGAGAGGCAGGCAUAUAAAUGCAAGAAAGAAUAAUAAUUAUUAAUAUGUGAAUUCACGCGAUGAGUUUGAUAUUGUUUAUGUGCGUUAACGAGUGUCUAAUGAGCACCAAACCCAAUUACUCCAUGAUGGAUGGAUUAUGCAUGUUACAGUGCAAGUCGAUGAGAUUCCAGUUCCUCUAACAUGGCACCAUUUAUGGGAGAAGACAAGAUUAGUGUUGACAUUCCAGAGACUCCAGAAAGAUAGUGUACAUAGGAGACCAAACUGUAAGAAAAUUAAAAGACAAAGUUUCUUCCAGUCGAAUUCGACUAGUUUAACUAAAAGGAGCACAGCGAGAUUAAUUAGUCAUCAAUCAAACAUGAGUGACUAUCACAACUAAUUAAUCAAAGCUUGUGACUGAUGAUACAGAAAAGCACAUGUUAGCUUGCGGAUCGAGUGUACAAAAUCUCAAUGGGUUAGAUUAUGAAUAUGUGAGUUUAAAAAGGUGAAUAUCGCCGUCAUGAUCUAUAUAUGUUCGUCGUCCUUGGAGAUGAGUCGGGUUUGUACAUGGAGUUUAGUCCGAAUAUUCUUUUUAAGCAUUCUAAACACAGAUUAGACUCGUAGCGUAACAUCACAAGAUUGCAGAAUCAAGAAACUGGUCCACCAUCGCCCCAGUGUCCCCCGUCACUUGAGGCUUUGCAGGAAAUGCAACAUGCUAUGGAAGAAAAAAAAGAAAAGAAAAAGAAGAUUAGAGUCCAAAUUAAAUUCGGGGUUGUUGCGUUUGUUUAACUAAUUUCCUGAGGUCAGCCUUUGAUCAAUGAAGUUGCACCUCCAUCCAAAAAAUCCAUCAAUGCUUUAAUUUGCAAAAUUUUCUGAAUGAUAAUCACCACGAAUUAUUAGGGUCGGUUGAGAGUUAUAUUCUCAAGAAUUCCAAAAUCUACACUACCACUUUUUUGGAGGUUUUCUUUAAAAAUAGACCCUUUGAGAUGAUAUGUAGUUCUGCACCAUUUGAGGUACCCUUUAGAUUAAUGUUCAUCCGGAGAAUUGAGGACUGUGUACUAGAAUUGAAGCUGCUUUUGGCGAGCCCCUCCGGUUUUGGUUUCACAUUUCAUCUUCCCUUUUGCUUGCCAAGUUGAACCUUUUCGUUUUUUUUGUUUUUUGUUUUUUUUUUUUUUUAAUGAUAGGUUUUUUUUUUUUUUUUUACGGAGUGGGUGUCCGGGUCAAUCCUUACGGGUCCGACUAAUCCCACUCCGAUCCGGGAAGAGAGAUCACAUUCUUCCGAACACGAUAACUACAGGACUCGGACCCUUGCGGGCAUUGGACAUCAGCUCCUAAGAGGCUUGUUGAGACCGACCAAGUUACCCAUGAAGGGCAGACAAUUUGGUGGGAGACAAGGGUUGACCCCUGACCCCCUUGUCUCCCACCCCACCAGGAUAGGUUUUUAUUAAUGAAGAGCUAAACUAUAUAAUUCUUGAGGAAAAACUCAUAUUGAACUUUACAAUCGUGUAUUAUAACACGGAGGGAUCCAGCAUUCCUCAUUUUGUGUUAAGCCAGCAGCAUAUUUGCUGAGCAUUCUAUUUCUUAUUCUACUCUCAUUUGAGGACAAAAUAGAUCAACAUUUCAAAAACAAUGGAUGUUCUCCAGUUGAGCAAAAAGUCUCACUAGCUGCUUACCACCCGCUCUUUUUGGUAUUUUAAAAUUUUGAGAGGCCUUGCUUCCCCGUCUCGCCCAUCGGCCCGGGUGUUAUUCGGGCUUAGCCUGUUGCCAACCACAGCGGAACCUCAGUCAGCCAUGCGCACCAUUGCCCUCCUUUGCCUGUUGCAAGCCAGAAUUCCAUUUAGGCAGGAGCCCACUUUCUCUGGGCCUCGGAAUGCAGUCCCAGGAGGAAAAAAAAUGCUAAAAAGGUAGUGUCAAGAUCUUUCAAUUGUUGUAUCAAUUAAAAAAAAUUUUUUUUCUGUUGGGAUAGGAAAACAUAAUCAAAUGAACAAACUUGGACGAGGAAUGAGCUGGAUGGCAGGGAAAAAAAAGUGUAAAUGAGAUGUUUCGAGUUCAAACCUUCCACUUCAAUUGCUUUUGGCUAUGUGAAAACUAAUUUUAGAAAAUUAGAAUUAAAAAGAAAAAAAAAACCAAAACAGACGCUUUGAUUUCCAAUCUUUUUGGGCCUAAAAUCUAAAAUCAAAUUAUAAAAAAUAAUUGAGAACACAACAAAAUAAUUAUUUAAAUUUCAGAAUCUAAAUCAGAAUUUGAAAAUCAAAAUGAAAACGUCUGCAACAAUCAUCCAGGGCAAACCCCUCUAAAAUCAUCAAUUACAAAUUUACCAAGCUAGAACAAGGGAGUAUCCGAAUGCAAAAGAAAUUCUUCUGCUUGUUGUACUCCCGAGAGGAUAAUUUGAAGCUAAUAUUUGACUAGUAAAUAUUCAAUGAAUCUAGGGGAGAAGCAGGAAGGCAAAACAAGGGCCAGACCACCGGUUCCUGGAGAUUAGCUGCAGUAAUGGCAAGAGCCAAAGAUGCUUGCUAGUAUUUGUUUUCCUUUAUUCUUGAUGCCAAUAAUAUAUUACUAGUAUUUUCUUGAUGACUAUGUAUAUGCGAGUAGUAACUAGCAAGACUAGAAGACCAAAAUAAAAUAUGCAAUGAAUUGUCCACCUUGAUGGUGGUAUAUUAAUUAAUCAGAUAGGCACUGUCGAGGAUUGCCUUUCGAAUUACAAAAAGGUUUAACUUUGGAAUGUCCAAAAUGGCAGUCGGUAGUGUGUUUUUCGGUUCCAAGCAUCGCAAUCCCCUUUAUCUAAUAUCAGCAAAAACAACUUUUCAAGACAGGAUUAGGCGAGCAUAUUAAAAGCUAAAUCAACUUCAAGAACCCGCGUGUGAAAACUUGAGCAUAAAGCCCAGUAAAGAACAAAUGGAAUCUCUGCCCUUUAAGCAACCUUUGUUCCAAGCAAUUCUCGACUGUGCAUCUUUUUCUUCUGUACCACCAAGAUAUAUCCCUGAUUCUAUACGUUGCAUCUGCAUUCUUGAGACACUGUAUAAUUGCAGACAAUACCUCCCCCUUGCUGGUUGCAGUGCAUGCACCGCAGCAUUAAUGGCGGUGACACAUGCUGAUCUUGCACCGAGUCCUCCAAGCUCAGACUUGGGUAGCAAAACGGGUGCAUUUCUUAUGGUCAUGUCCGUCUUCUUUGGACUACUUUGCUUCAUUCUCUGCCUCCUAGCCGAAGCAACUCGCUCUCAGGUAUUGUUCAAUUUCUAUCUUAACGUAUUCUUUUCACAGCUCCAUUCUCACGAAAUAGAAUAUAAACAAUUCAAACGAGCCCCUUGAGUUUCGUUGGCGCGUCCAUGUCACAGGAUUUUUUGUUGUUUAAUUUGGGGACCCAUUAAUGAGAUUGUUCAAUAAUUAAGCAGGUGAUACGGAUGAAGCCGGCUGGUCUGUGUGUGUAUUCCGGUAGCGGAAAGCUACCUUUGUUAUGUGCAGCGGGUGCAUUUUUUGCUCUGGCAAUUGCCAUGGUGGUACAACAUACAUUCUUGUUGAUUGCAGUGAGCAAAUCAACCACUUUACCCUUAAUUAAUUGGGACCCUGAUUCUGAUUCCUUCAAGGCUCUUACAUGGCAAGCCGGUUCUUUCUUCGUAGCAACCUGGUAUGACGGUUUCUUCAAUUUUCUCCUCCCUCCGUUCCCAAUAUUUUCAAUUUCAAAGCAUUAAAAAUGGUGCCACACGUACGUUGGUAGGCGACAUGUUCCCCACUUUACAAAGAAAGUCACAAAUUAAUGCAUUAAUUUGUUCGAUAGUAGAAUACAGUACGCGUCCCUUGUACCAUUAAUUUUGAAGAGGAAAGAAAAUUAGAGAAGGUACGUACGUAGCAAAACAUCAAGAACUCUAUUCCACCAUCAUGGCAGGAUAUCAUUUGCAGUUGGGGAGAUUCUGUUAUUAAUAGGGCUGAGCGUCGAGUCGGGGCACCUGAGAAACUGGGGAAUACCGAGGCCGAGCUGCCUUACCAUUGGAGAAGGGCUGUUCACAGCCGCGGGAGUUUUUGGACUCGUGACGGUCUUCCUUGCUGCUGGUCUCUACAUUACUGCAUUGCGUGCACAAAAGCUCGCGGAGGACGAAGAAAUUGUGAGGCGCGAGGUCUUGGAGGCCUCUGAACUCUAUGCGACCCCGCCCAGGUCACCUAGACGCGUUAUCAGGGCUGUUGCAAAUGAAAAUACCGUCGCGAGACAUGAUCGGAACCAGCAUUCUCUGGCGGAUUACUUGACAGAGUUUGAGAAGUACUCCAAUCUAAUGUAGGGAUGGAAGGAGCGACGGAAACACAUCAUUGCCUUUCCAACUUCAAUUGUACAUGAAACACAUGGCCACUGAAGGAACCAAUGUACCAAACAAUCUUUGAACAAAGGCACUCGGUUUGUCGAUUGUUGUAUGCUUGUAAUUAUCCUUGAGAGAAGUUUCUUGAAUGUUUGUACAAAAGAAAAGGUAGAUUAGAAUUUAGAAUGUUUAAAACCCCUACCGAUUGGGGCUUUUCAUUGUUCUUCCUUUCAUUGUUUUCUAGUCUGGACAGAACACGAAAUGGAAAAGGAGCAUUAUAACACCAGCUAAGUUUUCUCUGGGCUGGACAGAACAUGGAAAGGAAAAGGAACAUUACACCGGCGAAGCUUAUCGGUAACUAUAGAUAAAUAAAGGGUGAAUAGAGUGACUGUGUUAAAUCAUAGGGUGUGUUUGGAUUCCACAUUAUUUCCAUCUUAUUUCUACGUCAUCAACACAUUUUUCAAUCACCAUUUUAUCUCACAUACAUCAUAUCAAAUUUUAUCUCAAAUAAUUUACUAUUCAAAAUUUUUUUAAGUGAUCACUUUCAUUAUACAUAUCCCGGCCUCUGUCGUCCGAUUGGAAAAAUGACAGUAGUGUGAAAUAAAAAAGAGAGAGUGAGAGAGAGAAAAUAAUAAUAAUACAAUUGCAUUAAUUAGCUAAUUCCACUAGCCUUUUGAGUCAACCAAUCUGUUGAGAAUUGAAAAAUUAAUCGUGCAAUAUUUAACCUGUUUGGCACUUGAUUUUUUGGCCAAGUUUGUCUGCUAUAAGUUUUUUAAAAAUUUUAGCUACAGUAAUCUUAAAAAAUUUUAAACUAUACACUUCAAAAUAAUAAAAAUUUUAAGCAUUUCAAAAAUUUUUUAAAAUACUUAUACAGUAAAAUUUUAGACAAACACCUAAACAAAAAUUACUUGCCAAAUGGGCCCAUUGUAUUCUUUAAGUUUCGUUCGCAAACUUGGUACGUCAUUAUUAACAGCCAUUUUCUGUUUGAUUGUCCAAAAAAAAAAAACACCCAUUUAAUGUUUAAAGAAAUCAAGAAAUAUACGAGCAACUUUACAAAAGGUAAAUAAAUAGAAUAAGAUUAUUGUGGAAAGUCAGUCCUCCCCAAAAAAAUAAAUAAAUAAACACAGCCCAGCCCAGAAUGCAGAGCCCAAGAUUAAUGUGGAAAAUGAGUCCUCCAAUAGUCCGAACCCUUCCCCGCUCUCUCUUUCUUCUUCUGUGAGACUGUUAUUCUCUCACUCUGUCUCUCUCUCACACACUCCCACACUCUCUCUCACACGCGUGUCAGGUACAGACCUUUACGCGCAGACGAUGAAUUAUUUCAAUCACCGCCCUUUAAUCUUUCAUACAAUUUCUGCAUCUCCUUUACUUUUUCUUAAUUGAAGUGAUGUAUUAUAUUAAUUUCGGAAAAUUUUUUUGGUUGGGUUUUGAUUAGAGUAAAGGAAAUCAAGCACAGUAGAAACGAUGUCGUUGAGGCCGACCGAGAGAACGGAGGUUCGGAGGAACCGGUACAAGGUGGCGGUCGAUGCGGAAGAAGGACGGCGGAGGAGGGAGGAUCAAAUGGUGGAGAUCCGAAAGAGUAAGCGUGAGGAGAGUCUUCUUAAGAAGCGUCGCGAAGGCCUCCAGAUGCCUUUCCCUGCCGUCGUUCCCUCCAAUAACAUCGAGAAAAAGGUCUUUAUUUUUCAUCCCAACUAAUCUGAGUGAUUAUGCACGCGUAAUUUGAUUAAUUAAUCGACUUGAAAUUGUGUGAUCUGAUUAUGGCAAGACUGUGAGUAGGUAUCUUGUAUCUUUGAUCACUUUUCUGCUUUUGAUUUUCACCAUUUUUCCAAGCAGUAAUUAAUAGUGGCAACACAAAUUGUGAAGAUAUUUGUUCUGACUUUGGCAAGCAUGUCAAUUAACUUUUUAUGCAGAAGUUAUAGUGUUUUGAGGUUUGCUGUAAAGCCCCUAACCUGUCAUCAUUUCCUCGGUUUUUCUGUAAUUACCUGCAUUGUUUUUUCAUUUUUUCUGCAUUGAUUGAUUGUGUAAAUCCUGCUAGCUGUUUGUUUAUGAGCACAGCUUGGUUAGUGAUUCUGUCUUUUAUAGGCCUGUUUCGGUUAAGUGGGAUUUUUUUUUUUUUUUUUAAAAGCUCUUGAGUGUUUUUAUUCAAUGUGAUGUUGAGAGUUUACUUGUUGUGCUGCAGUUGGAGAGCCUCCCUUCCAUGGUAAAUGGAGUUUAUUCGCAUGAUAACAAUUUGCAGUUGGAGGCAACCACACAAUUUCGUAAACUACUUUCAAUAGGUAUGAUUGUGUUCCUUAUUGAAUGCUUAUUGUUGUUUGUUCAUUAUCAUAGCUCAUUUUAUUUCUGAAAAUUUAAUUACAGAACGAAGCCCUCCUAUUGAGGAAGUCAUACAGUCUGGAGUUGUUCCUCGCUUUGUUGAGUUCCUUGUGAGGGAGGAUUUCCCACAACUCCAGGUUUUGCAUAGUAUCUGUUUCUUUCACGGUGAUUGUGUGAUUGGAGCUGAAUUUUUCUUAUCUUAGUUAUUUAUUUAUCUAUAUUAUUUAGUUUGAGGCUGCUUGGGCUCUUACAAACAUUGCUUCUGGAACUUCGGAGAACACCAAAGUGGUGAUUGAUCACGGGGCUGUACCCAUUUUUGUCAAGCUUUUGGGAUCUCCAAGUGAAGAUGUUCGCGAGCAGGUAAUACAUUGAAGCCAGUUUUAAGCAAGGCAUUAUUUAGCUGCACCAGUUGUUGGCUAGGGAAGGUGUAAUGAUUCCUAGACUCUUAAUUCCGAUGUUUAGAGAGGUCAUUUGCUUUUAGGGAAUCUUACACAAAGGGUUGGCAUGUUAAAACAAGGAAAGAAUAAGCAAAUUGAUGAUUUAAAGAAUAUCAAAAGAGGUGAGAAAAGUUAGGUUGUGAGUGAAUAUCGGAGGUGAGAAAAAGCAUGUAUUUUUCUCUCUUAAAUUUAGAAGGUUUUAAUAGAGCCUGCACUCCUUUCUUAAAAUUAGAUUCUGUUCAGCCAAUGUAUUUAACACUUCUGAGAAAUCUACUUCUACUUCCUAUUUUGUGUUGGACAUGCUAGGUACUGUUUUUUGGUGGCUCAACUUUUCUUUAGGAAUUAUGGAUGCUUAUUUUGUAAUUGUGGGUGGAUAACAUAGUGGUUGUGCAUAGCAUAAGAUUUAGAGGAUUUGCUGCUGCGAUAAGUUGUGGAAAAAUAAUAUUAUUGUGGUCCUUAAAUUUGUUAUUUAGUUUGGAUCAGAGUGAGGAAAGCCAAUUGAUGGUGCUUUGUUCUCAAUUCUUGUAGUUAUGCCAUUCUGAUAGGGGAAUGAUUAGAAGGUAAAAACAAACAAUAGGAACUGAGGUUUGAUAAAUUGGUCAUCACUUUCAUUUUUGAUUACUACCAACAAAGCAGAUCGCAAGUAAAAUGCUCGAUCAUUGUAUGGAGCCUUACUAGAAUUGUUAUGAAUUUGUAGGCAGUAUGGGCAUUGGGGAAUGUUGCUGGUGAUUCUCCUAGGUGUCGUGACCUUGUCCUUGGCCACGGAGCUUUAAUCCCUUUGUUAGCACAGCUGAAUGAGCAUGCCAAGCUUUCGAUGCUGCGAAAUGCUACUUGGACAUUGUCAAACUUCUGUCGGGGCAAACCACAACCUCCAUUUGAGCAGGUUCGCUGCAUAUUUGUGUUGUGGUUUUCUUCUCUUUUUGAUUUUUUUUCAAGUGGUUUUGAUUUUAGUCCAACAGUAUAAUAGCUCGAUGCUUCAAUUGUCAGGUGAGGCCAGCCCUCCCAGCACUUCAGCGUCUAGUUCAUUCAAGUGAUGAAGAAGUUCUAACUGAUGCAUGCUGGGCUCUCUCCUAUCUCUCUGAUGGUACAAAUGACAAAAUUCAAGCUGUGAUUGAGGCAGGUGUUUGUCCAAGACUUGUGGAGCUGCUUGUGUGAGUGUCAUUUUAAACAAUUUGCAUGUCGCUUAUCUUUGUUCUUUUCACUGAUUUCUGAAAUGCGUGGUUAAAAUAAAUCUGAUUGCUCAGGCAUCCAUCUCCUUCUGUGCUUAUUCCUGCACUUCGCACAGUUGGGAAUAUUGUUACAGGAGAUGACUAUCAGACUCAGGUUUGAUCUUUAACUUGGAUCAUUUGUAUUUUUAUUUUUCUUUUGAAAACUUUCUGCAGGAAUACUGAACCUUAAUAUCUGUUAGUAAUGCCUUUAAUCAUAAAGUGUUUUACUCGUCUUUUCUUUGCUGAAAUGUGGUCUACAAUACACUUGCCAUCUUGCUUCUCUUAUACUGAUUUGCUGUGACAUCUGGUUGCAUGAAUGCAUUACUAUGCUCUCAUCUUCCUUCCCCCCCCCCAAAACAACCCCCCCCCCCCAAAAAAAAAUCCCUUUUGGAUUUUGGAUGGUAGCGAGUUAUUUGCACAAUUUUACUUGCUUACAUCAUCAUAUCAUUUUCCAACCAUCUUUUUUAUCUCAUAUACAUCACAUAAUAAAGUGCUGCGGUAUUUUUUUCAAAAACUUAUCCCAAAUAAUCACUAUCCAAACACACUCUGUGUUAUCCUCUAUUGCAUGAACUAUUGGAAUUUGUAUAGAAUGGAAGUUUCUCUCCUUCCAUGAUUAGUGUUUUCAGUUGCUUUCGUGAUAGUAGGAACAAAUUCAUUAUGGUCAUUUGUCAAAUACUUCAUUUCAGCUUUCUCCCACCUUCCAAAAAUAAAAAUAUUACAUAAAAGAGAUGGAAUAGAAGACAGUGAAGGAUACCACAAUUAUAAGGUAUUUGGGGUUUUGACAUUUAGUCUUUGUUCCAGUGUAUAAUUGACCAUGGGGCGCUUCCUUGUUUGCUAAGCUUAUUGACUCAUAAUCAUAAAAAGAGCAUCAAGAAAGAAGCUUGCUGGACAAUUUCCAAUAUUACUGCUGGAAAUAAGGAACAGAUUCAGGUAUGGUCUUUUCUUCUGAAAUUUUGUCAUGCAUGAUGUCCUCCUCAUUUAUUCUUUGACCCCUCAAUGCACCCUACCCCAUCCACUGGAAGAAGGAAAACAUAUGAUUGUGACUUGAAUCAUUUACUUUUCUUGUGGUGUUUUGGUUCCAAUUAGGAUGUUUAUACACUUUGUAUGCUGUUUCCUUUUUUACUUUACCUCAACCUGUGUAUUUGUAUGUAAUGACAGGCUGUGAUUGAAGCUCAGUUAAUUGGCCCUUUGGUCAAUUUGCUUCAAACUGCUGAGUUUGACAUAAAAAAAGAGGCUGCUUGGGCUAUUUCAAAUGCUACCUCUGGUGGAACUCAUGAACAAAUCAAGUAUGUUUUGUUUCUCAUCGCCUUCCGUGUUCAGUGCAGAAUGCGUGGACGUGAAUUUUAUGUUUUGUGUCUUGUGUAGGUACUUGGUUUCUCAAGGCUGUAUAAAGCCAUUGUGUGAUCUCCUUGUGUGCCCAGAUCCAAGAAUCAUCGCUGUCUGUUUAGAAGGUCUUGAGAAUAUAUUGAAGGUUGGGGAAGUAGAAAAAAGCCUUGGCAACAGUGGAGAUGUUAAUUUCUAUGCUCAAUUGGUUGAUGAAGCUGAAGGCUUAGAAAAGAUUGAGAACUUGCAGAGCCAUGACAAUAAUGAAAUUUAUGAAAAAGCGGUCAAAAUACUAGAGACGUAUUGGUUGGAGGAGGAGGAUGAAACGUUGCCAGCUGGUGAUGGAGGCCAGCCUGGAUUCAACUUUGGAGGGAAUGAUAUGCAACUUCCACCUGGUGGAUUUAAAUUUGGCUGAAGGUAAAGAUUCAGAUGUGCAGAUCCAACUGUUCCCUGUUCCACAUGCAGCUUCCAUGUUCUGCAUGCGGCUUCUGACAUGCUAAACAUGAAGUUUUGUUUCUGGCUGAUUAAAUCAAAUCAAAUUUGUCAAUUUCCACCUUCGACUAUGGGAACCUUGAUAAUUCAGGCUCAACUGAAACCUUCUAUGAGAUAUAUUUAUUUCCUCAUCCUGGAGAUUUCAAUUGUUAUGCAAGUACUAUGGCUUCUUAUGCACCUUCUUAAUAACGGACAUAAAUUUGCAGGGUCAUUAGUUGGUGGAUACAACCUCAGAUUGAGGACAGCGUGUUUGUUGGCGUCAAGUCAAGGUCAGGUCGGGUCAGUUCAAGUUAGAGCACCUCACAGAGUCUGGCUGUUGUAUGGUUCAGUGUCGGUUGCCUUAAGGAGGUGCCAAGGCAGGUCUUUUGGUACUACGGUGGAGAAUAAGAAAGGGUGCGUGCUCACUGGUUGAUGGUAUGUUGGGCUUGGUUAAUUCCCCUGAUGGAGAAUGGCAUGGGGAAAAAUGAAGGGUUUGUGGACUCUUCAAAUGAGUUGUCAGAACACGGGGUUUUGUAUUUUGUCUUUUCAUGCCUUGUAAUUGAGUACAUGGUACCACAGAGUCGUCAAGUAUUGAUGGGUAGUUACCGAGUUCUGUAUGUAUUGAUCAUGAUUCGGGAUUGUUUUGUUGGUGUAUUGUAAGCAAGGGAAGAGAGAGACGAGAGUUCACAAUUCACUUGAUAUCCUAGUAUGGUAUGUUUACUAGUCAUUUGUUUGUAAGUAGGUGUUUUUUUUUUUUUUUUUUUUUGAUAAUUGUAAGUAGGUGUUGUCAUACAGCUUUUCAGUUUCUUGCAGACACGGUUGGUCUUCUAGAUUGUACUACAGUUUUGUUCCUCCCAGGCACUGAAAGUUCAAAGUUUUCGGAAUCGGCUUUGCUUUACAUUUUUUUUUUUUUUGGGAUACGAUGGACUUACAUUUAUUUACUUUAUAUUAGGGGAACGGAGGACCCAAAGAGAUCGAAAGAGAACUUGGAGAGGAUUGAGGCUGGAUUUUUAGAAUAUAGACAGAGAGAUUUGGUCUCUUGAUUUAUACUCAAGUACAGCUUUAAACUUCUUUUGGGGACCGACUAUAUUAGGAGUGGUUGCGUUACUAGAUAUCUUUGGAAUCCAUGAACAUGCACAUCUUUUUUUCGGGGAUGUGCUGAGCUGACUUUUUACCGGGCAAAUCCCAAAAUCAAAAUGGAAUGUGCAGCAUUCCACUGAAACGAAAUCAGGAGAGACGUUAUCAUUUAUGCCCACGGUUUGGUCAUACACUCAUUUUCCACUGCUCAAAAAAACCUCAAGAGUCAACCAUUCAGCAUUCCAGCCGCUAACCUUUUAAACGUAGGAAACUAAGGUGAAUCAGAAGGAGCAGUAAGGGCUGUAUUUGAAUGGUGUAACUUUAAGUGAACAAAUUGUAAUUGUUUAUUAAUUGUUUGUACAAUUUUUCCAUCAUAGAAGUGUAAUAUUUGGAAAUUAUUUAUGUGGAUUUCAUAUAUUCUCUCAAUCCCAUUUUGAUUGUCUUGAUUUUUUUUCCAUACAGUUUAAGAAAAAUUAAUUAACUUCGUUGAAAGAGUAAAUCUAGUCUACUUUUUUUUUUUUAAAUACACUUACAUUAUUAGCAGGAGUAUAACUAAUUAUUAUAUCUUUACAGUAAUUACAACAGCAAUACUAAUGAAAAGUUGCACCAUUCAAGACAUGAAAUGAGAACAAUUAUUGAAUAAGGUAUAUUAUACUCAUUAAUAACAAAGUAUAUUAAAUAAGGGUAUUUUAGAGAAAUUAAAAGUUACUAUAUUCUUUAAUUGGAAAAUAGACUAUAAAUUAGGGCGAAUGAAAAGGAAGAAUAACACUAUCAAAAUGAGAAAGGGAGAAUAUAAAAUAAUUGUGUCCCUGUCAUGAGGUUGUACAAGUCAUUAAAUAAUGAGUUACAAUUUACUGAAAAAUGUUACGAACAUGUUUAGGAAUAAUUGUAAUAAAAAAUUGUUCUUGCCCAUCUUGAAUUAAAAAAGAUUAAAUUUCACCUUGUCCAUCAGUUUUGAACUUCAUUGUCUCUCUUGAAUUGGCCCAAAUCUCCACUGCAAGAAUUCCAAGCCAUAGAGUUUUGUUAUGUUGUUUAUGUUUAGUCUUUUACUAGUUUUAUUUAUCCAAAAAAAGAAAAAAUUAUGAACACAAAGGGUUUGUUCUCAUUGAUUAUUUUAACUAACUAUAGAUUCUAAUUUUGGAUAACCAAUUUUUGUGACUUUUUGUUGUUUUUGUAUUCUAAUUAUAGAUUUUUUUAAUGGUCAAAAGGCUAAAACCUAUAAUCACUUAAAUAGUAAACACUGAAUUAUUCUCUUUUAUCAAUUUCUAUGAUCAGAUUCUGUAAAAUCUUAAAAUAAUGGACACCAAAGCUAAAUUCAAUUACGAACAUAAGAUCACAAAUUCAAUACUUUAGAAGACAAGAGAGGCCCCAGUGCAGCCCAGACUGCAGAACCCAGGCCCAAAUAAGUCCUCCCAUAAUCCAAAACCCUUCCCUUCUCUCUUUCUUCACCUGGUAGACUACUACAAUUCCCUCCCUCCCUCCCUCCCUCUCUCUCUCUCACUCCCCCACACUCUGUCACGCGCAUACGCGCAUACACUGAACAAUUUCAAUCACCGCUUUCUAAUAUUUCUUUUAAUUUGUGCAAUUCAUUUUUCCCCUUAAUUGGAGUGAUAUAAUCAUAUCAAUUUCGGAUUUGUUUUGUUAGAUUUUGAUUAGAGUGAAGGAAAUCAGCUUAGUGGGAACGAUGUCGUUGAGACCGACCGAGAGAACGGAGGUUCGCAGGAACCGAUACAAGGUUGCGGUCGAUGCUGAAGAAGGACGGCGGAGGAGGGAGGAUCAAAUGGUGGAGAUCCGAAAGAGUAAGCGGGAGGAGAAUCUUCUUAAGAAGCGUCGUGAAGGCCUUCAGAUGUCUCAACCCUUCCCUGCGCCCGUCCCCUCCAAUAACAUCGAGAAAAAGGUCUUAAUUGUUUUCCAAGUAAUCUGAGUAAUUAUUUAGACGUAAUUUGAUUAAUUGAUCCAUUUGAAAUUGUGCGAUCUGAUGUUGGCGAGAAUGUGAAUAGGUGUUUUGUAUUUAUGUAAACUUUUCUGCUUUUGAUUUUUCACCAUCUUUUUUUCAAUCAUCAAUUCAUAGUGGCAUCAUAAGUUACGAAGAAAAAAUUGGUUUCCAUUUGUUCUUAUCUUGGCAUGUAUAUGGAUCAACUACUUGUGCAGAAGCGUUAGUACUUGAGAUUUGGCUGUGAAGUCCCAAGCUCGUCACUAAUAAUAAUCUGGAUUGUUUUCUCGUUGUUUUUUACAUUGCGAUUCCUGUAUUUACUUGCUCAUGCUCUCUGUUUGUUUAUGAACACUGUUUGUUUUAUGUGCGAUUCUGUCUUUUAUAAGCCUGCUGCAGUUAAGUGGGAAUAGUCUGUUUUUGAGCUCUGAUUGUUUUUAUACGACAGUCCUUAGAGCUGACUUAUUUUGCUGCAGUUGGAGAGUCUCCCUUUGAUGGUGAAUGGAGUUUAUUCGAAUGAUAACAAUUUGCAGUUGGAGGCAACCACUCAAUUUCGUAAAUUGCUUUCAAUAGGUAUGAUUGUGUUCCUUAUUUAACGUGCAUUUUUUUAAUUAUCGUAGCUCAUCUUAUUUCUGAAAUUUUAAUUCCAGAAAGAAGCCCUCCCAUUGAGGAAGUUAUACAAUCUGGAGUUGUUCCUCGCUUUGUUGAGUUCCUUAUGAGGGAGGAUUUCCACCAGCUCCAGGUUUGAAGCUGAAGCUUUUUUGCAGGAUAUCUGUUUAUUCACUUUGUAAUUUUGUAAUUUGAGCUGUGUUUUGCUUAAUUAAUUUAUUAAUUUUGUUAGUUUGAGGCUGCUUGGGCACUUACGAACAUUGCAUCUGGAACUUCGGAGAACACCAAGGUGGUGAUUGAUCACGGGGCUGUACCCAUUUUUGUCAAGCUUUUGGGUUCUCCAAGUGAUGAUGUCCGUGAGCAGGUAAUGUGUAAUGUUGACCAGUUCUUUUAAGGCAUUAUUUGGCUGCGAGAAAUUUUGGUUAGGAAAGUGUUGUGUUUCCUAGACUCUUAAUUUUGUCAUUUUGAGAGGCAAUUUGCUUCUAGGGAAUCAUGGAAAAAUGUUUGGCAUUUUAAAUAAAGCAACGAAGGAAAUUGAUUAUUCAUUGAACUCCAAAAGCAGUGAGAAAAAUUAGGGAGGUGAAUGAAUAAAGGAGGAGUCCAUUGUCCUCUCUUGUGACUCGAGAAGUUCUAAGAGUGCGCGCACUGCUAUCUCAAGUUUACGUUGUGGUUCUUAAUUGUUGCUUGUUUCUAUUUAGACAAUGUCUUGUACACUUCCACAAAAUCUACUUCUUUCUAUCUGUGUUUCAACAUAUUUGGUAUUGUUUUUGGUGGCUCAGCCUUUCUUUUGUAUCAUGGAUGUUUAUUUUCCUAUUCUGUUCAUGUUAUGAUUCAUUUUCAUUGUGGGCGAAUGACUUUGCUGGUUGCACAUAACAUUAGACUUGGAGGAUUUGCUGCUGGUAAAAGAAUAAUUUUAUGGUCCUUAAGAUUGUUGUUUAGUUUGUGUCAGAGUGGGAAAAGGCAAUUGAUGGUCCUUAAGUAAUUGUUUUUAGUUCUUGUAGUUAUGCUGUAUUGAUGAGGGAAUGGUUAAUAGGUAAAAACAGACAAUAGGAAUUGAGGUUGAUAAAUCAUUCAUUAGUGUCCUUUUGUGUUACUACCAACAAAAUAGGAUGCAAGGAAAAAAGUUUUAGCAUUGUAGGGAGACUUACUAGAGUUGUCAUGAAUUUGUAGGCUGUAUGGGCACUGGGAAAUGUUGCAGGUGAUUCUCCAAGGUGUCGUGACCUUGUCCUUGGGCAUGGGGCUUUAAUCCCUUUGCUGGCACAAUUGAAUGAGCAUGCCAAGCUUUCAAUGCUGCGAAAUGCUACCUGGACAUUGUCAAACUUCUGCCGGGGCAAACCACAACCUCCAUUUGAGCAGGUUCACUGCGUAAUUAUGUUGUGCUUUUGUUCUCUUCUUUUUAGACUUGUUAAGUAGUUUUGAUUUUAGUCCGAGAAUAUAAUAACAUGCUGUAAGAUUCAAUUGUCAGGUGAGGCCAGCCCUCCCCGCACUUCAGCGUCUUGUUCAUUCAAAUGAUGAAGAAGUCCUUACUGAUGCAUGCUGGGCUCUCUCCUAUCUCUCUGAUGGUACAAAUGACAAAAUUCAAGCUGUGAUUGAGGCAGGUGUCUGUCCAAGACUCGUGGAGCUACUUGUGUGAGUGUCCUUUUACACAAUUUACAUCUCACUUAUCUUUGUUGUUUCUCAUUAAUUUCUGAAAUUCAUGGUUAAAACAAAUUUUACUUGUCAGGCAUCCAUCUCCUUCUGUGCUUAUUCCUGCACUUCGCACAGUUGGGAAUAUUGUUACAGGAGAUGAUUAUCAGACUCAGGUACUAUCUUCAGCUGGGCUCUUUAUUUUGAUGUUUUAUUUAUCUUUUGAAAGAAAAUGAUAACUUUGUGCAGGCAUACUGAACCUUAGUACCUGUCAUUUGGCCCUUUAAUAGUUAAGUGUGUUUUACUUGUCUGUUCUUUAUUGAAAUGUUGUUUGCAUAGUACAGCACUUGCCAUCUUGCUUCCCUUACUGGUACCGAUAUCCUGUGACAUCUGGUUGGAUGAAGAUUUAGUAUGUUCUGUGUUUUCCCCCCUUUGGCUAUUACUGCUAUCAUCCGCAGCAUGAUGAAAUCUUGGAAUGUAUAUAGAAUGGAAAGUCUCUCAUCUCCUAUUAUUACUGUUUUGAGUUGCUAUCUUGACAGUAGGAAGAAGUUCAUUGAGAUUGAUUGUUAAGUACUUUAUUUCAGCUUCCUCCCACCCCCACCCAAAAAUAGAGAGAGAGAGUUGAAGAAGGAGAAGUAAACAAGAAUUAUAAUGUAUUUGAGAUUUUGACAUUCAGUCUUUGUUUCAGUGUAUAAUUGACCACGGGGCACUCCCUUGUUUGCUGAGCUUAUUGACUCAUAAUCAUAAAAAGAGCAUCAAGAAAGAAGCUUGCUGGACUAUUUCCAAUAUUACUGCUGGAAAUAAGGAGCAGAUUCAGGUAUAGUGUUUUCUUCUUAAAUUUUCUUAUGUAUGAUGUCCAGCUGAUUUACUCUGUGAUCCCCCACCCCGUCCCCCUCUGGAAAAAGGAAAACCUAUCAUUGUCUUUUGAAUUAUUUACUGUGUGGUGUUUUGGUUCCAAUUAGGAUGUUUAUACACUUUGUAUGCUGUUUUCCUUUUCACUUUACCUCAGCCUGUGUAUUUGUAUGUAAUGACAGGCUGUGAUUGAAGCUCAGUUAAUUGGCCCUUUGGUCAAUUUGCUUCAAACUGCUGAGUUUGACAUAAAAAAAGAGGCUGCUUGGGCUAUUUCAAAUGCUACCUCUGGUGGAACUCACGAACAAAUCAAGUAUGUUUUGUUUCUCAUCGCCUUCCGUGUUCAGUGCAGAAUGCGUGGACGUGAAUUUUAUGUUUUGUGUCUUGUGUAGGUACUUGGUUUCUCAAGGCUGUAUAAAGCCAUUGUGUGAUCUCCUUGUGUGCCCGGAUCCAAGAAUCAUUGCUGUGUGUUUAGAAGGUCUUGAGAAUAUAUUGAAGGUUGGGGAAGUAGAAAAAAGCCUUGGCCAUAGUGGAGAUGUUAAUUUCUAUGCCCAAUUGAUUGAUGAAGCUGAAGGCUUGGAAAAGAUUGAGCACUUGCAGAGCCAUGACAAUAAUGAAAUUUAUGAAAAAGCUGUUAAAAUACUAGAGACAUACUGGUUGGAGGAGGAGGAUGAAACAUUGCCAGCUGGUGAUGGAGGUCAGCCUGGAUUCAACUUUGGAGGGAAUGAUAUGCAACUUCCACCUGGUGGAUUUAAAUUUGGCUGAAGGUAAAGAUGUAGAUGUGCUGGUUCCAACUAUUCCCUGCUUCGCUUCAGCUUAUGACAUAUGCUAAAACAUGAAGUUUCAAUUCUGGCUGAUAAAUCAAAACAAUUUUUGUCAAUUUUAUUGACUAUGGGCACCUUGCCAGUUCAAGCAUCAGUCUAACAUGAUUCUCAGUGUUGUGCAAGUACUACACAACUCUUUAUCAACCAUCUUGCUAACCAACUUAUAUUUGCAGGGCCAUAAGUUGGUGGAUACGUCCUCAGGUUGAGGACAGGGUGCUUGUUGGCGUCAAGUCAAGGUCGGGUCAGGGUCAGGGUCAGGGUCAGUACAGUCAGAGCACUUCACCGAGUCUGGUGGUCGUAUAUGGUUCAGUGUCGGUUGCCAUAAGGAGGUGCCAAGGCAGGUCCUUUUAUAAUACGAUGGCGAAUAAGGAAGAGUUCAUGCUCACUGGUUGAUGGUAUGUUGGGCUUGGUAUUUCCCCUGGUGACGGAUUGUUUGUGGGGGAAAAUGAAGGGAUUAUAGACUCUUCAAAUGAGGUUCUCGGAACGCGGGGUUUUGUGUUUUGUCGUUUCAUACCUUAUUAUUGAAGUCCUUAGUCGCACAGAGUCGUCAAUACUGUUCGGUAGCUGCGAGUAAAAUAUGUAUUUAUUAAUUUACAUGAUUCGUGUUGUUUAUUUGCGUAUUGUAUUCAAGGGAAGAGAAAGAAGAGAGUUCACUUGAUUUGUCAUUUGUCUAUAGGUGUUGUCAUACAACUUUUUCUAUUGAUAUAGAGAUACGGUUGGCCUUCUUGAUCUAGACUGUACUACUGGCGUCUUCUGCCUAGGGAUUGAACAUUUUCUGUAAGGGCUUUGCAUUGCUCGAUAUCCUCAGUAUCAUUGAAUAGGUAAUUUUUGUUUGGGGAAGCGGUGAGCUGACCAACCUUGUAAUUCGAAACACGAAACUUCAAAUGGAAAGAAAUGUUAAUUAAGGUUCUGGGCUUUGUCGACUGAGGUUGUUCUCGUUGCAUAGAGGUUGAUAUGGUCAUGGAGCUUGUCGGGCUGUAACAGUAGCCCAAUUUGAGCUGUGCACUUCAUAGGCCCGGUUCCUUGAGUGGAUGAAAACUGGGAGGUUGUGCGGCUCUUGACUGCUCCUUACCUUGUGUGCCUACUAGCUGUGAGAACAACAACGGAACAUGGGCCUUAUAGGUUAUGUCCAGUUCAAACUAAUUUUAUAAUAUUUGGCUUGACAUUAUACGGUUUUAGUGUCGUCGUGAGUUGUAGGUUUGCACUUAAAUCGUACGAAUUUACAAUAUAACUUGCAAGAAUUAGAUGAACACAUUUGAAGUGGACAUAAUUCAACUCGUGAGGCUCUCUGAUCCAAGAAGAAAUAUGGUUAUGGAAAAUUGGAAAUUGUCACAGAGUGCUUAAUGGUAAAAUUUAUGCUAGUGUCUUUCCUGCUUUUCGACCUUUACUUGAGUGGGGACUGUAAUCUGAUCGGGAAACAAGUGCAUUUGAAUGAGUUGAGAGUUGAGAGACAGCUUGGAUAAUGUCACCAAAAGAUGUGGAAUAAAAUUGAAUGCCCCGGAUGCUGGGGUAAACUGUGGUCUCCACGAUUUCGGAGAGUGACUUUAGACUAGACGUUACUCAAACAUUUUGAAGCAGGAAACCCCCCCUCCCCCCAACACCUUCGUAGAAGUUACUUCCGAUGAAAGGGCGGCGUAUGGCGAAACUUCGAAGAAAUGUAGUCUCGUACAGGAUAUGCAACAGAUCCAAAAGAGUGAAAGCCCAUCCGGAAUUGCGCCAAAUAUGUACAGCAACUUCUAUGUGAUCCUGCCCAGAGGUACGAUUAGUCAUAAUAGUCCGAAGGCUAAAGGACAUUAUUGUACUCAAAUUGUCAAAUUUGCUAAUUUAAUCACAUCUUGCUACAAUUAAAUGAGGCUUAAUAAAGGCAACUUGGUUUCUGAAAAGAAAGAAAAUAAAAUAAAAUAACUUGUAAACAGUUGACAGUGAGACAAAAGUGAGUCAGUUAUAGGUUGGACACUUUGCAGAAUGCAUCCAUUUAAAUCCCCAGCACCCACCCCCAACAAUUUGUCAUAAUGAAAGCCAAUAAUGAUGGCACCUAUCAAGAUCCACAGUGGAAGUCAUCAAAAUUAACUACCAUCUAACAACAGUGCUUGGCGCACAAAAUUUUUUCCAUUCCAAGUUUGAGACUUGAUACAGAAAAAAUGAAAAGUGGAUUCUCCUAUAGCGAUGAUGAUCAAAGCGAGUUGGGUAAAUCAGUGAGUUGCUGGUGGAGAACAGCAGAAGAGUUCGACGAACAUGGGCAUUUCAGAGUUGAAAUUUGCGACCUAUCAAAGCUCACACCAAGACUCAAACUCCUUAGGGAAAUGGAGAGGCUGGCUUUUGUUGCACCCGAGGGACUCGAUGAUCUUCGCCACAAGCUCAUCACUUACGGGUCCGGAGACUUUUGGUUGCCGGUGGGAGGAAUCAAGAAAGAAGAUUUGGAUAUCCCACCUGUCAUCACAAUUCUUCUAGCAGGCCUAACGAGUUCUGGCAAAAGCUCUCUUGUGAAUAUGAUGUACAGCGUUUUGGGUCGAUCUGGCCUCAUCCCUUUUGCUCAAACGUCAGGUAAGCAUUUGAUAAAACUUUUUAACUUAGUUAAGCAUUUAGCAUUUCUGUACCGUUUGAGGUUACUUUGAUUUUGGACCAUGCAUUCAAUGCGAAGGAACUCGAGGAACGUUAAUUUGACGAUGCAUGUUUUUAUAGAUUAUACUACUGGUUUGAUUUAUUAAUGUGUCCUACGUCUUACAUACGGGGCGGGACGCAGGUGGGUCUUCUCAUCGCAGUAGAACAGUGUUUUUGGAAGAACAUAUCGUUGUGAGAUCGGCCCGAAGUGGAUUUUGUGUGUUUGAUACGAGAGGGUUAGAUUGCAAUCAGAUGAACGCGGGUUUAGAAGAUGUUUCAACGUGGAUGAGUCUCGGUGUUCGCCAAAAUCAACCUUGUUGCAGACCUGGAGAUGAAAUGCUUGGCACUGCCACCGCUGUACGCGGAUCAUCCUUCAACACCAGUUCGAGGUACAUGAACAGAAGAGUCAACUGUGCAAUGGUUGUUGCUAACUUAGCAGAGAUUCACAAGGCAUUCAGGUCUGGUGAUUUGAAGCCUGUGGAAGCCAUAAGGGCCCUCUUCCAAUAUCCCUGUAUUCAGAAAUGCAGUUGAGUUUUUUCACCUCCUAUGUUUGCUUCUCAAAUUUGGAUUGCAGUUUUCUACCAAUCAUCAUUUUCCAAUCAUCAUCAAAUCACUACAGUAGUGUAAUCAUGAAUGAACGAACGUUGUAUGUCUUUACACCAAAUGUUAAAAAUUACACCAGUCGGAUUGAAUUGGAUGGAACUCAACUGGACAGGUCCCUUGGCGAUUAGAAGGUUCCAAAACAUGUGGGUCAUCAUUCUCUUUUUUUUUUUUUUUUUUUUUUUUGGAUUUUGGGGGAAAGGGUGUGGGGUGUUUCUUUGGCGAAAAGACUAAGGUGGGGUUCUAAGAAUACAGGCUCUCAAGCUCAAGUCUCCCUUUUGGAUAUGCUUGGUAAUUCAUAUCCAUAUCGUUGUGUAAAAAUUCUUUUUACACUCAUCAGUCAAGAAAAAAAAGAAAUUCAUGAGUAAAUUCUUUUGGUUUUUUCCUUUACCUCUGUUGUGCAAAAUUCACGAGUUAGUUGCUUGUGCUUUUUAUAGGAAAACAUAAAGUAAGUUACUUUUGUGUUAUGUCGAAGUUCUGGGUAUGAUUCAACGUUGUAUAAUUUUUGGUGUGCAGACGAAAGUCCAAUUUUGAUACUCACACAUGGUGACAUGCUCAGCACUGAGGACAGGAUCAACAGCAGGCUCAAAAUAUGCGAAUAUAUGGGUAUAUCUGAAACUAGUGGUGCAUACGACAUAGCCUGCCUCACAGAGCAGGGGAUUCUACCAGAUGAAGCUGACGCGGUCACCGCAUUCGCGUUAACUGAAGCAGUCUACAGGUCGCUGAUGGUCAGCGACCGGUGUCAUCUCCCCAAGAAGAGAUUCAAGGACUGGAUAUGGCUUCUGGUGUCAUGGAUUAUGGGUUGCAUUGCUUCUUUCUUUCGUUUUCUUGCAAAUAUUUUCUCCAAAUUCGAUCACAAAUACAAACCACCGAAACACCCUUGAAUUGCUAAGCACGCUAUUCAUUUCGAUUAGAGAGUCGAUAGAUACCCUUAAAAACUGAAACUAAGAUGAGCUAGUCUGCACGAGUACUUGUUGUCGGUGAUCGGAGUGAGUUCGCUACUGCGUCAAUUUAAACAGCGAAAACGUGAAAUCGGAGGCCGUCCACUUCCACUCUAAAUUGACUUGACUGGCGGUGAUCGAUCAUAACCCCGGGGUUGGAUUUACUUCUGGAAAGGCCGAGCCAAGUGUCGUUCUGUUUCUGUUUGGUUUUCUUCUGGAGGAUAAGAAGAUAAAUCAUUAAAUGUGGUAGGGACGCUUUGAGCGUCAUUCUGUUUCUCUCAAGUUGUUGCCAUUUGCCUGCUGUAUGGUUUCUGUGUGUGUGUGUGUGUGUGUGUUUUUUUUUUCCCCAGAAGAUCAUCAUAUGAUGGUUUCUUAUCUUUUACUACUACUUUUGUACGUUGCUCUUUCAUUUGAACGAGGUCGUGUUUGGUCCAAAACAAGGAGUUUAACCUCCAUACCAUAGAUCUUAUCUCUUCCUUAAAUAAAAUAAAAUUUGCUUUAAUCUCUGUCUCGAGAUUAGUUCAAAGCUGGCCACAUCUGUAUGUAUGAUGGACUCAAUUUUCUUUCCAACUUUUGACCACUAUUUCUUCUCGAUCAACGGCAGUAAAUAAUAAUUAAAAAAAAAAAAUUUACCGGACUAAUACUCCGGUAUAUAUCUAGAAAAUGAAUACUGCUCCAUAAAGCAAGUAGAAGACAGAAAGGUUGCAUGCAUGGUGAGUUGUGAAAUUGUGAUUUCGAGGCAGGCAGUGGUCCAAUCAAAUGGGGAUCCUAUCGCUCGCAUUGUCUGCCGCUCUCAGUUUCUCGCUACGGAACAAAAGAGUCUUACGUGCCAUCCUUUUCAUUCGUUGUCUGCCAAAUAUUUGUCUCUUAAUAACAAUAAUAAUAAUCUACUAGUAAUAUCUUUGUCUUAGAAGAUCCCACUCUUGUCAAAAACCCUUUUUUUUUUUUUGCCCGUUUAUAAUUAGUUCAUGUGUCGUUGCAAACGCCCCCCGUAAUCCUAUUUGCGUUGUUUAAUUAAAAAUUAGGUUACUCACAAACCAAUCAGUUUGAGAUUACAAGUCGGCUCAAUUUAUAAAGUCGAGUCAUUUUUUGAUAUAAAAACUGUGUUAACGAAGCAAAUCUGUAAGGAUUGUUAUACAUGAUUUACGGUUCAGGAGAGGGGAAAAAUAAAAAUAAAAAAAAAAAGUCCGAGUUACGUAAAUAUACAAUUGAAAUAUGCCAGCAAAAAAAAAAAAAAAAAAACUUUUGGAGGAUGUAGCUAAUUGUUGGGAAAAUGGGAGGGGGCGCUGUUAAUUGAUCCAUAAGGUUAGUCACCGGAGAACUUCAUUCACUUUAUGGCGCUAGCUGUAGGCAGUGCUUGUGGGGUUUGAUCCUCUAAAUUAGUCUGGAAAGGACAAAUGUAAUAAUGAGUAUUGAAUUACAUCACAGAGAUAACCAAAACAUUUGGAGGAGCUUAGAAGAAGAUUUGGCUUGCAUCUCAUUUGCAGGCAAAAUUUGUCAUGACUUUGCAAAGGGAGCCCUCUAAUGUGUAAUCAUCAUCUUGAAGUUGAGCUGUAAUAAUAAUACCCAAAGACAAGCUCAAAACCUCAUCAACGGAGUGUGGGUUCAAAGUGAGCUACUUGUUUAAUCCAAUGCCACUCACGGAUCAUCUCAUGCAUGUGAAGACGGGAGCAGCCGUUUUCUCUAUUUACCAAGUGCUACUACUAUUGUACAUCAUCUUCUCCUUUUUUGACCUGAAAAAAAAAAAUCAAGGACCUUGAUUUUGAUUCAUAUCCCUCUUAGUCACUAUCCCACCAAUUGAAUUGAAUUGGUAGCGGAUUUCAUCCCACCCCAAAAAAAUUUUACAUGCGCCACAACAAUUUUUUUUUUUUAAAAAUUUACGAUGAUUAUUUCUAUCCAAUUGUAUCUCGUUCUCUUGCGUACGUUCGAGAGCUUACUACUCCUCCGCAUGACAGCAUUUUUAUGGACUCCAUCACUUCACAGCCUAAUUGGAAGCAAACGAGUAGAUUCUAGUAGUUAGUUAAUUAAUUAAUCUCAAAAUGCAAGGUCGAACUUCAUUAAUUAUCUUUCUUUCUUUAAUGAAUUUGGUGGUACCAGCAGCAGAUAGUCAUGGUGGCAGUAGCAAAUACUACUAUCAUCAUAUGCUACUUUUAGUAACAUAUUCCCUGUCCUCCCUGAAUGAAUGAAUAUACCAAAUGCAAAAGCAAAAGUUCAAAGGUAAAAAUGUCAAUGAAGAAGCGAUGAGCUUCUCCGGACCGAGCUGACCUGACGAGCUCGGCGUGUUGACGAGGAGAACUAGUCCAACCCUGCAAAACAAACAGAAAGUAGUCUCUUGGGAGACUAACCGGGGAGCUCCGAGGUGGUCCCCGAGAGCACUCCGACGGUCAAGUUAAUUUUCCGAUGAGUGAAGUUCACGGGAAGUAAAGCAGUCGAGAGCAAUUUGCCAAUAGUGAGCGUACAUUGUACAGUUGGUGUGCGUUGCCAUUUAUACCUACUAGAGAAUCCGACCUCCGUACGCUUGGAGACUUUCCUAGCAUAGCCCCAAUCCCGCACUAAGGGGGAUCCUCCCCGCCCUCAGCGGGAUUGCUCCUUGGAGCCCUAGCGGCGAUGUGCCCCAGGACGGUUGUCAGGGGCCUAGGGCCUAAGUCCAGCUUUGCCCCUGCUGGGCUUCCACGUGUCUAGGUCCAGGACAGGGCCUCUGCAGUCACGGUUAUGAAGUACACUCUACUCUAGUGCGGGAAAGCUGAUCAUUGCAUUUGCAGAGUACCGAAAGUUAAAACAAUUUGCAAUUGAAUACUGAUCUAUAUUAUUAAUGGGUUUGUUUGGAUUGUGUUUUAUUUGGAAUAUUUUUACUGUAGCACUUUUUGUGAUGUGAUGUGUGUGAGAUAAAAAGGUAAUUGGGAAGAUAAAAAGGUGUAUUAGAAAUUGUAAUGAUGAUGUAAGCAGAUAAAAUUGGGGAAAUAAAACACAAUCCAAAAUAAUCUGUGGUAGUACAAAAUUGUUGGGAAGAACUCCUUUGUGUUGAGCAAUUCAUGAAUAAUGUACUAGGUUAUAUUCACUGAUAACAAAUAAGGACCACAUUAAAUAAGGACAUUUUAGAUAAAUUAAAAGUUAAUCAUAAUAUUUUUCAGUUGGGAAGUAGAUUAUAAGUUGAGAUAUAUGAAAGAGAAAAACAAAUUUAUCAAAAUAAGAUGGAUGAACUAAAUUUUUUUUUUUUUUUAAGCAAGGAUAACCACCUUUGUAUAACCUCCGACACAUAUGCAACGGAGGGCGGCAUAAUUAGAAAUUUCCGAUUCAAAGUUUCCCAUUAUCCUCUCUAUUUCUUAAAUUCUAUCUUUUUUUUUUUUAAAAAAAAAGGUAUAAUGGUUGACGUGCACUCAUUCCCCAAAAAAAAAAAAAAAAAACUUAACACCACGACGCACACACACAAUAACACAAAGCCUCAAACAUCUAGUGUAUUUAUUGACACGAACUCCUCCCACCGCCACACAUCGGAAUUAACUAUUGGCCUUCAAAACAUCUUUUAGCUUUCAGCUUUACGCGCCAAACAUAACUAUUCAAAAUUUAGGUAGUAAGAAGUGCUCCUACCUCGUACACAACACACCAACAAACAUUUCAUUUGAACAUAUGAUAUGGCCAACAACAUAUUUCAUCCAACAUUUUUUUUUAGGUUGGGUUGAAUGGAAACUCCAAAUCUUAUAAUAAUGAAAGGGGAAAGAGAAAUGAUUCAAGAGUCGAGCUGCGAAAAUUCCAAGGUCACGUGAUUAAUAUUUAUACUUGGGGGUACAGCAUAAAAUUUCUCCAACGUAUAGUAUAGACCUAAAACGGUACUCGUACACAUUUAAGAAGUUAGUAGUAGUAGCAGUGUGUUUGGAUAGUGGGUUAUUUGAGAUAUUUUUACUGUAGCACUUUUUGUGAUGUGAUGUAUGUGAGAUAAAAACGUAAUUGAAAAGAUAAAAAACUGUAUUGAAAAUUAUAAUGAUGAUAUAAGUAAAUAUAUUUGGGGAAAUAACCCACUGUCCAAACACACUCACUAGUGUUACUGCAAACAUCAUCAUUGGCCUCAUUUUUACUAUUGUUGAUAUUUGCAUGAAAAUUUUUAUUUUUUUAUGAAUAUAUAUUUUCAAUUAAUUUUUUUAUCCCAAAUACAUUAAAAUAGAAACUCUUGAAAACAAGUUCAAAUGAGUUCUAAAAUUUUCAAUUUCUACUAAAACAUGUUUUGUUAUUGGCAUGUUUUAUUAUAUAGCUAGCUAGCUCCCUUUUGACUGCAAUGCCAUUUCAUAUUGAGAAGUAGAUACUACUACUCACAAGCUAGGCCGCAUGCACAUAUGAUGGUAGUCCUAAAAUCAGAUCACACAUCGUUCCAAAAAAAAAAUCAGAUCACAUCUGUGGUUGACUCUGACGGCUGGGAUUAAUCCAAUAUAAACCCUAGAAUUCUCCAGGGUGGCCGGACUAAAUCACAAAUUGCAAAUUGCCACAACAGCCCAAUCCAAUCUCUAAACAAAUUCCUGGCGCCCUUUUUUUCAGUUUUGGCGGGUGUACUGUUGCUUGGAAAAGCUUCGUCAGCCAGCCCCUUUUUCGUCUUUUCACUCUCCCGCGCGCCUAGGGUUUUCGUAAAGUCCCAUAUAACAACCCCCACUAAAAUUUUCUAGAUCGCCCACGAGCGCCCUUCCCUGUCGGUCUCUCUCUCCCCCUGUCUCUCUUCCCCCUCUCUCCUUUGCUCUUUUGCAUGUUGGUUUUUUCUUUCAAGCUUAAGCCGAAAAUUCCUCUUCCCUCCUUAAAACCCCCCUUUUCCCUCCCCAAAAAUUUCCCUCUUCCUUAGUUUAAAUGAGCUUUUGUCAGGGGUUGAUAGUUAAAUAGGUUCUUGCAUUUCAGCCUCUUUCAAGCUAGAGUUGCUUCUUUCCCGGUCCCGGUCCUGGUUCGUUUUUUUACUAGGUUUGUUUUUUUUGAUCGCGUUUUGCUGUGCUUUUUGGAGCGGUAGUACUAAGUUUGUGUGUUUUUUAAGUUGAAUUAGUUUGUUUCCUGAGGUUGGAUUUCUUCAGUUGAGCGAUCAAGGUCGGUUUGUGAUCUGACCGUAACGGUGGCUAAUUUUUGCUCUUAUAGUUAGUUGAUCUGAGCAUUUGAUCUGGGCUUGUUUCAGAUCUUACGAUUAGGCCCUUGAAAUGGUGGAUCUGAGUGAUAAAGUAAGUGAUCACCUGCUCAUCAGCUUGCCUUUCCCUUGAGUUGUUGAUGUUUAUUGUACUCCUUUCACGCACUUCAUUGUGUAUAAACCAUCAUGAUGUCUGUGAUCGUCGAGAAUCAGCGUUUGUUUAUGAUUGAUCCAAGGUUUUGAUUUAAAAGCUGAUUUCCAAAAAAAAAAAAAAAAUUCCUUUUGGUGCGUUCAGGUUUCAGAAUCUGAAGAUAUGAACAGCCAAACCCCAACCCCAGAGAGAGUCUCCUCCUCAUCCGAUGGCACUCAAAUCAAGACCUGUACUGAUUGUGGCACUACCAAAACUCCCCUCUGGAGAGGUGGUCCAGCUGGCCCCAAGGUCUCUCUCUCUCUCUCUCUCUCAUGUGUGCCAAUUUUUUAUCCUUUUUUUUAAUAAAAAAUAAACCUUUAAGGCAUCUGGGGCUUAGAUGAUGAUUUUUUUGUCUAUUAGUAGUUAGAUAGAAAUAAAAUGAAGAUGAUCUGAAGGUGAUUUGUGUUUGCUAUUAUUGCAGUCGCUGUGUAAUGCAUGUGGGAUCAGGAGCAGGAAAAAGAGGAGAGCACUCCUGGGAUUAAACAAAGAGGAAAAGAAACCAAAGAAGUCCACUAGCAGCAGCAGCAGCAACAACAACAAUAGCAGUAGUACCAGUAAUAAUUAUUCGAGCGGGAGUGGUGAUAGUAAUAGCUCAAGUGGGUUUUCGUUGAAGAGGAAGCUAUUGUCUUUCGGCCGAGAUGUUGUUGUUCCCUUGCAGAGACCAAGAUCAAGUACAAAUGGUCAGAGGAGGAAGCUAGGAGAGGUUGAGCAAGCAGCCUUUCUGUUGAUGGCUUUAUCAUGUGGCUCGGUUUAUGCUUGAGAGCAAGAGUUUCCCCGUAGCACUACUAGUUCAAAAUUUAGCUGUAACGGUUUCUUCGUUAUCUUUUUACUACUACUUACUACUCUAGUAGAGGGAUGCAUGAGCAAGAUUGAGCUAAAAGAGCUACUUGUCGUGAUGUGUAAUCUCCGAGAAUGGCAGAGUCGAUUUUUUCUUUUUUCUUUUUUUUUGGGGGUAAUGAUGAAAAUCCUGAUCCGGUCCAGUUCUCUCACUUUGGGCUAAACUUGCUUGCCGGUUUUUCUUGGUUCUGUGAAAAAAUCAGAGGAGGAUUGAUUGAUCUGAGAGACAAAAACAGACGAUCGAUCUUACCAUCGUAGGUUUGUCCAAGAUUUCGUUCCCUAUUUAACUAACUAAAGGGAUCUAACGUGAGCUUGUAUCAGUAGAGGUUCCCUUGCUGAUUCUUGAUUUGGAUCCAUUGCAGCAGAAUUUUUUUUUUUUGUUUUAUAAUUUUGAUUAGAUUUGGAGUGCUGCCAACCAAGUACACUACUGGUUAAUAGUUUGUAGAAUAGAAUAUGAUGGCCAAGGAGUGAAAAUCCUGUACAGUACAGCGUAUACUAUUAGUAAAAUCAAAUGAUGGUAAUUGACGAGUCGAGCUAAUGAGAGAAGGAAGAAUCUUGCUCAUGAUUGACGGACGGUUGGUGCAGGCCUCAACGUCAUUUUCGCUACGACUCUAUUGUAAUUUCAAUAGGAUGCUGUUUGCGGCGGCGGCCUAUUUGGAUACUACUACUCUAUAGAGGCAACAGACUCAAAAUUUUUCGAGGGUGGCUUGGAAAGGAUUUGACGAUUCAUAGCGGGGUUAAUUUCAUUUUUUUCUCCUAAAUUUUGAACGAUUAUUCACCUCAGUUUUUAAAUUUUAAAAUGGGAUACUUAAGUCCCUAAAUCUAUAAAUGCCUCACUUAAGUUUUUAAACUUAUUAAAUAUGACGUUUAAAUCUCUAAAUUCUUAUAAAAUGGGACAUUUUGAUCACCAACGGCAUUCAAGAUUUAUUAACAAUUUUUUUUAAGUUGGAGAUAUUUAUAAGUUUAGGGACUUAAGUGUUUUAUUUUAAAGUUUAGGGACUGAAGUGGAUAAUCCUUCAUCCAAAGUUUGGGAGAGUAAAGUGGUAUUAACCCUUCGUAUAGUGAUGAUGCUCCCCUCAAAAUUCUUUCAUGACAGCUCUCAAUUUUGUACUUUUAUUUUGUACUACUACUACUACUACUACUAUAAUCUAAAAAUCGUUCAUAUGGCUUAUUCCGAAAAGUAAAAGUUGUCAAAUGGGUUAAAAAGGUGUUUUUUUUUUUUUUGUUUUUAACAAAGGGGUGAAAGUUGAUUGCCAUCAUAUACUUUACCAAGGCCUCCAAUUAUUAGUUUGAUAUGUUACUUUUGACCCUUUUAGUUGCUAGUUUUAGGUUGCUAACUGACUUGACCCCUUUCAAUUUUGACCAACUUCCACACUUGGCAAGCCAGAGAGUCUUGUUGCAGAGGUCCUUUUAUUUUUUUUGGAAUUAAUUGAGAAAUAAUACUUGUAUAAUUUUGUUCUAAGACAGAACGUCCCCCUUAAAUUGAGUAAUCUAUACUCGGUAAUUCCCUUCAGUGACAACAAAAAAAAAAAAAAAAAAAGGUGGGACGUGAUUAAAACUCCAAUUAGCACCCUAUGUUCAUAACUCACUGCGUGGCGAUUCUCAAAUGCCAACCACCAAUUUUAAAGCUAUACGUUGGUGAAAAUGUUAGUAGUACGUCAUCUAUAUAGAUACCUUAAUUGAGCAAGGCAUCCUAGAACUGGCUAAUUCCAAGAGGAAGAGCGAACGAGUUUUGGAACUUUUAUUAUUAUAUUGAAUAUAGUCGUCCCCGACAACUAGUAUUUGAACCGAAGUAAAAUGUCCGCUUACCAAAGAAUACGACUAACAUCUUAUUAAUUCACCUUAUUAGUAGUGGAGUAGUACUAUAUUUUACUAGAGGUGGCAAAUCAACCCACUUAACUAGAUUUACCCAUACCCGUCCAUGAAUAGAUGGGUAUGGGUAUCUUAAAUUUUUGUAUAUGGGUAUAAAUGGGUUACCCAAUAAUACCCAUUUAAUAAAUGGGUAUUAUUGGGUAACCCAUCAAACUCAAUUAACCCAUUUAAAAUUCUUUUCCCCCCAAGUCUCUUCUUUUCCCCUACCUUUUUUUUUUUCAAAUUUUUCAUUUUGUCAUGAUGUUAACAUUAUUAUUAUUAUUAUUAUUAUUAUUAUUAUUUGUUGGUUUUAUCUUAUUAUUUUAUUUUUUCUUAGUUUGUUAACUUGCUCAUUUUUUAGCAUUACCAAUUUAUGAUAAAUUUUAGCCUAUUUUCUUAUCUUUAUAAAAUCAAAUUUUAAAUUUAUAUAUGAAAAAAAUGUUAGGGGUUCAAAAUUUUUGGAUUAAGUUUUUAUAUUAAUUUUUAUAGUACUUAAUUCAAAUUUUUAUAUUCGUAUGAUUCAAUUAUUAAAUAAUAGGUAAUUUUGUGACAUAGAGUAUAAAUGAAAAAAAUUGGUAAUUAAGUUUAUUGAACAUUAUAAGUAAAUAUUUAAAACUAAUGAUGGAUACAAAGAGUGGUAUAAAUUGAUAACUUAGUUUGCAAAAAUGAAUUUAAAUGAGUUUGCAAAAAGUUAAAAUAAAUGAGUUAUAAAUGGGUAAUUGGGUUACCCAAUUCAUUUUUUGACUUACCUAUAUAUACCCAUCUAAUUAAAUGGGUAUAAAUGAGUUGACUCACUUAAACCCAUUACCCAUUUUACCCAACUCAAACCCGCCCAAGUCACCCAUUUUGACACCUCUAUAUUUUACCCUCCCUGUCGUCGUUGUUUUAUUAUUUUUUGAAAUACAGGAUGCCCUGUGUAGUGGGGUCAAUCCGUCAAAGCCACAUGUCAGUUCGGACAUGUAAAAUGGCAAUUCGCGCAAUCCAGCUCGGUCCCUCUCAAGGGCCAACUCGGACAAGAUUGCCACCUCCCAGCUGGAUGGGCUGACUAGGCCGAGGAUUCCUAACCGGAACCAGCAGGAAGAGGAAUCCAUCUCUAGUAGGGCUCAUAAUUCUAUAAGAAAACUACUCCCUCCCUUUUUUUAUAACUGACGUUUAAGAAAUUUGCUCCAGUGUAUUUUUAUCUGUCGUUUUAUUUUCCCCAUGCAGUAUUAAUUAUUUUUUCACAAUUUUACCCUUUUAUCUCUCUUUUCCAAUACAUGGUUCUUAAUUACUACUCCUAGUAAUUAUUGCUUCUCUCCUAGUAAUUGGACAAUUAAUGAGGGUGCAAAAGGAAAGUAGUGUACAGAUUUAGGCAAUGGAAAACUUUUCUUAAUUGGUGUGCAAAACCUUAAACGUCAGUUAUAAAAAAAGGGAGGGAGUACUACCCAGAACCCUAUGAAUAUAGCACCACAAGGCAAGACAAGGUACGCCAUCUACAGUAAUCAUUGCCUUUGAUCCAUUCAUAGACAUAACUAACUUGACCGUCGGAGUCACAACGGAGAACUAGUCCCGUUGUUCAUUCUCUUGCAGGUCAGCUUGUGCCACCUUGCUAGUACCAGUUCGCUCGUCCACAAUUCGCUCAGCUCGCUGCCACUUAGUUCGGAUCGUGCUCUCGGCUAUCGCAUCACCCUGCUUUUAAAUGCAAUCAUUUCUCGUACUCUUGAUGCCUUUUUCAUAUUAUUUAAAAAAAAAAAACUUAUCAUCAUACGAAAUGAUGUGAUAAUGUAAACCUUAUUGUAGGAGGCAGGCAUGCAAAUUUUUUUGUACUCUUAAUGUAAGUCCACAAGUUGAAUAAUGGUCUUAGAAUAGGGGGGUGGGAAACGAACUGUUACAGCCCUGUUCAAUGAAUGGUGCAGAUUAAUUAUUUUAGAGGCCCAAAUAGUGGAAUAAACGGUGUAGACAGAAAGGAGCCGUGUUUGAGUUUGGACUUCAAACUUGUGGACUUCAUUGAAAUUCAACUCUCUAGGCCCAGUUUCACUACAGGGCCAUGGAUAUUGUCCAUUUGCUACUUUUCGAGUUUUCAGUCGUCCGAAGUUGAACAAAUCACUCGUGUGAAGCAGCCAUUCCACAAGAAAUCAAACGAAAGCGAAUUGGACGUGGCCGCCGGCCUAUCUCUUAGAGCAGCAAUUCUGGCGCGCUAUCAUACGACAGCAAGCAUUUCCGAUACUGCUGCUCCUGCGUCAAAUGCAUGCAUUUCCAUUGCACGUUUUCCUCUUAUCACUUCUGCGUGAUGUGAUCGCAAAAGAAUACACGCUAUUCAGGUCAAAGGGUGACGUGCGUGCCUUUUGUCACUCUUUUAUUUGAUCGUCAAAUUAAAAAUUUUGAUAAAUAUCAGCUCCUCUUGAAUACUGAUGAACAUUGGACUUGCAGGAAGAAUGAAAAAUUACUUCGAAACUUGAAAUUGUACGUGAAAAUUUUGAGAAUUCCUAGUGUGCCAUUCAUUACGGCUGCACAUUCACGUUCGCCAUGUUGUCCUAUAUAUAUAUAUAUAUAUAUAUAUAUAUAUAUAUAUACAAGUACAGUUUGUAUUUCUUUUUAACCAAAGCCAACGACUUUUUGGUAUAGAAUACUAACCCGAAUUCCGUGAGAAUCCCAAAAGCCGGUAACUCUUGAGGUCUCACAGGAAACUAAUAUACUACACCCCAAACCCCCCAAGUACAGUUUGUAUUUCUAGGACUGCCCAUUAUCCUAUAGUUUUGGACCCACCGCACGACAGCAUUACAUGCCCUCCAGCUAUUCUCUACAAACAAUCAAAAACCCUCUGGUCCCUCCCACCCUCACGCCCACCUCCUCCCCACUCCCCUCCCCUUCCCGCGCCCACUGCUUACCUACUUGCCGUCACAAUAUCACCUUCUUCACGUGUGUAUGCAAAACCUAACCACCGAACUUUUAACUCGGUAUCCAUCAAAAAAAUUAAGUCACUCUUUGAGUUGCAAUAGGUUAAAGUAGGGAUGCAAUGGAGCCAAGUCGAACUCGAGCUCGAGUAUAAUUCGAGUAUCAUUAUACUUGAGCUCGACUCGACUCUAUGUAUCUAGACUCGAGCUCGAUCAAGUCCAAAAAAUCGUAACUCGAGACUCGACUGGAAAAACUCCCUUUAAAUUCGAAACUUGAUUCGAUAAAGUCGAGUCUAAUCAAGCUUUUUGACUCGACUCGAAAAAGCUACUGAACCUUAUUUUCUUCCCUUUUGCUAGACAUUUUUUCUUUUUAGGUCUUUUUACAGUUAUGUUAUUACUUUUUUGCCAUUAUGAAAUUUUAUUAUAAAGAAGAGUAUAUUGUAAAUUCAGUAUAAAUUAUACCCAUAACGGUCAUUUUAUAAUUAUAAUAUAUAUAUUAUUUAAAUACACCCCGGCUCGACAAGUCUCAAGUCUCAAAUUACUGGCUCAAAACUCGACUCGAAAACCAAUCGAGUAGCUCGAGACCCAGCUUGAACUCGGUUCAAGUCCAAUCAAAUAGUUCGAACUCGGUCAAAUCGAGUUCAAACCAAGCCAUUAACCGAACUACUUGCGAAUAGCUCGGCUCGCAUACAUCCCUGGGUUAAAGGGUUUAAAUUUUACUUUAUAAUGAAAAAAAUUGUUGGAAUACUUCUUUGGUCUAAUCAGACUAUAUGCCUAUAUGCAAAACUUGCUGUCACACAAGGAAAUAAUAGAGAAUGGGUCUAAAUUUCACACCCCUAUCAUAAAGAUGAUAACAAAGCCUAUAGAAAUUUGAUAGAAAUUCAAUACAAAAAUUUAUCUUUCAUAUAACAAGAGAUGUUUAAAAAUUCAAUUAUAAAUUUUAAUUAAUUGAAAUUAUUUAAUGCCAUCAUCUUAAUUAUUGAUCGACUAGUGUUUUCUAAAAUUAUAUUUCAAUCAACUUUGACUGGAGAGUUUGAUUCAAACAACUCAUGACCGCCUGACUAAUGUCCUUUAUUAUCUAAUAAAAUGGGUCGCAAGACAUUUGAAUCUUCGUAAAUGAUCAAACUAUCCUCUAUUAUCAUUCACGAGUCUUUCUGUACGGUACAAAACUGGACAGAAGGAAGCUAUACGUUUUCUCAAUCUCACACGUCCAUAAAACGUGAUACAGACUCAAAUAUGAUGAUUGUUGCCGUUCACUCAUUUUGCUGUUUUCCUAUGUAUUUCCCAACAACCUUUCGAUCACAUGCCACCGAGAAAGCAAAAAAAUUUGAAUUUGACUGUAUAUAUCGUGUAACUCUCGGUGUUUGUUUUACAUCCAAGUAGCUGCCAGCAUCAAGAGAAAGUUCAUUGAACUCUGCGACACAUGCUUUAACUAAUCGAAUUAGAAUUUGGUAAAAAUAUGCAAAAUGUACAAGGCCAUCUCUGAGAGAUUAUAUAUAUAUAUAUAUAUAUAUAUAUAUAUAUAUAUAUAUAUAUGUUUUUUGAAAAAGACAAAAAUCUGAAACUAUACAAACAUAUAUAGGCAAAAGUUCGGAGGAAAACUAGAACAAAUCGGAAAGUCUUGGGGCAGCAGAUCAUUGCAUGUUGGGCUGCCCAGUCGUGGGUAAUUAAAGCGAGCCUGGACUGGAGACCCAGUACAAAGUUGGCCGGCCUCACAAUUUGGAUUUAUGAACGAAUGAAUUAUUAUUAUUUUUUGGGUCUAACCAUCCGGUAUCUAUUUCAGACUAAUCCGGAUUCGGCCCGGGGAGCGCUCGCAGUAUUUUUUUUUGGGUCUAACCACCCGAUAUCCCUUUCGGACUAAUCCGGAUUCGGCCCGAGGAGUGCCCGCAGAGUUUGACUCUUACUCAAGGGUGAAGGCCUGAUCCUGGAGUUAUCGCAGGAGCGCAGCGAGGAUCGAACCUUGAUCGUCCUGCUCGCAUUACCAGCCGCUUACCACUGGCCCCAACUCCUCGGGUUGAACGAAUGAAUUAUUACAGCAAUGUUAUCGUAUUUCUAAAAAUCCGACAAAAAGGCAUAUUGAUGAGCCAGGUUGGACCAAUCAAAUCCAUCUACGUCAAAAAGGAUAAAAUCAUUUCUAGAUUCUUCCCCUUUUGCUUUUCUUCCUUUUUCCCCUCGUUAAGCCAAGGGAUUUUUUUUAUCGGUAACACACCUAACAUUCAUCUAAUCUAUCAUAUAUAUAUAUAUAUAUAUAUAUAUAUAUAUAUAUAUAUAUACAUAUAUAUCUACACAUACUAAUAUUUCAUAAUUAUUAUUUUUCUUUGUAUUAAUAUACUUUCUCUAUUUAAUCUUACACAUCCGCCCUUAUAUUUAUCUAUUUUUUCUAAUUAAUCUAACAUUUUCAAAAAUAUGACUUCUGAAAUAUAUUUUAACGAGUAACGCCCAUAGUCACCUGUUUCGUUAGACAGACCUUUAAAUCAGAUAACUUUAUUUGAAGAAAUUUUAGAUUAAUGAGAAUUUCAAAACUCAACGUAAUUUGGUGAUGUUAUAAAUCAUCCGUUUAGACCGAAAGAUGCAUUUUAAUUAACUUUGUAGGUACUACUACAACAACAGAUCGUCGAAUUUGAAUACCAAUUCAACUCAAGUUAAAAUCGAAAUUCGUAUUUCUUCCAAUAUUUUGUAACAGCAUCAAAUGACGAAUAUGAAAUGUUAUAAUUGUGAAAUUAUACCAUUUUUGAAAGAAAAAAAAAUCCGGACUGGCGUCAUCAACCUCACAAUGCGUGUGUUCACAUAGGAAUUAUUUGCUUAAAAAAAUUAUUUACUUAUAUCACAAACACAUUUUACUGAUUCACCAUUUUCCCUUGUAUUUUCCGAGAAACUUGUCACUUACUUGCAGCCGAAGGGAAUGACCCGGACAGAUUUCUUGAUCCAAAGAUGAUUCUUUCUUUCUUAUGCUUUCACCAAACAAAAAAAGUGAGGGGGUUAAAAGAAAGUACAAUCAAUAGGGUUAAAUACUGAGGAUAUACAUCCAAACGUCUAGAAAAUGUAAAUAUUUGUUAAUAGGGUCUCGGUUAGCGGGUGGCUGACGACUCUCUAAGAGAGAUACAAUAAAUGUGCACGUAUAUAUAUAUAUGUAUUAAAAUAGCAAGGCGCGUGUAGUUCAAAUGUACUUAGUAAUUUUGUAAAGUACUCGGCCAGCGAACAAAAGGUGUGAGGCCUUAAUGUUAAGAAAUAAAAAGUAAUUAUGGGAAAAAAAUGUCGUAAAAACUUUUAAAAAGGUUGAUGCUGUAUGCUUCGCCCGUGAAAAUGUUCCGGGAUUACUUCUUUUUUUAAUAUAUAUAUAUAGAAAAAAAGAAACUUUAAGCGGUACUGGUAAAUUAAUUGAAAAGCAAAUUCACAUAAUUUCAGUUGACUACUUUUUUUCUUAGUGUUAAUCAUUUUCAGUCAAAAUGAUGCAUUGAUAUAACUUAUGAAACUAAAGUAACUGUCAAUUAGUUAGACAAGAGUAACACUUAAUCAAUCAGCUGAAUUCAAGAAAAAGAAAAUUGCUUAGGGAAGGAAUGGGAAGUAUAGGAUAGAAUUAUUAAUCGACAGUUUCGAUAGAAGAAGUACAAAAUUGAGUAAAUUUUUUGUUACAUCCUACAACAAUAAAAUCAAAUGCGGCGAAGAGAAACUACUGUCAAGAAAUUUACAGACUACUCCACAGCAGCUGAGAUCAGAGGCAGUUGAGGUUUCUUUAAUUUGAUUCCUCAUAUUCACGGUCCCUUUCCAUUUCAUUUUCACCUGAUAGAGAAGUUCCUCACUUUUGUCUUCCAUAGCCACUGACGACCAAAACAUAAUUAUCGAUUUCUCGAAUUCGUAAUUUUCACCCAUCAGCUCUUGAUCAGGAUCAGAAACCUCCUCUCUUCCUCUCAGCUCUGCAAGCCAGUAGAUCUGUGAAUCUGACAAAAAGUUAUUUCACUCAGACAGCUAUGAGAACAGAAAAGCAAACGGUGACGAAGAAGGACACUGAAAUUCUCAAGUUCAGUGCUGCUGCUGAUUUGGAAGGUGGCGGAGGGCUGUAGUAGUAAAAUGGAAAGUAAGGUACAAUAGGAUUCGGAGGAGGUGGUGUUGGCCCUGAGGGAUAUGUUCUGUAAGGUGGUGGAUAGUAGCUUCCAAUUAUGCCGCUGGGAGGAGGUGGGGACGAGUAUGGGUAGCCAGACUGAGAAGGUGAUGGUGGUGGUGGAGAGUAGUAGUUGCUGCCUGAGCUGGGAGGAGAAGGUGGUGGAGGGCAGUUUGAGCUGGAAGAUGAUGAUGAUGGCGGCGGCGGCGAGGGCGGUGGAGGUGAUGGGGUGCUGCAUGGGUUGUCACAAGCUGAACACAUUGUGCAUUCAAUUUGAUACUUCGAUCCAACCCAUGUAGCAGCGGUGGUGGUAGCAUUUGCACUGACUAAAAAUUCUUGUUUUGACGUCAAUGCUAUCAUGAAAAGAGUGAAAAUUGAGGAUCUCAGUAGUAUUUCUCGAGUACGCCCCAUUUCUUGAAUUCUCUUCGCUAGGCGAAAGAAUUGAGUACUUCUGAUGAAUCAAGAGUUUGAAUGCUGCACCGCAGAUGGAAUUUUGAGGACGAUUCAAGAGAGUGAGAGAUGGAAAAGAAAAGAAGGCAGCGGAGAGAAAGUACUCAAGUAACAGUGGCAAGUGGAGAAAGUGAAGAGUGGAGGACAAGGAGGACAGAGUAGUGUAGUGUGUGUGUGGGUGUGUUAAAACUUAAGGACGAGGGGCUUGGACGGUUGUCUAAGGUAGUUCACGGCUUGGAUGAAACCUCAAAAAUUUGUACUAUUCAGAUCACGUCUUGUAAUUCGAUUUUCACGUCGUGUGAAAUUCACAAAAAUAUUAUUUUAUUUUAUUCGCUGUUAUUCAAUUAUUACAUAUUGUACAGAUAAUGUUACACCUUUCGGAGCGAUCGUUCUGACAAUCGCUCCAACCCGCGUCCAAAACUUAAAAGGGAUCCAGGAGUGAAGUGAAGGCAGUGUGGUGGGCAAUUCUAUCCUUUUGUGAAGCAUUAACAAAGGGGUCCUAAAGAAUGGUUAAAGUUCGUCAUAAUUGAAAGGAGGGAGGAUUAAAAAGAUGGACACCGACACCUUUUACACUUUUGCACUUUGCAAUAACAACUUCAACAGCAACGCGCUGUGGAAAGAAAGAAACUUGCUGGCCAAAUUUGUCAAACUAAUGCCACUACUUUUGGGCUAUUAUUUUGAUUGCAGAUACCGUGCAAAUGCCCUUGUACAAACAAACGUGUUACUAUAACCAUUGAGCUUAGCUCGGCGGCCAUCUAACAGGGGAUGUGAGAGUUCAAAUUUCACCUGUAAUAAAACAAAUUUAAAGAUAAUAUCAUCAUAAUAUUCUCUUGAUCUAGUGAGAUCUGCAUGUCUAGUAGCCCCUAACAUAUAAAUCUAACUUCUUAUGUUUUUUUUUUCUCUAAAUUAUGAUAGAAUACGUUAUACAAUUGUUAUCGUUGUCAGGAAAAAGAAAAAAGAGAGCUUUCUUGUUUGAUUUCUUGAGCAACAUUCAACGUGAACAGCUCAUCACCCAUACGUCUACUGAUCGGAACCCCAAGCAGAAAAGGUUCAGUCCUAAAGGGGUUUAGAAAUUUUUACCUGGACUAAAUAAAGAGGGCUUUUUUUUUAUUUUUUUUGUUUUGGACACAAGAGUUGGCCUGGAUGGCACAAGGAAAAAGAGGAGUGCACUUUACGAAAUUUGCUGAAGUUCAUGAUUGUCAGGCUUGACUAUCAAGGCGUAGUUCACAAAUGGACCGAUGGGAUUAAGCGCGCGGUUGUAAUGACGUUGGUUGUAACGGGAGCGUGAUGGUUAAAACUCUCCAAGUUUUGGUGUGAUCCAAAAGUUGGCUUCAGCAUCGAGAUUGACAAGUUUUGGGGAUAUGGAAUGAUCGAUCAUACAAGUUAGUUUGGGUUAGUUGACUAAGAAAUACUCUACUAAUAAUCUGACAUUCAUAAUUAUUGUUCUGUGUUCAUGUGUUGGGGUUCGAUUUCUUAAGCUUUGGAAUUCAAAAGUUUUAAUAGUUAGUAUUAUCAUUCCUGCCCCAUGAAUCUUGUUCUAGUAAGAAAAAAUUGUUUGGUAUGGUCGCUAUUUUGCUUGCCUGCCUUAGUUUGCGUUUGGAUUGCAUUUUUCAUGGAUUUUUCGUUGAAAAAUUACUGUAGUGAUUUGAUGUAUGUGAGAUAAAAAUGUGAUUGGAAAAUGUGUUCACGAAAAAUAAGACCAUUUUUCGAUGAAAAAUGGCUAUCCAAGCAAGGCCUUAAAUUUCCCCUGUUAAGAAUUAUAAGCACUACACUAUAUACUGUAUAUAAUAAGGCGACAGAAACAGAAGAAAGAUUUAUUAUGAGCCAAUGAAUGCACUUUCCAGGCUGGAAGGAAGGGCGGCAGCAGUGGCUGUUUAAUUAGGAAUCGCUGCAAUAUUUUAUCUUCUCCACAUUGCUACUCGGGAAAAAAAAAAACUAUUCCUCCUAGGGGUGGCUAGAGCUGCCGGUCCUUAUUUCUUUAAUUUCGUGUUGUUUUCCUUUCUCUUUUUUGGAGCCCUAUAGCCGUGAAAAAUCACAAAAGAUUAUAUUAUUAUUGUCUCCCAACUACUUGUUUUUAAACUGUGUGAAAAAAAGAAACAGGACUAUCAAAGUGGGACGGAGGGAGUAAUUAAUAACCCUGUAUUGGAAAAGAGAGAUAAAAGGGUAAAAUUGUGAAAAAAUAAUUAAUACUGUAUGGGGAUAAUAAAACGACAGAUAAAACUACACUAGAGCAAAUUUCUUAAACCUCAGUUAUAAAAAAAAGGGAGGGAGUAUAUUAUUGUUGUCUCCCAACCGCUUAUGGCAAAUUUCUCAAGUGUCAGGACUCAGGAAGGGGUUUCUUUUUUUUUGGCCUUUCUUUCUUUUGAGGAUCACAAUUCACCCAUUUACCAAUUGGGGAUUUUUCAUUUUAGCUCCAUCCCACAUUAUAAUCUUGUACCGAUGGACCAAACCAAACGGCAAGUGGUGUUUUCAUUGAAGUGAUGUAUAACGGCUGGAUGACAACGAAUUGUUUACACAAAAUCACCACUCUCGCAUUUGCUCGUGCUUUAUUAUUGUAGAGGUAUUAUAGGAUACUAAAACUACACAGUGCUAUUUGUGCGUACACUUUUAUCAAUAAAUGAGUUUGGAUCAAACAAUUAUUCGUAGACAUUGAUAUAAGGUAGGGACUUCACUCUAGUACAAAAUCUAUGUCACACUUAUUUGUUGCCUAAAUGUGACAGUUUAUGAGAAUGAGUGAUGCAUGCCUCUCAACCAUAACAUAAUACCAUAUUUGUCUAACCACAAGAGACAGGCGUAGAGGUCCUCCACUUGACGUUACAAGGUAUAAACACAGUCGAUUCUUCACAAUUGAAUUCAACCACAAAAAAGAAAAGAAAGAAAAAAUUUCCAACUUGAUAUUUGAAGUCUUAUAGACACAAUAUUAAUGGAACUAUUUGCUCGUCCCACAUCCAAAAGGACAUAUGGUGACCGGGACACAAAUUACAAUUGAACUUCGUAACUAGGGUCUCCUAUCGCAGGAGCUUUCCUAUUGCACUCCAUGCCAAGUUGGAUGGCCUUUCUAUCAUAAUCAUGCUCUCUUUGAGACAAAGAAGGGUGGCGGUAACAAAUUUUUUUUUUUUUUAAUUUUGGAAUAAGAAAAUAUUAGGCACAUAAAACGUGAAACUGUUGAUCAUUGGCAAAUGUAAAAUCCAAGUGUUGGUUAAUAAACACUUGUAACCGCUGCAAUGAAACCAAUAGAUGCUAACUAGGAAAAUUUUGGAUUGAAAAAGCUGGUAAUAGCAGAGGAUGCUUCAAAAUUUGCACAUCCAAAGCGGAAGAAAUGUACCAUAUUCGUUAACCAUUCAGUUCAAUAGUAAUUCCUAUCUUCCACUUUAUUUAGCAUGCUUGUUCCUGUAUUUCUUCACGCUUUUGUUUUUCGCCUUUUUGUUUGGAUUGCAGUUUUCUGUCGGAAAAUUACGUUAUUUUUCGUGAUCACAUUUCCCUAUUACCUUUUUCCCUCACAUACAUCAAAUCGCUACAGUAAUUUUUCCAUGAAAAAUCAUGGAAAAUGCAAUCCAAGCACAACCAGCGCUGUCAAUUCGCUUUUACACUGUCAAUUUCGCUUUUACGCUUUUGGACUAUUUUCCUUGUACCAGGUAGAGAACCUGCAACUCUUUAUGUGCUAGUAGAGGUGUAAACGAGAUUAAUCAAAUCGAACACCCUAAUAUUCAAUUUUGUUCAAUUAUUUUAACGAAUUCGAAAUUUUGUUUAACUUUAACUUGUUUAGUUACCGAUCCGAGUUUGAUUGAGUUUUUUUUUCUUAUCGAGUUUAAAAGUUAUCAAACACAAAAUGCUGUUCUAGUUUGGUUUAAUUAGCUAGUGAAUCAAGCUCAAAUGAUUCCUUACCAAAUUGAAUUCAGUUUGAGUACAGGAUAGUUUGGUUCAUCUUUUAGUCUUAUGUGCCAGCUCAUUGCUUGCGCACACGUAAUUUGGACCAGGCUAUGCUGUUAGAAGUUUGGAUAUCCAGAAGACAAUGAACUAAGGCCCGUGUGCCUCCUUUGUACAUAUUUAAGUCAAUGAGGCCCAUGAUCUUCCUUUGGACAUUUUUUUGAGUUAAACACAGAAACCUGUAUAUUAAUUCAGGAAGUCCGUAGCAAAACCUCUUAUUAAUUUUCUGCCGGUACUUUUCUUACAUGAACUUAGUGGCCCAGAAAUUUGGCCCACCAACUUGCUCAUUUGGUCCAGUAUUUUGGUGUCGAAUGGAGCAUUUGGAAUGAGAAACAGCAGAGGUAUUUUCUUUUUCCCACUGUAAAUCUUUUCUUUUUCCCACUGUGAAUCUUAAUGGUAUAGAACGGAAAGAAGAACAAAAAAAAAAAAAAAGAUGAAAAAGAAUAACUUGGAGUGGUAUUUUCUACUGUACAAAUUUAUGGGCAAGCUGCAAUUGGAAUCUUCUUUGUUUAAGUGCAUAUGAUGGCUGAUGACUCGUGGAUGGUAUUGAAGCUUAGACGCAGUUGAAACAUCCAAAGUCAACAUUAAAUGUUGGGUUUUUUUUUAAAUUUUUUUUCAUCAUCCCGUCAAAAGAAGCACCUUAAUUUGAGUUGGCUCUCAUUAUAAUUAUAAUCGUGUGCAUGAAAAUCAGAAGCAAAUAUUUUGAUAUAUGUGCAAAUUAAUUCAAGGACCACCACCACCACCACCACCACCACUGUACUUACAAUAAAACGGAGCUUUUUUUUUUGGUUGCCUGUCACGGUAUUCAAGACUUUACUCUGACUAAUCUGUUGGUCGACCUGAAUUGCAUACCUGAUUAUGAUGGGUGAGUCUCCCCACAAGGGUGGUUGCGUACGCAAAAUAAAAAAAAAACGAAGCUUUUACACGCUAGCUUUUAAAGACAAUAAUUAUAUGAUAUGAUAGGAUUAUUUCAUUGAUUCGCCAUUAAAACUAUUUCUCAGCAAAAUUUUAAAAAACUUAAAAUUAGAGAGAGAUGCACGAGCAGUGUGCACGUUGUCAAGAGUUAAUCACGCAACACAUAAAGCAGGAAGUCAAAGUGCAAACAAAGAAAAAUCUUCCACUCUGACAAUUUAUUUAGAAGAGUUCUCCAAUUCCUCAAUUUCAAACAUUAAUCUUCUCUUAACCACCCCCAUUUUGAAUACUGACUGAUUCAUGACCUACCAAUUCCCUUUGUCCGACCAAAUCAAACAAAAUUAAUGCCUAAUAAGCUUACCUCCUUCCUCAAUUAUCUCCCUUCUCUGAACAAAUUCACAAAUACUCAAGUACUAGACUACAGUACGGCGGCUUUGUUUGGAUAUCAAAAUUUUUUAAAUAAUAUUUCGUUUGUAUCUUAAACACAUUUUAACCUAUUUUUUUAUAUUUUUAAUUAUCAUUUUAUCUCAUAUAUAUAUAUAUAUAUAUAUAUAUAUAUAUAUAUAUAUAUAUAUAUAUAUAUAUAUAUAUAUAUAUAUAUAUAUAAUCACAAAACUCUAUUCAAACAAACAAACCACCUUUCCUUCUCUGCCUCGAGAGGAGACAAUCCUCAUAGUAUUUAUUUCAUUACUUCCUUCCCCAAUUCAAAAGUUUCAACCUCUUUCUAUAGACCCACAGACCAACGGUCUACCAGGAACAAAAGCUAAUCAGAAAGUGUAGAAAAGAAACCCACGCAAGAAUGGAAAAGUUUACAUGACAAACGGUCACCAUUUCUUCCCUCACACAUACUUCCAACUUCCAGCACCACCAAAAUCCUUCCUCCAUAUAUUUCAAAAGUAUUACUCCUAUUAUUAGGUCUCAAAGAGAAAAACUGAAAAAAGAAAAAAGGUUUUCCGAAGAACAUCCGUUAACAAUUAUUGUUCUUCCUUAUAUUUAUAUAUAUAUAUAUAUUUAUUUAUUUAAUCUUACAUAUAAUAUCUUGUAUUUAUUUAUUUUUCUAAUAAAUUAUAUAUUUUUAAAAAUAUAACAGUUGAAAUAUAUUUUAAAGAGUUUCUUAUGGAUACUUGUUACACAAAUUAUCUUCCUAAGAACAAGAAGGCAAAAAAGAAUCCAGUGACCCACUUUGAGACGCCACGCCGCCUAAUACAUCGUUAUCACUUAAAAAAAAAAAAAAAAAAACAACAUUAAUCUAAACGACAAUUUCGUCUUUGUCCUCUGGUACGUAUAAACGGGCGAUGUGGCUACGCUCCUGCUACAUCUAACAAAUAUUUUAUUAAUUGUUACUUUUGGUUGAUGGGAAAAGUCUUCAAGAAAAUUACGAUUCAUAUGUACAUUUUACGAGUUAAGUUGAAUUCCAAGUAUAGUUAGGUAAAAUCAAGAUAGAAAUUCAAACUUGCUGCUAAUAGGAUCAAAUCAUGCUCAAUCAAAGUGGGUACUAUGCUCAACCAAUCUUGCCCGGAACUUAAUAAUAAAAUGUGAUAAUACAUGAGUGAGGACAUGUGUAAUGCGACGCAUGAUAGUUUGAGUACGAUUGAUUGAAAUGUCGUAACAAGUAUUUAUUGCACCCUCAUCGUAAGAAAGUUCUUAUUGAUAGAACUCGACUCAACUACUGCUUCAGUAACAAUGGAAAAAUGUUGUUGUAUUCCGGCAGUUUUGUGAUGUAAUGUAAAUUAGAUUAAAUUGCAAUUAGUAAAGAAAAAUGGCACAUCGCCUGAAGUAACAUAAGCAUAGAAACUAUUAUAUAGACUGAGUUAAAGUAUAUUUAGCAUACUAACAUCAACAUAUACAGAGCAGUACAGUGUUCGGUAAAACUUGCACAAUUCAACUUUUCGAUGUCAGGAGUGUACUGUAUAAUUAAUUACUCGAAAGUGUUUUAAAAAAUUCCAAAAAAUAUCCAAAUUAUGCUAAUAUUGCAAACCUUGAACUACGGGCUCACAAGUCACAACUAGAGGUGGCAAAUCAACCCACUUAACUAGAUUUACCCAUACCCGCCCAUGAAUAGAUGGGUAUGGGUAUCUUAAAUUUUUGCAUAUGGGUAUAAAUGGGUUACCCAAUAAUACCCAUUUAAAUAAAUGGGUAUUAUUGGGUAACCCAUCAAACCCAAUUAACCCAUUUAAAAUUCUCUUCCCCCCAAGUCUCUUCUUUUUCCCUACCUUUUUUUUUUCAAAAUUUUCAUUUUGUCAUGAUGUUAACAUUAUUAUUAUUAUUAUUAUUAUUAUUAUUAUUAUUAUUAUUAUUUGUUGGUUUUAUCUUAUUAUUUUAUUUUUUCUUAGUUUGUUAACUUGCUCAUUUUUUAGCAUUACCAAUUUAUGAUAAAUUUUAGCCUAUUUUCUUAUCUUUAUAAAAUGAAAUUUUAAAUUUAUAUAUGAAAAAAAUGUUAGGGGUUCAAAAUUUUUGAAUUAAGUUUUUAUAUUAAUUUUUAUAUACUUAAUUCAAAAUUUUUUAUUCGUAUUAUUCAAUUAUUAAAUAAUAGGUAAUUUUGUGACAGAGUAUAAAUGAAAAAAAUUGGUAAUUAAGUUUAUUGAACAUUAUAAGUAAAUAUUUAAAACUAAUGAUGGGUACAAAGAGUGGUAUAAAUUGAUAACUUAGUUUGCAAAAGUGAAUUUAAAUGAGUUUGCAAAAAGUUAAAAUAAAUGAGUUAUAAAUGGGUAAUUGGGUUACCCAAUUCAUUUUUUGACUUACCCAUUUAUACCCAUCUAAUUAAAUGGGUAUAAAUGAAUUGACUCACUUAUACCCAUUACCCAUUUUAUCCAACCCAAACCCACCCAAGUCACCCAUUUUGACACCUCUAGUCACAACCUUACAGCUUCCCCUAGGCUGUCCCCAUAUUAUUAUUUAUUAUUAUUAUUAUUAUUUCCUUUCCCAUUUGCAUUCCGCGUCUUCCUUCGCUUUUCCUUCCUACGUUACCAUUUCCAUGAUGAGAUAAACGCACACUCCCACACGCUAAGAAACACGCACAAUGUACUAGCAGUGACUCAAACUCGACUAACUCAAACUCUAACGCUGUUCCUAUCAAUCAUCCUUUUUACUAGUUCAAAACUUCAAACAAAUAUAUCCCUCCCAUAAACUUUUUCUUCCAUCUCUAAAAGAAAAGCAAAAGAAGAACAUGGCAGCCACGACCACCACCAGCACCUGUUUUCUGUUUCUGUUCAUCUUGUCUCAGGUCCGGGCCCAACCCACGGCGCCCUCACCCGCCGCGGAUGUCUGCAACGGAGUUUUUCUCUCCUACACUUUCACGUCGUCUCGGAAAAUCCCACCCGCGCUCAGAUCCGGACAGCCAUACCGCUUCCAGUCUACCCUCCUUGUUCUCAACAAUGGCCUUCAGGAACUCAAGUCGUGGCGGGUUUUUGUUGGUUUCCAGCACGACGAGUUCUUGGUGUCUGCUUCUAACGCUGUGUUAGCAGAUGGAAGCUCUUUGCCUGUUGGUGUGGGAAAUGGGACCGUCUUCGCGGGUUACCCCAAUUCGGAUCUCAAGACUGCCAUUGAAACAGCUGGAGAUCAGACUCAGAUGGGUGUUCAGGUCGAUUUGGUCGGGACCCAGUUCGGUGUUGGGUCGCCUGAUGUCCCUAUGCCCCAAAACAUCUCUUUAGUCAAUGAUGGUUGGCUUUGCUCGAAACCCAGCACGCAAGGUAAUAUAUACAUAUAUAUAUUUUUUGGCCUUGAACAUUUAUGGUUUAAUCUUUCUUUUUUUUUUUUUUAAAAGAAAAAAACAAAUUAUGAUCAUUUUUAGUAGGAAUUAAUCUAAUUAAGUUACUGGGUUUUAGUUGUCUCCCUCUGUUUUGGAGUGAUUUGGGUUUUAGUGGGUGGUUGCUGAGGGAAGUGCUGAAGAUUGAUUAAAGAUUUGAUUUUUAUGUGCUUUUGCCUUGGAAAAGAGAUGGUGUUGGUAGGCGGGAGAAUCAUAGAUUUGUGUUCUGUGUAGGAUUUUUAUGUCUUUGUAGCAUAAUAUGAGGAAUUAUGAAAUCCUAUUUAUUAGGAAUUUUCCCGUGAUUUUUGGCUGUUAUUGGUAUUUGGGGCUGCUUCCUUAUAAGCUAUUUAAUUGUGGUUUGUUUUAUACGGUUUGGGGACUUCUGCGCAAAUUUAUACAUGCUAGCUUUGUUCGGACUUUCAUAUUUUCAUUUCCCUGUUUCUAGAACGGCUUUGUUGGGAUUUUAGCUGAUGCCCUUUUCGUAGUUUGUCUUAUUUUACCACAUAUAUUGACACAAAGCCAUAUAGUAGGACUCGAAGAAAGUUACUCCACGAAAACCGUACGUAUAUCAAAUUAUCAUUCCACUCAGCAUUCUGAUUCAUAAAUCGUAGUAAGUACACUUCCACCAAUAAUCUGAAUUGAGGCUUGUAGUUGAGCCGUGCAAACUUUGUCAUUGAUUUUGAAAAAAACAUAUUACCACACCGAGUACAUCUGCGAAACAGCAUGUCUCCACUUGUCAUGGUCAUGUAUUUAGAAUUGAAGGAAGAGGGAAGGAGAGAUUAACUCUAGUCAUCUGAUAUUAUGCAAUGUCUGGGAUUAAGGGCUUAUGAGUGAGUAAACAGUUGACUCGCAGAUUUGUGUUGGCAAGUUUCUUGGCUUCAAAAACUGUCACGCAUUCAUUAUUACUGACAUCAUCCAUUGUCUUGAGGAAUUUCUUGAGCUUUUUAUUUUUUUCAGGAAAGAAUGUAAUGCAAGUAUGUUGCACCCAAGAUUCAAAGUUUAAGGCCAAUGUGACAACUGAAGAAUUUCUUCCUCAUCAAAAUGGUGAUCUGACAAUCAUGUAUGACGUAAUCAGAACGUAUGGCUCUAAUUACUGGGCACAAGUUACGAUCUCCAACCAUAAUCCCCUUGGCCGUCUUGAUAACUGGAAAUUGAGCUGGGACUGGAUGAGAGAUGAGUUUAUCUUUGCAAUGAAGGGUGCAUAUCCUGCAGUGGUUGAUACUUCUGAAUGCAUCUUUGGCAAACAGGGUCAGUUUUAUCAAGACCUUGACUUUUCCACCGCCCUGAAUUGUGAGAGAAGGCCAACCAUAGUUGACCUGCCUCUGGCAAAGACUAAUGACACAAAUCUGGGGAUGAUACCUUUUUGUUGCCGGAAUGGGACAAUUUUGCCACCAUCUAUGGACCCAAGCAAGUCAAUUUCGUCAUUCCAGAUUAAUGUUUUCAAAAUGCCACCGGAUAAUAAUCGUUCCCAGCUAAAUCCUCCACAGAACUGGAACAUCACUGGCACAGUGAAUCCUGAUUACCAGUGUGGACCUCCAGUACGGGUAAGUCCCAGUGAAUUUCCAGACCCAAGUGGGUUGCUCUCAAAUACUGCUGCUGUUGCUAGCUGGCAAGUAGUCUGCAAUAUCACACAACCGAAGGGAGCAAGCCCAAGAUGCUGCGUAUCAUUUUCUGCUUACUACAAUGAAUCUAUCAUACCAUGCCAAACAUGUGCUUGUGGUUGCCCUUCUACUAGUACUAGUACAUGUAGUGCCAAGGCUCCAGCUCUCCUCCUGCCAUCACAGGCUCUCCUCAUUCCUGUUGAAAAUCGAACUCAGCUGGCCAAGGCUUGGGCUGGUCUUCACCAUUUUCCAGUGCCAAAUCCACUGCCUUGCGCAGAUAAUUGUGGUGUCAGCAUCAAUUGGCACGUGGCUACAGAUUACAGAGGUGGAUGGUCUGCUCGUAUUACAAUUUUCAACUGGGACGAUUCCUCUUUUCCUGACUGGUUUGCAGCAGUUGAAUUGGACAAAACUGCUUCUGGUUUUGAAAAGGUUUACUCUUUCAACGGAAGUACCUUAAGUGGUGUCAACAACACUAUUGUUAUGCAGGGUAAGGAAGGCUUGAAUUAUCUGGUGGCAGAAUCGGAUGGAGCUGACCCGCAGAAGGAUUUCAGAGUGCCCGGGAAGCAACAGUCAGUUAUCUCAUUCACAAAAAAGAAUAUACCAGGAGUUGACAUUGCUGGUGGUGAUGGAUUCCCCACUAAAGUUUACUUCAAUGGAGAGGAAUGCUCCCUCCCCAGAAUACUUCCAACCAAUAAUUCCUACAGGAUGGGCUCAUCCAUUAUCAUCUCUCUGAUUUUUGCCCUUGCAGUUUUCUCGUUUAUGCAGCAAUAACAAUGGAUUAGGUGUGUGAUUCAUUGAGAAUUGUGCUGCUCAUUCGUUUAUUCUUUUAUUGGUGAAUCAGCUGAUGACAUACCAAUUGGUCAGUGUUCAGUGUUUCGGUGAGAGAACUUCUGCAUCCAACCAUCGGUAGACGUACAAAUUGCUGCUACAAAUUUGGUUGUCGAUUCUCAAUGGUGAAUGUUGUGCAGAAAACCAUACUUGGGCUCGCAGCCACCACAUCUAGCUUCCAUACCAUGCUUUAUAGUUUUGUACAAUUCAUGUUUAUUCGCUUAUAUCAUUAUCUCCUGAAAGUGCAUUACAGUGAUUUUUUAAUUAUUUCUUUCUCUAGCUUCUUGAAUUACCAAUGCAGCUUGAAUGAGAAAAAGGUUGGGAAGUAAAAGGCAAAAUGUUGGCUUGUGAACUUCACCGCAGGAGUCAUUUUUUGGCUGUUUAACGGACUAGCUUAGGAAAGGACAGCUACAGAUUGAUUUUGGGCUUGCGCUCUGAUACGUUUUUGCCAUUUCUUGCCACAUCGUUGCAAUUCCGUGAGCGUAUACAAGGAAAGAUGAAAACCAUAGAAAGUUCUAUACUAUACUAUAGUCUUGGGGUUGGGGCAAAAUCAGGCUCAAGUUUAUUGAAAAACAAAUAUGCAAGACUCAAAAAUUGGUACCGCAAAACGGAGUGAAUGUGCACCAUUGGAUUUCUGAACAGAAAACAAAAGAAUUUUGUUAUUCGUUAGAUACAUAUAGUAUACCAAUAGCGUACGCUGGAAGGUAGAAUUUCUACCAAUGAUUUGGUUCUAGCAUCAAUUACUUGUGGAAUAUACCCACAAAUGUGGAGAACUUCUGACUGAAUUGGUUGUUCCACUCUACUAAACAUUAAUUGUUUGGAAUGCCAACCUUUGGUAGAAUUAUUCAACCUUAUUAGUAUUCUUUUGUUCGAGUUCAAAAUAACAAUAUGGAAACUAGCUAAUUAUUCAAUCUUAUUAUUCUUUUUGAGUGUGUUUGGAUUGCACCUUACCUUAUUCAUACACACACACUGACUUGCUUGCAUCAUUAACACAUUUUCGAAUCAUUUUUUUAUCUCACAUAUUAUAUAUAUAUAUAUAUAUAUAUAUAUAUAUAUUACUACAGCAUUUUUUUUUAAAAAAAAUUAUUCCAAAUAAUCUCCUAUCUAAAAUAUUCAGCUCAUCAUUCCCAACAACAUACUUAGAUCUAGUGUGACGAUAUUAAGGCUUGAAGACCAUGAUCAAUUAAGAACGACAUGAAAAUCCCACAAACCAAUGAAGAGAUUCAUUUCCAUCAAAUAAUUAUUGAGUGAUAAGAAACAAUUCGAUAGGAUGAAGGAGUUGGCUUAUAAAGGCUUAGAAACACAAUCUAGCACGAAAACAAUUGGGAAGAGCAUCAAACAAAAUCUGUACAUAAUAAUUGAUUCCAAAAGGAAAAGGCGAAAAAAAAAUUCCUUAUUUGAAUUAUGAAAGGGCUCAAGUUUGAUAAAAAUACGAGGAAAUUAUCCCCAAACCAAAAAGACUUGCAACCAAAAUGAAAAAUACCAAAGCAAGUGCCUAAUUCUAGCUACAAUCACCUACCUAAAGCCAGUCAAAAUUUUGCAUGCAUGCCUUUGCACAUCACGCAGCAGUGUCAACACAUUUCUUCACCUUACCCCGGCUGAUUCAUCUGACUACAUUCUUCCGGCUUAACCUCAAAAACAACCCCUUAAAACCUAUUCACACCAAGUAGUCAAAACCAAGAUGUUUUCCUUUUGAGUGAACUAGGAGCUGAAUCUCCUAGCCGAAUGGAGAUCACUUAGCUCUAACAACUAUAUACACCAUUAACCACAAUCUUUAAGCCAUCUACACUAGAGAUGAGGCAUCAUACUGGGAACUUAUCCAAAGGAUAACCAUCAAAUCCAAAUUCACUUUCCACUGAUCCAAUGCCUUCUUGCUGUUACAAAGCAUAAAAAAUAAGUGAGCUAUCAAGCCAAUGGCUUGUGUAUAAUAUUUAAUACUUUCAAAAACAAGCUGCAAAAAGGAAAGGCAACAUCAAACUCACUUGUUUAAGAAGAGCACUCAUGAGGUCCUCCUGGCCAAACUGUUGAGGGAAGAGGUUAUUUUGGCAACCAGAAUCUGGAAGCCUUUCAGCCUUAACCCUUAGAGUAUUGUCAGCUACAAAUGAAUUGAAUUGUUGCCCAAAUUUUGAAUUGUUACAAUGUGCACCUUCCCCACCUGAGAAGAUUGCAUCCCCAAUAGACACAUUUCUAUCUUUCUGGCUAGAAGAGAAGCCUUGUUGAACUAAGCUUGAUGGCGAGACAUCUAGGCUUCCUUGUAAAGCUGAAUGUUGGGAGGCAUCAAAGGUUGACCCAACAUUUUGCAUACCCCAAUCCUGGGCUUUAUGUUGUUGCAAUUCAUUGAAUAUAUCAUAACUAUGAAUAAAGCCUCUCGAUCCUUUUACUUCUGAACUGACCUCUUCUUGAAUGAUUCCCUUUGAUGUUAGAGAGGAAAUUCCAGAGUUACUCACCUGAGCAAAACUAUUACCGGGCAAUUCUGCACUUUUGUUAAUGGAAAAAUCCACCAAUGAUGAUGCUUGGGACACUGGGUUGUAAACUGCUCCACGAACAUUGUCAACAAUACCAUUUCGUGAUAGGACUCCACUAUGUAUGCCAUUUGACAAAAUAGGUUGACCUAUUGAUGAUUGAAGCCUAGGAACAUGAUUACCUUUAUUUUCAUUCAACAUCUGUGUCCUGGACAUCGGGUGAGACAUCUGUACUAGUAAAGAGCUACUUUGGCUUGCCUGGGGAUUCACUUGCAUAUUAAGGCCACCAAAUGUUUGGGCAGAUUGGUUCAAACUUGCUAGUUGUUUCGGCUCCAUGUUUGUCGGGAUUCCAUGAAGUAAAUUUAUUUGCUUGCUAUUAUUGUUCAAUUGCUGCUGCCCAUCUCCAAAUCUUAAUUUUGGUGUUUCGAAGCUAAAGAGGUUCCGUUGGUCAACCAUAGGCAUUGAUAUGGAAUUUUUUGUGGUAGGCCUACCAAGUGCUUGGAGCGAAGCAAGACUCUGUGCCGGAAUAUGACCAGUGGCAGCAAGAGCUUGAAGAUCAAGCCCACCAAGUGAGGACAUGGAAGCGAAAGUUGCUUCAGGAGUUCCCAUAAAAGAACUAUUGAGUCCAUUCUGGUGUGAUGAUACACCACUCAACCUUCUUAAAUAGAGCCGAUAUUUCUGCACAUCAGAUAAUUAAUUUAAGAACACGUGUUAUGAUCAAAAUUUAAUUCAUGUGAUAAUUCUCAAAAGAAUUUUGGAGUAGAAAGCACACGAAACGAAAGGUCAACAUACUUGAAGGUGGCUUGCAACAUUUUCUCUUGUUAAUCCAGGGACAUUCAUCAAUUCCAAGAUUUUCUUUGGAACGGCCUCUGCAUUCAUGCAGCAAUAUCAAAAGAAUAAACACAGUAAAGAUUAUAAAGAUAAGUCGUGAAACUUGAACCUAUUAGAUAGCUUAUCAAACUUUUACCCAACCAUUUGGAAGCAAUAUAUUAAAAAGUUCUGUCUAACCACAAGGCAGAUAUGUGACAACGAUACUAACCAUCACUAUCACUAUCAGCACAUUAUAGAGAUUUCAAAUGAAUGUGCAAAAUAAGAUUUGAAAAUUUAUCCAAUUUUUCAAUUCUAAACGGCAAUGGAGGACGACAUCAAUUCAAUGGUGAAUAAUACAAAUACCAAACUUAUAAACUGAUGGAAUUUGCUAGAAUAAAAUAAUUGAGAAAUAAAACUUGUGUACAAUUCAAAGAUAAUAGGGGGAAGGAAAGGUAGUUGGUUCAUACUAUCAAUUCCAAGUUGAUUAACAGCAGCUACGAAUUGUUGGUGUAGCUCAACUGACCAAACUACACGUGGUUUUUUCAAUGAAGAUGUAUCAUCCUUUUCCUCAGGUUCAUCUUCCUCGUCCUUUCUUCUCUUUGAGGUUUUCCAGUUUCCUUCCGUUGCUGAUGAUGAGUAAUCAACAUCCUCAAGUGGUUUCACUAGUCUUUCUCCUUCUUCUGCACUUCCUGAUUGUUCAAAAUCCUUGUCCUUCCACUCAUGCUUCCGUUUGCGAACCACAUGCUGCCAUAUGUUCUUCAAUGCCUCGAUGCGGACUGGUUUGAUCAGAUAAUCACAUGCACCAUGAGUAACACCUUUCAUCACAACAUUUUUACUGUCGUCCGCUGACAUCACUGCAAUCACAUAACGUGAUGUCAGAAUUUCAAUCGAGUUGAAAUCAAUCCAAUCCAAAUGAAAAUGGGUACUUACUGAUAACAGGCAAGUCCAUCUCGAGACCAACUUGCUCGAGCAGCUUAAAACCAUCCAUAUCUGGCAUGUGAACAUCGCUUAUUACUAUAUCAUACCCAUUUCUGUUAUCCCUUAGCAGCUUCAAUGCAAUCUCAGCUCUAUUACACUUGGUGACUGCAAAUCCCAAGAACAUUCAAUUUAAUUUUCAAGCAAUUUCAAAUCAAUACAUCCAACCAGAUAACAUAAAUAGAUCAAGAAACUUUAUUUUCAAUUUUUUUUUUUUUUAAAAAAAACAAUGGAGGACUUUGCACACACCAUAAGAGAUCCAACACUAAUUCACCCCACCAAUAUUGUACCAUAAAAACAACCAAAAGUCACGCUAAAAAUUGAAUCUUUACGCUACCCUGCAUUCCUAUUCAGUGAAAACAAACUAAAGCUUCACAUCAAGGUUGAAUCUUUCCCACCGAAGUAUGAUUUGGAAGCAAACAAUAAAAAUGACCAGGUUUACUAGUGUUAUGAUAGUUCACUGAAACCUGGACUACCCAAAUUAAAGACUUGGGCUCCAAAUAUAAACAUAAUAGAAUAGAAAGCAACCAAAAUUGAGACAACUAGAACCAAUCAAAAUCAAAUUAACAAGCUUUAUUUAUGGUCUAUACCUUCGUAGAGGCAGUUUCUGAGCAUCUUUUCCAAGAUCCUGAGACAAGUGGGAUCAUCAUCAACAACCAGAACCCGCAGACCCGCCGGAAACUGGUCGGAAACCACAUCACCGGACUUCAAUGAAGCACUAGAGCUGGGAGCAGACAUGGCUUUUGCAGUUUGACCACCACCAAGAUUCAUGUUCCUAAUCCAACCUUCAAUACUUAUAUUCCUCACAUACAGUGAUUAUAAACACUUAAGCCACACAAAAAAUCACAUAUUUCAAGCUUACGAGGAUUCAGAAUUUUGUGAAAGCCAAGUUCAAGAGAAUCUGUGAUAAAACACAAGAGAGAGUGAGAAUUUUAAAGGAAAGAUUUUUUUUUUUCCUCGGAGAGAGAAAUGGAGAGAAAAGGAAGAGAGGGAGGAAAAAUGUGGAGGAGUAUUUAUAUUGGAUGCUAGUUGCAUGUGCAUAUGUGUGCGAUUGAGAAUGGAGACAUAUCGUGGCUACGCCAUAAGAGUUGAAUACUAUAUAUUUAUUAGGAUAUUGUGUGCUCCAAUUUAUUUUGAUUUUUAAAUUUUUUUAGUAUUGGUUUGUUAUUUGAGGGGUGGGUCAACCCGAGUUGAGUGCGAGUUUGGAUACAGCUCACGUAUGAGCUUCACAAACCCCACGUCCAGCUCAAAUCAUUGUAUAGUACAUAGGUGUUACAUCCUCCAACCGAAUGAUGAUUGUGUUACUUUAAGUAAACUAAUUGAAUAUGGUAUUAUUAUUCAAAAUAAUUAUCAUAAUAUUUUGUAUAAUGUGAUGCAUGUGAAAUAAACAGAUACUUAAAAAACGUGUCUUGUGAUGCAAUCAAAAUAAUAUUUGAAAAAAAUUGUGUAUCUAAACAAAAAGUAUGCAAUCAAAAUAUGUUUUCUUGCAAAAUUUGGGGAUAUUGUUAUUACAAUUUUUUAAGGAACUUAUUCACUAAUUUAUGUGAAAUUGGGUUAGUAAUUAUUUUAGGAAACAUGUUUAGUUUGUAUUGCAAACUAUGAUUAUUUAUGUUCUAGCACAUAUAUUCCCACUUUUUAAGGGUUCAUCGAUUUAUGUGGUAAAAUAAUAAUCAAGAUUCCUUUUUUUUUUUAAACCCUCGUGCUCUUUCCCGCACUCAGAUUGCGAGACACGGAGUUCAAACUUUGAACAUAACCGAAAUUCAAAUUAUAUGUUGUUGCUUAUAUUUAACAUGUGGUUGUUAAGGAUCAUAACAUAUCAAAUCUUGGAAAAUCAGCAAACUUGGGAGGAUCAUAGAAAUCUUUUCACCGUAAAUGCAAGGAUCAUAUAAAUCUUUUCAUCAUAAAGCCAUUUAUAAUUUGUUUGUUUGGUAAAUCUAUGUUGAUAGGUAAAUAUUUACCUUCCCCAAUUGACCCAUCCGUUAGUUAGUGUUUUAAUUUGAAUUCUUCCCUUAUUUUCAGUGCAUUUAGUUAUCAAAUAAGCAAUAUUCUUUUUUCCCUAUGAAAGUUUAGUACUUUUGUGAGUUUUGGAUACAUUAAUAUUUAACAUUAUUAUUCUUUACCAAAUUGUCCACAUCAAUAUGGAUAUCAACGGACGAUGACAAUAUCCUUGUAAUUUUUUCUAAGCGAGACAUUUUAAACCGUGGUUCUCAAAAUCAGAAAUUCAAAAUUUAGAUUAGGUCACAAAUUACAAAAAUCAACAUUCUUAGGUUAAAAACUCAUAAGGUUUUAACAAAUGUAAAAAUAUAGUCUUUUAUUUCCUUUUAAGGCAAACAUAUGGAAAAAUGUGAAAUAAAUGAAAUAAAUGUUAGCCCAAAAAGUAAGUUUUUCAAUUCAAAUUUAUAGUUCUUAACACCUAUGUCAUUGUAUUGUAAAUGUUCAAGCACCAUACUCUCUGGAUCAAGACUAAAAGGAACAAACUAUUUGGCAAAUCUCACCAUAAUAUCGUGAGUUGAAACAAUUAGUCAGCAGAGCUGACAAGCAUGCACAGAUAUUUGUGAGGUUACAAUUAUUUUAUCUUAAUUUUAAAAAUAUUUGUGGAGUUUUAAAAUGCAAUUUUUAUCUCUUAUUUAGAUCCGUUGUAUCCAUUUUUUAGAUUUAUUUUUUUUGUUGAUAUCUUUGAAUAUUUGAUGACGUAACUUCUGCCAUUAGUGCAUAUUUUAAUAAAGUUAUGAUGUUUUAUUAAUAAAAAUUCUAGAAAAGUAUUCAAUUAGGGAUUGAAUUGUAAUUUUGAAGCGUGAAGUGGUAUGAUCAAUAUUCUACUGGCCAUAUUUUAAAUUUUACAAAGGAUAAUAAGAUUUUACGACAGAUAAGUGUUUCAACGCAUUUAGAAUAAGAAAUGGAAAGAGGAUAACUGAAUUUCUUAUAUUGAAAAGGAAAAUUGAAGGCAUGGUCAAAACUAAAUCAGUAAUCAAUGAGUACAGUAAAUCUGAGAGACUACAUAGGCUACCAACCAACAUGUGCAAUUGAAGUUACAUAAAGUAUGAGGGGAAGUAUUUUGUAGACUCGCAAAAGCAAAUGCUAGAAGUCUCCUAGAACCAUACUGGAAAUUUCUUUCAACUUUCUUGAGUUUCAUUCGGUUCCCCCUCUGAAGUAUGACUGCUAAACCUGAAUAAUCUUUAAAAUGCCAGAAAAUUCCUACCUAGUAAAGCAUAUUAAUUUAUUAAACGCAAUACACACAUGUAUAUAUAUAUGCACAGGACAGGGAAAGUAACAAAAUAGCAAUGGUGAUUUUAAACGCCUAACAGCCUCUUGACUGAAGGUGUUUUAGCAAAAUGUCAGACCUAGGGGAUGAGAGGAGACCAUAAUAUAUGCAUAUUUCUUUCGAGUUGAAUCUUGAAUUUACUCGAGUUCUGAAAAAGCUUUCUGCAAUAUGGCAUUCUUUAUUAUUACUGGUUAAUAAAGGUUAAAGAAAAGUACUAGUACUACUCGCUGAUUCCCGUGAAAACCCUAUACAAAAAAGCGAAUCCAAAUAGUACAUUACAAUUACAAUUUCUGAAUCCAAAUAGUUACUCGAUAUUAGUAUCAUUGAACAAUCUUUUUGUUUCUUUUCUUCAGCUCUUCUUUUCAAGCAUGUCUUCUGAUGGUGGCCAUUCUUCGGUACUCUUCUUCCCUUGUUUUUGUUUGUAGCAUGUACGAGCAGUACUUUACUUUUCUUUUCUUUUCUUUUUUUUCUCCCUAUUUUCUCUCUCUUUCUCUCUCCCAUAUGACUCUUUUCAUGUUUUGGUACCUCAUUUUUCUUUAGCCCUUUUGUAUAUAGACUUGGUCUUCCCCUCUGUCGCCACUUGUUCGUUCCUCAAAAGUCUGGAUUGAUGCAAUCUUGGAGGCCUAUCAACAUCUUGUUCUUAAACAUUCGUCCUUUUCCCUUAAUAAUAGCGCAUGAUAGUACCUAAAUAGGUGAACUAGUGUGAAUACCCGUGCGUAGCACGGUGGUGACAUUAUUAAAAAAAAAUAAAAAUAAAUAUAAUAUCUAUUUAAUAAUAAUUUGAAAUAUGAUAGAAUGUGUAUAUUAUUUAAAAAUUAUCUUUUUCAGAAGAUAGAUCCUGAAAAAAUAAUAGAAAUUUAUAUUAGAAAAUGAAUGAUAUAUGAAUAAAAAUGAAUGUAAUUAAAUGUUGUUAAAAUGAAAUACUUACAAAUAUUAUGUAUUCGAUUUGAUAAUUUUGCAUGAAAGUGCGAAAACUCUUCACACCAAUCAACUUUUAGUAUGAAAGCCAAAAUUAGUGAUUUAAUUAAUUCUGUUGAAUUUUGUGGAAUGCGUACUACAAAUGAAAAUGCACGAUCUUUGCAUGAAUUGAUUCGUUGGUUGAACAACAUAUCACCAUUGUCCUGAGAAUUAAGUACGUGUGAAAUUCAAAAUUAGUGUAUUUUUAUAUAGUUUAUAAAUAGCAUUAUAAAAAAUAAACAUAUAUCAAGAAAUUUUACCUUUAUUUGUAAUUCUCUGAAAUAAGAAGCAUCACAACCAAAUACUAAUCGUACAUGUCUGUCCUGUAGAUUAAGACGUGUGUUACCACUGGAAUCUUUGAUUUGUAUGUUAACAUAAUACCUGUUUGACAAAUAAAAUGUUAUAUAUAAUACAGAAAAAUUUGUUGAAAUUAAAGGUACAUGAAAUUAAUUACCUAACAACAGUGUCGACCACGUCAUUAUAAUGCAUAUAUACUGUUUUUGAAAAAUGACUUUCACAUAAUUGUCCACAGUUUUUGCAUAGCUCAUAGAACAUGUUUUCUAUAUUAAUUAAUGUUCUGAAUGUAAACAAGUAUUCGAAGAUAUUUAAUCUAAUAAGAAUAAAAUAAGAUAUAGGUUAUAAUUAUAAAUUUAAAAAAUUUGUGCAGUAAUUAAAUUAAAUAGAGUAAGUUUAUUGUAUGCAUAAUUAUAUAUUCGGAUAUUCAUAUUUUAUUUGAAUUUGCUUUCAACACUACUUAUGAUGUUGUAAAAUUGUUUGACCUCAACCACAUAACUAACUUUCGAGUAUAUGUAUCAUUUUCAAACUUACAAUUUUUCGAAAUACAUGUUGAUAAGAGUUUGAAACAAUAUUAAAAGUUUGAUGUAGUGUUACUGAUGGAACUCACCAACUGUACAGGUAUAGUAUAAGUAAAAGUAUUUGAUUUAUCUCUGAAAUUUCGUACGCAAAUAUCACAUGCUAAUAAAAUAUUAAUUUUUAUAGCAGACUGAUAUUAUAGGAUUUGUAGUAUAUUCAAUAACUUGAUACUCAAAUCACCGAUGAGCCAAAAUUUGCCUAAAUAAACUUUACAGUGUCCUGACUACUUGUAAAAAAAAAACGCUAAAUAGCUCUAAUUGGCAUCGCAAGUUAUGGCAACGUGCCAGUGGCAUCUAGGCCUAUCUUUUUUUUUUGGGUCAAAAUCUGGUCCUAAUUGGUUCUGUUGUUUCUUGAUCAUGUUGUAUGCUUCCGAAUUAAAAUUGUAUUCAAAAAGUAUGUGACGAGCAUGUGUCUUUAAUGAAGGAGUAAAAAGAAUUUAAAGUACAAAUAACAAACUAUAAACUAUUUAUGAAAUAGAUUAUGGGAAAGUUUUAAAUUUUAAAUUUGACUGGUGAUAUGAUUGAUUAUAACCCAUUACAUUUUAUGUAUUAAAAUAAAUACAAAAAUCUAUUACCCACUACUUGUUUCGUUCUUGUGAUUUUUCUUAGAGUUAAAUAUAGUAAAUCCCUUAACUUUACAUUCAGCUGCACUUUAUCCCCUCAACUUUACAUUUAAUUGCACAUUUGUGAUUUUUUUGAAACGUGAUUGUAAUUUGCAAAACUCAUUUGUAGGGGUGGUUAUAGGGUUAGUGCGGUGACAAAUAUUUCUUAAUUAUAAAAAUGUAAUAUUGUAUUAAAAUAGCAUACGAAUGAGCAUUUGUUUUUAAUUAAGAAGUAAAAAAGAUUUAAAGUAUAAAUAACAAACUAUAAAUGGUUUAUGAAGUAGAUAAUGGGAAUGUUUUAAAUUUUAAAUUUAAUUGGUGAUAGGAUUAGUUAUAACCCACUACUUUUUAUGUAUUAAAAUAAAAACAACAAUCUAAAAAAAGAAUGAGAAUUUUGGAAACCAUUGAGAGGGUCUUUGCUAAAAAUCCCUUUCUGCAAUACGUAUAGAUACAGAUUUUAUCCGCUCUGAUUUUACAGCACCCCUUUUCAGGAAAUAAAAUAAUUUUCACAGAUGAGCCAACAUUCAUCCAUGUUAUGUUCCACUUGUAGUAACAAGGCCAUGAGCAGUGUACACCAAUCAGUACGUGUCAACUGUAGUUGGGGAGUGCCACGUCUUGCUAUUAUUAUUAUAAUUUUUUUGUCAAUAUAGAGUGUAUCUUAGUUUUGCUAGACUAAUCACCUUGCACUUGAAGUACCCCGCGCCCAAGAGUACCCAGGCAUUAAGAGAGGUUCGAACCCUAGAUCUUGGGAUCUGAAUGGCUACCCCAAGACCAGGUGAUCUAACCCCGAGGGGCUUGUGCCACAUCUUGCUAUUGAGUCAAGAAACUGCGUGUGAAUUUAAUGUCAAUUUAAUUAAUUUACCAAUAGGAAAGAAAAAUACUAGUAAGUCUUUCUCUCAUGCUAGCUAGCCAAAAAAAAAAAUGAUUUGAUCUAUAGUUUUUUUUGACAAGUAGUUUAAGCAGUAUCAGUAAUAUGAACUAGAAUGGUCUUUUAAUUAACGUAUUUUCGAUGUAAUGACAAUCAAUGGGUGAAAUGGAUAAGAAUGGCGAGGUGAUGUAAUCUUGUACUAAGACAAAUGGUACAUUUUUGUAUGUAAUUCUUCUUCUUCUUGGUUGGUUUGUUUUUUUUUUUUUUUUUGUCGAAAGACUUUUGUGAUUUUACAAAUCUAAUCCCUGAGUAAAUCUCAAAAGUCGGCAACUCUUGAGAUUUCUCAAGAGACUUAUAAACCCACCUAAAUCCCCUCCCAACCCCGAUGUGAAAUAAUCAUAUAAGGAGGGCAGCUGCUGCUAAGACCUAAAGAGACCCCGCUGGUUGGUUUGUUUGAAACUUUAAAAGUUAAUAGAUAGACAGAGAGAGUAGUUGUGGACUUCCAAAGUAUAUUCCGAGGAACCUUUCCUCCCUUCCAAUGAAUAAUAAACUAAAGGCACGCCAUCGCUUUCCCAGUUGAAGUACCUCUAUCGCGGAAUUGGUUCCAUACUCACUUCCCAAAAAAAAAAAAAAAAUCCAUUUCUUGGGGGUACUAAUUAGUUGCUCUAAAUAUUCUAACCAUCCGAAUGAAUAAACUUGACCAACCACAAACCGUUAUCAGCAAGGGUACACAAGAAUCUUGGUUUUAGCACAACCGCUGGCUUUUUUUUACUUACUUAAAUACUUGCUUUCAUCUUUUAAUGAAUCCAUUAAUUAUUGAUUAGUCCCGUAUUUUAGUCGUUGCUUUAAGAGGCUUUUUAGCCUUUUGGUGGAGGGAGAGAUGCUUUUAAGGAAAAACGAAUAUUAUCAUAUGCAACUAGCAAGGAUGAUCGUUCGAGCACUGUCUCACGCGCGAAUUAAACAAAGCGUUGAUGGGGAGCGGGUCUCAGGGCACGAGAUCACGACACGUGGCAUCCAGCGGAAGUUGAAGGGGGAAAAAAAAAGUCUACAAGGCUGCUUUUUUCUUCAACAAAUGUAAUGUUCCCUUGCGGCUCUUUUGCCUCUGGCUCUGGAAGGACUGGUGCCAUCCCAUUAUCUCAUUUCAAUGCCCUUUCUUCUGCUCCGUGGCUUUAGCGUUCAGUUUGCUGCUGAUGAAUAUACCCGUCACUUUUUGAAUGCAUGCCAUGCCUGUGUUAAUACCCAAAAAAAAAAAAAAAACUGACAUUUAUAUUUUAUAAAUUAAUCUUUUGUACGGCAACACGAUAUAUACACUAGCAAGAUUAGAUGCACGUCAAAUAUACAAAAUUCAUAUUUUAAAUUCAAAUUUAAAUUUAAUUAAUAUCCAUCCAAAUUCGAUAGUGUAUUAAAAAUAAAAAUCAACCCGGGUUUUAUACAAUAAUUUUCUUUUUUCCGUCAAGGGUUCUUGCGUUCUCAACUUAAGCAUGCUCGUUGAGACUUGACUACUAUUCAUUGUCCGAAGUACUUCUUGAAUUUGCAAGAGAGAGAGAGGUCUUUGUUUGUUUUUUUUUUUUUUUGGGUGAGUGGAUUCCUGCUUCAUGUUAGAGGAUGCAUGUUAGAGAUGGUACUCACAUUGCAUACUUGAAAAUUAUAUUAUUAACUAAAAAAAAAAAAAACUCCUUCGAGUAGGCCUCAAAUUGUUUGGUAAUAUUCAACGCAGACUCCUCCAUGUCUUCGUGCACCUAAUUAAAGAUGGUAACGUAACGCUACAAAACAACCAGGAUUCCCAUCGUUGCACGUAAUGGAUCAUAAACAAAAACAUUCAGAUUCGAUGAUGGUUCAGUCCCGUUAAUUUCCUGUGAUAUCAUCCUUCAAAAUAUGUUAGAGCAAAAGUAAGAAUAAGCGUCGGUGAUACUAAUUGAUAAAAUUUUUUUUUUUUUAAAAAAAAGAUCAUAAACCAAAACUGGCCAGCUUGGUUAAUUGCAGACGGAAUUAUAUAUGAUAGAAAAUAAUUAAGCCAUGUUUUGGGCUAAAGAAAAAUUAAUUGAGAUGGAUCACGAUUUCAGGUGACAUGAUAGCACAGCAAAUGCCAAUAAUAGUUUGUUAUCUCGCGGGAAGUCAAAGUAGACGACUUUGCUGCAGUGAAUGUGGAUGAGUGGUGCCGGUGCGAGAGGACAGGAGCCAGGACUGAGGAGAGACAUUUGACUUCCAGGCUCCAGCUGGGCAUGAAAACGAGAUUUGCAGUUUGCAAGUGACAUAUAAUUACUACUGCUAGUACUAGUGGUCUAGUAUAUAUAUAUAUAUUAUAUUGCUGCUUUUGCGUUUCCACUCAUUAGGCCGUUAUGGACCAAACUUCUUAAUUCCAACUCUAUCUAGGGGCUGUCAAUCGGCACAAUGAUGAAAACUUUAUAGAUUUUUUUUUUUUUUGCAUUAUUCAUCGUAACACUUUUUUAACGUAAUAUACGUGAAAUAAAAAUGACAUAGAAAAAAUAUAUUUUACAAAAAAUAAGAGUUUUUUUUUUUUUUUUUCAAAUUCUUUCCCUCAGUUUUUCUGUUAUCUACUACGCGUUUGAAGGUGAUCCGAGGACUUCUAAUUUUGAAGUUAAUCACUAGAGCAAACAGCAAAGAAAUUUCCUGGAUUGUCAUGAAACGGUCCAAAUCAGAUGACCAGUUUCUCUCAUGUAGACUGAAGGAUAUGCAAGCCUGUCCACACGUGAAUAUUUAUUUAAGGUUGAAGAACGAAGUAACAUUUGUCCAAUAAAUGCAGAUAAUCCUAAUCCACGCAGAUGUGCUGUUCUGUAUUUGAAAUUACGUACUGUUACAGUUGAAGUUACGACAAAUCAAUUUAUUUGGACUUGAACUCCGUCAACUCAUGAAUCAAAAUUCGGCUAAGCAAAUGUAAGAAAUUAUUUUGGUGGAAGAUAUCGGUCAGUCAAGAGGGUUGUUUUCAUACGUGCUCUUUUUGUCUAGUUAAAAAUGAAAAAAUUCAAUUAACCUCUAAGAUUAGCAAAUAUGCUUUGGGCAUCACUUUAGACGAGGAACCCUUGUUUCCUCAGCGUCAAGAAAGAACACUGAAUGUAAAGUCAGGUCGAACCUUUGCUUGCAAUUAUACAUUUUUUGAAAGCAACACAAUCAAUUGUUGUUUCGGAAAAAAUAUGUAUAAAAAAAAUUAUUUGCUUACUCAUAAAUGAGUUGUAAAAUAAAUAAAUAAAUAAAUAAAUAAUAAAGGAGGGCCGGCCAACAAAUACCCGCAUCCAUACAAUCCACAUCAUCAACCAACCAACCAACCAACCCAAGGGCUCUCAUUUCUCAAACAGACGUCAGACGUGUCGUGUUGGGCGAUUUACUUUAUUUAUUUAUAAAUUUUGGGAGCUGAAAUCAAACGAACACGUGGUUCUGUCUUACUACGACUGUAACGGGCCCCACGAGGCUGUAGCCCAGAAAAGACCCGAAGUUGUUUGGGGAGAAAGUGGCCCAAACACGGAAAGGCGUACUUGGAUUGGACCCCUACUCAAACUUAAGAAUUGGGCCCACAGUCUGCACGUACGUGUGGCUAUCGGACGCAUCCCUGUCAAUCAAUUCGGAUCCUACGAAGGCAAGACAGAGACCUUUUCAUCUUGGUGUUAGUCUGUGUAGAUGGGAAAAAUGGGUUAGGAGAUGGCUCACUCGCUGACAUUCGUUCGGCUCAUUCAUGUCCUUUCUCCUCUACUUUCUUUUUUAAUUCCUUUUGGAUUAACUUUUUAUGGUGACAUUAGUGUGAUCUUUUUACACUAACGAUGAUAAUGAAUGUAUGUCAGAUGUACAUGAUUUGAAUUUCAAAUUUAAAUUUAUGUUAUACGACAUGAUUUAAACAUGUUAGUGUAAAAAAAAAAAAUUACACUAACUGACUGACAAUGUAUGAAAUACUUACUCAUUUAUUUUUAUGAUGCUCUAUUUUAUUUUAUUUAUUUAUUUUUGUACACAUUUAUUGUCCCCAGCACAACAUUGCAAUUUUUUCCUUCAAAUUGAUUGGUUUGUGUGCCUUCACGGCUUUGAGAUUAUGAAAGUUUUUACUGUUUCGACUUAAGUUGAAGCACGUCUUAGAAUUACACAGUCAUAUCAUAUGCCAAGGAUGAACAUUCACACACAUAAAGCCUCGAAAAGAAAAGGAAAUGCAAAUAAAUGAUUCAUUUCAAGUCUGAAAUUUGCUUGGACAGACGAGAACCGACGCCCAGUCUGGCAUUGCUUCUGGCUGGGCCCCGUCAUUAGGCUUGACUCGUACACACUUUCAUCUAUGGUCCAAAACUCUCCAAAUUUGGACCUCGCAUAUUGUAACCUCACGCUUUGUUUGUUGAAGCCCGCAGGUACGACACACUUGGCUUUUUCUUUUUUUUCUUUUUUUUUUAAAAAAAAAAAUUUCUUUUUAACAAAGGAGGAGCGAGAUUUAAAAAGCAAAAAAAAAAAGAAGAAAAAUAGAAAUUAAAACCCAAGACCUCGAAAUCUUGAAACCUCAGCUUUCGACCAAAACCUCCUCGACGACAAUACACUUGGUCAGUGCAAAGGCGGAUGAGUUUUCUUGGGAACAAAUUUUCGUUGAUCUUGGUUUUGUCUAACUUGGGUUGGUAGCUACUACUACUUAGUACGUAUCACACUGUUUAUAUUUUGUGAGAAGUUGCCUUUGUGUAGUUAUGUUUAAGAGAAUGGGGUACGUUCAUUGGGUAAGUACUCAAAAGAAUAAGUAUGAAACAGAACAAAACAAAAAUUAAAGGAUAAUCUAAUUUCAAUUAGCUUUCUUAAAAUAUCAGUUUAAUCAUCUCUGACCAUAAUUACGCUUCCUCAUAAUUUGCUCUCAUAUCCCAACUAAAACAAUGCUUGUUGUACCCCCAUAUGACAAAAAAAAUUUAACUGAAGGUGCAACUUAUUCCCAGCUUUAAACAUCUUAGGAAACUAGAAGAGUCACCAUAAUAAAGGAGUUCCUAUGAGUGUAUCACUAAAAUUGGUAGUAGCAUCCAAGUUCAAGUUAACAAACAAUAGAAUAUUUCGCCGUCUAUUUCGCCCUCAAUCUAACAUUAAAAAAAAAAAAGGUUUUUAUCAGUUUACCCCCUUAAACUAUAUCCUAACUAUCAAUUUAGUCCCUAACGUUAAUUUUUAGUCACUUAAGUCUUUGGACUAACGGUCAAAUGAGAAGACAUUUUAUAAUUCACGUAAAAAGACUUGUUCAGAUCCAAUUUAAUUAUAAAUGGACAAAUAUACCCAUAAAUUGUCUUGCAAAUAUGUGAGAAUUGCUUCAAUUUGGAAAAACUCGCAUGUUCUUAUAAUUUGGCAAAUUAUGAAAAGAAAAGGACCACUAGGGAAAUUUUUUUUACUAACAUAUCACUUGAGAAAAAAUAGACCUUAUAAUGGAAUAACUAUAAAAUUUUCCUUCUAAGAUUGUUUUUGCUCGAUGACAUGCAAACAGGUUAUGAAAUUCCACACUUCGAUAUCAUCAUAUUUGCAAUGUCUUGACAAGGUAUUGCGCAAAAUAAAAAAUUUCGUAAACAAUUUAAGAAAAUAGAGGAGAGAAAAGCUUUCUAAUCCUUGUUUUAUACUUAAAGCACAAGGAGAGGGUAUUUUUGUCAUAAAAUUUUUCACCAAACUUUAGUUAGUUAGCAGGGUAAUUUAUGGGUAUAUUUGUCCAUUUAUAAUUAAGUUGGAUCUAAACAUAUCUUUUUAAGUGAAUUAUAAAACGGAGUUUUAUAAACCCGCGGGGUUAAUAAAAUUGUCCUCGUGCGGUUAAUAAAAUUUUAUUAUAGUUAAAUUUUAAUAAAUAAUCAAGUACUAAAAUAUCAACACAUCAUUAAGUUAUUAUUCAUUGUAAUUUUACAAUUGAAACUCAUAAAAACAAUCAAACAAAAGUUAUUUGAAUACAAUCCAACAUGAUGAAAUAAAUACAGCUAAAAUAGUCAAGUUUUCACUUUUGGUACAAAUACAAUCACUAAUUCAUUAUUGUAUUUGUACUUUUUUUUAAGAAAAAAGUGUUAUUCUAUUAAGUGUAAUUCGAAAUUUAGUAUAAAUGUAUUAGUAAAUUUAGUAUAACUAAUUAAUAAAUUUUAUUAGUAGACAUGUCUAAUUAUUCAUAUAAUUGAUAAUAUCAAUUAUAUUACAUACAUUAAUAUACAUUAUAUAAUACAUCUAACUAAUAAUAUCAUUAUCAUAAGUUUAUAACUAAUUAAAUUACAUAUUAUAUAUAUUUAUUUAUAUAUAUACUUUUUUUUUGCGGGUGGCGGGGCGGGGGAGUAUACCCCCGCCCCGUUUCUAAACGGGGGGAAAAAAUUCCCCCCCCGCCCCAACCCCCGCCUCGAGAGCCUCCCGCGGGCACCCGCCCCAUUGCCAUCCCUAAACGUUAGGAAUUAAACUGAUAGUUGAGGUAUAGUUUAAGGGGGUAAACUGAUAAAAAAAAAAUUACACAGAAUAAUUUAAUGCAACUUGUGAAAGUUUCUAAGAAUUUGAGGCACUUCUUUCAGAUUUCUGAACCUCCAUCUAAGUCAGUCCACCUCCAUCUGUUGUUGUAGUUUUUCAAUUAUCGCACCAAUAGUGCUCCAAUAGUUUGGAUUGUAAAUUAUUUGAGAUAUUUUUACUGUAGUAUUUUUUGUGAUAUGAUAUAUGUGAGAUAAAAAGAUAAUUGGAAAGAUAAAAAGAUGUAUUAAAAAUUAUAAUAAUAAUGUAAAUAAAUAAAUUUAAACAAAUAAUCUUCCAUCCAAACACACAUCAACAGAAAGACUUCCUGCAGAUACCAGGCACCAUUCCCAUUGCCUCACUAGGGCAACAGCAUGUGGAGUAAAGCUUCAUAGGCGGAAAAAAUUCCCCCCCCGCCCCAACCCCCGCCUCGAGAGCCUCCCGCGGGCACCCGCCCCAUUGCCAUCCCUAAACGUUAGGAAUUAAACUGAUAGUUGAGGUAUAGUUUAAGGGGGUAAACUGAUAAAAAAAAAUUACACAGAAUAAUUUAAUGCAACUUGUGAAAGUUUCUAAGAAUUUGAGGCACUUCUUUCAGAUUUCUGAACCUCCAUCUAAGUCAGUCCACCUCCAUCUGUUGUUGUAGUUUUUCAAUUAUCGCACCAAUAGUGCUCCAAUAGUUUGGAUUGUAAAUUAUUUGAGAUAUUUUUACUGUAGUAUUUUUUGUGAUAUGAUAUAUGUGAGAUAAAAAGAUAAUUGGAAAGAUAAAAAGAUAUAUUAAAAAUUAUAAUAAUAAUGUAAAUAAAUAAAUUUAAACAAAUAAUCUCCCAUCCAAACACACAUCAACAGAAAGACUUCCUGCAGAUACCAGGCACCAUUCCCAUUGCCUCACUAGGGCAACAGCAUGUGGAGUAAAGCUUCAUAGGCCGUCUGGUUUCAGGAAAAAGGAAAAAGAAGCGAGAACACAGUCACAUAGUUUGCUCUCGUUGAGAGUCGAACUCAAGCCGUCUGGUUUCAGGAAAAAGGAAAAAGAAGCGAGAACACAGUCACAUAGUUUGCUCUCGUUGAGAGUCGAACUCAAGACCUCCCGCUUACUAAACGGGUGCUCUAACCAACUGAGCUACGAGAGCCUGUUUGGUUGUCCGAAAAAACAAACACAUUUUGUCACCUCAUUUUAACCACUCAUGUUUCACUUUAAACAUAUUUCGCGCCCUCAAGUUUCGGUUUCAUCCUAAUUUUGUUCCUAAUCUUUGCUAUUGGCAUAUCUUGUCUGUUAUCUUUCUAAUUGCCCUAUUUGAGGACAAUUAGGGACGUAAAUGUUACUAGUGGUUGAAGUACACCCUAAAAUGUGUGCAGUUAAUAAAAAUUAUAUACAUUUAAAAUUAUCUCUUUAUAAUAUAUUUUAAUUGGUCAAAUUCUUUUAGAUAAUCGUAUGUAAAGAUAAUGGAAGUACAUAAGUUGAGUAGAUUAUGUCGGAAUUGGUAGUUAAUACGAAAAAAGUGGAUAAUCUCAGUAAAUAACUACCAUUGACUCAAAUGGUUCUCAACUAAUUACGGGAAAUUUUUUUUUAAUAAACCUAAACAAAUUUAUCCUUGUCAUUAAGGAUAUAUUAGAAAUUUUAAAAAGUGAGAUUAUGUGUUUACACCACAUAAUGAUGCUCUCACUUUUAUUGUAUUGUGUGAAUAUUCAAGUUAAAUAAGAAGAAUCCCUGAGACCCAAGUAAGCUGGUAGAGAAAUUAGGCAUUAUGUGAUCACUAGUUUGACUCUCAAUUUUUUUCCCCUUUCCGCUUGUAAUUUCUAGAAUCUUUCUUAUAGCCAAAAAAAAUGAAUGAACAAUAAAUUAAGAGCUUGUUUUAAUUGUUUUUUUUUUUCAGGAAUUAUUUUUGUUUUCGUAAUUUUUUCUUUUACAUAGUUGGUUAUAGCUUUGAAGAGCAGUUACCAGAAUAUCUCUUUUACUCAUGUUAAGAGAUUCAGAAAUAAAUUAUAUGUGUUUUGAUAGUCAUUAUUUGUACAAAAAUUAUUUAUUUGCAUCAUAAACAUAAUUUUCAACGCACAUUUUUUUAUUUUUCCAAUCAUCUUUCUAUUUCACACAAAGUUGCUACAAUAAUUAUUCUAAAUAAGAUCUCAAAUAAACUUAUCUAGCAAAAUUUGCUAUUAAAAUUUGUCAUGAUGUUAGGUGGAACGAUUCCUUUCCCUUGCCACUGCUUGAUGCAAUUCAAUCUGAUCUUAGGGCGGUUGCCCAACUUAUGUAAAUCAUAUGGUUAUGAAUGAUAUAAAAUGUUGCCGUUUUGCCCAAAAAAAAGGGAAAAAAUUACUUUCUGAUGUCACACACGUCAUAUCACAAAAGAUGAGUAUUAUAAUAAUUCUUUUUUGAAAAUUAAAAUUUCGACUCUCAAUUUAGUCUCUUGCACUCCAAUUCACUCACUUGCUAAAAGAGUACUGGAGGUUAAUUGAAUAGUGCAAAAUCACUUCUCACCAUUUUUUUUUUAAUUCAAAAACUCUCGAGAAAAUAUAGUCCAAACAAGAAUCUCUAAAUCAGUGAAUUAGAACAAACAUUCAAAAGCUAGCCACCAGGGGACCAAAUGUGCGAAGCAAGACCGAAAGGGAAUUACUUACUUUCCAUUGAAACUAGUCCACAUCUCGAGGGGUUGAAAUUGGGGUUUCGGUAACCUGUUAAGUUGUGUCUGCAUCUGUGUUUUUCUUUCUAUCUGUCCCCAGACCAGCUGUGAACUACAGCGGCAGGCAUUCAAAAGAAGGGAGAUAGGGAAUCAAAUGAGGCAGUGACGUGCGCCGUACAUUUCCAACGUCUCUUCAACCUUUCACAUUCGGCCCAUUACGCAAUCUAUUCUUGGCUUCCUUCUUGGUAGCUCAUGCUCUUUUUCUUCCUCUUAUUCCAGCAUAUCAGACAAUUUUUUCGUCAUUCUCUCUCUUAAAAAAUGUUUAAACAAAUAUAUAUAACUACAUAAGUAUAUAUUCUUUGUCAAAUAAGUACGCACGUAUGUACCAUGUACAUGAAUCUUUGGCCAGUGUAUAAUGUGAAUAUGUUUUUGGUAUAGAGAUUUUUACGUACAUAUAAACCUCUCUGCUAAAUUUGUUUUAGAAUUAGAAUUUGGCCAGUAAUGUUGGCAGAAUGCCAUAGUAUUCAGUGAGCGUUGGAUCAAAAUGUUGCAAUUUAGACACUUUUUCUUAAUGAAACAAUUUAGCUUUUGAUGAGAAAUGCUCAAGUGUGGCCUCUUAGAUUAUUAGGGCGGAAGGAAAGUAGAAGCAUUAAAUUCGUUUCUACAUAAAAAUAGGGAAGCUUUAUUAAAAUGAUGUUACGAAACAAUUAAAAGUAUGGAUGUCCAUUUGUAUUCCCAAGAGGAUUAAUUCUUGAUUUUAUGGCUACAUUAUGUAUAGAAGUUACAAUCUAUAAAUCUAUUCAUGUAGUGGAGAAACCGUUUCAUAAGUUUCUUCAUAUUAUUGUAGUAGUGGGUGUUUAAUUGGAUUUAUGUACCUUUGAUCUUGUAGUACUUAUACAUAGAGGUACAUUGACAUCAUUUGAGAGUACUUUUGUAUCUUGUUGAAAUAUAAGCAUAUCAUUCUUCCUUUCUCUAAUACUUCUUCAAUUCCUAUUGCAAUAUUUUAUUUUAUUAGUUUUAUAACAAAUGAUUGAUAUUUUGAUUUUUUUUUUUGUAAGUAAAAGGUUUUGAACCAAAAACCUCUGACUUGUAAUUUCUUUCUCCUUAUCACCCGAUCCAACCCUCCCCUAUCAUUUGAUAUAUAUUCGACCUUGGUUUGCUCUUUAGCAGCAUCGUCGUAACUGUCAGAUCAUUGAAGGGCUUACAAAGUUAAUUCUUUCCUUUUAAGAGGGCACAAAAUAAAAAAUGGAAAACAAAUAGCUACGGUGAGUGUCAGUAUCAAUUCAUUAAAACGGUCAAUGAAUGAGCAUUUUUCUAGAUGAAUUGACGCGAUCACCCUGAUUUGGAGACGAAAUAAUUAGCGAACCGGACCAGGGAAUUGCCAUCGACUUAUCGUGAGAGUUUAAUAGUAAGUAGUAUGUUUCAUUUGACAAAAUGGUACGACACUUGAGCAGUGAUGUGUUACCCUAAUGGCAAAUUUGUAGUUAAAGGCAGAGCGUUUGAUGAUCAAACUGCAUCGACUGAACUGUUGAUCUCACUGAAAAUUCGAAGGCAAAGGAGUAAUGGUCAGACACGUAUUUUGGAACCAAACCCCCGACGAUGACCAUUGUUCUCUUGUCUUGUCGGAGCAACAACAGGGAAAACAAUCCUACAUCAACUUUAUUUUAGCAAGGGAGGAAAUUAUGAUUUAAAAAAUGGAAGGAAAAUAAGGAAAGUUUAAAUCUAAAACUUUUAAUUUCUAGGAUUUCAACGUUAACAAUUACUAAUAUGUUAGUCUUUUUUUUUUUAAAAUUUUUGUUAAUAGGUAAGAAAUAUUAAAUUCUACAUAAACCUGACCCACCUAUUUCACUGCACAAUAAAGUUACAAGUCACGUAGAACUAUGCAUGCGCAAAUUAUUGGAGUUAUUUGGUCAAUUUGGAUUGUAGUUGUCUGCAGAAAUUUUUUUAUAUUUUUCACGAACAUGCUUUUACUCAUUUUUUAUCUUAUAUAUAUCGAAAUGUUAUAGUAUAUUUUUUAACAAAAUUCUUAAAAAUAGCAAUUUAAACGGGUAGAUGUAAAUUAUAUUUUAAAGAAAAAUUCAAGAGAGGUCUCAAGUUGAUUACUAUUCAUUGGAUUAAGGUUCCGUUUGAUAAAACUGAAUCUGAAUUCUGAAAUCUGAAUAUUGAAACAAUUAAUUUGAUGAAUUUCAAGUACUGAAAAUAAAUAUAUGAAUGUCUGAAUUUUAAUGCUAAACUUAGUUAUACUAUUUGAUAAAUAUUUAUAACUGAAUGCUUAAUAAGUUUAAUUUGACAAUUUAACCCUUAUAUCUUUUUAUUCAAAAAAGAAAUAGAACCUAUGAUUUAAUUAACUUAAAAUUAUUAGGUAUGAAAAUGACAAUAUUUAUUUUUAAAUCAAAUUAAUAUAAAAGAUGAAAUAUAUUAUACGAGGAGUAUGAAAAAGAUGUGAAAGUCAUUAAAAAGGAAGAAAAUUGAAACUAAAAACCGUUAGAUAGAGAAUAUCAGAUUGUUUAAUUAGAUAAGAAUUUUGAACAUAAUUAACAAACAAAGGUAGAUUUGGUAGAUAAGAUAAAGUAGUUGAAGUAAUUCUAUUGAUUCUUAUCAGAAUUAAGCAUUCAGUUAGGAUUUUUGUGCAAAAAAAAAAAUACGCACAAGUUUAAUACUGCUUACCAAAUUCAACAAAUAAAUUUUCAUUUAUCAAACACUCAAAAAUCAGAAUGUCUGAAAAGAUUCAGUUUCAUCACUUUUGUAUGUUAUUAAACAAACUCUAAAAUACACAAUACACGGUAGUAUAACAUUAACAAAAUAAGCUGGUUCUGCUUGAACUAACUCCUAGUGUUAGAAAAACAAGUGUAGAGUUGUACCAUCCCUACGUGUUUUUUUUUUUUUUUUUUAUCCCAUGCCCACAAAUUUUACAAGGCUAGUCACUCUUGUACGAGUCAUCAGUUCGUGGAAGAUCUGGAUUUAGUGGAAAUUAAGGGAAAAAAAAAACAUGUCGCAAGUGGCACGUAAGGAAAUGUCGCCAAACCCAAACCCAGUUUUACCACCGAACCCGUAUAUAAACAUUUGGACAAUUUUCCUACCCAGAAGUUUGGUGGGGUGUUUCUCUCUGCUCUCUUCUCCAUUUCUUGGAACCUUCAUUUCCCUUCUUCUCCUUUUGUAUCUAUUCGCGUGCGCAAAUUUGUAUAGACAUAUAUAUAUAUUCUGUGCGAAGGUUGGAACAUUGGUGAGAAUAUCUAGUUUAAGGAUUCAGAACCGUAAGAACUUUUUAUUUUUUCCAAGAAAAACUUUCCUUUUUUUCUUAAAGAAAGAAAAGAAGAAAAAAGAGGAUGGACUCUGAUUCAUGGAUUCGAAUUGCCCCUUCUUCUCGACGAUUCCAAUCACGAUCAGGUUUGUCUUAAUUAAAUUACUCCAUUUUCUACUCAUUUCCUGUGUUCUUUUUUACCUGGAAAUUGCAUGGAAAUUAAGACUUGCUGACUUUGUUAAUUGAUUCGUAAAUCCUUUUUUUUUUUUGGGUGUAAGGAAAAAUGUUUAAAAGGUUGAGAAGUAGAAAAUGUGACCUUAUGAUGUUUUUUGGUUCGGACAUGAAGCAAGUUGAAAGUAAAGUUUCAAGCUUUUUUACUUUGUUCUGAAAUUAUUGUUCUUUUUUCUUUUCUUGUGCUCUUUAUACUCUUAUUGUGUACUUGACCGGUUUUGGCAUUCGAGAAUUGGUACUUGGGUUUCCAUUAAUCUUUUUAUAUCAUGAUAUAUGCAGACCGGCUUGUUAUUCUGGGUCUUUUUCCUUUUUUAAGUAAAGGAUUAAAUUUCAGUGGAAAUCAUAACUUGGGUCUUGGGUCUUUAUUUAUUGGUGGUUUAUUGGAGAAAUAAGUUUAGUUUUCAUUUUUUUUUCAGUUGCUUGUUGCACAUGUUUCUACUGUUAUGUUUUUGUUGGGACUGGAAAUGGUUGUGACUUGUAAUGAUUAUGUAGAUGUAUACAAUGUAGGAGAAGAGUAUUAUGAGGGUGGGGAAGAGGAGUUGCGACCAGAAUUUUUGUGCCCUUUCUGCGCUGAGGAUUUUGACAUUGUUGGCCUCUGUUGUCACAUUGAUGAAGAGCAUGCCGUUGAAGCCAAGAAUGGGGUAAGUUCUAUUUCUUCAUUUUAUUGUUUUGGCCCAGGUUUACAGUUUAAUUCAGUUAUGACGUAUUACCUUUAUAAAAUUUGCAAAAUGAAAGGUUUUUUGGUGUUGGCCGAGGGUAAGUUCACUAGCUGUAAUUUCAUGGUUCAGUGCGCAAUUGGCCUCUGACGAUUUGUGUAUCAAGUUAUUACUUUUUUUUCUCCUUUCUUUGGUGGUAAAUAACAAUGCUGCUUAAGAAGUUAUCAUUCAGUUUAGGGGAUACUUGUUGUAUUGAGCAUUCAAAUGGGGCAUUAAGAGCAUGAAGAGUCCUUCCUUUAAACAAAUAAUUAUCUUUCCAUGGAAAAGUAAAUCAUGAUCUCAAAUGUCUGAAUGAUGUUAAUUAGUGGUGAGGCUUUGCAAAAUUUUUGUCAUUGAAUAUUUCAAAAUGAGUAUAAUAUGAUGAUCUAGGUGACAGUGCAGUGGACUGAAGUAAUGGCCUUGCUUGAUUGCUUUCAUUAUUUAUACUUAAAAAGAAGUGCUAGGAUGUGGUGUGUCUUACUAAUUCAGUAGCAAAUUCACUUGAUUGAAGGUCUUCUGUGUUGCUUGCAUCUGUUAAUUUAUCUUAGUUGUGUGUUGAUCUACUUAUAUUGGAAUAAUAUUUCAAAUGCAGGUUUGCCCUGUCUGUGCAAAAAGAGUGGGGAUUGAUCUAAUCGAUCAUGUUACCAUGCAACAUGGAAAUCUUCUAAAAAUAUCCUUUUCAUUCUGCUAUUUAAUCUAAUAUUACUUGCAGUCUUUUAGCGCACACACACACACACACACACACUCUCUCUCUCUCUCUCUCUUGAUCUCGCUCGCACUCGCACUCUGUCUGUGUGUGUUUGUCUGUACAUGUGUGUGUGAAUUUGUGCUGCAUGUGUCUUUCUGUGUCUUUGUCUACCCUAUGUCUAGAGACAUAUUCAAAUGAAUUUCUGUGUUGGGGAGGCUUGAUAGUUUAGAAGGAAUGUGAAGAAUAGGACUAGUGUAUUGGGUAUGUAUUUGGGAUUCUUGGCCCUUUGCUUCUUCUUGACUGGUCAUUACGUGCAACGCAAGAGGAGAUACCGCAGAGGUGGAUCUGGUACACCAUUAUCAAUUUUAAAAAGGGAGUUGAGGGAAGGAAACUUUCAAUCCCUCCUUGGCGGUUCCUCAAGCUUUAUCCCUUCCUCUACUUCUCAACCUGAUUCACUGCUAUCUUCAUUUAUAUGUAAUCCACCAGCAGCUGAUGAACCACUGACAGUUCAACCCCACUCCUCAAGUGAAGUUCGCACCCAUUGGAAUGGCUCUGCUGAGGACUUGUCUGAGAGGUAUGAGCUCAUGUAUCAAAACAUAAUCAUUAGUUACCAUUUUCUUGGACUUACGGUUCAAUGUUUUUCUAAUGGUGAGAGCAAAUGAUUGGCAAUGAUGGAUUAAGAACUCAAGUACUCAAGUAUAACAUGAAAGUGUCAUGUCAAUCGGAUGAUUACUUGAGCCUUCUUUUGUUACUUCAGCAGUAGCCUAAUCAUUUGUGGCUUUAUUGUUCUUCAUUUAGUUUUACUUUUAGAAUCUUUUACAGUUGAAUUCUAUGAUUCUGCGUGAAGUCAAUUACUGAUCAUUCACUAUGUGCCGUAAUUACAUCCAAACUAUAGUUACAAUUUGGAGGGAGAAUGAUCUUGACGCCAAAUAUACAAUACUUGAUUUCUACAAAAUCUAACCAACCUGUAAUUUGUUCUUCUAAAAAUGGUGGAAAAAGAUUGUGACACUUAUUUGAAUGUUUAUGAUUGAAGCAAUGAAGUUACAAUCUACAAUUCAACAUGGUACAGAAUGGUGGAUGUUGAUCAAGUCCUGGUACUUGUCUGAAAGAAAAUAUUUCUUCUUACAUACGAAACAAGUAAUGUCAUUUUACUGUGAAGUGCUGCAUUCAGUGCCCAAUCAGUUUGUCAUAGUUAGAAAUUGGAAUGUGAAAAGAAUUGAGAUUUAAGAAAAAACACUUGAAAUCAUGGACUUGGGGCGGCAGAAGGACCAAGGUUGGAAAAUCUUGAAAUUUAUUUGUAUGGUGAUGGAUGUAUUCUGUACUUCAAUGUGACACUUGAUUGGGCUUUGGCUUUCUUGGGUACUUGUUUGUAACACAACAGUUCUAGUUUCUUUGAUAUCAUAACCAAGAUUGUAUUGCUUUUCCAGUUUCAUAUUUCAGUACCAGGCAGUAGAAGAAUUGCCAUAUGCAAAGUUUUUUAUUUAAUUCCGUAAUACUUGUUAAUGCAUUUUACGAUAGUGUUACUAAAAAUCAAAUUUUAUGGUGGCAGGAGUGCACAGCCAUCUCGGCUAUCAGAGAAGGACCAGGAAGAGAGGGGCCGGAAAUGUGAAUUUGUUCAGGGCCUUCUUCUAUCAACUUUUGUCGAUGAUGAUUUAUAAGUAUGCAGCAGCUGUGCUCAUUAUGUGCUAGGAAUUGGAGUUCUAGGUGGAGAGUGUGGCCAAGAGAACAUGCCACAUUGUGUAAUGGUUAAAAGGGUCUGUGGUUCAUUGUUGUAGAGGUUAUUAUGUAUUGUACAUAAUAUAGAGGAAACGGUGAAGAAGUGGUUUUUAGUUGAUAUGUGCUGUGCGGUCUGUCCUCUACAGGGCCUUUUGAUCUUUUUCUUCGGUGUGUGUAAAAAGAUGAUGUGCCCCAAAUACACGGUUGCAACGAGGUAGACCUGGACCUCAAGCUAACAGCUUUGAGGAUGAGGAGCAGAUCCUUCAUCCUCGGCUCCCAAAUAGUCACCAAUUAGAAUGCACUGAUAAUUUUUCUGCGAAACUAGGAACAUUGCUUGCAUUUGACCCUCGAAAAACAGGAGAAAAAAGAAGUUAACAAAUUAUUGCAUUGCUGGUUUAGUGAAGCCUGCAUCAAGGCUGAAAGGGCCAAGUUGGGUUCCUUUUUGUCAGCUUUUAGACUCUGUUUUCAAAUUCGGACCGGACCGGCCGUCGAACCGGUCGAACCGGAAACUGGCCAGGUAGCCGGUCCGAGUCAACUUAGAAAACUGGAAAUUUUAAAACUCGGUCAAAGCCGGUCAAAAUUCGGAUUUGACCGGGAAAAAAUCGAUUUUUUCGGUUCAACAGUAAUUUUAAAAAAAAAAAUUCAAACUUUAUAAUAUUAUGUUUUGGUCCCCUAAAUUGUUAAAAUUUCUUCGUAUACCUCAAAUAUUUGAUACUUUAUAAAUAUUGUCCUACAAUUUGAAGUUAUUUUUCAAUUAAAUUCAUAAUUUUAAUUCUAAACUUGUUAAUAUUUAUUAAAUAAUAUAAAUUGCUACUUGAUUGUUCUAAUUUCUUUGUAUUUUCUUGUUAAAUAUAUUUGAAACAUCAAAUAUAUAUGAAUAUACCUUUAUUAAUAUCAAUAUAUUAUUAGAUAUGAUAUAUAUAAUAUUUUAAUUUUUAAAUAAUUUUUAUUUAUGACGUCAUCCGAUUCGACCCCUAUUGACCCCUGACCCCUGAUCUUGGCCGAGUCGCUAUCCGGUCCGGUUCUGAAAACAUAGCUUUUCGAUCGUUUGGCCUUACUUACAGUAGUAACACAUGCUACUGGUGGGUGGGACGUGGGAGAAGAUCAGAAGACAAUUGAGUUCUUCAAAACCAUCAUCUUUUCUUUGGAAAAAGCCUUGGAAACUUAAAAUCCAGGCUUGAUUCAAGCACCAACAAUCUUUUAUCUAUCACUUCCGAACCAUGGAUGCCAAAAAAUUAAAAAAUCCAUCAGGUUCGCACAUUCCCCGUGACGUACAAAACAUUGAGGCGACAAGAAGAACGACGAUGGAUCAGUUCAUUAACAUUGUAAUCAAGAAAAUCAGCACGCACCAAUUCCUAAAGUUGGUAGUAACUACUAACUGGCAACAUUAGAACCAUCGAAUGUUACAAGCUAGGUCUAUACAAGUCCUACAAGCUAUUCGUCAUCGUCAGAAAACCUAAUUGGCAAGAGUUCUUUCAAUUACACAGGCUCAAAAGUAAACAGGCAAAAUGGAUUAGAACGCAUCACAUCCUAAACCCCACUGUGAACUCGGUUAUUGCAUCCAGGUCCUGACAUAUACCCUGUAAAAGCUUCAUAAUGCAAGUUGGCUACAAGGAACACCAAAUACAACGGAUACAUUUGUUUGGCCACCAUAUAUUGCUGAGAUAUGAGCUCCAGCAUAACACUAGCACAUAAAGAGAGGAAAUUGCUGAAGCAAACUGGAAUUCGCCCAGCCCACAUCGUCCUAAGGGGACAAGGGCAAGGGACUGCUUGCAUUUCCCCUUUCACCACCAAAAUGCAUAGUGAGAUUCAAACCACCUAUAGUCUGGAUGAUUGACUUGCAAGCACCGGAGCCAAUUGUCAGCAGCUUGCUUAAGAGAGUCAGCCUUCUGAGAUUCAUAACCUCCAUUGUGAUUCCAAAACGAAAUCCUGAACUUGUAAGAAGCGAGUCCAAAAGUGGGUAGUUGCAAUCUCAAAGGCAUGCCCACAUCCUCUGUUUUGCCACUAAUGGCUGAACCAUGAAGAUGUGGCCAGUCUCCGUCUUUAGCUACUGCAAAAAUAGGACAAUCCCCGUUCAUCUACAAAACAUUCAAGAAAAGACAGAAAAGAAAGAGAUGGCUAGUAAAGGAGAAAAGAAAAAAGAGGGGGGGGGGGAGGGAAUGGGAAAAUGUACUUACUUCUCAAAGGUGUUGACAGGGAAUGGUACGUCAGAAAGCAGGCAUCAAGACUCUGCAAAGUCGGACCCAUAGGUAUCCUAUAAAUGGGGUACCUUGAUGAAUGAUGACAAACACACACAAUUCCUCUUAGUUCAAGGACUGAUGUUGAACUAUCACAUUAUUAUAGCAUCUUUGCUCAAAUUCAAGAGCUUACCAAGCCACAGAAAUCCAACUUGCAGAAGUCAAGUCACAACUUUUAUAUGUUUUGAGCUCAGGAAACUGGGAUGCAAGGUGUGAAACCUGUUACAUGCAAUAAUUAAACACAACUGUCAUGAAACUUGAAAAAACACCAGUUUUACGCACUGCCGUCUAAAUUAGAGAACUUGCCUUAUCAACCAGAGGUUCACGCCCAUAAGGCUGAUCCUUAGCAAAAUACUCAAAUACGAGAAGGCCAGAAGGGUUCCUGAUCUCAUCUUCAUCACCAGACAGUCCCGAGAAUGGAUUAUGUGCUAGUGAGAUUCUGCUCAAUCCUUGAGCAAGUGUACUAGUAUGGUGCUGCUGCCUCUCAGUUCGUUGAGCACUACUGCUUCCUCCAUCAGCUCCAAUUUCCCCACUACUAUCACUACUGGUCUCCCUGGAAGAAUCAGCAUCACUUUCCUCACCUGGCCUCCUGUCAUAGUAUUAGCCCCAGAACAGAAAUUGAAAAGAAAACAAUUAGUCCACUGGAUUCAACAUGCAAAGGCGUUAACCUAUUUCAUGACCAAAAACUCAUGCAACUAAAGGCAUACACAGCCCAAUUAACUAAUAGCCUUGGCAACUACAUCUUUCAACUGAACUCGAACUACAUUGUACUACCCAACAUCAAUUCUUUCGUGUGAAAUACCUGGUAACUACUUGGAAACCUGAUAUAUUAAAGACUACUUUUUCUAACAUAAAUUUUAGUAAAUUCACUAAUCUCCAAAAAUCUCAGGUACUCACAGCUCAGGCUUGGCUUUCUUUCAAAUCAGUGCACUCAUUUCACUAUCAUGGUCAUAUUUAUGAAUGCCUCUAGUUGAGAACUCUUUUUCUAAAAGCUCCACGAAGUAAAGGAUCAAGGGCAAAAAAUGAAACAUGAUGAAAGAAUGAAUCUAGUAAUGUGUACUCCUAAUUCUUCAACUUAUUAAUGAACUAUUUGAGUUGGCUUCAUAUAAAAGCAUUUGGCUACAUAAAGAACUUUUAAACCAACCUAUGCAGUGACGAGCAUUCUCAGCCAAAAAAGAAAGUAUACAUUUACUCACAAGUAAAUCAUGCACCACACUAGCUAGAAAAGAACAGAGAGAUUUGACAAGGUCCAAAACCAGGAAUAUGUAAGGUGGCUGUAAGAUGAGCCUCCUAAUUACACGCACAGUGUCUUGGUUGCAUAAAUGGCAAGAAAUGAACCAUGGAAUUCAGCAGAGAAUGACCAAUUUCAAACUCUACCAACCUGCCACACACACACAUAUGCUCACACAAAAGGAUAACAAUUACAAAAACAAUAAGAAAGGAUAUCAUAAUGCUUGUACAGAUAGUGGCAGUCUGUUUUCCGGGCAAACAACUAACACACCAGCAUCUUGUCAACAAAAAUCAUUCAAGAAUCGAACUGAACUCAACUUCCUUUCAUCUUUAUAAAUAACAGACAAAUUCAAUUUACAGCACAUAGCACAGAAGGCAUGUGUCAUAAAGUGUACCUUUGCCUCAUGACAGGCUUUGACGGAUCUAUGUACAGUUGUAUGCCAGACAAGAAGGGGACGUAAUACUGGACUACAGUCUCGCUCCCAUUCAAGAUUAAAGGAACUCCGGCUCCAUACGCGCUCCACUCCUUGAAAGAUUCCCACAGAUCACCCAGAACAAAGUACGGAUGGAACUCGUCAUCAUAGUUUCUCCAUUCCCUCAUGGUUGUCUGCAAAUCUCCAAAGCCAUUAGGUUAAUUACAGUUGCAAACAGGCCACAUUCAAGAAUAGCAAUAAAUGGACAAAUAAAUUUGAUGUUCGUUUUGCUCAUUCCAAGAAAGCAAUUAUUAUUAUCUUGCACAAAAAGACUAGAAGAGGCAUACAAAUUAGUCCAGAGGAACACAGUCUGGAAUGAGCUUCAAUAAACCAUGGACAAUGAGAGAUAGAAAAGGAAUGCCAACCAAUGAGGGGGAAGGAGUGGUAGUUUCAGUUUUCUUUGAUAGUUAUAACACAUACAGUCAAAGAAUCCCAAUUUAAGUACCCAAAUAUGAGGCCAGAAAGAAAGUAUGAUGAAUCAUAUUACUAAUGGCAAACCAAUGUUCUACAGAGCACACCAUGCCAUUAGCCCCAGCAGACUCCCAACUAAUUAGACACAAAAGGAAACACUAUGAACUAACAGUGACACUCUUAGUGCUUAUGCUAAAAUUGGACCAUGCAGUCAGCUUUGAGGCCGUUUAAGCACAAAGAGAUUGCUGUGGCCCAGAGUUUCAUUAGGUUUGAAGCCGUGAUUGGCAAUCUAACAAUGGAAGCUCUUAACUCUAUGUGGUCAUGAGCUGCAUGUCCACACAUAAGGAAAGACUUGAUGUGCCCAGCCCCACGUUGCAAUAAUAAGUAAAAUUAAAACAAAAACUCAGCUGGCAUAUGAAAUGACUCAUUGAAACACUUGACGUGGGCACGUGGCGCACAUUGCGCAAUAAUUAGUAACAAGAACUUGUUGCAUUUAUAAUGUUAUCCUAGAUGACAUCCAAUAACAACUAAUCUUACACAAAGCAUUCCGAACCCAAAAUUGCAUGACUCUCUCAUCAAACAAAAUCCUAGGGGCUUCUUCUUCAACAGUCCACAUGCUGCUGACAUGUACCGCAUUUUAACCAAGAUAUUCCAACAGUAUCAAAGAUGUAUACACAAAUACAACUCUCCUUGAUAACCUCUAUUGAACGACAUUUCCAUGUUCAAACAACCAAACAGCCAAAAAAAGAAAGUAGAAAACCGUAUAAGUUUUCAUCCUAAUGUCAGUUCCAUCUGUGCGUCAAAGCACUAGAUUACAAUACUUGUCUUACUUAUACUUGCAUGCUAAGUAACAUAACCCCUCUUUGUUCUCUAUUUGGCUUCCUCCCCUUCUUUUACACCCGUUAGACCAUGGAAAGAGUAAGCAGAACAAGAAAAUCAUAAGAUUGCAAACAAAGAAAUUAACAAUAACAUGACAACAGAAUUCAGCAUUAAAGCGCCAAGAUAGAAAUGCAAUAAUCGGAUAGCAUUCAAACUGAACAAUGAAAACAGAAAAAGGAAAAUGGACAACGUUUUCAUCCGAACGUAGAGAAGAACUUCAGUCCCACCUCAAAAAUGAAAAUAGUGCUACUUUCCAUUGUAAUUUGACUUCUCCAUGAACCGAACAGGCAUAAGAUCUACACCUUUACAUUUCAAGAACUUUAUCAUCAAGACUUAAAACCCCAAGGAACAACACAUUCUCCCCUCAUUAUCAAAGCCCCAGUCAAGAAGCUUAGAAAAGUAACAAAUAGGCCAUUUCUAAGCAACAAAUAGGCCAUGCCGGAAACAGAUUCUUCAGGAAGCCAUUUCUGAUAAUUUCCAAGAAAUUCUACCUUGGGAAAAAACUGAGCUGGAACACUAGGGGCAGUAUGCUCUAUAAACCGCUCCAAGUUAGUCAAAUUCUCCACUGCCGGGGAGUGAACCGACAACAUCCUCGGGUCCGCCGCCGACGCCCCUAUCUUGGUCGAUGCUGACGAGGUCGUCCCAUCAUCCGAACCCGUCCCGGACCCAGCCCUUUUCACCGGGGCAAAUCUCAACUGUUUCUGUUGGUGUUGCGGCUGCUGGGUUUUCUGUUGCUGUCUCAGUGCCGGCGGACUAUAAAAUCUGUCCUCCCCACCUCCCCUACUUCUAAUCCUACUAUAAUCCCCCAUUAUUCAAAUUCAAAACCAAAAAAAAAAAAAAAAAAUCUUUUUAACUAAACAAACAGUUGGAAUUAUUUAAUCUUAUGGGUUUUGAGAGGGGUUUAAGUAAAAUUGAAGUGAAAAUUUUUGAAGGGUCCUGUUCAGGAGAGUGAUUCAGAGUGUGUGAAAAAUAGAGUGAGUUUGUCGGUGGGAGUUGGUGAAAAUUUUCGUGUUAUACUGUUAUGCUUAUGUAGUAGUCGUGGCGAGUCGAAGUAGACGAGCGAGCCAAAAGUGCCUCGAGAGAGGAGGAGAGAGCUUUGGGGGUUAAUGGAAAAUGAAGAGAGUACACCGUUAAUGUGAUGGACCAUCUUCUAGAGAAUUCGAGAUUUAGUUACCAAAAUCAGCCUCGUGGAAUUGCCAGGUGUACCAACUUCUUUCUUUUCUUUUCUCCCCUUUUUGCUAAAUACCACGUGUAUUCAACUUGAACUUACAAAAAUUUUGUUAGAAAAUGAUUUUUUUUUUUAAAAAGAAAACAUUAUUGAACUUACCAAAUUUUGUGAGAAAGAAUUUUUCUUUUUAAAAUUUUCUUUUGAAAGUUAAUUUUUUGAAGCACUUAUGGUAAGGGUUAGUUGAUUAAACGCCCGAGCGCAAUUUAGGAUCAAGACAUCAUGAUUGAUAUUUUAUCCAAGUACAAAAGCCAGUCCAUUAUUGCAUAUUGAAUGUACGAAGACAAUUAUGAAUGUACAUAUUCAAGGGAAUUCAUAUUCGUGCUUUCAUUUUAACCCCUUAGCCUUCAAUCCACUCACUAAAUAAUAUGGCUUCAAGGAGUGUAAGCGACUAAUUUGGCAGUGCAAAUAUCACAUACCUGCAGUGAUUAUCAUUCAAGUUGUCCGUCAUGUGGUUUAGAUUUAGUUAAGUAGUUGUAAAUUCGAUAGUUGGUGAAUUCUCGGGUUAGGAAGGUAAUGAAUUUGAUUAGUUCCUCGAUGACGAAAAUAGGACGGUAGAUGUGGCUCUAUAUGAGAGUACUGUGACACUUUCUAUAGUGGAAAAACUAAAAUUUUAGUCUUUCGAGUCAUUCCCGCAAUUGCUUAGCAGUAGUAUCAUGUUUUGGAGUCAAGAAUAGGUGAAAAUGUGGUACAAGUCAAGAAAGAUUCAGCUGAAAGGAUUUGCGUGCCCUAAAAUUGAGUACUUUCAGUCAGGAAUCGAAGAAGUUUUCAAUUUCAUUGCAUGCCUUGAAGAAAGAUGUUGCAGUAACUUUCAUGUCCCCCAAGUGAAAAUGACAAAAUGACUUUUCUGGGUAAUGGUUAAGAUGUUUAGGUGUGUGAAAUUUCUUUAAUUUGUACUGGUGAGUUUUGAUAAGAGCAAUGGUGGGGUGCCCAAGCCUGAUGCAGAGAAGUAAUAAAUACGGAAGGUGUCAAUUGUGUGGAGCUGAUCACAUCCAUGGUCUGAGCCUGAACUGGAGAUGCUUGUCUUUAACAGAAGAACACAGAAACAAAAGCAAAGUUUCUAUCGUGUUAAUAACUAAAAUGCUUAAUAUAUAUACUACGUAGGAAUCCUUCAAAACUGAUAUCAUGUUGAACUUAGAUAGAACAAGGGCUUGCUUGGUCAACCGGCCUAAAUGUCACCACUUUUAACUUUGGUUGUGAAAGACACGAAUCACAGAGCAGAACAAGUCACUGCAGAUGAGCAAGUAGUUCAUAAGACAUGAUGGAUAAUCCCUGAGGGAGAUGGUGGGGCUGGAACCAUCAAGCUGACCACUUUUGGAGAAGGCCAGUAGUCUUACACUUAAAUUUUCUUUGUAUAGAACUCGUCAAUCAAAUAGGAAAAUCGACUGAUCCUAACACUGCAGGUAGCCAGUUCACGAGCGUGAAGCACAGAGUCGACAAGCUUGACACACAAAGUUUCACUUGCAAGUACAGCACAGUGGAAGGUGACGCUUUGAUGGGCGUGAUUGAAUCAAUCUCUUAUGUGAUCAAGAUUGAGGAAUCUCCAGAGGGAGGAUCCGUUUGCCAGAUUACAGAAGAGCAAAUAAAGAGUGGCAAAGAGAAGGCAUUGGCAAUGUUCAAAGCAAUGUUCAAAGCAGUUGAAGCUUACCUGCUAGCUAAUCCUGAUGCUUACGACUAUUUGCUAUCAUCUCAUUGUUUUAUUACUCUACAUUGUAAUCCAGUGUGCAAUACAGGGUAUAUAUAUAACUUCACCUGUACACUAGUUUCUUGCUCCUGAAAUCUCUUCUCACACUGUACUGAAAUUCCUCCUGAAUUCCACUUGUCAUGAGUGCUUAAUCUGAGAAAGUCCACGACAAAGCAAAAGGCCGAGAAGGACAUUCCACAAAUCAAUUAGAUUGAUGAGUCACGUCUCGUGAGUCGUGAGUGAUUGCCCAGACAUGAUAGAAACAAACCUAAAGUACUUAGACACAGCUUCUUUUGGACUUCGCAGUUAAAUCUAUUACAGUUAAUGCCAAAAUCAUGGACUAGAAACUCUAUCUUUAUCUCUUUGCUAGUUACUCAAAACUGAACAAUAGUGGACGAAGAAAAAGGCGGCGGUUUUAAUCUUCUGACUCAUAUAUUAUCAAGUUCGUGAAACAUUGAAAACUAGCCUGCAUGGGAAAGAAAAUAAAUUUUACCUCGAUUGGUAGAACAGAUAUUUCUAGUUUGCGUUUAGUGUUUUCUGCUAUAAUGGUAUAACUUCUCAAACUUUUGAUGUCUGCUCAUCAUGCAUUAAGGAUAUCGUCGUUUUCAUUUAAAAUGAGUUGUAACCAAUACACACGCAUACAUGCAUGUAUUUAUAUUUACAUAUAUGGUACGUAGUUGACUGAUUACUAAAAAAGAGCCCAAAAAAAAAAAAAUUAUAGAAUUAUCAUCAACAUGCUGUAACCUUGAUUGGAAAGGAUGUUUUCUACAUAAAUUGACGGGUUGCAUGACUCAAAAUCGGAUGGAAUUGAAAUUCUUUCGAACAUGACUGUAGCUGGUCAAGUGCGUGAGAAACUUCGCAACGAUGAAAAUCUAUAAUAAAUUCUUCAUCCGUAAGUUAAAAUAACUCUUGUUCUCUUCUGUCCGCGAUUAACUUGGAUCCAUUGUGGUCUAGUAACAACACGUAUAUACUCAUUUCUUUUUGAAUGAGAGACACUUGAUCCUCAAUGUUUUUCCUUUUCAAGUUAUAUUAUUGUUUUUAAAGAGCUCAGCCGGUGAUCACAUACGAUAGUAUCCUGUAGGUCAUCUAGUUCGAAUCUUGUUGUACUAAAUUGUUGUGUAUCCUUGAGCGGAGCUCUGUACAGUCCUCCCAGGAAUAUCGUGAUUGGUGAACCAGAAUCGCAAGUUGAAUUUUGCCAAAUUCAAACUCAUACUUGUAAUUUUUACAACAUUCAAAAUUUACAUUCAAAUAUUGGUAUGAAUUUUUAUUAAAAAUUUAAUAAAAAUUACAAGAACUAAUUUGAACAUGUCAGUAUAUAUAUAUAUAUAUAUAUAUAUAUAUAUAAUUAGUUAUUUUCAUGAACUAGUACUUUUUUUUUUCAAAAUUUUUCAGUUUAGGCCCUGCUAUUUAUUAGAAGAUAAUGCUAGAAAAAGAAGGAAAUAUAUAUUUUUUUUUAAAAAAGAAAGAUAUCUUGGAGACACAGCUUGAUGCUGUAAAGUAGUGUAUUCCAUAAGAGAAUUCUCAUCUUUUGCAAAAAAAAUGCUAGUUCGAUUUUCACCUCUUCUUCAUUCUAAUUUUUCCCCCUAAUGGCAAUAUACAUUGCAAAUAUCAAACCCUUUUUCCCCAAUAUCUAGAAGAUGGCCCCGGCCUCCAGCCUCUCAUUUUGUAUAUUUUUCCCCCUUUUUAUUUUUAAGGGUCAGAAAUUUGGGCUGCCAUAAGAUAUGACGGACUGUACUGUUUACAAUAGCAUUUUCCCUUUAGUCAACAAUUAAAGUCUUGCCGCACCAUUUCCUGGAAAUGUCCCAUACUUCCUGGAAGAGCUUUCAUUAUUAAGUCAGAAAAAUGGGACGGCACUGUCAAGCAGAAGAGUAUGAUGUCGUAAAAAUAAUUUGGGAAAAUUAAAUUUUGAAAAAAAAAAAAGGAAUACGAAUAUUAACAAUCUGAUAUUAGGUUGUAAAUAACUCGCGAAUUAAAUUAAGGCAACUAAUAAUUUUAUUGCAAAAUGACUGAAUUACCCUUACGCCGCACGUGCAAGUGCCCUUAAUGCGCGCGUAAGGGUUAAUUUGUAAUUUAGAUUGCAACAAAAUUUUUUAUAAUUUAUGAAUAAUGACCCUGACCUUGUGUACAAAUUUCCUAAAACUUAUACCUAUUUAUGAAAUUCUCUCUCUUUCCAAAAUUUUCAAUGAAAUUAAAGGAAAAUAAUUGGGUCAAUUAUACCAACACUGUAGCAAAAAUAUUGGCGUAUAAUCUUUUGACUUUUUUGCGUAUGAACCGGGAAGGAAGACCUUGACCCACAGAAACAGCACGACACGUACAUAUUUUAAAUUUUAAUGCCCGUUUCAGUCAUGAGAUGAGAAGCCCUGGAUUUUUCGCUCCAUAAAUACUGCCCCAAACUAUCGUGCACCCACCCGCCAGCCAGCCAACCAACCAACCAAGUUAGACGUCUUCCCACUCAACAGUAGCUAGCUUCAUUCGCUGUCUAUCUUUUUUGAGUUCUUUUUCUGGGUCAUUUUUUCCUUUCAACUUCUCGCAGGUAUCAUGGGUGUCAUCACUUACGAUCACGAGGUCACCUCCUCAGUCCCACCAGCAAAGCUCUUCAAGGCUUUCAUCCUUGAUUUUGACAACCUCAUCCCCAAGAUCUUGCCUCAGGCCAUCAAGAGCGUCGAAACCCUCCAAGGUGAUGGCGGAGCUGGAACCGUCAAGCUCACCCAUUUUGGUGAAGGUCAGUACGUAGUACCUCCUGCUCUACCCAUCAUCAUCAUCAUCAUCAUCAUGCAACAUAUGCACAAGUACUCUUUUAAUUCAAUUGAACUACAAAUAUAUUAUUCAUACUAAAACAAAACAGGCAGCCAAUACAAGAGCAUGAAGCACCGCGUUGAUGAGCUCGACAAGGAGAAUUUCGCGUUCAAAUACACCGUGUUCGAGGGCGAUGUUUUGGGGGAUGUGAUUGAGAAAACCUCUUACGAGGUUAAAAUCGAAGCCUCUGCUGACGGUGGAUCCAUUACCAAGAGCAAGAGCACCUACUACACCAAGGAUGAUGCCAAGAUCACCGAAGAGGAUAUCAAGUCUGGCAAAGACAAGUCCGCUGGAGUCUUCAAGGCUAUUGAGGCUCACCUCGCUGCCAACCCUGAUGCCUACUAAUCAGUUCCACUCUUGGGAACUCGAUCGGUCUUGCCCCUUGGGAACAGAUUUUCUAACGCUAUUGGGCGCUGCUACAACUUACAAGUUGAGUCACCUUUGGGUCGGGACCCGAUAAGCUCAGGCUAGUUUAGUCAUCAGCCACGUUUUGAGGCACCUGGUAAGAGGUCUCAUCAGCUUUGAUUGGUUGAAUCCAAGCCAACUAUGAAGGACACUGAUCUAAUUGAGUUGGCAUUUGAAUGGGUCAACUUUUGCACUGAUUGGAGACUGGAUGGCAAUUAGACUAGGACUCUUUGCUUUCUUUAAAGUCCAGAAAAUUAACGUUCUGGAUUACAUGUAUGUAAACAAUCAAGCUAGUGAUAGCGAAACUUGAUCUUGCAAGAAACUGCUAGUUUUCAAGAAUCACAAUUGUGUAAAUAGUUUGUGCCAAAAUCGUCAACAAAAGCACGUUGUGUGAACGCUAGAUGCAUUUGUCAAAUAUAUGCUGGGGCCUAUUUUGCAAAUUAAUAACAGGAUGUCUGCUGCAACAACCAGACUUUUCGGCCAUUUAAAAUGCCACUCUCUACUCCUCUUGCCCUUCACCCGCUUUUCACAGCGAAAUCAAAACUUAGAACCAACUUCGAAAUUAGUUUUUCUGUGGUAUAUAACCUCAGCCCAAUACAAGUUUAGUCUUGAAUCAGGAUAUAAUUCAUUAGGGGUUUGUAGGAUGGAAGAAAUUGAAUGAAACGUCAGCCUGUAGAACUCUUGGAGGAUAAUAUGCAAACUUUCCAUAGCUCAAUUUUAAAGUUUUAUAGGAUUACUAAGUUGCAACAUUGUUAAAAUAGUAUCUAGACAGCAGUUAUGUUGGCAGCUGUGGUGAUGGAUCAGCAAUACUUCCAGUUGCUAGUAACGAGUUUAUAACUAUAAAAAAGCCAGCAUAUAAUACAAGAAGAAGAAGAAGAAGAAGAAGAAGAAGAAAACAGGCCCUUCAAGUUCAAAACUUGAUAUGGCAGCAGGAUACUAUGGUCUAGCAUUGCUCACAUGACAUGUAAUUGCCAAAAAAAAAAGGUACAAAAUCUAUUUUUAAAAGAAAAAAAUGUGGGAAUUACAGAUUUGUUAUGCAUAUGUGGUUCUAAAUGGCAUAUAUUGAAUAGCUGAAUUUGUUGCAACAAAAGUUGUUGGUUCUAUCCCACCUCAAUAGGCUAACAACAGGAGUAAUGGGCUUGUAACUUUCGCAUUUAAAUUCCUCACUAGAUUUUACCAUCUAGUAAUUGAUAAUCUUUAAUGUUACCAAACAAUGGUGAAGUGCGUGAAUGAUGAAGCCAUGUUUCACUUUUCAGUCUAUAAAUAGAAUCGCAUCUCUCACAUUCUCUUCACACCCCAAAAUUGCCAAAAUUGUCAUCCCAUUCUAGUAGUUCAGCAUCUUUAAAACUUCCUAGGAGAUCAAUCAUGGGUGCUGUUACCUUCACUGAAGAGUUCACCAGCACCAUCCCGGCCUCCAGAUUGUUCAAGGCCUUGAUCCUUGAUUCUGACAAUCUCAUCCCCAAGAUUGCUCCCCAAGCUGUAAAGAAUGUUGAGCUAAUCGAAGGCGAUGGAGGCCCUGGAAGCAUCAAGAAAAUGAACUUUGGAGAAGGCAAGACAAUUAAUUCUACUCUUGACAUGGUUCAUUAACAAUAUUUACCAAUGUGUAGAUUAAGAUGGAAUGUACUUUGGAUAUAUUUUUUUUUUUGGGUAACAUAUGCAGGUAGCCAGUUCAAGUAUGUGAAGCAUAGGAUUGAUGCAGUAGACAAGGAGAAUUUGACCUAUGCUUAUACCCUGAUUGAUGGCGAUGCUCUGAUGGACAAGCUUGAUUCAAUUUCUUAUGAAAUGAAGUUUGAGCCUUCUCCUGAUGGGGGUUGCAAAGGCAAGAAUGUUAGCACAUACCAUACAAAACCAGGUGUGGAGAUCAAAGAAGAGGAGAUCAAGGAUGGCAAGGAAAAGGCUGCAGGGGUCUUCAAACUUGUGGAAGCCUACCUUUUGGCAAACCCUGAGGCCUAUGCAUAAUUUACCUAAUUUUGCAUGUUUAUUUGGUCUAAUUUAUCAUUCUGGAUGGAUAAUGAGUGUUUGUAUGCCAAUAAUCUUGUGAGCUUCUAAUAAUGCUCUUGGGCAUUAUUAGAAUUAGAAGAGUCUGUGUUGGUCUCUAUGUUAAUCCUUUUCCCUUUUAAGUAUGUUGCGGAAAUGCUGGUUACUGAAAAGAUCAGAUUAUUCAUAUCGAUCAAUUUCUGGAUGGAACCUAAAGUUAAUAUUUGUUUGCUACCGCAAAGUCUCUUUUCCUAAACCUAUGUUUACUUUGUAAUUCAUGAAUGCAUGGUUUCAGUUGAGGGAAGAUUAAAAAGGACAAACUUAAGAAGAUAUAGUAAUUUGGGUUCAGAAUCAGAUGGUACUUAAUUUUCACAACCAGGAUAUGUGCUUCGGCAGUGUUUGUAUGGCAAAGAUCACCAUUUUACAGCCUGAAAAUGACACAGCCGUGUUAUUUGGAUUCAAGUGAACAAAGUGUCAAUUGGGAAGUUCGGCUUGGUCUCGUAGAAGUACUCCACCAUCGGUUACUACUUCAGUUUUCUAGUGCUUUAAGUAAUAAUAAAGCCAAAGUUCUCACUUCAUUUUUUCCCUAAAAAACGAACCUAUAUACCUAAAAAAAAAAAAGGAACCUAUAAGGAAGCAAUUGAUUCGGUUUUAUUGGGAAGCAUCCAAAAUGGUACAAUUUGGACUGAUUUAAUUCAGGGUAUCAAUACUUUAACAGUUUGAAUAAUCUAGUAGUAUGCAGACACAAGAUUUGUGGAGAUUGACCUUCUGGUUGAGAAUUUGCUGAUUCUUUCCUGAGUACUGGUAAGGGAAUGCAACAUUGUAGAAGUGUAAGCUGAAAGUCUUUAGUGCCUGCCAUGGUUCUACUUCCCCUAUUUUCCUCCUAAAAAACAGUCAGGCAGGGUGUAACAUCCGAGAACAAGUGAGAGUUGUCAUUUAGAUUCUCUAGGAAGGUUCAACAGGAUGCGACAAAAACGAGAAUCUAGUUAAGGAUAGAGUAGUAAAAGUUAAAUUGCACCUGUAGGAUUAAUUAUUGGAUAGAGAAUGCCAUUAAUUUUGCGACAGCUCUUCUUUGGAUUCGAAUUUAUCAGGUAAAUUGAAGCCUCUAGCUGUUUGGAACCAAGUAGAUUCAGCAUUUUCGUGCUUCCUUCUGAAGUGGUUUUCAAGAUUGAUCCAUCUCGCCUUGAGGUGAUCACAUUUGUUACACAAUGGCAAUCCCUUUGGAAGCUUAUCCUAUCUAGAAUGGCAGGCAUAACUGAGAAGAAUUUGGAUGUGUCUGCCUAGAAUUUGGUUAAGAUCCAACCAAAGCAUUCUUCCGCUGAACUUAUAAAUAGUGCCAUCUCCCUGAAGCAUUUCCCCAUCCAACAAAACAGUUUAUUCUUUCUGAUUUCUGUGUAGCUUUACUCAUGGGGAUCAUCACUGCGUCUGAUGAAUAUACUUCUGUAAUCCCUCGUGAAAGAAUGUUCAAGUCCUUGAUUCUUGAUGCAGACAAUUUGGUGCCUAAACUCCUGCCACAGAUCAUUAAGAGCAUUGACAUUGCUGAAGGCGAUGGCGGGGAAGGAACCAUAUAUCAACCAAAUGAACUUUGCUGAAGGUAGAUUCUUAGCCUACAUGAAACUUUGAUUUCCCUUUGGGUUUUUUUUUUCUUUUUUUUUAAUAUCUCAUUUUCAAUUUCAAGAGAUUGCAAAUGCUUUACGCAUUGGUAUUGCAGACCUUUUAACAUAUGAUCCAUGACAUGUAACCAGGAACUCAUUUCAAAUCCAUAAAGCAUCGAAUUGACUAGAUCGAUGUGGAGAAUUGCAUAUACAGUUACGCUUUGAUUGAAGGUGAUGCCUUGGGAGGCAAACUUGAGAAAAUCUCGUAUGAAGCUAAGUUCGAGGCUUCACCAGAAGGAGGGACCAUUUUCCAAAAUGACCAGCAACUACUACGUCUUGGAUGAUGCUGCAGUUACCGAAGAGGAAAUCAAGGCUGGUAAAGAAAAGGCCAUUGAAAUCUACAAAGCAGUUGAAGCCUAUCUCCUCCAAAACCCUGAUGCCUAUGUUUAAUUCUAUGUUUCUUCAAAGUCUGAGACAGAAGUCGAUCUUUAUGUCCUGUCAUUUGCUCCCUCUUGCUUUGAAGAAUAACUAUGUCAGCUAGUCCUCAGAAAUUCCGGAGUGUGAUUUUUCAACCUUCCUGUAAUUCACUCAUAGUUUUUCUAGCAUGCAACUCUUUCGCCUUUGUUACCUCUAAUGAUCUUUGAAUGCAUAUCCAGUUGAGUAACCAACUUUGAAUCAUGUGGUAUCAAGAAUAUUUGAAACUCAAAGUGAAUUAACAUAUCUAAGAUGAAACUUAUACUAGUGUUAUAACUUCCUGCAACAUGACUACGUAAGUUAAGUUCAGUGUAGUUAAGUUUCUUGGAUAUAACUUGGCACACAAUUAUGUCCAAGAAAAUGAAAUUUUUAUUUCUGCAAAGAAGAAAAAACUAUAACUAUACUAUUUAUCUGGUAUAUAUCUCAAAACAAAGAGCAACAGUUUCCAACAAUAAUUAAGUGCAAAAUUUAUUCAAGUAUAGGCACGAGGGUGUGCCAAAAGAUAGGCUUCCACAACCUCAUACAUCCCAAUAGCUCUGUCCUUACCAAGCUCAAUUUCUUCCUCUUUGAUCUCCACAUUUUCUUUGGUCUGGUACUCGGAUGUUAUCUUACAAAUGCAGCCUGAAUAGCCGUAGGGUUCAAAUUUAACUUCGUAAGAGAUCCAAUCCAAUUUGUCCAUCAAAGCAUCCCCUUCAAUCAGAGUGAAUUUAACCAUGUAAUGCUCCUUAUCCAGAGCAUCAAUUCUGUGCUUCACAUAUGUGUAGGGGCUAGCUGCAUCACAAAAUUUUCAACAAGAAGAAAAAUACAUGAUUACAUCUUUCUGUAGGAUUUUGCAGCAAACCAACUUGAAAUUUAAGACGAUACCGCUUAUUUGACUAACCUUCUGUGAAAUUCAUUUGCUUGAUGCUCCCAGCUUCACCAUCUCCUUGCAGAUAUUCAAUGCUUUUGAUUGAUGAAAACAUGAGCUUUGGGCAAAGGUUAUGGGAAUCCAUGAUCAGGGCUUUGAACAUCCGAUCUGGGGUAACUUGAGUCUUGAAAGACUGAGAUACCUUGAUGAUUCCCAUGUCUGCUUUCUUUUUUAACGGAAUGUGCAAGCUGGAAAGAAUUAGUUAGAGGUUAAGACUUAUAAUAGAAUAGUAUAAAAAUCGGGUAUACGCUGGAGACCUCUAUAUGCAUCAAGUGGGAAAGUUUAAGAGAAGACUUCAGGUCUCCUUUUUCCUAGUUUCCUUCCAAAUCUCCUAAACUUAUCCUAGUUUAGUCUUCCUUACUUUUCCAACAUAAAAAAGUCAUCUCAUCUUUUCUUUUCCAUCCUAGACUUCCAAACCAGCCGUUGGUAAACAGAUUACAAAACCAAAAAGGAAAAACAUUUUUAUCCUUAAAUCAUGAGAGAUCCUGGUCCAGCCCCCAUUUAAAGUCAGCUCAUCCAUUUGGUAGCUGACCUUUUCAACUCGCGAGGCAUUAAAAUUCCAGCCACGAUUCAAUUCUACUUCACUUAUAUUAUAUGGUCUAAAAUAAAGUAGAAGUUAGCUGAUUUAAUUUGGACACAAACUCGGUAGAAAUUUUAUCGACAGAGAACGGUCGAACUAAAGAGCCUAAUCCUGUAAUAUGAAAUGUGUAUCUGGAACUAACGAGACAAAAUUUUACUAAGAAAAUAUCUGUAUAGGCGAUCUUGUAGUAGCACAGAAAUGAUAAAUCAGUAGUUAGUUUGAAAGCCAUUUUCAAACUCAAACACAUGUACAAGUACUUAUAAAAAAAUGGAACAUUACCUGAAAUUGAAUUUCCCAGUGAAUUUUAACGAAAGUGUUUACUUUUCCAACUUCAGGUUCUAAUCCUCCCUUUUUUUUUUUUUUUUUUUUUGUGGUUUAUGGGUGUGUGUUAUAUUUUUUAAGUAACAGAAGAGAAAAGACUCUCUACUCUAGAAGGAAAACUGGACUCCACGGAAAGUUCUCUCGGCCCAGCACGCUGAAAUGGGUCAGUGGAACUCUGGGUUGAGUGGAUCCAUCGACUUUUCCGCAUUCGUUCAUUGUGUAUAGGCAGAAUGAGCUGGUGUAAACUUCACCUCUUGCUAAAGUCUAGUGAGAAAAAUCACAAAAAAAAAAAUUAAAAACUGUGAAAUUUAGAAAUUUUUGGUUCUAAGAAUUUUACUCUAGUUGUUAUUGCAUCAUUUACAAAUUAAUUGUAAUGUGUAUGUAUGACUUGAUGGUAAUCUAAUAUUUUAAAAAAAUUUAAUCGAUGUUGAUCGUGUCAUUAACUGCUUCUAAUUGUGUAAAAGUUAAUUUUAAAAAACUAGAACAAAAAAGCACCCCAAAAAAUAAUUUUUAUUCUUUUUUUAGGGUGAACAAAUAAGUAGCAAGUUUGCAUAGAAAAGAUGUAUUGUUUGUACAGUUGGACCAUUGUACUAGCACGGAUCUGCUCAGCUUCCUAUCAAAAUGAUAAAAUCCCCCUUAGACAAAAACGAUUCUAUCUAUUAAAUAAAUACAAUCUAAGGCAACUUUUCAUCAAAGCUUCAUCUUUUUAUAACCUUCUUCAAACACAUAAAAAAUGAUGCCUGUUCUUCCUCAUUUUGGUGGCAUGGCUCAAAAGGUUGUUAGGAUAGCUAAAACGUUUCGAAAGGAGGUGGUUUCCAGUCCUAAUGCAAUAGGAUUAUGUGCUAGCGACACCCUUUCUAUUUUGAUAGCUAUGAAACAAAUGGAACAAGCAAUGAAUGCUGAUAAGCAAAAUGAGUUAAACCAUGAUGAAAGAUGUACAGAGGUGAAGAAGAAUGUCAGAGAAAGUAAAGAAAAGGUUAUACUGGCAGUCAAAAAAGAAUCUGCUCAGCCACCCAAAAACUUUAAGGAAUUGAUGAAAAUCCAUGACAAACAAUAUUCAUCUUCUUGGUUUUGGACCGACAAAAGGGUCAACCUUCUCUAAGCGAUGCUAGAAAGUUUUCAGAAGGAGGCUAAUGUUAAGGAGAAGAUGUACCUAGAUGCCAAUGAGGCAAAAAAAAAAAAUAUUGGGUUGAUGAGUUUUCGGAUUUUUGGAUCUUAUACCUAAGUCAGCUUUUGAAUGACUUAGAUUCGAGACUAACACGUGUGUUUUUCUAAGAAUGAGUUAGUGUAAACUUCACCUCAUGCUAAAGUCCAGUGAGAUAAACCACAAAAAAAAAAUUUAAGAACCAUGAAAUUUAGAAAUUUUUGGUUCUAAGAAUUUUAUUCUAGUUUUUAUUGCAUCAUUUAUAAAUUAAUUGUAAUGUGUAUGUAUGACUUGAUGGUAAUGUAAUAUUUUAAAAAAAUUUAAUCGAUGUUGAUUGUGUCCUUAACUGCUUUUAAUUGUGUAAAAGUUAAUUUUAAAAAAUCAGAACAAAAAAACACCUAAAAAAAAUCUUAUUUUUAAUCUUUUUUUAGGUUGAACAAAUUAAGUAGCAAGUUUGUACAGAAAAGCUGUGUUGUUUGUACAGUUAGGCUGUUGCACUAGCACGAAUCAACUCAGCUUUCUAUCAAAAUGACAAAAUCACCCUUAGAUGAAACUAUUCUAUCUAUUAAAUAAAUACAGCCCAAGGCAACUUUUCUCCAAAACUUCAUCUUUUUAUAACAUUCUUCAAACACAUCAAAAAUGAUGCCAGUUCUUCCUCAUUUUGGUGGCAUGGCUCAAAAGGUUGUUGGGAUAGCGAAAAAGUUUGGAAAAGGAGGUGGUUCUAGUCCUAAUACGAUAGGAUUCUGUGUUAGCAAUACCACUUCUAUUUUGAUAGUUGUGAAACAAAUGGAACAAGCAUGGAAUGUUGAUGAGAAGAAUGAGUUAAAUGAUUAAAAAUGUAGAAAGGUGAAGAAAACUGUCAGAGAGAGUGAAAGAAGGUUAUACUGGCAAUCAAAAAAAAUCUGCUCAGCCCACCAAAAAUUUGAAGGAGUUGAUGAAAUUCCACGGCAAACAAAACUCAUCUUCUUGGUUUUGGACCGACAAAAGGGUCAACCUUCUCCAAGCGAAGCUAGAAAGUUUUUUGAAGGAGGCUGAGGUGAAGGAUAUGAUGUACCUGGAUGCUAUUGAGGUAAAAAAAAAUGUUGGGUUGAUGAGUUUUCAGAUUUUUGGAUCUUAUACCUAAGUCAGCUUUUGAAUUACUUAGAUUCAAGACUAACACGUGUACUUUUCUAAGAAUGAGUUAGUGCAAACUUCUCCUCAUGCUAAAGUCCAAUGAGAAAAAUCACAAAAAAAAAUUGAAGAACAGUGAAAUUUAGAAAUUUUUGGUUCUAAGAAUUUUACUCUAGUUUUUAUUGCAUCAUUUACAAAUUAAUUGUAAUGUGUAUAUAUGACUUGAUGGUAAUCUAAUAUUUAAAAAAAAUUUAAUUGAUGUUGAUCGUGUCCUUAACUGCUUCUAAUUGUGUAAAAGUUAUUUCAAAAAAUCAGAAUAAAAAAGCACCCCAAAAAAUUGUUAUUUUUAAUUUUUUUUAGGGUGAACAAAUUAAGUAGACAGUUUGUACAAAAAAACUGUGUUGUUUGUACAGCUGGGCUUUUGCACUAGCACGGAUCAGCUCAGCUUCCUAUCAAAAUGACAAUAUGCCCCUUAGACCAAACUAUUCUAUCUAUUAAAUAAAUACAACCCAAGGCAACUUUUCACCAAAAUUUCAUCUUUUUAUAACAUUCUUCAAACACAUAAAAAACGAUGCUAGUUCUUCCUCAUUUUGGUGGCAUGUCAAAAAAUGUUGUAGGGACAGCUAAAAAGUUUGGAAAGGAGACGGUUUCUAGUCCUAAUGCGAUAGGAAUAUAGUGAGGUGAAAAUACCCUUUCUAGCAAUACCCUUUCUAUUUUAAUAGCUGUGAAACAAAUGGAACAAGCAAGGAAUGUUGAUGAGCAGAAUGAGUUAAAUCGUGAUGAAAGAUGUAGUGAGGUAAACAAGACUGUCAGAGAGAGUGAAAGAAAGGUUACACUAGCAUUCAAAAAAAAGGCUGCUCAGCCCACCAAAAAUUUGAAGGAGUUGAUGAAAACUCAUGACAAACAAUACUCAUCUUCUUGGUUUUGACCAACAAAAAGGUAAACCUUCUCCAAAUGAAACUAGAAAGUUUUCCGAAGGAGGCUGAGGUGAAGGAGAAGAUGUACCUAGACGCCAUUGAGGUAAAAAAAAAUGUUUGGUUGCUGAGUUUUCAAACUUUUGGAACUUAUACCUAAGUCAGCUUUUGAAUGACUUAGAUCCAAGACUAACAUGUGCGUUUUUCUAAGAAUGAGCUGGCGUAAACUUUACCUCAUGCUAAAGUCAAGUGAUAAAAACAAGGAAAAAAAAAUUUAAGAACAGAGAAAUUUAGAAAUUUUUAGUUCUAAGAAUUUUAGUCUAAUUUUUAUUGUAUCAUUUACAAAGUAAUUGUAAUGUGUAUGUAUGACUUGAUGGUAAUCUAAUAUUUUAAAAAAAUUUAAUCGAUGUUGAUCGUUUCCUUAACUGCUUCUAAAUUGUGUAAAAGUUAAUUUUAAAAAUCAGAAUAAAAAAGCACCCAAAAAAAUCUUACGCUAAAUCUUUUUCUAGGAUGAACAAAUUAAGUAGCAAGUUUGUAUAGAAAAACUGUGUUGUUUGUACAAUUAGGCUGUUGCACUAGGACGGAUUAGCUUAGCUUACUAUAAAAAUGGCAAAAUCCCCCUUAGACCAAACUAUUCUAUCUAUUAAAUAAAUACAACCCGAGGCAACUUUUCACCAAAAUUUCAUCUUUUUAUAACCUUCUUCAAAUACAUCAAAAAUGAUGCUAGUUCUUACUCAUUUUAGUGGCAUGAAAGUUCUUCCUCAUUAUGGUGGCAUGGCUCAAAACAUUGUUGAGAUAGCUAAAAAGUUUGGGAAGGAGGUGGUUUCUAGUUCUAAUGCGAUAGGGUUUUGUGCUAGCAAUACCCUUUUUAUUUUGAUAGCUGUAAAACAAAUGGACCAAACAAGGAAUACUGAUGAGUAGAAUGACUAGAAUGCAAGACUAACACGUGUGUUUUUCUAAGAAUGAGCAGGUGCAAACUUCUCCUUAUGCUAAAGUCCAGUGAGAAAAUCACAAAAAAAAAUUAAGAACAUUGAAAUUUAGAAAUUUUUGGUUCUAAGUUUUUUACUCUAAUUUUUAUUGCAUCAUUUACAAAUUAAUUGUAAUGUGUAUGUAUGACUUGAUGGUAAUCUAAUAUUUAAAUAAAAUUUAAUUGAUGUUGAUCCUAUCCUUAACUACUUUUAAUUUUGUAAAAGUUAAUUUUAAAAAAUCAGAACAAAAAAGCACCCAAAGAAAUCUUAUUUUUAAUCUUUUUUCAGGGUGAACAACUUAAGUAGCAAGUUUGUACAGGAAAGCUGUGUUGUUUGUAAAGCAGGGCUGUUGCACUAGCACAGAUUAGCUCAGCUUCCUAUCAAAAUGACAAAAUCCCCCUUAGACCAAACUAUUCUAUCUAUUAAAUAUAUGCAAACGAAGGCAACUUUGCACCAGAAUUUCAUCUUUUUAUAACCUUUUUCAAACACAUCAAAAACGCUGCCAGUUCUUCCUCAUUUUGUUGGCAUGGUUCAAAAAGUUGUUGGAAUAGCUACAAAGUUUGAAAAGACAGUGGUUUCUAGUCCUAAUGCAACAGGGUUCUGUGCUAACGAUACCCUUUCUAUUUUGAUAGUUGUGAAACAAAUGGCACAAGCAAGGAAUGCUGAUAAGCAGAAUGAGUUAAACCAUGAUGAAAGAUAUAAAGAGGUGAAGAAGACUACCAGAGAAAGUGAAGAAAAGGUUAUACUGGUAGUAAAAAAAAAGACUGCUCAGCCCACCAAAAAUUUUAAAGAGUUGAUGAAAAUCCAUGACCAACAAUACACAUCUUCUUGGUUUUCAUAAGUUUUCAUAGGUGAACAAGCCCUUAGGAUUGAUAAGUUUUCAUAUUUUUGGAUCUUAUACCUAAGUUAGCUUUUGAAUGACUUAGAUUCAAGACUAACAAGUGUUUUUUAAGAAUGAGUUGGUGUAAACUUCACAGCAUGCUAAAGUCCAUUGAGAAAAACAACAAAAAAAAUUAAGAACCGUAAAAUUUAGAAAUUUUUUGUUCCAAGAAUUUUACUCCAGUUUAGUUGCAUCAUUUACAAAUUAAUUGUAAUGUGUAUGUAUGACUUGAUGGUAAUCUAAUACUUUAAAAAAAUUUAAUCAAUUUGAUCGUGUCCCCAACUGCCUUUAAUUGUGUAAAAGUUAAUUUUAAAAAAUUAGAAUAUAAAACGCCCAAAAAAAAUCUUAUUUUUAAUCUUUUUUUAGGGUGAACAAAUUAAGUAGCAACUUUGUACAGAAAAGUUCUAUUGUUUGUAUAGUGGGUCGUUGCACUAGCACGAAUCAGCUCAGCUUCCUAUCAAAAUGGCAAAAUCCCCCUUAGACCAAACUAUUCUAUGUAUUAAAUGAAUACAAACGAAGGUAGCUUUUCACCAAAAUUUCAUUUUUUUAAAACCUUCUUCAAACUCAUAAAAAACGAUGCCAAUUUUUCCUCAUUUUGGUGGCAUGAAAGUUCUUUCUCAUUUUGAUGGCAUGGCUCAAAAGAUUGUUGGGAUAGCUAAAAAGUUUGGAAAUGAGUUGGUUUCUAGUUCUAAUGCGAUAGCCCUUUGUAUUUUGAUAGCUGUGAAACAAAUAGAACAAGCAAGGAAUACUAAUAAGCAGAAUUAGUUAAACCAUGAUGAAUGAUGUUGAGCGGUAAAGAAGACUGUCACACAGAGUGAAAGAAAGGUUAUACAGGUAUUUUAAAAAGAGGCUGCUCAGCCCACAAAAAAUUUGGAGGAGUUGAUGAAAAUCCAUAACCAAGAAUACACAUUUUCUUGGUUUUGGACCGAUAAAAGGAUCAACCUUCUCCAAGCGAAGCUAGAAAGUUUUCAAAUGGAGGCUGAGGUGAAGAAGAAGAUGUACCUGGUUGCCAUUUAGGUAAAAAAAAUUGUUGGGCUGAUGAGUUUUUGGAUUUUUGGAUCUUAUACCUAAGUCAGCUUUUGAAUGAUUUAGAUUCAAGACUAACACUUGUGUUUUUCUAAGAAUGAGUUGGUGUAAACUUCACAGCAUACUAAAGUCCAUUGAGAAAAACCAGAAAAAAAAAUUUAAGAACCGUGAAAUUUAGAAAUUUUUUUUUCGAAAAAUUUUACUAUAGUUUUUAAUGCAUCAUUUACAAAUUAAUUGUAAUGUGUAUGUAUGACUUGAUGGUAAUCUAAUAUUUUAAAAAAAUUUAAUCAAUGUUGAUCGUGUCCUCAACUGCCUCUAAUUGUUUAAAAUGUAAUUUUAAAAAAUCAGAAUAAAAAACACCCAAAAAAAUCUUAUUUUUAAUCUUCUUUUAGGGUGAACAAAUUAAGUAGCAAGUUUGUACAGAAAAGUUGUGUUGUUUGUACAGUUGGGCUGUUGCACUAGCACGAAUCAGCUCAGCUUCCUAUCAAAAUGAUAAAAUUCCCCUUAAACCAAACUAUUCUAUCUGUUAAAUAUAUACAAACGAAGGUAACUUUUCACCAAAAUUUCAUUUUUUAUAACCUUCUUCAAACACAUUAAAAACGGAGCCAAUUCUUACUCAUUUUGAUGGCAUGACAGUUCUUCCUCAUUUUGAUGGCAUGGCUCAAAAAGUUGUUGGGAUAGCUAAAAAGUUUGGAAACGAGGUGGUUUCUAGUCUUAAUGCGAUAGGGUUCUGUGCCAGUGAUACCCUUUGUAUUUUGAUAGCUGUGAAACAAAUGGAACAAGCAAGGAAUACCGAUAAGCAGAAUGAGUUAAAUCAUGAUGAUAGAUGUACAUAGGUGAAGAAAACUGUCAGAGGGAAUGAAAGAAUGGUUAUACUGCUAGUCAAAAAAAAGGUUGCUCAACCCACCAAAAAUUUUAAAGAGUUGAUGAAAAUUCAUGACCAACAAUACACAUCUCUUGGUUUUGGCCCGCAUAAAAGGUCAACCUUCUCCAAGCGAAACUAGAAAGUUUUCACAAGGAGACUGAGAUGAAGGAAAAGAUGCACCUGGAUGCCAUUUAGGUAAAAAAAAAUGUUGGAUUGAUGAGUUUUCGGAUUUUUGGAUCUUAUACCUAAGUCAGCUUUUGAAUGACUUAGAUUCAAGACUAACAAGUGUGUUUUUUUAAAAAUAAGUUGGUGUAAACUUCACAGCAUGCUAAAGUCCAUUGAGAAAAAUCACAAAAAAAAAAAAAAAAUUUAAGAACCGUGAAAUUUAGAAAAUUUUUUUUCCAAGAAUUUUACUCCAGUUUUUAUUGCAUCAUUACAAAUUAAUUGUAAUGUGUAUGUAUGACUUCAUGGUAAUCCAAUACUUUAAAAAAAUUUAAUCAAUGUUGAUCGUGUCCCUACCUGCUUUUAAUUGCGUAAAAGUUAAUUUUAAAAAAUCAGACUAAAAAAAUACUAAAAAAUCUUAUUUUUCAUCUUUUUUGUGGUGAACAAAUUAAUUAGCAAGUUUGCACAGAAAAACUGUGUUAUUUGCGCAGUUGGGCUGUUGCGCUAGCAUGGAUCAGCUCUGCUUCCUAUCAAAAAGACAAAAUUCACCUUAGACCACACUAUUCUAUCUAUUAAAUAUAUACAAGGCAAAUUUUCAUCAGAAUUUCAUCUUUUUAUAAGCUUCUUCAAACACAUAAAAAAACGAUGCCAGUUCUUUCUCAUUUUGGUGGCAUGAAAGUUCUUCCUCAUUUUGAUGGUGUGGCUCAAAAAGUUGUUGGGAUAGCUAAAACGUUUCGAAAGGAGGUGGUUUCCAGUUUUAAUGCAAUAGGGUUCUGUGCUAGCGACACCCUUUCUAUUUUGAUAGUUGUGAAACAAAUGGAACAAGCAAUGAAUGCUGAUAAGCAAAAUGAGUUAAACCAUGAUGAAAGAUGUACAGAGGUGAAGAAGAAUGUCAGAGAGAGUAAAGAAAAAGUUAUACAGGCAGUCAAAAAAGAAUCUGCUCAGCCACCCAAAAACUUUAAGGAAUUGAUGAAAAUCCAUGACCAACAAUAUAUAUUUUCUUGGUUUCGGCCCGACAAAAGGGUCAACAUUCCCCAAACGAAACUAGAAAGUUUUCAGAAGGAGGCUGACGUGAAAGAGAAGAUGUACCUGGAUGCCAUUAGAAGAUGUACCUGGAUGCCAUUAACGUAAAAAAAAAUGUUGGGUUGAUGAGUUUUCAGAUUUUUGGAUCCUAUAUCUAAAUCAGCUUUUGAAUGACUUAUAUUCAAGACUAACAUGUGCGUUUCUCUAAAAAUGAGCUGGUGUAAACUUCACAGCAUGCUAAAGUUCGUUGAGAAAAACAAAAAAAAAAAAAAUGUGGGAACCGUGAAAUUUAGAAAUUUUUUGAUCUAAGAUUUUUACUCUAGUUUUUAUUGCAUCAUUAACAAAUUAAUUGUAAUAUGCAUGUAUGACUUGAUGGUAAUCUAAUAUUUAUAAAAUUUCAAUCAAUGUUGAUCGUGUCCUCAACUGCUUCUAAUUGUGUAAAAGUUAAUUUUAAAAAAUCAGAAUAAAAAAUACCCAAAAAAAUCAUAUUUUUAAUCUUUUUUAGGGUGAACAAAUUAUGUGGCACGUUUGUGUUGAAAAGCUAUGCUGUUUGUACAGUUGGGCUGUUGCACUAGCACGGAUCUGCUCAGCUUUCUAUCAAAAUGAUGAAAUCCCCCUUAGACCAAACUAUUCUAUCUAUUAAAUAAAUACAACCAAAGGCAACUUUUCAUCAAAACUUCAUCUUUUUAUAACCAUCUUCAAACGCAUAAAAAACGAUGCCAGUUAUUCCUCAUUUUGGUAGCAUGAAAGUUGUUCCUAAUUUUGAUGGUAUGACUUAAAAAGUUGUUGGUAUCUCUAAAAAGUUUGGAAAAGAAGUGGUUUCUAGUCCUAAUGCAAUAGGGUUCUGUGCUAGCGAUACCCUUUCUAUUUUGAUAGCUGUGAACCAAAUGGAAAACGUAAGGAAUGCUGAUAAGCGGAAUGAGUUAAAUCAUGAUGAACCAUAUAGAUAGGUGAAGAAGAUUGUCAGAGAGAGUGAAGGAAAGAAUUUACUGGCAGUCAAAAAAGAGACUACUCAGCCCACCAAAAAUUUUAAUGAGUUGAUGAAAAUUCAUGACCAACAAUACAUAUCUUCGUAGUUUUGAACGAAUAAACUGUCAAUCUUCUCCAAGCGAAACUAGAAGGUUUUCAGAAUGAGGCUGAGGUGAAGGAAAAGAUGUACCUGGAUGCCAUUGAGGUAAAAAAAAUAUUGGGUUGAUAAGUUUUUGAAUUUUUGGAUCUUAUACCUAAGUCGGCUUUUGAAUGACUUAAAUUUAAGACUAACAUGUGUGUUUUUCUAAGAAUUAGGUGGUGUAAAUUUCACAGCAUGCUAAAGUCAAUUGAGAAAAAUCAAAAAAAAAUUUAGAAACCGUGAAAUUUAGAAAUUUUUUGUUCUAAGAUUUUUGCUCUAGUUUUUAUUAUAUCAUUUACAAAUUAAUUGUAAUGUGUAUGUAUGACUUGUUGGUAAUCUAAUAUUUUUAAAAAAUUUAAUCAAUAUUUAUCGUGUCCUUAAAUGCUUCUAAUUAUGUAAAAGUUAAUUUUAAAAAAUCAGAAUAAAAAAGCACCCAAAAAAUCUUUAAUCUUUUUUAGCGUGAAAAAAUUAGGUAGCAAGUUUGUACAAAAAAGCUGUGUGGUUUGUACAACUGGGCAGUUGCACUAGUACGAAUCAGCUCAGCUUCCUAUCAAAAUGAUAAAAUCCCCUUUAGACCAAACUAUUCUAUCUAUUAAAUAAAUAUGGCUCAGGGCAACUUUUCACUAAAACGUUAUCUUUUUAUAACCUUAUUCAAGCACAUCAAAAACGAUGCCAGUUCUUCCUUAUUUUGGUGACAUGAAAGUUUUUUCUCAUUUUGGUGGCAUGGCUCAAAAGGUUGUUGGGAUAGCUAAAAUGUUUGGAAAGGAGGUGGAACCGAACCACGUUAAAUAUUAUGUGUCGUUUAUCUUUCAUGCUUGUGGCUUGUUUGCUCAUUAAAUUAUUGUGUACUUGACAUCUCAAUAGUUGUUUGUUCCACGCUUGGAUCCUAACAGAAUAUACUGGACUGGAAUAUAUGUGGCUAUUAUUGUUGUUAUAGUAUUAUGUGAAUAGAUCUGGCUAUGAUGUGAUACUAUGUGAAGGUGCUUCAGUCUACGAGGGUUGAAAAAUUCACCCCCGAGGUGGGUGAACAACUUGACACAGAAAAACGUUCCGUCGUUCAUCUUGUACCUGAUCUAAAGAAUCCUCCGGGCAUGAUAGUUCAAGUUCUUGAUGAGGGAUACAUUUGCAAUGGGUAGAUUCUUAGACGUGCAAAGGUAGGAGUCUCACGUGCUGUGGAGACCAGGGGAAGAAGCAAAAAUGCAUGAGUGAGAUUAUGAGAUAUGACUGCUAUAGUAUGUUUUAGACUCCACUUUAUAGUAUGUUCUACUUUUGAGACAUUUUGCAAGUUCGCAAAGUUGCAAAAACUAGUUUCAUUUCAUGGUUGAUGUACUUUAUCAAUGGUAAAUAGGUAAUGUGGAUAAUAUCUGCUUCCGUGCUUGCCAAGAAAAUCAAAUUUUGUGCUAUAUAAUCAACAAGCAAUCCCUAAUAUUUGCUUCCCUAGAUAAUGAUGCUACAAAAAAUGGGAUCUUGUGCUAUAUAAUCUGCAUGUUAUCGUUACUUCGUUCUUGAUUUCCUGCUUCACAAUGUGAUUGAUUAAAUGCGAUGAAAUAUCACAACAACAAUUUUUUCUCCUUUUGGUUCUUUCAAUUUGGUGACGACCUUGUUUCUUUUUAAUCUCAGAUUCUAAUCUCUUAUCUUUAGAUGUUUCUCUUUUAAUUUCUUUUAUUUUACUUUUGGUCCAAAUAUAUCAAUCUAGGUUUAAAGAUACUGCAGAAAAGAAACCCAGUUUUAUUGCGGCUGUAUUGCAUUUACUGUAAUGGACACUUUUUUUUUUCCUUUUUUUUUGUUCUUUUUAUUUCUUUCCACUCUCAGACUCUUUAUCUCUAGAUGUUUGCCUUCUUUUUCAACUUCUUUUAUCUUACUUCUCGUCCAAAUAUAGCAAUUUAGGUUCAAGUGCACUUAUUUUAUUGGAGACCUCUUGCCAUUUUUUUCCCCUUUUAAUCUCAGACUCUUAUCUCUAGAUUUGAAAGAAUCGAUAUUACAAAUAUCAUCUAAGAUUUGUCUUCAAUUUCUUCGAGUCAUGGCUAUAGAAUGGCACACCCUAAAGCCCAUGUCCGAGAUGGGCGGAGCCUCGACCUGAAUCUUUUUAGUACGGAUCACGACACUGGGACUAAAAGUACGAAUGUUGAAUGCGCCAACUCGGGGUUUACCAAAGCCCGAUUCAGCAAGUCUAACAAAUCGAAUUUAUCAAAUAUGGAGUCUCUCUAUAGGCUAACAAAAAUUUAUGUCCGAAUUUAGAGUCUUUAUUCGACGGGAAAAAGUUUAUCAACUAAAAAUAAUCACUGUAUAAAAAGUUGAUCCUUGUAAUUUAUAAAUGAUCACGAUGUAACAUAUUAAUCCUUAUACUUUAUACUUUAUAGCAAACAGCCUGUCAUAAAACUAGAACCAUGAUGAAAGAUGUACAGAGGUGAAGAAGAAUGUCAGAGAGAGUGAAGAGAAGGUUAUAAUGGCAGUCAAAAAAGAAUCUACUCAGCCACCCAAAAAUUUUAAGGAAUUGAUGAAAAUUCAUGACCAACAAUACAUAUUUUCUUGGUUUUGGCCCAACAAAAAGGUCAACCUUCUCCAAACGAAACUAGAAAGUUUUCAAAAGGAGACUGAGGUGAAAGAAAAGAUAUACCUGGAUGCCAUUGACUUAAAAAAAAAUGUUGAGUUGAUGAGUUUUCAGAUUUUUGGAUCCUAUAUCUAAAUCAGCUUUUGAAUGACCUAGAUUCAAGACUAACAUGUGCGUUUCUCUAAAAAUGAGCUAGUGUAAACUUAACAGCAUGCUAAAGUUCGUUGAGAAAAACAAAAAAAAAUUAGGAAUCGUGAAAUUUAGAAAAUUUUUGUUUUGAGAUUUUUAGUCUAGUUUUUAUUACAUCAUUUACAAAUUAAUUGUAAUAUGUAUGUAGGACUUGAUGGUAAUCUAAUAUUUAAAAAAAUUUUAAUCAAUGUUGAUCUUGUCCCAACUGCUUCUAAUUGUGUAAAAGUUAAUUUUAAAAAAUCAGAAUAAAAAACACCCAAAAAAAUCUUAUUUUUAAUCUUUUUUAGGGUGAACAAAUUAUGUAGCACGUUUGUGCUGAAAAGCUGUGCUGUUUGUACAGUUGCGUUGUUGCACUAGCACGGAUCUGCUCAGCUUUCUAUCAAAAUAACGAAAUCCCCUUUAGACCAAACUAUUCUAUCUAGUAAAUAAAUACAACCUAAGGCAACUUUUCAUCAAAAUUUCAUCUUUUUAUAACCAUCUUCAAACGCAUAAAAAACGAUGCCAGUUAUUCCUCAUUUUGGUGGCAUGAAAGUUCUUCCUAAUUUUGAUGGCAUGACUUAAAAAGUUGUUGGUAUCUCUAAAAAGUUUGGAAAAGAAGUGGUUUCUAGUCCUAAUGCCAUAGGGUUCUAUGCUAGUGAUACCCUUUCUAUUUUGAUAGCUGUGAAACAAAUGGAACAAGUAAGGAAUGCUGAUAAGCAGAAUGAGUUAAAUCAUGAUGAAACAUGUAGAGAGAUGAAGAAGAUUGUCAGAGAGAGUGAAGAAAAGGCUUUACUGACAGUCAAAAAAGAGGCUGCUCAGCCCACCAAAAAUUUUAAGGAGUUGAUGAAAAUUCAUGACCAACAAUACAUAUCUCCUUGGUUUUGACUCGAAUAAACGGUCAACCUUCUCCAAGCGAAACUAGAAAGUUUUCAGAAGGAGGCUGAGGUGAAGGAAAAGAUGUAACUGGAUGCCAUUGAGGUAAAAAAAAUGUUGGGUUGAUGAGUUUUUGAAUUUUUGGAUCUUAUACCUAAGUCAGCUUUUGAAUGAUUUAGAUUCAAGACUAACAUGUGUGUUUUUUGUGUAAACUUCACAGCAUGCUAAAGUCUGUUGAGAAAAAUCACAAAAAAAAAUUUAGGAACCGUAAAAUUUAAAAAUUUUUUGUUCUAAGAUUUUUGCUCUAGUUUUUAUUACAUCAUUUACAAAUUAAUUGUAAUGUGUAUGUAUGACUUGUUGGUAAUCUAAUAUUUUUUAAAAAUUUAAUCAAUAGUUAUCGUGUCCUUAAAUGCUUCUAAUUAUGUAAAAGUUAAUUUUACAUAGUCAGAAUAAAAAAGCACCCAAAAAAUCUUAUUUUUAAUCUUUUUUAGCGUGAAAAAAUUAAGUAGCAAGUUUGUACAGAAAAGCUGUGUGGUUUGUACAACUGGGCAGUUGCACUAGUACGAAUCAGCUCAGCUUCCUAUCAAAAUGAUAAAAUCCCCUUUAGACCAAACUAUUCUAUCUAUUAAAUAAAUAUGGCCCAGGGCAACUUUUCACUAAAAUGUCAUAUUUUUAUAACCUUAUUCAAGUACAUCAAAAACGAUACCAGUUCUACCUUAUUUUGGUGACAUGAAAGUUUUUUCUCAUUUUGGUGGCAUGGCUCAAAAGGUUGUUGGGAUAACUAAAAUGUUUGGAAAGGAGGCGGUUUCUAGUCCUAAUGUGUAUGCUAGCAAUACCUUUUCUAUUUUGAUAGCUGUGAAACAAAUGGAACAAGCAAGAAAUGUUGAUGAGCAGAAUAAGUUAAACCAUGAUGAUAGAUGUAGAGAGGUGAAAAAGACUGUCAGAGAGAGUGAAAGAAAGGUUAUACUGGCAGUAAAAAAAGUGAUUGCUCAGCCCACCAAAAAUUUGAAGGAGUUGAUGAAAAUCCAUAACAGACAAUACUCAUGUUCUUGGUUUUGGACAGAUAAAAGGGUCAACCUUCUCCAAGCGAAACUAGAAAGUUUUCAGAAGGAGGGUGAGGUGAAGGAGAAGAUGUACUUGGAAGGCAUUGAGGUAAAAAAAAUGUUGGGUUGAUGAGUUUUCGGAUUUUUUGAUCUUAUACCUAAGUAAGCUUUUGAAUGACAUAGAUUUGGGACUAACACGUGUGUUUUCCUAAGAAUGAGCUGGUGUAAACUUCACCUCAUGCUAAAGUCCAGUGAGAUAAACCACAAAAAAAAAAAAAUUUAAGAACCAUGAAAUUUAGAAAUUUUUGGUUCUAAGAAUUUUACUCUAGUUUUUAUUACAUCAUUUACAAAUUAAUUAUAAUGUGUAUGUAUGACUUGAUGGUAAUCUAAUAUUUAAAAAAAAUUAAUUGAUGUUGAUCGUGUCCUUAACUGCUUCUAAUUGUGUAAAAAUUAAUUUUAAAAAUCAGAAUAAAAAAGCACCAAAAAAUCUUAUUUUUAAUCUUUUUUUAGGGUGAACAAAUUAAGUAGCAAUUUUGUACAGAAAAGUUGUGUUGUUUGUACAGCUCAAAUAUUGCACUAGCACGGAUCAGCUCAGCUUCCUAUCAAAAUAACAAAAUCCCCAUUAGACCAACCUAUUCCAUCUAUUAAAUAAAUACAACCCAAAGUAACUUUUCACCAAAAUUUCAUCUUUUUACAACCUUUUUCAAACACAUAAAAAAUCAUGCUAGUUCUUCCUGAUUUUGGUUCCAUGAAAGUUCUUCCUCAUUUUGGUGGCAUGGCUCAAAAGGUUGUUGGGAUAGUUAAAAUGUUUGAAAAGAAGUGGCUUCUAAUCCUAAUGCGAUAGGGUUUUAUGCUAGCAAUACCCUUUCUAUUUUGAUAGUUGUGGCACAAAUAGAACAAGUAAGGAAUGCUGAUAAGUAGAAUGAGUUAAAUCAUGAUGAAAGAUGUAGGGAGAUAAAGAAAACUGUUAGAGAGAGUGAAAGAAAUGUUAUACUUGCAAUAAAAAAAGAGGCUGCUCAGCCCAUAAAAAAUUUGAAGGAGUUGAUGAAAACCCGUGACAAACAAUACUCAUCUUCUUGCUUUUGGACCGACAAAAUGAUCAACCUUCUCUAAGCGAAGCUAGAAAGUUUUUAGAUGGAGGCUGAGGUGAAGAAGAAGAUGUACCUGGAUGCCAUUCAAGUAAAAAAAAAUGUUGGGCUGAUGAGUUUUUGAAUUUUUGGAUCUUAUACCUAAGUCAGCUUUUGAAUGAUUUAGAUUCAAGACCGACACAUGUGUUUUUCUAAGAAUCUCAGGGAGGACUUGUGUUACUUCUUUAUAUCGUGUUUAUAGCGUUGAAAAAAGGAAGAAACAAUCUGGCUUUGUUUGUAGCAUGUUGAGUUCUAAAAGUUCCCAACACCUUUUUUCCUCUCUAUUUCACUUUUAAUAUUGUUUUGAUUGGACUUAGAUUAUUGAAUCGAUUUAGAUGCUCCGAGUGUUUGUUUAUAUUUUGUAUUUGUUGGUAUAUUCAUAUGGCAGAUUUAGUGCUUAUUUGGGUUUAAUGAACAUUAAUUGUUCCCUUAAUCAGUAGUUUUAUUUUGUCUCCUGUGUUGUUCAUUUUAGGGGUUGGCUAAUGUGAUUUUGGACAUUGACGUACAAGAUCAUGAAAAGAAAAGCACACUUAGAGGAGGUACGUAUCCAUUUUCUUACAACUGGAAUAUGUUAGGAAAUUGGCUAAAAUUUUUUUAGAUAGGUUUCUUGUUUUGUGUGGAAGUAACUAGUUUUCUAAUUGAUUUUAGUUACUUGAAAUAGUAGCAAAGAAAUAUUCUAUUUAGUUUAGAAUUAGAAGUUAUUUUCUACAAGUGUAGGGAUUAGAAUUGGUUUCCUAUUGUUAUUUGAGUUUUGGCCAAAUAAUGUUCCAUAUAAAUAGGUGGAUUGAUAUACUACAAAGAUAUACACAAAGGCACACAACAGGGCAUCAUGUAACCUUAUACAUGGGGUAAGAGAUGGUUCUUGAGAGAUGAGAGAUGAUAUACAAGAGUUGGGCUUAGAUUCAAGUUGUAUUCUUGUAUAGGUUUUCUCUCAUAAUAAAGAAUGGGUUUCUCUCUGUGGACGUAAGCUCAAUGGUGGAACCGAAUCACGUUAAAUAUUAUGUGUCGUUUAUCUUUCAUGCUUGUGGCUUGUUUGCUCAUUAAAUUAUUGUGUACUUGACAUCUCAAUAGUUGUUUGUUCCGCGCUUGGAUCCUAACAGAAUAUACUGGACUGGAAUAUGUGUGGCUAUUACUGUUGUUAUAGUAUUAUGUGAAUAGAUCUGGCUAUGAUGUGAUACUAUGUGAAGGUGCUUCAGUCUACGAGGGUUGAAAAAUUCACCCCCGAGGUGGGUGAACAACUUGACACGGAAAAACGUUCCGUCGUUCAUCUUGUACCUGAUCUAAAGAAUCCUCCGGGCAUGAUAGUUCAAGUUCUUGAUGAGGGAUACAUUUGCAAUGGGUAGAUUCUUAGACGUGCAAAGGUAGGAGUCUCACGUGCUGUGGAGACCAGGGGAAGAAGCAAAAAUGCAUGAGUGAGAUUAUGAGAUAUGACUGCUAUAGUAUGUUUUAGACUCCACUUUAUAGUAUGUUCUACUUUUGAGACAUUUUGCAAGUUCGCAAAGUUGCAAAAACUAGUUUCAUUUCAUGGUUGAUGUACUUUAUCAAUGGUAAUUAGGUAAUGUGGAUAAUAUCUGCUUCCGUGAUUGCCAAGAAAAUCAAAUUUUGUGCUAUAUAAUCAACAAGCAAUCCCUAAUAUUUGCUUCCCUAGAUAAUGAUGCUACAAAAAAUGGGAUCUUGUGCUAUAUAAUUUGCAUGUUAUCGUUACUUCGUUCUUGAUUUCCUGCUUCACAAUGUGAUUGAUUAAAUGCGAUGAAGUAUCACAACAGCAAUUUUUUCUCCUUUUGUUUCUUUCAACUUGGUGACCUUCUUUCUUUUUAAUCUCAGACUCUUAUCUUUAGAUGUUUCUCUUCAUUUUUAACUUCUUUUAUUUUACUUCUGGUCCAAAUAUAGCAAUCUAGCUUCAAAGAUACUGCAGAAAAGAAACCCAAUUUUUUGCACUUAUUGUAAUGGACACUCUUUCUUUUUUCUUUUUUUUUUGUUCUUUUUAUUUCUUUUCACUCUUAGACUCUUUAUCUCCAGAUGUUUGCCUUUUUUUUUAAACUUCUUUUAUCUUACUUCUGGUCCAAAUAUGGCAAUCUAGGUUCAAAGAUAUUGCAGAAACCCAGUUUUAUUGCGGCUGCAGUGCACUUAUUUUAUUGGAGACCUCUUGCCCUUUUUUUUCCCCUUUUAGUCUCAGACUCUUAUCUCUAGAUUUCAAAGAAUCGAUAUUGCAAAAACCAUCUAAGAUUAGUCUUCAAUUUCUUCGAGCCAUGGCUAUAGAAUGGCACACCCUAAGGCUCAUGUCCAAGAUGGGCGGAGUCUAGACCUCAAUCUUUUUAGUGCGGAUCACGACACUGGGCCUAAGAGUACGAAUGUUGAAUGCGCCAAGUUGGGGUUUACCAAAGCCCGAUUCAGCAAGUCUAAUAACUCGAAUUUAUCCAAUAUGGAGUCUCUCUAUAGGCUAACAAAAAUUUAUGUCCGAAUUCAGAGUCUUUAUUUGACGGGAAAAAGUUUAUCAACUAAAAAUGAUCACUGUAUAAAAAGUUGAUCCUUGUAAUUUAUAAAUGAUCACUAUGUAAAAUAUUAAUCCUUAUACUUUAUACUUUAUAGUGAACAGCCUAUCAUGAAACUAGAACCAUGAUGAAAGAUGUACAAAGGUGAAGAAGAAUGUCAGAGAGAGUGAAGAAAAGGUUAUAAUACUUCAUACUUUUUAAGUUUUUCGUGAACACAUUUUUUAAUCAUGUUUUUACUUCACAGACAUCAAAUUACUAUAAUACAUUUUUCUACAAAAACUUCUAAAAAUAAUGAUCCAAACGGGUUGUGAGCUCUUUUAAGUUUUUGUAGCAACAAAUAUUUCCUCGUGAAUUAGGGGUAACAAGAAGAGUUGUUCCUCAGAGGUUAAUAACUUUGAUUGACUCAAAAAAAAAAAAAAAGAGUACUAUUUGUAUUACAAAAUGUAAAUAGUUGUGUUAAUGCCAAUUUUUUGUACGAAAAAGUUGUGUUUGUACAACUAGGCUAGUGGCACUAGCACUGAUCACUAGGCAGAAGAGCUCAACUUCCUAUCAAAAUCCCCUUAGACCAAACCAUUUCUAACCAUUUCUACCUAUUAAAUACAAUCCUUCAUACAUCUAAGACAACUUUUCACCAAAACUUCAUCUUUUUAUUAUCUUCUUGAAACGCAUAAAAAACAAUGCAAGUUGUUCUUCCCCAUUUUGGUAGCAUGGCUUAAAAGAUUUUUGGCAUAGCUAAAAAAUUUGGAAAGGAGGUGGUGUGAUGUCUAGUCCUAAUGCAAUAGGUUUUGUGCCAGCAGUGCUGUUUCUGUUCCAAUAGCUGUGAUACAAAUGGAACAAACAAGGAAUGCUGAUAAGUAGAAUGAGUUAAACCAUGAUAAAAGAUGCAUAGAGGUGAAGAAGGUCGUCAGAGAGAGCGAAAGAAAGGUUAUACUGAUAGUAAAAAAAGAGGCAGCAAAAAAUUUGAAGGAGAUGAUAAAAAUCCAUGACAAACAAUACUCAUCUUCUUGAUUUUGGACUGACAAAAGAGUCUCAAAUCCAAGCUAGAAAGUUUUCAAAAGAAAGCUGAUGUGAAGGAGAAGAUGUACUUGAAAAUUUUAGUUCAGUGGCCAUAAAAAAGGGACUAACUCCCUCUUUGGAUUGUAGAACCCACCUGCAGUGAAAAAUUUUUUAAAAAGGUGCUAAAGCACCUCUUUAGUCUAGCAUACUUAAUAGUCCUUUAUAUAGCCUCUUUAUGCUUCCCUCCUUGUAGAAUAAGAUAGAUUAAAUUAUAGGAAUAUUAUCAUUGCAGAAAAAAAAAAAAAAAAAAAAAAGGAAGGAGAAGAUGAACCUGGAUGCCAUUAAGCUAAAAAAAAUGUUGGGUCAAUGAGUUUUUGGAUUUUUGGAUCUUAUACCUACUUAGCUUUUGAGUGAUUUAGAUUCAAGCCUAACACGACAUGUUUUCCUUAGCAUCUCAAGGAGCACUUGUUUUAUUUCACAUCGUCUUUAUAACAACGAAAAAAAAGAAAGAAACAACUGGACUUUGUUAUUAAACUAUGUAGCAAUAUUCCUCAUCACCAAUUCCUUUCGUAUUAUUAAACCAUGUAGCUGAUAAGUCCAGAUACAAAAAGAUUAAAUUAACUCCUUCUACUAAAGCAGAAUUGUUAACUCUUCUUCCAGCCACGGCCAUAGAAUGGCACACUUUGCUAAUGUUGAAUUGGCCUAAAGCCCAUGUACAAGAUGGGCGGAGUCUAGACCAUAAUAUUUUUGGUGCGAAUCGUGAAACUAGGCCUAGGAGUACAAAUGUUGAAUGGGCCAAGUUGGGUUUACCAAAGCCCAAUUCAGCAUGUCUAAGAAUUUGAAUUUAUCAAAUAUGGAGUCUCUUUAUAGAGGUACAAAAAUCUAUAUUCGAAUUUAGAGUCUUUAUUCAACCGGUAAAAGUUCAUCAACUAAAAAUAAUUAUUGUAUAAAAAAUUGGAUUAAUUCCACUUUGUCCCCCCAAACUUUGGACGAUUACUCACUUCAAUCCCUACUCUUUAAAAUGGGACACUUAAGUUCCUAAACUUAUAAAUACCUCUCACUUAAGUCUCUAAACUUAUAAAAUGGGACACUUAAAUUCUUAAAUUCUUAUAAAAUGGGACACUUCGACCACCAAUGGCAUUUAGGAUUUGUUAACAAUUUUCCUUAAGUGUGAGAUAUUUAUAAGUUUAGAGACUUAAGUGUCCCAUUUUGAAGUUUAGGGACUGAAGUGGGUAAUUAUCCAAAGUUUGGGGGGACAAAGUGGUAUUAACCCUAAAAAAUUAAUCCUUUAUAAAUGAUCGCUAUAUAAAAGUUAAUCCUAAUACUUUAUGGUUUAUAGCAAAUAACCUGCCAUGAAACUAGAAUACAAGAUACAAAGCCUACUCAUAAGACUUUUUAUUACUUGUAGUCUUCAAGAACAAUUACUAAUAUUAUCAAUUAAUUUCUUUCCAUUAUUCAAUUCUUGAAUUGCUCUUAGACUUGCUCAAAUUUUGUGCAUUGGCAUAAAGGCUUUUGCUGAGGACCACUAGCGUGAAAUUGUGGAGCUUUAUAAGAAUGAAAUAAAUCAAGUAUGAGAUUUAUUGGUUGUUCCAUCUAUGAAAAACACACAUGACAGGCGACGUAUGAUGACAUUUAUCCCCACUACUUUGAAAAUAAAAGACCUCCUAGUCAUACUCUAGUCAAUUUCGUUUAUUUUCUGUCGAAUUUCAUUCUCUUAUAUUUCGAAUUGGUUUUUUGGUACCAAAACACAAUAAUUCUUCUGUUUCCUUGGGGUAGAGAGAGUACUGUAUAAAUAUUCUUUCAUGCAGAAUAAAUCAAUGCUUGUACGGACUAAGCUAAAGAGCAAGAUACAUACGAAAAAAUCAGUCAUAAUUAUACAAAGGUAAAUGUAUGUUAUUGGCAUCUCUUUUUUGUUAGUAAUACUAGGGGGAAAAGCCCACGCAACGCGUGGGAGUUUAGUGCCUAUAAUUAAAGAUAGUUAAUAAUUAUUAUUUGGCAUUUUCUAGUAUAAGAAUUGAAGUAUGAUAAUUUUAUUAUGUGAUAUUAAAUUAAAAAAAAUCAUAUGUUACAUUUUGAGUUAAAAAAAUAUAAUAUGCAAUAAAACAUAAUUAUAAGAUACGAUCAACUACUUUGCAUCUAACCUAAUAUAGUAAAAGACCUAUUUAUAUCUGCUCAUGCACUUUAGGAAUACUAAAAUUUGUUAUUUAGUUUGAAUUUGAUCUCGCUAUGAGGGCAAUCCACCACAUUAUCUUAUCAUAUAAACGAGAUUUGAACAAUUAGCAUACUUGAAGAAAUCAUUGCUAGUAGAAUUUCGGUUCUUGCAAGCCAAAUUCUUGAAUUUAUAUUGAUUCUAAGGACGCAUAUCACCACGAGGCCUUCACAUUGAGCAAGCAAUUAAUUAUAAUUUAUUGUAUGAUUUAGGACAUAUAGCAAAGCAUCUCCUUCUCGAUAGGGGUUACAAUCACGAAAUAUCAGUUUUGUGUUAGUUAUAAAGAUAUACAACAACUAACAUGCUAAUUUAAAGGAAUAAUUACGUCAAAAAAGUACUAAAGCAUCUUAAUCCACUCAAUUUAAGAAAAAUAAUUAAAAGUAAUAAGGUACAUGCUUUAGAUUUGUAGCCAAAUAACUUUAAGUAGAUAGUUAAACAUAUUGACAAAUCAGAUGAAGUGAAAAAUUGUCUAAAUGGCAUAGUUAAUAAAGUAGCAAACGAUUUAAAAAUUAUACCAACUAAUAGUUAAAACAACAAAAGAAGUAGAUGUAAUCUAUAAAUGGGAAAAUUUAUGAUGAUAAACUUAUUUUAAACCAUAAAUAACAAUUAACAAAUGUGGUCUCUUCCUUAUCAAACUUGUCUAACAUGGACAAUUGAAUUAAAAUACUAAAAAAUUAUUGCACAUACAACUUGCAAUAUUAUAGAUUUUUUACAACUAAAAAGUAAAUUGAUUAAGAAAACAUAUCUAUUGAAAAAGGUGUUGCAAAAUAGGGAAGAAGAGUAGCUAAUGUAACAACAUCUGAAUUAACAUCUAUGAUAACAGUCAAGAAACCAAACUUCUCUACUAAUUGACAUUAAUUGUGUCUUAACGUCUAUAUAUCAUAAUUUUGCAAAAUAACUGAUGAGAAAGACUUUAAGAAAUUAAAAGACUUAGAUGUUAAUAAAAUUAAAUGAUUAGAAGGGUUUUAAUGUAAUUUCACUAAAACACAAGCUGAAUUCAGUUGUACCCAAUGUUUGAUCGGAUAUCAAACAAUGUCACAUAUCAAACUUACCCCUAGUUUUAAAUGUUUAAAAGUGUAUCCAAGUAAUUACAACAAAACUAAAUUAGUUAUAAUGACUCAUAUUCAAUACUCUAAUUGCACUUCAAACACUCUCAAAUUUUCAAAAAAGCCCCACCCUUGCGGUUGAAAUUCAAGCCCUAAACUCAUUCUUAUAUAGUAUAAGGAAAUGACACACUAUUUUUUUUUCAUGUGCUUUGGCUCAAAAUACUUAAGAGAUGGAGCACCAUUAAUAUUAACGAUUCAAGUUUCAUUAACAAUGCUGUCACAUAAAUUUGAAACUGAUUAGUGGUCAAUUCUUGGCCCAUAUUUGUCCUUAAAACGUGAUUUAAUUUUGACCCUCCCCACUUCUGCUCCUUUCUUCCGAUUCCUCCUUAUGAACCCCUCACACUCCAAGUUAAGAAAAUAAUUGGGAAAAAAAAACUUCUAAUCUCAAUUCAAGGUCAUCACUCAAUGGUGUCGGGGUGCAAUAAAAGCAAGGGUCCCUUUUACCCUUUUCCUGUCUGUAGCAUGGCAGUUGAUGAUAUACGAUCCUUAUUCCUUGGUGUGCUUUAUUAGCCAGCAGCAUGCACACAAUUUGGACUUUUGAGAAAAGCCUUGACAACAAGGCAAAUAGAUUCUUCCCUUUUGCAUAUGCCCAACUCCACUUGGGACCAAACAAUUACUUGCUAAAUAUGACUUUGCUAGGACGGGUAGCUGGCUUGUUCAAGUGUGUUUGUAUUCUCCUGGCUUUUGAUCAUUUCCCCUCCCUAACUUGUCGAUUAAAUCUGAGAAAAAGAAUAAAAAUAAAAGAGUUGGUUAAUUGACAAAGCAACUCCGCCAAAAUACUAGCAGGUUGCAGUUCCCAUUUCCCAAUGAUUUUCCAAUUACUCAUUUAAUUACGUGUCAAGAAUUCCAAGGGAUUGAUGCUCAUUUCUCAAUUUGGCGUUCCGUCUCACUUUGGUUAUUUUUACAACAGAGUUCCGCGGUGCUGCGGCUCUGAUCAUGCUCCUCUACGUUACAGGUAAAAAGGAUGUGACUGCUUGGUUGAUUACAGCUUAGCUCAGAUGAGGCCUCAAUUGGUUGUAAUUACUAAUUAGUGGAAGACGGAUGUUGCAUGCAGGUUUCCUAGUCGACUCUCGAAUCAAUUAAAUAAUGAAUGUGAAAUUGCUUGCAUUGCAUACGUGCUACCUUUCCUGUCUUCCAGGAUGUUUUUGCCAGGCAUAUAUAAACCGAAAGCUAUUCAAAUUCAUCUGGGAAAUUAACAUGAUUAUGUCAUCAGUUCAUCUACCACAGCUAGGGGAUAUCUGGGAUUGAUUCGCCUCUAACCCAAAUUAUUAUGGCCUUAGACAAGCCUGUUUUCAUCAGCAGAAGCGCGAAUUUAGUUGACCAUAGCUCCUAAACAUGGAACAGAACUCUCAAUUAACGAAAAGCCCUUGAAAAGGAAUCUGAGUACUGGCAUCGAUCUUUUAUGGAGAAAAUGGAACAGACAAAAAAAUUACUUGUUUUUGUCAACUUAAUCAAUGUAUUAACUUUGCUUGUUACAAAAGGAUUCCCAGGGAGUGGAUAUCCUUCUUCACCCGUAAAGCUACUUUCCUCAGUUUGACCAUUUUGAGGUAAGAGGAAGUGACCCAUUAGCCGUGCAUGAAUGAUCUAUAUUCUAUACUGCGCUUCACUUUUUAUUUUUCUUUUUUCCCAGGGUCGGCUUUGGAUAUACAAAGCUAGCUGCAGACGCAACACCACCUAGCAAUGACCAUCCACAUUACGCUAAAAGCAAAUUCCCUUUGGCCUCUGGCUCAACAUUCAAGGGUCCAAACAAAUCACCCGCUCCAUUCCUGAGGACCCAGCCCCACCUACCUAUUAUCUUUCUCCCCUCUUUAGAAAUAUGAGAUUGACAUGUUAAAGCUGUUCAAGCAAGCAGCAAAACCAUCUCCAUCCCCCUUAAAAGAGAGAUUCUUUGCAUUGUCCCCCACAUUUCUAACUUUUAAAUAUUCCCUCUUCGUGCCAUGGAUUGAUUCUCCACAUAUAGGAACACUUACACCCUGUCCAUCUCAUACAACCCACUGCUUUUCGUUUCUUUCUUCUUCGGUGAUGGUUCCAGAAUUGGAGGUAUACCAGAAAAUCGCCAAGCCACACAUGCAAACAUACGAAUUAUAUUCUGGUUUAAUGUUCAGCGGUACAGAUUCUAGGCAUCUCAAUACUUUCUUCUUACUAGCUCUCUUCUUGUUUUUGGCGAAAUGCAGAAACCUCGAGUCACUGAGAUACAGGUCCGGAUGGACUGCAAUGGAUGCGUACAGAAGAUCAAGAAAGCUCUACUUGGUAUCAGUGGUAAGUGAUCUGCAUUAGUCUUUUAUCGUUUGUCUCUUCAAUCAUUUUUAAAAAUGGUUUACUGCAUUUUUGCAGGUGUAUAUGAGCUCUACAUUGACUUCCCUCAGCAAAAGAUAACUAUAAUUGGGUGUGCUGAUCCUGAGAAAAUAGUCAAAGCCAUAAAAAAGACAAGAAAGACUGCCAUCAUUUGUUCCCACACAGAACCACAAGCUCAGCCAUCAGACCCAGACAACCAAGGAGAGGCAGCACCCCAGGAGUCCGCCAACCCUCCCCAACAAGAGUCUGCUACCCCUCCUCCAUCAGAAGGGCCACCAACUGAAGAGGCAUCACCAGCAGAGGCACCACCAGCAGAGGCACCAAAAGAUCCACCGCCACCAGCAGAAAGUCCAAAACCAGAUGCUGCAGAGGCUCCAGCGAGCAAGCCAGUUCAAUCCUCAGGACCAAAAGAUGUUGAAGAGGUUCAUGUAAUUUACCACCAUCCACCAGACUUUGGCUAUAGAUACGGGUACAAUCCCAGCAUGAGUAGUCCAAAUAUGGGGCAAGGAUACAUUAGUGGGUACUGGCAUUCUUAUCCCACCGGUCCAGUAUUUAGGCCCGAGCCACUGGCACCUGUACCUGCACCCCCACCCCCACCCACUUAUGUAACUCACAGCUACAACACACACAGGGCAUCACCUUACGUCACUGGAUAUGAGUAUACAAGGCCUCCACCACAAUAUUCACAUUAUACAAGGCCAGAGAGCUAUCAACAACCACAGUACAGUGUGCACUAUAGCAGGCCGGCUGAGAGCUAUCCGCUGCCACCACAGUACACACAUUAUAGCAGGCCAGAGCGCUACAGGGAGGACUAUCAUUACGGUAACAAUGGAAAUGGAAAUAUUACUUCAGUUUUCAGUGAUGAAAAUCCAAAUGCAUGUAGAAUAGUCUAGAAGGCACAGCAACGUCUUCACGCAAAGCAGACGCAUUCUAUGAGAGAGACGUAACUCAUCAAUGGAGCACAAUUAGUCUAGAAAACUACGCACUGCUCAUAAUAAAACUUCUAAGAUGAGCGUAUGUGGGAAUAUUGAAGGAAAUCAGAUUCUUAGCUUGUAAGAGCAGGAAGAAUAUAUCCCAUAUUCCACUUUUGACAGACGUCUAAUGCAAAGAACCAGCAUUUAUUCCUGUGAAAUUAUCAAAUCUAUAUUGGUUUCCAUAUCCUUUAGUUUUGGGAUAAAUUUCUAUUUCAGUUAUUGUGCAAUCUAAAUAUUAUCUUGGCUUGAAAACCUGUCAAAAAGGAAGAAAUCAAGCUCAAAAGUCAUAUUAGGUUACAGCCCCUAGAUCACUGACGAACCGAACCAAACAUGAAGUAUGAAACCAUCGUAAUUGAUCAGCACUAAAACUGAUUUUCUAUCCUUUAAACGGCAAAUCGUGAAAGUUAACAAUUUCUGCGUAGCGCAUGACAAUCAUACACGAGAGAGAAAAAGCACAGAAAUAGUACCUAAGUCCUAAGAAACCUUCCAGCAGUAGAUUCUAGCUUUGAAAACAACUCAAACACUCCAAAGCCAUUAUGUUAGGCUCUCUUUUUACUGAUUUACUAAUUUAUUGUCUUAAUUACUAAUUUGCAAUUGAUUAUUUAAAAAAGUUAAAUAAUCAAUUGCAAUAGCUAUUUUCAUUUAUUUUUUGAUGAAACACCAUGCUCAUUAUUUACAGACGAAUUCUCCUCCCUGCAUUUAGAAAAGCUGCUACAUAUCUAAAACUUUUCAUUUAGCUUAAACAAGAAAAGAAAAUCAACAAAGAUCCACACAAGAAAGACAAUUAGCAAAGGCAUACAUUAAAAAUAAGUGCAAUAUACCAAAACUUGCAUUUCAGAAGUUAAACAAAUUAAACAUAUAUAUCAUCAUGGGGCAUCUAGAAAUAAGACCAAUAAAAAAGAACUAACUCAACUACAAACCCUUUAUCGUGAAUUUACAAAUUCAUUGUCAAAAAAAAAAAGAAGGGAAAAAAGAGAAUAUUUUGCCUCAUCAGCGAAAUAGCUGUAUAGUUGGACAAAAUUGUCAGGCUGUAGCAUGGGUACACAAAAUCGGUCCAAACCGUGCAAUACCUCCAUAAAGAUCUGCACACUUGCCAAAAGAUGCUCAGAAGUCAAAACAUAUGUAACCUAGCAGAGAAGGGCAGGACCUUGGAAAUUGUGAACUUCAAGGAAGAUGUUAUGAAUAAGCUGUUAAAACUCAAAUUAGAUGCCACCAAGACUGCAAAUCAGCAUCAUAGGACCAGAACUCGAGAAAUUGGCUUGGAGAGCCUCACAGAGGCAGAUAAAUAAUUGAAAGUCCUGCGAGAUUUAACAUAUCAGAGUAUCAGUUCCUAGCUUUAAAGAGGUAGAUAAGCUGGCAAAACAGUUUCUUAGUGAACCUAGAACUCGUCUAUCUAUCAUAACUAUGCCAAUCAUAAACAUGUUAAUGCACUAUCAGUUGUACCAAUGUGCACAAGAGUAACAAAGCAUUUGUCAACCAAUAAUAGACCAUUUCAACUACCAUAGAAAAGGAUUUCCAUUCCCAGAUGCAGCACCAUAGAUUAAUCAAUGCAACAUCAUUAAAGCAUGACAUGUUCAGGAUAGAACACCUCCAUUCCCAAUUCAUUUAGUACUGUAACAUACUAAACUUGGUAGUGCUAAACCAUAGCUUGAUAACCUUACCUCUACUUUUGAAAGACACUUAUUCAUCACUAUCACUAUCUAUUUGGGAAUCUUCAUCUACACCAUAAAGAACUUCAUCUACAUUGUCAUCUUCACUUUCAUCCAAUUCCUCAUCAUGUAUUAAAGUAGGUUCAUUGCUUUUGGUAGCCUUGUCAAUCUGUUAGAAAGUGUUAAGGAAAAUUGAAAAACAAUUUACACAUAUAAUAGAAAGAAAACUAGUUUAAGGAACUUUUGAAGCACAAAACCUGUGCCAUCACAAGCUGAAAACGGCCAGAUAAUUGCAAUAAUGACGGGAUGGCUGUUUCUUUGGAUUUGCACAGCUGAAAUUAAAAAAGGCCUAAGAGUUACAUAUUAGAAACAAUUAAAUCAUAAAAAUGUAUGCAUAUCACGAUACCAAGCAUUUAGAUUGAUCCCAGGUGCUACAAAAUGCAUAUGAUUCACGCAUGAGCAUAUAAUCAUUCACUGCUAAUGUUCACUCGAGACUCCAUGUGAAAACCAAUCAAAUUUCAACUUCCCAAAAAACCAAAAAAGACUUAAGGGUUAAAUUCGCCGAAGUGUAAAUGAAACAAGAAAAAUUUCCAUCACUUAAGGCACAACUUUUGCAGGCAGAGAACAAUUAGACAAUCAAACUCAUCAGCACUAGCGUUUCUUAUCAUUGUGUUAACUAAUCAUUGAUCCAAAGAUGUAUUAUUACAGCUAAUAUGCGCAAAGAUACCAUUAAUAUCCAUGUGCAUUGCCUGGAAGACUUAUCUGCGAAUGGCCCAUCAUUCUGUCGCACAAUGCUACCAAAACACAUGCAUAUUGCCCAGCAGCACAAUUUCAUGGAACAACAAAGUUGUCUCCAAGGAGAAGGAAGAACUACUAAUAAUCAAUGAAGAUAAUUAAUUAAGUAGCUGAAGAUAGCUUGAAGAUAGAUAAAAGAUAAUCAAGGAUAUCGGAGACUCGAAGUGUGCCUGUGAGGUUACUAGAUUCUCUUCAGAAUCCACAUUCCAAUGCAUAGUGCAUACAACAUCCAGAAAGCAAAAUUUACAAGCCUUCAAUUAUCAAAAUGACCUAUUCUUCUCUAGAAUAAUCAUUCGUUGCACUUGGUUUUUCAGUUAAAAAAAAAAACCACUUCUUCAGCCUAGGAUGCUCAACAAUGAUGUAGAGCAUGAGAGGUAAAAAAAAAUUAACAGAACUACAUAUAGAUGGAUUCUUUCAGCGACUGCAUCAUAUUUAACCAAAAUCAAUCAUAAAAGAGGGGAAAAUCCAAAAGAAUGCCCUGUAGGUGAAAAAACUAAAUAAAGAAACAUUUAUCCAACCUUGUACAAAGACUCAAGAAGUUGAGUCUUUGGCUCCUGAGAUACCACGUACUUAAUGUGACUCAACAAUAUACAGUGUAUCCAUGGAAGCACGUAUCUUCCAAAGCAUGAUCUGUUUGAAGAAAAAUCAACACUAAUUAAAUGUAAAUCAUAUGAUAUGAUACUAACCAGUGACGAAGACACAUUAUCACAUUUCAAAGAGUCAUGCUCCAUGCCAAAUCACAGUUUUCUUUUUAAUAAAACUGAUAACUUGCACCGCGGUGAGAGUUCCAUAUCAUUAGACUAAUAGCAUAUUGUGAAUUGACAGUAGUACCACAUUUAUUCUCACAAAAAUCAUUUAAAACUGGACAUUAAGGAAAAAGAAGCUGACCUGGAUUGCCAUGCAGCCACCAAGACCUUGAGCAAGUCGUAUGCUUCACUAGCUCCAAGAGAUACAACGUUUGCUUUCAUCUGGGGUAUUUCUUCUGUCAUCAGCAAGCCAUUUAUUUGCAAAAAGCAACAUGGAAAACAAAAGGAGUUACUUCUCUUCCUCCACAGAGGACAAACAUACCUUCCUUGGGGGUGUGCUCGCUGCAAGAUUUAUGUCCUUUAAGAUGCCAGAAUCGCUCAUGGAGCUAGAUGUGAGGCCAUCUCUAUCGUUAACGAUCCCUAAGGAUCUCAGUCGAUCUUCCAUGGAGAAUGUAGCUUGGUCAACAUUCAAUUUACACACAGCAUCUGCAAAACCCCACAAUAAUGUUUAAGGGCCAAAACAUGCCAUCCUAUCUUUGCAACCCAGCAACCAAGUGAGGGAAAAAAGACAUGAUAUCAAAACUUGAGCUAAAAAUUCCAGAUAUCAACCAGUUUAACUGGACUGCUAUUAGAAUAAUUCAGUACUAAUUAUAAUGUUAAGAAAGAAACGCUGGGUAACAUAUGGAGAAUAUUCCUUACUAAAGGUCUAAAGAAAGAAAGCAAAAGUUGUUGCAUGAAGUCAAUUGCAGACCAUGAAUGUUAUGGACAAUUAAAUUUUCAGUACUUGAAGCCAUGCACCCAAAUAAAAAAAAACAGACACGAGAGAGAACCCAACACAGUAGAGAGAAUAUAUAGUCCUUUAGUGAUUGAUUAUUAAAAGCCAAGCAAGCAGAAGAGGUCUGCUCCCCUCCCCAGACACCUAGAUAGAAGUUAAAAGACAGAAUCCAUAUACAUCAAUUCUCAAGUAGAAUCGAUCAACAUACCUCUACUCACCACAGGCUUAACUCUGUCAUUCUUAUCAACCAGGUUAAAUAUCUUAGGCAUUGGAAGUAAGGCAUCUUCAGCACUUGCACGAUCCAAAGCAGUAACUGUUUACCAUCAGAAGAAUGAUAAUCAAUGCAAAGGAAACAUCUAUAGAUUCUAUACAUGUAGAUAUCUGCAAAUAACAAAGAAGUUAGUAUAAAUGAUAUACUGGAGAAUCCAUGCUUGCCUCAUAUUCUCUCAAAAUAAUGACAAAUUGAGUCUAUAAUUAUUUCAACAAAUCAUGAGGUCACUGGGUAAAAUGAUAAUCUUGGGAGCUAAUUACUCAUUUCAACCAACUUAAUGAUCUUUAUGCCCAUCCAAACAACAAAAUAAUUCUAUUACCAAUCAGAUAAUGAGAUGUAAUAAUUGUUAAUAAUCAAAACUGAUGAUAAACCAAUUGGGCCAGUCAUGCAGAACAGUCAAAGAAAUAGCCAAUAAUGCCAAAAGUAUUCAGCUAAGCAUCAUAUUUUACAUGUACACAAAUUGUGUUUGAAUCAGUGGCAAUAUAUUGAAUGUUUUGAUGCAUUUUGAAUUCUGAGGCAUGAAAAAGUAAUCAUGUAUGGUGGCAACUGAAUGUGUAGGAAGCACCCACACAGAAGACGACACCCAAAAAAAAUAAAAAAUGAAGCAUCCAAUGCAAUAUAAGUUGCACGAACCAUGCAGUCAACCAAGUCAUCUAGCAAUUUCAUAAAAAAUCAGAUUAUCAAUCGAUAGCUCAUGAAUGCAAAACAGAUUCACAGACCAUUCAUUUAGCAGAUUCUGAUUUAAUUAGACAUGAAGUAAAAACAUAAUUUGACAUUUCGUGACAUUUAGGGAUGUUUAUAGUCAUAGUAAUCUCAAACAACUGAAUCUAGCUUCGGAUCACGGUCAAUAAAAGCAAAUAAUGAAAAUCCAAGAUGCUCACAGCAAUUUUCUGCACCUAUAUAGAGAAUAACCACCCUUACUUUGAUUGUGAUUGUCAGUUGCUUUCUUAGAUUUGUGUGAUUGACUGAUUGGUAGAAGAAAUCCAUCAAGUGAACUGCUUAACUUUACGUCUGUCCCAGGUUGCACCAAAAUUUUUUCAAACAAAGGCUUCACUAACGAACCAUAUGCGAUAAAAACAUGACCAAAGCCAGGUUUGGCAACACUUUGUAGCUUUGCAGCAAACAUAUUAGGCAGUGCUCCCUUGUGCUUCUUUGGUAAUGUGUCAUCAUAAGACAUGAUGAUUUUUGUGGGCUUCAAAUUAUGCAAUUCCUUUACACUAUUCCCAUACCAGAAGUAGCAUACACCCAUUUCUGAAAUGGCCAAAAUACACAGGCCUGCAUCAUCUGAAUCGCUAGUAGCAAUGGUCCUGCAUUCCAAAAAGACAGCAGGAUGGUCCAUUGAGAGAAAACAGCAUGCUGCUUUCUUUUUACCCCCGUCUAUCCUCCAAAUUGCAACAUAUCGUUCACCCACAGCAGAAGAAAGGACAUAUUUUCCAUCAUCAGAAAAGACCAUACAGCGGACAGCCCCCUGUUAAGAAGCAAUAAGAGAAUACUGUGUAUUAACUGACACAAUACCAUACAAAUGCACAAACUAUUUCCUAUAAAUAAAACGAAAGAAUAAAGAAAAUUUCAGAAAAAGUAAGUUGCAUAACAACUCACAGGAUGGCCUGAAAAUUUCUGUAGCUUUCUGUGAUCUGAAGAACUAAAAAUCUUCAACUGUGCUGCAGCAGUAGCUAAUAUCUUCCCAUCUGAAUCAUUGAACAAAAAGUCGAAAACAGUGAUUAGCUCAAAGAAACAAAUUCAAAACGCAAAACUCACAUUUGCAACAUUCCUAUAGACACUUGAGCUAAUGAAAGGGAAACACAGAUUAUUGAAUUCAUGAAAACAGGAAUCAACCAAGCCAAGUAUGACAAGAUCGUCUGGAACUUCUAAAAAAAAUUCAUUCAGGGUAAACCAUCCAAUCAACUAUAAUGGCUAUAAUACUACUUGUGCUCCUCAGAGGGACAUUUUUGAGGAUUGGAGCCCAUCGUAAACACACCCUAAAAUCAUUUUCACAUUUUUUGACAUUCUCUUAAUGUUGCUAAUUUAGUGAAAUCCUUAGAAAUAAGCUGAAGAAAAUCCAUAGAGUGGACAUAGAAGCUGUGCAGAAAACCCAUUACACCAAUGAACUAACUACAAAUAAGGCCUUCAUUACACGACUUGCCAUUGAAUAUACUUAAAUAAAGUUGCUUCACUACCUUCUUCGUUACCUUCAUUUAGUAAACUAAAUGUAACUUGGUACUUUCUCACUAGAAAACUUGUUUCCAGACAAGAAUUACUUUUGACAAACAGGAGAUGUUACAGCAAGAAAUUGCAAAAAUAUCACCCCCAAGUUUAGCGAGAGAGAUCAUUAUAGGAAGCUUAAACUGCUAUUUGACGAUCAAUCAAAAUAACCAAUCAUCCUUAUGAAGACACUAGAUGUUUUCAUAACACCAAACUUAAUCUAAAUUGCUUUAAAGAAGACCUUAUGUUGGAUUCUCAACCAAAAAGAAGCACCUUUAGGAAUCCUACCAAAGCGCGCACAGCUGAAAUCAUCUCCAGGAUUUAGACUUAUAUGACAUCAAUGAAAGUAUAUUAUACCAUUGUUUGAAUUUGGAUCCAAAACAAUGAAUUUUUGACAUUAUAACUUGCUUGAAAGGACUAGAUCUAACACUACCAGUAAAACUAUCCUAAAUUCUCCAGAUCCAUCAACUUAAGCAGGAUUUUCACGAGGCAAAGGAAAUAUCUGCAUUACUUAUUGAAAUCAUAUAAGCAUUCAAACCUGAUGACAUAGAGAUUGAUGAUAUUGACUUUGUAGAAGCUCUGAACUUGUUUGAUAAAUUUCCUGACAUGGAGUCAAGUUCACAAACCAUUCCAUCAGCACCAGCAGUGCAAAUGCAUGAACCAUGUGGCGCGAAUGAAAUUGCACUGACUCCUCUGCACAUAUAUAAUUCAAAAGAGAAGCUUAGAAUACUUAAUCAUGCAAUCUAUCUUAUGUAGUCUAUCUUAUGUAGUUCACUUAUUUUGUACAGUUUUGAAUCAUAAUAAUUAGAAUAAAGAUGAAACUAGAUAUAAUAAAUAAGAGAAACUUGCUUCUGGUUUACUUAUGUUAUUCCAAGAAAUCAGCGAAAUCCUACAUGCAUUAAUUGGACUUGAAGGCAAGAUACAUUAUUUUGCACUAGAUUCCUGACCGUGAAAGUCUACAAACAAUCGUUUCAUUUACAUAUCCAUAAUCUAUUUGAGGCCAAGCAAUAACUGAAUAAUCAAUCAGUUAUAAACAGAACACCAUAAAAACUCUGGACAAUUUUACGUAGAAAUAGUCUCCAAUUGAAAGUAAGUACAUCAACAGAAAGCCUCAUGCAAAAAAUGAAAUAAGAAGGCAAGAUAAAACAAAUACAUCAGAAAAAUCACACAAUAGAAAGAUUCCAGCAACUUACCCAGGAUGACAAUCAUUGACUCUCCAUUUUAACUGGCCGGCAGCUACAUCUAAUGCCAAUACAUCACCACUGCCUGUUCCUAGCACCAAUAACGAAGUACCAAGUUUCCUUUUCUUCUGAAAACAAGAUGAAGAAACAGACAAACAUGUAGCAAUUCACCAAAUUUGCGCAUUGAAAUUAUACAAUCAAAACAAACUACAUCUUCAAUUGUUUGACAGAAAAUUUACCUUCUUGUCCAAGGACAACCACGCCAUACACUUAUAGUCCACAGAAAGGUGACCACCACUUUCUGGCUUACUAAAAAACUCAUUUCUUGUUUCACUUGAGAUGAUAUCUGCAAACUCAGUUUGCACCUGACCCUUCACUGUGUCCCAUAUCUAAUAGCAAGCACAAAAAGAAACCUCACGAAUCACCAUUAAUCCCAAUGGAAAACAUAAGUUAAUACACUGUUACAAUUGGUAAAACUACAUCAUUCAGACUCUUUUGUCUCCUAUGACUUUCAGCACCAAGUGUUAGUUUGGGGAGCUACAGUCAAUCAAGUUUUUUCAGGAUGGAGCAGUUAGAAUAUCAAGCGUGAUACAAGCUGGAAAAUGAGCUAUAGCAAUUGGCAAAAUACUGUCUAAGCACUCCACCAAAAAUUGUUUUAACGUAUUAAUUCAUCCCUAUAUAAGCAGCAUCUCCAGUUUUUAAAGUACAUUACAUACUGUGUCUCAAAUUGGCAAUGGCAGUGAAAACCAUCUACAAGCAAGGAUGCACCAACAUAUGAAUAAUGACAAGGCUGCAGGACCAUGUUUGAGGGACAAAUUUUAAGCUAAAACUUUGCUAAUGUUGUUUUCCUAAUUAAAUUCUACUUACAACCUGAGAAAAAUAUUCUUCCAGCUUCCAAGAAUGACACUUUAUGUUAGUUUCAGCUAGAAUAAAGUGAAGAGCAAAUAGACAUAAAAAGGAAAGGAAAGUAAAAAAGGACAAAGAGGCAAAGAUAAGCCAAAGGGUACCUUAAUUCGCCCAUCACCAGUAGUAAUAGCAAAGAAGUCCAAAGAAGGACUAAAUGAAGUCAAUAUAUCUCUUAUAUUGGAUGACUCCAUGUCCAAAAAUUUCACCUAAAAAAAGAAACAAAAAUUGAAGUAGGACAAUCAAGUCAGGAAAGGAACGUAAUUGAAAGAUAUCAUCCUUACCUUUAGCAUUAAAAAUAAUUCUCAACACAAAAAAGACAACAAAACAAAUACUAUCGAAUCGAACAGAUCCAAUAAAACCUAAAACCGAGCAAUCAUCUAAGAUCAGCAGCAGCAGGAUUCAUUCCGAACAAAAAUUUAACCACGGAAACCUGAUCAAUUUAUGCUAGCAUCAGGCAGACAUGAACAAUUGAAUACAACUAAGAAAACAACACACUACUGAUUUAACAAAAUUAACUCAAUGGUCAGAAGAAAAAAAAACUUAAAAAAAUCCAAACUUAAUCGCAACGGGUCUAGAAAAAACCUUAUCAAAACCGAACUUAAAUCCCACCCAACAGAUCUAGAAAACCCUAGCCAGUUAGGACUGCAAGCUAUCGUCCAACCAACGGGAAAUCACAUGGAAUCAGAAAAGAAAAACAAUUGCACAAAAAAAGUAGAGCACCUUCUAGAUCCGACUAGGACUGCAAACGAGCCGAGUCGAGUCGAGUUUUGGACUUAUCAAGCCGAGGUCGAUUUAAAAAUAGGUGAGCUCGAGUUCGAGCUUGAACUCAACGAGCCUAUAGAAUUGAGCUCGAGCUCGGCUCGACUAAAAAAGCUAGGCUCGAGCUCAACUUGAUAAGGCUCACAAGUUGAAGCUUGAAUUCUGGCUCGCAAGCAGCUCGAAUUGUGAGCUCGAAUAAUAGGUUGCAGCACAAUAAUGACAUUUCAGAUACAUAUUGGGGAUGAAAUCGCCCUUGACUUUUUGAUAGUAAUUAAAAACAAAUAUUUAUAACAUGAGAAGUUCAGAACUUGAAUGGAAUGUUUAUCAUGCAAUUCAGUCAUUAUGAUUUUUCAGAUUGCAACAAAAUCAAGCAAAGGAACUACAAUAAAACAAGAAAAUUUUGUCCUUUAUUAAUUAGAGCUCUUUAACGAGCUGACGCCUACAAUUUUGUUAAAUACGCCUACAAACCUUGCAUAAGAUUAGCCACAAUAAAUCAGCCUAAUAAAUCAGCCUAAAUCAGCCUAAGAUUAGACACAACAAAUUUGUUAAAUACGGUUAGCACUAAUAAAUCAGCCUUGCAUAAGAUUAGACACAAACAGCAGAAAUCUGGUUUUGGAUUAUUUUGCCUCAAACAUUUUUCUCUAAAAUAAAUAAAUGGGAAGUGAAACGGACUUACAAUGUGGCAAAGAAGAAAAGGAUUCUUCUGGGUCAAUAGUCCAAGUCUCCAAGAGGAAGAAUGUCGGACCGCCGAUGCUGCUUAGCUGCUACUACUUCUAAUGUAAAGGAAGCUGACAAACGGGAGAAAGGUUAGGGGCUUAGGGCUAUGAAGUGUGGGCUGGCGGUGGCGGUGGCGGUGGCUGUGGUUUGUGUGAGAAAUUGUGAAGGAAAGACGGAAAGAGAGACACGGAACUUAGGGGUUUAGGGCUAUGAAGUGUGGGCUGGCGGUGGCGGUGGCGGUGGCUAGGGUUUGUGUGAGAAAUUGUGAAGGAAAGAUGGAAAGAGAGAUACGGGAGGAAGCAAUUAGAAAUGGAACGCAACCUCUGGAAAUGAAUCGUUUGAUGAAUUCUAACUUAGUAAUUAGUUAUAAAAAUAGGGGCAUUUUUUUAAUUUCACAAGACUAGUCAAGCGGCUCGACGAGCUAACAAACUUAAGUUAAAAUAGCUCGAGUUCGACUCGCUUUAUAAAUGAGUCGCUUGAGUUCAAGUUUGAUCGAAUUCGAGUUGAACUUUGACUCGCGAGUGACUCAGUUCAUUUGCAAUUCUACAUUAGACUGAAAAAAAAAAACACGUAGGAAAUCCAGCAUAAUCUAUUUGAGAGAGAAAAAUGAAGGAAAUCUUCUUCUCGUCGAACAAAGUUCAACAACCGAAAAUGAGCAAAGGCGGAUGAUGAUAAAGCGGCGGCUACAAGGAAGACGGAGAAUGAUAGAAGCAAUCCCGUUUGAAUUGCUAUUUUUUUGAAGUUUUUGUGAAAAGAAAAUACUAGAAAUUUUCUGGUUGUGCCAAUGCCCAAUUUGUUGUGUAAAAAAUAUUGAAAAUUUCCCUAUAACUCUUAUUUUUUAAUUUAAUAGAGUAUGAAAGAUCUUAAUUGGUCAUGUUGAGAAACCAUGUCCAUGUGGAAACUAUUAUAGCAGUAGGGUAAUUAAAGCAAUGUCCAUGUCCACGUGCAAAACCAGAGAAACUAAUAUAACAAGGAAACUGCAAAAUAAUUGAAAAUUGAGGUAUGUUAAAAGUCUUUGUCCCCUUAAAUUAGGAUCCGUCCAUUGAACAAUCCCCUCUCAAUGAACCAAAGUAUGGAACUCAAAAGUGCUUAUCUGUGCUAAGAAUUAAUCAGUGCAUGACCAAUUCCUAAAAUCAAAAUUUAAGCAAAAACCAAAUUAUAUCAAACAAAUCAUGAUUUGAGUGCAGAUUCUAUUUGUUGAGCCCCAAAACAUGUGGAAAAUUAGAACCAAGACAGCAAAAGUCAGGGAAAUACUCUUUAACUGGUCAUUAGUUCUAACAAUGAUAGUCACUAAUAUGAUAAUGCAAUAAAAGUAAAAAACAAUCGAUGAAAUUAAUGUUUCUAGGUCUACCAAAGUAUUGUUUCCAAUGGAAUUUAAAGACAGUUCGAGUCAUUGCAAGACAUUAAAGGAUCAUUCAACAUAUAAACACAAAAGCAAAAGUAAAAUCAUUUUUGUUUAGGACCAAAUGGUAAGCUAAAUAACAUCUCUCAAAUCAUCUAAUACUUCGGCUUCAAAUCCUCUGUCCCCAAAAUAGUCUAUGUUCCCUGUGUUCCUUAUUUGUACAACUGCCACGUGUCCCUAGUCUUUUGUUAACCCAAACUCAAAUAAAUUGAUAAUAAUCGGUUUACAAGUUUUGUUAACCCAAACUCAAACAAACUGAUAAUUCAAAACUUUUUUUUAUUUUCUUUUUAACAAAAAAGAGUCUUGUUAAUCAUAAUCUUUAACAAACAAGUUUAGCUCUUUCUAAUUUUUUUACAUCUCAUAAUUAUGUAAAUGCGAUGAUUUAAAAUUAAUUACUCAAUAGUUUUGAGUUAUCUGUAAAAUCAACCUUUGAGUAAAUCUGUCAAUCGACUGUUAUCGAUUUGUUUGAGUUUGGAUUAACAAAAUUUGUAAACCAAUUAUUAUCGAUUUUAUUUGAGUUUGGGUUAACAAAAAACUAGGGACACGUGGCAGCUGUAUAAAUAAGGGACAUGGGGAAUCGAGACUAUUUUGGGAACAGAGGAUUUGAAGCCACUCACCAAAUGUUUAUUUGCCUUCUUGAGCUUGCAUUAAGGUGGAGAAAUAAUUUUUAAGGAGAAAUGACCAAUUCAAACAAACUUAUCGGACCCAAAACAUCUAAAGCCAUAUCUUUUUUUUUUUUGUCACUCGUCAUCAUCUAAAUCUACACCUACUCUUAAUUCUAAUCUAGCCUAUACUAGAGGAGGAACCCAACAGGGUCACGAAAAAUCGACAGGGACUAAACCACCGUCUAAAGUAGGGCUGCAAAUGAGCCGAACCGAGUCGAGUUUUGACCUAAUCGAGUCGAGUCUCUACUAAAUUUUACCAAGUUCGAGCUCGACGAGCUGACAAUUUUCGAGCUCGAGCUCGACUCGAAUCAAGUCGAGCCGAACUCGAGAUCGAGCUCGAAAAAAUAAAAAAUAAUUAUUUUAUUUUUUAAAAAAUAAAUAAAAUAAUAUUUUUUUGAAUAAAUAAUAAAAUAUUAAGGAUAUAUACGUAAUUUCACUAUAAAAAUAAAAAAUAUAUAUAAUAUACGUAAUUUUAUUAUUAAAUAAAAAAAAAUAUAUAUAUAUAUAUAUAUAUAUACUCAAGCUCGCGAGCCUAACGAGUUUAAUAUUUUGAGCUCAAGUUUUACUCGAGUCGGUUCGAGCUCGACUCGAGCUUGACUCGCGAGCGGCUCGAUUCGUUUUUAGCCAUAGUCUAAAGCCAUAUCAAUAUGGUAUUUAGCAACACAAAAAGACCAUUUACAAGUGCUCUUCAAUGAGCAAUCAUGUAUCAAGCGCUCUUUGGAAGUUUCCUAGGGGUCACGUUCACCGAUGCUCUCUUGAUAACCUCAAUUCCAAAUAGACAGACAUCCUAAUCGAAAACAACACAGAGAAUAGAUUAAGAAUAUGAAUCAAAAGCAUGAAGACAUUGGAUAAAUGCCACAUUGAAUUUUAUACAGACGACAAGGCUAAAAAUUUACCUUUAUAUAUACUGAUUUUUUCUCUUUUUAAAGUUGCAGACCAUAGGGCCUAGGACUUUAGAAAAUGAACCAGUUGACGGUCCCGAUUGUCAACUCACUCCUUGCAAAAAGUUGAGCAAUAACUGUAUUAAUAUGUACUCAACUUUAGUGAUAAACAUAUUUUAAAUCCACAUCAUCACUUUGAAAUGGUGCAAAAACAUGUUAAUUAGUACUUUAUUUUAAGUUUUAAAUCACAUGCUUAUUAUACCAAAAACGAAGAAAAUUUGUAAACCUUUAAGCAUAAGUUAUACUAUGACAUAGUAUAGUGCCAUUAAUCUGUCAUUACUUGUAAAUAACUUUUUACCAACAACGAAAAAGGAAAAUGCUGCAAUCAUUUUUAAUUAGAGAUCUUUAAGAAAUUUGAGAGCUGACAACAAUCAUAAACACUAGCAAGUAAUACCUUUUUUAAAUAUUAAAUAUUUUAUGAUGUGAUGUAUGUGAAAUAAAAAGGUGAUUGGAAAGAUAAAAGGGUGUGUUAGAAAUUGUGUUGUCAUACAUGCAAAUAAUUUUUGGCCAAAUAUUUGAUACACUUUUUCUUUUCUUCUUUUUUUUAGUUUCUUUUAUUACAUGAAAAAGGUAACAAAAGUUAAAAACAAAUUAACUUGUUUUAAUUUGUCUUUCAUAAACAUUCAGAGAAAAAGCAAACAAAACAACUUUCAAUGAUUUGCUAUAAAAAUCAUUUAAGCAACACAGAUUGCACCGGUGGGUUGGGCUGUGGUGACAAUAACAACGAAAUAUUUGCAUCGAAGAUGUUGGCCCAAGCCUAUAUCUAAGCCCAACUUAUUGCCAGGAAAAUCAAUUCAACUAUAAACCCUCUCUCGCAAAAACCCCAUCGUGCGGAAAGCUUCGACCUGAGACUGCACAAUCACACAGAGCUUCAGAAAUGGCAGCGAAGCCCCUAAAAAGCAACGAUUCAAAGAAGAGAAAGAGAAUUGCUGGACCCAAAGGAGAGGAAAGAAAAUCCAAUCCCAAGAGAUUGAAAUCACCUUCUACCAAUAAUUCUCAGUCGGGGUCCAAGAAACCAUUCAAAGCAUCCAAACGACCACCAUCUAAGCAGCAUGGAGCUAAGCCUCCGACACAGAAGCACGUACCAGAUACCAAAAAACAACGUCGUUUGCUAGCAAAGGUUUUUUUCUUUUUUCCUUUUUGGGGCACCCUUUUUGGUUUUUUGUCGUCCUUUGUUUUGUGGACUUUGCUAGCUGAUAGAAGGUGGUCUUUGGUGGAGGUAGAAAUUAAUCCAAUUUUUGGCUGUUGAUGAUUCAAAAUUUUUUUUUGGGUUUCAUAUUCAAGUUGGGAUUUCGAAGAAGUAAAUAAUCAAUUCUAUUGAAAAAGCCUUUAAACUUUUUUCUUGGGUAUUGUAUAUUUUGGUUAGGUAAAACUUGCAUUUUUAGUUCAAUCUUUUUUGGGUGCACGGACUUGAUGCAGGAAUUGGCUGAAGCAAGAAAGAAGAAGAGGAAGAAACACUAUACUCUGGAACAAGUAUGUUUUGUUGCUACUACUUUAGCUCAGUAAUCAUUGUUGACAUUUUAAUGAAAGGAUUCUUUGAUUCUUGGUAUUGAACAUGACUUGGGGAACUAUCAAGUACCCUGGAAUGCUCAGUGCCUUAGUAUUAUUUGAUAUCAAAUCUUCUGAUUUGGAAAAUUCGAUUGCUUUGGCAAACCAAUACUAGGCUUGGGUAAUGGCCAGUUCCUCAGGACCAGGUGGGAUAAAGCAUUGGCUGCAUAGGGAAAAGAAACUUACCAUCUUCAAUUCAGCUGUAACAUCAACAAUACACCCUAGCCACAAGCAAGAAAUUAAACUCUUGAGUGCAGUGGAAAUUGGGAAUAUUCAUUGUUAUUAUAUCUUUGGCUCUCUCUCUUCAUUUGUCUAUAUCAUCUUCGCUCUUCCAUUCUAAACUGACGCACAUAGUUUGUCUGUGAGGGUGUACAUUUUGAGGUGUUGAUUCAUUCUCUGAGUAGAAUGUUUCUUGGGUUUUUGCUUCUCUAGACUUUCAAUAUUCUGUUUUCGUUAUCCCAAAAAAUUUAUGAUUUAGCAUAUGCCUUUGGAUUCAAAGCUUUAAGUACAUGUAAUACAUACUUUUAAGCUAGAAACCUAGUCAUGGCUGAGUUUUAUCUGACAAUGCAACCAGACAGUAGCUGUCAAAUAUAGGAGUCCUGACAUCUAAGCAAUACUUGAAAUUCUUUCUUUGACAGGAGCUUUCAAUCCUGUGGGAGAAGAUGCGACGUCGAGAUAUUGCGAAAGAAGAUAGAUCCAAGUGUGUUAAUUUUACGAAAUUAGAAAAUUAAUUUGCUAUUUUGCUUUUGUCCAUUUUCCUUUAGAAACCCUUCUUCAUCCGUCAGGUAGUGGAAAAAAAGUCUUUACUUCUGUCAUUUUCAGCAGUCAAUAAUAAUGGUUAUCUUUUGCUUGCAUCCCUCUACACAUGCACAUAAAGAUUGGCAAGCGAAGCUCUAGGAAAAAUGAAGGGCAAGAUUCCUGAGAUCGCCAGUUCUCACGUUUCAUCUCGAGUUCUUCAGGUAACAAGCUGUUUAUGCUUCUCCUUUUUUCGGAGUUUAAACAUUCCGGAUUAUUGUGUGUUACAGCAUAAAUUGGUUUUGUCUCUUGACUAGACAUGUGUUAAGCACUGUUCACAAGAAGAAAAGAGUGCAGUGUUUAUGGAACUUCAGCCGCAUUUUAUUAGCCUAGCCACAAACACUUAUGCUGUUCAUCUGGUGACAAAGAUGUUAGAUAAUGGUAAGAUUAAGUUGCAUUUAUCCUAUUGCUUCUAACAAGAUGAUUCUUUAUGUUUGUGGUGGAUGAUUCAUAUAUCUUACGUUCUUUUGCAUAUUUUAUUAAGAAUUGCUUUAUGCUUGAUGUUUCAACCUUCAAAAUCAUGAAGUGCAUCAAAGCUUCUUUUUCCUUUUUUCUUACUCUGCUUUUUAUUUGGUUGUAGCAUCCAAAGACCAGCUGUCAGAGUUUAUUUCCUCACUGUACGGGCAUGUUGCGCCUCUGCUUCGACACAUGGUGGGCUCACUUGGUAGGAUCCAAUUCUUUUUUGGCACAUACAAUUGAUAUAUUGACUAGUUAAAACCAGUGAAAAUUUUGAAAUUGCAAUGGUAAUAUAAUUUAAUGUGAUUUUGGAGAUAAUUUGUGUGGUUCUACAUAAUCAGAAGGCUAAGAGGUGUUUGUCAUGCUUUUAAACAUGAUAUUUGAAGUGCAGCUUGCUGUGGUCCUUAGCUGAAUUUCAGAUGCAUGCCAGAUUUGAUUUUUUUUUUAUGCAAUAAAUGUUGAGGAUGAAGCAUUGACAUAUCUCCCUCAACUUGACAUGUAACAAUGGCAUUGAAGUAUUGAAAAUUCUGAUGUUCUGCUGCUUUAUUUUUUGCAGUUAUUGAACAUGCCUAUAAUGUGGGAAAUGCAAGUCAGAAACAAACUCUACUUAUGGAACUAUACUCUCCCGAACUGCAGUUAUUCAAAGAUCUUGUCUCUAUGAAGGAAACCAGGUAAAUAUUUUUGGCUUAGUAAUUCUAGCGAUUCAUGUUAUAAAUCCAUACAAAAAUACAUAGAUACUGAUAUGUUCCUUUUUUUAAUAUGAGCUGUUAUUCUUCUGAAAGUUUAUGAGAGAUGUUCUUUUAAGAGCUAAACUUUUCUAAGAUAGUGUGUGAAUAGUUUUCUUUUUCUUUUGUUAUGUAAGGAUAGGGAUUAAAUUCAAAAUUUUCAGUAAAGGAGUCAAGUUAAUUGCAUUGGAUGUUGUGAUUCUCCACGGUUUGUCCUGUCUUCUGGGGUUGCAAAAAUACCAGUUUUGCUCUUUUCUAAUUGAUUAUCUUGUUCUAAGAAUAGAUUUAAUGAGGCUAUUAAAUUAUAUAAUUGCUCCCAAAUUUGAAAAGAAUUUUAGUUCUAAUAGAGGCUUGUUUACUUUGAUGCCUUUCCUGUCAGAUUAGUUGAUGUAAUUUCCAAGCUACAGUUGCAAAGGUCUUCUGUUGUACGUCACAUGAGCUCAGUGCUUCAACCAAUUUUGGAGAAAGGAAUAUUAGACCACUCCAUUAUACACAGAACACUAAUGGAGUAUCUGACCAUUGCAGAUCAGGUAGUAUUUCCUACGUGAAUUGCUCUGUUGCUAGGUGACCUUGACUUUAAGAUUAACAACGGUUGUGUCUAUUUGUGAUCCUACAUAUCUAAAUCAAGAAUUUUAAAGUCAUCUGCUGCAGAUGUAAUUCAGCAGUUAUCAGGUCCACUUCUUGUUCGGAUGAUACACACUAGGGAUGGUUCCCGGGUUGGCAUACUAUGCAUCAAACAUGGAAGUGCAAAGGUUUGUUGAAAAAGUUUUGUUUUUGUUCAUCUUCUGUGGAAAACUCAAAAGUUCCCUGCUCUUUUUGUAUAGUCAUCUGUUGUUGAUCAAUCUACUUUUCGUUUUUGUUUUCUUUGAUGGUGUGUUUUAGGAGAGGAAGAAAAUCAUUAAAGGAAUGAAAGGUCAGUGUGACAAGAUUGCUCGUGACAGAUUUGGGAGUAUGGUGAGUAUGAUUUUAUUAUUGACUUGUCUUUCUUUUGUAGCUAUUUGCAUUUUUUGAGUUCAAGAACUCAGAAUCUCCUGGUUAUUUGUUUUUUGGUUUUCUGCAUUCAUUUUACACCAUAAUAGAUAGCAAGAAAUUUUAAUUGUCGAACACACAUUUCAUUAAUAGGCCAUUUGGUUGUGAACUUUACUGACUUCUCAGUGCAUUUACCCUACUUUCGUAUUGGAUAGUUGGAAGUAUAACGUGCUAAUACAAAUUUCAGGUUCUUGUCUCCAUUCUUUCAACAGUUGAUGACACGAAACUCUUAUCAAAGGUUGGUUCCAUAGCUAUUGGUUUCUAGCAACUAAGUUUUUUAUUAAGCAGUGAUGUUAGGUGGCAUCUUAGAAGUGCAUCCUGCAUUACAGAUCAUCAUUCGUGAGCUGGAGGGCAUUCUGAAGGAACUUGUUCUAGAUCAGGUUUGUAAUUUAAAGGACUUGUUAAACUUGUUAUAAUCUUCUGGUGCCCUCACUUCUCAGGCAGUUAAAAUCUAGCCCAAAUUUAGUUGAGUGUCAGCUUUCUUUCAUGUGUAAUAGAAGUAAAGGUUCAAUUACAAGAAAAUUGUCUCUAGAGGCAUUUGCAACUUGAGUAAUGACCUUCUGCAACAGUUUCAAUAAAGUUCUUCAUUAUUCUGGGUUUCUCUUGAUGCCAGAAUGAGUUGAUCUGCAAAACAGUUCAAGUAGUCUUAAUUGUCAUGUCUAUGCCCUAUUAGUUAUCUUCCCUAGUAAUUGAAAAAGUGAAUGGCUUUUUCUAAGACUUGGUGUCAAGCAUAAUCCAGUGACCUUGAAAUUUGAUUUAGAAGUCCUGAAUUUGUAGUAAAGGUCUUCUGUCUCAGCUUGAAUUGGAAAGAGCUAGCUGUCUUAGAACUAGAAUAUCAAUGUGCCUAGCAUGGCAACCACCACGUAUACUGAGUUGCUGCAAGACCCUAGUUAAAGUAAAAAGGAUUGCUUUGCCCUUAUUGAGAUGUGGAACAUUGUGGCUUAUUUGCUGUUAAUGAACAUUUGUUCAUUCCAGAUGUGAUUUGUGCACUCUCUUCUUGGCUGGAUUCCUGGUUAACCAAAGAUGUGAUUCUUCAACCCCUCCCUUUGUGUAAUUUCUUAUGCUUAGGCCUGCCUUUCUUUGGUCUAAAGUUGAGUUUUUUGAAACUUUAUUUCUUCCCUGCAUCAAUACCAGCAUUAAAUUAUUUCACAUUUUGGAUGAACAGUGUUGAUAAUGCUUUAGCUCAGACUACUUUCACCAGAUGCAUAAAUGUUUCUUCGUUCAUGGACUUUUAGAGAUCUGUAAAUCUUGAAUCCAACAGGUUUAUGUGAAAUAGCAUAUAUAUAACCUAAACAUACUUUUUGUUGUUUCAGAAUGGAAGGCGUUCGCUUCUGCAGUUACUUCAUCCAAAUUGUUCUCGCUAUUUAAGCCCAGAUGAUCUCAUGUCCUUAAGUUUGUCUAUCCCCUCUUUCAACACCAAGGUAACUAGCUUGAUCUUUUUGCUAGUUGAGAACUUUGCAACAUAUAAAUGCAUUAGUUGAACCUAGUGGAUGUAUUUUGGCUCUGUUUAUAUGAUAUUAUGGUAGCUCAUAAACAAGUUCUUUCUUGUCUCAGCAGAAAGAGUCUUCUGAGGUUAAUGAAGCAAGUGAUGAGGAGAAGAGAGACAAUGGUGAGAUCUUAGUUGAGGCAAAUACAGGUAAAAGUGCUGGGAAGAAUUCAGAUGUAAAUGAGGUUGCGAAGAAGGAUCCUUUAACACGAAGGAGAGAGUUGUUGAUCAAUAGCGGGCUUGCUGAGGUUUGUGUUUUUCUGUACUUUUAUCUAUGUUUUGAUCCCGUAGAUUUGUUUUUUUUUACUAUUAUUGGCCAAGGAUGAGGCAAACCUUGGGGCACUAGCAAGGCUGCUCCAAUUUUUUUCUUGGAGCUGACUGGGAAGAAGCAGAGAAUCUGUUUGCAAAUGCAAGGCUACAUUCUCCUAGCCUUCUUGAAACACUUUUGUGGCAAGAGGCUUCUGCACUAGGUUUACCAUUGAUAUAUAUGCAUUACAGUGGGCUUUGAAACUGAGCUGGCAUGACACUUCAUGAUUCUGCUGAUAUUCUAUAUUCUUAGCCUAUAUUUUUGUACUUCCCUCUUAAGAUUGUAUAGCCUUUAUGUGAUUUACCAAAUUCAGACUGUUUGAUUGUCUCACCGUAGACGCUUUGAUUCCUACCUUAUUUUUACUGAUGUUCCUUUUUCUUUAUUUCUUUCUUCUUUGUUUUUGGGGUUGCAGAAACUCAUUGAUGUAUGCAGUGAGAUGGCAGAAAAUUUGCUAAGGUCAAAAUUUGGCAAGGAAGUCAUCUAUGAGGUAGGUUUAUUGGUUUUAAUUGGAUCCACACUUAGUUGCAUGUUCCAGUUCAGUGGUGGGACCGAGAUUCUAUGUUUGGGGAGGUACCAUUCAGAAAUGACUAGAAAUAAAUUAUAGCGUUUCAGGGGAUAUUGCCAAUUAUCUAAUGACUUUUGAACUCACCAUUUUAGAAUUUUGUUGAAUUAAGGAACUUUAAAUUUAUAGGAAAGAUGUAAAUUCUGUUGUCCUCUUACGGCAGCGGAUAAGGUUCUUGUCCCUAAUCUGUGAAUUUACUACAGAAAUGUAACAUUUCUUAACGAGUCUAAGCAUACCCAGCCUACCAUGGAGAAUAAACUGUAUAACCUAGUUUCUUGAAUUUGUUUCGAGAUGUUCAUGAAUCACAGUUAUGGAAUAUAUAGGAACUUACUAACAAGUUUAGUUUAGCUGUGCUUCAGUGGAUUAAAACCUGCACAGUGGAAGACAGAAAAUCACUGAGAGGUGACUAAAGGUAUUGCAAAGCAGGCACAUAAAUCCUAAUGUAAAUCCUCCUUGAUUGUGAAAUCAGACAAGAAAGAAAGCUAUAAACAAUUGGCUUUAAUUGGUCGCCGCAUGGGUUGACACUAAGUUGUGAUGCAACAAAAAGAACACUUUUGUGAUCAUACCACUCUUUUGUGUUUCAUGCUUCAACCAAGCGUGAGUUUAACUAUUGAAUGUUAAAAAGGGAAAAACAUCUGACAGUCACUCAGGGAAGAAAGAGAUAAUUAAUCCUCCUUCCAAGUUUAAGAGAAUACGAUCACUGGUCACUGAUCUUUGCCUUGUUAGGUAACUGGUAUGUCAGGUUUUUUGUAUGAGGAGCACAGUUACACUAGUAGUUCUUUUAUUUUUCUCAAUUGCUUUUACUAAAGAAGUAAGUUAAUCAUCUUAAAUGAGGUGUUCAUGAAUUAGAUUACACUAAAUCUCAGAUGAGUGUGUGGUUAGAAAGAAGAGUGGUUUUAGGUGAAAGUUGCAACUUCCAACGUAGAGAUAGAGAGAGAGGUUAAGAAAAAAUUACAUGACAAUUCUAGUUAUAGAUGUUGCAGUUUAGUAUGUUUAUUGGUCCUUAGGAACCAUUGUGCUCUACAAUGUAAUUUGGUCCAUUGUUUUUCUAAGUCCUAGGUGAUAUACUUAAGUCUAUUACAUUACUCUUUGGAGUUAUCUAGAUAGAUGUACCUAAAUUGUUUCCAUCCACAUUUUUAACUAGCUCAAAACGUGAGGCAGACCUGUCACUCGUUUUUCCUUUUUUUUUUUUCUUUUUCCUCCAAAAGUUUUGGGAUUAUAGUUAUUGUUUUUUGCAGUGAUUUUAAAAUAAUUUUUGCAUUUAUCAAGCUGUUGCUUUUCUUUGACUUGGCUUUAUAAUUGUUUCUUUCCUUAGCUGUAGUCUGUCAGCUUAACUUUUUGUGGAUGAUUUCAUGUAACAUUUUUACUUUCACAUGAUUUGCAAAUGUCUAUACAUAGGUUGUAACUGGGGGUGCUGAUGGUGUUCUUCACCCUGCUUUGGAUGAAAAGUUGGAAAAAUUGUAUGAAGUAAUAGCAACUCUUGUAGCAGAACCUAAAUCAGAGGGAGCAGAAGACGACCAUCUCCUUGAAGAUUUUCAUUCUAGCAGGACCAUUAGAAAGCUUAUUCUAGAUUGCCCUAUCUUUGCUUCCAAGUUGUGGGAGAAAGCUCUUAAAGGCAAAUGUGCAAUAUGGGCUCAGGGUCACAGGUUCAAUUUACUACUUUAGAGCUUAGCUUUUCUGUCCAUGUGAGAACAAAUAAACAAUGCUGAUGAUCCUGUUCUUUUUUGUGUAGUUGUAAGGUGAUUACUGCAUACCUAGAGGCCUCGGACCUUGCCUUGCGUGAAGCAGCAAAGAAAGAGCUGCAACCCUUAAUUGAUAGUGGCGUUCUUACAUUACCUGCAGUUAAUGAGUCUGCCAAAGCCGAUCAGGACUUCCAUUAAGGAGCAAGAUUGGGAUAUUGUCCAAGCGAACUAAGCAUUAUUGCACUCAUCCAGCCAUUCAAUGUCUUCCAACAUUUGCAUCUGUUGCUCCAGUUGCAUAAGAUUGGUGAACACUAAAGUUUUGUACUCAAGGUGUAAAAGUAAAUAUUUAACUUAGGAACCCUUUAAUCUGUUAGAAGGAUAUUGUAAAAUCACUUGGUGCUUAUGAAUCUUGCUGAUAAUGAAUUUUUUUCUUUUACAAGGGUUGUUCACAAGUAACAAAUCCAAAACCAAAUUCAAGACAAGUUUUCUGUAUUGGCUGUAAUUCUUUGAAUGGCUCGAAGUUUGUAGGUUUGGCUAAAGUUGGUACGGCAAGUUUUCCAUUCUGAUCUGCAUUCUUCUGAUUAUGGUUUCGUGCGCAAUAUGUGAAGCCCAUAGUUUCUGGAAAUAGAACGCUCUAGUUUCUUGUUAUUGCUAGUGGUGCGGUGAGGAUAGCCUUGGGAAAGGUAAUCUGCAGGAUUGAAGGUGGGUAGUUCCUUCCUGGAUGAGUCUGAUACCCUUGAUGCUGCAUUGGCCUUCAGACAAUUCUCUAUAAUGGUAGCCUCUUCCAUAAAUCUGGCCCGUAGGUCCUUCAUCCUUUGCAAGGCAUGAUUAGAUCUAGUCCUCUCUGAAGUGGGUAUUCUCUUCGGUUUUGUGUUGCUUGGGAUGGGGGAAUCGUCUGAAAUAUUGCUGCACUUGAAACAGAAGUUCCUAUGCCUCUCCAGAUUGAAAGCUGUUCUCCUGGCGUCGUCUGAUAGACAUGCAUAUGCCUGUGAUGAACGGGGUAGCACAAAUAAUUUAAAAGAGAAAUGACAAUUCAAAAAGCUGAAGGCACCCCAACUCCCCGCCCACCCCAGCAGAAGGGCGAUGUUUUUGGCUUGAAGGUUUGCUAUAUGGUUACCUUACCUACGCGACAUUAUCUAAGACAGCGGUAUGUAAGGACGGAUUAAAAUCUAUCCAACAUCUACAGACGCAUGUCGUCAUUUCGCAUUAAAGCUUUGGCAAAUCACUUCUAGAUUCUAGUGCUGUUAUCUGAUAUGAACGGGUACGCUCUAAGAAAUCUGAACCGAAGCUUCAAGUCGAAACAAAGAAGAAAGAAGAAAAGAUGUCCAAUUCAAAAUGCAAUUCCCGUAGUCAUCUAUAUGAAAUUGAAAAGAAUAAACAGGAGGACGUAAGUUUACCUCGGAGACAAGCUUGAAGGCUGUAUCGGCCUUGGGAUGCUUGUUUUUAUCAGGAUGAAGCUGCAAAGCUGCACGGAGUGGAAAUGCUCACAGCAUUAAGCCAGCUGCCAUCGCAGAGUAAAACCUAGACGGGGAAGAAGAUUGGCGAAUUUGAACUAUACUUGUUCAACUUACCAAGUCUAAGGUAAUGCUUCCUGAUGAUAUCGGGCCCUGCAUUCUCAUCCACCUGUAAGCCAUCGUUGGUUCAAAAACAGCUUGAGAAAACACUUGCAACGGAAAAGAUGGAAUGAAACAUACUUUGAGGACCAGAUACCAAUCAACGAAAGGCGGAUUAGUAGAACGGAAAUGAUGCUGAUGAGCGCAGGUGACAGCACGGUCUGAUAUGUUGCAUAUUUCUGUUACCAAAUGGGAUUUGAUAUCUGAAUCAGUUCUUGCUCUUCCCAUUGAUGCAAAAGAUGAAUCCGGUGAUAACUGACCUGGAAACUGAAGAGUAAAACAACAAUGAGAAAUGUAAGAGUGCUUAUUCAGAGUUCUAUGUACGUAAUUUACUAGCAUUUAAGGAGAUAACUAAUAGGGUGGAGCGGUUAAGGAAAAAAGGGCUUGUUUUGCGGGGCACAAUUUGGUUUUGAAAGUGGAUCAGUACUCACUACUCAGUAGGUAGCUAUAAAGGUGAAUUUGUGGAGAGGUUAAUGUCUUUCACACAAAUUUUCUUGGUGGACUACCUAAGCAGUCAUUUGAGUCAAUCAGCAAGAAAGCUCACACAGUAUAAGAAUCAAAUAUUGCCCUACAAUAAAGGGUAUGUCUUCUUCUUUCUUCCUUCUUUUUUUUUUUGUUCAAAAAAUUUUUUUUUUCGUAAGACUCAAUUCUCAGCGCCAUUUCCCUUAAUUGCAGUCCUCCUUCAUUGUACGUUGUAUCCAUCAUAGGUCUGUACACAAUGAGUAGAGAUCCUGUGACUUGACUUCCAUGGUCAUCAGUUACUACUACACGUUUGCAAGUACAUGAACAUAUAAUCCUAUUGUUAAAAGAGCCACAAAGGAUUGAGUCCUCCUCCUUACUUAUUGUUUAACAUUACAAAAUAUGUGGUUUUUAAGCAUCUUUGUUCUCGAAAACAUGUUUGACAGAGCUCUAGAAUCGGGGAGUUCAAGAUUGAGCGCAUCUCAUGUUUUCAACAUCUCCAGAAUACAAAAUAAAGUGAACUUGGUAAGUGCACUGAAUUCGAUAUAAAGAACCAAAAGGAAAAAAGAAAUAAUAUGUAGUAUUUGUUUUCUUAAAAGAAGAGCUGAUAUACAUAUAAAUAUUUUCUUUGGUGUGUACCUCGAAAAUAAGGGAACAGAAAAUUGGAACCGGGUCAUAAGAUUGACUAGAGCACCGUGACCUAUUCAAAUAAACAGAGCCGAGAUGAUGGAAGAAGUUAAAAGUUAAAAUCUCAAUAGGCUACCAACUAAGAAUUGGUUAGUAUUAUAUAAAUCUAGCAGUAGCUCCUGCUGUACAGGAGGAUUCUCUUGCGAUGCUGCAGUGAGAGCAUAAUCAUCAUACGAUGAAUGUUUCACCAGUAUUAUAUUUUCAAGUUGCAUUAAAGAUAAUUAAUCGCAUUUAAUUCCUCACGAGCUAGGCCAAUACAGGGAUCCUUUAAUCAAACGUGAUGUUGCAUGUGACCCGCAUGCAAAUGUACAGUUCCAACCUCUCCGGUUGGGGACAUUCAUGGAAUGCUGUUAAGACAGGAAGCUUGGUGGUGCUGGUUCUGUACAUUGUUGUGUGUUGUCCGCCCUUUUCUGGGCAGAUUGCGAAGAACGUCCCAAAAAUUUUGAAUUGCAUUCAAUGUAAGAUUUUUUUUGGUUAAAAGGAAAAGUGAAAAAGAAAAUCCCUCGAUUAGAUACAUUACCCAGUGGUGUAAGAUAGUGAAGAACUACUAGUAUUUGUUUAGAUAGAAAAUCCAGUUUCAAAGUUUUGGUGACAGCAGACGGCUGAACUUACCUAAUCUUGAUAUCACACUGUAAUAGCUUAGUGUAUUAAAACAGAGACACGAGAUUUUUUUUAUUAUUAUUUUUUUAAAGAUGGCUGUAGCAACUAAUUAAAAGGAUUAUUUCUUAUUGGGCUUGAUUCUAUGGUCAACGCCAUGCUCAUUGUAAGUAGCGUUGGUAAAAUUUUUGCAGGCCCAAGUUCUUGGCUUCCUGUCGUCUAGCUGGGUUUCUGCCCAAAUUUUUUAUUGCCUCAUCCAUAAUGAAGACAUCAAAAGAAUUGUCCAGAUAACUUCUCAGAGGUAACGCGCGCACACACACACAUAUAUAUAUAUAUAGGUUACAAAUUCUUGCUUGCAGUUUUGAAAAGGUACCAUCAUAAUAUAACAAGUACAACACCCGGGAACUUCUGAUUCACAGUCACAGGCAAUCUAAUAACCGAUAAAUAAUGGUUGUACGGCCAUAAUUCCACCACAUCAGCAACAAAAUCAACUCCCUUUGCAAAGUGCAUUCCCGCUUAAGCUUGAUUACCUGCUGGUAAUGGUAUAUAGUUUUGGGCAUUCCCUCGUAUGCAUUGCUUUGGACUGACUAUGAUGGGAUAUUUUGGGGAGCGAAUUCUUUGAUGCUGGCUGCCCAAGAACACUCUUUUGCAGUUGGGGGCUACCCACCCCGUCCCUGGCCCCAAAAAAACUUGAAGCCCAGCGGAUACAUUUAUAUUGUUAUUGCUGGUUGGUUGUCCACGUCGGCCCAAAAAAUGCAUAACUUAAACCCCCGACAGAUACAAUCACCCAGCACUCCUAAAUGGUUUAGCAAGCUCGCGAGGCCUCGAUGUGUAGGAGUCCUCUUUUGUUUUGGUUUUUUAUCUUUUUCUGGAAUCAGUUGUAAGAGACAUGGGAGACGUUAAAUUGACAGCAAACACAAGAGUAGGACCGUUCUCUCCAAGAGGAGGAUGAGGAUGUCAUUGCCAUUUGCCAGCUCAACCCUCUCAGCCCGAAAUACAAACAAGUUGCUGGCAAUAAGCAUUAAUGAGCGUCCACAGAUCAAAAACAGGGGAAAGGAACCCAGAAAUUCACACAGAUGAUUAUGUUAAAAAUAAAAAGGAGGUCUUUAAAGCCACAACCAACCAACCAACAUACAUAUCUAUGCCAACAAAACCACCACUUUCACUACUAGUAUCAGAAUGUCAAUCUCAGUUCAUCGCCCCAUUAGCAACCUAGACAAACAGCUAAUCCCUUUUCCCUUUGCUAGUCCCAUCGUACAGGCCCUCCAACCUGGACCGUUUAUCUCGCCCAGACCACUUCUCAUAAGCCAUGAAUCCAAGUUUGACCGUGACAUAGGCACAACCAAUGCUCGCUAUGAAUAGAGUUUCAUUCCCUGCAGUCACAAACUAACCAAGAUUAGAAACAUUUCCACGGGAGGAUCAUAAACCCCACACCCCCCGGCACCAAAAUCCAAAAAAAAAAAAUUAAAAAAAAGCUCUUGUUGAUAUUCUGUAUAUUAUUAUAUUAUUAUUCUGUAUGACAGGAAGGUAACUCACUGAUGAUCAGCAUUGCAGUAGGACCUGAAACCAAAAAAACAUUAUUCUGUAUAAUGUUUUCGAGAACGUAAAAUGGUAGACAAAAUUUAUCGCCCAAACGAAUAAAAAUAACAGUCAGUAAAAAAAAUCUAAACUUAAUCGCAACGGAUCUAGAAAAAACUUUAUCAAAACCGCACUUACAUCCCAACCAACAGAUCUAGAAAACCCUAGCCAGAUAGCAUUGCAAGCUAUUGUCCAAACAACGGGAAAUCACAUUGAAUCAGAAAAGAAAAGCAAAAGCACAAAAAAAAAAAUAGAGCACCUUCUAGAUCCGACUCAAAAAAAUAAAAAAUAAAAAGAAAACACGUAGGAAACUGAUCAUAAUCUAUUUGACCAAGAUCGAGGAAGGAAAUCUUCUUCUUACCGGAGAAAUCUCAGCAACUGAAAUUGGGUAAAGGCCGGUUGGGGAUAGAGCAGCGGCUAUAGGGAUAAUGCAGAAUGAUAGAGACGAAGGAAAGAAUGUAACCCUUUUCCCGUCUCUGUCGUAUUUUUUAUUAUAUUAUUAUUUUUUUAAUAUAAAUAUUAUUUUUUAUUUUUUUUAUUUUUUAAAAAUUUAAUAAUUAUUAAUUAAAUAAUACAAAAAAUUUAACAAAUUCAAAAAAUUAAAAUUCAUAAAAAAAAAUGAGAUUUUUUUAUGAAUUUUCUCAUAUGAAUGCCUGGUAGAAACAUUUUUCUUUUGACUGUUGGGUUUAGUCAGCCCGACAGCUACGGGAAUUUUUUUUUUAAAAAAAAUUCUGCUAGGUUAUUAGCCUUAAAGCCUGCAAUUUUUUUAAAAAAAAAAAACUUGAAAACUAAGCCCGAUAGCCUUUUUGGUUAAUUUUUUUUAUGCUCAAGCAUAAGAAAAAUGUCUAAGUAGAUUUGCUAAAUCAAAUAUUUUUAUUUUAUGUUCAACCUUAAGAGAAGUUUUUAGAUUAAAAAAAACCACAUCUCACUCAAUUUACAAGAAAAUGCAUUCCCCAAAUCUUAAUGUGCAACAGUAAAUAAAUAUUUAAAAAUCUUUGAAAUAUAAUCAUUGAAAUUAUUUUGUAUAAGAUUUGGUUUUAUAUUUUUAUAAAAUAUAUAGAAAAUUGACAAUUACAUAAAUAAUAUAUACAAAUAAAUUAUUAUUUGGUAGUGGGUAGUAAUAAGAAUAGAGGCAGAAGUAAAUAUAUGACAGUGGUUAGUUACACAUAAAAAGUAAUUAUUAAUCUAAACUAUAGUUAGACCAAUAUAACAUUGUUGUGCAAUAUAAAAACAGAACAAACAAAAAAUAGAAAAGAACAAAGAUUGAAUAACAUGAAAUGGUGAGAUGGUGAAGUUUAAAAAUUAAAACGUUAACCAUUCAAAUGAUAAAAAUUUAAAAUAACUCUAAAUAGCAUAUUCAAAUGGUGAACUUUAAAACCAUGUACAGGAAAUGAUAAUAUCAACAACCAUUGCGCCUUUAUCAACUCAGCUUCAUACAACACCAAGUGAUAAAGGUAAGGGCAACAAGCGCAAUGGCCAAUACGUUUCAACAAUCUGUAACUAUAGAAUAGAAUUUUGUGGACUCCACAUAUAAUGUAAAAAAUCAUGUAUAAGAUGAAAUUUGAACCUUACAUUUUUUUUUUUUUUGCCAAAUAUUGACCAUGAACCUCCAGGAACGGUCCUGCCACUCCUCCAGUAUUUAGUUAUGAAUCCAAUGAUGGUAGUAUGCCAACUAGAUUGAUGCAUAGUUUAGGACCAAAAUUUUGAUGUAAAGUAGUUACCUAUCAAUUUUGAUCGCAUUCACAUAGUAAUCUGUAUUUGAUAGAAUCAAUGAGUAUGUCCAAAUUUCAAUAGUUAAUGAUUUAAGCAUACGCAUGCUAUUAGCAAAUCAUAAGAGAAACUUAUCUUAAUAACUAGAGAGUUUUAUAUUAUGCAAAAUUCUCAACCUGGAAAAUUACAAUAUAUGGAUAAACAAAUGAAAAAUUGGGUCUUUCCCCAAACUAAUUGCUACAAUUAUUAUGCAAGGCCAUAUAGGACAUAUCAAUAUACAACUUUAUGUUUUGAGUAAGGAAUUUCUUCAAGGCAAUUAUCACGCAAAGAAUUUUCUUUUGACAAAUUUUAUGCCUUUCACACCUAACACCAUCAAGUCUUGAAACCUCCUAAGGGAAUGAUAAAUUUCAAAUCCUUAACAUAUUAUUAUACUACAUAAACUUCCUAUGUCAACUACAAUAUCAAUUGCUUAACAAAAUAAAAGUAAGAUGGUUAUCGACAAUAAGAGUGACAUUAUAGCACUUAAGUAAUUAAAAAACAAAUAGAAAUUGAAUAUAUACAAAAUCUUACUGGAUCCUUCAAUUGAAUUUAAUACACGAUUCGGGUUCGUUUGGAUCUCUUGUUUUUGGGGCUGUUUUUGAAAAACUGUUUUUCACAUUCCAAAUGCUACAGUAAAUGUGUAUUUCCAAAACAACUCCAAAAACACCAUAUCCAAACAUUAUAUAAAAAACAACUACAUAUGUAUAUUUUAAUUGUGUAUAUUAUAUAUAUAUAUACUAUAUUAAUAUAAAUUGAAAUAUACAAAUUGAAAAUUAUAUAUAUUAUAUUAUAUAAAUAUUUAUAUACAUUAAUAUUAUACAUAAUAUUGUAUAUUAUACAUAACAUAAUAUACAUAAUAUGUAAUAUUGUAUACAUAAAUGUGUAAAUAUUUAUACAUAAUAUUAUGUACAUUAUAUUAUAAUAUAUACAUUAUUAAUGUAUAAUAUUAUUAUGUACAUUAUUGUGUAUAAUAAUGUUAUAUAUAAUAUAUAAUAUACAUAAUAUGUAAUAAUGUAUAUUAUGUAUAAUAUUAUAUUAUAAUUUAUACAUUUAUAUAAUUUAUAAAUUAUGUAUAUUAUACAAAUUGAAAAUUAUAUAUUAUAUAUUAUAUAAAUAUUUAUAUAAUGAAAUAUACAAUAAAUAUUACAAAUUGAAAUAUUAUAUAAACACCAUAUUUAUAAUAGUAUAAUAUUUAUAAUUAAUAUUAAUGUAUAUUAUAUAUAUUAAAUAUCUAUAUAUUUAUUUAUACAUAUUACAAAUAUUUUAUUUUAUUUAAAAAAUAUUUUUAUACAUUUAUAAUAUAUUUAUAUGAAUAUUAUAUAUUAUAUAAAUUAUAUAUAAUAUAAUAUGUAAUAUAUAUUAUAUAUAUUAUACAUUUAUAUAAAUGUAUAUUUAUAAAUAAUAUGUAUAUAUAUUAAUGUAUAUUUAUAAUAUACAUUUAUAUUAUGUAUUAUAUAUAAUAUAAUACAUUUAUACAUUUAUAUUAAUAUACAUAAUAUUAUUUUAGAUUUACACAUAAUAUUAAUACAUUUGUACAUUUAUAUUAAUUAUAAUAAUACAUUUAUACAUAAUAUUAAUAUAUAUUAAUAACUUAUAAUUUAUAAAUUUAUAUAAUAUUAAUUUGUAAUUUAUACAUUUAUAAUAAUAUACACUUAUACAUUUAUAAAUAUAUUUAUAUCAUGUAUUAUAUAUAUUGUAAUACAUUUCUAGUACAUUUAUAUAUUUUUAUAUAAAUACAUAAAUAUAUUUAUUCAUAAAUAUUUAUAAAUGUAUUAUAAAUGCAUAAAUGUAUAUUUAUAUAAAAAUAUAAAAAUAAUAAAUAAUAAUUUAUAAUUUAUAAAUUUAUAUAAUAUUCAUUUAUAAUUUAUACAUUUACAAUAAUAUACACUUAUACAUUUAUAAAUAUAUUUAUAUUAUGUAUUAUAUAUAAUAUAAUAAAUUUAUAAUACAUUUAUAUAUUUUUAUAUAAAAAUAAAAAUAUAUUUAUUUAUAAAUAUUUAUAAAUGUAUUAUAAAUGCAUAAAUGUAUAUUUAUAUAAAAAUUAUAAAUUAUAAAUUAUAAUUUAUACAUUUAUAAUAAUAUACACUUAUACAUUUAUAAAUAUAUUUAUAUUAUGUAUUAUAUAUAAUAUAAUACAUUUAUAUAUAUUUUUAGCGAAUAUAUAAAUAUAUUUAUUUAAUAAUAUUUAUAAAUGUAUUAUAAAUGCAUAAAUGUAUAUAAAAAUAAAAAUAUAAAAAUUAUAAAUUAUAAAAAUAUCCAAAAAUAUGUUUUAAAAAUACCUCUAAAAAUAAUCCAAAAAACAUCUACAGUAAAAGUUUUUCAUAUAGUUUUUGAAAAAAACCCAAAAAACAACUAAUCCAAACGGACUUGUAUUUCAAAAACGAAAUGCUACAGUGCUGUUUUUGAAAAACAACCCCAAAAACAACUAAUCCAAACGGAGCAGUCAUUGCAAACAGGGAGAAAACAAGAAAGAAACGGAGGGAAACAGAGAUAAAAGAAUACCCAGUUAGAAUUAUCUCGGUGGAAGCAUCACAUGAUAUCUGUUCUCCUAACAAAAAUACACAAAAUUUGUAGAUAAUUACAAAAUAAACAUAAAAAAAGAAAAGGAAAAAAAUGCGAAGUAAGAAAUCAAAUAUUGAGAAGAGAAAAGAAAGGAAUGAAUUUUUGUUUUAUUUUUCAUUGAAGAGGAUCACUGGCAUAAAAUUAAUGCUAAGAUCUUUUUAUAUAUUUUAAUAUUUCACCUUUUAUCCAUAAAGAAAUAUCAAAUAACAAUAUCAUCUUUCAAAUUUAGCACACAAAUGUCAGUUGACUAUAACAUUAAGAUAGAAUAAUAGAGCAAAUAUGAGAGAUGAAAAAGAAAAGAAAAUGUAAACUAGUCUCAAAGAAAAAAUAAAGACCUCUCAUUGCUAAACAACUAAUCACCAGAACAAAAUAAGAAAAAAAACAUGGCAACAUUCUUAGCUAGAUUAGUUUGAAGAAAUAAUAAAUAAAAAAAAUGAGGGAUGAUAGUGAGAAGAAGAAAAAGAGAUAGAGUGCAUUUUCUAAUAAUGUAAAGAUAUUUUAACCUUUAUGGCCAAUUGAAUGAAAAAGGGAAGGAAAAUUUUAGCAAAAAAAAAAAGUUUCAUUUGUCAAAAGUUUAGGCAAUACACGGGCCAAAAUGAUGGGAUGUUAUAGUAACUUGGUUUUCUUCGUAUAUACAAGGUAGAGGUAAAUAGAUAUUUUAGACUCAUAAAAUGUUUUUGUAUUUUGCAUCUUUUAACUUUGAACUUUGGAUACUACGUUGGAAAUGUCGUCCAUUUGUAUUCCUUAAGAAGGAGAGCUGCACCAAUCGUCUCUCAUAUAUUACAUAUGUGAAAAUUUAGUCUCUUUGAACAAAAAUGAUCAGUUUUGAUCCCUAACAAACAAAAAAUGAUCAUCUUUAGUCCCUUUUCACUUUUCCGAACCAAUUUUGGCAGGAACUUAUUGGGUCCACAUGCAAUGCCCAAUUCCUAAAGGGUAAAAGUGACAGAUCACCGUUGACCAAUUAUGCGAGGGACCAACUGUGCAAACCUUUAGUUAAACAUUCAUAAAAAAACACAAAAACUAAGAAUCAUAUUUUUGGCUUCAAAUUCAGGAUAGUUGUCUUGGAGAAGAGCAAUAGCUUGUUUUGUAGCAACACGAACUGCCUUUCUGGAUGGCCCGGGUGAGUUCUUGAGAUCAUUGAUCUGAAACAAGGAAUUUACACCGCCAGGCUUGAAAUCAAGCUUUUGAAUCCCUUUCUCCAUAAGCUGGACUCUCCAUCUCAAGAAUUGAUCCUUAGUCCCAAAUGUAUUCUUGUAGAUCUCCUUAUCAUUCAAAACUCCAAAAAUGUUGUAACAGAUGGGCCUUUGCAAUCAAUCCCAUUCAUGUAUGCAAUAGAUGCAAGAUCAUCCCUUAAAUCUUCAUCUAAAACCGAAUCAUUGUUCAACUCUUUUCUCCAUUGAAGUGUAUUCUUUAGCAUCUCAAAUGCCUCAUUGACUUUGGAUUCCCUAACCCUCAAAAAUUUCAGGAGAACCAUAUCAGUUCCCUUAUGCCCUUUACUAGCCAAAAGGGGCACUUCCCAAAUGGAGAUAUCCUUGUCAAUUUCAACAUCUGCGUCAGCCUUUUCACCCUCCUCACCAUUAUCAUCACUUUUUUUUUCGGUAUUUUCUUUAGUUUUCUUCUCUUCAUCACCUUCCUUUUCCUUCUUUCCAUUUUUUUUCUCUUCAAUUUUUGCUUCACCUUCUUUUGCAGCCUCCUCUGUUUCUUCUUUCUUCUCUUCACCUUCCUUUUUCGAUAACUCCUUUGGAGUCUCUUUAGCCACUUCUUUCUUAAAGAGCUUGUUUCCCAUAAUGGCUUCUUCUAGCUUCGACUUCAAAAUCAUUCAAAGCCUUAUUCUCAAACUCUUUGAGAUCAGAAUGGAAAUUAGUUUAUUCCCUAUAAGAAGAACUCUUCUCAUCCAUCUUCCCUUCUUUGCAUUCAUCACCAUCAGUCACAUCCUUCACUUGCUGCACAUUCUCCAUCUCCUUUUCUUCCUUUAAAACCUCUUCCUUUGUAACAGCCACUUCAGCCAACACUUGAGUUGCCUGUGAUUUCUCCUCAACAGUCAUGAUAACAAUGCCUAAGAUGAAUGCAAAAACACCAAAAAAAUGAACAAAAUCGUUCAAUAAAUUAAUCAAUUACAAACCAAAUAUAUAAAUUAAAGAAAGCCCAACUCAUUUUUACUUCUGAUUUUGUUGAAUUUCUAUCACAAACUCUUCUCUUGCUUCUCCAAUCUCCGCUGCUGGUUCUUCUUUGGCCUUCUAAAGAGUUGAGAGAAGGAAAUCAAUAAUGGUUUGAGAGAAAGGGGAGAGAGGAGUUUUACUCAUGAUUUGUCACUUUUACCCUUUAAAAAUUGGGCAUUAGAUGUAGACCCAGUGAGUUCCGGCCAAAAUUUGUUCGAAAAAGUGAAAAGGGACUAAAAGUGAUCUUUUUUUGUUUGUUAGGGAUUAAAAAUGAUUAUUUUUGCUUUGAAAGACUAAAUUUUCACAUUUGUGAUAUGUGAGGGACGAUUGGUGCAGUUCUCCUUUCUUAAAAUUAAUGUCAAGCUAACUCAUAUCACAAUACAUGUCACGUGAUGUGCGACAUGUCAAGAGGUACUAACACAUGGUUUGGACACGUGUCAGGGGUAUGACACAUGUUCGUCGAGGUAGACGUGACAAUUUUUGUGUAUUUGCAGUAAUAGUACUUUAUGUUUGGAAUUAUAUAUUUAGGCCACAUGUAGCUUCUCAGCAAUCAGGACUUAUUUUCAUGUAAUAUCAUUUCAGUCAUACCAUUUACUUAAGAUAUUACGCAUAAAUAAGGAAAUACCCUCUAUUUAUAUUUAAUAAAAAGAGUUUCAAAGCCAAAUUCCUAAAAAUAAAUUCCAAGUUUCCAGUUUAGGGUUGUACAACUAGAAAAAUUCUAGAAUGAUAGGGUUAGCCUAAUUUCAAAAAAAAAAAAAGGCUAAUCCUAAUUUUCUAAAAUAGGGUUAACCUAAUUUAAUCAUAAGAAACAAAUAUCGAGAUUUUUUAUUCUCACUUUCUAAGUGUUUAAAAUACCAAACUUGUUGUGGUACUUAGUCUUCACAAACUGAUCAAACUUACGCACAUGUAUUCCUGAACCCUGAUAUUACUCGAUAUGCAGCUAUAAACAUCCAAGGGUAUAUGUUCAUUCUAUUAAGUGCUUUACUGUGUCGAGAAACCUUCUAUCAUAAGUGAAAUUAUAUGAUCUAAUCGUGGGAUUUGACAUUGGCCUUGUGUCUUUAAACUAUGCACAUAGCAUUCACCUGUGCACCAGAAUUGGAAAAUCAGUACGACCACGAUCCUCUCCACCCAAACUUUUGGUCUUCGAAAUACCAGACUUUUGGUCCACUAAGACACAGAAACGUUAAUAAUUUAAUUCCAAGGCAACCCCAAAUGUGAACUCUGACUAAACAUCUUCAGGCCCAAUAUAUAAAGAAGUUGACCUUUGACCAAAAAAAAUCAACAGGCCCAACGGCUACCAAUAACUGUGUGGGCCAUUACACUUCCAAAUAGCUGCAAAAGGUUAAAUCGGUAAAUCAAACUGAGAAUCUCCCAUCAAGAUUCAAGAGUUGUACCACAUGGCUCAACAAAUGAUUCACAUGGACAACAAAAUUACUAAAACGCCAACCACCUUGGACAGACCAAAACCUUCAAAAGCUUGGAAAAGGGUAAAUCAGUAACCCAAGCUAACAUCCGCUGCUUUAAAGAUUGUACCACAAGCUCCAUCAAUGAUUUACAUGGCAUGGAAAAGUACAAAAAAAGCCACCGGGAGGCGGACGAAAAGCUUGCCAAAGCUGUUGCCAAAGUGCUUUUUAUACUACAUGUAGGAUUACUAUUUUUUUUUUGGGAGCUUGAAUUAAAAUUUUCUGUUUGUCACAUAAUAAAGCCUUUCUGUAAAAAUUUGACCAAGAAUCGUGCUACCAAAUGCAAAUUUAAAGGCGAAUAACACACUUUAUUAAUACUUCAAAACUCUAUAACAACGGGGCAACGUAAUUGGUAGAAAUAUGUGCAUAAGAAACACAAUACUUCAAAAUUCCAGCCUCUCCGGUUGGAGACAUUCAUGGUAGGAUAGCAAGCUUGGUGGUGCUGGUUCUGUUCAUUGUUGUGUUGUCCGCCUUUUUCUGGGCAGAUUGCAAAAAACGUCUCAAAACUUGCAUUUGUUUAAUACUAUACAUAGUUUAGAUAGAAAAUCCAGUUUCAAAGUUUUGGUGAUGGCAGACGGCUGAACUUACCUAAUCUUGAUAUCACACUGUAAUAGCUUAGUGUAUUAAAACAGAGACACCACAUUUUUCUUUCUUUUUUUUUUUUUAAAGACAGCUGUAGCAACUAAUUAAAGUGCCAUUUCUUACUGGGCUUGAUUCUAUGGUCAACUCCAUGCUCAUCGUAAGUAGCGUUCGUAAACGUUUGCAGGCCCAAGUUCUUGGCUGGCUGUCGCCUUGCUGGGUUUAUGGACGAGCAUCUUCCCCAAUGGUUACGGGUUUAUACUUUAUACUAUAACGUAGCGAGUGAUGGUGAGUUUGAAGGAAGUCAGGCACCCAGCGGCGGUGGAGUCUUGCUUUGUCCUAAAAAUGGAAAAUCAAACAAAUUGGCACUCGCUCAAAAUUUGAUCUUUAUAUCUAAGGAAUUGGUUGACCGUUGAUUUUUCAAUCCAAGAAUUUGCCCAAAUUUCGAGUAACUGUAAUGUUAUUGUGUACUAGUGCAGUGUGUAUUCCUUAUACAACACACAAUUUUCUAUUCCAACUCAAGAGCCCGAGCAAAUCCUCCAUUGAUAAACACUGGAGCUCAAUUCAUCAGGGAGAGCAGAGGACCAAGCAGCCAAAUCAGGCAAUGCCCCUGUCAAUGCAAGAAAGUUUGCACCUUUUUCUUUUGGCAUUAACUUCCAGUUCAGCUCCUCGGCACCAGGAAAUGCUUUCCUCAUUGCUCUAAUUGCAUUAUUUUGUUCCCAACCCAAUUCCAAAUUCCCUUCCAUUAAUUCUUCACCUGCAUCAGAAGAAACUCCCCCACAAUUCACCAUUAUUCUACCCUUUGGCAUCAGCUUCUCUCCAAUUUCCGUCCAAGUUUUCACCUCCUCCAACCCCCUUAAAACCUUUCCGUCCGCAAACAAAUCCACGAUGAUUCCGGCGUAUCCUCCGGCAACACUGGCAUUCGCCGAGAGCGCAUCGCCGAUGCGAACUCUUAAUCCUCCUCCUCCGGCUUCCGCACGGUUCUCGAGCUCAGAGAGCCCUAGGUAUUCUCUGGAUUUAUGAACUAAGAUUUCGUCGAUCUCCCACCCUUCGAUCUGCAACGACGGCCACAAAUGAAGCAUUAAAUCAGCUGCUGUUCCUCCUCCCAAGCCAAAAAUCGCAAUCGGACCGGCAGGAAUAAUCGGCGGCAAGCUGGCGAACUCGUCCCAAUACGAAUCAGUCCAUUUGCUUCCGCCCUUGCUGAAAAUGCUGUGAAUCUGGUGGCUGGAGUCGAGAAGCAAAAGCCUCGACUCUGAAGUUUCCAGAAUCAUAAUGUCGUUGUAAAUGCUUCGAACCGCAGUUAAUAACUUGAUAUCUUCGGGCGGCGGUUCGUCGGUAUUUUGACCAUGUCCGUCUUUAGCUGACUGAUGCUGAACUUCAUUUUUAGCAGUGCUGCUUCUUCUCCGGCAAUGCAAGAGCUGUACGGUCCUUCCGGUGAACGGAAAGGAAUGUAUUGAUGAAGAGGCGCGGCGACGGCGGCAGCAUUGAGAAGGUGGGUAGCUGGGCGAUGACAGAGGAAGGGAGGAAUAGGUAGAUGAUAUGACACUACUGGUAGAAGAAAGAGUCUUCAUCGAGGAUAAGAAUUUUUUUCCCUGUCUACUGGUUGACCUGACUAUUUUCGUGGCUUCGUUCGACCAAACAAACGACUGCGCCUGCGACGACGGAGUACCUAAUCCCCGCGUAAUAGCAUGCCACUAGUUGGAAUAAAUAAUGAGCCGUUCCAAUUAUGCCAUGGGGCUGGAAUCUCUAUCUAUUGUAUAGAUUGGCCUGGCAUUCAUUCAUGGAUCCAUUAGUCCUCCACGAAUUGAGUCAAUUUUAUUUAGUUCAAUUUAAACGGUCAAUUGUGCUGUUCAAUGACCAUACAAUGGCAUAAUGAAAUUAGUUCGAUUUGGAGUGUUCAUUGUGAACGAAAAGAACGACCAUAAUCAAAGCAAUUUAAAAUUUAGCCCAAUUCAAACCGUCAAUUACGCUGAGCGAUUCCUCGCCAACACCAAAUACCAGAGAUGAUGAGAGACCCCCCUUGCACGCUAAUCUUAUCCAAACCCAGGUCCAGCAAACCGGAACCCGACCCCUAUUUAAAUUCUAGAACCAGCCGUCUUGAUCGAGAGCUGAUUUUUUUUUUUUUAUCAACACAAGGGUGUCUCGAUUUUUGACUAGACUAAUCUCCGUCCUGCAUUGGUGCACUCCGCCCUCCAAAGACAUAAAAUAAUAAAAGGAGUCAAAUUCUGAUCACACGGUGCUAGGACCUAAUGAGACAACUCAGCACCGGUCGAGUCAACCCGAGGGGCACCGAAAGCUCAUUCACGAGCCCUUACUUAGUUGGAACCAACCAUGAACGAAACUCAAUCUCAAGGGACGAGACCGAUCAUACCGGACCCCACUCAAUCACAAAAAAAAAAAAAAAAACCCCAUACACGCUUAUCGCCGGCCAUAACCGUAGACAAUCACGGCCCCACAUUUACCCGCCACUUUUACUCCUCCUCCUGCAUCUCCCCCAAUCUUCAUAUUCCCCAGACCACCCAAAAACCCAAGAACAAGGAGCCCCUUUCUUCUACUUCUGACCUUUGCAACACCUUUCCCUUUAAAUUGACCUUCCCACCCCUUUUCUCCUCUUUGACCUCCUCACCUCACCGAGGGCAAACCUGUCCUUUUCCUCACUCCACCUUCUCUCUUAACUCCCUUUUUUUUUAGUCUUUUCGAGAUAUUGAUCUCAGUUUCAAGCUUACCAUUUCUCUCUCUGCGUUUAUCUUUUUUUUUUUUUGCCUUACUGAAAGUUGAAACCUUUUUCUUUUCUGUUUUAUUGGAGAUUGAAUCCAAAUAAGACGCCACAUCACGGUGUAGUGUAAAUUUGAAAUGAAUAAAUAGUGUAUAUAGGGUUUUAGAGUGUGUUUGAUCUUAUGGCAGCCACGACGAUGGCGACCGCCGCUGGAGCGGUGGUGCUGCUCUACUAUGUGCUCAAUCGGCGUUUAUCGGCCAAAGGAGGGGAUGAGGAUGUUGCUGGUAAGAAUGGCGAGGAGUACUCCAAGCGAUCCGGCAGACGGAGGAUGUCUGCCCGGAGGCCAGUAGCUCAAGCUCCGGCUACGUGGUUUGAGACGAUUAUGACGUUGUCGGAGACGCUUAGGUUUACUUACACCGAGACGUUAGGGAAAUGGCCAAUUGCAGAUUUAGCAUUUGGAAUUAAAUAUUUAAUUCGAAGGCAGGUAAAGUCUUUUUCUACCCCCUCUUCUCUCGAAUUAAUGAUAGAAUGCUUAAUUCCAGUGUUUUGAUUUUUUUUUUCAUUCCUCUGAAAAAUUGUAUGCAUAUAUACGUUUUUAUUCAAUUUUUGUCGUUUGCUAGUGUAUUUAUAGGCUGUUUUAGUUGAUAAAGUUCAAGACUUUGCUACCAAGCGAUUCUGCCAGCUUCAAUUGAUGCGUGUUCCUAACAAAUCGCGUCUGAACUGUGAAAUGAAAUCUUACUGCGGUGAAUUGGUUCAUUUUUUAAGUUUUACUUUGAAAUAGGAAAUACUUGAUUGCUAUAGUAUUGACUAAAAUGUUUGAAAGACUUUGGUUUCUGAAACUUUCCAAAUAUGCUGUUUUUGUGGAAAACGCUGGACUAUGCGUGCUUUGGAUUUGUUGACUUGAGGAAAAAUCGAGCUUGUUCUUGAUAGUGUGGAAAUGAGAUUUUGUUCUUAAGGAAUUUUCUUUUUUCUAUUUGAUUUGUAUGAUAGAUGUUUUUCUGACUUGAAGUGUUUAAUUUAAUUUAAUUUUUUUAUAGUGUUUGUAUUUGGUUCUUCAAAAGGCUAAGUUCUCAAACUGGCUUACAAGGGAUGCACAUUGGUUGUGACACGGCAAAACCGAAAUAAACAUCUUUGUUUGAGUCCUUCCUGUUGGGUGCUUGCUUUUGUUUAGUUGUUGAUCUAAUUUGCUUUGCUUUUAAAGGUUCAAUGUUCUCAGAAUUUAUAGCUCAUAUAUUUCUUGCAGGGCAACCUACAACUUGCAAGUGUAUAUGCUGGAGAAGAUUCUGUACAGUUGAAAGGCAUUGAAAUAAUUGCACAGUUGUAUUAUUAUUUGAAGUUGCUGACUCUUUGUAUGCUGUUCUCAAAGAAACCAUUUCCAGUUUUUUUGGAGUCUGCUGGUUAUUCUCAAGCAGAUGUCCUCCUUCAAAAGGCCAAAGCAGGAGUAUGAAUUAUUUUUUGCUGUCUCUGGUUAUAUAGUUUGUGGUGCUUUAUGAAGUAUUCAUCCCCAAAUUUUAUUUCUGCAGCUUUUGAAGCCUGCAUUUACUAUUAUACGUGAUAAAGAUUCAAAAUGCUUCCUUCUUCUAAUUCGAGGAACUCAUAGCAUCAAAGACACAUUAACUGCAGCAACAGGAGCAGUGGUCCCUUUUCACCAUUCAGUUUUAGAUGAUGGUGGCAUAAGCAAUCUAGUGCUGGGCUAUGCGCAUUGUGGAAUGGUUGCGGCUGCACGUUGGAUUGCAAAGCUUAGCACUCCCAUCUUGCUAAAGGCUUUACAUGAAAAUCCUGACCAUGAAGUCAAGGUAGGUGCUAUGUUUACUAUAAAUUUCUUCUAAUUGAAUAUUUUAUUUAUUUUUCUUGUUCAUAUAUGGUUACCUCGUAAUUUGCAAUACAACUUUUUGUUAUCUUCUUUGGUUAAACUGUAAUGUAUUCGAACAAUUUACGACGCUUAAAUUACAUUGAAGUUAUUAGUUUCAGACUUUGUGCUCUGUCAUGGCACUUGCAUUGUGGUGCAGGCUUACUAGAACUAUGGCAUAUGUUUAGUUGCUUUUUAGUUUAAAUUUCUCCUAGCUAUGUUUAUGAGUUUGCAAUUCUGCACGGUAAAGCUGACUUCUUUUACUGUGAUGGUUUAAGAGUAUUAGACAUCUUGCAUAAGCCACCCAAUGAUUUUUGUCUUCUAUAUGCGAAACCCAUCUAGCAUGGAUACCUGUUCCCCCUCUCUGCUUCAUAAAUCCCACCCCUCCCCUGCUGGAAAAAAUUUGAAAAAAAACAUGUAGCAAGUAAGAUGAUUUGUUUUUGGUAUUGCAGAUGGUUUGAGUAGUUUAAGGAAUAAACAUUCCCUGAAACCUACAAAAUUAGAGGAAAUACUUCUUUCUUUUUUUUGAAUAUCGACCAAGAUCUUUGAGCAUCUGCAAAUUUGCUCAGAAAGCCAUUGGCAGCUCAGUUUCUCUUGCAGUACAUAAACUAGACUAUUGAGUAUUUAGUUCGACAUAAAUAAUUGUAAUGAAGCAUAUCAAAUUUCAGAUUGUUGGCCAUUCACUGGGAGGCGGCACUGCAGCACUUCUUACCUAUAUCCUCCGAGAGCAGAAAGAAUUAUCCUCAAUCACGUGCGUCACUUUUGCACCAGGCAUGUUAUGAUCUUCUAGGGUAUACUUUUGUGUUGACUGAUGAAAGAGGCUUGUUUCUUCGAAUGUCAAUUACUGCAAAAUUUUGUUUCUCAUCCAAACGUUUCUACCAAUUAUUUUAUCCCAUUGCUGUGGAGUUGUUGAUGUGUUAAUAAAAUAUGUCGUUGGCUUUUAAAUCUGCAUCUGCAGCUUGAUUGUCGGCCAAAUUUUUACAGAGGCUUUAUCAAGUGAGAAAUUGAAAGUUCUAAUUCAAGCUUCAAUAUGUAAAGUGGAUAUGACAAAGUGUAUCAGCUGUAAAUAGGUGUUUCUGGAUCAGGUGUCUCUAUUAUGUAAGCCAUUCUUGCUGGCAGAUAAAGAUUAGUGUGUUAGAUCAACCUGCUAUUCCAAUACAGGUCAAAGAAUUGUAUCAGCUACACUGGUUGAAGUGUACUAUAAGUUGUACAAUCGCCCUCUUCAUUCAAUUAAAAGGAAGGGAGAGUUGGGACCCUGGAAGCUUCUUAAAAAACAUGCGGUUUGAUGAGUCGAAGCUCCUCUGUUCAUAUAGAGCCUGUUUACAUUCACCUAUUGUCUUCUAUGUUUGAACUUGUAAAGAUGUUUGCUGUGAAUAAUUCUUCCUUCAGGGCAGUAAGCUUUGGAUUUGUGUAGCUGAUUUACUAGGGAAACUUGAUUUGAUCUGCUUUAAUAUGAGUUGGUUACUUUAGUUGAUCUAUUUUUUCUACAUUGAGACAAUUAUUCUGCCAUCUUUGUUUUUGCUUUUCUUCAGCUGCUUGCAUGACAUGGGAGUUGGCAGAGUCAGGAAAACACUUCAUUACAACAAUAAUUAAUGGCUCUGAUCUUGUGCCUACAUUUUCAACUGCUUCUGUGGAUGAUCUUCGUUCAGAGGUUUGGUAUUAUUUUCAUUUGAAAAUAUUUUUAUGGGAUAUUAUUCAUUCAUGAUCUGAAAAUAACCCCAGACUCAGCUGAUAGGACCUCAUCUUAUACCCCAUUAGGUGACAGCUUCAUCUUGGUUAAGCGAUCUGCGUGAUCAAGUUGAACACAACAGAGUUUUAAAUGUGAUAUAUCGAUCUGCCUCUGCUGUUGGGACUCGCCUACCAUCUAUAGCUAAUGCCAAAGCAAGGGUUGCAGUUGCGGGUGCAUUUCUGCUGCCUGUUUCAAGCAGCACUAAGGUAAGAUGUCGUGUCACUUAUUGGUGUAUUUUCCAGCUAAUUGUUGUCAAUUUGCUUAUAUAGCAACGUGGUUUUUCAUUGUCUGCAUGCUUAAGAUCUGCCUUUGAAGAAUGGCAUGUACAAUGUGGAAAGUCAUUUUGGUUGUCUUCUCCCAAAAUUUGAAUAGCUCAUUAAAAUACUGAACCAGGCCCAUGUUCCUUAUUUGUUUUUGGGCACUAUUUGGAUCUGGUAGGUGAUUUUUACUCUCAUAUAUUACAGGUAGUGAUGAAGCGUGCACAAGAUGUAGCUCAAGCAGUUGUUAAGACCCGCACUUCUUUCUCAUCAUGGACAUGCAUGGGUCCACGUCGACGAGUGGUGAAUGCUCCUUCAGACCCUAAAGCAAAUGAUAUGUCUGAGGCCUCUUCUCUUAUUAGUGAAACAGUGUCUGUAUCUAGUAUGACUGAAGUUGUAAACAGAGAAUCCGAGUCAAACAAGAUGGAAUUCUGUUCUUCAAACAGUGGUUCAGCACACGAGGAAACUGAUGAAGAGGAAGAUCUUAUUCAGGUGGAUAGAGUCAUUGCCACAUCUACCUUGGAAGAUAUAACACAGGGUGAGUUGUGGUAUGAACUGGAAAAGGAGCUUCAGAGGCAGGUGAAUGAGGCUGAUAUUCAGACCCAGGAAGAAGAAGCUGCUGCUGGUGAAGAAAUUUCAGAAGAGGAAAAGUUGCUGGCUGACGCAGUGGAGAGUCAAACACCCAUCUCAUCUUUAGAUGUUUCAGAAAACCUGCAAUUUUACCCUCCGGGCAGAAUAAUGCACAUUAUUUCUGUGCCUUCAUCUGAGGCAAGUGAAUUUGGCGAGGAUGAUCAUAAACCAGAGCAGGUUGGCAUCUACGAAACACCUAGAGAAUUAUAUAGCAAACUACGGUUGUCGAGGACAAUGAUCAAUGAUCAUUACAUGCCAAUGUAUAAAAAGAUGAUGGAACUACUGAUCAAGGAAUUAGAAAAUGAGGAAGAAGACGUGGCUGUGUAGCUUUGAAACCAAAUUGCUGCAGAUUACCUGUUGAUAGUUUUGGACAUUCCCUUGUAUGCUUUGCCUUGAACUAUGAAUGACGCAUUGAGGAAGCAAAUUCUUGAUGUCCUUUUGCAGAAUUAUUAAUAGUAACCAUUUUUAACUGCCAGAAUUUAAUUUUCCAGCAUUAAUCUAUUGUAAUUGCUUUCGGCCCAACAAGUUGCAGAACUUGGAACCCCAGCUGAUGCAAUUAGCAUGUGUACACUGUUUAGCAAGUUAACGAGCCUCAGUUUAUAGCAUUCUUCUUUUGUUUCAGGUACUUGUCUUUUUCUUUUAAGUUACCUUUGGGGUUAACCUGAUCGCAUGUUUAUCAGGAAUCAGUUGUAAGCGCCAGAGAAAUAUAAAUUGAUCAUAGGGAUCAAACCAACUUCAGUAAAACUCCUAUCUAAGAGAAUACACGAACUUGACCAAAACCCUGAUUCUCAAAAGGAUAUCUCUACCCACUUCCCAUUCCAGCUUUCUGAAGGUCUUACUAUUAGACUACUGCUUGAAAACAUGCACCAACUUCACUAUUGGAUAGUUACAUGCUCCAACAGAAGCUGCCGCUUUGGCCUAUCUCUACUCCAAGACAGAGUAGGGCCUCUUAAAAUUAUAAGAAGCCAGCAAAAUUAGGAGACUAUAUCCUAUCCAAAUAAUGUUUCAAAUGAAGUCUUUAAGAUGCUAGAUUUAACAUCCAUUAAUGCCUCUCAGAAGUUUGAUGUAUCAACCACCAUAGCGAAAUUUUAGUGGCCCAGGAGGCUCCUCUUCCAUGAUGCCUGAACCAGUUGUUGCCAAGUAGUCGCGGAUGGUUGUUUUACGAUCCGCAAGAAAUGUGUGAUCAACAAAGUUAUUGUAGUCCAGAUCACCAAGAUUUUCUGCUGCCAGUACACUGCAGUGCCUUUCCAUCAAUAUUGGCUCAUGUAUAGCAUAACAAUAUAAUUUUGCCACAACAAAUUUGCAAGCAUAAUAAAGUUCUCGUACAUUAAUGGCAGUAAUAGAUUCUUGAAAAGUAAAUGUAUGAUGCAGUAAACAAGUGAUGCAGAACUAUCACUCAAGCCAUCACUGAGAAGGUCUUGAAAACUACAGAUACAAUUCCAUAAGUACAUCAGAUUCCAGAAAAACAAAAGUUCCUAUUGUCCAAAAAAUAAGAAAAUAAACGAAAAUAAAGAAAAGUGAAAUUGAGUAGCACUCACCAGUGACGCAAAUAAACACGACAAGGUAGUAUAUCAUCAUGCCAAAUCUUUUGGAUACCAUAUCGCCCAUACCUUUGGAAAAAUAUUUCGUGGUUUCCUGAAAGUUAUGUGCAAGAAGACAGAAGAUGUUUUCAUUUUACACCAUGUUGCUUAGCAAAAGAAGAAACAUAUAUAAACACGUUUGAACAGUUGGAUAAGAGGGUCAAGGGUGCACACAAGUAGGACAAAUCACAGUGCAAUUUAAAAUAUAGAGGAUAUUCAUACUCCCUUGAACUUUAAUAAUUAAACCCAUAAACAUAGUAGGAUACAAAUAUCAGUUAGUUUCAGAAUUAAAGGACUCUAAUUUGUCAAAGAUAACAGAUGCUCAAAUCUCACCAAACUUCCCAAUAACCAAAUUGAACAAACUGUUCAUGUCAAAUUUUUGUGCAACUUUUAACAGCUUGUUAGAAACAGAUUCACUUUCUCCACCACAAAGUCUGAUGCAUGGAUACAAUGGUAGUUGGAUGUCAUCAUAUCAAGUAAAAGACUUGAGGAUUACGUUAUAGAACACAAACAAAAUUCAACAUACUGCUUUUCAACUCCCCAAUUUGUUUUAUUUGGGGGGCCCAGAGGGGGUGUUGGGAACUAGUCAAUAAAGAUAUCUGAUAAUCACCUUUGCAUCUGUUCUGGAAAUAUUCUUCAUCACUAUAACGGGCACAAAGCACCUGCACAAAAAUUAGCAGUGGAACAUAUCAUGAACAGACUUAUGAGCAAGUUAUGCCAAAAAAGGUAAGGAAUCCAUGAACAAGAUUCAAAAUCUAGUCAAGCAUACCGCAGGAUUAGUAUAAAACAAUCCGUUUAUUGUCUCGGGUACUACCUAAAGACAAAUAAAGAAAUCAAUCUUUAGUUAAAAUAAUGAAAUAUUUAGAUUGAGUACCACAAGUUCAACAGAAAAUGAAGAAUAACAAGGUAUGGUAAAAGCAACUCACUACUAAAAAACGGAAUUCGUGCUCCCUUUCAAUGAAUGAUGGAAUCUGAAUUUGUGAAUAAAGAUAUCAGGUCUCAAAUAACAUCUGAAGCUAAUGGUAGAAAUUCAACAAUUCAAGAACUAAAAGUAUACACAUACCUCUGAUUUUGGGAUCUCAAAAAUAGUGAUUAUCAGAGAUUCACCAUCACAGGGCUCCACACUCAAGCUUGAUAUCUCCUAAAAAACAUAGCAGCAUUCAGUUAAAAGAACUCAAAGUCCAAUUCAAAAUUGUGAUGAAGUGCAACAAGAAAAGGAAGUCCUUAGCAUCUUUUUAGCUAAAUCUCUCCUUGACACCCUUACAAUAAGUAAAGGAAGAGAGGCUGAGACUAAGAAAAAUAAUCAACUUGUAAAGCUUUUUAAGUCGUUAGGUUAGCAACAAGCAAGAUGAUUUAGUGAUUGACAUAAAAGUUCAGAACAUAAAACUGAAGCAUCAAGAAAGUCACUGCAACUCAUCGAAUCCUUUUUCCUCAACUCCUGGUGGUGUUGCGGUGAUAAAGUCGGAAAUCCUAGUUCUAUAUCACAAGUAUCAAAUAAUUAAGGUGACAGACAUAUCAAAACAAAAUUUAAUGCAGUAGUCUUUUAUGGAUUGCAUUAAUGCCAUGCCAGAUACUUAACUCAGACUUCGGACUAAGGAUCAUUCUCUCUCAUCCAAAUAUCUGCUUACACUGAUCAGUUUCGUAUUACAGCAAAACUUCCUUUGUUUUUCGUUAGCUCCUAUAAUUGCAGUAAAAUCUCUUUUUAUUUGAAAAAUCAAUACUUUAGCAAACUAGGAGCAUGAAAUGUAAUCCACAACACCAAACUUGCAUGAUCAAUUUGAUAGCCAAAAAACACGCAUUUGUUCCUCGUACUAACACGGAACAAGUGAAAUGUAGAACUGAAACCUUAGUUUCAGGUUUCGCGAUACCGCGCUCGAAGAAAAUCGGAGCAACAUGAGCAAAAACUCGCCGGAAUCCACUCAGUUUACCGAUUCUGAAGUUUAUAAGCUCCGGAAACGUGCUCCGUGCACUCCUCUCUGCUCUACCAACAACGUAAUCAUCAAAAUAAGCGAAUACGGAAUACUCCCUACAAAACAAAAAAGUUACUGCCAUUACAAAUGCCGGAUUAAAGCAACUAUACGGACCGGAGAGGAGAGAACCGAAGCCGCAAACGGAAACAAGUCCAUCGGAGGAGACAAUUUUGUCGAAAUCGGACUCGUGGAUGAGUUCCAAAGGAUAAGGACAGAAGAUGUCGCCGGAGGACAUUGAUGGGGGAGUUCGCCACCGUCCACGAGCGAAGAGGUUGGGGGAGAAGUGGGGACGAGAGAGAGGGAGCGGUUGCAGAAAAAGGACGGAGGAGGAGGAGGAGGAGGAGGUGGUGGGAAAAGGGAGGUGUGCACGUGUUCGGCACGCGUGGCUCAACAUGUGAAGAUAAUGGGGAUUUGGUAAAUGUCCUCUCAACUCGUCUCACCUUCAAAUCUUCUCUGGCAUAUGAAUCACGUUCUGGAAAUGGAAUGGAAGGUGUCACGUCACGUGAGUAUUUGGUAAGAACUACGUCGUAUGAGCUGAUCCGCAAAUCAAAAUCACUGUUGAUUUACAAGUCAAGAGUAUUUGGCUUCUGAUUCACAAAGGCCCAUUUUUCUUCUAAGCAUAUGCCAAUUGUUUUCUUUUCAGUACAUGUACAUUCUAGCAUGUUGUUUAAUUAUUUUACUAUGAAAAACAUGUUACUUUUUCUUUUCCCUGCCCAGUGAUAGAUGUUAUAGCGGGAUAUAUACAAUCUUUUAACAACAUGUCAACUAUGGUUUAAUUGUCAAUGCAUUUUAGUAGCAAGUGUAAAGGGAUAGGAGCAGCAGUCUUUAUCUAAUGGAAUCUAAUGGACAAAUCAUUUUACAAGGCAUGUGAAAAUCAUUUAUCCAGUGGUAUUUGAUGCUAAAAUAGAAGUGGGUUCAUACAACUUUAGUGCAUUGUUAGUACAUUUUUGUUAUUAUCAAAUCAUGAAUUGACCUUAUUUGAAUUCUAGUUUUCAUUUUUACGUUUUCUGUGAAUACAUCUACAUCACAUGCAUCAAAUCGUUAUAGUGAAUACAUCUACGUCACAUGCAUCAAAUUAUUAUAGUAUUUUUUUUUUUUUUACAAAAACUCCUAAAACUAGCAAUUUCAUAGUAUGAGGUAGGGUCUUGUUUGUCUGACCUCCGGAAACAUGAAUACAUAUUCAAUAAACUACUUUUAGUUUCUACUUAUAAUAGUUGUAGCUGUUAGCCCUUAGAAUUAAGACUCUUGCUGAUGAUGAACUCAGUGAUGUGCUUGUCAACGUCCUUAUUAAGCAGUAGUAACUACAUCUUUUCUUGCUACCUCAAUGAUUCAAGGGAAGCAAGCUACACUAUUUUGGUGUAUGUCAUAUUAACUCCUUUCUCCACCAUUCUUGAUUUAAUCUUGACCGAGUUUUGAUGCAGAGAGAAAUCAACACAUGGACAGCGAUCUUGGUUGAUUUUAUUUUUGAAAAGACUACACGUAUUCGGAGGAUAUCCUUCCUGUACGCAUAGGAUUGACCUGGCAAUCCUGUUGGCUCAUUGGUGAUGUUACCUUAAUCUUGAUGCAUCACAAUCUUCACAGAACAUACUAUCACAAAAACUUUUAUGUUUUCGGGUCAUUCAGCUCAUAACUGUUCCCAUGUAUUUACAAAGACAGAGGCCUGGAAUGAUAGCAAAUUCAUCUACAUCAAGAAAGCGAGGCUGCAGCAAAUGCAUCUCUCCUUGUGGUGUUUCAUGCAAGUUUCUUACUAAGCUUCAAAGGAUCAAAUUCUUGUGAGGGACAAGAGUCGUGAAAAAAAAGGCAGAUGGCUGAUAUGUCAUCCAUCGCGAUACCUGGUCUCUUGCGUUUCCAUGCACAGACUGCUGAUUCUACCAGCUUCUUAGCCGAUUCUUCCCUUUCAGGUGUUGAAGAUACUAUGUCCACAGCUUCUUGGUUAGAGAUGACAUCCCACACCUACCAACAGAGAACAUGGAGGACAUUAGAUUAUGUUCCAACCUCGUGGGAUGAGCAGUACAAAAAGAAAUAUCCUUAACCAGCCUACUAGCUAAAGUUUUCCUCCUCAGAGAAGUCUCUACUUUUUACAUGAUGCUGAGUAAAGAAACAAAAAGGGCAGAACAUACACCAUCUGUUGCCAAAAUGGCAAAUUGAUCUGUGUCUGUUAUCCUUCUCUGUGUUAAUUCUGGUUCAGAAAUUAGACCAAAGUCUUUUAUGUAGUAGUCACCAAAGGCUCUUGAUAUUGCUAAUCCGGGGCCUUCAAGUGUGUUUCCAUUUGGCAUCCAAACUCUGUAUACCCCCGGUUCAUCAUGACAGGAACAUAUCCUUCCAUUUGACUGUGUAAUUCGCUCGCUUUCCUCUGUAACAUGAGAAAGAGACACCUGCAUAACUAUGGGGAAAACUCAUGGAGAAAGAAAGAGAGCGUACGAGAGAGAGCUCACGAGGUAAAUUAGGCUUCAGGUCAACAGUAAGCUGAAUUGGAACCAAGCUGCCAUCACCAGAAGUUGUUGCCAACACAGCCCGAGAGUCACCAACAUUUGCAACAACAAUGAGAUUACCCUGUAAUUCAUCAAAAGAAAUGAUUCAGAAAUAAGAAAUCCACUAUUGGAUGUACAAAUUUGAAGUCACCAUCACCAUAUUCUGAUUGAUUUACAAAUCCAAAAACAAUAAAUUUGAUAACCUGUCUGACAAUUGUCAAAGCUGUUGAACCACUAUAAAAAGAAUCAAUCCCUGGAAGCUGAGCAAGUUGAUAAUCAAUUGCUGAGCAAGCCUUGAAGUAAGACUGCUUCCAUAUGUCAAACUGGCAGCGGCAUCCAUCUGAUGAUCCAAAUUCAUCACUAUCUGGUUUCACGACAAAUUGGGCAAGAGUUUCUUGCCAAUUGCACAGCAAAAAGGAUGGCAUCAAUUGCCUCACUGUCUUGGCCACAAGAUGUCCCCAAGGACCAUGCCCGUCAAAAAUGCCACAGAAUAUCAUGUCCUCUUGGCAUCCAAACUCCUAAAAAAGGUAACCCAAUCUCAUCAAUAAACAAAAUCUUAAAAACUACAGAUUGUUUCAUUAGUAUAGUGUAUUGUGGAUUGUAAUCUACAUACCUCCCAGACAAUAAAGCGAUCCUGAUUUAUUCCUUUCUUCCCCUUCUUAGAAUAAGCUGAAGCCAUAUUACUGGUCCUGUUUGCAUUGACAAUGCCCGAAGAAGUCAACAUCAUUUCAUUUUUUCUUGCUUCCUUGGCCAAAGUAUCUGCAGCAUCCCUCCCAACACCAAGUCUACUCUUUCUACCACUCCUAAUAGAAAUAUUUUUUGCCAAAGUUGAAAGGAUAGUGGUAAACUGCACCAUCUUCUCUAAUGAUUGUCCUGCACAAGCUGAUGUUACUGCAAAAUUUCACUUUACUUGAAAAUAGAUCUUAUUGUACUGGAAAAAAUCAUCUAAAAGUUAGUUGAGAUCACUAAAAUUUUUAGCUUCAUUUCAGAACUCUUUGUUAUUCUUUUUUCUCUGAAUUGGCAAGUACAGCUACAUGUUCUAUUAACCCAAAGUGAAUAAAUAAAUGACGAUUGGGGAUAAUUUAUCUCUCAAUUUUAUUGAUGAAAAACGAAGAGCUUAAAUAUUUCUUUGAGGCAUUUAUUCAUGUUGACUGUACUUUGAACUUUAUUUAGGCAAAAGUGAUGGAUGCUUUCAUUUUCUUUCAAUCUUUGCAUGUCCAUUCUGAUAGGAAAAAGGGCUUGAUAAGUAAAAAGAUCAAUUUUCAGUAAUCAUGUUACGUUUAUGCUUUUAUAAGCUAAAACCCCACGAGGACAUGAGAAAUAUCCUUCAUCUGUCUUUUCCUGAGCUGUCAGCAAGGUUCUAAUGGAGAAUUUCUGGAAUUCUACAGUUUAAAAGCAUGCUUGUUUUUCCUUUAUUUUGUUGGCAAAGAAACUGUGCAAGAAUAGUUCUACCAUCCACUCAUGUUACGAAUACCUCCAUGUUUGAAGAAAGUAAUAUGCUAGGUGCCAAUUUACACUUUAUAGAGACUUGGUUGUUUUUGGCUUUUAUAAAGAAUGAUAGCUUCAGUUUCAGAACUCUCAAAACAAAGCGAGAACUCGUAAUUUUCCAAUCAACCUUCUACCCUCUUCUUCUCCAAGAUUUCUCAACAAAUGAAUCCAUCGUCCUCCUUUUCAUUCACAGCGAAAAACCACUGAAUCCAAUUCUAAACAAUAAUGAAUAUUCAUCAACCACAUAGGGAAAGUUAUGCAUAACAUCUUAGAAGUCAAAGAAUAUAUGAGAGGACGGACAGAUGAUACGCACCACUUGUUACUUGCGGCCGGCUCUUUAACUUAACCAAGAAAGAAAUUCUGAAACUCUAGAAAUCCACAGCAAGAACCCAUUUUCCGUCCAGCUCCGGGGAAAAUUCGGCUAGUCAGAUUGAUAUGUAAGGGAGCAGGAGACCCUUGAGAUGGCUUACACUCCAUUCUAGUCUCUUCCUCAAACAACGAGUUGCAGCGUAAUAUAUAGAGUCAUGUAUUGCUUUAAUGCAGACGCGCCAUCGGGGAAUGAUAGAAGUACAAAACGACCCCUUUGUUUAACAGCCAAAAUCCAAUCAAAAGCUGGCCAUUUUAGAAAUUUAACAAUGAUUUUCUUAAUCACCAUUCUUCGUUUCCUAUCGAAAAGCCUUUCUUUCACUAAGUCUUUUUCUGGAGGGUAAUGGAGGUCAAUGUUGGAGUAACCUUCUAGUUUAAGAUGUCAAAUUAAUAACGACCAAGCAUUGUUAAAAGCUAAUUACAAUUUAAUCAAGCAAUUAAGCAUAAAUUAAUGGGUAUGGAUUUGGAUAAUGAUGCAAAUGCAUAGAAUAUUAGGGGUAAGCACUAAAAUAAAGUAUCUUGAUGGUUCAAAAUGUUGCAGACUCAGCUUGGCAAUUGGAAGAGCAGUUGGUAACAUAUUAUAUGUCACCGUUCAAUAUUAAAUGUUAAUAUCGGUAUUCCUUCUAUAUUUAUUUAGGUAAUUAAAGAAAGACUUGAGGGUGAUACCCAGUCUCACAAGUUGCAUCACCAUUCUGUAGUAUUUUAUCAAGCGCUAAUUUUAAAUGGUUGAAAUUAUAGGAACAUUUUGGUUUGUGGUGGUUCCUGCUAGAAGCUCGUAGCAAAAGGUUAAUUAGUAUGACAAAGUCAAUGCAGGACAGACAUGAUAUGAGAAUUUUUAAUUCACUAUUUAGAUGACACGCGACACAUAGUAUUAGGAAUAAGAAUAAUUUUUUUUAUAUACUAUCAAUGUAAAAUUUUUUCUUUUUUUUUUAUUUUUUAUUUAGCGCAAGCAGAUUUAGAUUAUGUUACAUAAUAUGAAUUUAAAUAACUUAAAAUUCAAUACACGCACAUCUGCAUGUAUUGAAUUUUUAUAUUAGGAAAACAUUACUAUCUUUUUUUUUUUUUUUUAGUAGGCCUAACAAAAGGCAUAAUUUGACUUGAAAGUGGCCAUGGUAUGGAAAAGCAGCUGGGAAGAAAUGGAUUCUACAGCGCAUGUCGGCAUCCAUCAACUAGCGAGUAGAAGAAUUGAAGACGUUUACACGUCCAACUAGCUAGCUAAUUAUUGAUUUACAUAGUUGGAAGGUCUCUGUCCAGUUUGUUUGUGUAAAAACAGCUUUCGCAAAGUUCAACUUUCUUUCCUCUUGGAGAGGCUGAGCCACACCAAGUUCGAGUGUAUUACGUGUUGGGGGUUCGGAGUACGUUACUGUCUAGGACUGGAAUGCCCGCCUUGUGCCUACUUGACACUGCAAAUCCAAGUACCGAACCCUUGACAAUAUCUAGGGACCAGACCAUAUACGAUGUUGUCUUAUUCUAAUAGAAUACUAGAUGAAGUGAUUACAUGAAACAAUGAUACAGUUCAAUUUCUACCACAGAGACACAUGAAGGUCGAGAUUUUUUCCUCCCGAGCAUAUGAAGUCACAAAAUCGAAAGAACUAUCGUGACAGUUCCACAUGCUACACGUGUUCUACAGGGGGGAAAGUCCACAACACGUUUAAUCAGCAUGCUCCAUUUGGUUAAAGAUUUGCUAAUGCACUCAAUGCUCCAACUUUCAGCUGGAUUUUGCUUAGACAAAAAGGUUUGGCAGCUCAACAAACACACAAGUUCAAUAAGAUCCCAAUAUAUGAUCGCAUCUAAACAACUACUCAACAGCAUUCUUUUUUCUUUUUCUUUUUAGUGUAAGUGAGAGGGCUCGAACCCGAGAUCCCUCACUUACAUUCUCUCCUCCAAAUCACCCAGUCCAUCCCUUGCCCAAUCACCCCCCUCUCUUCGAAAGAGUGGGGGGGGGGGGGAGGGGUUACUCAAUAGCUUUAAUACAAUGCAAGGCAGCAAGUGACAAAUCUUGCACAACUUUUACAGCUAUUGUAAACAAACUUGGGGAGCGUUUUAAGUUGAAGACAUCUUAAAGCUCCUCAUGGCAGGAUAUAGGAAUCCACCCAGUAGAAUUUAUCAUACAUCAAACCAACUGCAAUUGUUAAGUCUAUAUUGCUGUAAGUGAUAUCAAACUCAAACAAACAUUUGGCAUGCUUAGCCAAUCAAUCAUUCCAAACAAAUAAGAGAUGUGAUUAACAAAGAUCAGCAAUUGAGCCUCACUGCCAACUCAACACCUUUUUCUGCUCACAACUUAUCAGAGAUGCUGGCAGUUCCUGAACAUGAUGGUCAACUAUAAAGCAAUGCUUGGUAUAGCAGUAUUGACCAUGGACUAGACUUCUGGUAAGACCAUGUUAUCAUCCUAAAAAUAUGUGGCCAAUAAGUAAUGCUCUUGGCUAAAACAGUUUAUGAGAAUAUACAAAAGAUAUCUAGAGAAUGCAGAUCGCAGAAAUUUGAUUGAAUAUAUCAAUGAAAAGAUGCAAGGGAAUGGGUAACAAGCAAAAGGUAACAACUAGCUUUGUGGAGGAAUUGGCUUCCCUCUCCAUAAAGAUAUUUUGCUUCGCUUCUAGUUGAGUUCCACUCAAAAUAGAUACAGGAAGCCAACAUCUAUACGAUUAGGCAAGAAAAAUAAAAACAGCCAUAUUUUGUUCUCAUCUUUCUCAUCUUCAGAUAGAAUUGACAGUUGAUAUUAACCUUGUAUCUUUUCUAUAAAUAGAUAUUACCCUAAGACGUCGUGCUAUUCAUCUGCUCAGCUUGAAAGUCUCUCAAGAGCUGCAGAGACUGAUGAUAGAGAUUAAGAUCCAUGCCAUCUACAUUCCUACCCACUCGCGCCCUCAAAAUUGCCUGACAUUUAUGAUAAAAGCUCACAGUAAAUAAAAGCAUGAAGUGGUCAGAAAAAAUUUUAAAAAGCCUCGAGAGGUUUUUUAUGUGUGCCAUGAUUAGAUUACGCUUAAGCCAAAAGACACGCUGUGUAAGAUAUAUUGCAUAUGUAAGCACAAUCAAUCAAACAUGCAGGGUCAAUUUAAUUAAUUAAGAGCAAAAAUCACAUGGUACAUUCAAAAAACUUAGCUUGAUCACAGAAAUGAAGCGUGGAAAUAAAGCGAGAGGUUGAUCUCCAGUUGAAGAAUGUCCCAAACACAAAUAUCACACCCAUUUCCUAAUUUUCCUAUGUAACAUCACUUAUUUAUCAUCCUCUGCAGCCUGUUGCUCUAUAAGCCACUCAACUUAUAGAUGGAGAGAUCAAAGGAUUCCAAACAUCAAAUUGUCAUAGGGGUUUACAGAAAGGGCACCAGAAUGGAGGAUAUAAAUUCAAUGAUUGCUCAAAUAUUUGUAUGUAGUUGUACAAGAAAAUCACCAUAGACAUGCAUACCUGAUUGCUGGGGUCAAUAAGCAGUUCUCCAAUGAACUGGUACAAGGAACCUAUGCGAAGAUUGACCUUCAAAUGUUGCGUGUCAAUCUUUAAGGAAGCAUUGCCUUCGACAAUUGACGCAAUUGCAGUCUCUAUGUCAUACUCCUGUAGCCUAUAAAAUAGAACAAAUUAACCCUCUCAAAGCUGCAUAAUUGAUUUUAGAUUGUAGCACACAAGUGGCAUAUCCGACAAAAUAUCAUAAAACAAUUAAGGAGCUGAACUUUCUUUAGAAUCCCGUGUAAGUUUGUAUAAUUUUAUGUUCUUCUGCACUCGAAACACCUCAGAAAUUUUACCGUGGUACAUUGAUAUGAUGGUAAGAAAAGUAAAUGGCAAUGAUGAUACCACCACGCUUGAAGUUGAAGUAUAGUUGCAGAUAAACAUCGAUAUAAAUAAAAAUAAAUAAAUAAACUUCUGAUUACAGGAGUACUGAGACAUUUUGUGUUGGCGAAAAACAAGCAGCAUGGUGGCUAAUUAUUGAAAAGCAAGAAGCAACAUUAUUGUCACUAACAAGUGUGCAAAGAUACCAUGACAUGAGCCGAUGAAAGGGCCUAUCAGAAAAACCCACUACCAUACUUUCGAGUUGAGAAGUGGCCCUGCUUUCUCCCCAUCUUAUUAACUUUUUCUCUAUAUGUUUCACAAAUCGAAACAGACAAAAUUCAAGAAGCAUUUGCAACAAGGAGCAACACGGAAACACCUACUUUCCAGUAACUCGAAGCGAUGCUCCUUGCGUGAAUUGUGGGGAGGAGGGAACUAGCUCCUCAAGAGUCACCAACGCACCAAAACGUACAGCAGAUGUUGCCAUUGAAGCAAUUCUACAAACAGGCGGAGCUAUUAGAGUUUCACUGAGGUAUUGUUGAUCGUAAACGAGAAAUUAAGAUAAAAAUAUCCAAAGUUUGAGAGCACUUUACAUGAUCAAUGUCAACUAAGUAAAUCAAGACAUGGAUUUCCAAAAGACAAAAGACAAUUUUAUGAUUAGUUUGGGGCUUCAGAAGCUACCUCCAGAUGAAGAUUAAAAAUGUUCCCUCGGUUUCCAAAAUUAAAAAGGCCGGAAAUAUUUUGGACCAAUUUAGUUAUCGAUUCGGCCACUUGGAUUCUGAUUUUUCCCUCGUGGGCCCGUUUGGAUUGCUGAUUUUUAAUCAAUCUUAUACUAUCUCCCUUUAAGGUCCAAUGUGCUCCAUCAUUUUUCAGUAGACGAUACAUCUUUUCUUCCACAUGUUUACCGUGUCAAAAGUGGAGGCGAGACUACCGCAAACAGAAAUUCGAAAUGAGUUGAACAGGGGCAGGAGACAACUAGAAAGCGGAUUGUUGGUCUGAGCAUCUGAAGGCACUUUCUAAACUAACCAUCAUAAUGUAGCCCAGACUCUCCACCGCCCAGGCGUUAUAGACCAAGGGAAACAUGACGUUGCUGAACACACGUUCAUCAUUUAUAGGAACUAAUUUAUGUAAAAGUUAAUUUGAGAUAUAUAUAUAUAUAUAUUUUUUUUGAAAACGACAACAGUUGCAUAAUCUAAUCUAUUUCACACUAAGAAGGAGGAGCGGACCUAAAAAGAUCCAGAAAUAAUUUGAGAUACAUGGCCAACAAGUUAUAACUGUGUCAGGAACCAUUAAAAAAAAAAAAAAAAGUCAUCAACGUCUGUCCACAAUGUUCCUUUUUUCAGUUUUUAUUUUUUUAGGGGUGAGGGGAGGUUGGUUGAACCAUAUUGCUCUAUAAUCUAUAUUGCACAGAAGUCUUGUGCACAAAUUUUUGUGAAUCUUUCAAAGUACAUAAAAUAUCACUCCCAUGAAGAAUUUAGAUAUCUUCGGUGCCUGCUGAUAUCGUGCUGAAUAUUAUCGGUUGAGAAGGUAAACAAUCAUUUCUUUGUCACUGGAUCCUCAUCCUCCUCUAUGAACAGAACUGCAAAUCUUAAUGAAAGAGCUUCCCGCAACUGGCAAACUCCGGCGCUUAUUGUCAAAGUAGACCACCAGAUAUGAUAGUUCAGGUGUCAACAAUGGACUAAUGCCUUGAGGAACACCAGAGUGAAUCAUGAAACUUUAAUUUCAUUCAUGUACAUGUAGAAACAUUAAGCAGAUAAACUUGUAUAUAACUUCCACUUCCUCGAACAUUAAGAGCCCUGCUAAAGAGCGCCUAUAUAUAACUUCCAUUUUUUUUCUGAAUUUUCUUGCUUCGAACUGAAGUUUCUGGUCAACCACCACCCCUUUCCAUCUCUCUCUCUCUCUCUCUCUGGUUGGGGGGCUCCCGCUGUGUGUGUACUCUCCGCCUGAGGUGCAUGUCUCACCAUACUUAAAGACACGUGGAAGAUGAUUUUCAGCUAUAUACAAGCCGUAGUUAAUAAAGAUGAUGCUCAGUGAAAAACUUGAGAUGAUGCAUAGUACUCGCUUUCAUUGAACACAGGUCUUAAAUCUUCUUUGGACAUGAAAUCCAAAGGGAAAGAAACAAGAUGCCCCCUAACAGAUUCUAACCUCUCCAAGGGAUCAGUGCAUUUAAUAUCCCCAUCUUGAUAAGACUCGAGCUUAUUUGGGGCUAUUCCUAAAUCAAUGGUUGCCUGGCCAAGUUUUUCUUUCCAGUAGACCAUGCAUUGACGGAGAGAAGCCCUGCAAGCUUACAAAGAUUUUUAUACAAUCAACAACAAAAAGAAAAACAAAUCUUUGAAAGAAGGAACGCACCUGGAAUGGAUUAGAUCAUUGGGUAUACAAGAAAAAACAUCUUGGUAGACCAUGGUAUUUGUCUGGCAAAAUCACAUUACACAGAGAAGUUAGUUGGAGGUAAAUAAAAGCCAGUGUUACAAACCCUAACUCAUAGCACAUAUGAGUUCACUCAUUGUGAGAAGUUAGUUUACUCAUUACAUUGAGAAGUUAGUUGGAGGUAAAUAAAAGCCAGUAUAUAAGAUUACUCAUUGUGAAUGGAUUAAUUUUCUAUACACUGACCGUGUACACACUUUCACCAUUAAAUACAUGACACAUAAUCCGAAUUUGAAUUUGAAACCCAAAUUUUGCAUAUGUGUCGUGCAUCCAACCGUGAUAUUGUAUACGCUGUCAGUGCAUAUAAGAUUUACUCAUUGUGAAUUCUUUCUUUUACAUUCGAGAAGAUUACAAACUUGUUGGCUCAAGUAACUAAAAUGACUCUUCCAUCAAAUCAUACUCUGGAGUUUAACUCCCAUCUUUAUUAUUGCAGACAGAAAAUUAUACACUGAGAAUCAAGAUAGAAGUAAUGGGCAACAACCAUAUCCUGACAAAGAUGAGCAAACAUUUCAUUGACGACGUACUUGAAAAUGGCAUUUUACCUUGGCAGUUGCCAUCCAUAUUCCCUUAUACGUAGAAUCAAUCACCGGAUCUCUUAUUUGAUGGACCUAAAAGAGGAUAACCAAUUAUCACCCAAAUCUCACAUCUCAGAAAAAGAUGAAAGACAGAUGCAGAGGCCAGAGGUUAGAAAUCUUUCAUCUAUUAAUUCUACCUAGUCCUUUUCUACUUGCUUUUCUGUGAAUGACACAUAAAUUGGCUAUGCAUAUCCCUCCUAGAAAGAAUGGGGAAAGAAAAAAGAAAAAAAGGAGUUCCAUAGAAGAAAUGAUUUCGAGAGGUAUGACUAUCACACGGUAUCAAAAGGGUGAUGGAAACUAACCUCUCCAGCUCUAAGACCAAGGUGCUCAGACCAUAGAGAAAGCCGCAAGCUCGAUGCAAACUUCCCAGCCUUCCAUGCCUUGCCUCCCAUUAAUGAAUCAAACAGUUCUUUGUCCUCAACUAGUACACCAAUCUGAAACAACAUAAGUAACAUGGCUGGUCAGCAACCAGGGGCAUAAUUUAAAAUGCGAAUCAGAACCAAAUUCCUAGUGAAAAGCAAACCAAAUUCCUAGUGAUAAGCAAUCCCAAAUUAUGUAACGAAGUGGAAGUAAGAUUCAACAAAUUUUUUGAGGUUCAGAGUACUGCAAUAUGACAUACAAGUCAACACCCAUACCAAGAUGUAUUUAGAUGUGCAUUUUAUCAGCUAGGAGACAAAGCUUGCAUAGCUUACCAAACAAACUUCUAUGCAUAAAGAACAAAAGGAAUGGGCUGAACGACGUGAAAAAUAAUAAUUAUUGCGAUGCUAAGAAAUGGCUAAGAAGCUCAGGAACUUAUGCUUGCUAGAGGAAGACCAAGAUAAAUUUGACUCAGAGAAGAAGUAUUCUUCCUUUUCUAACAAAGCUAAAGGAAAAGUAUGUGCUUUCCAUUAUUCUUUGAAUAAAAUAGACGAAGCAGCUGACAUCAAUCACUCUGCUUAAAUGAUUAUACAGUGAUGCCUGGUGACCAGAAUAAGCAAGGUACAAGUCCUUUACAGAGGUAUAAAGAUGCAAUUUACCACCCGUAAUCUACAAGGAACAAACUCAAGUAAGAACCCAUGAAUAAAGACUGAAGAGAAUGGAAAUAGAAUAAGAGAGUAAUGUAAACCACCCCGAACAUUCAACUAAAUCUGUAUAAAAAAUCCACAGAUAAAGAAAAGGAAUAAAAUAUAUACCUCAGAGUCCCUUGAGCCAAGCAAACUUCUAUCAUUGAUGUUAGCAGAUCCAACUAGAGUUAUACAAUCGUCAACUAUCAUGAUCUUGCUAUGUACAUACACCUAGAGAAAUGAAAAAAUCACCAAUAGCAUCAUCAAUUUUAUGUUGUAGAAGCAGAAAAGAGAACUUUGUAGUGAAUAGAAACAGUGAAUUCUUAUCCCCUUGAUUUGCUUUUGCAAGUCAAGUGUAGUGGAAAUGAAAUGCAAUUAUCCAAACAUUCAACAAAUUUAUUUUUCAGUGCUGUAACCAUCAGACUAUUACAUGUUUCCAUGAAUUUCAUCUUUUUAGAUACUAAGCAGUUCCAUGGCUUCAUGAGCUGUAACUACUACGAGUAGUAUCAAUCAAACAAACAACUCAUUUGAGUACGGGCUGCUGUUUUCUACCGUGCAUAAUUCUGCUCGGAAGAAUACAAGUGGCUCUACAUCAAGAUAGAAUGAAGAUAGGGGCAACCCCAGAAAGGUGGACAGGACCCAAGGUGUGGAAGAGAAAGGAGGUGAAAAUGUACAGGGUUUAAAAAAAAGAGUUAAAAAAAAAGAAAAUAAAGGGACAGAUAGCAAUAAAUAAAUAAAUAAGAGAGUUGUCUUUGCGGCUGCAAGGGGUACAGUUAAAGCAAUGCAAAGUUACCAAAAUUAAAUAAUAUUUUAGCGUAAAAAUCUUAAAUAAAAAUAACAAAGGACUACCUUAGCAUUUCUUCCAAUUUCAAAUAUGCAACUUGCAAACUUCUACACUUAGAUAUAAUGUAUACCAAAUAACGAACUAACAUAUCCUUAUUAAAUAAUCAACUAAAGAUAGGUCCUGCCUGUCUAAUAACUAACAAAUGGACAGUUCACUCACCUAAACGGUAAAGUGCAUAAACGAGUCAAAUUUACACAUAAAUACCAUCAACAACUAAACAAUCAGAAGGUCAUAGAACUAGCAAUCAGAUGCUUGCAAGAGACUUCUUAAUACACAAAACUUGAAAAAAGAAAUUGCACAGUCACCUGACUGGAGGCCACAGGACCACCUUCAAAAAGUCUACCAUGAGCUCUAAGACCGUAGAAAGAUAUAUAGUCAUGCACUCGAGGUCCGAUGUGAUCAUAAAGAUUGUCCAAUAUCGAAUUACGUCCUCUGCAUAUUGUUCGAUACUGCCAAUGCAUAAUUGCUCUCACAGAUGCUGCACCACCAUCAUCCACACCACCCUGCCAAAGUAUAUAGAGUGAAAAAAUAAAUAAAUAAAGCAAAAUUACUCAUAUUGGACAAGGGGAACACAACCAAGCAUAGUACCUGGAAGCCUGGAAGAAGUGGUAUGACAAUUAUAACUCUGAAACACUUCUUUUCCUUGUAAGCUCGCAUAAUGCGUUGGUAUAAUGCUUCCAAUACACGAUUCCGUAUGAUCUCGUCUCCAGAAAGACCUGAGAUGAAGAAUUGAUUCUGGAACAAGUUUCCAGGAAUUUAUGUCAGACAAGAAACUAAAAGCAGUUUAGAAUAUGCCUAGCCUCCUUAAAUGGAAAACCACUCAAGAAAAGACUAAUCAAAUACUCACACUGACGGCAAUUGCAUCAGACAAUUGAAUGCAAAUUUGAUAAUACAAAAUCAAAAAGCAACAAAAUUAUUCAGUAAAAAAUAAGAAUGUUCAACAAAUGACCUGUCACAGGCAUGGUAAUCGCUUUCAAAAGAUAUCCCUUGUAGAAAAGGAAAACCAACUUCCUCAAAACCAGACCAUGAAACUUACAGAAGAAAAAAAGACAGACAAGUGCAACCAUCACUAACAUUAGCUUGUACUUCAGAGAUCAAUUGCCUUAUCCAUCACAGGAACGAAAAGGACACUUUUGAAUAAUUGAAACCUGGGGAGCUUCAGAAAAUGCUAAAUGAAUGGCUAUCAAGACAUAACAUGUAGAUCCCACUGAAUGCUGUAGAAAGUCGAGCAUAGGCAGUUUCUUAGCAGUCACCAAGGAUAAGGUAGUGUUCCAGUUAUAAACAGGACACUAGUGGCACAUAGGGUCCUUUCCAAUAUUAUUUUCCAAGUUAUAUUCUCCUCUGGCUGUGCCUUUAGUCCCAUCCAUACCACCUUCCCAUAUUUCACAAUUUUCCAAGACUUGCUCAAAUAUAUUAAACACUCCGCACGAAAAGUCACAUUCAAAAUAUUUACCUUCCUUCUGAAACUACUGGCCCAAAUUUACUCCAAAUUAGUUACCUAGAUUAACACAAUUAAUUCAUUGAUUAUCAAAAAAAAAAAAAAAUUACCACAACUAAAACUAAUAAAGGACAGGAAUACCUCAAUAUAUAUGAAGUGUUCUGCCUUCUCGAUAAGAGAACAGUAAGCACUGUGAAUGCUUUCCUCUAUUUGGCUAGUUCCAGCAGACCAUUGACUGACACUCCUUAUAACCUAAACUUGGAAGCAUCAAAGGACAGUAGUUAUUUAAAUAACCAACAUAAAAAAGAAAAAAAUUUUAAAAGAGUAUAAUCCUCAGAUAUAUUACAUAGAAUCUUCUAAAACAAGCUCAUGUUUGGGAUGCUGUAGGCCCAAAAACAGUUGCAGGUCAUUUUUCACAAUAUACCCAUAAAACACAUUCCACCACCUCCGCAAUGACAAGCCAUUGUAACAUGAUGUAAAAGUAAGCAAUUAAAACAAUCUUAAUGAAAUUCAUAUGAUAUCACAGUACAUUCUCCCACUAAGAAAAGGUUUUAAGCUAAAUAUUGUGAACUAUACUCAUACCAGAACCAGUUCUUCUACCUCAGCCCAUGUAGCAUAUAUAACCGCUAUUUGCUUACAAGUAAAGUUAUGUAGGUCAAAGCCCCCCAAAAAGAACUUGUUAAGUAGAACAAGCAAAGAUUCCAGCAUAGCCUAAAUAGUCUUAAACAAAGUGUACUUUGUGCUCAUUAACCAGUAACAGACACAACUGCACUAAAAAGAAUGACAUAAACAACCUGGAGAUUAUAGCACACCGCUCUGUUUAUAUAGCCAAACACAACGUACUAUGAAUCCCACAUAGGAGGAUAGCAUGAGAACAUCAACAUAUGAAUCACGCUUAUAAUAGUAAUAUGUCUAAUGUUUAUUUGUUACAUGAUACAGAAACAAAAACAUGAUCUUAAUAUGUAAUAUAUCCUUCCUAGCAAGUGGGAAAAGUUACUAAUCAUGCCCAUCUAUUAGGACAGGAACCUAAUCUACUUAAUAAUCACCAACACUUUUUAUAUCAUACACUGAUGGGAUACAAUAUGGAUGCACGCAUGUCACUCAGUAUAGAGAUCCUCAACCUCCUAAAGAAAUUAUAUCUAACCCCACCUAGAGAAACAAAAUCCUGAGCCAGAGUUGCAUGGCCUAAACACUACAUCUUCAAUGAUCAAUAAAAUUAGAUGUAUACAUGAACUCAAGUAGCUCAUCAUGGAUAAACAUUUGAUCAGAAAGAACUGGGGCACUGUGACAUUUAGAUCUCACCUGACAUCGACAUGAAACACGAGGACCAACUUGUCCACUUUCAUCUGCCAGAUCAACUUGACCACUUCGAUCCUGUGUUUCCCACCAUUCAUUACCUGAAGGCUUGAAUCCAGGCUGCAUGGAAGACAACUCCUGCAGCAUAUGUGAGGCAUCAAGAUCAUCUACAAAACCUUUCAUUGGCAUAUCUGGAUUAAUUGGUUCAACUUUUGACUUUCGGAAAGAGAAAGGACUUUUGCUGGGCCUGCUUGCUUGAUCAUGGAAACCAUAUUCCCUACUUAAACCAUUUAAUUUUAAUUGCCCCUCUGAAGCAUCGAGCCCAUCUGCUUCUUGAGGCAUGAGUAAGGGGAUAUCCUGGCAGGAUGAUCGAGCCGAAAAUGAUUCUUGCUUUUUGGUGCGUUUACGGAUGUUUCCAUCAUUCUUAAUUUCAUCAUCAAUGUCUCUGUUAAUUCCCAUGUAGUGGGGAAUAACCAUGUGAUGCUGUGGCAUAAGGAGUGGGAUCGCCUCCUCAUAUGGAGCUUUAUUCCUCUGAAAAAUGAUAUAGCUAUAAAAUCACCAAAGCUUUUAAAUUCAGAGAAUACCUAAAACUGUAACAAGAUUAACCUUUGCAUAGUUCCAACGCUGAACAAAAUGUCUAGCAACAUCACGGCAAGGCGGUCCCCAAAAAGCACAGUGAACAUCAUGCCAUGGCAUACGCGGAUACUUUUGCCGAUCUAAUUCAUCUUUCAUAGUAUCUUCCCAUGAAUUUGGUUCCGACUCCCUGAAUUGUUAUUAGGUAUCGGACAGGCAAUUAUUAGACAUAAUCGAUGCAGAUUGUAGCUCUCCACAAAGUCAAUCUCAUCACUGUAUGUGUGUGUGUGUGUGUGUAUGUAUGUAUGUAUCACACAAUGAGUCGGUACAUUUGUAGAUCCAUUAUCAUCAAAAAGCAAAUUGACAUUGAAAAGUUCCAGAUCCAAAUUAUUCAUACUUAAAGUAAACAAUGUAAAGUAUCCAUCUUUACUUGUUCUUUGCAACAACAAUCCUCACUCAGGUAUAGCAACAAACAACUAGAACUACUUCAAGAUCAUUAAGACCAAGUAAUUUAUGGAUGUUCCAAUGCAGCAGACCAUCAUGUCCCACUAGAUAAUUCUGAGACUAAAUUGACUUCUAAAAUCAGGAUAAAUAGUUAGCUACAAGAUUAAAAUGAACUUGUAAUGAAAACACGGGGAAAGCACCUUGGGUUGUAAUAGUCCUUUCCAGGCCAAUUGCAGGGAGGGUAAUCGCCCACUUUGUGAUCAAAUGAAUCAUAGCGACCAAAGCAGAGGUCAAGCCCUCCAAGAAAGCAAAUAUGGUGGUCAACAAUAACAAUUUUCUCAUGGUGCGACCUAUGUAUAAGCAGAUGUAAGUCCACAGAAAUUUCUGUUUCAUCACUGAGUGAAAACAAUAAUCAAGUACCAUAUCUGUAGGAAAAGAGUAUGAAAACUUAAACAGCUACUGGCUUUGACAAUAAGGUGCAUACCAUAAAUAGACACCAGUAGAAAAAUGGUCUGGAUAUCGUAGUACUCUCACAUUCUCAUGGAUGCCAAGAAGCUUUUUCUUGCUGUAGACACUGUUAAUUUUCAGAGCUAGCGCAACCUCUUUGUAUAGAAGAAUAUAAAUCUACAGGAAAAGAAAAUUCAAGAAUCCAAAAUUAAAGUUCAUACAGUUAGGAUAACAAAAGCAGGGACAAGCCACGUUCAGAUGCAGCCAUAUUUUCAUGAAAGCCACAAUUGUUUCCUUCAAAGAACUUCAGAAGUAUUGGCAUGUAUGAAACAUAUAACAAGUAAAUCAUAUGUACAGGCGUAUAUACCUGAACACCUUGCUUAGCUUUCAUUUCUAGUAAAGCAUCAAGCCGAGAGGAUGCAUGAGCAUCAAAAGGCCGCCGCAGGUAGAGUUCUGGGCAGAGCCACCAACCACAAAUAAAUAUCUGCAGGAAACUUCUAUUCAUAUUCUACUUGCUCAUAUAAUAAAAAGUGAAGAAUAUUAUCUGUGAAGGUGAAACUAAAGCUUUGACCUCUGAUUUUGCAUCCUCAAUUGCCAAAGCAAUCGCUUCAAAUGCCACCCGACCAUCUACAAACCACUGAGCCUGACUACCAUCUUCUGUCAAUCCCCGAGGAGGAGCAAAAGAUCCAAAACGGUGAGGGUGACACCAACCCUCAGGUGGCCUAAGACCAGCAUCAUUAAUUGCAGCAACCCAAUCUUUGACUUUAGCAUUGGCCUUGGUUCUGACCUUGAUGCACCGGAUUCCACAAGAUACCUAAUAACAUCAUAAUAACUUCAGAAAAAGUGCAACUUCUUACAAAUAGCAAUGCUGACCUUGGAUGAAAACCAGUCACUCAUCAUUUUAACUGGGACUAGGAAGCUAGAGGCAAGGUAAUACAAGUCUAUGCUACAAACUUCCUUUAGAUCAUGAUGCUUUUUCUUGUUAUUCUCAUAAAAGCAUGGUACCAAAUAUUCCACUGAGAUGUGGAAAAGUUGGGAAAGGAAUAGGUUUUUAUUAAAAACCCAAAGGGCCCCCCAACCCAUGAACCUUUAGAGUUGCUUCAUUUCCACAAUGACUUGCUUGGGUAUUGACCUUCUUCUUCUCCUUCUACAUCCUUUCAGGAAUAGUAGCAAAAAUAUUCUUUGCAGAUCUCCAACCAUCUCAACAAGUUUUCUCUAAUUUAACACAAUUAUGAUUGUUCACUUUUUGUAACAUUUAUUUCGUUCAAAUUCAGGUCAACAUUUUAUUUCUUAGUUGACUAAAUCAUUAGCAAUUUCAAUACAGCUCCUUACUUGCCCAAAUUAUCUCUCUUCAAAUAGGUGGCCUUAACCCUGAAAUUUUCAUUUUGAUUAUACUGAUGCACUAUGACACUAGAACAUAUAAUGCUAUCACUCCAUUUAACCAUAUCUAUUUGUUCCUAUGAAUGCAUCAUCCCCGGUCCCUUUUUUAAUUCAAUCAUGAAACCUAAGCGCUCAGAUCAGUAAACCCAUUAUCCAUAUCUUUAACUAAAAUAUUCCGUCUCCAACAAUCAAGAAUUCAAGGAAAAUUAGAAUCCUAAUCCUCUUUAUAUUCAUCUACAGGUUUUUAUUUAUUUAUUUAUUGAAAAUUGAUUGUCUACAGACACACUCCCAAAGACAUCCUUCUCAGGAACAGGAUGCAAAUCUUUGUUAUCUUUAGAGACCCAUAAGAUGCUCUAAGGACUAACAAGAAACUUUAUACUUCAGGACUGGACUCCGAAUGUAAUGCUUCAGGAAGAGUGUCAACAUAGAAUGGGUCCUCUACAAGAAAAACAUGCAUAAACAGCUUACCCUGAAAUAAUGGCGCAAAGGAUUGUGAUCCUUUACUUCUUUUGCUAAUGAUACACGGCCAUCUCCAUUACCAUCUGAUGCUGGUAGUACAUCAAAUACAAUUAUAUCUAGAGGUUGCGCAUCAAAAGGAUCUUUGAGGAAGGCCAGAAAUCCAGGCUUGAGUACAGCCCAGACCUGCAUAUAAUUCCAACACUGUGAUAUUCCUUGUAGAGUAAAUCUAAAUUAGAUACUACAAUACAGGUAUUAGGAGCAUGACCAGAUUUAAAUUAGAAACUAAACUAUGCAUAUUGAAAGCAUAACUCCAGAUAGCUGAAAGCAGGUUCUAACAAUUUCAGCAUUCAAGCACAUGACUGGUGUUAGCUAAUUGAGAAUGCUUAAAAUCAAGUGAGGACACACAAACAGAUUUUUGAUGACAAGUUGAGGCCACACAGUAAAAAUGCUUAGAUUAUGGUUGACACAAUAUUGAGGGAUCCACAAGAAAAACUUUCCAGUAAAGAGAGAACCAAACGAGGAAAGCUGUAAAAUAUGAAAAGACGAAAUGAACGCAGUAAGGGAUACAGAAAAGCAAACCCAGUACAGCCUACCUUUUUCAUCAGGUUGCGAAACCUGUAUAUGAAGAAAAGGGAGAAAAGACUAGGAAUAACAAAACCUAAUAAUUCUCUGAAUAAGAACCACAUAAACAGGAUGCAAGGAAACUCAAAAUUCUAACUACCCCAAGCACUGACCUCUUAGACUCUCCAACCAAAGUCAUCAUGAAAUAAAAGUAAAGCAAAACAACAAUGGUCUUGUAGCAACUAAAAAUUGAAAGGUCACCAGUCAAUGUCAUGCAGUAGUUGAAAACAGUAAUGGAUCCAAAUAUGAGAAGAGGAAUUCUCAAGUAGUAUGCAAUUUUCAUUAUCCCCAAAAAUCAGAAAAAACAGAACGAGAGAUUCAUGGUAGAUUAUCCAGCGAAGAUAAUUACCUUCUGCCAAUUGUCUUUGCAGCAGCUGAACCACUGACAUGAACAACAGCCUUGAUGUUCAUCAUCACUCGGGAUUUUUGGUAAGUGCUUCACCAUGACAUAAUCUUCUUUUAGCUUAGGACCAUACUCUGGUAAAAAGGACAACCUGGAGACUUCCAAAAAUCUGCAAACCUGCCAUAUAAUUGGGAAAUGUGAAAGACAGAAAAAUACCGAGAAAGAAAUCUGGAGUAGCCAAAACAUGAAUUCAACUUAAUUUUCAAAAAAUGGAAACAUUAGCUGCAUAAGAGUUGUAGCCUAAAUACACAGUUCAGCUUAAAACAAAUCAAAGCAACGAUAUCUUGACUAACAAUCGCAAUCUCCUAGUGCUAUUACGGGUUAGUUACUAUUCCACCACACAGAUAUUCCAUGGUCAAUUAUUCUUUGGUGAAAGAGAUGUGCGAGAAUUUCAUACACAUGAUAACAUGGAAGUACGUGCUUGUGAAAAUUUUCCCUACUGAAUUUGUAUAUGUAACAUGAAGGGUUGAAGUAGUUGCCGAAUAUCAGGUAAAAUCUCUCUAGGUGCUCAUUUAAUUCAAGGCAACUUAAGAAACAAGGUAUCUCAUUUACCGGGUCAAGCUACUGACUCAUGCUCUUGGUGCAAGCACACAUGCAUAGAAAACACUCUUUCUGUUAGUUGCUGAAUUCUAAGGAUGAAAAUAUGAACAUUAAAGAAAACAAAGUGUGCUAAUUAUUAGGUUGUAACAAAAGUUGCUACACUAUCUUGCAAGCAAAUCUAAAACAAAAAUUCUAGAGUAAGACUUUGCAUACCUCCCGCGAAUUCACUAUAUCCAUGUUCCCAAGAAAGUGAUUCAAGUAGCCUUGCAUUGCUACUUUUGAUCUGUCAGACAUUGAAUUCUGCCGUCCUAGGGCAGGCCGAAUAAUUGGCAGGGCAGCACUUGACGGAACAUCUCUGAACAAAAAACUACCUGUAAGAAUCAUACAAAUUAUGAUGCUACUCGCAGUAUGUAACACUUCCUCCCCUUUCACAAUAAGCAAUAUAAUCUCAAGAUUCACCUGUUUUUGACACUUUCAUCAUUACGCAGAGGAAUGGUCUCAUCUUCAGCUUCUUCAUCAUCCUGCAUAACCGGUGUAUGAUCUCCUAUUCCUAAAUUUUGAAGCCAUUCUCUGACCUUCACAUUUACGCAUCCAUAAGAAACACAUCAGCAUUCCACCACAGAUUCAACAUGAGUAAAAAGUGCAACAGUUUGAUCAAACAAACCAACCUCCUAAAAAUAAACUGCAAAAAUGCACACCUAAGCAAAUGAAUCUAAGCAUACCUGCUCCUGCUUUUCAUGAAUUUCCUCAAUAAAUGCCCUUUUCUUCAACGCAAAAUGUAAAUAGAAUACUUGUGAAGCUUUCUUGACUAACUGCCACUUGAACUGAAGAAAGAAUAAGUAUUAGUCCAGCAGAAUCCAAUCAAUUACAAACCUCCUAACCUAUGGGGGGAAAAACACUAUUGGAAUAUUGAAGCUACCAUUCAACCAAUUGAAGUAUUAAUAUUUUUUUUAGGUGGAACUGACGGUAACGAAAGGUACCCAAAUAGGCUACCAAUCUUUUCGUCCCCUGUCACCAAUUUUAAUUGAUAAUUGUAGACUACCAAAAUUCGCACAAUCCAUCAAAAUUCACAUACUGCCCAUAAUUAAAACCAAAUAUGUGUAAGGUAACAAUAACUGUCACAACAACAAUAUAACUCCUAAAAUUCAUUUUCAGUCAAACAACAUCCUAAAUUAACAACUAAAUUUAGUUUAAUUACGUCCAAAAACCCAAACUCACUCAAUUUCAAAUCCGAAAAAGCCCCAGUUUUUACCUCGUCUACAAGAACUCUAAGUUCACCCUUUUGGCGUUCCCUGUCAAAGCCAACACUCCUCACCUCGCUCUGAUUCCUAGCUCAGGUAUAAAUGAACAAACUUCCAUUCAUAUCCAGUUCUCAAAAAUCCAAACUUGAGCUGAUUCCAGCAUCACUCUAUAAGCAAUCUGUUUAUGUUCUAGUCUCUUCUAUAAAACUCAAAGUAGCAACUUCUCCAUUAAACAAAUUUCUACCUGAUAUAUUGAAACAAACAAAAAAUAAACUAAUAAUGGCAGCAAGCGAGGCAAGGUGAAAUCAUACCUGUUUGUAUUGGAAUUCGAUUGUAUAAGUGAGCAUAAUAGGGCUAAUAUCGGCAGCAUCGGGGCGGGACACCUGAAUAAUAGUAGCCUUAGGCAACUCAUCGAAAAUUCGAGCUGACUCGGCUCCGUGAUGAUGAUGAAAGGAGAAGAAUGAUGACAUCAUCAUCGGCAGCGGCUCCGAUUGCACUUGCACGUACCUCGGGCCUCCUCCUCCUCCUCCGCCGCCGGUCACCAAGUGCUCCGUCGACGCCAUUCUCUCCGAUCACCACUGACGAUUUAACAAAAAAUACAGAAACACGUGUACAAUCGAUAACUAUGUCAAAAAAAGGAAUGACGCAAUUAAUUUGUUCCGGAUAGAGAUCAAGAAGAAGAUGAAACAAAAUUGAGAGAGAGAAAUUUGAGAAAAAUAAAGGGCUGAUUAGAAUUUGAUUUUUUGGGAUGAAAUGUGGAUUUUCCGUUUGGUAGUUUUCAACUUUUCUUUGUCUUCCGUUACGUGGACUUUGGUGUGUGGUCGGUUGUGGAUAGUCCGGCAUUUCAGGAUCCGGGUAGAUUUGAAUUGCAGUACAAGUCUCUCGCUCUUUAUUUUUUGGGUUAAUUACAUUUACCUCCCCUGAGGUUUGACCAUAUUACCAAUCAAUCCUUGAAAUUUAUCCAAAUAACAGUCUCACCCUUUGAAUGAUCAAACAUUUAACAAAAACCCCCUUAAUGCCGAAAAUGCCCUUUUUGAGACCAUAUUGCAUUAAAAAAAGAACAUAUUUUUAUUUAUUAACCUUUAAGUAAUCCAAAAAAAUCAUCAAAAAGUUUUUGCUUAUUAUUUUAUAAAAUUCAUAUCUUUGCUUCCAUAAAUAGUUUUGAAUCAAUAAUUAUUUUAAAUCUUAAAAAUAAAUAUUAAAAAUUAGAUAAAUUGAAAGAAAAAUAAAAAGGAAGCAAUUAUUUUAAAUUCUCAAGUAUGGUUCGAAUUUGUGGUUCAAGAUAUGUUGCGGAGAGCACAAGGCAUGUUUUCCUCAAUUUGAACCACACUUCAAGAAUUAAAAUAAUUUCUUCUUUUUUUAUUUUUCUUUCAAUUUAUCUAAUUUUUAAUAUUCAUUUUUAAAAUUUAAAAUAAUCAUUGAUUCAAAACUAUUUAUGGAAGCAAAGAUAUGGUUUUUAUAAAAUAAUAAGCAAAAACUUUUUUCUAUUUUUUUGGAUUGCUUCAGAGUUAAUGAAAUAAAAAUAUGUUUUUUUUUUUAAUGGAACAUGGCAUCAAUAAGGGCAUUUUCGGCAUUAAAGAGGUUUUUGUUAAGUGUUUGAUCAUUCAAAAGGUGAGACCGUUAUUUGGACAAAUUAUAGGGAUUGAUUGGUAAUAUGGUCAAAUCUCAGGGGAGGUAAAUGUAAUUAACCCUUAUUUUUUUCAAGUCUAUGCCUUCUAGUUUUCGUUUUCUGACUCUCUCUCUCUGCUUUUUUUUUUUUUUUUUUGGUGUUUUACAACAAUUUUUUUAAUGGUUUUGGUUGUGAUUAGCCGCUAGCCAGGAUAAUUACCCCGAGCUUAGCACAAUUGUGUGAGUUUUGGCCUUCAUUUGGAGAUAAAAUUCCCAGCACUAGUUUAAAUCAUCAAAGAGAUUAGGAAAUAGAAACUAUGAGUAUGGCUAUUUUGUUCAAGUGGAAGUUGGGAUAAAUGGUCCUUUUCAAUUUAGGUUCUAGAACACAAGAAGAAAUCUGUGGCUAGUACAGGGUAAUUACGGUUUGCUUUGGAGCAUAUCAGCAGAUGAGCUAUUGUUUAUACUUGACUAAUGGUCAUUAGGAUGCAAAAGCCUAAACCAUUUCUUGUUUUGAGUUUUGACUGGUAGAUUUUGCUAUUGUGACCCAGAUAAACCAACUUAAUUCAACGCAACUUAAUCAAUACUUAUAUAAAUAAAAAUUGUGAGUCAAUUGAUGCUUUCGAAUUUAUUUGCAUUAGAAUUUAGAAAUUGGCCUAGGUCUCCUUGAUCGCAUGCUUCGUCCCUUAGGAACUGACGUAAGUGUCAAGUUUGGACCACUACUAAUAUGCCAGGUAUUUCUAGAGAAUAGAGAGAGUUAAUUCUAAUCUGAUUAGAAGAAAUGUGGCAAAAAAAGAAACAAAAAAAAAAAAAAAACCAACGAAUUGAAGGAAGACAUAAAUUCCAAAUGUUUGGAUAGGAGAUUAUUUGGGAUAAAUUUUUAAAGAAUAUGCUGUGACAUUUUUUUGACAUGAUAUACAGUGAGAUAAAAAGAUGAUUAAAAAAUCAGUUGAUGACACAAAUAAAUCAAUGGAUGUAAAUAAGGUGCAAUCAAAACCAUUUAUUAGAUAUUGGAUCAUUUAAUCCAUGAUGAUCUAUUUACAUAAAACCAAUUAUCAUCCAUAUAUCAGUCUCUAAGCAAAGGCAGGAAAAAUGAAGACAUAAAGCAACCAAGACCAAGAGGGCUACAAAUGCUGGACUCAUUCUCUAAUAAUAAGUACUACUACAAACUGAAUGGUACUGAAUACCAUGGAGAUGUUUAAGCAGUUAAGAAUUACGUAUUUUUUAAUACCUAAUAACAACUAUACCAAGCGCCUUUUUGUUGCAUCCAAAAAAUUGGUAAAGUUAUUGUGGCCUGUAAAUGCACUAACAGUUUGGGCCCAAAGCAAAGCCUGCAGAUCUAGACGGUUGCUGCCUUGUUUAUUUCAAUCCAGUUUGGAUAUCUUCCAUCGAUUUGUACUUGUUGGGCUUCGAAAUCUUUUCCAAUCGAUUCUGGAUUUAUUAGUUCCUUUAAUAAAUAUGGCGGGUUGUUAUCGGGGACUAACAAAUAGUAGCAGUAGAUAACUUUAUGGAUUAAUUAAUAAUUGAGCUCACCCACCAUAAUAAAGUCUUUGGAUAUCAAAUCAGGCACAAGGAGCUUUUCACCAAAAUGUUCAAAUACAUACCUGACCUCACUUGAUUUUGUCUGCCUCAGGAGUUAGCCUAAACUUGACUUCAACAAUAAAAGCUUAUUAUUAUAUUCGGUGAAUUAUUAAAGAUUUGACUCAUCCAUCCAAAUUCCACCUUCCAUUCGCUUGCAAAUUGCAAUGCAACCUUUUUAUACGAUGAUAAACUAGUCUAAACCCUAUACAUGACAAACCAAUUUUCAGGAAAACCACUAAAAAGAAAGGUCCAAUCAUUUUGCCUAUUUUGACCCUUUCACUUCUCAUCCCACUCCUCUCUUUUCUAUAUUUUCCAAUGGAAUGGUAAGACAACCGUUUGCUUAUUAUAUGCAUGAAAUGAAUUGGCAAAGACAAGCCCAUCCUGAGGUGCUGCUGUGUUCGAUUCGCCCCUCCUACCGUCUUGUAUAUCUUGGAAGCAGGGUGCACAGGUACAAAAAGAGAUUAAUUGAUAAAAAAAUCGAGAUAUUUUCUGUAUCAAAAAAAAAAAUUUGACAAAGACAAAAGCUAUGAUAAACUAAUCUAAACUCUAUCAUUUUGCGCAUUGUACAUGAUCUUCAAGGAAUUUGUUACUACUUUUAAAAUACUACUAGAUAGACUAGUAGGUCACUAGAACUGGAGUAAGAUCUUUACAUAAAUGUCAAAAAAAAUUGCAUUGGAAAUUUGGAAGAAAUACUAACGUACUAACCAACCGUGGCGUAGGCGUAGAGGAAAAAUCUUUCAAUGCCACACGUUUAUUCAAGAAAAAAAAAAAGAAUCAAGGGUUAUGUUACCUGAGUAAAGCGCGGACCUAUGUGGGCGCCCCUUGAAAAUUCACCCCAAAAAAAAAAAAAAAGACAAAAUAAAUACUUACUAUUCCCUUCCCUUCCCUCCUCCCAUUGCCCCGGAAAAUCUUCGCUGCCCAAAAUCCCUAACCCUAGCUGAAAAUUUACUCCCGCUUCUCAAACCCUCAUUCAAUUUCCCGAUGGAAAUCUCUGUCAUCUCCGAUGCAUUAACGUCAGUGGCCUCAACCCAAGGUUUAAGCUUAGGGGUUUCAAAGCUCAACUUCUGUUCAAAUCAGUCUUCUGAACAAUCCGCCGGAAUUCUUCAAAUCUCCGCCAUGAUUUUUCCUCUCGAUGCUGUUGCACCACCGCCGGUGAAGUCGAAUCGGACAAGAACUUUACCGCGUAGACUGAUCAAGAAAAGGCGUCGUACCAGAAGAAGAUCUUCAACCGGUGAUGAUGAUAAUGAUGAUCCGGAAGAAGUUUUCGGGUUUUUUGGCGGCGACGGAGGAGUUUUUGAUGGGCCGUUUAAUAAUGGUGGCGGCGGCGGCGGUAGUUGGAAUUUUGGUGGGUUUGGAGGGGCAAAUUGGGAAGGGUACUCAUCCAACUCGUAUAAUGAUCCAGCGUUCGAUUUUGUUUACGAGGUGUUGUCGUGGAUUGUUUUAUCGAAUUGUUUGCAUUUUGCGUUUAAGAAGGUUGUGAGGAUUGUGGCUGAUGUAUUUGGUGAUCCUGCUAGGGAGAAGGUCCCGAUGAGAUUGGAACCUGUUUGCUGAAUUGGUAAAAGAAAUUGACUCCCCGAUGCAAAGAUAAACUCUUUACUCUGAUACACAUAAUUUAGGAUUUGAUUAUAUGUUCUUCGGGAAAAAAAUUAUGUAAAUAAGUGGACAGUACAUUUAGGACUAUGCUUCUUAAGUUCGCCAUUGCAUUUACCUUUUUAUUGUUUAUCAGCGUAAAUAAUGUAAAUAUUCAUCGAUGGAUGUCUGGCUGAUUUUCAAUUUGCUUUACUCUAUAUGAUUCUUCUAUCCACGGACUGAUAUAGUUGCGUUGCAUGGAUUGCGUGUUUGUGAUACUUCUGUUAUACGUUCUGUGAUGAUUGUUGUGGAGAUGUGUUCCCCUUCCAUCAUACAAGUCUGUGAGCAAAGAUUUGAGUUGUCUUGACAAAUAAAUAAAAGUGUAAGCUGGAGAUUUUUUAUGCUACUUGACUUGCAAUGCUGGAUAUGGUAAGGGUAGCACAAUCAAUUACUCCUAAAAAUUUUUUUGCUCUUGCAUUUUAAAGAUUUGCUUGGCCUUAAAGAUGUAUCUUUUUCUUUGUGAUUCUUGAUUAUCGUAGACUUCACAUCUCCCCUUCAAAAAUGAUUUCCCUCCCUAUAUCCCUGCCUUUCAAUGUGGUCUACGUUGUGUAUUCUGGGCCUGUUGAAUGGCAAGAUCGAGUCUUUGAGCAUGGUAUGUUGCUGUAUUGUUGUUUGGGAGUUCAUAGGAUAGUUAUUACUUCCAUGUGUGCGUGUCUGAAGCCUGUGAUCACCUGUUUCAUUUCUGGUUUACCAACUACAAAUAUUGUAACUAAUGAGAGCCAAAGAGGCCGUAUUUCUUUCUGGUUUGAGGGCCAGAAAUGUUGUAACUAGUAAGAUCCAAAAGGAGCAUUUGGUGGUUUUAUCUUCUUCAGAAGUAAGAAACCAGUAAUUAGGUUGGCCCCUUUGGGUAGUCAAAUCUCCUAUUACUGCCAGAAAUUACGAACUUUCUUUUGAUGUCCCUGCCCUUAACUUAUUAUGUUUAAGAUCUUACGACAAUGAAGUUAGUGAAUAUCGAUCAUAUGCCUUGUGAAGUGCUAUAUUUACAUUUUCUUGCAAAGGAACAUCCAAUGGUCUCUCUUUUACUGACUUAGAGGCCUUGAAUACCAUAAUAAUUGGGAUUUGCCUAGGGCAAAUUUCAGAUUCCUUAUUUUAUUUGAAGUCAGGCUGAUUGAUCGAAGCAUGAGUGCCUUUCUUUUGGGGGUUUUGUUCACGGCCUCUGAACCAAUUUAGUAUGAUUGCAAUUUUUUUUUUCUUCUUUUGGUGCUUGUCCUUGCAUUGACUGUUGAGUCAACUGGCUACCUCCUCGUGUAAUUUCUCUAGCACAAUCGCUGUUGCAAUUUUUUGUAGUUUCUUUAGUAUUUUACUAUUAAAAUGAAGACUAACAGAAGGUUCGGAGGCAUGUGCCUGAAAGACUGUUUGUUCCCCAGCAGGUUGGUUGGUAAAUUCUUGACAUGCUGUAAGGUUAAACCAAUCUACGGUGGAUGCAGCAUGCAAUGGACCUAACUUAUCCAUGACUUCAUACCACACUUUUCUACUUUCUACGCCAUUUAUCUUUUACGAUGGGGGAACUAGGUAGCAAACUGUCAAGGAACAUAGAUGGCAGUUUGAAAAAGCCCCACGCAUAUGUCCCAUUUAGAUUUGAAGUGACACAAUCAGCACUUGGUUCAUGCAUCUUCUUAGUCACUUUCGAUCGACUAACUAUUCCUAGUAAAAUCACAAUUACACAUAAAACACUGGAUAAAUUAUUUUAGUACCCCGAGUCUCUAUCUGCCGACGUACGGCUGUCUGUCUGGUCUGUGGUUUAUUCCUUUCUCUUCUUCUUGGAUAUGGAUCUUUCUCACUACUUUGUGUCUCUUCUAUCUCCUGUUCCAGUAAUAUUCGAUUUUGAACUGCUAGAUGUGGCAGUAAACAUCAUGGCAUUGUUCAUCUGUUUCGUAGAAAAGGGGAAAAGAUGUUACCGGAAAUGUGCAGAAAAUUUCAAAGAGUGCCCAAAUAGUUGUUGGUCCCAUUCAGCGUUUACUCCUCCUUUCCGGAGCAUUUUCCUGGGUAACUUCCUAAGUACCUUGUAGGUGAUACGGCUGCUUUGUACAUAACAGCUCUUCCCUCUAAUACCCGAACAUAAAAGUCCUGUGCCAAAAUAAACAGGCAUAGGAUGGACUCUGAGAACGAGAUGAAUGCUGGAAUUAUGUACGAAGCUUCUUCUUCAAAUUGCGUUGGAUAGAAUUUCAAGAAUGCGGGUGAUUAUCCAGCUGAAAACAAACUCUAUCGUACUUUAAUUUGAUCGCCGAAGUAUUUUGCGAUUUUUUUCUGUUAAAAUCAGUAGUAAAUUGCACUAACUUGUGUGAUAUAAACUGAAAAGUCAAAUUCCAAAAAGUUUAAGGACAUUUUUUUCCCCAGCACACCACCCUAGGUAACUUGCCAAACAAUUUAUCUUUUUACCAGAAAAGACCAUUCCAAACUGGUAUCAAGCACCUUUUGUUUUCGAAACAAACGAGUAAACAUGAAAAUCCAUUCGGGACUCCUGUCAAAUUAGCGAUCGAUGCACGCUUGAUGCGUGUGUAAUGAAUGUAGAAUCCUUCGUUUGAGAUAACGAAUGUAGAAUCCUUCGUUUGACAACAAAAUUUAAAAGUAGUAAAUUUAAAAAGUUAUUGCAACAAAAUAUGAUAACAAUCAAACAAAAAAAUUAAAAGAAGCAAUCACACGCAGUGAUUGACUAAUGAAUCUUUUAAGAAGUGGAAAAUUUUGUUCUAAAUGUACUCUCAUAUUGAGAUGGAACUCCACAAUCAUCUAGAGGAUAUUGUAUUCAACAAUUGAAAAGCAUCAAAAUCUUAUGGCAAGAGAUAGAAAAAAAGAAGAAGAAGUUUCGCACAAAGGAGAUGUAAAAGAAGUUAUUUAUGUGAUUUUGAUUUGUAGUUAGGUGGUGGGGGUAUUUCAUUGUGUGAUGUUAGUGGUUAGUUAGAGUGGGAUUAGUGAUGAGUAGCUAUUUUCUUGAUAAAGGUAAUAUGUACAUGUAUAAGAGAGAGGAGAGUUGAGUUGAAUGAUAAAGAAGGAGAGAUUUUUAGUAAGAGAUUCUGAAUCCAAAAUCUCCUACUUAAAAAAAAUAAAAAAGAGAAUAUAUACACGUCACAAAAGACUAAUCUAAUUUUCAAAUGGUUCAAAUCAACUUUGCAUUUCAAUGUAGGCUCCGUAUGUCUUGACUUGGAGGUGGUUCAGUAUUUUCCGAGUCUCCAGUAACAACGAAGUCGGGUCUAUCUUUUCUUCGUAGUAGUAUAGGAGUAGUCGUAAGCAAAUAUCUAUUAUGUUUGUCAAAAAAAGAAAAAAAAACAGAGAAAACACCUGUGUGUGCAACGUUUUCCCGUCAUAGAAUGUAGAAUAGUCAAUAAUGUUUCAAAUGCGCGGACUACCGAAUCCAGCCACAGUAAAAGUUGGUGUGCACUAUACAGUUGACCCCUUAAUUAUUGAGGUCUGAAUCCUUCUCUCUACCACUACCAGAAGAAAGGGUUCACGAGAUUGAGGUGCGAUUUUUCAUAUAUAUAUAUAGGUUGGAAUUCAAGACAAUCUAAGAUUUGACGUUUCUUGGGUGUUUUUUGUACUCUUGUCACCGUAGCAUUUGCGAAAUUUGGUUGAAGAUUUGAAAACGUGCAGGCUGCAGCUUAGAAAGGAGACAUUUUGGCGAUUAUCCGACGUGAAAAAACAGUGCGGACAAAAAAUACUUUGAUACGUUCGGUGCUCUUUUCAGCGUUUCCCCUUGACAAAUGACUGACUUAUUUUGUAUGUAAAAGGGGUUCCAGUCUUACAAUCUUAAAGGGGAUUCCAAUCACCAUAUGUAAGGAUUAUUUCCUUUCUUUAUACAGUCAUCACUGCACUAAUACUGGAGGUGGCAAAAUGGGCGGGAUGGGCGGGAUUUGCUUGGGUUUGAGAUGGAACCGAGUCAUAUGGGUUUGGGUCCAACCUUACCCAUAUGUGUUUUGGGACUAACUUGGGCGGGAUCAUUUUGGGAUGGGUUUAGAUUGUAUAUAAUUUUAAUAUUUUUGAUUUAUUAAAUUUCUUUUAGUUUUAUUAAAUAAACAUGCAAGUGCUUUAUACUCAAGAUUCCCACCAAAAAUUGGAUUAACAAAUAAAGGAAAAGAUAGAUAUACAGCCAUAUUCCAACAUAUAUCAAGAUGGCCAAGGUCCUUAGGAUGUUGAAUAUUUAUCCUCAUCAUUGUCCAAGGAUGACAGGUCUAAACUAACUGAAAUGCUGGAAAUUCUUGUGGAUAAUGACUAGGAAGACUACUAGAUUAUAUUCGCUGGUAUGACUAUAAAAAUUGUUAAAGAUAAUUUUUGAAUCUAAGACUCCGUUUGGAUUGACUAUUUUUUCAAAAAAUAAGUUUUUCAAAUACAAUGUUACAGUAAUAUACAAUAACUCAAGAAACAUCCCAUCCAUAUUAGUAUAUCAAAUAUUUCAAAAAAAUUUUAUAGUAAAAAUUUUUCAUAUACACGGCUACAAUAAAAUAUUUCAAAAACACCUACCAAAAAUAGCUAAUCCAAACGGAGCCCUUGCCAUUUGAGCCCAAUGGGUACCCAAGUAUUUCCCAUCCUUUCCCAUUCAUUAAUGGGUAUAGUUGGGAUGUGUCCCAACUUAAACCCAAUACCAAAUUAUAAUACCCAUCCCGCCCAAAGUUCCUUUGGGCAUGGGUAGCCCAUUGGGACUUGGGACAAAUUGCCAGCCUCUCAACUAAUACGUACUGACUUGGAGUACAUGGUGUAUUACGCAAGUCAAUUGUAAGCAAACAUUAUCUUAUUUAGUUAAGAAAUGGGUGAUUCAAGGAAAACAAUUAUACUACUAAUACGUUGUUAACUCCUAAAUAAUCUGGCCCACGCUCAACCAAGCCCCACAAGUAGCGGGAUGUAUUAAUUGUCAGUAAACGGGUUGAUGUUUAAAAGCCGGAAAUUCUCUCCGUCAAAUAGCUGACCUCAUCAUCCUCUGUGCCCCCCCCACUGGCACAGUGCUUAAUUACGAAAAGGUGUCUUGAUUGGAUGAAUGGAACAGCAUCAUUACCAAUCAGACAUUAUUAAUUAGCCAAAUGCAGAAUACGACACAAAUUUUUUGCAAUGAAGUAUUUCUUCUAAUCAUACCGUGAUAGUAACGUAGUAAUACUACCCUUGCUGGCUAAUUAAUUGAUGCCAAAGCAUUAUUAUUAUUAUUAUUAUUAUAGUGUACCAUGAUAUUGACACCAUCCACAGAAUGCAGUAAAAAUUAUCCCACAUCAGGCAGUAAAAGUCUGAAAGUACACGCAAAAGACAAAACAGGAGAGAAAAACACGCAGUUUCUAAUCUAGAUAGUCUAUGGUAAAAUUUCACUUAAUACAGCAGAUUAUUAGGCUGCUGGGCUGUAGCAACAAGAUCGUCCAUCAUCCAGAGAUCAACCGGGUCCGAUUCAGUGAUCCCACCAAACUGAGAUGUUGCUGUGGUGGUCGUCUCAGGUUCUAAGCCCAGGAAAGAUUCCAAGCUGGAAAAUUGAUCCCCAUACUGAUAAUCUUGAUCAGUCACUUGGGACGGAUAGUAAGGCUGGGGUUGGAAGCCAGGGUCCACUACUGGCGGGGUUGGUCCAAUUGACUCCAAGAUCUCCUGAUCAGGCUGAGGAUAAUAAGCCGGCGGUGGCUCAGGGGUGACACAACGCCGCUUGGCCAGUGGCUGCCGAGGUGGUGUCGGCUGUGAUGGGGUGGUUGGUGGCGGCUGAUCAUCAGCAACAAAGUUGAGUUUAGCCUUGUCGCCCCGGAUGCGCUUGGCUGCCUUGUCAUAAGCCCUGGCUGCUUCUUCAGCUGUGUUGAAUGUGCCGAGCCAAACUCUAACGCCCUUUUGUGGAUCGCGAAUCUCAGCUGCCCAUUUUCCCCAUGGCCUCUGUCUGAUCCCUCUGUACUUGUUCUUCCUAGGCUUCUGACUGAUCUUCUCAGACUUCUGAUUACCUGCUCCUACACUUCCAAAAAAAUCACUUCUUCUUGCUAAUACUACAUCAAUAAUCAUUCAAGUUCAACAAAUUCUUUCAAGUUGUUGUGUUGUAGCAUGAAAAAUUGAUCUACUAUGUACACGUACAUAUGUCAAUCUCAGAAUUACCUAUGCAUAAUACAUACAUGCAGCUACACCGUAUCAAAAUAUAUAGGUGGAUAUAAUAUAGUAAUACUUUGUACGUAUGGAUUUGUGAAAACCCUGAUGGAGUUGUUACGGUAAAGAAAUACUUAUUAGUAAAUAUGUUUAGAGCCAUCCUAAAUAGUAAAUACGCAGUCCCUAAGAAAGUAGAUAAUAAUAUAAUUGGAAACUAAAAGCCUAUUAUAUGUAAGCUUGCUGAAGUAUGCAUACAUACAUAUCAAAAUAUAGGAGCGUCCAAGUAUGCAGUAGAUGUAUUUACAUGUACGUAUGAAUCAUCAACAUAAAUCAUUUUCUGAGCGCGCAAUUAAUUAGGUCGUCAUACAACUAUUAUACUUUAUUAUUGGAGUAUUAUUAUUAUUUUUUUGGUAAUUUAUCCAAAAAUGGCAAAAAAGUACAUAAAGGUAGCAAGUGGUAGUAAUAAACCAAGAUGAAUGAUAGUAUCAGCAGAAAAUUCAAAGAUAUGUAAGCUAGUGGCAGUAGAUUGUGUUCAGGUAAUGGGGGGUGAGUGGACCGACCUUUCUUUGGGUGCUUGUUCUUGUCAGUGGCCUUGGUAUCUGCAGCCUGGCCAGAAGGGUCGAAGCCCCAGAAGGGAGAGAUGGUGUCAAACUCAGCCCACAGUUCUUUUGGGGUUAACUUCCGGCCGGGGUUGAUCGGAGACCCCCCGGAAAUGAUUGCACCUCCACACAUCUUUCUUUUUUUUUGUUGGUUGUUCUUGUUGUCUGGCAGAAGAAGAUGGUAGGAAAAAAGUUUUCAGAGAAAACUGAAGAGGAGGAGGAAAUGAAAUGAAAAAGGAGGAAUAAAUAGAGCAGAGAGAGAGAGAGAGAGAGAGAAGGAGAAGCGUUACGUAUUGAGGGUCUUAGUGUUGUGUUUUGUUACGUGAUUUUACGAAAGAGGGGACGGUUACGAAUCAAUAAUCAAAGGGAAAAUGACAAGUGAGGAGAGCUGAACCCAGACUUUGUUUUUAUUCGGAUUGUAUAUUUUAUUUAUAUACAUAUAUGGGAUCAAACGGUGGAGAGAGGGCCCAUCCAUUUGAUGUUGAUGAUGUGAUGUAACGUAACGGGGAAAUUUUCUUUUAUUUUUUUUUGUGGGUCCAGAUGAGAUGAGAUGUGUGAUGAAAUUAUGCACAUCAAAUCAGUAUUGAGAUUUUUGCAAGUUGGCAAGGAAAUUUGGGUAAAUUUGAGCUACCGUAUUUCGGUGCUCAAAACUCUGAUUUUCAUUCCGCUUACUUUAUUUUAAAUCUUGUUUAUAACUCUAAUUGAGUUCCAAAUUUCAAAGGCUGGUUCGCAAUGGGUGCGGUUUCUGCAAUUGGGCUAUUUUAAAAGAUAUACUGACAAAAUAAAUAAAUGUAAAUAUUAAUGCAUUAUAGCAUGUAAAAAAAAAAACAACAACUUUAGAAUUAUUUUGUUACAAUUAAUUUCAUCUUUCAAAUUUAUAUUGAGCACAUCUGGGUUAUUUUUUUUUUCAGACAAAAAACACAUCUGGAUUAUUAAUUGCAAUUGCUUUGCCUAUCGCAUAGAACCCAUCCUUGCAAGAGGGUGUGGGAUGUUGGUCCCAACCCUCCUUCCCGAUUUGGAUACGUCAAAUUAUGAGAGGUCUUUUUUAACAAUAAAAUUAGGAGAUUUUUUUCUGAAAUAAUAAAAAUGUGAUAUUAAAUGAGUUGAUUCCUGGUACAUAGUACUAAUACUAGUUUAUUUUCUUUGGAUUUUAGACCAUAUGAAAGAAAGCAUUGCCACUAUAAUAUAAAUAAUAAUCACAUCAGAAAAUUCUGCCCCCCAAAAAAAGGCAUUAAAAGAAAGAUGACAAUCGAAGAUUAUAUCCCAAAAAAGGAAAAAAAAAAAGAGAGUAAAGAUACACUAUUACUGUCUCAGAAAGAACCAAUAAUGUCGACAUAGUGGCACCAACCUAAAAGCCACACGCAGUCGAAGGCCCCAAAAAACUUGCUUUUGGGCUGACCCAUCUCGUUUUCCACAAAUAUUUUCUUGACACAUUUCUUAAUUACUUCACAUGCAUCACGGUAUAUUUUUUUUCCUCAAAAAACUUACAAUCCAAACGGGUUAUCAUCUAAUAAGCAUUAAUUAAAGUUUAAAUGGAUUUAGGAGACAAAUAAUGAAGUAUAUUAUGAUUUGUCCAUCAAUAAUUCCGUUUCUUUCUUGUCAAAAAAAAAUAAAAAUGCAUUAGUAGAACUCAGAAAACAGAUCAACAAGGCGCAUUUCUCUUAUCCCACCAAGGGCAAGGGCUAGUUUACUUCGGGAAAUAUAAUAAUAUGACAUCAACUGCAUGUAGCAGUGCCGCAAAAGGGCAAACUUCACGAGGCACAGCGCAUCAGACUAAAUGGCUUUUAGGGAGCGGGGGUUAGACUGCUGAGACUUGUCUCGAACAGAAAGAAACGCUUCUUUUGUUAUUGCCUCCCAACAUUUUCUAUGCCUUCUUCUGAAGAAACAGCCCAAAAGUUCCACAUCAUCCGUGGGAAACCGUUCCUUAAGAGGAGGCCAAGGUUAUGUCAUUCACAACCCUACAAGCUUCCAAUGCAAUAAUCUUCCCAAACAAAACAUAUGAUAUGAUAAUACCCAACAACUAUCACUCCAAUAAUUUCGUUGAUCUCUGAUUGCAUCUGGGGUCUGGCAAACUUAGCAUAAGCAGAAGACAAGAAUACGUUGUCGUGCCAUGCUCCAUAGGCAAAGCCCUGGGAGUUUUGAGGGGAAACUUAAGACCUGAUCCCUUGCUCACAAGUCACAAUAACACAACACUGUGAGGAUCUUAUACCAUCAAUUUACUCGGUCACCGUGGAAUUUAGUACUCACCCUUUCGUAUAAAACCUACAUGAAGAUAUCAAUGAAUGUAUAGCAUAAAUUUUCCAUGAAACAAUAUAAUAUUUUGUUCCUCAUUCAUCAUCUCAGCCUCAAUCUAAUGAAACAUGUGUGUUAUACAUGACUAUAAAAUAUCACCUAUAAUGGGUGUAGACCCAAUCAACCAAACAAAAGCAAUCUUUUAGCAGACUAACAUAUAUAAUCUCUCCAACAAAUCGCAUUAAGUGGGAAAUUAUCAAAUGUAAAGCGCAGUUGUACACCAAAGGCCACAGAGACAACAUCUGCAAGCUCGUCUAGUCAGCCAUUUUGGUUAACCGAUGAAUGGUACUUCUUGCAACCCUAUUACCAGGAUCAAUUCUCAUAACACUUCUGAGGUCUUCAGCUCCAAGCUUGUACUUCUCCAUACUCUCGUACAAAAGAGCACGUUGCACCAAGAUGUUCACAUUUUUGUCAUCUUGUUCUAGCGCCUGCACAAUCCAAUGGCCAAAAAGUCUCUUACUUGGAGUGAACCGCAAAAACUCCUCAGCACGAUAUUAAAAGAUCAAACAAGAACCAGCAUAUUUAUUCACCAGCCCCAAUUAAUAUUCAAAAAAAAAAAAACGAAAAAGAACAAACAGAAAGAUGCAUCAGUGUCCCGUGGAUUUUCAUUACCUUCCUGCAGAUGCUCCCAGAAAACACCACCUACAUUUUUGUCAGCAUAAACCAGGGGAAGAAGGAAUAGUAUCUUAAAUUACAGGUUUUCUCUAAGUGGCUAUGCCAACUGCAUACUAUUUCCAUAAACUGCAAAUACAGAUCUCGUGAAGGGACAUCAACUUAUACAGGAAGCACAAAGUGUAGAAAGAAAGGUUCAACAAAACUUUGACCUGGUCUGAAGCCUAUACCUAAGUAGCUUGCUCGUACAUCCCCUCCCCCCGCCCCCAAAAAAACCAAAGAAAAAAAACCCCGAAAAUCCCCAACAAAAGGUAUCAUGCAUAGAUGUAAACAGAAUGGAUCCACGCGGCUAGUUAGGCAAGGUGAUCUCAAUAGCAACAAUAAUAAUUAAUAAAUACAAAGGAAAGGGGCCUUAAAUAGUUUCCAUUUCAAUAAUGUGAGACACAAGGGUGUUAUAAUAGCAGUAUCGUUUUCCAAAGGCUCUCAAUGCCCCGUUCAAGCCCUUGACCAACCUCUAAACUGUUCACUAAAAGGUCUUGACUGUAGUUUGAUCCAUGCUGAUCAAGUAUGAAACUUUAAAUUUAGUCAUGGAAAGACCGACUAAAACUUCCUAGAAAAAUACCUGACAAGUCUCUUUAUAAAACAGUUUUCAUACUGUAGCAACUUGGGACUAAAUAUACAAUUCUUGAUCCAAUUAACUAGUCCUCCAAUAUAUCGGGGAGCUAGUCUAUGAAAGAGGGAUGGUUCAACUCUAACUUGCACAAGUAGUUUCUUUAGCAGUUGAAGUGCCAUGCCAACAUUUAAGUAUGUCACAGAAACAAGAGCUGCUACCCCUAUACUCACAUAAAAUAAAAAUUCUUGAAGUUAUCUGCCAGAUAAAACGCAAAAUUCACCAGUUACUUGACGAAGUUCAGUGCUCAGACUAGCUAUAUUUUGGGAAGGUGCAAUUACAGGGCUAGUUAUUUUGGCACAGCAAUUCAACCUGGAAAAGCACCGAAAAUCAUGAAAAAAUGAUUUUGAAGAAAAAUAAUAUACCUUUGUGCAAUCAGCUACAGCUUUCUUAUAUUCACCAACUUCUUUGUAACAUGCAGCUCUGCAUGUCAAGACGUCCAUGAUGCCAGUAUCAUCUCCAGCUUUCUCCAAAAGAACGACGGUCCAAGACAACCAUUUUAUGGCGUCAGCAAACUGGCCCUGCUUGUAAUUGUCUAAUCCCUUAUUUUUCGCAGUUGAAGCACUAACACCAGCAGGUGGGGGUGGAAGUCCUUCAAGUUCGGUUGUCCCACCUGUGUCAUGGCCAUUGAAGUCCGAUUCGAAUCCCCAGUCAUCGCGCCCAGAAGAAUCCUGGCUUUUAAAUUCAGCACCGCUGCCUGGAGUUGUCGUAAACAAUGCAUCAAAACUAUCAACACCAGUGGACUGACCAGAUGGUCGACUAUGAGGCUGACUACUAGGGAACCCAAAAUCAUCAAUAUUCGAAAAAGAACCUCCUGCACCUGGCCCAGCAGUAUUAUGGUUCCCCGAAGGAAAACUACUUGGCUGACUCUGGGACGGAGUACUAAAGAACCCAAAAUCGUCAACAUUUGAAUAAGAACCUCCUGCACCUGAUCCUGUCGAGUUGCUUUUUCCUGAGGUAAAACUACCUGAAGGAUGUGCAACUCCACUUGUUUUUGAAGCACUCUGAAAACUUUGAAAUGCAUCAUCUCCAACUUUACUACUAGCACUUCCUUUACUCUCUGACUUCAUAUUACCACUCGGUUUAGACGAAAAAUCAACUAAGGAACCAAACGGGUCCUUAUUUGAACCCAUCCCACCCAAUCCUCCACCUCCAGCCAUACUCUUCACAGAAGGACCACCAAGAUUUGUUCCUUUACUAGCAUUCCCAUUCAAGUUAACAUUCCCUCUAUCACUGUUGUUACUGCUAAAUCCACUCGUAUAAGUCCCGAAAGUUUCACUAGACCCCCAAUUUCCGCUACUUUUUGUUGAAUUACCCGUUUUGGGCAAUGAAUCCGCCAUACCCCCCAUUGAAAAUGAGCUCUUAUUCGACGCCGGAGCUGCAUUUUUCAAAGGCACAUUACUAUUGCCCUUGUUCUGACCCAAUGCCGAGCCAAGCAAAUCACCAAACAAGUUGGGAUCUUUGUUAACAACUCCACUCCCAGAAUUCAAACUGCUAGCUGGGGCAGAUGAACCCCAACUCUUCCCAAAAAUAUCCCCCACCAUCGAAGUGGGACCCGAUAGAGAUCCUGUCCCAGCUGAUUGAGCCGGAGCAGCUGGUUGGUGGGUCCAUGAGGGUUUGUUAAUAGGCUGGUGAGUCCAGGACGGCGUCGUACUGGGCUUUGCCUGAGCCGAUGAAUAUGAACCAUAUGAAGAAGUCUGGUUCUUUUGAUCGUUAAGAGAUCGAGAACCCGACUUUCCAAGACCCAAAUCGAAGUCGAAACUAUUUAAGGAUCCCGAUUUGCUAUUGGAUUUUCCGUAGUUUGAAUUCAUUUUCCUCCUCUAGAUGUGAAUUAUGUUUAGGAAGUUUGGGCUAAUCAAAUUAAAGCCAGAUAAAAAAUCGAAAACUAAACGUAGAUGAUCCGAAAAUAUAGAUCAAACAACGAACUACUAAAAGAAAGAAAGAAAGAAGGGAUCUCGGAUGGGUUCAGUAUAUACCUGAUGGAGUUAAAAUUGGAAUUUGCAGAGAGGUUAAAGAAAAGCUUGGACCGCGUAAGGCUGAAAGGAGCUCAGAGCCACCGCUGGAGAGAAACCAAGUCGGGGGGAAUAAGAAAUGCGACGGGACCGCGAGUUGGAGCAGGAGCUGGCUAAUUAUUUGUCAUGUUUGAUCCGGUUUACCAAUUUAGCGACUGAGGCAAAUUUUUUAAAAUUUGCAAAUCCCCCCAAUGAGUUACUCCUGUAUGUUAUAGGAGUACAUCUACGCAACUUGAACAUAAAUGACAAUUUCCGUUAAUGUUUAGUAAAUAUCUGCAUGGAAUUAUUUUUGAGAUCUUGAACAAUUUAAAUAAUGAUUCCCAUUACACACGAAAGUCAUAAAGUGAUGUGUUUAAAGAUUAAAUCCAUCAAUUUAUUUGUAGGUUGACCAUGCUCAAGUUCCAUUUAUGUCAGAUGAAUCUUAAGAGUGUGUUUGAAUAACAAAUCAUUUGGGAUAAUUUUUUUUAAACUAUUGUAGCGCUUUUUCUUGUAAUGUAUGUAAGAUAAAAUGGUAAUUGAAAAAUGUGUUGAUGAUAGAAACAAAUAAAAUUUGAUGAAUAAUCACUAUCCAAACAAAUAAAAUUGUAGGGUUUUACCAUGAAAUGUUUUUCAAUAUUAGGCUUCUUUAUUGUUUCGUUAGGUGAUUGACUAAUUACUUUUUUUUUCUCUUUUUUUUUUUUGAAGCAAAAUAGGAGCACCUGAAAUACCCAUCAUUUACAAGAAAGAUGUAGGUACGCUUCUCAAAUUUAGAUGGAAUUUUAGAGCAGUCUGUUUAAGCUUUUAGGAAGAUUGAUAUAUUGACUAACUGCAGCGAAAUGAGGGUUCACUAUCAUUUUUCACAUGAAAUUGGCAAUUAAUCUCACCUCCAACUAAAUGAAAUACACUUCUUUUGUUGCUUUUACGUUGAUAUUAUCCUCUAUUACCAAAAUUAUACACUUCUUUUUUUGGUACAAACGAAAAUAUACACUUAUUUUGAGGUUUUUAAAAGCAUUGGCAUUGAAUAGCCAAGAUAUUUCUGAAUAGUCACAAAAAGAAUAGUCACAAAAAUUAUCCACUUCUUUUUCUGGUACAAACGAAAAUAUGCACUUAUUUUGAAGUUUUUAAAGCAUUGAAAUUGAACAAUGUAGCCAAGAUAUUACUGAAUAGUCACAAAAAGAAGACAACCGUAUUUCUAUCAGCUAGCACAUGUGCUGAAAGAUAAUUUUUCCCUAUCAACUUUUGCAACGAAAACAUCAAAGGGGAAAGCAAGCAAGGUAAGAAUAUCUUGCAAUUCGCACCGGCUUCACUUCGAGACACUCUUCUUCAAAUCCUUAAGGUGCAAGAUGAGCAGCAAGGCUUUUCAAUCCCCAAAUACACAUUUGUAGUCAGUACAAGGCAAGAAGAGGCAUUUUUUCCGUUUUGACUACAUAACUUAGAUGUUUGUUGUUCAUCACCAUCUAACUUCUCGAGAAACACAGCAACCGUCACCAUUUCCAGUUCUAUCUCUUAUUAAUCGGACAAGAAUUCAAGGUUCAAAAGGAACUUAUAGUUGCAGUUAAAGAAAAUGCCUCCUGAAGUUUCAGUUACUUCAAGGGCCAUUCUACUAAAUCAAGUAAAAUACCAAUUACAAAAGAUCCCAAUGGAUAUUCACACGAGUUCUGACAUGCCAGGUAACAUGCAGUCUUUCCUAACCAGCUAACUUGACAAUACAUGACGGGCCAAAUUACUAUCCAUCCCUCAAGCUUAACUAAAUUCAGAGGAGUCUCAUAUUUCAACAACUAUGAUUUUCAGGCAUUUUUCCCCUGAAACCCUCCCUGGUUUGGUUGAUAACCACCCUCACCACCCUGAGGUACAUUCUGGCCAUUCAUUGGUGUUGGCUGCUGCGGCGCUGCUUGCUGAUUUGGAGACCAGGUCUCUCUUCGAAUAGGCUCUCUCCUUUCAACCUGCAUUGUCUCGCGUCGUCUAUCAUACCGUGGACGAGGCCUGUUCCUGGUUUGUUGCCUCUCAUUGAAUCUAUAUUGUGGCCGAGGAAUAACCUUUCCAUCAACAAAAAGAUCCCCUAUAACAAAUCCAAAAACAGCACCAAGAAAUGUUUGAUUACCAUGAAAAAGUAAUAGAGGAAAUGUAAGGACAUAAAACAUUUAAAUUUCCACUCUGCUAACCUCCAUAGUCCUUGUUGGGAACAUCAAGAUAGGAAUCAGGCAAAACCCACAGAACAUCUGGUAAACCUAUUUCAAGACACGCAACGUGGAAUUAGUCCAAAAAAACCUCAAAAGUAAUCUAGAACAAGCUAUUUUUUGUCCAAUCUCAAAUUAAUUACUUUAGCAAAAAUAAAUCAAAAGUUUGAUUAAGCCAGGAACAUUAGCAAAUAACAUGUUCAGAUAGUCAGGAGAUAUAAACAAAAAAUAACUGUUCCGGCCAACAGUUUCCAAAGAAUGUAGAACAUUGAACACAAUUCCCAUAAGUGUACAUUCAAUUGAAUAUCUCAAACAAUGACUCUACAAUUACGACUGUAAACAAAUGAUAAGCAUAUACUAGACCUUUUAAAACCCAUCAAGAUCCUGAUACUGCAGGAAUAGGUUGGAAAAAUAGAAUACAUAUCACAAUGUGACAUCCCUUGCUUCUUCAAUUUUCUUCUGUACAGAAGUUGCCAUAUGAUUGUUUUGAAUUUUAUUGCUACAGAAGAUGAUGUUUUUCCUUCACCUAAUUCAGACUAUUAGAACAAAGCAAACUCUGAUCCUCCAAAAGGGGAAAGAUCAAGAACAAAGUAAACUUCACCCAAACCCGAAAAAAUAAACACAAAAAGACAUAGCAAGUCAUAAAAUAACUAUGACACUUUAUUGAUAUCAAAAUCUCUCCAAUUACCAUGGGGCAUUGAUUACCUUUAACUUUGUAUGAGAGCUCCUCAGAUAUCAAAGCACCAAAUCCAGUGUAUGUUGUUGUGCAAACAGAGUAAAUUUUCUUCUUUGCCUCCUCUUCACUGCAUAAUAAACAAACAAGACCCGACACAAUCUCAGAUUAACAACUGUAUGUUGAACCUUUAGAUAAACUAUGGCUAUUAAGCAACUAGGGGAAACAUUUCCAAAACCAAUGGCCCAAACCUAGUGCCAAGCAGCACACAGUUACGUACAUGAAGUUCUCACAAACAACUUAUUGACACUGAUGAUUAGUUCCAUUUACUAUAUUUUCAGGCAGAUAACAUUACAGUAUGCUGAAAUGCCAAUUCAUCAAAAUGCCAUCUAACCAUCCUAUACCGAAAAACAUGCAUUCAAUCUGAAAAUUGUACAUGCACUAGUAGAUGUCGAUGACAGAGUGGAAAAGUAUAGCAACAUUCAUACUGGAAACAGGUAAAACUAAAUGCCAGAAACGUAUGAUAAGAAACUGCAUUGAGUACAUGAAUUCCUCUUUUUUGCCACACUUUCCAGUACAAAAAACAUGCAGAGGAAACUUAAGUAAACAGGUUAAAGAAUCAUACUUUAUACAAAGAUUUUCCAACAAUAUCAAUGCCAUGCAAUCAUAAAUAUUUCCUAGUUUGGGUUUUGCAUCUCAAGGAUAAUCCCUUGAGCAAAGCACACAUAAUGUUUGUUUAAAAAAAUUACAAGCUGAAUUAAAAGAUCCCCUUUUUUCUUUUUUUUUGGUUCUGCCUUUCUCUUGUCAGCGAUUUAUCAUCAAGCAAUUAGUUAAAAACACAUAAACUAACAACAAGUACAUCAAUUAAGUUCAAGGGCAUUAUGCCUUAAAAAAUCUUGGAAUUUCGUCAUAAGCUAAACUAUUUUUUUUUUUCAUUUUUCUUUCCAAAAAAUUAAUUACUACGCCACGGUUCAAAUCUAGUAAAACAUAAAUAAUUGGAUAAAAACGAUAAUCAUGUCAAGAAUCUAAGCAACAUGUGGUUACACACCGAGAAAAAGUAAUUGUACCUUCCAACAACAGAGGCUAGGGUUUUAACAUAAGUGUUAACCAUUUCUUCAUCCGAGGGUUUGGGGUCAUUUGGGAACUCCAUAACGAUAAGCCAGUGUUCAUAGUCGCAACCGUCGAGGAGUAUCGUCUCCUUCGGCGGUCGGUUGCUCCAGUUGGGUGACGGGUCAUUUAGGGGAGAGUAGCCCGACCCAGAUGUUCUGUUCCGGGUUAGGAUGUUAUACGGGAUCGGGGCCGCCUCUGGGGUUUCGUUAUGGAGAUUGAGGAGAGGGACAGUGAGGCGGGCACGAGAAGGAGAUGAUACGGUGCGGCUGAAAAGGGUGGCUAAUGUGCGCCGGGCGGCGAAUAGCGCCAUGGGUGCUGCUGCUUCUGGCUACAGAGCAUUGACGAGAUGGUUGGGCUGUUUUAUUCAUCUACUCAUGGGAGAAAUUGCACUUUGGCCCUUCAUGUUUGGAUUUGUUCUUUUUCUGCUAUUUUCUUUACUCAUUCUUGAUACUACUUCAAGAAUUGAAUUUAAACAAGUCGAACGCUUUCGUGUAUAAUCAAUAAUUAAUUUCUUACUUAGCUUGACAAUCAAUGAUUAGUUCUUUUAUUUUGUUUUGAUGAGGGAGGUAAAUGAGUUGUAUAUACUGAACACUAACCAAUCGUUUAUAAGCACAGUUUCACUGAGUAAGUUUGACUUAAAAAUAUUGGGGAGUUUGGAUAAAGAAUACAAGGCCUUGUUUGGAUUGCUGUUUUUCAUCGAAAAAUUACGUCGUUUUUCGUAAUCACAUUUCCCUGUUACCUUUUUCCUUCACAUACAUCAAAUCGCUACAGUAAUUUUUUCAUGAAAAAUCAUGAAAAAUGCAAUCCAAACACAAAUCCAUUAAUGUGCAGUAGAUAGCAAAUUCAGCUCAAUCUCAAAAUUAAUCCAAGUUUAUUUGGACCAAUCCAUUAAACCAUGUUGGUUUUAAUUUGCCUAUUCUUUGUCCACAUAAUUUGCAUGGAAAUGAGGGACAUAAUUUUUUCCUUCUUUUUUGGUCUCUCUAUAUAUGUAAUUUGUCAACAAUGAGAGGCAACAGAUCGAAAAGGGUAUUUUGAGCGAAUGUACAAAUUUAAAUGAGGGGCAGCAUGCUGUUUCCGGGCAGCGAUUGCAUCUAAAAUUAGGGUCUGUUUGGAUUGGACUUUAUAUUUGGAAUAAUUAUUAUAGCACGUUUUGUGACGUAAAUAUAAUAUAUGUGAGAUAAAAAAGAUGAUUGGGAAAAUAAAAGUGUAUGGUGAAAAAUGUGUUUGUGAUACCAAACAAAUAAUGUUUGUGCAAAUGAUGCCUAUUUCCCUGUCCUAACAAGAAUGCUUUCUCUAUUUCCGUCCUUGCAAGAUCUUCAGUUUUGUGCAUGCAGUAGCACUUGCAACAUUCUCCCCGUUCGAUCUCCAUAUCCUAUUCGCCUCUGCAUAUAUAUAUUGACAGCCCCUCCCAUCCCCAAAAAAAAACAAGAUUCAGCUUCUAGAAAGCAGAAAUACUUCUUUCCCUACACAUCUGUUUGUUCUUUUUUUACUGGAAAUGUAUCUAUAAUAAACAAGGAGUAGGGGUUUGUACACCGCUAGAGAUAACUUGCGCAUUAGCACAAAUGGAGGAAAGCCUAGCGCUCCCCAUGUUCCUGAGAUUGAUGUUGGUAAAAUACAUAUUUUGGCAAGGAACCGAUGGGCUGCACUUUAGACUGAUAGCAGAUUCUGUGCUUGUGGUUCCCCUUAUGUUUUCAUAGACAACAUCGGUGAUUCUUACUUGAGAUGGCUGCAUAAGAUUAAACAAUCAAAAUCAGAAUUGGGAUUUCUUUCUUCUUCGCAAGGGAGAUUAAUCACUUCAUAUUGGCUUUCAUUGAUUGAGGUCUGUAGCUUAAUUUGUUUACACAGCUGGAGAGAGAGAGAGAGAGAGAGAGAGGUUAACCGAUCGACCUGGGUGGAGGAUCCGCCAUAGUUUUGGUCUAUGAUGAUGGGGUUCAACACAUUUUCCAUGACAAUAUCGCUGAAACGCAUCCCUGCAGCAACACUUGGACCUGAUCCUGCGUAUGUUUUAAUUCUGAUACCAUUUGUAGUGCCUUGCAGUGUGCAAUUUUUCACAAUCAGCCCUCUCACAUCCAAUUCAUUUGGAUACUUGCCCAGGCUACCUAUGCUGUUUCAUGAACAAUAAUAAUUACUAUUAACCCGAAAAAGGAAAAAAAAAAAGUUAUUAACCAAGAAUGCAAUCACCAAAAUGAGCUAGCUAGAUUUUGAUUCGCACGACGAACCAAUCAUCAUUAAGCAAACAACUUUACUUUCGUGUAAGCCAAAAAAGCACCUGAUGCCAUGUCCAGGGCCGCAGGUGACUUUGUUAAUGGUGACAUUAGUGGCUCCCGGUCCAAUAGAGACACAAUCGUCGCCUGUUCUGAUUACACUUCUGGCUAUCUUCACAGUGUUAGAUUUGCUUACGUGCAUGCCGUCGGUGUUGGGACUAUCUGGAGGCGCAGUAAUGGUGAGGCUAUGUGCUCUAAAUAGGUAGCUGUUUGUAACGUGCAUGUGAAAUCCCAUGGCGUUUACCAAGCUGAUACCCUUGAUUUUUGCAUUCUUCACACCAUUAAAGUGGAAAGACUGCACAAAUUCAUCAAAAAAAGAGCUGGAUUAUGUGACAAUUUUUGGACGAAGAAUUGCAACCUCGCAAGACUCAGUUUAUUUAGGUGCUUACGGCUGGUAAAUGCACGCAAUCACCAUUAUUUUUGCAGUCAUUGUAUUGCCAUACAUUCUGGCCGCGGCCAUCAAUGGUACCUCCGCCAGUAAUUACCAAGCCGCUUAUCGUGUCGAAAGAAAUCCAGCCUUGACCGGAGUAUGCAGAAACAUCAGACACGGCUUGUAAGGUUCCGGCAACCUGGAAAACGAUGGGACUUUGGCUGCUGCACGGCCCCUCAAAUGUGACCUCUCCGAGCGUGAAAAUCCCUGGAGGUACAAACAAACUUGCCCUUGGUCCAACGAAUUUACAUGCAGCAUUCCAUGCCCUCAUGAAAGCCUGCUGGGACGCAAUUAUGGAAAAUUAUUCAUCUAUUUAUUUUGUUUUGUUUUUUUUUCUAUUCUAGCAAUCUGUAAAAGGACAAAUCAUAAUCCAAUAUUCACCUGGGCACUAUCUGUAUUGCCGGGCUUUGCACCAAAGCUGACCACAUUAAAGAUGGCAGGAGGGGCGGGCCGCGGAAUGCCGCCAGCUGCAUUGCAAGAAGCCAGAGACGAACAUAAAACAAGGACCGUAGCAAUUGUGCUGCUGCUUCUUCUAUCCAUGGCCAUUUUACCUCCCGCAGCAACCCUCAAAAUUAAAACCGGUCUCCUCCUCCAAUUGUCUCUAUAAAUUGCUUGUUUGCUCCCACCCCAGGGAUUUUAGAUGUUGAAAGGGCAAGAGCUCUAUCUCUCUCCGAUAUCUUUGUGUUUGGUUCUUUUUAUAAUUCAAAAGCAAUCAUUGUUCACACUCCAUAGUUAUCGGCAAUGCCUGUAUAUUGGCUGUUCGGACGCUGCGGACGACCUUAAGUUUACGUUUUGUUCUUGUUCUUGUUUCGGCUUGUCCCCGAAAUUGAGGGCUGUUAUUUAGUCACCCUUUUAAGUUCCUUCAAACAUAGCACUAAUUUAUUAGCCGCCGGGCCAUCCACCUCUCUCUUUCUCUCUCACGCCCGCAAACUUUGGUAAUUGACCUCUCGCCUCUCAUUUUCAUCGAGUCCACCCAUAACUGACAUUAACGCUCGCCAGUUUUAACUUCCUGAGAACCUUAUUAAUUGUACAUGUCUCAAGCCACACGGUGGACUGUCACCAAGUAAUGAUCAUGGUACUAAGUCAUAUGUUGACUACUGUCACAUGAUGCACAGAGAUUAUGAAAUUCCCUCUCUGCGGUUGCCCUACCCAGCUAAUUAACCUCGGAUUAACAAACCAAAUGCAAAGGGCAUGUAUGAUUAAUUUUCAUGAUUAGUAUGGCUAUUAAAGCUUGCUCUUCUUUUUUUUUUUUUUGAUAAGAAAGCUUGCUCUUCGUUGAUCUUGUAGACAUAAAAAUGGGAAGUGUUUUGGAUACGUCACUCAUCAAUAUAUACUUUUUUUUUUAUAAAAAGGAACUUGGGUGGAAAUAUAUAAUCAUGGGAUUGGGACCGGUAUGAUUAACAUGGUACAAGUGAUAGAGUUGUCGUAUUUUUUUUUUAUUUUUUUAAUCAUCUGGAAUAUACUUACGGACAUAGUGUACUCAUACUUCGAAUUAGUGUAUUAUCAACAAAAUUUAUUCGCACAACAGAAUAAUGUAAGGAUAAACCAUAUCUAAUAAAAAGGGGAUAAUUUCAGAAAUCUCCCUGAGGUUUCUGAUACUUUCAUUGAUCUCUCCUGAGGUUUUAAAAAUUACACUAACCUCUUUUGUUGGAAAUUUGGACCCAUUACUUAUAUAAGAUAUAGUGAACGUACUACUUUGCCCUAACACAUUAUGCAUUAUUACAAAUAGAUAUUUGACAAAAAAAAGGUUAGGGCACUGAAUAAUAAGAUUAACUAAUUAAACCAAAAAAAUGAUUAUUUCAUCUCAAAUUAGCAGCCAUAAUUACAAUAAAAAAAUGACACCAAUUGCUAUCCUAAGAUGGCGCUAUUUUUGUGAUUAAUAUCACUUAACAAUGGUCAGGACAGACAACCUUAUAUAAUUUGCACAGAUAGAUUUUAUGAGCAAGAGAAAUAGAACAAUUUUCUGAUUGACUUCUUUUGUCAAAUCUUGUGUUCAGACAAAACUAUUCAUGCCUUUUGUUGUUGAUUUGUUGACUAAGACUUGUAUGUUUUUUGCACCAAUGCUUUUCCUUUCACCUCGUCAACUAAAAUAAAAAGAUUAAUUUUUUACCCAAAUUAAGAUGCUUCUACUACUAAUUUAAUAGCAUUAUAGAGUUAGUUGUGUCUUUUAUGUGCAGUUGCAAAUGACAAAAAAACAAUUUGUGCUAGCUAUGUGCAGAGACCAUUGUUGCUUCAGGUUAUAGUUGCUACAUCUUUUCAAAUUUUACGUAUGUCCCUUGACUUUUCAAAUUUUACCGAUACAACUUGAGGACAAUUAGAAAAGGGUAUAUAUGAAAAAAAAUUAUCAUCUCACUCUUCAAAAUACUUUUUUAAUAGUACUUUUUUGAAUUGGACUGAUUAGGUACCAAAACUUUAAGUUAAAGAGAGAUUAGUGUUUUUUUUUAAAAAAAAACUUCAAGGAAGGUCAGGUUUUUAUCUGUUUUAAACAUCGGAUUUCCUUUAUUUUGCUGGAUCCGAUUUAUGAACUUUCCUCACAUUCCAAACUUUUAUCCAUGUGGGCCAGUUCCAAAGUCCUGGAAUUUAGAUGUCUGUAUCCACCACCACACCCCACCGCCGCCCAAAAAGAUAUAAAGAAAAAAACAUAGAUGAAAAGAAAAUCUUUGUGAGAUACACACACACUUGCAUAUCCAUGUUACUAGUUCUAUAAGCUUAGUAUUAAUGCAGAUUAGAGUUAGUCCUAGAAAAAAUAGAGAGCUCUCUUAGAGUACUAAAACUAGAAGUCCAUUAAAACUAGCAGUAGAUUUGAGAGAUCACAGCCAGACACCACGCUGAUACGUACGUACUAUUUCAUGCAAGACCUAAUAUACUACUAGAAGACGAGCAUAACACGUAUAGAACUAGUAACAUCUUCUGAUGCUUCACGCCGGCGGCUAGCUAGCUAGCGGAGUACCAUAACUAACUCGUCUGAUUUUCCCAAGUGGUGCAGAAGAAAACCUCAGGAUUAAUCAGCCACGGAGAACACCAAAGAGUGAUUUUCGCUUACCAGCAUCCUUAAUCAACACCCCUCCAUAUUUUCUUGCAGCUUGGUUACAGUCAAUGGCUUCAUUUUCUUUCGUAGGAAUAUCAAUGUUAUUACUCACCAAUGGCAAGUUGGACCUUCGAUUUGACCAAAAUGGUUGCUGAAUUCGAUUUGCUUGAGGCUGUUGACGCUCCGGACGAGGCGGCGGCGGCGGCGGCCUGGUGGUUGGACCACAGUACUCUUCCCGUUCCAACGUCGCAAAGCCUUCCAUGCCAAUCUCCACAAGACUUGCUGCUCUAUUCCUACGUCCCAUUACAACCAAAGACUACUAUUUGGAUGCUAAUCGAAUACUAGUAAUUAUAUAUACUGGUCGGAUGAGCAAAGAGUUCGGUUGCUUUUGCUUGGUGCAAAAACUAAUGGAUUCAUACCUCUUAUAUAUAGAGGACCAAAAAGUAUCACUCGCAUCCUGCAUGCCAAUGGUAGCCUAGCUAUAUACUUUACUUCCUAUCUAGUUUUAGCUUCAUUAUUGGCAAUUAAUAUGCAAUGUUCAAAAAUCAAGUUGGGCUGGGUGUGGUUAACCAUUCAUGGCUUUUGAGCGAUAUUGAGUCAAAGAUUCUUUCUUUUUAGGUUUUUAUGCAAUAUGUACUAAAAUAUUCUUUCUUUCGUGGCUCUUUAGGCUUUACAAUAUUGAGUAAAAAAAAAAAACAAUUCUUUCUUUGGUGGCUCUUUAGGUUUUCGCGGAGGCAGUGAAUAAUUUAUUAGUGGAGAAAGCUCCAAAGAGAAAAAUUAUUCGGAUAGACAUUAAUAAAAUGAACAAUUCGAGUUUGAUUGUUCAUUGAAAUAGCUAGUUAACAAUUGCGGUAGUAGCUUUCAAUGUUAUCUACCAAACAAUAAACAUACCACAAAUUUUUUUUUUUCAUUAAUUCUACUUUUGUUUUGUCGUUGCUCUCUGCAGUUUUUUCUCUAAGUUUUUUUUUUUUUAAAUUUUUUUAAUAGGAGAAGGGUUAGGUUUAAAAAGCGCGCGGCUAUGAUUUCGAUCAAUCUUAGCCAGUAAAUUGAGAUCUCUUUAACUAUUUUUUUUAAUGUAUAUAAACACUAAUUCGAGCUUUUUCUGUUAGUCAAUAAUUACAGGGUGGAUGAGGUCAUUGAAUUACGUAACGCUGAAUGACGUCUAAAUGGUAAUUUUCCGUGUUCUAGAGUUAACGGUAAAAGUUGCCAAAUAGAUUCAGCAUUGUAUCUGCAAUUCUUUUUUUGAAGCUUGUUGAGCAGGACGAAUCUAUAGAAGAAAUUACUACCGACAUCUUUAUUCCUUUAGCAUUAUCUUCAUCUUAAGUAAAUUUUCGGUGAUCUGAAUUUUGAGCUUCCUAUAUCUCCUAUCCAAGUCGACCGACCAAGUAAAAGAGUUGCUGGAAUUUCCACAUGCAGAUCCACCACCACCACCACCACCGAGUACGGAUGAGAUAAUGUUUGAUCACUGAUCGCCCAAGAAUUUAGAAGAUUCCUUAGUACUACGCUUAAGUUGUGUAGAUUCUACGUGUUGAGAGUCAUAGUCCAUUCUUCUGGGGUUUUUGGCAAUCAUAUGAAAUCACGUUGGUUUCAAUCUACAAGUGAUGACGCAAAAUACUAGCUAGAACUAGUUUGUCGACUCAGCAUCUGGUUCAAAACAUCUAGCAUCUAUAGCCCUUAAAUGAUCCAGCAUCGAAUUACAACAAGUUAAUGGAAUUUGAAAUAUUUCAACAACCCUUAAAGGAUCGUUCAAUUGUCAGUAAUAUAUAAUUUAUUGGCCUGGAUGAUUGGUAGAAGUACGUACGGCAAUGUUCGAUAACGAAGAAAAUCUAGCUUGUGGGAUAAAUUAAUGUGUGAAUUGGAGGAUAUGGAUUCAAUUUUUUGUGGGAUAAGUACUAAACUAAUGAUUUUUUCCGCUUCAUGAAAUCUGAGUCGACCAACCUUUUAGAUUAAUUAUUGCAAUUACAUAUCUAAAUAAAUUGUCACCCGCGCGAAUCAGAUUCUGGUGCCUUGCUUAUUGUGCGUACGAGGACGUCAAAAGUUUAUCAAAGAGGCAUCCAUUAACCAAGCCAGAAUAUAAAGUAUAGUAUUAUACUAAGCUUUAAGGUUCGCCAAUAAUGCAGUAAUUAAACAACAUGCACUAAUCAUUUGUUCUUAGACUAAAAUAUGGGAUUUUUCACACAACUUUUUCUUUUCUAGAUGCGAUUGCGGCUAAGAAAGUCAUUCUUAAUUGAUGGAUGAGAAGAUCGCACCGCAUGCCCCAAUAAUCUCGGAAGUAUAAAUUAUAUGCGUACUUGCUAUUUUCAGAUUAAAAUUAUCUGGGGGAAUGAUCUUGUGCAUAUGGAAGGCAAAUAAAUUACAGUGGCAUCAAGCCAUCAACUAACUCCAGAGCAUGUUUCAGUACUGGAAUCAGGGGCCAUUCCGAACGGAAACCAGAUUGGGUUUUUCUGGUUUAAUAACAGCGUGAAUUCACUCUGGUAAGGGUUAUAAUUGAAGGUCAAGAAGUGUAACUUUCAUGCACAAAGGGAAUAUCCAACGUCUUCAGCCGGAGAUGCCACCUUGUCGCAGGAAUUUAAGCUACGAGAUGCAAACUUAUCUGAUCGCCAUUCAUGAAGGCACCCAUGAUCAUGAAUCAUGAUCAGCUCAGCACUUCCGCGCACGUAAAAGAGUUUUCUCUUGGGACAAAUCUUCAAUUUAAUAUUGAGAAACAGAUUGAUGCGAAUCCAAGCCUUACCGUCCUGGCUAAGUAUGCAGAGAAAAUUACAAUCUGUUGAUUCAUCGACAUCCAAUGGUAUGUUUAGUAUGGUAUAUUCAAAGGGAAAAAAGCAAAGAGAUAAGAGAAUAAAAUGGAUUUGCUUUAUUCGUCGUCUUUGGAUUACCUUUGAACAAGAAAAUUGGGGAGAUCGAGACAACAGAAAAUUAAGGUGUAAUUUAAUUAACUGUCCAUAGCCUUAAAGCUUAGAUAAGUUUCAUGUCCAUCAUAUCAAAGUGGAAGAAAACGCAUUGGCUACAAAGGGCAUUUGAAUGAGAUUUAACGGGUGACUUUCCAAUGAAAAAGCUCAAGCUGAAUGAAAACUCGAUUUGUUGGAUAGCUAAUUUAACACCAAAAAAAACUAACCUAGCUCAACAUAUAUACUUGAUAACAGUUACUAUUUUUUAGACUUCUUAAAAACCAAUUCAAACUUAAAACAGCCUAAGUUGGACUAUUAUUAUUAGCUUGUCUACAAUCCAGAGGGAUGAGAGACUGCUUUCAUCCAUAAUUCAGCUCAGAUUUGUUCAAAGCUCGUAAAAAAUCUUAGAAGGGACAAACUACACAAUUUUAGGGUUUUAACAACCCAAAAAAAAAAAACAGACUGAAAAUUUUCUUUUCUUGGACAACAUUUCAGCAAGACCAAAAAUGUUCAGCAAGACAAAAAAUGUUUUGAUGCUAAUAAUGGGCAAAUAAGUCUUGAGCACGUACAGCUAAUUAAUCAUUUUUAACUCUAAUGGUGAUUAUCUGAAAAUAUACCAUUCAGUUUGAGUAUAGUACAAACAAUGUUGACCCAAAGCGCUUUUGCUCCCUCGCUCUCAUUCGGGAUCCAUAACACGUCUAAAUCACAUACCAAAGAAAUAGGAAUUUGUUGAACCACAUCCACGAAUUUGAUGACGCUAUUUAGCAGGAAGUUAUUGAGCCAAGCAAAAUUAAUUAAGCUCGCAUACGCAUGAAGUUGUCGAUAAAUGUGAAACUUAUCAUCAAACAUUCUGAAAAAAGAACGUGCUACCCAGCCAGGAUGAACUUACAAUGCGUCUAAAUCUAAUUUCCAUAAAUUAAGUAGAUGAAUAAAUAGAGUCGCAGUAUCUGAAUGUAAUCACGAAAUUUAUCCUCGUUGGACCUUUUUUUUCCCUUUUUGAGGUGGUCGGGCUGGGAAGGUGGCGGAAGGGAGGGAACGAAAGAGAUUCAAAAUUAUAUCAAUAGCCUGCAUAUAUUACAGAUGCAGUACUUGUUACAAGUAGUUUUUAGUACUAUGUAUGGGUUGUUAUACAUACACUUGCCCGAGUACCUUUAAUAUUACAUCUUGCAAGCCUGGCAUAUUAUCAAUAUUAACCAGGAGGUACAAAGUACUGCCUUAAAACGAGCACUUUUAACAUAAGUUCAUACAAGAAGUAGCAUACGAUCAAGAUUCAAGAGUGUCAUCCUUAGGAUAAGUGGAUAACAGAUUAAUUAUAACGCAUAUGAAAAGGUGGCCCCUGAUAAUCCAUCACCGGCAUGUAUUCGACAGACUUUGCAUAUGCCUCGUAUUGAUAGCCGCUCACAACAGUUGCUUCUGUUGCAAAGGUCUUGUUUACUCGCACAGUAUUGGAUUCCUGGAGCCGAUAAACAAGGUAUGAUUCUUGAGGUUGAGUCGCUUCUGCUGCAAAGGCCUUGUUUACUCGAACAGUAGUGGAUUCCUGGGGUUGAUGAACAAGGUAUGAUUCUUGAGGUUGGUAACGCUGGUAGCAAAUUUGAUGAGGAUGAUUUGCAUGGAAAGUGGUGGCUGCGUUGGCAGCUGCAGGAGCCCUUUGUGGUGGUGGAAGGACUUGACGACUCGGCCUGCGUCUCCGGCCGGAAUAUUCAUCAAUUAUAGCAAAGCCCUCUUCGCCAAUCUUAACAAGGUCUGGCUUGGAUGCCAUUGAAUCUCAAAGGCUACACUGAAGAGAAUAGUAUUACUUAGCAAAAAAUAGUUGUGUGUUUGGUUACUGAUGCAGAGGUAGAUAGGCAGAGGCCUUUAUAUAGAGGCUUUUUUUUUUUUUUUUUAAUAGAUAGCAAGGGUCCCAAAGUGGGGGAAAAAGUCGAACCAUAUGAACAUGGCUGCUUCAUGGAAACGAGACAACUUCCCGUGCUAAGUUACAAACAUUUUUAUCACUUCUAACGUUUAUGCCCCCACAUUUUUAUCACUUUUGCUGCAGUGUCUCUCGUUUUUUCAAAUUUUUAAAAUUGUUUCUACAUCCUUUUUUUUUUUUUUUUGCAUUAACUAACUAUGAUUAAUUAUGAUAACUAAUUAUAACGAGCUAUAUUGAAAAGACCACAGCUCGACAUAUAUAAAAUCCAUAAUCUUGCAUCUAAAAUAAAAUAAAUAAAACUAAAAUUUUUUGUCCCAAAAAACAACUUAGGCCCCGUUUGGAUUGCAUUUUCCAUCAUUUUUCAUGAAAAAAUUACUGUAACGAUUUGAUGUAUGUGAGGGAAAAAGAUAAUAGAAAAAUGUGUUUACGAAAAACGACGUAAUUUUUCGACGAAAAACAGUUGUUUGGAUAGGGUAUUAUUUGAAAUAUUAUUUGGAAUAAUUACUGUAGCACUUUUGUGAUGUGAUGUAUGUGAGAUAAAAAGGUGGUUGGGAAUAUAAAAAGGUAGGUUGGGAAAUGUGUUUGUGAUGCAAGCAAAAUAUUAUUUGAAAUAAUUGAGGUAUCCAAACACUAAUCCAAACAAGGCCUUAAUUUUCAUGAGUUACUUUCUACAAACAAAACUUUUAUCAUCAGUUUUACCAUUUUGUUACAUCACCCACACAUUGGGUAUCAUUAGCAACAUUUUCUAGCCAUCACCUUAGUUCGAUUUUGGCAGAUUUAAUGAAAUGGUGAUGUUUUAUCCUCCCCAAAAAAAAAAAAAAAAAAAAAAACCCAUCACCUUGUUUCGAUUUUGGCACCACAGCCUCAUAGUGAGUGGGAAGAAAAAUCUGAGAAAAUUCCAACUUCCCAAUAUGUGGCGAUUCCGGGAGACAAAGGCAUAAAGCUAAUGUGAAAGGGGGAGGCACCUGGUGAUUUAAUUCCGGAGGGUCAUAUUAUUCCGUUUGAUCGGCAAGGGAAAGUGAUUUUAUACGGUCGUGGUCUUGGCGGUGGACUUGGUGGUCUGAGUCUUCCCUCUUUCGGUGGAAUAGAACAUGACAAGUGUCUAAUGGAUUGGAUGCCUUGUGCUUCGGUUGAAGACUGGACGACUUCAAUUUUUAGUCCACUAUUUGUGUUAAUCUUUCAUCUAUGUGCAGAUUAUAAACUAAUUUUGAAAAAUGAUUAUAGACGAAACCAGAAUAAUUUGGAGCGACUCGUGAGUGUAUUCUAGAUUUUAACUUUUUAAUUAUUCAAAAUUAUUAAAAGAAAGAAAGGAAAAUAAAUAAUCAGAUGAAUAGAGCUCCUAGUUAAGCCUGGUUGUUUGCUUGACAGCCACAAUUACUAGCAAGCAGAAUUAUUCCUCUGACUGAAACAAACAUAACAACUGAUCUUUUAUUGAUAAAACGAAAAUUCGGUCAAGGAAGAGAUAAUUCCUUUUUGCUUUUCUUUGGUUCUUUUCAUCCGACUAGGAUAGACCAAUCCAAAGUUCAGUCAAUUAACCUAUUUAAUUAGAAGCAUAAACUUACUUACAGAAUCACAAAAGAAAAAAGAUUAAAAAAGGAAGAAAGUCUGCAAUUUGUUUCUGCUUUGUUAGGAUUGUGAUUUUUUGUAGAAAAAUAUUUACAUUUUCCAUGAACAUAUUUUUACCUCACUCACAAGCAUUAAAUCGCUACGAUAUAUAUUUCAAUCAAAUUAAACUCCUAAAAAUCACAACAGUACAUCAAAUUUUUAACUGGAAAAUGUAACCAUACUCAAAAGUUUACCAAGCUAGUGCUGUAUGCAACAAAAGUAUUACGGUGAGUCGUUUUGAUCAGAAGAAAGACACCAGAUCUCUCUGCUUCUAUGAGUUGUUUUGAUCAGUUAGGUUUUGAAUCUAUUCUUCUCCCAUGUUAUAUGAUUCUUUAUGUUUAAGCAUUUCGUUUUCAUUGGUUUGGAUAGACAAAAAUCUGAUCAAGUGGUGAAAUUAAAUCAAAUGACGAGGAAAGUGCAAGCUAAAUUACGAGAAUAGUGUAUACUCUUCACCACGUACCGUGCUAGAACCAGCUCGAGCCCGCUUGGCCUUUCUGUAAAACCACUUUCUACAAUCAAAAGGUUACAACUUCAUAUGAAUUGUGAUUGAUACAAUGGUAUUUAGUUUUAUGUUGUACUUCUUUUUUCAUAAAUUGUGUUUGCUAUAGAGGUUUUCACGCAUUUUGCUGCUUUUUUUUUUUUUUUUUUUUCUUGAUACGCAUGCAUUUAGUUAGAAGAAACCACUUCAAGUUUCGGCAUAAAUUGUAAUGUCUAGAAUGAAAAUGUAAUGCAUCACAGGUUGAAAUAUUCUGUCAUGCAGCAAAUACAAAAAAAAAAAAAAAAAAAAAACCCCUUCCUACGAUAAUGAAAAACACUUGCAAAUUUGUAGAAAACGAUCAUUGAUGACUGUUACGAUAACUAUUAGCAGAUUAAAUAAGCGAAUUCAUCAAUGCAAAAAAAAAAAAAAAGAGGAAAAGACAAUUUCUUUCAAGCACUGGUCUAUGUAUGUAUUACUUGCAACUUUCAGAGUUCCAGCUCGAGAAGUUCGGAAGCAUAAUAGACCGUUAAAAAGAAAAAGAAAAAAAAAAGAAAUCAGCGAUGAAGAUGCAAGUAUAUUAAAAAGAGCAUUCUAAUAUUGCUUCAAAGCUCGACUUCUACAUAUUUCUUCUGCAAGCCUGGAAACUAUAAAAGACUAGCAGCCAUACAAGCUGUAAUUAUGUGCUUGCUUGCUAGUUGUUAAUUGCUACUACUGCUACAACACAGGAGAAACUUUCUGCAGUACUCUGCACUCUGCAGUGAUGUAUCCACAUAUUACAUCUACAAUAGGCCUGCACACAUAAUGGAACUUAGUAAGCCAUAGCUUCUGAUUUCCUCUUGGAAUAAUCCAUAAUGAUCAUCAUCCCAUCAUGCAACUUCAUAGCACCAUAGCGGGUGACCUUCUCUUCACUAGAAACAGGUUUCAUCAUCUGAUAAGUUAGGGGUUUCUGAGGUUGAUAUGGGGGACAAUCUGAUAUAUAUGGACGAGCCGCGGCAGGCCCAGCAGGAGCCUUCUGCCUCGGUGCAGCAGCUGCCCUUUUUUUUCCUAAAUAUCCUUCCUCUUCCAGCACCUGAAAGCCUUCGUAGCCUAUCUUAAGAAGCUUUGAUGGGUUGUCCAUCUUGUUGUUACUGGCCAUUUCUAAGCAAGAAGUGAGGAAAAGUGGGGAGGCUAGCUUCUGAUGAAACUGGGUUUGAGGUCUUCUUUUGUUGUGUAUGGAAAGGUUAGUUUGAGUUGGUGGUUUGGUGUAAAAGGCUAUGAGCAAUGAGCCCUUUAUAUAGGGAGAGUUUUUACUAAGAUAUAGCUGAGAACGCGGGUUGUUGAUCUGCAAAUGCUCCUCCACUUUGGAUUGAUUUGUUCACUAAGCAUUUACUUUUCCAGGUUACACAUUUGACUGAAAAUUUUUUUUUGGUCAUAGUGUAACCUUAUGUGGGCGUAGUACAUAAAUUUUGAGGAUCAAAGACUCAAAAGUUUGCACUAAUGCGUAUGAAGUUGCAUUGCAGAGCUCAUUUUGGUUAAAAUUCUGGUGGAUGAAAUUAAGGUCUAUCUUUCAAUAGAAACUUAGCUAGGGACAGGGAAAAAAAAAAUCUCAAAUUUGAUUAAGUUUGUUUGAUUGGAUUUUAAUUAAGGCACAAAAACUUGUCAAGCCUCUUUCUUUAUAUAUAUCGUGUGUGUAAAGGCUAACACUAAAAAAACUUUCUUUUCUAGAUCAAUAGCCCCUAAAAACGUCUUUGAGCAUAAACAAAUUAUUAUAUCUCAAGGAACCACCGAGCUUAGUUCGGCGGCCGCUGAUAAGGGGCUCAAGUCUCUCCUUGGACAGUAGGUGGAGAUUCAAACCCCACUUACAGUAAAAAAAAAAAAAUUUCCAAAGAUGGUGCAAUAGCAUUCCUUUGCUACAUACAAGCCUCCUUAGUCAGAUCUACAUACCUACUAGUUUCUAAUACACAAGCCUCCUUAGACUUCUCCUCUCCUGUAAGUUCGGAUAGAAUAGGUUAUAGGUUAGCACGAUAUUUGCCUUAAAAAAAAAUUCUCAAGGGAAAAGGUGGCAAUACGGCCAGAUGACGCGCGCACACACACAGUGAGCUGCAUGAUUAAAGGCACCUUACCUAUCGAAUUGCAUGAUAAUAUGAUGUAUGCAUGCAUGCGUGAGAAUUAUUCCUAUAUAUCCACUGUAACAAAAGAUCAGACGUUUGACGUGGCCGGAUAAGGCGGUCAUCCCAAGUCAUUUUACCCCAUAAUUGAGAUCCACUCCGGACCCAAAAGAUCAAGAUCAAAUCCCUCCCUUCCCCCAGCGUCUGGGGCUCGUCAAAUUAGUAUUGUAGACUUAUCCUGCUAUCCAUCUUCACUUCGCCGGUCCACCCACCCAGAUUCGUGUCACUUGCGUCUUUGCUUUAAACUUGAAAACAGACUGUUCAGCCUCUAAGUUUAGGACACAUGAACUCGAUUUCUUAGAAAUCAUGUAGAAGAAUAGAAUAAAGCGGCAAAUAUAUUGGGAAUUUGAUUCCUUUUUUUUUUUUUUUUUGAGAUCCUCUAAUUAAAAAAAAAAAAAGAAGAAAAUCUCACCCAUUUAUGGAUCAACUUCAAUGAGAAUAGACAUUUGACUAACAUAACCAUAUCUAUAGCAGUACUGAAAAAUCAAGGGAUUCAGUCUUCAGCAGAGUUCUUAUUCUUGCUUUUGUUUCCAAGUUCUGGACGCGUACAGAAAAAGUGCCAUUUGGUGCUUGCAAAUUAUCCAAAGAAAAGAACAAGGCAGCACAAAUGGGUCCAUUGUAAUCUUCAAUCUUGUGUCCGGAAGAUAAUUGUGGGUUCCAGGUUACCCUUUAUACCAGACGAAUCAACAGUAUGCCUGUUCUCCGGUUACAUCAAUGCAGGGCUAAUAAUAGACCCAUAUAUAAUUGGGGGAGAAUUUGCUGAAGAUCCUUCAUUUAAUUGAGCCUAGAUUUGCUUCCUUUAAUGAAAUCAAAGUUUCUUACUCUCCUUUUUUUUGUUUGUUUGAUCAUGGCCUUAACUUAUUUAGUACUACUAUUCGAUUUACAUGUACAGUAGACUCUAGUGGGGUUGAUUAGGAUUUAAUUCUCUCUUUUACCAAUUAACUGGAGGGAUUCAUUCUCCUCCCAAAUCAAACCAUACAUUCAUAGAUUCAUGUUACGAAACUUACAAUAAACAAGUUAAAAAAAAAAAAGGGUUUUUCAUGCAAAAGGUUGAUUCUUGUGAAUAUCCUCCGGCAUAUAUAAAAACUAUCGUACUAAGAAAGCAAGAAAUAUGCCUCGUGUGUCAGGAAAAUGUUCGUCCAAUUCUUGCUUUUGCAAAGUUAGUAAAAUAUUGAGAGCUUUAAUUUCUUCACACCAACCUCCAUUUACUGUACACAAGAAAAUUUUUUAAAUUCUUUAUUUUUGUUUUUAUAGUGGUUAGAGUACGAUUUCUUCAUAGAAGGGUGAAGAAAUAAAUAAAAGAGUUACUAGUAUUAAGAUUUUAAAACGGAGGUCCAUCUGAUUCAUCCAACUAGAAAUAAAUAAAACAGCUUUGAACGGAGUGUUCAAUUGGCAUUUGUUAGGACAUUUAAAUCACAAAUUUUCAAUUCAGGAACUGAAGAUUUGAAUCCAGAAUUUUUAAUUCUUGAAUCCAAAUUUUCCCAUUUAACUUUAUAUUUUCCAAAAUAUUAACACUACGACUACAUUUUAAAGAGUGCCUAUCUGGUGGUUAAACAGCAUCAUAAUAAGAAAGAUUUUUACUGUUUAACUCUAUAUUUUUAAAAUAUUAACACUAAAUUUACAUUUUAAAGAGUGCCUAUCUGGUGGUUAAACAGCAUCAUAAUAAGAAAGAUUUUUAACAUCACCUAAAAGACUGCAGACUAAGCCAUUUACUUGCAUCUUGGAACAUCCAAAUAUCCAAUAAUAAAAAAUAUUCUUGACAUCAGCUAAAGCACCUGAAAACCAAUCCAUUUACUUGUAUCCUUGAACAUCCAAAUCUCCAAUAAACAACAAAAUGUAUGAUUUUUUUUCCCAACGUUAGAAGUUUCACUGGUUAACUGUAAUCUUAUCUUGAUGUAUGUUUUUCUGUAGCAAAUCUAUUAAUUUAGUGUCGUAGUCUGCCUGACAGCAAAGCUGGUCAACAAAUAUAAGCUAACUAGUUUCACCCCAGCACGUCAAAAUCCACAAAAAAGGGUCGAUUUUUCCAAACCUUGAAAACCGUACCUUAGCACUCUAAGUUGUCUUCUGCUUAGUUCAGCUUAUUUGACACAUUCUCUUGUGGGGUAUCGUGGGUUUUGCAAGAAAAUGGCGAUUCGGACAUCUGAUCUUGUGGGCCGAGUGCAUCCGGGUCAGAAGUUUGAUGCUGAUGCCCUGUUGCGAUAUGCCUCUGCUCACGUUGAGGGAUUCCCUAUUUCUCCCUCUGAUUUUAUUGUAUCUCAGGUUUGAAUUCAUCCUUGUUUUCUGAUAGAUUCUAAUGGAGAUAUGCUGAUAGAUUUGAUUUCUUAAAAUGAAUUGGAUUACAUUAUUCUAAUUCUAAGUCGCUAGAAAAGAUUGAAUUUUGAUAGAGGAGAAGCUUUACUGGACUGGAUUUUUAGGAUUAUGUUAAAGCUCGAUUUGUGAUGGUGCUUAACUGUUCAGAACAUGAUGGAACUGAUGUGGAACUUCUGAAUUUUGGUUGACAAUUUUAAUGUUGUCUGAAUUAAAUUAGCAACUCUUCCUAUUGACUACUCAAUUAGCUUUCAACUAUGAGAAUAGCAAAUUUACUCCCCUCGGAGGCUGUCUUGUCUCGUGACUUAGGAAUUAUAGGAUAAUGAGAUAACAGUUUUAUUAUUAUUAUUAUUAUUUUUUUUUUUUGUGUCUGUGUGUAUGUGUGUGGCGUGUCUAGUAUGAGAACUAAUUGAAAUGUUCUCUGCUUUGCCCACUUUUUUUUCCUUAGAAAAAAAAAAAGAGAGAGUGGUCACAUUUACAGGACUUUGAAUUCAAGAAUUCUAUCGUUUAAGAGCAGUGAUUAAGCUCUUGUUUGAAAGAAACUGCAUUAAUGCUGAGUAUCUGAAGAAAAUUUUCUAUCAACGUGCUCUUUGGAUUUCUAGGAUUUUUUUAAAAUAAGAAUUAGGAAAUCCAAUUACAGGAGCAGACAGCUUCUACUGGUAUGUUUCCUAAUUUGUUAUCUGUAAUGGUCCGAUAAAUGAGGGAUGUCGGUGCUAGAUUUAGGUUGCUGCAUCAUGACCUGGGUGGUAGCAAGUUCGUUAAGCAGAAAUCUUGAUUUUACUUAGAGAGUUGUCUUAAAGGAGUAUGACCUCCGCGGUGGCGAUUGAUGGUGCAACAACUGAAUUCUUGGGGGGCCUCAUUGGCAUCAAAGGCUUUAGUAUCAUUUGCUCGUAAUGCUUGCUUAGAAGGAAAAUCCUCUGUAUGAAAUUGAGCAUUUCUAAGAAAUCUGGAUGUUGUCUGUUUAUCAUUUCAGAAUAGAGAAUCCAAUAUAUUUGCAUAAUAUGCUAGAAUUUUCAUGUUUAAGAUAUAAAGUUUUCGUUAUCCUUCUUGCUCCCAGGGGGCGGCAAAGGAAAAGAAAAUGAAAUGUGUUGUGUUUUAAUCUUGUGUUAAUUGUGGAUCAGUUUGGCCAUGGUCAGUCAAAUCCUACAUUCCUCAUUGAAGUUCAUUCAGAGUCCUCUGUUAAGCUGUAUGUUCUCAGAAAGAAGCCUCCUGGAAAAUUACUUGAAUCUGCUCAUGCUGUUGAGAGAGAAUUUCAGGUUAUCUCUCUCUUCUUUUUGUACAAACAAAUGUAUCUGAACUAAAAUUUUCUGUUGUUCAGUUUUCUUCAGAUCCUUAUAAUUCAGUGCCCUUACUUUGGAAUGCUCUCUAAUUUGACGUGUGUCAGGUUCUACAUGCUUUGGGUACUUGUACGCUGGUUCCUGUCCCUAAAGUUUUCUGUUUGUGUACUGAUUCAAGUGUGAUUGGAACACCUUUCUACAUUAUGGAGUAUUUGGAGGGACGCAUCUUCAUAGACCCCAAAUUACCUGUAUGGACCUUGCCUUCCAACUUUAUCUUCUUUUCUUUCCACUUAAGCUGUGCUCAGAAUAUCAGAAAGCUAGUUCAAAUUUCCUCUCCCACUCUUCUCGUGCUAAUAGACAUGAACUUGACUGCUUAAUAUCAAAUAUUUUAUCUUUUAUUAGGGCAUGUCACCAAAGCAAAGGAGGGAUAUUUACCAUGCAAUUGCUAAAGCAUUGGCUUUUCUUCAUUCUGUUGACGUUGAUGCCAUUGGUCUAGGAAACUAUGGAAAAAGGAAUCACUACUGUAAGCGGCAGGUGCAGGAUAUUCUUCUUUUACCUUACAUACUAGAUAAUUGAAACUUAGCUGUAUAUUCAUGUUAAAAAUCAACCUAGACAUGAUGUUGCAAUUGCAAGUGGAAGAAAGACAUAAAUGAGUUUUUGUAAUGUGAAGGCCUUGUCUUCCCUUGUUAUGCUGGUAAAGGCCUUUGAAGAUCAAACAACUGAAUGCGGAAAUAGUUAAUGGGAUACUAUUUGCAUUGUAGGUAGAGAGGUGGGCCAAACAAUAUCUUAUUUCUACUGGUGAGGGAAAGUCGGAGAGAAAUCCAAAAAUGUUAGAGCUAGCUGACUGGUUGCGGCAACACAUUCCCCCUGAAGAUUCUUCUGGAACAACAACUGGACUAGUCCAUGGUGACUUCCGGAUUGAUAAUCUUGUAUUCCAUCCCAUUGAGGUGCUGAACUUGAGAAGUUCUUCAUAUUUUCUUUGCUGUAGUAAUUAUGAAACUUCUUUAGGGCUACCAUAUGACUGCAAUAAACACAAUAGACAGAUGCCCAUUCAAAGGUGUACAUUGUAUUUUCUUUUUUAACCUAAAGAUACUAUUAAUUUAUUUAAUUCUGCUUGCAGAAUAGAGUGAUUGGCAUUCUUGACUGGGAAUUAUCUACUUUGGGCAACCAAAUGUGUGACGUCGCUUAUAGCUGCUUGGUACUAGUCAUUCUGCUACUUUAACUUUCCUUUUUGUUGUUUCUUUUAUUUAAAGUACUACUUGUGGUUCUCUGUAUGGGAUUCAAAUGUUGUGUAUUACGUCCUCUCUUGGCAGCAUUACAUUGCAAAUGUUGCAUCUGGGGAUGCUGUAGAAGAGAAUGAAGGUUUUGAACUUACUAAUUUUCCUGAAGGAGUCCCUUCACUGCCAGAAUAUCUGUCCUAUUAUUGCUCUGCAGCUGUAAGUUCCGUUUUUUCAUACACCUGGAUAGCUUUAGAUGCCUUGCUUUUGCUUGAACUAUUCUAAUACAGGAAAGAGCAUGGCCUGUUGCUGAGUGGAAAUUUUAUGUUGCGUUCUCAUUGUUUCGUGGGGCAUCAAUCUUUGCAGGAGUACAUUGUAGAUGGAUAAUGGUAAUUUGACUCUAAUGCUCUUACUGGAGAUGUCGUGAAUGCCAAAAGCUCUGAUGAUUAAUCUUGGUGAAUAUUGCCUUGGAUCUCAACAUGUUUUAAUUAAUUCAUUCACUGUGACUUUGCAGGGCAAUGCCUCAGGGGGUGACCGUGCUCGACUUAUGGGACAAAUGGCCAAUUCUCUGAUAAGAACUGCAUGGUCAUUCAUUGGGCGUGAAUCUGUCCUGCCUCGGCAACUGCCUUCUGGUAGCUUUGCCUUUUGACGAUCAUUAUUAUCCCUUAACUUAAGAGCAAAAUUGUCUUAGGCCAGGCAUGGAUAAUCUUAAGCUACCUAGGAAUAUUUUUUCCUUCUUUUAUGUUGGUUUCAUUGGUUUAGUCUUAAGUUUCUGAACCUGGUUCCCAUCGUAAGGCUUCUGAAUCAUUAUGUACUAUUUGUCCUGUAGAAUGAGACUUUUUUAUAGUUGUACCCUGUUGUGUAGUAUCAUUAAAAUGAUAGAUACGGCUAAAGACCUCAUUAUGCACUAGCAUGAUAAAUAUAGAAUAGAGCAAGUGUUGAAAUUUUAGCAUUUUGUUCACUGCAAAUGGAAGCAUAUUGUCUCAGAGAGAUAAUUCAUCAAUCUACAUGAUUAAUCCUGCUUAGAAUUUAUGGCAGUCCCUUUUUUUUUAAAGUUCGAAUUGGUGAGUGAAAUAAACUGAGAGCAAGAUAUCUUUGACUUGAAAUAGGGAAAUUGAAGUAGGCUUCCAAUUAAGUUUUUUAUUAUCAUUGCCAUGUUCAAUGGAUAUGGGUUACAGUGGUGCUUAUAGUCCUCUAGCACAUUAGAUGCCUGGACCAUCUGAAAAGUUGGAUUUUUGCAUGAGAGCUUCCUCAUACUAACUGCAUUCCUGCCUAAGUAUCUACCAUCUCUUUCUGUUGAAUCUUUGCUUGCCAACAUUGAGGUAAAUGUUUCUGUUACUGCAUUAAACCUGCCUUUUGAUCCGAGAAGGAUAUACAUGAUAAAUUCCUGAUUCUAGCAGAUUUCAGAAUUUUUAUUUGUUCUCAAAUCAUGUCUAAGGUCAAAACAUUUAAGUGAAGACUGCAUUUUUGAAGCAGUAAACUGCAUUUUCUGGUGCCAUUUGGUUAUAGUCUUACUUGUAAAAAUGCUGCUUAAAUUACCAGCUGGUGGUGAAUUUUUCUCGGACAGAUGUACAAAGAAACAAACAACAAAAAGUGGAGGAAGAAAGCAAAGGUCAAUUUUUAUCAAUGGGUGGAAAGUUUGUCCCAAAUCAGAAAGUUCAAGAUUUGAGAGAUCAAUUGAUAAAGUUCAUGAACAACCACAUUUACCCAAUGGAAAGUGAAUUCUACAAACUUGCUCAGUCUUCCAAACGUUGGACAAUUCACCCAGAGGAAGAGAAGUUAAAAGAGCUUGCCAAAUCAGAAGGACUUUGGAACUUGUUCAUACCUGUAUGUACAUACGUUUCUUUAUGAUCUUCACAAAUAUUGAACAUUCAGCAUGAAUAUCUGCUCAGGGGCUUUGAUAAUUGUGGUUAUGUCCAGCUUCAGAGUGCUGCUCGAGCAAGAAGAAUAUUAAAUGGUGGAAAACAUGGUGCUUUGAUAGCCAAGACAUCUGACCUCUUGUUGGGUGCAGGACUUACUAACUUUGAGUAUGGAUAUCUUUGUGAGAUUAUGGGUCGUUCUAUUUGGGCACCACAGAUUUUUAAUUGUGGGGCACCUGAUACUGGAAAUAUGGAGGUAAACAAUAAUUUGCUGUUCUUUACUCUGAUAAAUUAGUUCUGGGGACGUUCCCUUUGCUUUCGUAUCCAGACCACAACACAGAUAGUUAUCAUUUCAUAACAAUCACAUAUAAGUAACGGUUAUGCAUGUCAAAAUUAUGCUUUUGGUAUUCUAUUUUUUCCUUUAAAUCUGACUUCCUUUAUAUCUUCGACUGGGCCCGCUGCUGGAUUGCAAGAAAUAGCUUCUUCUGCCACAAAUGUAGUUUCAGCCUCUAUAUUCUUCCCAACUUUAAUGGUAGUGGGUUUGGUUUUGAAUGUCUAGAAUGUGCUAUCAAGGACCUUAACGUGCAAUGCCACCUACCUGUUAUUUUGUGCUUUUUUGUCCUUUGUUGGCAGUGUGCUUUGAGUCACCUAUUUUUUGAGGCAUUUGUGUUGUAUCCUUGCUGUCAUGAUUUACUGCAAUUUUUCAGGUAUUGCUGCAGUACGGGAAUGAAGAACAAUUACAGGAAUGGCUUCUUCCCUUGCUCAAGGGCAGCAUUAGAUCUGGAUUUGCUAUGACAGAACCACAGGUUGCAUCAUCUGAUGCAACCAACAUAGAGUGUUCUAUUAAAAGGUAUAUGCAAGCUACUAUAGUUAACCAUCUCAAUGUGGUAGAUACAGUGAAAGAGAAGAUGGUAUCAUCAGAAUGGCUUAUUUAAGCAAAGAAGAGCCAGAAAAGGAAGCAGGGAAAUUUGGGUGUUAAACUUCCCAUAAAUAGACAAUGACAAUUAGGAUGCUAUAGUUUACCUGUGAAUGAGGAAGUGAUAAUUUUAGCAUGUCUUUUUUCUCAGUUGUCUGUAGGGGUUUUAGCUGGGAUGCUUAAGUAAUAAGUACUUGGGGAAAAAAAAAGAGCAAAAUGGAAAGAUGAAAAAAGAUGUAAAAAUUGGAUUAAAAUUAAUUUCAAUGCAUGGUCGAGAAUCACCUAUUUUAUUGUGGAAAUAAACUCUAGUGCUUUUGUGUUCAGGAAUAUUUAUUUGCUCAGGAGUCAUGGAUGCUGAAAUUUAUGUAAUUCAAUUUUUGGGAUCUGGGUGGAGCUGUUUGUUUUGGAUUAUGACAUGGUUGAGUACUAAUCAAUUUUGAGAGAAGCACCUCUAAAUUAUUGUUGUUUUAUAUUCCUGGGGACCAAUAAUCAUUCUUUGAUUACAGUAAGAUAUACUUUGAUCCUUUUGAAGGGUACUUAAGACAUGUCCUUUCUAUAGACUUGGGGAAUCAUAUAUCAUCAAUGGAAAGAAGUGGUGGACCAGUGGAGCUAUGGAUCCUAGAUGCAAACUCCUUAUUGUUAUGGUUAGCUCUCUGUGGCUGCCUGUGAACUCAAUGAUUUUGUUUUGACUUUUGAAUCGAAGGUAAUUGAUCUGGAUAACGUGCAGGGCAAAACUGAUUUUACUGCUCCAAACCAUAAGCAGCAGUCAAUGAUCUUAGUGGACAUUAAUACUCCUGGGAUAAACAUACGAAGACCACUCACAGUAUUUGGCUUUGAUGAUGCUCCACAUGGUCAUGCAGAAAUAUCAUUUGAGAAUGUGCAUGUCCCUGCCAAGAACAUUUUAUUGGGAGAGGGGCGGGGUUUUGAGAUUGCCCAGGUAAAAGCUAUGCAAGUUUGCUGUCUACUUCAAUUACUUUUCAUACGAUUAUUCUAUCAACUGCUAAAUGCUGGGUUUCCACUUGAGUUUUCUCUUUAGUUUAUCUUGUCAGAUGGCUGAUAGUGCUAGAUGUCCUGGUUCCAUGACAUUCGAUGUUUUUUUAUGCCGAACAGAAAUUGCAAUCUUGUCCUUCUGCUGGAUCCUAAUCCUUGUCUUGUCCUAGGCUCAUCUAUGUGAAGUCAAACGUUUUUCCAGAUAUACCUCACUGUAGAAAGACUUUCCAAGAUUUCACUUCACAUGAAGAUCUGUGUGUUUAUGUGUGAUGAUUAUCUGAGAUUCUUGACUUGGUAGCUGGUGCUGUUACCACGUUUAACAGGGUCGGCUUGGUCCUGGAAGGUUGCAUCAUUGCAUGAGGUUGAUUGGUGCUGCAGAACGUGGUAUGCAGAUGACAGUAGAUAGGGCUCUCAAAAGAAAAGCUUUUGGAAAGCUGAUUGCAGAACAUGGUUCAUUCCUUUCAGAUAUUGCCAAGGUUGGUUUGAUUAAAUUGCCCGUAUGCAAGAACUUGCUGGAAAUUACCUUGUCUUAUUCAUUUUCUUUUCCUUUUCCUUUUACCUAAUCGUCUGUGGAAGACGUAUUAUUUGUCUGAUUCUGACAUCAAAUCUCUUUUGCUUGUAAAAUAAUUUUCAUUGAGCAAUGAGGUGAUGGUUAAAAAGUGUUUUUUAUGCGGCAGUGUCGAAUAGAAUUGGAGAAAACUAGAUUGUUGGUUCUGGAAGCAGCAGACCAGCUUGAUCGUCUUGGGAACAAAAGGGCUCGUGGAACCAUUGCGAUGGCCAAGGUACCUUCCCAUGUUUGAAUUUAUGCUUUAUUCCUCCAUCUACGCCUGUCUUCUGUUGUUCCUUGUAUGUAAUUUCCUUCAUACAUGUCAACUGCGAGUUUUUAAUAGGAUAUGUAAUUGUUUUGGUGGUGCACUGACAGGUAGCAGCUCCAAACAUGGCAUUGGAGGUACUCGACAUGGCAAUGCAAGUACAUGGAGCAGCUGGCUUAUCUGGCGACACGAUACUUGCCCAUCUGUGGGCUACUUCUAGGACAUUGAGAAUUGCUGAUGGCCCUGAUGAAGUCCACCUCGGCACUAUUGCAAAACUAGAACUGCGAAGGGCUAAACUAUGAUGGUUUUAGCGGGAGAAAUAAUCCAAACUUUGGGUAAAUAGAAAGGGAAAGAAAUAAAGAAAACGUUGAAGCUAAUAUAUUUAUAAACAGAAAUAAAUGUACUUUUCAUUUAUUGUACUCAUUGACAGAGAUGUUGUACUAUUUGGAAAUCAACCUGGAUCCCUAUUAACGACUCUCUUCUCCAGCUGUAGUGAAAGAAAGUAGCCUAGAUUGACUCGUAUGCAUGAAACUCUUGAAGGUGAGGCUGUCAUCUCUCUGAUAUAUUUAACCGACGGGCUAAAACUACAUAUGGGCAUCCAUGUCUACGCCCUGUAUGGUUCUUGCUAUUCUCCUUGAGGGGGCUUGAGAGGCUAUUCCCUUCUACCAAAAACCCAAAAAAGCGAUUUAUAAUUUGCGCAUAACUAAUGCCAAAACUGAUCACUGUGUAAUGCAAUUUGAGUCAUUGCUUUGUCCAAUCUGGAAGAAACAAAAAAGAAAUAAAGAAAAUUACUCUCGGGUGAAAAUUGAGUUGAUUGAAUCCUUGAAUGGACUUUACUGCAAACCUACUAUCUUAAAGCAAACUCCAAAUAGUGGAUUGUAUGAAGCACUGGACUCGGAGUAAAAAUCAUGCAGAAGUAGAUGUGUACUGGAGUGUUUGGAUACCAAAUUAUUCCAAAUAAUAUUUCGUUUGCAUCAUAAAUACAUUUUCUAAUUCACCUUUUUAUAUUUCCAAUCACAUUUUUAUCUCACAUAUAUCACAUUAUAAAAAGUGAUACAGUAAUCAUUUUAAAUAAAUUCUAUCCAAACAAACGAGUGUUCAAGAUGCGCUAGCCUAGCAAAAUAGGUAACACAUACGUAUAUCCUCUCAUAUUUUUUGGUGUUACAGGCCAUGUUAAUAUCAUACCAUCUUCAUCUAUUGUUUGCCUAAAGAUCACCAUCUGUUUUUUUUUUUUUUUUUUUUUUUUUUGCAAGUCUUACGCUAAUAGAUGGAGAUGAUGUAUAUAGUGUGAAACAUCCAAAAAGAGAACUCGAAGUCCCCCUGGAACUGCCAAAAUGCUUAGCAUACAUUAUAACGUCAUGCUCUAUAGCCAUUGGCACGCACAGAACAACUCAAGUGAAGCUACAAUUUUUGUUUAAUAAAUACUUUUUUUUGCUGGAGGGGGAGGGGUGAAGUGUUAACAAUUAACAUAAGAUCUUGUGGCGAGAAUAGAAUGGACACUCCCUUCAAAAAAGAAUGAUGAAUUGAUAUCCAAGAAGAAAUGAAACCGAUAUUGAUCAGUAAUUGCCUAUACGAAAAGAGUUGGAAUGGAUUGUCAGUGGAGAAAAUCAACAUUUGUUUGCUUUAAAAGAAAAAAAAAAUCAAAGGACAGAAAAAUUAUUCUCUGAAGAAAGUUAUGAGCCUAGACAAGAGAAAAAGUAUUAUCAAUUUAAAGUUAUAAGCCGAGAGAAUAGGAAAAGUGUUGGGAUCCUUGAAAAUUAGUUAUCCAUGUAAGCUUAAUCAGUUUACCCAGGCAAAGAUACAACAAAUAUGCUCCUUUCUUGGUUUGCCAAUAAAGGCUAAGAACCAAGCAUUUUGUCGGAACCGUUCAAUUUGAGAUUGUCCGUGGCCUCAUCUUUCUCAACAGAAACUGUCUGUUACUGCAUGAAAUGAAUUUGUGGUUGUUUUGUCUGGUACCAGAAACCUAUAUAAAGCAUCCUGUUUCACAAAAUUAUUCAGACUCAGGGCACAGAAGAGGUAAGGCUCUUUUGUGUAGUAAAUAAGAGACCCCUCUUAAGAGCUCUGUUAAAUUCUUUCUCUGAUCAAGGGAAAGAUAAUCUCACGAAAAAGAAAAAAACAGCAACACCAAAAAUACCAAAAAGAAAAUGGGUAGUGAAGGAAAGAAGAAGGCAGCCAUUCUUGGCGUGUCUUCCAUUCUCCUGGUGGCAGCUGUAGUUGGGACAGUCACCUACUCCGUUGGUCGCCAUGGCACGGAAACCGCCACAUCUGGUGGUGGUUCUGAUCAAGUAUCAACCUCCUCAAAGUCCGUGGAAUCCGUUUGCAAGCAUGUGGAUUAUAAGCAAACCUGUGAACAAAGCCUGUCAGGAGCCAAGAACACCAGCGACCCCAGAGAACUCAUCAAGCUCGCAUUCACAGCCGCAGUUGAUAACAUUGCAAGUGUCAUCCAGAACUCCACUCUUCUCCAAAACGCCGCCAAGGACCCCAGGACCCAUCAGGCUCUGGAAACUUGCAAGUAUGCCCUCAACACAUCCAUUGAGGACCUCCAGAGGUCCUUUGAAACAGUUGGCACCUUUGAUAUCAACAAGAUUGACGACUAUGUCGCCGAUCUCAAGACAUGGUUGAGUGCUGCAGGCACUUUCCAGGAAACUUGUUUGGAUGCAUUUGAGAAUACAACAGGUGACACCGGUGAGCAGAUGAAGAAACUCCUCAAGACUGCUGGUGAGCUCACAAGCAACGGUCUUGCCAUGGUUACUGAUAUUUCUGAGGUCUUGACAAACUUCAACAUCCAAGGCUUCAAGAGAAGGCUCAUGUCUUCUUCUGUUGAACCUGACUUUGUUGAUGCUACGGCACGCAAGCUCAUGGCUGCCAGCACUGCUUCCCUCAAGCCUAAUGCCGUGGUUGCUCAAGAUGGCAGUGGCCAAUUCAAGUCUAUCAUGGCUGCUGUUAAUACCGUCCCUAAGAAGAACAACCAAACCUUUGUCAUUUUCAUCAAGGCUGGUAUCUACAAGGAGUAUGUUACGCUCCCAAAGCACGUUAACGGCAUUGUCCUCGUUGGAGAAGGCCCAACCAAGACUAAGAUUACUGGAAACAAGAACUUCGUUGAUGGAGUUGGCACUUUCCAAACACCAACACUUUGUAAGUCGCAUUAUAACUUCAUUUGCUUAGCCAGUGUAGGUAUUUCAUUACAGAUGGAGACUGGAAUUGCAUUCUAUUAAUUGAAUACAAUUCCAAUUUUCAUACUAAUUGGUCUACGGUUGCAAAUAUCAUAAGAAAUCUUUAAAAUGAAGAGUCUCUCGAAUGGGAAAGAAACACAACAUUAACCUCAUGGUAUCAUUACUGACCACUUUUUUUGCAGCCGUGAACGGAGAUGCCACCAUCCUCAAGGACUUGGGAAUUGAGAACUCAGCCGGGGCAGUAAAACAUCAGGCCGUGGCACUUCGAGUUUCUGGCGAUAGGACAAUCGUUUACAACUGCCAGAUCGAUGCCUACCAAGACACACUCUACACCCAUACCUACCGCCAAUACUACCGCAACUGCACCAUCAGUGGAACCAUAGAUUUCAUCUUUGGUGACGCCUCAGCUGUAUUCCAGGACUGCAAGAUGGUUGUCAGGAAGCCAAUGGAAAACCAGGGUUGCAUGGUCACAGCUCAAGGAAGGAAAGAGAGACGCGGCAUUGGAGCCAUUGUUCUCCAAAACUGCCAAAUUGUUGCCGAUCCAGCUUUCUUGGCCGUUCAGCCACCAAUCAAGGCCUACCUCGGACGUCCAUGGAAGGAGUUCUCAAGAACCAUCAUCAUGCAGACUUCCAUUGAUGGAUUCAUUGCUCCAGAGGGAUGGUCCCCAUGGAUGGGCAACUUUGGCAUGGACACUUGCUAUUAUGCUGAGUACAACAACAGGGGUCCUGGUGCUGAUACUAGCAAGAGAGUUCAAUGGAAGGGUAUCAAGAAGAUUACUCCUCAGAUUGCUCAGAGCUUCACCCCAGGGGCCUAUAUUCAGGGCGAUGCAUGGAUCACAGCCUCCGGCGUACCCUAUGCUUCUGGCAUGCAAGUGUAAAGAGAAUUAUUUUAAUGCGCGAUUUCAGUUGUUGUAAAAUGAAGGAAUAACCUGGCUUUUAGUGCAUGAAACUUUCGGCAAUUUUUUGCUCUUUUUUUUCUUUUUAGUUUGUUACAACAUUAAUCUUGUUCUUUUUUUGUAGAACGUUCUGAUCAAUAAAAGAAAAAAAUUUCCUAUUUGUUGGCAUUUAUCACUUGUAUUACUUUGUCUCCGAGACAUGGAACUUUUUCCCAGAUGAUCAAUAAAAGAAAAAAAUUUUCCCAGAUGAUCUCAAGACAUGGCACACUAGUGUUGCAACAUACCAAUAGACUUGUCUUGAUACUUUUGAAAAUACCAAAGGUGAUGCUGGCAUAAAAAUGAAACAACUGUUGACGGUGGGAGGCGAGCUCACCAUUGAUGCCCUUGCAAUGGUGAAUGAAAUCUCUUUCUAUCACCUGCAAAGACCUCAGGCUUAAAUAGAAGGCUACUGUGGGAAACUAAUGAAGGCACUGCAUAUAGACUUCUUCAUGUCGUGAAUUCUACUCCUAAUGUUACUGUGGCUCAGGAUGGCUCUGGAAAAUAUCAAUCCAUCAAUGGAGCACUCAAGGAAGUCCCCUAAAAAGCACUGCUCCCUUCAUCAUAUAUGUCAAGGAAGGAAUUUAUGCCGACUAUGUUACAAUUACAAAACAAAUGUGGAAUGUCAUUUUAAUUGGGAAUGGUCCAACAAAAACCAAGAUCACGAGAAACAAAAGCUUUAUAAGAGGCUUGGGCACAUUUUUUACUGCAACAGUGACUAAGUAACGUCUUCCUUUCUCACUGACAGUUCUAGUAUUUAUUUGGAUAGUAAGUUGAGUUUCUUAUAUUCCUGUAAUUUCUUAAACUUUGAGAUGUCAUUCUACCUCCUUCGUCAUUCAGCUGGCUAUCACUAUAGUGCAUAUCCCAAGAAACAAGAUCUAAAUCUUUCCGUCAUCUUUUUCUUGAGGCAGCCUCCACAAGCUAAAGGAAGUGGACUCUGUUGCCUAGCAGACUGUCGUUACCAAUGCAGAGAAAAGAUAAGGAAAAAUAAGCCUUUCUUUUUGCUUACAAAUCAAUAUGUCUAGAGCGAUGACUUUAUACCUCAUCCAAUGAUGAUUACUGAUGUUCGCGGUCUUCUUGUUAAUCCAAUGAAAUCUAGAGAUUUUCUGUAAAUCGACAACUUCGGAACUUUCAUAUCAUCUUCUUCUGAUUAGCCACCUUAAAAUCCUUUUAGACUAUUCUUAAUCAAAUGAUAGGGGUGGAAGGGGACCAUUUCUUUGCCAAGGACGUUGGAAUUGAAAAUUCAGCAGGCGCAGAGAUGCAUCAAGCCUUAGCUCUCCAUGUAACAGCUAAUGAAUCCAUCUUCCAUAACUAUCAAUUGGAUGGUCAUCAGGACACCCUCUAUGCCCACAAUCAUAGGCAGUUCUACUGCAAUGUACCAUCAGUGUUACCAUUGAUUUUAUCUCUGGGAAUUCUCGAGCAGUCCUCCAAAAUUGCACGUUGAUAGUAAGGAAGCUAUUGGUAAAAAAAAAAAAAAAAAACUGUGCAUCGUCACAGCUCAAGGAAGGUUUGAAGAACUUCAAACUUCUGCAAUUAUCCUUCAAAACUGUAAAAUCAUUCCUGAUACUAGCUACCCUACACAUGAUCCAUUGUAUCGGGCAUCGCAGGGAUGACCUUGGAACUGUUCUCGAGAACUAUUAUCAUGGACCCUGAUAUUGAUGCUAUAAUCCACACUGAUGGAUGGGCAAGAUGGCUUGAUGACCAAAACACUGGUACUUGCUGGUAUGCUGAGAUUGGGAACAGGGGAGCUGGUACAAAUCAGACCAAGAGAGUAACAUGGCCAAGCAUCAAGAAAAUAACUGAGAAGGAUGCUGUGCAAUUCAUAGCUAAAUAGUUUUUUGGUAGGAGUUGAAUGGAUUAAAAACGCGGGGAUGCCUUAUGAGGUUGGCAGGAUGAGCAACUAGAGUAUAACGAGGACCAACAAUCAUGGAAGUGUUCAAUUGCAGUAAUCCUGGAAAAGAUAAUCUUCCAAGAACCUUCUUUUUGGGUCUAGUUACUCCAAUCAUUUCAUUCUAUGGGUCAGCACCACCCUGAAAAAAAAAAGGGAUGAUCAUUUGCGAAUGUAAAUGAGACUUUUCCAUACGAAUGCGAAAAAAAAUUUAACAAAUUCUUUCAUGUUUAAUUUCUCAAAGCAAUUUACAAUUUGCACAUAACUCAUCAAACAUAGAAAGCUAAGUAAAACGUCAAAAUUGAUCACAGUGUAAUGUAAUUUUAGUCAUUGCUUUGUCAAAUCUGGAAGAAACAAAGAAAAUUUCUUUGGGGUGAAAAUUGAGUUGAUUGAAUCCUUGAAUGGACUUUACAGCAAACCUACUAUCUUAAAGCAAACUUCAAAUAGUGGAUUGUAUGAACCGCUGGACUUGGAGUAAAAAUCAUGCAGAAAUAGUGUUCAAGAUACGCUAGUCCAGCUAGAUAGGUAACACUUUAUAUCCUCUAUCAUAUUUUUUUGGUGUUACAGGCCUAUUAAUAUCAUACCAUCUUCAUCUAUUAUUUGCCUAACGAUCACCUUCUGUUUUUUGGGCCAUUCUUACUCUAAUAGAUGGAGAUGAUGUAUAUAGUGUGGUAUCAGAUUUGCUUUUCUGCAUCCCAAACCUUUCAACUGCUAGACUAAAUUUUCUAAACCAAGUACAAGAACUUUGUUUCAGUCCAUACAAGGACUUCCGAAGAUGACAAACCUUCCCAGACUCCCCCUGAGCAACAAACCCUGGUGGUUGCUCCAUAUAAAUUUCCUCUUGGAGGUUUCCAUGAAGAAAGGCAUUCUUGAUAUCUAGUUGAUGCAAAGGCCAAUUAUGAGUGGCUGCCAUAGAAAUGAAUAACCUGAUAGAUGUUAAAUUAGCAACAGGGGAAAAAGUGUCAGAAUAAUCCUCUCCAUAGAUUUGGGCAUAGCCUUUGGCAACAAGGCGAGCUUUUAACCGAGCAACCGACCCAUCAGGAUUGAAUUUAACUGCAAAAAUCCACUUACUCCCAAUGGCCUUCUUCCCUGCAGGUAAAUUUACUAAGUUCCAAGUAUCAUUACCAUCUAGAGCAUUCAUCUCUUCUAUCAUAGCAUUGUGCCAUCCGGGAUGGAAUAGGACUUCAUGAACAUUUUUAGAAAGGGAGAUAGAAUCAAUAGAUGUAAUAAAGGAACAAGAAGAGGUGGGUAAAUGAUUAUAAGAUACACACGAAAACACAGAAUAAGUGCAUUGACGCUUACCUUUGCGAAGAGCAAUAGGAAGAUCAUCACUUGAGACAGGAUCUAGUAACGAAGGAACUGGUUCAGGGCAUGCAUCAGGAGACUUUUGUCGUCGAGAAUAUACCUGAGUAAUUGGAGGUUUAGCAGGGGAAGAUCUUGAAGAUGUGACAGUAUAGAUUAACAAAUCAUCAUCCUUCUCCUGACAUGAAUGAGAUGGGGAUGAGGUAAAAAGUGUAUUUUCAAGAAAAGUAAUAUCAACUGACACAAUGUACAUGCCAAGACUAGGACAAUAACAUCUAUAUCUUUUUUGAACAUGGGAAUAACCAAGAAAAAUACAUUUCAAUGAUUUGGGGUCUAAUUUAGUGACUUGGGGACGAGAGUCGCGGACAAAACAUAUACAUCCAAAGAUUUUAAAUUCGAUGGGAAACAAAGGUCUAUUUGGAAAAAGAGUAUUAUAAGGAGUCCCACCAUUCAGAACAGAUGAAGGCAGACGAUUAAUUAGAAAGCAAGCUGUGGACACUGCAUCAGCCCAAAAAUAUUUACGAACAUGCAUUUGAAAUGAUAAGGCUUUUGCAGUUUCAAGCAAAUGUCUAUUCUUUCGUUCUGCGACCCCGUUUUGGGAUGGUGUAUCCACACAAGAGAUUUGAUGAAUAAUGUCAUUUUGCACCAUAUAAGAUUGAAAAGGUGCGAAUAAAUAUUCUUUGGCAUUGUCACUUCGUAAUAUUUGUACAGAACGCUUAAAUUGAGUCUUAACCUCAGCACAAAAAGCACAAAAAUGAGAAAACAAAUCUCGUGCUUGGUUUGGAAAAUUUAGUCUAGCAGUUGAAAGGUUUGGGAUGCAGAAAAGCAAAUCUGAUCACUCUGUUUUCUACAAACAGUCUGAAGCUGGUAUUAUUUUGUUGGUAGUAUAUAUGGAUGAUAUUGUUAUCACUGGAAAUGAUGCUGCAGGUAUUUCAUCUCUUAAAACUUUUCUUCAUAGUCAAUUUCAGACAAAGGAUUUGGGACUGUUAAAGUAUUUUUUGGGUAUUGAGGUAGCAAAGAGUAGGAUGGGGAUAUUCCUGUUCCAAAGAAAAUAUGUUCUUGACUUACAAUCUGAAACGGGAAAAUUGGGGGCUAAACCAGCUAGUACCCCAAUGAUCCCUAACUUGCAGCUCACAAAAGGUGAAUUGUUAGAAGAUCUUGGGAGGUAUAGAAGAUUGGUUGGAAAGUUGAAUUAUCUUACAGUAACUCGUCCAGAUAUCGCGUAUUCAGUUAGUGUUGUUAGUCAAUAUAUGUCUAAUCCUACUGUUAAUCAUUGGGUAGUUGUAGAACAAAUUUUGUGUUAUUUAAAAGGAGCUCCUGGACGUGGUAUUCUGUAUAAAAAUCAUAGUCAUACUAGGAUUGAGUGUUUUUCAGAUGCUGAUUGGGCAGGAUCCAAGGCAGAUCGAAGAUCCACAACUGGAUUUUGUGUCUUUGUUGGAGGAAACCUGAUCUCAUGGAAGAGUAAGAAGUAGAAUGUUGUCUCGCGAUCGAGUGCAGAGUCAGAAUAUAGAGCUAUGGCACAAUCGACAUGUGAAAUCAUGUGGAUAAAUCAACUUCUAACUAAAGUAGGUCUCAAAACCUCAAUGCCUGCAAAAUUGUGGUGUGAUAACCAAGCGGCUCUUCAUAUUGCAUCCAAUUCCAUAUUUCAUGAGCGAACAAAACACAUCGAAAUAGAUUGUCAUUUUGUUCGUGAGAAAAUACAGCAGGGCUUGAUUUCUACAGGAUUUGUAAGGACUGGAGAACAAUUGGGAGAUCUCUUUACGAAAGCUCUACAUGGGGUUCAAAUUGAUUACCUUUGUAACAAGUUGGGCAUGAGUAACAUCUUUGCUCCAACUUGAGGGGGAGUGUUGAAGAUAUGUGAUCUAAUAUUAGAAAAGAUAUUAUUAUAGUAUCAUGUAUUAAUUAGGUAUCAUAUGAUUAUAGUAUCAUAUAUUAAUUAGGUAGUAAAUUGGUUUAGAUUAGCAUGAUUUUAGGAUCUAAAUUAGGUUACACUUGUGUAUAUAUACAUGUAUAUUAUGUAGUCCAAAUAAGAUGAAGAAAAGUAUUUUCUCUCCCUUUUUCUUAGUUUACAAAUCCAAAAAGAGAUCUCGAAGUCCCGUGGAACUGCCAAAAUGCUUAGCAUAGAUCAUAACCUUGUGGAUGGAACAAGGAUUCUAGUCUAACUUUUCAGUUUUUUAACUGACUUGUAAAAGCCUUUUGCACUAAGCAUAUUCUAGGUGGGCUAAUUUUUCUCCUCAAGUAGAAUUGGCUCCAGUAGGAACAGAGGGCUUUCACUGAAUAGAAGGGUGAAUGUCGUUUUGGGUCUCCAAAGUAGAGGAGAGUGUCAAUUCAGAUCCCCCUAAAAGUGAAUAACUUUUAAAUUAAGCCCUUCAAAUUGGAAAUUUGUUUCAAAUGAGCCUUAAUUUCAUCAUUUCAUGUGAAUAAACUUUAGUGGCAAAAUAGAAUACUAAAAAAUUUUUAGGGACUUUGAAAUGAUUAAUUUCCUGCCUAAUUAAACUAAAUACGAUAAAACUUUUCUCUUUUAUAUAUAAAAAAACGUUCAUUCCAUUUCAAGUUUGAUUAAAAGAGUACUAUUUUAUCCUUUCGGGGACAUUCAAAUAGGAGGCCAUAUGCUUUAAGAUCCCUAAAAAAAUUUGCAAGAUUUCAUCAUGCCAAUAAAGUUUAGUCAAACAUUAUCAACCAAAAAGGCUUAUUUAAAAUGAAAUUUCUAAUUUAGAGGGCUUAAUUAAAACUUAUUCAUUUCAGGGGUUGAAUUGGCAUUUUAAUCGCUUUGAUAGGGCAAAUCAUCAACCUUGAAUUAAGUUUGCAUACGAAAGAAAGCAAAUGAAUUUUCUUCCAAACAAUAACAUUAUGAAAUUUUCGUUCAAAAUUGUGACAGGUCGUCAUGCUCCAUAGCCAUUGGCAUGCACAGAACAACUCAAGUGAAGCUACAAUUUUUGUUUAAUAAAUACUUUUUUUUGUUGGAGGGGUGGGGGUGAAGUGUUAACAAUUAACAUAAGAUCUUGUGGCUAGGCCUGGCGAGAAUAGAAUGGACACUCCCUUCAAAAAAGAAAGAUGAAUUGAUAUCCAAGAAGAAAUGAAACCGAUGGGUGAAUUCUUAGUUUGUGAUGAAAAAAAAAAAAGAAUUCUACAACGAGAGCGUUUCCUGGAGGGGUUUCUGUAAAUGGGGGUCUUCGCAUUUUGAGAAUGCGAGCUCAGUGAACUCGCAUUCUCAAAAUGCGAGCUCAGUGAACUCGCAUUCUCAAAAUGCGAGCUCAAUUGGAGCUCGCAUUUUCAGAAUGCGAGCUCAGUGAGCUCCCACUACCCAGUGCCAAGACCCCAUUUCAAUUUCAGUAUGUCAAAUGUUGUGUAACCGGUGAUUUUUAUCUAAAAAUAUCUACAUUCGCAUCAAUUGUAAAAGGUAAAACACGCAAGAUUUAAUCGCUAGAUAUUUGAUUUCUUUUCCUUUUCAACUACCAAACAAAUAACAUGCACGUCAUAAAAAUAACUUAUAUAAUUUUUAAUUAGCAUUGCGUUAUGGAAUUUCUAAAAUUACAAUAAAAAAAUUGUAACAGAUAUUAAUGACUAUUAAUUAUUAGAUUCUUAUAACUAAUAUUCAUCGUUGUCAACAAAUAAAUACGAUUCAUUAAUAACAAAGGAAAAUUAGAAUUUGAUAAAUAAAUUUAUUUCACAAAAAAGGAUCAAAAGUUAGUAUUUUAUUCAUAAAAUAUAGUCAACACCUUACAUGUUAAUAAUUUCAUUCUAUUUUUACAUUGAUCUAAUUUAUUUCCACCAUUUAAAUGUAUUAUAAUAAAAUAACGUAUUUCAUAAAUUUUUUUUAAGGAAUGCAAACGCGCAUGUGACAUCUUAAAACAUUUUGUUUUAGUACAAAAAUAUAAAUCUCUGCCUCCAAAAAAAAAAGAAAAAAAAUUUGCAUCUCUGUAAUGCGAGCUCUGUUGAGCUCGCAUUUCAGGAAUGCGAGCUCUGUUGAGAGCUCGCAUUCGUGAAAUGCGAACUCUCCUGAGCUCGCAUUUCACGAAUGCGAAGACCCCCCGACAGAAUUCCUCGCCACAAUCACCCCUUUUGUAGAAUUUUUUUAAAAUUCAUCACAAACUUAGAAAUUUCUCUGAAACCGAUAUUGAUCAGUAAUUGCCUGUACGAAAAGAGUUGGAAUGGAUUGUCAGUGGAGAAAAUCAACAUUUGUUUGCUUUAAAAGAAAAAAAAAAUCAAAGGACAGAAAAAUUAUUCUCCGAAGAAAUUUAUGAGCCUAGACAAUAGAAAAAUAUUAUCAUUCUUAAAGUUAUAAGCCAAGAGAAUAGGAAAAGUGUUGGGAUCCUUGAAAAUUAGUUAUCCAUGUAAGCUUAAUCAGUUUACCCAGGCAAAGAUACAACAAAUAUGCUCCUUUCUUGGUUUGCCAAUAAAGGCUAAGAACCAAGCAUUUUGUCGGAACCGUUCAAUUUGAGAUUGUCCGUGGCCUCAUCUUUCUCAACAGAAACUGUCUGUUACUGCAUGAAAUGAAUUUGUGGUUGUUUUGUCUGGUACCAGAAACCUAUAUAAAGCAUCCUGUUUCACAAAAUUAUUCAGACUCAGGGCACAGAAGAGGUAAGGCUCUUUUGUGUAGUAAAUAAGAGACCCCUCUUAAGAGCUCUGUUAAAUUCUUUCUCUGAUCAAGGGAAAGAUAAUCUCACGAAAAAGAAAAAAACAGCAACACCAAAAAUACCAAAAAGAAAAUGGGUAGUGAAGGAAAGAAGAAGGCAGCCAUUCUUGGCGUGUCUUCCAUUCUCCUGGUGGCAGCUGUAGUUGGGACAGUCACCUACUCCGUUGGUCGCCAUGGCACGGAAACCGCCACAUCUGGUGGUGGUUCUGAUCAAGUAUCAACCUCCUCAAAGUCCGUGGAAUCCGUUUGCAAGCAUGUGGAUUAUAAGCAAACCUGUGAACAAAGCCUGUCAGGAGCCAAGAACACCAGCGACCCCAGAGAACUCAUCAAGCUCGCAUUCACAGCCGCAGUUGAUAACAUUGCAAGUGUCAUCCAGAACUCCACUCUUCUCCAAAACGCCGCCAAGGACCCCAGGACCCAUCAGGCUCUGGAAACUUGCAAGUAUGCCCUCAACACAUCCAUUGAGGACCUCCAGAGGUCCUUUGAAACAGUUGGCACCUUUGAUAUCAACAAGAUUGACGACUAUGUCGCCGAUCUCAAGACAUGGUUGAGUGCUGCAGGCACUUUCCAGGAAACUUGUUUGGAUGCAUUUGAGAAUACAACAGGUGACACCGGUGAGCAGAUGAAGAAACUCCUCAAGACUGCUGGUGAGCUCACAAGCAACGGUCUUGCCAUGGUUACUGAUAUUUCUGAGGUCUUGACAAACUUCAACAUCCAAGGCUUCAAGAGAAGGCUCAUGUCUUCUUCUGUUGAACCUGACUUUGUUGAUGCUACGGCACGCAAGCUCAUGGCUGCCAGCACUGCUUCCCUCAAGCCUAAUGCCGUGGUUGCUCAAGAUGGCAGUGGCCAAUUCAAGUCUAUCAUGGCUGCUGUUAAUACCGUCCCUAAGAAGAACAACCAAACCUUUGUCAUUUUCAUCAAGGCUGGUAUCUACAAGGAGUAUGUUACGCUCCCAAAGCACGUUAACGGCAUUGUCCUCGUUGGAGAAGGCCCAACCAAGACUAAGAUUACUGGAAACAAGAACUUCGUUGAUGGAGUUGGCACUUUCCAAACACCAACACUUUGUAAGUCGCAUUAUAACUUCAUUUGCUUAGCCAGUGUAGGUAUUUCAUUACAGAUGGAGACUGGAAUUGCAUUCUAUUAAUUGAAUACAAUUCCAAUUUUCAUACUAAUUGGUCUACGGUUGCAAAUAUCAUAAGAAAUCUUUAAAAUGAAGAGUCUCUCGAAUGGGAAAGAAACACAACAUUAACCUCAUGGUAUCAUUACUGACCACUUUUUUUGCAGCCGUGAACGGAGAUGCCACCAUCCUCAAGGACUUGGGAAUUGAGAACUCAGCCGGGGCAGUAAAACAUCAGGCCGUGGCACUUCGAGUUUCUGGCGAUAGGACAAUCGUUUACAACUGCCAGAUCGAUGCCUACCAAGACACACUCUACACCCAUACCUACCGCCAAUACUACCGCAACUGCACCAUCAGUGGAACCAUAGAUUUCAUCUUUGGUGACGCCUCAGCUGUAUUCCAGGACUGCAAGAUGGUUGUCAGGAAGCCAAUGGAAAACCAGGGUUGCAUGGUCACAGCUCAAGGAAGGAAAGAGAGACGCGGCAUUGGAGCCAUUGUUCUCCAAAACUGCCAAAUUGUUGCCGAUCCAGCUUUCUUGGCCGUUCAGCCACCAAUCAAGGCCUACCUCGGACGUCCAUGGAAGGAGUUCUCAAGAACCAUCAUCAUGCAGACUUCCAUUGAUGGAUUCAUUGCUCCAGAGGGAUGGUCCCCAUGGAUGGGCAACUUUGGCAUGGACACUUGCUAUUAUGCUGAGUACAACAACAGGGGUCCUGGUGCUGAUACUAGCAAGAGAGUUCAAUGGAAGGGUAUCAAGAAGAUUACUCCUCAGAUUGCUCAGAGCUUCACCCCAGGGGCCUAUAUUCAGGGCGAUGCAUGGAUCACAGCCUCCGGCGUACCCUAUGCUUCUGGCAUGCAAGUGUAAAAAGAAUCAUUUUAAUGCGCGAUUUCAGUUGAUGUAAAAUGAGGAAUAACCUGGCUUUUAGUGCAUGAAACUUCCGGCAACUUUUUGCUCUUUUUUUUUUCUUUUUAGUUUGUUACAACAUUAAUCUUGUUCUCUUUUUGUAAAACGUUCUGAUCAAUAAAAGAAAAAAAAAUUCAUAUUUGUUGGCAUUUAUCACUUGUAUUACUUUGUCCUCGGGACAUGGAUAACUGUACUUCACAAGAUGAAUUGAAUUUUUGAAUUAAUAAAUUCAUGACUUCUUCAAUAUUGAAAAACUUCUAUGCAUGUUAUACACAAUACUUCUAUAUACACAACAACCCAGAGGCCCGAGUAUUUAGAAGUUGACAAAAAAAAAAAAAGAAAAAUAAAAAACAAGAGUGCCGUGUUGUUUAGAAGUUUUAGAGGUUGUUUGGUGAAUAGGCAUCAAAAUUAACAGGCAUCAUUCCCUACUUGGGGCUUGGAUUUCAAUAAAUCUAUUAACCCAUUAGUAAAAUAAGAUGCAUUCUUGUUCCAAACUCAAGUGGUGAGGGAAACGACGCCAAUCCAUGUACGUAUUGGAGUUUAUGAUUGUGAUUUCGAUUUCGAGAAUGUCGACCAAACGCCUCCCUCUGGAGACUAGGGGUGAUAGAUGAAGUUGAUAGAUGAGGGACGAAUGUAGUCAGAAGGCAUUUUUUCCGCAGUUCUUUUGGCAGCUAAAGAGUCUUCUUGAGUGGAGGUUUCCACGGUUUCUCUAGGGGCUGGCUUCUUGACAUUAUGAUACUUUUCUUCCCCGAUAUAUCUAGCAUAAGUCUCUUGUUUUGGUUUUAAAUUUUACGAGUAUAAUACGAUCAAUAUUCAUGGUUACUUUGUUUAAAUGUAAUGGAAUUUAAUCUCUCCUAAAGCCCAUUUGUUGCCUUCAUGCUAAGGCUGCAAACGAAUCGAGCCGCUCGCGAGUUCGAGUUUAAGUUCGACUCGAGUUCGGUCAAUAUCAAGUUCGAUCUGAUCAAGUCGAACUCGAGUUCAAAAAUACUCAAUUCGUUAGUUCACAAGCCGAAUCUAAUAUAUAUAUAUAUAUAUAUAUAUAUAUAUAUUAAUAAUAAAAUUACAUAUAUAUAUCUCUAAUAUUUUAUUAUUUGUUAUAAAAAACUAUUAUUUUUAUUCAUUUUUUAAAAAUAAAAUAAUUUUUUUUAAAUUUUUUUAAGCUCAAACUCGAGUUUUACAUUAAAAACUCGUCAAGCUCGAUCUCGAGUUUGAGUUUCACAAAAUUAAAUUGAAACUCGAUUAGAUUAGAUUAAAAUUCGGCUCGACGCGUCUCAUUUGUACCGCUAACGUAACUUUAUCAUCAAGAACCAAAUCAACUAGUGGAUAUACCGUCUAACUUUGAGUGCAAGCAACAAAUCGAUCUCUCUUUUACCUAGGUAGCUUUUGGGCACUUCAGAUCCUCAGCCUAGUUAUGAAGUUCCCUUACCAAUUCUCAUUCUUCAAAUUCUAACACGUCGCGUGAAUUCACUUAGAUCAAUUCUUACAAUACAACGUAUUACAUGUGUCAGGAUUUGAAGAGUGCGGUUUGAUAAGGGAUUUCAUAUUGGAGUUGAGGAUCGGCAGUGCUUUUGGGAAAGCAAGUUCUAUUCUUGUUAAUGGCCAACUGACAAGCCUGUUGAUCAUUCAUUAAACAGUGAAAAUGCUUCAAAUAUUAUGAACGAAUCCACCAUUUUCUCUGAUAUAUAUGUUUCACCAAGGAUUUCAAACAAAAAGUUAGCUCUUAGCCUCCGUUGCAAUGUCGUCGAGUACAAUUAUUCCAACUCCCACAAAAUCUUCUUUUCAUCUCUUUUCUUUUUCCACUUUUAAACUAGUUGCAAACAGUGUAUCACUCUAAGAUCGAGAACUUUGAUGGAAGCACGAUGUAGCCAAUCUAGAGCUCAAAAAUCAACCUAGAUAGGGAUUUUUUUCCUUGUUCAUUCGUUUUCUUUUUAAUUUCGAGAACAAUAAUUAAUCCUAGUUAAAGAAUAUUUCAUAUUUUAUAUUUUUAUCUAUGUUUUGCAAAUUACAGAAGAGGGAAAAAAAAAGGAAAAACUCAAUUCUCCACAUUAUCUAUUCCGGAAGGAGGAAAAAAAAAAGAUUACAAUCUUUACUCCAUGCAAUCUGCAAUGAAACGGACUAUUCAGUCGAACGAUGAAUGCAAUAAUCAAAAGCUAUAUAUGGACACGUUGAGUUUGUCAGUGGGUUUCAAUGAUAGUCAGUCUUUUUUAAAUGACUCAAUUAUUAGUUCUAAUAUUGAUUUAAUCUUGUGUUGGAUAUGGGUAGAUGUCCAUGAUUUUUAUUGUUAGUCAAUAAUAACAUAUCCAAAAUCACACAUUGAUAAAAUGCACAUGAAGAAUUUGAUAAAAUGCACAAAAAAAGGAAAAAAGUCGAACUAAUUUUUUUUUUUUUAAGGCUAAAAAUCAUCCCAACGUUGGUGAUGGAAUUUAAUUAAAACUUUUACGACCAGAGCUAUGAGCCGUUGAAUUAGCAAGUUGUAAUUGGCUAUUGAUCAACUUACAGGGAAAUUCUAUAGGUUGCUCAAUGGUCACCAUAAAACUUGUCAUCAUGUCAAUGUGGUGACAAUAAAUAGAUUGAUAAGAAAAUAUCAGAGGGAGAAAGAUUUUUUUUUUUUUUUUGUAACUUAAAGAAUGACUUCUUUUUUUUUUUUUUUUGGGUAACGUGUUAAACCCAAUAUUUUCAUCCCAUAGGAAAACGAAUUAGUUACCACGAGGUGCAAUUUAAACAUCAUAUCCUUCUGAUCCUUUUUUUUUUUUGUCGAUGGAGUGGGUGUCCGGGUCAAGUCUGUAAAGGCGGCCCGACUAAUCCCACUCCGGCCCGGUCCAGCGCCCCAACCAGACCUAGUACGUUAGAUGCACGGAGAAGCCGAUGUUGCUGCGGAGAUUCGAUCCCAGGACCUGACGGUCCCGAAGAAGAGGCGCCAAUCACCAGCCCAUUCACGUGAGGGCUUCUGACCCUUUUGCCAAGGUGGAAAAUGUCAUACGCCCUCAAGUUAAUAUUUGCGAGACAACAAGCAUACAUAUUCAGUAAGUCCAUAGAAUCUUCUAAAGCUAACAGUCCCUUAGAUUCCAAAACUACGGGAGCCCAGCGAAUUCAUAAUUAUCGACCAGUCAAAUGAAUGUGUCAUUCUCACGAAAAGUUUACUCAGCCAAAGACACAACACAUACCUGUUUUUGAAUGGCUGUCCUACAUUUUCUUGGCCUAUAAAUGCUAAGGACCAUCGUUCUGUGAUGUCCGAAAAUAAAGAAGGCCCUCAGCCAAACGCUAUCUAACAGAAUUUGACUGUCAAAUUGCAUGGUUAUAUUCCUCGCAUCUUCAUCUCUAUAUAUAAGAACCAUUUCCCACAUUUAUCCAGACAGUGGAGGGGUAUCAAAGACCCUUGUGUCUUUACUAAUAACCUUUCUCUAAUUCAAGGGAAAGAGUGGGCUCGUUAGAAUUCGAAAAUAUAAAAUAUAUCAAAUAGAAAGAAUUACUUUUAACACGAUAUAUAUAUAUCAUCAAUGGGUUAUGACGAUAGUUCAAGGAAUAAGAAGCUCGCCAUUCUGAGCGUCUCUUCAAUCCUCCUUGUGGCAGCCGUAGUUGGUGUCGUGACUUAUGGUUCUAGCCAUAAGAAUGUUGAAUCGCCGUCCGCCGGGGCAGAUGCCACGCCUGUAACAUCUUCCUCCAAGGCUAUACAAAGCCUUUGCCAGCAUACUGAUUAUAAGGAAACCUGUGAAGAUAGCCUGUCAAAAGCCAAGAACACCAGUGACCCCAGAGAACUUGUAAAGGUUGCCUUCCAAACAACGGUUGAUAACCUCGGCGAAGUCAUCAAGAACUCAUCUCUUCUCCAGAAUGCUGCCAAGGACCCCAGGACUUCUGAGGCCCUGGACAUUUGCAAAGAAGUUUUGAACACUGCGAUUGAUGACUUCAAGAGGUCCUUCGAUAAGGUUCAGGACUUUGAUAUCAGCAAGUUGGAUGACUACGCGGCUGAUCUCAAAACAUGGUUGAGUGGUGCAAUCACGUUGCAACAGACUUGUUUGGAUGCUUUUGAGAAUACAACAGGUGAUACCGGAGAGAAAAUGAAGCAACUCAUGAGAACUGCUGUUCAGCUCUCUAGCAACGGCCUUGCUAUUGUCACAGAUUUCUCCGAGAUUUUAGGAACCUUGGCAAUCCCCGGCCUCAGCCGAAGACUCCUGUCUGCUGAAAAGAGAAAGCUUGAUGAGGAAAAUUUUGUUGAGCGUAGGCUCCUUCAAGUUGACCCUGCUUCAAUCAAGCCUAAUGCCAUAAUUGCUCAAGAUGGAAGUGGCACCUUCAAGACCAUUCGGGAUGCUAUUAAUACUGUCCCCAAGAAUAACACUACACCCUUUGUCAUUCUUAUCAAGGCUGGUGUCUACAAGGAAGUCAUUUUAAUCCCAAGACGCAUAAACAAUGUUGUGAUUAUGGGAGAAGGCCCAAAUGUUACCAAGAUCACCGCAAACAAGAACUACGUUGAUGGCAUUGGCACUUUCCACACUGCAACUGUUGGUAAGUUGGGCGCGCUAAUUACUUUACUGCAUCAAAAGGAUUUAUUGUUGAGGGUGUUUUUCUUCCUGUCUAUCAGAAACUCAGAAUUGAUGAUCAAAAUCUUAUUUCAAUUCUAAGACUCUGAUAUGUAGAGUACAAUAGGCAACCUUAGUAGCAGAUUAGCAGUGCUAAGUAAUUUCUUACCAUAGUUGGAAUCAGAUUGAUGUUAGUAACUGCAUUGCUGGACCAUUUUUUCUCAUUGUGCUCUUGAAAUGAUACAGCCAUUAAUGGAGAUGGAUGCAUCCUUAGAGACAUUGGAAUUGAGAACUCAGCUGGACCAGAAAAGCAUCAGGCUGUGGCACUUCGUGUUUCAGGCGAUAGGACCAUUGUUUACAAUUGCCAAAUAGAUGGCUACCAAGAUACCCUUUACAGCCAUACCUACCGCCAGUUCUACCGCGACACAACCAUCAGUGGAACCAUAGAUUUCAUCUUCGGCGAUGCUGCAGCAGUUUUCCAGAACUGCAAGCUGAUUGUGAGGAUGCCACUUGUGAACCAAGCUUGCAUGGUCACAGCUCAAGGCAGGAAUAACAGCCGCAGCACCGGAGCCAUCGUCCUCCAAAACUGCUCAAUCGUGGCAGACCCUGCUUUGCUGUCUGCUGAUCCACCAGUCAGGGCAUAUCUUGGACGUCCAUGGAAGGAAUACUCAAGAACCAUCAUCAUGCAAUCCAACAUCGACGGAUUCAUUGAUCCACAGGGAUGGUCCCCAUGGAUGGGUACUUUUGGGCUGAAAACGUUGUACUAUGCUGAAUACCAGAACAGAGGUCCAGGUGCCAAUACAGAUCAGAGAGUUGAUUGGCUAGGUAUCCAACAUAUCACUCCACAGGUUGCUGAGAGCUUCACUCCUGGCAAAUAUUUUAUCGGUGAUUCAUGGAUUACAGCCUCUGGCUUUCCCUACGUUCCUGGCAUGAUGAAAGUGUAAAACUACUAAACCCCACACUUUCCCCCAGCCCCCCAUAUGAUGGGACUCAAUGUACAACUACGACAUAACUCAACAAGAAAGUGAAUUUACCAUAAUGAAUUCUAAUGACAUUCUUCUUGGUACAUGGCAAGUCAGUAUUACUUGAAUCCAGCAUAGAGAUCUUUCUACUUUUCUUCUUGUUCUUAACUUCAUUGGACAAUAUUUUUACCUGUUCAAAGAUACUACUAAAUAACGAAGUGUUCCACUGAAUGCAUGUCUUAGACAGGGGAAGAACUAGAAAUUGAAUUCAGCAGGGGCAAACUAUGUGUAAUAAUUCACAAUUUCUUUAUCUCAAUUCUAGAUCAAUUGAUAAAGAGUAAAUUCUAUACACGCUGUCAGUGUAUACACUAUCACAAUUAGAUAAAUAACACAUGAACAAAUUUUUAAUUUCAAAUUCAAAUUUUACAUGUGUCAUAUAUAUAAUGGUGACAGUGUAUAUAAGAUUAAUCAUCAAAAUUAAUUUUCAUCAUUUGUAUCUAUGGCUUGGAAUUUUUUUUAAAGACUCGCUCGAGGAUUUAUAAAUCACACGGACAAACACUUUGGAAAUAUAGGGAUAAUGAGAUUAAAUAGCCAUAAGUUUGGGAAAAAUAGUGAAUAGAGAUAAAUUUAGGAAAAAAUAGCGGAUAAAAGUAGUUACAACAUCUCUAACACUAAAAUUAAAAAAAAAAUCUCUACACUCUAAUUUUCUGUAUUUUAAAAUCUAAAAGUUAGACAAGAUAUUAUACUACAUUUGAACAACUGUUUUCAUAUCAAAAGAAAACGUUGUGCAACUCAAAAGGAUACUUGCAUGCAUCUUUGCCAGUGUUUGGGAGUAUUCCAAAGAUGAAAUUGAGCGGGCCCCAAACAAGUUUUGGGUCUGGCCUCCUAUGAUUGUUGGAACAUUCCAUGCCAGCCUUUACUUUUGAACCCACAAAAGAGGAUGGACAUAUACUUCUGUCCAAAAGCAAAAAGGGCCAGUAAGCCCAAUUACACCUGGGCGGGAAAAAUCACCCAAAAAUUUUGAAACCUUUCACGCACUAAAACACUUCAAUCUACACACACAACACGCCAAAGUUCCAAACACUCUCUCCUGUGUCUAGGCUUCAUCCAAUUUAAUUUUCCUCUUCAUUUCUUGGUUAAAAAAUUUGGGAGUUCCAAAACUCCAUUUUUUCAACAACCCAGCUUCUAGGUUUUCUAUCUUUGACCCCAAAUGAUGAAAUUUUGAUGGCAGAAAAACCCGCCCAGUAAUGGACUGUUCUAUUCGGUCGAUUGAAGAUGAAUAACACUCAAGAUCAACAACCCGAGUCCACCGGAAUAUUUCAUUCGGUACAACCUCUUCGUGACCUCGAAUCAAAUUGGGCUGUGGAUUUAGCAAAGAAUCUUUCGGAAUAUUUGCUUAAGAUCUGCUCCGGUGAAAUUACCUCCGACGACCACGAUGUUCCUCAACUCUCCGUAAAUUUUGCCGAAGGUCUUGUCAAAUUUUGCUAAUAAUAAGAUGAGGGUUCUUGAUUAUUCCCAAAUUCUGGGCUGAUUUUGAUAUUAUGUUUUGGGAAUUUUGUGUUAGCUGCUUUGCUGCUGCAGGGUUCGGUGCAAGUGUACAGUAGAAAGGUGGAAUAUUUAUAUUCUUUGGUUUUGCAUGCGUUGGAGUUCAUUUCCCAGAAGAGGUUUGGUUCCUUAAGUCCAUUUAUACAUCUUUCAUAUAUUUACUUCUAGUAGACUAUUUUAUUUUAUUGACAAACGGAAUUAUUGCAAUAUGUAAUAGGACAAUACAUAAUUAUGGAGUAAAGGUUGUCAAUUGGCAUUUUAAGUUUCUGGAUUUGAAGUAAAGUUUCAAACUUUGUUAGUUUAGUCAUCUGGGGAUAGGAGAUUUGCACACAAUCUGUUAGCCUUUCCCUUGGAUUGGUUAGUAGGGAAUCGAAGUUAACGUCCUUGGUGUUUGUCUGUUUUAUACUGUGUUGACUGUAGCUAAAGUAUUGGCAUCUGGAAUUCUGCUGAAACAACGAGUUUAGGGACUCUCAAUGUGACAGUUAGGCUGUUCAUUAAGGAGGCAUAACAAUUAGCCGCUCUUUAACUGGUGACUUAGUUGCAAUGAGCUACAUUUUUUUCUAUAACUUAUAUAUUUAUUAUUUCAAUAGGGUGAUUUAUCAGGUGUGAUAGCUGGUUAACCUUCUUAGAAAUGAAUGUUUAUGCAACAUUUAGAUUUUGUUUGCACAUGUGCUUCUGGUUUCAGUCCUCCAUAGUGUGUCAAUCUUAUAAUAAUUUUCCGUAAGUAAUUAUUUUCACACUGACAAUUUGUUUAGCUUUUCACUGUUAAAAAAGAAAUUUUUUUUUUUUAAAUUUAACUUCUGUUAUGUUUGUCUAUGAACAAAGUAUGCAGCUAGAUUAAUCUUUCUUUCAAUUUGAUAAAAAAAGCUAAAAAAUUAAGUUAGUCUUGCUACUGUUCUUCAUUUGGAAAAUUCAAGCCUUUGGUGGAAUUGAAUGGAGAAUUUUUAGACAUUUGCGUGUCAGGAGCAUGUGAAAGCUGUGGUGUAAUGAUAUAAUCUAAGACUUGCAUAUAUUUAAAUUUCUCGAAUGAGUUGUUAGCUGUGGCAUUUGUUUACAGUAGAAGUUCUUUUUUUUUUUUGUGAACUGGAGAGAAACUCUGCUCCUUUAGUUAGAUAAACUCAAACGUGGUUUUAAUUGAUUGAAUUUCAUGGUAAUCAGUUGUACAGCAUAACACAUUUACCUAGAGGAGAAGAAGAAAAAUAUGUUGUGCAGUUUUUUGAUGUAAAACAUAUGCCAUAGUGUAACACUUAUGGUUAUGCGAGUUCUUUUGGCGACCUUUAAGUUAAUUCCUUAUGAUUUGGUUUUUUUCCACAUGCCUUCCCAUAAUUUCAACCAAAUUAGUGAACUCUGUUGAAAGUUGGAUUCAUGAGAGCAUUGCUGUUCCUAAGAUAGUUUUAUAUAAUUGUUAUUUUAUGUUGAACAAUGAUGAGCAUAUGGGGCCGGGGAACUGAGGGGCAUAACAGGCAAAUAGUCCUUAAUUUGGGCAGAACUGCCCCAUUAGUGCCGCGGAAGCGUCAUUAAAGUUAAAGACUCAUGAUUUGAAUUGCUUCUUUCACAUGCUCAUGUGUCUGCUAAAAUUUCUAUGGUAUGCCAUUGAAACAUUGUCAUCUGAUUUAAGCAUUAACUUAAACAUUAAAGAUUUAGCACUUAAUGGAAUAUAAAAAUCGAUUUCUUUAAAAGUUGGAUACCAUUAGAUUUCGUCCUUAGUUUAUGGUUGACAUGUGCAGUUCUGGUUGCAUUUAUAAGUACUCAUUAUCCAGGAUCAAACUUCACUAGUUGUUUAAAUGGAUAAGGAAAUUUUUGGCAAGAAUGAGAUAUUGGUGAAAAGAGAUUUGCAUUUGCAAAAUUUGUAUAAGUUACCAAUUAUUUAUCAUUUUCUUUUUAACUUCUUAUAUGAGUAGUUCACAAGAACAAGGAACGAGUGCAUCAGCCCAAUCAGAAGAAAGUGGUUUAGAGGCUCCUCAUGAGGAAGAAGAUGAUAGAUUUUGGGGCUUAGAUGACAUUCCAGGUAUGUUGUUUCUUUUUUAUCUUGUUGUGAUAUGGUUGCAAAACAUCUCUUGGAUUAAAACUUUUCUGUGUUGCAGUUGAAGCAAAGAAUAUAUUAGAUAGUGUGAAUGGCAAAGAUAUACCAGCACAUCAUUUUGUGAGACCCCCUGCAAAUUUGGUUGUCCUUGAAGGUGAUUGCUUAGAUGCUAUUGGAGAUGCUGGGGAACUAGAGUCCUAUCUGGUAUUUGUUAAGUAUUACGAACGUGGUUUGUCUAAGGAUGCUCUCAUUCUCAAUACAUGUCAUUUUGUGCUUGCAGCUAGCCACCAAUGAUCUUUUCCAGGAUUUUAUUUUGUUAGACUCAUCUGAUGCAGUAGCAGUCAUCGACUUCUUGAACAGUCAGAGUAAAGCUGGAAAACUCCACAAUGAUGUCUGUAGAGGAAGCUCCUUGAACUGUAAAAGUUGCAAGAGCUUUCAGUCCCCAACCAGACGUUCUGGGGGUACCGGCCACAAGCUGUCGGCUCAAAAAUAUCAAGAUGCUGAAAUCAAUCAGUCUCCAUUGGUCGAUCAUGGUGUCAAAUUGAAUGACCAUGGUGUUGGGUCUUCUCUGCCUGCCUAUGAUUUUCCUGGAGAUGACGGUGGUCAUUUCAACAUGGAAAAUGAGUAUGCCGAAUCAGAUGAUUCUGAUAGUGAUGAUCCAUGGAAACCUCUCAAUCCCCAUGAACUAGGGAAUUUAAAAGUCAAGCCUUAUAAAAGAGGUUAUUAGACUAUUCUGUUGCCAUUCUUGCUCUUUUCCUGUCUUAAAUAAACGCCUGAUUUGUUAAAUUUUCAUUUUGUUCCAAGCAGUCAAAGUGAAAGGAAAGCUGGUGGCCAAUUGGCGGAAAUCUGAUCCUCUGAUGGCAGAGUUUCCUCUUGCAAGACAAGAUGGUCCUAGUUCAGAACUCGCUGAAAUAUGGGAAGCAAGAUGCUCCACCUUACAGAGGCCAGCAGAACCACAUUCUCCUCCACUCUUUGAGAAGGUUGGUUUAUCUGUGUUAUACGUUUUGCUCUGAGUUGGACUUCUUUUCUAUAUUGACAAACCAUUGUUUGCAGCUGCGGCAAUCAUUUUUUGUUCGAGGGAGGAACACAGAAUACAAUGCUGUUCCUAAUCCUAAAGAGAACAACACAGAUGAUGGAUAUGACAGUGAGGAUCCAGGAAAUGAGCCGCCUGAUUUUGACAUGCCAGAGGAUACAUACAUUUAUGAAGAUGUACCUCAGCAAGAUAAGGUUAGGCAGGCUGUUGAUGUGCUUCCAUAUUUGAAACUUGUAUGUGUGGUGAAAUGGUGGUGUUGUGCACAUCUAGACAAAUGGUUCACUUUUCAACUUUUGUGUAGCAUGAUGGUGACAUUCACUUGGACCGAGAUGAAGGUUAUGAAAAUCCCACUUCUCAUGCAAGCCUUGAAGAUCUUUGUCGCUCCCACUUGGUAAGCCACAGAAACGCUUCCUAUCUCAGUCAGCUGAUUAAAGGUUGACUUCUUAUCUUGGUUGUCACUGUUUAGUGUGAGCAUGUCUGCUCGGAGGAGGUCAUAUAUUUGAAUGGGUAAACAAUGUAUUUGGAGGGAAACACAGAAGCUCAAAAUUCAUAUUGUGAGAUAGGCACUUUCUUAAUCUUUUCUAGUUUUCAGUUUCUCUUGGUGCUGCCGUAUAAAAUUGUGGUUUGUAUGUCUGGAUCUCGAAGAAACUGCAUGCGUUUCUCAAUAGUGAUUUGAAUUGUACAAUGAAGUGGGAUCACUAGGUUUUGCCAAAAGAAGUUCACAAUGCCAUAUUCAAGUGUUGAACUGUAAUUCCUUCUCAUGCAGAAGUGUCUUUGAAUUGUCUAGGUGCAAUAUUGACUUAGUGAAACUAUAUUGAUAUCUGUAGGAUUCUCUCCUUGCUAGUCUUGCUGAAACUGAGAAACAGACGGAAUUAGCUGCUCGGGUUUCAACAUGGAAACAGAGAAUUGAGCACAACUUGGAAGAGCAAGUUUGUGCAUACCACAUGUCUAUAGUUAUUUGAUAUCCAUCUUUCUACUGGUAUUUCCAUAACGUGCUUCUGAUGCGAGCCAAUAUUGACACUCUGACAGGACGCGCGGCCUCCAUUUGAUAUUCAUCAGUAUGGUGAAAGGGUUAUGGAUAAGCUACAUAUGGCAGGAGACACCGGAAUUUCCAUGUCUUUUGCUGAUGUGGUCAAGGGCCAAGAAAAGCACGAUGUUGCUCGAACAUUUUCUGCUCUUCUUCAAUUGGUAAACCCUUCACUUUGGACUUAGAUUAUCUUGCAAACCGACGAUUCUAACCAAUUUCUAAUUAGGGCGUGCAUGAGAAACUUUCCCACAAGAAUUCUGGUUGAGUUGGAGGAGUAAUUUAUUUGGAUUCGUAUUUUAUAUAAUAAGGAUGAGGUGGCAUUGUCCUAAAUUUCGACCUUCUCAUCUCUACGAACAGGUGAACGAUGGAUACGUGGAUUUGGAGAAGAGUGGGGGUGAUGGUGGAUCUAUCUGUUACACGGUCGGGAAUCCAUUUCUCGUCCAUCUGCUCCAAAACGAGAAGCGAAGUGAUGUAGCACCGCCUCAACUGUCAAAGAAGAGAGCUAAAUCUCCCAAGGGUCCUAAAGGGUGCACUAGAGGUGAAAGGCACAAGAAGCCUGGUAAGGAAAACUGCCCCGUUGCAGCAGACAUACCAAUACCAUCUUCAGUAUCCACCUCGACUUGUAGACUCUCUGUAAAACUGGGAAAGCCUGGUGGUGUCUCGAAAAUCUGUACUCCUGAAGGCAAAAAGAGGCGAAAAUCGCGCUUGGUUGAACCGGUGAACUUACAUCUAGCAGGAUAACAGAGUGAGAAUGUUAUACUGUGGACCUUAACAGAUCAUUUGCUGAAUGGAGUGUAGUAAUGUAGAAGACAAAGGUGGAAUUAGAGCUGUAGUAAUUCUAACAGUUAGUAGAGAAGUUGAUUAGCUAAAGCUGAUACCUAGAAUGUACUGUACUAAAAGAUGAUCGUAAUUUGUAACAUAUAUUAUUAUUAUUAUUAUUCUUUAGACCCAUUCUGCAAAUAAAAUCAAAUCAAAUCAAUUAAAUUAAAUGCCCUUAAUGAAAGCCUCACAUGAUUGUGGAUAGAAAAUAAAAUAAAAUGGUGGGAAGUAUUUGGAAUUUUGAAGAGUUAAAGAACUCGUACGAGGAUCGAUCGGGUGGCUUAUUAUUAUUGUCCUAACUCCGCACGUAAACCAUCUUCUCCGUGCAGUGUAUUUCAACGCAGAAACGUGACCCUUUUUUUCAAGCGUGUUUUCUUUGACUGAACUAAAGUUUACGGUGAAAGAUGGUGGAUCCAAGUGGAGCUCGUUGAAAAUUGUCAAUGCUGUCAGGUGACAGCAGAAGUCAUCCUUUUGAAGUAGUUGAAUAAAAGAAGACCCUCAGAAGUCAUCCUUAGGAUCUAGCAGGCUCCCUCGUGGAGGUUGAUAUCCCACGUCGGAGUGGGGGGGGGGGAAAUUUGGGUGGUUAGUAUAUAAGUCUCCUGUGAAAUUCUCAAAAGUUGCCGGUUUUUAUGGAUUCCCACAGGGUUAAGAUUCAUAGAAAAACGUCCAAAAGUCCGCUGACUUUGACAAAAAAAAAGAAUAAAAGAAGACCAAUAAUAUCUUUUCCUUUCUUUCUAUCUUUUAUUUAUAUAUAUAAAAUUGGAAUUCAGCUUGGGAAGACCUGCCUCCACGUUGAAAUGCCGAUGAACUGCUUGCUUUAAUCGUCUUAUUGCAAGUUCCAGGCAAAUGAGUUACGUUCCUUAUUAUUCCCACUCUCUCUGGUCUCCUGAUGCUAAUGCUGAUGUCAGUCAACGUUUGUAGUUUGAAGCUGGUCAAGGUCAAGGACUGUCUCAACAACUUUCCGCUUGUUUGUUUGCAUUGGAAAGGAAAGGAAAGGAAAUGUCUGGUGGCAGUUUUGGCUUUUGCUGCUUUCACAGCUUACUAAAAAUUCCCUUCGCUAAUCAGCAGCAACUAAUAAGAAAAACAAUCCCAAGCUGGCAUCAUCCCUUAAAAUUAGUGUGACACACUUGCAAAGAAGCUCAAAUCCUUCGUUCUAUUUUCUUUUGUUAGUCAGAAGGUGAAGAGAAAUUACGCGUGCGUCACGGGAAUGGAAAACUUUUAUCUUAGCCCACUUGGAAUCUUGAUUUAUUUCUUCACCUUUAUAAUUAAAUACUACUAAUAUCAGAAGGUGCACCCUAUCUAAUCUGUCACGCAUAACAUAUAGGCUAUCGAAAUUUCUCCAAUUAAUGGGACAAAGCGAAUUCUAUAGGCAUAAACUCUUGUACUCUAUAUAUAUAUAUAUAUAUAUAUAUAUAUAUAUAUAUAUAUAUCCAAAGGCAUUAUUAGUCCAAGUCAAUUUCCAUGGAGCUGUCCAGCAUUCUACGUCAACAAACAAUCAGAGAUUGAAAGAGUAGUUCCAAGGCUUGUAAUCAAUUACAAAGCCUUCAAUAAAGCCCUUCGAUGGAUCAGAUAUCCUAUACCAAACAAGAAUGAUUUACUUCAAAGGCUUUAUUCUGCCAAGAUAUUCUCAAAAUUCGAUAUGAAGUCAGGAUUUUGACAAAUUCAAAUUCGUAUCUCAGACAGAUACAAAAUAGUAUUCACAGUACCAUUUGGACAUUACAAAUGAAACGUGAUGCUAUUUGGACUUAAAAAUGCUCCUUCUGAAUUCCAAAGGAUUAUGAAUGAGAUAUUUAGUUCUUAUUCCUCAUUUAUCAUCGUAUAUAUUGAUGAUGUCCCGAUUUUUCAGAAAACAUUGAACAACAUAUAUAUAUAUAUAUAUGCAUAUGUAUAUUCCAAUCCGCGUGUGUAAUAUUAACAUGUUCGAGUUUAAUUUUUUCUUUUUUUUUAUUGGGUGACACAGAAGAAGUGAAUUGGAGAAAAUAUAAAGAAAUUAGAAUUGAGAAUUUCUAAUAUUUGAGUUUGAAAUCUCAAUCUCAAUUAUUAGAUCAAGAACUUGUUGUUGAAUUUGAUUACAAGAAUGGCCCAUACUUUCAUUAUCUAUCUAAAUAUAGAUCAAAAGACAAAAAAUCUCAUGGUGUCCAAGUAAAAAUCGGCCAAAUGUAAUGUGCUAAAAUCAAAUAAUUGAAUGAAUAAUUUAGGACUGGUGGAUUACACAAUAUAGAAGUCUCGCCGUCAGCAGUAGUAACCCUAACCCACCAUCCUUAUCUAUUUACAGGUCAACCAUUUCAGUCAUCCACCAGUCGCCACGCCUACUCAAGAAUUCGCACUGCAUCGGGCGGCUCUCCAGAUUUCUGACACUGGUCAAAAUAUCUGCUUGCGAUUUCUCCAUACUGUUCAACUAUUGCGGGACUGACACCAAGACCCCUCACCUCGGGGUCAGCACCCGGCUCUGAGUCAACUCAGCCGGUCCACUCUCCAAAUCAAACUGAGUCGGUCCCGAGCUGCAACUCGUUCCCGCCCCACACGGCGUCGCAGGUGCUGUGCCGGGUGUUUUUCGGCCCAUGCUCAGUAUUCUCUUCAAAGACAACAACCGAGUCCCGGGCGACCUAAAACCGUGACUCGCGGGUGAACUCAGCGGCAACUCGGGCUCGAACGCACUCCUCCUCGGAACCUCGAUUCUCACAGCCGUCGAAUCCAGCCCCUUCCUCCUCAACCCCAGCGACGCCGUAGAAGAGCAGUCUCCCUCCUCAUGAACACAAGCCGGGCACAACCCGGAACUCAAACCGGGUUCAAUCCUGCUCCCCUCCGGUUCAACCGCGGAAUUGCUCGCCGCCGGUUCCGGAACCGGUUCGACCGCAGCUCGACAAAUUGGGCAGGUGGAGUGCGAAUGAAACCACAUAUCAAUGCAAUCAGCGUGAAAAGAAUGGUUGCAUUUGGGCAACAGCCUUCCCUUUUCAUUCUCCUCAAACUCCGAUAAGCAGACGGCGCAGUCCAUCCCCUCCGGCUGAGUUUUCGGGCUGUAAACAAAAACCGGAAGAGAAGCAAUCACGGACGGUUCAAGGCCGCUAUUGGGGGCCGGGUGAGCAGCGGGAUUGUUGUCAACGUAAAAGACGAUGUGGGCUCUUCUGUGACUGUUCAAACGGCUCCUCCUGCGGAGGAGUUGGCGGCGCCGUUCGCGGAGGAGGUACCACCGGGCGUAUAAAUGAAGGGCGACCAUCAAAACUACGACAAGGAAUAAGAUGACUAUAGCACUGAGCAUUAUUUUUCCGCCCAUGGCAAAGUCUUUUGGGUUUGGUGUGUUUGGAAUACGAGGAACGGAGUGAUCAGCGUCCAUAAUCACUACUAUUUUUUAUGGGUUUUCGAGAGAAUUAAAGAAAGGAAGGGGAAGGGUAUGCUUAAUGCAGAAGGAAUGAAGGGGCAGAGGAAGUGAAGGGGAUUAUAAGACGAUGAGAAUUGAGAGAGAGAGAGAGGGGAUUAGGAAGGUUCUUGUUGGUUUCAGUGAGACCAACUACGUGGGAGGAUGAGUAAAAUUGGAAGUUGAAAGCGCUGCAGUAGGAGUAGGCGCCAGUGUUGACGCGGGAGUAGUUGAAAUGACGGUAUUGGACACAGGAAGGGUUCUUGUCAUGGGUGAAUGUGAUGCGGUUUGGUAAAGGGCUGCUACCUCGUAGUUGGAAGUGCAAUAGGUAUUGGAAUGGGAAUUGGUUGGGCCAUGGGAAAAGCCGUGUACUAGUAGCUUUCGAUCAGAGCCAAGUUCAAUCAAGCUUAAGUGACGUAUAUUAGUACAUCAUAUAAUUUUACACUUGGGAUAUCUCUAUAUAUAUAUAUAUAUAUACAUAUGAACAAUUUGCAUAUAUAUAUAUAUAUAUAUAUAUGCGCGUGCACGCACGUGUGUUUGUGUUAAAAGCUUGAUGAGCUUUCAAUCCCUCUUGCAUAAAGCUCAAAUUCGAGCUCUUCAAAUUAUUCGAGCUGUUUCAAGUUCUGAGGGAGUAAUUGAUCUCAUCUCGUUUAUACUGUACUGGCAACGUAGAAGUGCGUGCAAUAGAUUCCUUCCCAGGUACGGUUGUAAACAAUUAAAAGCCUAUUUCUUGCUGAAUUCAGGACCCAAAGGAUUACUGAUCCAACAAGUCAACUGCAACACCGUAAUGGUUAGAGAAUUAGAUAAGUAAAGGUCCAAUGUGUUGUAAUAUGGAGUAGUAAUGACCUUUUUAAAAACGUAUAACUCGUAUGCGCCCAAAAGUACUGUUGAAAUUAUCCCCAAAAAGUCAGAUUAUGCAUGGGAAUGUAGAGUUAGAUUAGUACGUGGACUUAAAAAGUAUGACUUAGGAGUAUUAAAACUAGGAAGUAGCAAUGGGUGCCUUUUCGCUGUGGCUUGUGGCUUGCCAGGCUGUGCAGUACUAUUUGCUGCCUGCCCCCCAUAUGAUGGAAUUGCUUGGAUUCUGCUGAGGCAAUGGUUAUGAUUGUGAAAAGGACACAACAAGGGUGGCUUCUGAAAUUGGCUCUCAAUCUGGAUCUUGCGAGUCUGCGAUCAAGUUAGGGUUGGAACAGUGUGCGAUCAAGUUAGGGUUCUUGGGCUUUCUGGAAGGUGUAUUUGUGUUGUGUUGAGUGAGAUAUUGACAGAAAUUCAAAUGGGCUUUUUCUGACAUGGGAUGCCUGAAACUAGCAGUUUGAGAUGAGAAUCAUCAUGUAGAGCAUUGAAGUUUGUGGUAGUGAGUAUUCAUUACUAACUAAAUAAUUGAGACAUUGAAUAAUUGGCCAAUGUAGAUGAGACUUGAGAGACAGACUUGAAGAGUUUUUUCGGUGGCUUUUUAAAUCCGAAUGGAAAUAGAACAGGGGAUGCAGCUAGCUCCCCUGGUCAAGCACAAAAUGGUUCAGCAGUUUCUUCUUAUUGUAGGAGAAGAAAAUAGGAAAAGGGGAUGAUGAAGUAUUCCUCUUAGUAGCCAAAAAACGACUAGGCUGACAUAUCAGAUAAUUGUUCUGGAUUGUCUUUAUCAUAACCACAGAGAAGGAAGAAAAUUUUUAAGUACUGGAACCACUAGAGGGAGCUCAGGUUCCAUAUUGUGAGGAUUCUAAUGGAUUGAUCUCAUUCUUUAGUAGUAAUCUAUCUUGCUCGUGCUCAUAGAUGAGGCAACAAGAACAUAUACCAUAUGCUAAAAUUCUCCUUUAUCUGUUCGAGUUUCAGAUAAUAUAUAUAGCCAAAUAGUAAAAAGUAGUAGUAGUAACUUGAUACUCAUGCCUUCUUUUUGUUACCUAUGAGUUUCAAACGCACUAGCAUGCCAUCAAUGCUACACUGACUUACUGCACCAAUUUUCAUGAUGUAGCAAUUACUGCAGUAAAACGUACGCCAAAUGAAAAGAUAAUUUAAAAGUAAAAGUAUUAAUAAAAAAAUCCUCCCUCCUUUUUUUUUUAUGACUGACGUUUAAGGUUUUACACACUAAUUAAAAAAAUAUUUUCAUUGCUUAAAUCUGUACACUACUUUCCUUUUGUACCCUCAUUAAUUACUAGGGUUGUUACAAAGAAAGAAGCAAUAAUUACUAGGAGUAAUAAUUAAGAACCCUGUAUUGGAAAAGAGAGAUAAAAGGAUAAAAUUAUGAAAAAAAAAAAUUAAUACUGUAUGGGGAUAAUAAAAUGACAAAUAAAAGUACACUAAAACAAAUUUCUUAAACGUCAGUUAUAAAAAAAGGGAGGGAGUAUAUCUGUAAUAUAAACAAAUAAUUACGUAUUAUUUCACACAAACAAUCCCUAUCCAAACACUAAAUUUCAUUUCUCAACUGCAGCAACUCUACCCAGUAAGCGGGCGGCAGCAGCAGGAGGGGCAGGUAAAAGCCUCAUGCAUCCCCAGUGACAAAUCAUAGUCUAGCUUUCUACUUGGCACUUUGAUGUGUAGUUGAGGAAGAAGACAACUCAUAUAACUCCACUAUUGAUUUCUGAUGGCUACAUUUUAACUACGUUGUUGUCGGGUGAAAACAUUAAAAGCACACUGCACCCUAGAUUAUUGUUAAUUUCUCUUCAGCCGUAGAUGUGGGCUAGGACACAGUAAGUUACAAAACCACCACCGCCAGUGCCAGUGUUAUUGGCCACUGGCAUUUGGUCCAGUGAUCAUCACUCUCUUUGAUGAUACUCGAGAUCAGAGAUUCUACUCUUGUCUCCCUCAAAUUUGUCACAAUAUAUGGUUGGUCUUAAUUGACCAUUUUCCCUUACCCCUUCCCCCUAGAUUAGGUUAGAUUAGAUUAUAAAAUAUCUAUCGUUGCCGAUUAAAAAAAAAAAAAAAAAAAAAAAGUGCCAGUGUUAUUGUGCUUAGUUUAAAUUUACUCACUCAAUCCCGCAAAACUUACUAAAUUUAGUCAUUCUCAAUUAUGCUAUUUCCACCAUACUUCAGACGCACUCCUAAUGUGACCAAACAAGUGAAGGAAAUUUUAUUAUGGCACAAGUAAGCACUUUUAUUAUGGCCUAACCUCUUGUGUUCGUCCUGUCCUGUCUAAAUUUGGAACAAGACAUUUUACUUGAGUCCGUUCAUGUACACCUAUCCCAUUUCCCAUGGUUCACAUCCGGGGAAAUCCUACACGGAAAGAAGAGAAAAUGCAAACGAUCGAGGUUCCCACACACGCCAACAAGUGCUGAUUAAUUCAAUUGCAGUCCUAGAAGUAGCAAGAAUUUCGGUCAAAGUAUAAUCAGAGUAAAUUAUUAGACACGCUACUUGUCAACAACAAUGAUGUACGCUUGCAAAAUUCAAAGUGAAAUUAUAGGGUUCACUGUUUGGUAAACUCAGUUAGGACUACGAAUAAGCCAAAUUGGGUCGAGAAUUGAAAUUUGAUUUGAUCGAGUUGAGUUUCGAUUUAAUUUUAUCAAAUUCGAAUUCAAAUUUGAUCUUGACGAAUUUUUAAUGUAAAACUCAAAUUCGAGAUCGACCUCGAAUUCGAAUCUAAUUGAGCUUGAGUUCGACUCUACUUGAUGUUGAUCAAAUUUGAGUCGAAUUUUGAUCGAACUUGCAAGCAAUUUGAUUCGUUUACUACCCCAAUCUCUCAGUAAUAGACAUUGAGGGCAAUAUAUAUAUAUAUAUAUAUAUAUGGAGUUUUGAACAGGAAUCUAUUUUUAAGGCUGUGUAAUCAAUGACUAAAUUGUAAAAAUGUUGCACAGGUAUAAAGUGCAUGAUUCUAGACAAUAAACGGAUGCAGAAUGUAGAUAUAUUUAUGCUUACAGGGGACAGUGACAGUAAUCCUACAGGAGAAAGAGAAUUCACAUGGCAAAGUUAACUGUACCCAAAUAAAGAAAAGUCUCAAUAUUAAUUAGCCUUGUUUAGAUUGCAUUUUUUAGAAUUUUUUUUUUUAGAAAAUUACUGUAAUAAUUUAUUAUAUAUAAAAAAAUAAUAAUAAAAAAAUAUAAUCACAGAAAACAUGCAAUUUUCCCACGUAAGAUGGCUGUCCAAACGCGGAUGUGUGGGAAUAAGUAAACUACAUGUCCAGCCCUAAAAGCAUGGAACAAUAAAUGCAUUACAAAUUUAGCGUAUAAAAUAGGGAGUCCAGACUCCUGGGCACUACCAAGAUGCGCGCGAGGCAAUUAGCGUUACGGUCAAGAUUGACUACUAGGGUAGGGUAGCGUGUUCUCAUUCUCAGCAUCCAUCCAACGGUCAGUCCCACCUUGAGCCCCCCUACUUCACAUUUGCACCAAUGUUUACUACUCCCCAUUUCCCCCGCAAGAACUCCUCGCUCAUCCCAUUUCUAUAAUUCUAUUCUUCAGUGCACCAGCUCAAGGCCAAGGCUCUCCUGCUACUUCCAUCCCCCACUACAAAAUAAAAAAAAUGUCAAGCAAGUCUCCCAUUUUUCCUGUGUCAGAACCUCAACACUUCAGUGACUAUGGCUUUGAUCCUCAAAUUGAUUACUUUCAGGUGCUCUUCAUACUAUCCAUUCUCAUUUCUUAAUUAGUUUAGAAUCCAGGUAUUUACCUGCAUAGUUAAAUGUGACCCUUUUUCGCCCAACAAGUUAGAGAAAUGUAUAAUUAAGAAGCAUAAUAACCAAUCUUGAUUCUUGUUUUCUUUUUUGCAAAUUUUAAAAAUGCAGGUGUUGGAGGAAGCUAGGAGGCACAAGAGGGAGACUUCGUCAAGAUCCUCCUCAUCCAUAGCCAUAGACGCACUACACUUCAAGCUUCAAAAGCCCAUCUCGAAGGAUGACUAUUCAUCGUCGAAGAAGAAGAUCAAGAAGAACAAGAAGCGGUGGUGGAAGAAUGCUCUGCUCUUCUUCAGCUGGAAAUGGACUUCACGCCACUCUGAGAAUGCUCUCGAGUACGGGGUCCACGGUAGACGCGCCAUCAGGGCAUCAAUCUCCGGACCCGUUUACGUUACCGAGAGUAGAAGUGGGUCCUCCACUCCUUUCCGGACAACCAGCCGCCCGUCCUCCGGUCCACUCGCCGGAACUCUGACUCCCGCAGACAAGGAUGAGGUGCAGAUUCCCUACAUUAGCCUUAGGGAGUUUAACAUGGACCAUCAGCACCAGCAGCAUAGUGUGCCAACCUCCGCCAUGCCCAUAUAUUUGGUCACAUAAGGGGUUUUAAAAAAAAAUGUAAAAGCAGAGGACGUAUCAUCAAUUAUAUCUUUAACAUUGUGGUGGGGUUUUCAAUAUAUUUCUUGAUACUUGUUGGGGCUUAUCUUUAGCCUUUUUGAAGUUUGAGCCCCCACCCCCACCUGCAAAACUACCCUUGUUGUUUUAGUGAAAGGUGCGUUAAUUUCGUGUAGGUUGGACUUUGGAGGAAGUAUAAAGCCUUCCUCUUUUUCUGUUUCAUGUUGGUUAUGGAUUGCUUCUCAUGACAUUUUGUGGUUAAUGAUGAAUUUCUUGGUGGCAUGUCCUUCCGGUUUUGAUUUGGUUCAAUUUAAAUUUUGUUCUGUCAAACAAAGUGAAAAGCAAAUCUUAUGCUUCAAACAUCUGAAGUAAGUUCUGUUAUACAAAAAACAAAAGGGUUUUUAGUUGGUCUAAUGGACUAGAGAUCGACGACUUUCAUGGCUCGACAAUGCUCCUAUACUCUGAAAUGAAUCUUAUGGUGAGUGUUCAUUAUUCAAAAAGAAAAAGAAAAAAAAAGAACCCUCAUCAGAUAUGCAUUACUUGACACCAAAGAUUAGUUUUUUAAGUUUAGAUUCCAGUAUCUAAAUAGGAGAGCUUUGGCAUUUGCCUCCUACAUGUGAUGUGAGUGGAUGUGCAAUGUUCUUUGUUCCGAGGACUCAUAUCUGUUCCUGUUGGGCCAGCCAAUAGCUGCAUUCUAAUUGUUCUUUUGUCUGUUAUUUGAUGAACUUGUUUGUAUCGAAUGCUUCUUGACUGGCUGAAAUCCUAGGUAACCGUUGGCUAUGGUGGGGUCAAAUUGCAGUUUAUGUUAUAAACUUUCGGAUCAGAUUACUGACUUUUAAGCAAAUUUGUGCAAUGUGUAGUUGGACAUGGCUGCUUUUUGGACAAGUAUCCUAUUCAACAAACGUAAUUAUUUAUCCGACAGCUAAAGCACCAAAAGCCGAUGCUGAUGCAUCAGUAUCAGAUUAAUGCGCCAUGUGGAUAGAUGAUUGUACAGAAUGUUAGGUAAGUUCGUUAAAGGGGUGGUUUAAAGUUUAAGCAAUGGCUUUUGGAGAAAGAACUUUCAUUCUUGUUUUGUGAGCCAUCAUUGGAUAAUGGACCAAUACUGUGGCAAACGGACCCUUAACUCGGUGAUUACUCCCCUUUUCAUUCUCUUUUUUGGAAAUUGGAAAUGUAAAUCCCAAAUCAACUAUUGCAUUGUACCAAUUCCAUAAUUAAAAGGGUACAAUAAGAAGAAGAGAAAAAGAUCAGGAGAAUAAUAGUGCUCCGUAAUUAAUGUAAAUCAAAUUGCAUGGUACUAUUUAUUAUAUUGUGGACAGAAAAAUGUAGUGGCAGGCAAUUGGGUGCAGGUGGAACGCUUGAUCUACUGUUUCAAACCGGAAAGGAAAGCUCCAAAUUAAAUCAGUCAGUCCAACCCAAAGCUGAGGCUGGGCCGUGAGCAUGUCUAGACAUGUCAAUCUAGGGUUUGAGUUGGAUUAGCUGAUCCAGAUCUAAACUCAUUAAAUUGAGUUAGACUCGCAUUAAUUUAAGACUCGAGACUUUUAUGGGUUUAAAAAGUAAAGUUAGAUCCAGACUCUCAUGAGUUUGGAAUUCAAUGGACGUCCACGGAUAUUUUUCUGAACAUACAGUAAAGAACUAAAGUAAAAAUAUUCUUAAAAUAUGUAUUUCAAAAAUAACAUAAAUAUUAGACCAGGUGAUGUUUUCUUAGGUUAAAAAAGUACUGUUAUUUAAUCAGUUACGAAAUCUUACUGUAUUUGAUCCAAUAGCCAUAGAAUAUUGUAUCAUUUUAUAAAUUUACUUAUAUAUACACACACACAGAGGUUUUAAGGAGGAUUUGAUUUGAAUAUGUACUAAAGAAAAACAUAUCAUAUUCAAACUCACAACUCUCUUAUAGGGUUUGAAUUUGGAAAGAAUUUGAAUUUGAGAAAUUAAACCCUAACUCUACCUAAAUAUAUUGGAUUUGGAUUAAAUUUAGAUAAGAUCCGAUCAAUUGACUUAGCUGACCAUAGAAAAUUUUGUUCAUCUCUCUCUCUCUCUCUCUCUUUGUCUUGAUGGAGGGCAAAUAAAUAGGCAACUUGGCAUGGAUAGCAAAUGGUAGUAGAAGAACUAGGCAAAGGACCUAAAUAGGAGAGCUUUGGCAUUUGUCUCCAAACAACCAAACGGUGGCUUGGCAGCUGCAUUAUGAUUGUGAUUUUGCAGGCACAUAUUUGCCAUGAAUGUGAAUGUGAUGGUUCCACAAAGCAUGCAGUUUAUGAGGCGGCUGUUCCCUGUUGCUGUCGGAGCUCUGCUUAGAUUUCAAUUUUUCGAGCAUUCCAAUGUAACGUGGGAUGUGUCAGCCUUCUCACGAGCGAAUACCAGUCAAUGUCGGAACUCCGAGUGAACAGAUCUUUAAUCCUUUGUUAUGUUAUCGUUUUUUUUUUUUUUUUUUUUUUUUGGUCGAAACAGAAAAGAAAUGCUAAAAGACAAGGGAUAUAUAUAUUUUUUACCAUGUUGGGCACGAGAUUUGGGCUUCUGCCGGAAGAAUUUAAGUUCAGACAUAUAUAUGACUGGGCUUACUUAGACUGCGAAUUACACUAUGCUUGGGUCCAGUCCAUGCAACUUGAAUCACAAGCACUAUGUUCUUGAUGGAAAAACACGAAGACAGUUGUGAACAACCCACAAAUAUGAAAACCGGUCAUGUGUGUUUGGAUUGCCAUAUUUUUUCAAAUAAUACCGGGCAGUGCCGCGCAUCACGCAAGUAUUUGGUGCUUGUAAUAAAAGAAAAUUUUUUAUUGAAUAAAUAAUAAUAUAUUCUAAAAAAAUAUUAGUUAUCAAAUAAAACUAAUAAUAAUAUAUUCUAAUUGCAGCAUACACAUAUACACUUUGUUUUAUCAAUACUUUUACAAUUUUAUUAUUACCAAAAGAUCCCUACAGAUAUUAGUUGAAAAUCGUCCAAUAGUAGACAUAAGUUGUUUCAGAUAAAGGAAUAUCCUCCAAUAACUAGUUAUAGCAACGUAUUAAUUGCACAACGUGUUAAUAUGUCUUUAUGUUAAUUACACAAUAAAAACCACACUUUAAUUAAAUGUGUCUAUAAUAUCAUUUAAGUAAUUACAAUAACACAUAAACUUAUAUGAGUUGUCUUCGAUGCAAAAACAAUUGUAAAAUAAUUUCAUAUUCUAUAAAUACCUAGAUGUCUGCCUAAAUCAAAACUUUAAAUGUACCAAAAUGAAAGCAUUUCGAUUUAUGAAGAGGAACAACCAACAGAGAAAGACUUAGAUUAGUCGACUAAUGAGCAGAAUUCGAAUAGAUAGAGGCUACUCCUUUCUAGCAUGCGAUGGAUUGGCUUUGUAGUAAAAAGCAUAGACAAAGGCACAAAGAGCAUAGAGUAUCCCGAAGGGCAAAAAUGUAAUUGUGAAAACUGAUUGAAAAGGCUAAUGAAGUCAUUAACCACAUGUCUGCGCAUUAAAAUGUUGUACAACCUGCUCAACCAAUUCGGCACAUCAAAUUUCAAAUCACUAAAUCAGUGAUGUCGCAAAUGGAAUUCUCAAUUCUCCCCCGCUUUCAGUCCUUGGAAUAAUAAACGUAGGGUGGAAACUGAAAGCAUUCGGCUUUGCCCCACCAAACGCGAGCUUCAAGACGCGGCCCACCAUUGUAGAAAAGAAAAGUUGAGUCCUUCUCUCGUCUUUUCCUGUUCUUGCGCAUGCCAGAGCAUUCUUUUCAUCAAUAACAAGAAAUCCAUUACCCAUCUCUCAAUCCAAGCAUAAGAGACUUGACCCCUUCGUCAACCACUUCCAAUUCCUUUUACAAAGCUAAAAUUUGUUCGUGAUUUCAUAGUAUUAUUGUGUCUUCCUCCUCGGAAAACCAAGUCAAAGCGAUAUGUGGGAACUGGCAUGCAACAUCAAAGUUUUACUAAUCGUAGAAUGUGAGUUACACGAGUAAACCUAAGUUAAUGCAACCUUCAUAGAAGCAUUUGACAAGCUAUAAUAAAUACCACUGAGUUUUACAGAACUACAUUUUAACUUGUGCAACUACAAUCCAACACGUAAGAAUUCAUGAAACAAGAAAACGUGUUCAAUUGAUCCAAAUACAAAAGAGGAGUACAUAGUAGCUUUUAUGGACACAGCCAGUAUGACUAGAUUUUUUUUGGUAAGAAAAGGAUAAGUCUAUCAUGUUCAUCAAAUCAAGAUAUCUCAGGUGCAUUACCACUUUUUUUUCCAUCGAGCACCGACUUAUCCGAAUUCGACCCGAGUAGCGUCUGCAGAAUCUGGAUAAAUAUAAAAGAGUGCAGGACGUAAUGGAGUGUGAUAAGUAUAAAGAGCUCCCGCAUUGCCUCUUUCAUAGUCUUAACAAAAGAGUGCAGGAAUCUCCCUUAUUCCCCUUCUUCUUCUGCGAUAAAUAUAAUCAAGAAAGUGCCCCAAAUCCUAACCCCUCCAUAAUUCUGUGUAAGGAGCAGAAAGAAAAGAGAUGGAAAAGAUAGAGCACAAAAACAUAGAAGUAAAUGGGAUAAACAUGCACGUAGCAGAAAUAGGCCAAGGCCCAGUAGUUCUCUUCCUUCAUGGCUUUCCUGAAUGCUGGUACACCUGGCGCCAUCAAAUGUCUUUCAUGGCAUCCCACGGCCACAGGGCUGUGGCGCCGGACCUCCGUGGCUUUGGUGGCACAACUGGCGCACCUAUUGAUGACCCCAGCAAGUUCACCACCCUCCAUGUCGUGGGAGAUAUCAUUGAGCUCCUGAAAAUUGUUGCACCAGAUGAAGAUAAGGUGUUCUUGGUGGGGCAUGAUUGGGGUGCAGUCAUGGCUUGGGCUUUGUGUUUGUAUAGACCUGAUAAAGUUAAAGCUUUGUUCAACAUGAGCGUCAGUUUCGGUCCAAGAAAUCCUAAAAGGAAGCCCAUUGAGACCUUGCGUGCUGUUUGUGGUCCUGACUACUACGUUUGUAGGUUCCAGGUGUGUAACAUUCAAUUUUUUUUUUCAUGAAUAUAGGAAUACUUCUUUCGAGUUCAAAAUUCUUAGCUGUAGAAUAUAGAGAUGCAGAUGCACGUUUUACAAUGUCUCUACACUGAUUUGGUUGCUAAAUUGUUUCUUUAUUAGAUACCAUCUAUCAUUUGAGAUCCAAAAUUUUCUUCAUGUGAUCUUCCUGAUUCACAGACAGAUAAGUGAUGUGAGUAUCGUUCAUUAUCUGAGCUGAUUUUAGAUUUGAGUUAAAAACCCUCUUCAUUCCGUAUUGUUAUUUUGUUUCCCCAGAAACGAUAGAUGAUUUUAUUAGAUUUGUGUAUGAACUAUACACGUAGUGAGCAAAGGCUCCAUUAGAGCUAUACAAGUGCCUAGAAGCACUGAGGAAGUAACCACUUCUCAUCAAAAGGCAUGCUUAAUGCAUGAUCACAAAAGUUAGUUGUUCUAACACUAAUAUCAUUCCUAGCUAGAACAAAUGAGCAUCUCACAAACAUAGAGCUUAGAUCCUGAAUAUCCUCUAGAUGGGAAAACAGUCUCAUAUCUCCAGUCUGGUUGGUUUCUAUCAUCUUCAUCAGUUGUCUCUGUGGGAUGUCAACUUCAAUCCUCCUUCACUGCUAUUCCCUUGCUUUGAUCAUGGCAAGUUUAAGAGCCACAGCAUUAUCCAUCAGGCUGUUCCCUCCACUGAACUCCUUAAGCGCCCACUGAGCUAUCAACUGCAAGUAUGCCAACUCCCAUUUGACUGUCUUAUCCUUGAGUUUUGACAGCAAAACUGAUGUGAAUUUGGUUCUCGCUGUCUCUGCAAUCAUCCUGUAUUGUCUCAGCUGCUUUUGUUUCUGGCAUGCUCAUCGUGUUCUCUUUCGCAUUUGCUUCCUGAAAUUCUAGCCACUCCAUUUGAGCUUCCUGGAUUAUCUUGAUUAGCGGUCUUCUGCUUUCCUGGAAAACUCUCAUUUCUUGCCUUCCAAAUCUGCCAAAGAAUGUUAACAGUCAAUGCUAUAUGUUCCAUUCCUUCAGGUCUACUUCUGGCAUCUGUUAGAACAUUCCACCAUCUGUUCAAGUUCCCUCUUUGGUCUUCAAUUCCAUCCCAUGUCACUGGUGAUAGCUUCCAUACUUCCUUAGCAUUUCUGCAAUGAAAGAGUAGGUGCUCCACCGUUUCUAUGUCUUCUGUUAUAACAAGGUAGUUGGAUUAACUUGUAAUUAAGAUCUUCAAUGACUAUAUACAAUCUGUAAGAUAAAACAACAAAACGGACACAACUAAAGAUUUAUGGCCGCAGUACUGUGUGCACAGAGAGUUAUACUAUUGGGUAUAUAUACCUAUUUGUUGGCUUGGUAUCUGAUUGACAGGUCAUUUGGUUCUUUUCAGGAACCUGGAGAAAUAGAAGAGGAGUUUGCCAAAGUUGGAACCAAGAGAGUUCUGGAGAACUUUCUUUCUUACCGUGCUCCUGGUCCACUUUUUCUGCCAAAGGGAAUACUUUUCGGAGAUUCACCUGAUGCCCCUACAACUUUGCCCUCUUGGUUAUCUGAAGAAGAUGUUGCUUACUAUGUUAACCAGUAUGCGCAGAGUGGCUUUACUGGAGGUCUGAAUUAUUACAGAGCACUAGACAUGUAAGCCUAGAGAAUCCUGUUGAUAACCAUAGUUAUAUUUCUUGAGCACAGAAUACUUAAAAGGGCAACAAGUUUUGAUGGAUAUGUUUGUUGUUUUGUGCUCCGCUUUGGUGCAGAAAUUGGGAACUGACUGCACCAUGGACAGGGGCUCAGGUUAAAGUGCCAGUCAAGUUUGUUGUUGGGGACCUGGAUCUGACCUAUAAUGCACCGGGCACCAAGGAUUAUCUCCACAAGGGAGGGCUUAAAAAAGAUGUACCAUUCUUGGAUGAAGUAGUGGUGAUGAAAGGGGUUGGCCAUUUUUUGCAUGAAGAGAAACCUGAUGAGAUUAACAAAUACAUUCAUCAAUUCAUCCAGAAGUUUUCUUCCCCGAGAUGUUCUCUGCUGUAAAUAUCCUUGUCCUAAAUGUCUGUCUUGUUUGCUAUUUCCCUUAUAGUUUGUGGUUUUUUUUUUCCUGAAAGUGUGUUGUUGUGGAUGUUCAUUUGGGCAUAGUCUUCAAGGUGGCCGGCCUAUGGAAGAAAUUUGAGAUGUGCUGAAAUUAAUAAUUGUAUUAUAUCAUGCCUUUACAUUUUCCCGUUCCCCUCUGAAUAUGCACACUCUCUAGAACGAUUGUGUAAUGGAUGUUCAUUUCUUCACUCUACCAAUUGUCCAAUGUAUCAUAUCCUUUUUUUUUUUUUCUCUAUAUCACUGUCACCUUUUUCAUCUUUCCCUAGUUUGACAAUGAAAUCCACAUAAUUCAUCAUUGCUCUAGCACUCUUAGAAAUAGAGACAAAAUUCUACCUUUAUAGUAAAAUCACAAUCAAUAAAUAAAUAAAAGAGAGAACCAAUAAGUAAUUGCUAGACUUUUUUGCUUAACAAACAUAAUAGUAACUUCUUUAUAUUCCAACUUUCAAUUUCAUAUAUAUUUUUUUCUAUAUCACUGUCACCUUUUUCAUCUUUCCCUAGUUGACAAUAAAAUCCACAGUUUGCACCUUGUUAAUUUGGUAACUUCAAUUGGCUAACAUUUGUAAAGGGUAAAACUAUUGGGAAAAAAAACAAAAAAGAAAGGGUCUAAAAUUUUUAUAGUAAUAAAGAGACAGAAAAACAAAAAAUACAGAUAAAGUUUAAAAAACAAAAAAGAAAGGGUCUAAAAUUUUUAUAGUAAUAAAGAGACAGAAAAACAAAAAAUACAGAUAAAGUUUAGAGAUGGUAAAAAAUUGAUAGUAGUAUGGUUGGCAAUAAUGGAGCGUGAUAUUUGGUGAGAGGGAGAAGCAAUCGUAAGAGAAAAAAAGAGAGGAAUAUGAAAGGGGGAAGUAAGGAGGGGCUAAUUUCUCAGAUUAUUUGUAUUUAAAAAAAAUAUCCGCCAAAUGCACCUCUGACAUGGGUUUUUCUAAUUGUAUAGCGGCCGUGCUGAGUCAGCACGGACGCAUAACUAAAAAUUCCACCCAAAUCUUCUCUGCAAAAAAUUCAAUGAUGCACAGUCGGUGUCAGAGGGAACGUGCUGACUGGGCACGUCCCCGGCUGACAGAAAACUGACUCGUCUGUAUAUGAGUCAGAGGGGACGUGCUGACUGGGCACGUCCCCGCCUGAAAGAAAUCCGACAGAGUCUGCUCAUGUGUCAGAGGGGACGUGCUGAUUGGGCACGUCCCCCAAUUUAUUUUUCCAUUUCGAGUGGUAUACUGCCUGGUGGGCAAUACUAAAAGCGCAUCAAAAUUGCAAACCUUUCAUUCACGCCAAAUUUUCCUACCAACCCACACUAAGGGAUACUUAAUUGAUUACGAUUGAUUCAGCCCAAUUAUGAAAAAGAAUAUGGAUAAUUUCACGAACUUCUUUCAAGAUCUAUGACAAUUGCAGAAAGUUCCUCUCCAAUUUCAAGUUACACCCUCUCUUUACCUGUUUCUAGUAGCAUAAAAAUCCAAUUUGAUAUUGUAAGCCAAAUAUGCCAUCUAUUAAACUUUGUAAACAAACCAAAAAAAAAAGAAAAAAUUCCUUCUAAAAUGGCAUGAGAAAGAAACGCUGCACAAUCUUCUAUCUUUAGAGAAGAACUGUAAUAAACUUCUCCAAAAUAUCUAGCAUAUUCAACAUAAUAACAUUUUCAAGCAAUUAGUUACCCUUUAUAAUUAAAUAAACAAAUGCACAACCAUAUAAAAUAAAAGUCAUCAUAUUUAUUACAAAAGUAAAGACUAAAUUUUCUAAGAUACAUGUGCAUUUUUGUAUCAAAAUUUCAACUUUGAAAGCCUAUCUUGCUUUUUAAUUUUGAUAAUUGAAACUGGGCUAAUUGCUCUGAUUAUUGCCCAAAAAAAAAAGGUCGGAACAAUGUUGUUCUGACAAUUUGGCAGUAGAAAACUAUGCCUACCGGGCUGAGUCAGUCCGGUAGACAAGAGAAUUCUUUUUUUUUUUUUUUAAGGUUUGAGCCCUGCAGCCUGUAGCUUACUUUAAAAAAAAAAUAAAAACUUAUGCUAUCGGUAGCCUUUGUGGUUAAUUUUUUGUUAAGCUCAAACGUAUGAAAAAGGUCAAGAUAAAUUUGCUAAAUUAAUUAUUUUUAUCCCUAAAAAAAGUUUUUAGAUAAAAAAAUGUCAUUCAAUUUACAAGAAUAUGCAUUUUCCAAAUGUUUGAAAAAUAAUCGUUGAAAUUAUUAUGUAUAAAAUUUGGUUUUAUAUUUUUUUAUAAAAUAUAUAGAAAAUUGAUAUAUAUCUAAAUAAAAUAUACAAAUAAAUUAUUAUUUGGUAGUGGGUUGUUAAAAGAAUAAAGGUAAAAAUAAAUAUAAUAGUACUUAAAAGUACUUAACAAUGUUUAGUCGGCUGACAACCUGCAACUUAACUUUAAAAAAAAAAAAAAGAAAAAAACUUGCAAGCCGGCAGCCAGCUUAAAUUUCUUUUUUUAAUUAAAAACUUUUGCUGGCUGUAGUUGGGGUUCGCCUGCACCAUUAGCACAAAAAAGCUGCAGGGGAAUCUCUUUUCGAUCAAUGGAGCUCACUUGCUCCUUUCCUUAUCUUUUCCUUUUUUUUUCCCGGAUGGAAUAAUGCAAGUUUUGCUUUUUUCCCUCUGACUCAUACGCAGACGGAGUCAGUUUUCUGUCAGCCGGGGACGUGCCCAGUCAGCCCGUCCCCUCUGACACCGACUGUGCAUCAUUGAAUUUUUUUGCAGAGAAGAUCUGGGUGGAAUUUUUAGUUAUGCGGCCGUGCUGACGCUAUACAAUUAGAAAAACCCAUGUCAGAGGUGCAUUUGGCGGAUGUUUUUUUUAAAUACAAAUAAUCUGAGAAAUUAGCCGUAAGGAGGGAGGAAGAGAUGAAAAUUAGAAAUUGAUGGAGAUAGUUUUUUUGAGAUUAGGAAAUGACAAGUAGAAUAAUAAGAAGUAUUUUUCGAUUUUAAUGUCCCUUUAUGAAUUAACUAUUAAGUGGAGGACAUUUUAAUCAUUUGAUUAGAUCAAGGGAGGUCUAUGUAAUUACUGGAGCCGAGGGAAAUUGUCAAAAACCUCCCCUUGAGGUUUCUGAAAUUAUCCCCUUUUUUUUUUUUUUAAUAAUAUUUCAGUGAACUGAUGUGCUCAACAAAUCAAAAGCAAAUAUGAAUUCAAUUAUUCGUCCUCUAAUGCACGGGACGUGGGCCCCUUGGGCAUCAAGUGUUGGGCUCUCCUUUGUACCGUACGGCUAUAAGUUUGGUGAGCCAAGUGAUCGUGCAGCCAAUUAGCUUUGGCCGUAAUAUACAUACUAUAUUUAUAGCUGCCGUCUCAGGGUAGGUAAAUUCCAUGCAUACCACUACAAGUUUUGAAUUAGCCGGAACUAGCCUGAUGACUACUAUUAGAGAGAGAGACGGCGCAGCAGGGCAAGGACUGAAUUAGUCUGGCUAAGAAGUUACAACUCCCAAUGUAGAUAUUUUUGACGGAACUUGGGAUGAAUAAACAACUAAUAGUAGUGUAACUGGAACUCCAAACUAAAAAUUUGCAAGUUCCUUUGUAAGUCCGUCAGGUCUGAUCCAAAUCUUUUACUGUAUUAUGGAGUGCCAUUGCUGCCAUUGCCGCCGCCAAAUGGCAUUUACUUUAGCAGAUUCUGCUAUUGGUGCUAACCGCCACUCCUCGUCAUGACUCAAUUCACAUUAAUUAGCUUAGACUGUGCUAAAUAAAUCGCUUACUGUACCCUAGGACCGGCUAAGACGGGAACGGAACCUUCCAGCUUAUAUGGACCACUCAAUCUCGUCUUCUCUUCCAUCUAUAAAGUGUUCAAGUCCAACCUUUUUGUCUGCACCUCCGACUCGGACUGAAAAUAAAAUACGGACCGAGCGACAGAAGAAUACUCAGUCACAAGCAAGAAGAUGGAUAAGAUUGAGCACAAGAAUGUGAAUGUGAACGGCCUGAGCAUUCACAUAGCAGAGCUUGGUCAAGGCCCACUGGUCCUGUUUAUUCAUGGUUUCCCGGAGCUCUGGUACUCAUGGCGCCACCAGAUCCUCUUCCUGGCUGCUCACGGCUACCGGGCAGUGGCGCCUGACCUCCGUGGCUACGGCGACACCACCGGUGCACCCGUCAAUGAUAGCUCCGAGUUCACUUGUCUGCAUGUAGUUGGAGACCUGGUAGCACUCCUUCACGCGAUUGCACCUGAUGAGGAGAAGGUGUUUGUGGUGGGGCAUGACUGGGGUGCCAUGGUUGCUUGGUAUUUGUGCAUGUUUAGGCCUGAUAAAGUCAAGGCCUUGGUCAACAUGAGCGUUGCUUUUAUUCCCAGAAAUCCAUUGGCGAAGCCGGUUGAGAUGUUGAGGGCUUAUGUUGGGGAUGAUUACUACAUUUGCAGAUUCCAGGUUUCAGUUUUACUGCUGUCACCUAUAUUUUCUAAUGAAUUAUUUUUUAUCUGGGCUUGUAGUAUUGAUGUAUCUCAUGCUUCUAAUCUACCGGAAUCUUGUUUAACUUGCUUUUCUUGUCAAAAAUCGAGAUUUUUAUGGUUCCCCCCGCGCGCCCCCCCCCCCCCCUUUUACGGUUUUGAGAUAUAGGGCUUUCUUGCUCUUGAAUUAUUGUGUAGGAUCAAGAUCUCCAACAUAGUUAAUUUUGACGUCUAUCACUGAAAAAUCAGAUUCUAAGUCUAAAAUAUAGCGCGAGUGUCCACCCCCAGUUUCUAGAUUUUUGGCUAGGGGCAAUAAUUGGGAGAAAAAAGUUCAAGUUAGGACCUUUUUUGUAUUUUGUACUUUAGUAUUAAACUUGAAAUCUCCUUGAUGAAAUAUGGAUCGAAGAGGAGUAUGUUGUCCUUGGUUCUGUUUAUUUCUUGACAAAUGUUUUCACUGGAAGGAGCUUUGGAUUUUUCUGGACUGCUAAAGUCUGGCAUCAGUAGAAGGCAAAUGGGAAUUGGUUUCCAAGAAAUUCAAAACUUAGUUGCUGGUGCAAAAUUGUACUAGUAUCUAUUUCCAAAAGAGCAUUGUCGAUCAAUGUAGAUAAAAACGAAAGCAGAAAAAUGUGAGCUCUCUGUAUUUUGGCUUCCUUGUGAUAGAUAAAAUUCGCCGAGCUUAAUGAAAGCUUGUAGUGUGUCAUCGCCAUCAGGUCUUGGUGUUCAAAUCCCUGUUAUUUAGGAUAGGAUGCUUGGGGUUAAAACGUAACCGGUCAGUUUCUUCAUAACCUGACUAAUCAGAAACAUAAGCUUACUGGAUUGCAUUGCCUACUUGUGCUUCAGGAACCAGGUGACAUAGAGGCCGAACUUGCUCAGAUGGGUUGCAAGAAUUUUAUGAAGAAGAUGCUUGCCUACCGCAGUCCUGGUCCACUGUUUUGGCCAAAGGGUAAAGGCUUUGGUGAUUCACCUGAUGGUCCUGUUGUCUUGCCAUCAUGGUUGACAGAGGAAGAUGUGGAUUAUUAUGCAAGUAAGUUCGAUAAGACAGGCUUCACUGGAGGUUUAAACUACUAUCGCGCUUUGAAUCUGUGAGUAACUGUUCAACUUCCAACACUAUUAGAAUCUAGUAUUUUGAAGCUUCAAAUGCAUUCAUGCCCAUAAUAAAUAUCUAGCUCUUUCUUUUGCCAUUUUUAUAAAUUUUUAGUGUCGAACAUUCUCUCACAAGUACCAGGUUCCUCCACUACCUGCUGCUUCAUUGAACUAGAAUAUGACUAAAAUCCAGAAAACUCCAAAAGUAAACUUCUGCGAGUCCUAAAUUUUCUACUUAUCUUUUGCUCUAAAUUGCAGACACUGGGAACUCACUGCGCCCUGGACUGGGGCCAAAAUAAAAGUCCCAACCAAGUUCGUCGUUGGGGAACUGGAUCUGACCUAUUAUAUGCGAGGCGUUCAAGAUUAUAUACACAAGGGUGGGUUUAAGAACGAUGUGCCUUUGUUGGAGGAUGUUGUCGUAGUGAAAGAUGCAGCUCACUUUAUCAACCAAGAAAGGCCAGAUGAGAUUAACAAACACAUCUACGACUUCAUUCAGAGGUACUGAUUUUGUGUCUUGCGUCUCUUGGACACUACCUUCCACAAUGUUACCUGCUUCAGUUUGUAACCCUGAACCAGGGGGUGGCAUUCAGCCUUCUGGAACUUGUUUAUGUGGUGAAGGAUUGUAGCACCAUGCAAGGACUUGUACAGUUCUAUGCUCAUAUGUAGAAAUGAUGCGGAUGUGUGAUAACCUUGUAGUAACUGCUAAUGAUAAAUAAGCAACACGCCUUUUUAUUGGAUGAAUUUCAAGUUUAUGAAGCAUUCAUGAGAUUUGCUGGAAACACCGCCGGGACAAACCAGUAUGAGUUAUACGAUUCACGCUCUGAUGAAAAAGCUACUUCGAUUGAAAUUAUGAACGUAAUAGCAUUGUAUUUGCAAUGCCCUUUGUCAAGAUGAUACUUAUGGUUAAUUUUUAUAUGCAACUCGAUUAACUGUCGUUAUCACAUUGUGAGGUCAUCAUUCCAUGUAAGGAUAUAAAUCGAAGAAGCCGGAGAUAUGAAAGUAAUGGUUUUAAGUGAAAUUGGUUUAAAGAUGAGAGAACUAGUGUGAGUAGCAUGUUUAUUUGGUGUGCGAUCUGCAAUCGUGUACAAGAGGUUAAACAAGAACUUGUUCUCAGCAAUUCUAUCUUAUUUUUAUAAGGAAUGUGUUUUCUUUGUUACUAUGAAAACAGGAAGACCAAAUUGAACAUCUAAUGAUGGCGAAAUGUUACACAAAAUAAACCCCAGCAAUGCAACAUUAAUAUGAUUAAGCUUCAACUAUUUCCACUCUUUCGUCUUCCAACAUCGAAGUGUAUGUCCAACAGUCCAGUUAUCCCAGCUUCUAUCUUUUGGCCAACCUUAACCGGACCAACGCCUCGAGGAGUGCCUGCAAAAGGCAUUACUGCUGUUCUAAGUUCACACCCUUUGAGCAAUAAUAAAUUGCGUGUCAAAUUAUGCAGAGUCAUGGAAAUAGGAGACAGGCAAACCAACUAGGACAAGGGACAGAAAAUUCAAUCUAAAAUUUGCAUGCGGAAACAAUUUUCAGGACAUAGUGAAUGACAUUUCAGUGAAAGGAGUAUAUUUUCGCCUCAGACCUGUUAGAAUAACAUCUCCUUCCAGAAGCGUCAUGAUAGAACUUAUGUGGCUAAUCAAAUACGGAAUCUUAAAAAUCAUAUCUCGAGUGGAUCCCCUUUGCCGAAGGUCACCGUCAACCUGCAGGAUUAGGAUAUACCUUCAUGAUAUACUUGCAGAAGCAGCAAAAGCAAUAAGAUAUGGCACAAACUAGUUUGAUCAGGUAGCAGUACCUUUAACCACAAUUCCACAUCAUGAGGAUCCGGAAUCAUUGUGCAAGGUAACUGUAGAAAAUUCAUUGAAACCAUUUACUGAUAAAGCGUUUGAAAUGGCUCAAUACAGAUAGCUCGUUUACUUGAUGGAACAAAGAAAUAAAAGUGGAUAUCAUGGAAGAAAACACGAUUAGAUGAGUAAAUGAAUUCUCUUCAUUCACGUGUUCAUAAAACCAAGCAAAAUUCCUUUUCCUGCAUAACAUUUCAUUGUAAAUCUAGACGUGAUCUCAGAAAAAAUUAAUACAGUAAUAGUGUUGGUCAAUACUCACAACAGAGCUAAUUGGUGUGAAGGUGUCUUGACCCUUAGCAACAGUCCAUGGAAGACCUGCAGACUGGCAUGAUAAAAUAAGUCAGCCCAAAAGAAUAUAGAACUCAAAUUUCUAGUGAAUCAAUGUAUAGAUUCUCAACACCAGAACUCUUACGUAAUCCAAGAGAUACACACUUCAGCUCUAUGAGCAGCUCUUCUCAUUUUGCAGUAACGGAUAUACAUGUAAACUGUAGUCAAGCAGCACUUUUUCUCCUUUUAUGCUCUGUUAGGGUGGAUGAGGGUGUGUGUGUGUUUGUGUGUGAGAGAGAGAGAGAUGCAAAGGAAUCCAACAGCAUGUGGUAUAAACAAUAACUACCAAAUAAAAAGAAGAAAAAAAAAGGAAAAACUAAUGCUAGUGAAACCCAAGCAAAAAUAAAACCAUCUCGCAAGAAGAGGAGAGAACUGAAUCAUGAGAAAACAUAAUAAAACUCUGAAGCAAAUAAUCAUUGAAAAAAGAAUUCACACCUUUGCAGCAGCUUGGAUCUCUCUAGCGGUCAUGUCCAAUGCAAGAGCAUAACCUUGACCAUGUGACUGAUGGCAAUUAGUAUUUUAGACAAGAGAGAAUGUUGGCAAAAUAUAGUGAUGGGUAUGUGGAUGAAAUGAUUACCUCAAGAAGCGAAUUGACAAAUCUUACACAGCAUAAAAACAAAUUAUCUAGUACUUUUUCGUAUAUACAUAAAAGGAUAGAGUAUUCAAAAUCAGAAUCAGUGACUAGAAGAUGGCAUUUCUAACUAAAAUUCAGAUAAUCAAUUGAAAAAAAGCAAAAAGAUGUAAACAGAGAAUAGGAAUAUUCAAAAGCUUGCAGCAUAUCUGCAGAUGAAGGAUAAAAUAUCUUCUUCAAGUAGACAAGUGCAACUACUGGAUAGCAAUUCGAGAAAACAUAAGAAUCAGCCUCAUCAACAUUCAAAUUCAUUUCUGAUCCUUCAAAUAUGUCAAUGCUAAUUUCUUUUCCCAUGCAGCCAGCGAUACUAUUCGUUUCUCUCUUUCUCUUUAUUUCAAUAAAAUCCAUUUUCUUCUUUUCCUUCUUUUCUCUUUAACCCCUUUAAAGGAGAGAAGGUUGAGGUCUGCUCAAGAAGAAGGGCGAAAAUAAGCACUCCCUGUGCAGCUAGAUCACUUAAAGCACAACAUUGAUGAUUGAACUACAUAGUUUACUCUGCAGAAGCUGGGGUUCUAAUCUUGAUUGACUUGCGAAUCAAGUGGAAUCAAAUGUACUAUCCAAUAAACAAGCAAUUAAACCCCGAGACCAUAUACUCAACUAAUCUAUCCUAGACAAAAACCCAGAAACAGUGCUGCUAAACAAGCAAUGCUAACCAGAAAACACGGCAAUCAACCGUGGAAACCAUCUGCCAUAACUCGUAUGUGUCUUUCUCCCAAUUGAGUACAACAUCAGAAGUCAUACUUCCAUUCCUCUAGUCUUUCAAACCUCUAAAAACACGAGAGAUGGGUACUGUUUUAUUCAUGAUAUGGUUCCAGCGGAACAAUUUGGCAAGCAGAAACCCGCAUGGAUGAUUAAUACUCAACCUAUCUCACAAGUUCAAUUAGAAGUCAUCCAUACCAUUAUUACUCGACCAAAAAAAAAGACUGAGCAUAAACUUCAAUAAAACUUGCUACUGAAUUUGGUCUGAUUCCAUUUCCCAAUUAUUAAAAUGCUGCAUCAAAAAUUUCUAGCUGCUACACUCAGCAUCACAUUCAAGAUCAAGCAAGUAAAUGAGAAACCAAUAAUCAAAAGCAUAAAAAUCAAGUUUUUAUCAAAGAAUCAAGUUACAAGAACUCCCCAAAAAAAAAAAAAAAAGUGCGGAUUAGUAGAAGAUGCUGAAUAGAAAGUUGUAGUGCACCUCCGACAUAGUCCAUAGCAGAGGCCUCGGGAACAUCGCGAGCCUUUCGACCGAUGACAACCGCCAAUUCCACCUCGUGAUCGAGGGAUUCCAAGUUGUGCGGCACCUCAAUCUUCCCUCCGUCUUCCAAAUACGACGUCGUCGGCUUCAUAAACAACACUGGCUCCUACUUUUUCCCAAAAAUUAUAAUUAAAAAAAAGAAGAAGAAGAAGAAAUCGUCACACAAAAGUUAAAUGCAACAAUUGUAGAUCAUGACGUGCAGAAAACGAACUGAAAGACCUUGGGGACGGCGUUGCCGAGUUCCUUGGCGUGAGCGGCGUAGUUGCGGCCGACGGCGAUGAUUUUAGUGCCGCCGGUGAGAAGCUUCAGGAAAGCUGACGUGGCGGUGGCCAUGGUGGAUGACCUUCUAGGAAUAGCGUAUACUAUCACUCCUCUGCUUCCUCCGACUAUUUUAGGAAUACUCGAAGACGCAUUCAUGCGCGUAAAUGUGACUGAGAGAGAGAGAGUUUGGAGGCGGGCAGCUCAGCUGUGGCUUUUCCGCAAGAAGUCGUGGACAGACUGAGGUAUCAAGCCAGCGCUUUUAGUGCUUUACUGCAAAGCGUUAAUAACACCACCACCUAACCUUAACUCACUCUCAGAGAUUGGUCACAAGAGUACUGUAAAUCCUUUUUAGUUACUACCAUAUAUUAAUACAUAUACAUGAUCAUUCUGAUCGAUUUUUUUUUUUUUUUUGUUGGUUAAUACAAGGCAAAUUUACAAUUUUUUUUCCCUACAGCGUCAUGAGUCAUAUUAGUCAUACACCUGAAAUUAAAUUAAUUUUCCCCUAAUAUAAUUAAUUACUAAAAGUGUACAAUUACUACAAGUCCCUGCAGCGACUUCUGAGUUUGGAACCAACCCGAACAUUAUCGCCUGCUACCCUUGGACGCACUGCAACUAAAUUCUACUUUCUACUUCUCUCAGGCAUUUCAGGAUGAAAUCUGUUUGGCCCUUUGUGUUGAAACCUCAUCAUCAGGACACUAGAAUGCAGAGUUUGUGGACCUUCCUUAUCUUGCUUGGCUGGUUCCACUCGGACUUCCUGACCUGUAGCUACCCUUCAGGAAGAGGCUGGCCACUGAACAACGAGAGACCGGAACAGCAGCAAUCGGUGAAAUGUAAGUCCCUACCAGUACUUGACUGCCCGCAAGGCGAUCAAGAAAAACUCUGGUUAACAUCUCUUUAUUCAGCUCUUUCGCUAAAAAAAAUGAAUGCUGAUCAUGAACAAGCAAAUGAUGAAUAAUUACAUUUAUCCUAGAUACAAUGGCAGAGGCAUAUAACAUAAUGAAAUCUCAUGCUGGCUGGCUGGCUGGCUCCUUGGCAACUAGAAUUUGUUGAAAAGAUAUUGCCAAAAAGCACAGAUAGUUGCUACUUACGGCUUCUUCACCCGAAGGCUUGGAGUGCUCAAUGUCCUGCUGGAUCGUAUUCCUCUUCUUUUCGCGGAUGAGCACGACAGCACAUUUGCAUGUGAAAUAAAGUAGCAGCCCGCUGAGAGAGAGGAGCAUAAUGAACUCUACCACAAGUGCUGAUCCCAGGGCUGCAGUGCCACGCGCAUCAGAGCCAAUAGCAGUUCAACAACUAUUUACUCCAGUAACAAAUCUCUACAAAUGCUAAAUAUCUGGCUACUGCAGGUUAUUGCACACUUCAAACAAAUUGUGCAGGCAAUAAGAGAUUGGAGCUUACUAUGAGCUAACAGCGAACUCAUUGGUGGUCUUCUUAUUAGACUUAUUGUAGCCUCAGCAAAUAAUGGCAUUGACAUCAUUUGCUCGCAAUUCGGGCAACACCCAUAGUUUCCCAUAUCAUUUACUCUCACAGUCAGAACAUCACCAUGUUUGCCACCCUGCAGAAGUUGUCAGUUAAUCCCAAAUAGAAUACCAACUGCAUGAGAAAAUCCUAGUUUUCCAAUGAUGCUUACAUGAUACAUCAAUUGUUCAAUUAUACUGUUGCAGUCAUUAAUAGUCCCUCGGACUCUAAUGCCUUUUGCUUUCACCAUAAAAUGUUUAGAGAUGGUAACAAAUGUCAGAAGGGGCUGCCACUGGUAACUUGUCUUUAGCUUCAGUUCAGUCGUGGCUACAAGCUCAGCAGGAAGACUUGUUGAUAGAACUCCAGAACUGACUUCAAAAGAGAUGAUGACUAAAAAGUGAGACCUGUUGCCUGAAAACCAGCCAAGUAGAAAAUCAGGCACCAAUAUCCUGUCUGAUAAGAUUUUGGACUCUCAAAAGUCUUCUACAUCGUCUGAUGAUCAAGUUUGUUUUUCCAGAAUUUUCCAUAUAUACCGAAUGCCCUCUGCGUUUCCAGAGUAAUCAGCACUUUAUAGGUAACUAACGGUACAAAUUAGAGACUAGCAAGAACCGAGCAUUUCAGUGCAAUUCCAACAACAAAUAAAACUUGAUGUUAAUGAGGUAAUGUAUAUUAGAGCUGGCAAGCUGUUAUGGACUCUACUCCAAGAAAGCCAGAAAAAAUGUGUUUUGACAUUGCACAUAUAUGCAUCAUUUCAUACACAAAAUCAGCUUAGCUGUCAUAAUUUGAUCUUACAUGUUGCGUAUACUUCUAUACUGCAUAAGCUGUCUUGUAAAUGAUCUUACUUAUACUGUCAAGUUUUGCAAUAUUGAAAAUUUUUUUAUUUUUAAAUGCUAGAGUCUGAGCGACUAAAUUCAAUGCGUUCGUACUGUCUUGCAUACCAGGGAAAUUUGGAAGAUCUGGAUCCCCAAUACUGAAGUCAAAUUUGUCUUUCUUUCUAUCAAAAAUAAGUACAUCUCCCGAAUCUUCAAGGAAAAUAAAUGCAGGGGCAUUGAUAAAUGGAUGGUCAUUAAUAGGUUCCACAAAUACAGGAACUUUAACACUGUUCUUCCCAUUUCUGUUCAUAGUAGAGACUUGGAUUGUAUCAUCACCGCAAAAGUUCUCAUCCCUGCUUCAAGGUAACAAACAGCUCAUCUUAAUGCAGCACACUUAAUGAUGUUUAACCACAAAGAGUCAUGCUGUGCAUUUUUUCCCCUUUUUACUUUGUGGGGAGAAGGUGAGGUGAAGAAAGAGAGAGUACUCUCACUUGAUAAUUCUGAUGGAUGCUUAAAAGAAAGUUUGCUGCUUUGCAGAGGCUUAAUAAAAGACAGACGAACUUAUGUUGCCACAAAUUCAUUCCCACAAGGCCUACAUGACACAUCAUGCAUUUCGAGAAGGAAAAUUAAGUGAGGUGUCUGUCUUACCCAAAGUACCGGAUUGCUUGAAGGGCAGAGUUAAUUACAUCCACACGACCAGCUAAAAUCAACUCUUUGGCCUUCUGAUGAUCUAUUUUUACUGAUAAUUCACCCCAGAGCGGCUGCCAAAAUUGCAUUAGCAUUGGAGACAGGAAGACAGUUCCAUACUGUGCAUUAAGAAUAACCGUGAUGUUCUCAUCCAAAUCUGAGUAUGCAAUCUCAAAUCCAGAGAAACCACUGCACACAGAACAGGCAAGAAUUUUGAUGUCUUUUGAGAGCAGUAGUUUAAAAGUUCUAAGAUAUGUUCUUCAUUUUUUCAAAGCUAAAUCUACUAUAAAGAAAGGCAACAUACCCAAAUCUGGGACUAAUUAGAUCCUCCGUUCCGUGCAAUUGACUUGGAAAGGAAACAAACUGAGGUGGAAUACUAAGGAUAUCUAUAUUGACAGAACCAGAAGCUACGUUGCCAUUUACAUCACAGAUGGUAUACACGAAAGAAUCAUUUCCAUUAAAUCCUUUGUAAGGUGUGUAUCUGAAAAGACCUCCAUACUGCAGAAGGGAACCAUGAUCUGGCUGUGACAAGUAUCAUUUACAGCAGUAAGUCCUCCAAACAGAAAAGUGCUCAAUUGCCUUAACAAGUACUCAAGGUGCGGUCUUACAUAUGCUCACUCUGUGCGAGUGAAACACUUCCCGACAUCACAAUGUGAAUGGCCAAAAGCUAGUUGAACAAAUAGGAAUCAUGUAUUCUUUUUUAUUUUAAAAGGUAGAACCCAAAAUUAAGAUGGACAGUCACUCACACAAACAUACAUAACGUUAUAGUUUAUGCAGGUUCUGAUAUGUUAUGGACGCGAGGUUUCAUCCAACAUAAUUACGCAGCUUACCCUCGAAUAUUCUUUUAUACUAGCAUUGCCACCUGCAAAGUAAUCAUUGUCUAGAGCAUCAAAUGCAGUUGACUCAUCCUCCCAGACAGAGACUGUAUCAUUUAAAACUUUAGGAAAAUAUUCACCUGAAAAAAAAGGAAUAAAUCAGUUAGAUGGAGAAUAUAGAAGUAUACAAAAAGAAUGCAACAAGGCCUUUAGAGAUGGAAGACACCAUGAGAUCAUGACCAGCACCAAAAGAUAUCAAGCACCACAUUGAUAUUUCGAAUGAGGAAAGUAAUUGUUGUCACCUGUAAUUACUAAAACCAAAGAAAGUGUUCUUCCAAAUAUAAACCAAACAUCUACAGACAUACUUGUAUAAACAUUCACGCCAACUGGACAUGGCGUGAAAUGCUGUCCAUCAAAUGAAGCGCAUAUCUCAUAGGUGCCAACGUCCUUAGCCAAGAAACUACCAGUAUAAGUUCCGUCUUUGUUGUCAACAAACAUCAUUGUCGAAAAGCCAGAUCUAUUGACUGAAGCAACCUCAAGUUUCAAUUUUGACUGCUCUGACAGAACUGGAUUAGAGUAUGAAUCCAGGAGCUGUAUAACUACUUCACUUUUUGCAAGCUUCGGUACUUUUGAAGCAAACUCCACAACCCCUGAAAGGGAUAGAUUCACCUUCCCUGGAGAACAGAUGAAUCAGUAUGCCACACGCAUUUUGAAUUAAAUAUCAAAUGCAUCAAAGCAGAAAAGGUAGAAAAAAUGCCAUCUGAAACACAGUAGGAGAUAUUCACCUGAAAUAUAUGGGGGGAAAAAACCCACGUUAACAACAUUUAUAUAAAGCAUGAAUUUAAAAGUUCUGUUUCAAAAUAUAAUGAUUUCUUUCACAUAUGAAGUAGUAAAUGCCAAACUUCCCAAAAUCUAAACUGACUGGAUAUACAUUACAAGGCAUGAAUCACUAAAUACUUUUUGCAUUUUCUAUUGCUUAGACUAUGUUUGCACAUUCAGGGGGUUAAGACACUACUUAAUCACCCCAAAUUAAUAUAUAAAGUACUUUACAAUGUACCUGCACUUACUACCUUUCUGAAGGGAUUGCCACCAUUUAGUGGAACAUUUCCACAAAAGAUAGAGAUUUCAUACGUCCCACUCUUUUCAGGUACAAAAGCGACCUCAAAGUUACUUGCGCUGAACCUUGUGUUCUCGGUAGACUACAUCCACAGCUAACAAUUAUCACUGUCUUCAAUGUGGUACACAUAGCAAAAAAUUUAAAAAUGAAAACCUGAAUUUUACCUUAUUUUUUGCACCAUCAGUUGAAGGAGUAAGUUUGUCAAGUGUUCCAGCAAAAGUACCUGUUAUAGCAGUCAAGCUCAUCUAUCAAAGUGACAACAUGAUGGUGUAUAUUGAAGCAUAAACUAGAUGCUCAUUCUCAUACCCAUUUCGGCUUUCUUUGGACGUAUCCUUGGCCGUAACUGUUUUAAACUGGAUUCAUGCAGAAUUUUUACUUGCAGCAUAUCUAAUUCAGCUGGAGAAGGAUAUAAAUAGGCAUCUCUCAAGAACACAGAAAAAGUUGAAACUUCUCCAGCAAAAGAGUGAUUUAAACCAGUUCCAUUGACAACGCUGUUUGUCCCAUCACAAUAGCCUGCUCAGUUUCAGAAGUUACAAGAAUAGGAGUUACAGGUUCAGAGCGGAACAUGCUAGCUACUCUUAUUUAAACAAGAUGAGGUAAUAUAAUGACAAAACUUUUUCCUAGCAGAAACAGAGAAAACACGUCUUUUACAUAAAUAUAAGAGUCCAUCUAAACGUAAAGAUACUAAAUGAAAGUGCUUUUAUAACAAGCUUUCCAUAGUGCAGGUAUGAGAUCAUAUAUACACAUACAUUUGAUGUCCAUAACAAGCAAGCCUCCAAGUCUCUAGUAUAUUGGGUACGUUGAAGGUAUGUGUGGGUGUGUCUGUGCAAAACCAGGGAAGGGGGAGCAAAUGUUACGGCAAAAUGGCUUUGGAGUCCAACAGCUGACAUCAUGAAGUAAUUUCGAAAAAGGUUCUUGAAAUUUUUAGAUAAUCUUAAUGACACAAGCAUUUUUGUGCCUUCACAGAAAACAUAACCUGCCAAUUUCCAUGUUCUAUUUCAAGUUUCCUUUUUACUAUUUUAAUCCUAUCUUGAAAACACCCUUGAAUCUCUACAGAUUUCCUUCUACUGUUAGUUGCAGUAGUUGACUUCUGCAUGUGCAAUCUCUGGCAAAUUUCCACAGCCAUACGUGUAAAAAUAUCACCAGCUAACAGAAAAAUAUCAGGCCCCAUUCAAUCAAUUUGGAAAAGUAGAUUUCAUAUCCAUGUUUGUAUCUAUAACAUAAGGUACUUAAUAAAAGUCAAAGAGUCUAGAUCAAUACCUACAUAGACUUUGAAGUCAUAUGGCACGUUAGAGAUGAGAGUGUUGUGCUUAUCAGAGAUCAUGAGCAUGAAGUUCCCAGGCUCAACUAGACUGAAAGAAAAUGACUGAAUACCCAACCCAACAUCUUCGAAAACCAGAUCCGACACUGGCAUAGAUAAGUUUGUCCCCUUCUGCACAACUUCAACAUCAAAUGCAUACGAUCCAGGGACAAGAUUUCCAUAAGAAUCAUGCUGGUGUAUAAAAGCUUCCAUCAUUGAGAACAGUUGGAAGGCUUUUGUUUCAAUACGCCAGCGUACUAAACAAUUAGCAACAUCUAAAGUUCCUGUACAGAACAUUCAGAAAGGGUAUAAACUACAGAGAAUAAAGCAAAGAUCUACACAUGAUGCAGUACAACUUUGAGACGAUAUAAAGUAGAAUCAGCAGCAUUUCAUUAGUUCAAUUGUCUUAAGGUGUACCAUCCAACUGUUAUUAAGACAAGUUCAGUACAGCUUGAAGAUGCGAAGUUUUUGGUACUUUGUAUAUUUAGAUGAGUGGCUGGGACCCAAGAAAACACAGCAGUGACAUGGACUUCCACAAGAACAAUGCAUUUAAAUAUGAAGAGCAAGUGCCUCUUGGAGUAAUGUGAAAGGCAGAAUGCAAUGCCAUAAUCUAGUAUUAGAAGAGUUACAGGCCCAAAACGGAAGGAAGAGAUUAGACUAGAGAAUAACUGCAACACCAGUGAAUGAUGCAUUUGACCAGGCAGGAGAUUUAGCUAAUUCCAUUAUUUACUUAAUAAAAUGAUGAAGUUUGAAAUAAAUAAUCGCUACCUCUUUUAACCCCUAUUUCACAUGCACACUCAAUGGGCCUUUAAAUCUUAAGUUUCAUACCGCCCCCCGCUCAUCUGAUAAAAAUCACCAAUAAACUACUGCAGGCAAAUAUAGCACAGGCAGAGAAUCCAAAUGAUGAAUUGUUGAAUAAGAUGCAGUUGUUGGAGGAGCAGGAUGGAAAGGCAGAGGUACGUGUUUGCCUUUUCAGGACUCGCAAACCACAUCAUAAGUUAAUGCUUAGGAAAUCACCUGUUUUCGCCUUGAAUGGCAAUGGGGAGCCAGUCAACGUUUGAUUUUUCUCUCGAACAUGAAGUAAGAGGUUCCCAGAUGAGGCCACAACAAAUUCAAUACUGAGAUAUCCUAACUGAUUCCAUCCCUUGUCGGUAAUGUUAAGCACGUCUGCAGCAGAACCAUCCAGACUAGUUGCUGACAACCAAAAACUAUAGGACUCUGAUCUUUUACUGAUUGAAGAGACAUUAUUCCCAAAUGCAUCUUUAGGGAGUAUCAAAAUUGUAGCUUUUGUUCCAGCCACAAACUCGUUUACUCCAUCCAUCCACAAGACAAUACCAGCAGCUAAAUACAUUUUUCCUUCACAUUCAUAGCAGUAUGUAAGCGGUCAUCAUUAUACAAAUUCAUUGAUGAUAAAACUGGCAGCGUUAAACUGAAACAACAUGUGCCCGCAGAACUGAUAUUAAUUACAUUCUUGUACUUAAAAAGUACUAGCAUGAUUGAGAUAUAGAAAGUCAGUUUUAUCCUGCUAUACAAACAUUGUUGAUUCUCUAGAGCUAGGGCCAACAUAUCUCACAAUACGAGAUGAUCGUUGAAAGAAAAGUAACAGAAGAGUAAAUGUGAGUCAUGAUUACAUUGUACGUAUGGUCAAAACGCUGCUAGCCCUCACUGUACAAUUGAAAGUUCAUCCAGGACAGGACGAUUGCACAUGUAAGAUAGCAACUUGUCAAGAAAAACAAGUUUCCCUACACUGUGAUAAACGUCACUAAAAGGAAAACAACUGAACGUUACAAAUGAGGACAUUCUCACUGCAUCCAGUGACUGGAUUAUCAUACAAUGAAAUAAAAGAUGCAAAACAAACCUGGGGUGACUCGGAAAUGCAGGGAAGAGUCCAAGAUAUUGAAAUUUUCUUCAGUGAUCAGCACAUUGAACAAUCCAACCAUAAUAGGGAUGAAAGAUAUCCUCCAGUUGUUAACAUCAACAUCAAACUGUAAAGAAACCCCAGAAAUGUAGGAGCUAUUACCCAUCUUAUCGUUGACUGUGAUGUUAGGAUUAAAGGGGUACUUGUACUUUCCACUCUCAAAAUUUCCUAGAACUUUGACCUUUAUAGUUGCUAUAUCCCCUGCCACAAAUGUGUCAUUGCCAUCAAACCAACUGAAAGCAAAAGUGGGCAUUGAUGGACUCUCUGCAACAAAUACAAAAAUGAUUCAAUAAAUAAGUAAAACAAAAUCCACCUCCUAGAAUUGACGUAGAAAUGCCGGCAUUACCUGAUUUUGUGACUAGAAGACUAAAAGAUGGAAACAGAGAGGCGGUGAGGAAGGAAAUGAUAAGUAUGAUUUUAGUGUAUAAAAGCAUUCUUGAGUGUCCACGUACGAGAUUACAGUGAAUUGCAGAAAUUAUUUGACUUCAAAAAAAUUUUGGUGGGGAAGAAAGAUCUGGUAUAGGGCGGGAGAAGUUCAAGUUGAUGAAUAGCGGUUAUGAUAUCCGUGUGGAAGUCUGGGUUAUGGUUGGUUAUUGACAGUUACUUGAACUCAUUUUCUGUCGCAAAUAUUUUUUAUUUAUUGGCAGUGUGGUAAAAGAACACAAAGAUCAAUUGUAUUUUCAGAUUUUUCUUGCGAUAGCUAUUACUAAUACAAAGAUCAUUCUUUCGAUAGCAUUUUUGUUCAAUCAUGACUAUUAGAUGUGUCAAAAUGAGUGAUCCGGGUGGAUUUGAACGGGUCAUAACUUGAUAAUGGGUAUAAUUAGGUCAACUCACGUAUAAACAUUUAAUAUAUGGGUACGAGUAUAUCCAAUAUCUAUUUGUGAGUCGCUUAAAAUUCUAUCUUUUUUUUUUAGCAUAUUGUUUAACAAGAAAUAACAACGAUAUCUUAUUGUUAUUUGAUUGAUAAGAAAUUCAAAUUUAUUUUCUUAACACUCACUAAAAAUUGAAUUUAAAUAUAUAAUUAUCUUAAAUGAAUAUAAACGGAUGAACCGAAUCAACCCAUUAUCAAACAAUUAAAUGAGUUUAAUUGGGUACCAAUUUGAACUCGUUCAAAAUUAAUGCACAGGUUUGGAUAGGUAAUUGGUGGACAAGUUUGGACAGAUCAACAUAAUUAAGUUGUAAUUAACACAUCUAAUAAACAGGAUCUGAGAACAAGAAUGACUAAGGAUGAUAAACUUUCCAGGGUCCAAGCCAUGAUAAAGGCAAAUAUUUUGUAAGAAAGAAUAUUGAAGUUAACCAUGAUUCAAGUACUUUUCAUAUCCUUACAAUAUAUAAGAGGUACUUUUGCCUUACUGUUCAAGGCCAGUUUCAUCUGCUCUUCCAAGGCCUUACCCGUCAUUUUGCCCUCCAUCCGGUGUUGCUUAUAUAUUUUCUCCUCCUCUUACGCAGGACAAUUUUGUGUGUAAGAAGUGGAGAUUUUUUACCUUCAUAUUACGCAUUUGCCCUUGGUCUACUUAUUAUUCCUUUGUUUACCCUCAAUAAAUUCUUUUUUUAUGGUUCUGCGAGUGUUAUGAAAUUGGGCUUUUUUGUCAAUUCCUUUGACAAGAUUGUUGGGUUACAUCAAUAAACAGUAAUCUCAGCCUCCAAUUUACACUUUCCUCCUUAAAGAUGCCUUUCUUGUGGAUUAUAAGAUUUUAGCUUGAGGUCAUCAUUGGAAAGUAAAUUUUAUGCCCCCACUUGCAUGAAUCUGCUGUUGCCAAUGCCAUAUUAAGCACAAUGGUAUACAGAUUAGUCAUGCGCAUAUGUACUGAUCUCCGUCAAUUUGCUUUGUUCUAUUUGCUUUCAUCUCCCACUGUUUUGCUUCCUUUGCAUUGCCGCUGCUGGUAAUCAUCCUUUUACUUCCUUCUGUUUUAUAUUUUAUAUUAUAUUUCCUCAUUUUUGUUCCACCAAAUCUGGAUAAUGAUCCCGCACAUUAUUACGCACCUGAACACGAUUACGCUCCGUCUGCACAAAACACUAAGCUUAAACUUAUAAUAAACUUUUACCAUCCACUAACAAAUUACGUUUGACCAAACUAACUUAUAAAACUCAAUGCUCAGUUCAAAACAAAACAUUUUUGUUUUUUAUACCUAUACGAUGAAUACCAUCAAUGUCUAUUGAAGUUACAGCAAUGAAGGCAACAAUAAAUACGGAAGCUGAGAUCAAUAUAAAGUAGGGAUCAUCAAAACACUAAACCAGCCCCGCUGAUAGUUAGAUUGGUUCGAAGUAAGUCCUGUGAUUGACUUCGACGUGCUAUCUCAUUGUACAUUUUUUGACCAAGAUUCUACACAAUCUUAGGGGAUCCAAUUGAAAAUCAGAUCGGACUGACCGGUUGAAUUGCGAACUGGCCAUACCUCCGAUCUAAUUCAAUUAAAAAAAUCAAAAAAUUAAUUGAACCGGUCAAGAUCGGUUGAAUCGGUAAAAAUCGGGAGGUUCAAUUGAUUUUUAUGAAGUAUUUAUUUUCUAAAAUAAAUAUUUUAGUUUUAUUCAAAAUUCUUAAUACUAAAAUGAAUAAAAAAUUAUUAAAGCUUUGAACUGGAGUCAAACCAGUUGACCGAUCAAAUCGUGAACCGAAAUGUUCACUCUUUGGUUCGAGUUUUAAAACAUUGAGGGGAUCGCCCUCCGUGUGCUACAUCGCUAUGUGUUUUUGAAAUAAGGCUCUACAUAGUUUUAGGGGGUUAGUUUGACCGAAAUGUUGCCCCUAAGUGAAAAAAAAAAAUCAAAACACUAUACAAAAAAAAAAAUCAAAACACUAAACCACCCAAUAUAAAGACAAUUUUUCAUGCGGGUUAUGCAAUUAUAGAAGCAACCCCAUUGGCUAUGACCAAAAAAUGAGAGGAAUUUGAAAUCUCGAUAGUUCUUUGUUCAAAAUCGUAUCGGUUUUUAUUAAUAAAAAAAAAAUCUCGUAAUAAAAGAAACAUAGGAGUUUGUUACUAGGUAUUUGACCAAAUAGGAUCGUCCAUUCCUAUAGAACAUAUCACUAAAAUAGCUCUAGAAGGGAUAAAACUAGGUGAAUCGAAAAGGAUUUAAGUUAUAUAAUUAUAUUUGUUAAUUUAAAUUUUUUUAUAAGAAAAGCUUGUAUGCAAAAUAUGUGAAGAUUUUGGCUGUUUUUUAUUUGAUUGAAUCUUAUAUACUCCAUCCCGCAGUCUCUCACGACCCUGAAGAAUCCUGCCAUGUCACUCAUGUUUGCCAUUUCUUCUGCUCUUCAAAACGCACCGUAUCGAGCAAUCUCCAUAAAAAACAGCCAAAAUCUUCACAAAUUUUGCAUACAAGCUUUUCUUGUAAAAAAAUUUAAAUUAACAAAUAUAAUUAUACAACUUAAACCCUUUUCACUUCACCUAGUUUUAUCCCUUCUAGGGCUAUUUUAGUGAUAUGUUCUAUAGGAAUGGACGAUCCUAUUUGGUCAAAUACCUAGUAACAAACUCCUAUGUUUCUUUUAUUACGGGAUUUUUUUUUAUUAAUAAAAACCGGUACGAUCUUGAACAAAGAACUAUCGAGAUUUCAAAUUCCUACUGUCAAUGUAUACACUAUCACGAUGGGAUGGAUGACAUGUAUUCAAAUUUUACACAUGUAUCAUAUAUCUAAUGAUGAUAAUAUAUACACUAAUAUUGUAUAUAAGAUUAAUCUUUUUUAUUUUGGGCAGAAUUGUUGUAGUUAAAAAUCAAGAGGGCCGGAUUGCGGUUAAAUCCCAUUUUUCUGCCUAAACAAAAUAACCAAUGACACUUCGUGCUAAUUUAGCUAGCCUUCGUCUUUAGUGUCAACUUUUUUUAACCAUUUGGCCGUGAAGAAAAUAACAAUGCAUGCAUCUUGUGCAUCAAAUUAUUCUCAAGUCAAUCAAUCCUACCCCCAUGCUAACGUCCAGCUAAAAUGACAAUUGAAGAGAAUCCUUUUCCUGGACAAAACAUCAAAGUUAUCUGUGUAGCAACAGUUCAGUAUAGUAUCUGAAUUUGGCUUGUUUUUUAAGGAUCAUCAGUUCAUGAAUUUCCAAUUCAUGUUUGACAGGCCAUUUCAAUUGUCAAUUUAUAAUCAAGUCGAAUGUACAACAAUAUACAUGAUCACAAAGAAAAAGAAGAUUCAUGAUUGCAUGAGCUUGAGGAAGCCAAAGCUCCUGUUCCCAGCCUUGUGCUUCAGCAUCAUUGACAAACAGAGAAUUUAGCAGCUUCAGAGUCUCAGUAACCUCGAUUUGGCAUUAAAAACCCUGAUAUUUCAAGCUCAAAAAACGCCUAUGCAACUCAAAAGCUAGUCAGAUCCACAGCUCUGGAGCCAAGGCUUGACCCUUAAGUCUAGUUCAUGGAGCAGUCACCUCAUAUGCAACAUCAACAGCUCUGGUUUUUCAAUGUACAGCUUCCAUUCAUUGCAGAACCUUGCAACUGUUGCACCAUCAAGGACUCUAUGAUCAGCACCAAUAUUAACCUGAGAUAGUAAACGCCAAAGUGAGAGAGAGACAAAAUAAACUCCCAAUUAGCAACAAACAUUUUGCAACCUUAUGAUGCACUAAUAUCAAUAAUGGCAGGUUGCUGGACAAUUAUAUUUGCAAAAUGUGGAAUUGUUUAUACUGGGGAAACUUAGUGAACCAUUCACUACUUACGGUCAAGACUGACAUAGGAUACACAUUUCCAUCUUCAGCAAACUGAGGAACUUUCUGGAUGCGGCCAAGUGCAAUGAUGCAAACUUCGGGCACAUUGACUAGUGGGGAACCAAACUUUCCACCAAUUGCCCCUAUGUUACUUAAGGUUAUAGUUCCACCAGUUAUAUCAUCAGGGUUAAGUUUAUUUGCCAAAGCCAAUUGUUGAAGCCAUGAUAAUUCCUUUGUUAUCUGCAGAUAGAAUAUCAAUCAAUCAACAACUCUAGGCAAGCAAAAUUGCAUAGUCCACCCUGACCUGAAUCCUUUUUGUCCUUUUCAACAAAAUAAAUAAUCAAAUAGGAAAAUGAUGCCCUGAAUUGAGAGAGAGUACUAACCUCCAAGAUCGAUAGAGAUUGGACCUUCUUAAUAUUUGGUACCACCAAACCAUGUGGAUUAGCCAUAGCAACUCCAACAUUAUGAGAUCCUUUUGAAGUAUGAAUGAAAUCAAGGUACAAGAUUUAAGUGAGCAACAAAUCAAGAGAGUUUUCAUGUUAAUGAUCAGACAGUUCAAUAAUGGAUGAACUUCUAUCCCUGUCAUCACUAUCAAUAAUUUCAUGAUGAAAGUGACUAUCAUACGUUUCAGUUGCUUAAAAUAACAAACUUCUAGCAUCUCUGAAUGAUUACAGAUACACCUGAAUCAAACUGUAUACAACAUCUACAGAUCCAAACAUGAAACUAAAAGAAAAAUAACAAUGAUUUUGGAAAGUUCAAGACCUAAAUCUUCCUUCACUAAAAUGAUGACAAAUACACCUUGAAGCAAAUUAUUUUGUUGAAUGCAAGCUCAAAAUUAUCUCAAGGACCCAAAAGAAGCAGUCGAGUUCUGGUGAGGUGGCUACAAUACGAGGAAAAGACCCAAGGCAACAUGUGGCCAGAACAAAAAAGGCAUAUCAGUGAUCAUAAGUGUGCUUAACAGUGAUCUCUUGUACAUCAUGUAUACAACAACGUAAUCCUGAGAUUUGGCACUUCAUAGACUACUGACCUUUAAGUGUAACCUCAUUCAGUUCUUCAUUCAAGCUGCUGUUCAGCCAUGGAUACUUACUGAUUGCCAUGGAAAGUGACUUUAUCAAGAUGGGAAGGAAAGUGAACUUGACAUCAGGAUCAGAAUUCUCAUUAUGAAAGGAAGAUUUGAGCUCUACAAGUGCAUCACAAUUUAUUUCUUCCACAUAAUGAAAAUGAGGAAUUUUAGCAGCUGAUGACAUGGACUUUAUCAUAGCACGUUGAUAACCCCUGAAAAGUCAAAUUCCAUUAGCUCAUCAUUUCCACAGUUAGCCAACUGAAGUUCAUCAUCUAUAUCAUAGCCUAUAAAAAAAAUAUACUUCCCCUGCCGCACACCACAACAGCAUUAAGUAAAAUCUACUAUAAUGAUGUCAAGUUCUGUAGAACUUGACAUCAUCAACCCAUAAAAGAUUGCCAGAGGUUAAGACAUAUAAACAUAUUGCGAAGAAAUGGACUGGCAAUCCUCUAUCAGAAAGACCAAAUUACCAGAAAACCUCAGCUUCCUCCUAAUGAAAAUAGAUGUGGAGUAAUGGACAGAACAUAAAAUUCUAUUAAGUCCUCUCAGUGAAAGAGUAGCAGUAUGAAAACUGAAACAGAGAAAUGACGGAGAGAAAAGAAAAAUAAUUCUUCAACAAGUCAAACAUAGAAGUCGAGAAAAUUUUAAAUAUAUGUCUUCAUUCACAGAGAAGACAUGCCUUAAUGUAACAGUCUUAUCUUCAAAUUCCCAUCCGUAUGCGCCGGAAAUACCCUCGAAGCUGUUGUCAGCUACCUGUGACUGCUCUCCCGAAUAAGCACCCAAAGAUGUUGGAUCCUUAAUAUUUUCUUUCUUAGCAACAUAAUUUAGGACAUCCUCUCUCAACACUCUUCCAUCUUUACCAGUUCCAACAACAUCAUUUAUAUCAAUACCAUAAUCUUUUGCAAGACUACGAACAGCAGGGGUGGACAGAACUUUCUUAAUGGCACUCCUCUGAAGCACAGAACUGGGAGAAUCACCUUCAAGACCAUUGCAGUCCAAAUUAUCCAAAGGAUGCAAAGUUUGCAUAGGGCAAGCAGUUUCAUCAACAAUCAUUUUCAAUAGUGUUUCUCCAACCUGCAAACCAAACGAUGAUGAGGAUAUUACAUUCUUUGAAAGACCAAAAUCAAGACUCUGCAGAUAUGGAUUGUACAAGAGGGCAAACAAAAGUUCCAAAAAGGGACGAUUCUACCAAUGCCAAAAUAGUAGAUAGGUGGAGGAAAUUCUGGACUGAAAUGGUGAUCAAGACAAGCCAGAAUGAGUAGCCAUCGAUGGUCAAUCUUAAAGAAGAUUAACUAUGCCCAUAUUUUCUAGAAAAGUAAUCGUUGAAGGUUUAGAACAAAGAAAAUUAUUGGCAGUCCCACACUUACAUGUCUCGAAACAAAUAAUAUAUAGCCACAGCUCAUAGAGAGAAUGGACUUGUGUAAAAGCAUAUGAAGGUGCAUGAAAGACUGGUUUUUUAUGUUACCUUUACAAUGUUACCAGGAACAUGGAGAAUUUGAGAAACUUUUCCUUUGUAACGGCUGGUUAUUUCGAUGGUAGCUUUGUCACUCUGAACUUCACAAAGUGGUUGGAACUCUUCAACUUCAUCACCCUGCAAGAUUUUUUUUUUUUAAUCUUCAUUUGAUAUAAGUAGCAGUCUCACAUGGACAACCUGGGAAAGAUGUCUCUGGUCUGCAAUGUUGCAUUCACUGUUCUAACCAAGUAUCAAGGACAAGCAUGUUGCACAUGACUCGAAUACCUAUCUUAAGCUGCACGUAGUUGAAGUUUGUUAUCCCAUGCAUGCCUUCAAAGAUUUUCCAUGUAGCAGUGUUUCAGAACAGCUAAGUACUAUUUUUAUUUGGCAAGUCUUCUCUAACUUAAAAAGUCUUUCAAUAUUUUGUCGAGUCUCCUGAUUUUCGCUUUAGAUAAAGAGCAUUCAGACUUUCAAACACGUGCAAGCCCCAGAUAACUCGUGACAACAUCCAUGAUACAUAGGUUGUUUCUGGAUACUUCCAAAUUUUUGCAUGAAAUAAAAUAACAAGUAUUUGUACAUGUGACAAAAGAACAGCUAAAAACGGUGUAUAGCCCAUCUCGUGCUAACAACAUGGGAAGGAUGAAUAAGCUAGAGACUAGUGGAAAGAAAUUUUCUUCAGAAAAGAUAAUAGCAGUAGGCUGGGUGAUAUGCCAAAAUACAGCCCAGCAUAGUGAUUCAACUAAGCUUAGAAAUAGAUCAUAACUAACCUCUUGAAUAAACCAUUUCAGGAGUUCACAUUCAGCAAUACCUUCUCCAGUUUGUGCCAAAGGAAUAUCAACUAUCCCACCAACCGGAGAAUCAACUACAACUUGAGUUGAAAAGCAACAUCUUCUCAUGCCAAACUCGUAAUUUGACUGCAAAACAACAAGAAGAGAGAAAUUAACAAGUAAGAAUAAUGAAUAGCAACUGCAAUUUCCAGUCCACUUCACAAGUUCUUGAAAAAAAAAUUUGCACCAACACAAGAAGCCAGCAUCUAUAUUCCUACUCUAACAGACAAAUCUCGACACAGGCACAGCAUACAAACAUAAUAUCCAAAAACACAACUUUUCGGCUCUUCAUAUGGAAAUGGCUUCACAUAGAACGAUGUCUUGUUUAGAAUGAGUACAUGGAUAUCCCUCCAGGGGCACAUUUUGCCUUGCAAACCGUAUAACAAAUCCCUCCCUUUUUCCACUUCUACUUGGAACAAAUACACAAUUCAACUCACCAGACUACUCAAGCGGUAGGACUACUGGCAUAAAAUAGUUUUAACAUGAAAAAAAUAUUCCAAACUCCCCAGCUUUUAACAAAAGGACCUUUAUGAAAACCUUACAAAUGCCAUUCAUUUCAUUCACCUUAAUGAGUCGGAUAAAACAAUCUGACUUCUGUGAUUCUGAAAAUUAAACUAAAUAACAUCCUACAUGGGCAUCAAAGCACCACAAUUCACAGGAAAAAUAAACAAUAAAAUGGCUACAGAAUUAAGGGAGGGAGCUAUAGCACACAACCAAAUGACGAAAAUCUGCUUUAAGAAAACAUAAUCACAAUCACCGGUAGCACCAAAGGAAAUCCCAGAACAGGAGUUUAGCUACCGACAAUAAAUUCAAUGAGAAACAGAGUUAAUGAUGGUUGAUUACUUCAUUGAGCUUAAUGUAUUGCAGAAACGACAUCGUUGAGCAGGGGACGAUGGAAGCUUGGGAAGUCGAACCCAGUGAUAGAGUGGUUGUUAGGCCUUGGCCAGGACCACCGGUGGCCACCGGCGGCCGAGUAGGAGCAGUGGACGAGUAUAACCACCGCCGGCAGGUAAUCCAUGGCUUCCGCUGAUGCAUUCGCCGGCAAAGCAUUGUGCAAUGGUAAGAGCUGGAGUAGCGUGCGACCGCUUCGUUGCAAGUAACGUACUAGCAACUAAUUAAACCACUUGGGAUGGGAGAAUUUCUGCUUGGUUACGUUGUUCAGUAGAUGGAACGUAAAAUUUUUAAAUUUGUUUAUUUAGGAAUUAUUGAGAUGAUUAGCAUUUGUCCUCAUUUGAAAUUUGACUGCUGCAAAUUUUUUAAUGAAUUUAGUUAUAAUAAUAUUUUUAAAAAGGAUUCAAAAAUUUUAAAUUAUAUAUUUUAAAAUAUUCAAAAAUUUAUACAUUUCAAAAUAAUUUUCUAUGAUUUUUAAGUAAAUUUACUUAAAAUUUUUUAUAAACACUGAAAAAAUUCAUUCGUCAAACGGACCCAAAAAAGUUACUAGAGUCCUUUCCAUAAUAUAUUGCCAUAAAAAAUAUUUUUUAUUGUUUUUAUUUUGUCAUGAAAGAGAUGGUUAAAAUGGUACGGAUUAUUUUCUUUUGGAUAAAAUUUUUUUUUUUCGGUGUACUGUGAGUAUGUAAUGGGUGUAUAUGUUUGUCAAAUGAUGAGCCUGGGCCCAAGAAAAUUUUGUGACUGUAACCAACUCUUUGCUCCUAUACUAGGAGGAGCGUAAGGCCCAAAUUCUGAUAAACAGAUCCAUUUAGCCCAAACUGAUAGACCAGAGCCAUUGGUCCUUUAUGAAAUACGCUUCGGGUUCCGACUGGUUGCUAUUGGGGCAGUUCUGUUGGGGCUAAAUUGAACUGCAUUAGCAGUGCGAGGUCUGGAAUUUUUUGAAUUUCUGGCUUCUUUCAGGUGUUUUAUGACAACAUAAUAAAUUUUGAAUAGAGGACUAGAAUAAUUGCGCUAAACUCAAAUCGCUUGCUACUAGUGCUUUUUGAUGAGGUUUGUCUUGUAGAAGUGCUCAAACCGGAUUUGUGAUCAAUUGCACGUAUGAUUUACUAUGCAAAAAAAAAAAAAAAGAAAAGAAGAAGAUGGUAUAGCCAUCUUUUUUAUUUCCCUAGGCAAAACAUGUAUCAAGUGUCUUCAUUUCUCCUUUUGAUUACUAAGGCCUUGUUUGAUAAUCCAAUUCAGCACUUCAAUUUUAUAAAUUCAGACCUUAACAUGUUAAAACGUGUUUAAUAACCAAAAAUUGAAUAUCUGAAUUAAUUAAAUGAUAUUAAAUUUUUUAAAUAAAAUUUGCUCCAAAAAAUAAGUGAUAAGCUAUGUGAUAUACACUCAAGAUUUUAGUACUUAAUAAUUCAAUAAAUUAAUGAAUUCAGACUUCUCACGUUUCAGUUUUUUAUCAACCGCACCCUGAGUGAGCUAGUCAUCAUUAAAAUCAUCAUCAUUGUAAGGAGCGCAGUUCUUAGAAGCUUGAUUAAUUUUGAAGACAGGGAUAAAUGGAAUUAAUAGGUAGGGGCAUGUAUACGGUCCUACCUGUUUAAAAUUUCACAAAAUGAUGCUGCUGGAAUCGAUCGUGCAAUGUGCCGGAUCGAGUUGACCAGUAACCGCUUCUUGCGAUUGUGACCUCACCAAAUUUUAGGGGACUCCUGUAAUGGGAUGGUGCUUUUUCCAUUUGUGAAAAGCUUGUCCUCCUCUUUUUCACGUCAAUGAAAAAAAAUUCUUGUACCCUCUUGUUACUGAUGUUAGAAGUAGUAAAGUGGUUCCUUCCUCUCCUGUACUCAUGUUACUGAUGAAAAAUGUGUGCCCUUUUGCCCAUGACACUCAUUUCUUUUUUAUUCUAGUUGGAAGUCGUCAGAAGGUGGUGAGAAUUAGGACAAUGUCACGUCUCAUACACUAGCGUACAUCCUUAUAGAAAGAUUCCCACAUGGCUAAUGUGCACUUUUGCAUCAACUACUGCUAUUCUCAUCUUCUAGUCCUUCCAAAUACUUAGCUAGCUUAGCAUGUCCUGCUUUAUAAGGAAAAACUCUCAUCUUCCACAACUUUUAUUAAGUUUUUCGUGGCUUCAUCAUCAUCACAUGCAUGCAGAGCUGCAUGGACAGUUUCAUCUUUCUUUUAAUGCCACAUGCCAUGUGAGAAGUGAGGACUAAGAUGGCCUAAACAAAUUGUUUGGACUCCAUGAGUCCCAAGACACUGGAGAUAUGACUUCACUUCAGUUGUUAUGCACAAUGUUUGCCUGAAUUCCAUCGUGUCCAGAUGGUCCAUGAAACGUUUUGAGCUUAAUCAAUUAAUUUGCAGUGCCCAUGAUUCUCUUCACGUUUCCAACAUAAUGUUGAGAAGGAAAUAAUGGAUCAUGAACUCCUCUGCAUCUGAUACCAAAUGAAAACAACGCGUUCCCAAGCAAGUUCUCCCCAUGGAAAAAUACAUUUGCUGAGCAGAAGCACACUCUACUGUCAUGCACGUUGUCCUCUUUAAUCAAGAGAUUCCAAGUGGGGUCAUGACGUUUUUUUACCCUGGGGUGUCUGAUCAGCUAGACCAAUUUGGCAGAAACAAGAAAUUAUCAGUCCAAAGUGAAAAGGUAAGGAAGAAAAUAAAAUGUGUUGGUGCGUGAAACGUAGACUUGAAGGCAUGAAGGGGAGCAUGCCUAUGAAGAUAAAGGCUGAGCCAGUGGAUUGUCCGCAUUUCCAUGCGCAAGAAAAUUGGUGGCAUCCCAUCCAAAUAUAACUUCAAACUUGGACUGUGACUUGCUGUUGUGAUCCGGUCUUCGGGAUGAUGGUGAAUUGAUAUUAUUAUUAUUGAUAACCAGAGAAAUUUCAGCUUUCAGACAUGCUGGGAAACUGUCUUCAAUUGCAAUACUACUCAACACAAUUGCACUGCUGGAAUGAUACCGAUGGCUCCACUUACAAAUAGAGGAAAUUUGGGUGUCCACUGUCCACCCUGCAGGAAAGAUUUUGGCUUUGGAAUUAACUAUGGUUAAUAAAUUCGUGGCUCGUUUCUCUCUCUCUCUCUCUCUCUUUUUUUUUUGUUCGUUUUUUUAUGGUAGUGCACCUUAAUGUUGGUAAUAUUGAUAAGGGAGAACAAAAGGGUACGUGCAAAUCAAACCCUUCUUCUAGAACCAAAAAAUGCAAAGUAUAUCAAACAUUAAUGCCACUAACUGCAUAUUUGUGUCAUUUUAUGGCUAGAAGUUUCAAAGUGGUUCUGGAAACUCUCAAGGAAAUCUCUUUCAGUCCUGCAUGCUUCCACCAUUUACGCCUCUGUGAAAAAGUACUCAUGAUCUUCAAGAAUUUUUUAAGAAUAUGAGGAAAAGUGUUCACAGCACACAUAUUUUGCGCAUUUGUGGUCGGAUCCAGUACCCAACUCCUGCAUAAUAUAUAUAUGUCCAUCGGGCAUGAGACCAUAUAAUGUGGACAAUCUAUCUAUUAGUCGGAGAUUGUCUCCACUUGCUGAAUUUCCAGCUAACAAAGAUGCUAAGCUACAAUAGUAGGGUUAAAAAUAACAAUGAGUUUAUGUUGACAAACCAGCUCAAAUGAGGAAAAGAAGUGCUACAUCCUGUAUGAAAAUAGUCAACAUUCGUGGGUCCUACUGACUAAGGAUUAUUGCACUAAGAUUUACUGGAUAGAUCUCCAUGUGGAGUUCAAUUUUUGACCAUCAUUAGUCCUGUUGUUGGACCUUGAUAAUCCACCUUCUAGAUAGCUUAAGAUUUGAGGUUUCUUCCUUCUUUUUUUUUCCUUGUCAAUAUAAACAGAACAAAGAGCAGGCACAUGGAGGAGCUAGUAGUGAAAGUGAGAAUGUGGGACUCGACUUUGAACUGAGAAUAUUAGCAUUCAUCAAAAUGCAUGUCAACUUUCUGCAACUGCAACUUUGUGGGUUUAAGCUGGGAAACUUGAAAGAUCAUCUACAAUGCUAUUGGUGGUUAGUACAUUAUCCUUCUAUUAUGAUUAACAAUCAGAGAUGAUCGCACAACGGAAGGGUUGACACGACAUCGUAUAUAUAUAUAUAUAUAUACUGUGGCAUUGUACAAGAUACCCAACCUUAAAUCCCCUAUCGCAAAAUAUACCAAUCCUCUUAUUCCACGACAUCAAUUGUUGGGAGAUUAUGAACUGUCGGUGGUUCCAGUGGUUUGAUACAAUGCCCCAGAGAUUGGAACCAGAAUAGCCACAUAUAACAUCAGUGUAACAACCCCUUUUGAACACAGCAAGGAGAUUUGACAUCGUAAAAGUUAUAAACGGGCUCUCUCAACAACCGUACGAAUUUAGCUGUUAAAAUGGCAUUGGGUGGGAAGGUAUAACAUCCCAUCUUCGACAUGUAAUAAGUUGAUGCUUGAAAUGCAAUUUGUCUGCAGGAUUAUGACCAGUGGUGGGGGAUGACUGCUAGUCUCAAUUAGGUUUGGGUUUCCAAGUCAUUUGCUGCAACUAAUAGGCACAUGCAUGGUUUCUUAUGAGCAAGACAAUGCUUAUUUUCUGUUGUUAUAAAGCGCCGAGCCUUUUAAUCAAACAUCAUAGGACCAGCACAGCAACAGUGGAGAACAGUGAUAAGAUUGAGAAGCCAAGGAGAAAUUUCAACACGCAUAUGGAGAAUCAACGUCAAACAAUUAUUAGGCUUCGGGUCUAAAGCUAGUUGGCCAAUACCCUAAUAAUAUAUCAUUUUGAGAGUGCGUAGACUAAGAUUACUGCAUCAGCUCUUAGGACCAAACAUAGUUUAAUUAGUACUAGUUGGAAAUGUUUAACACAAUUUUCUCAUCUGGCAUAAUCAUGAUCAUGACUUUAGUAGUUGUCAUUUCAUUCAUUGUUCAUCUGUUUCCAUCUUUUCUUACGUCUUCCUCCGACAAGAGUUCGCUUAUAAAAAAUGAUUAUUAAUCACGAUAUUAUUAAACGAUUCACACAAAUAUGAAAAUCCCUAAAGUCGAUCAAGCAGGCAAGUAGUUUGUAUUCGUGCUUAAUUAAUCGCUUAGUAUAUAAUUUUUCCUUUCAUUAAAUCCAUGCACGUCUUCGCGGAAAGAAAAAGUACACGCAUGUUUUGUACUUCACUAAAAUUAGAGUACUACAUACUACAAAGUAAAAAACAAAGGGUAGACCCUAUGCAUGGUAGUAGUAAAGGAAAGGUUCAAGCCAAAUGCUUUGUACUUGUAGUAGCCAGAUAAUUAACUUGUUCCAAUGAUUUGGAAGUGUUUACAAGUUUAAACACGAAUAACCAUGCAUGCACGCAUGUGAUAUCACACAAGCAUUCAUUCAUUCAUGAAGAUGCCUCAUGCAUUCAUUGCAUGUUCUACAUAAAUUGGUACAAUGAAACACAAUAAUUAAACAACUUGUAAACUAACAUAGAAAUUGGAAAGUAAGAAUCCAAACAGGGUAAUAUAUCACAAUAAUUAAGAUUACCAUUAAUGCUGACUUUAGAGACAAGAAGCGUGCUAGUACUGAACAACAUAGGGGUUGGCCCCGAGAUCUUGGAUCCACUACUACAGGAAUUUUCACGUAAGCAUAAUAAGAUUGGAAGGAUGUUGCCAAGGCUAUAAAUAUUAAGUUGAAUGUGACAUAGACCUAAGCACAGGCUUCUAUCUCCAACCACCAAUUAUAGAUACUUGCCAUCAUUAACAUGGAAAAAGGUGUGACCUAAUUUCAAUAAUCAAAUGCAGUCUAUUACUCCUGUGGUCCUGCUCAAAUGGUUUCUACCGUAUAUCAUUAUUCAUAAUUUGAUUAGGGAGUAGUUCCCUAGGGUAGAUUACGAACAAAAAUCUCAAAGGUUGGCAAAAGGGUCGGAAAUUUAAACGUAAAAAAUGGUUUUUUUUUUUCAGCGUUUGAUACUGUGAUUCGAAGAAUAGCAGCAGUGUACAAGUAGAAUAGAAGAUGGAUGGAUUGUGUCAGGAUGUACAGAAUCAUGAGAAUAUGAUGAGAUAAAGUAGCACUGGAAACUAUAUAUAUAGAGUUGAGCAUUAACCGUGUCUAGAAAUGACAAACUUUCAGUUUGAUUUUAAUCCGGCCUGUCCUUUUUGUUUACAAAGUGGAUGAAGUUGGUGAUUCAAAUUAAUUUUCAAGGUCAGCAGCGGCUUGGACUCUAAAAAUACAAUCAUGGGACAUGGAUCUCCCAGCAGCAUCAAAAAGAUUAACGGGUGUGAUCUUCAAAUUAAAUGGCAAUAACAGUAAAAGAAAGAAAAUACUGGCACCACCCCAAGAUUAAUGAUAUAUAUUAACCUAUUUCUUAUGUUGUUAGUUUGAAUGCAAAGGAGAGUCCUAUAACAGAAGAAUAGACGAGCCCAGCAAAAGCACAAUACAUUGCUCAUGAACAAGUACUGUCGUAUGAUUGUCGUACAAUAAAAAAGCUGAAGUCAUUGUCAGUCGCUUGGUUACUGCCGCAUUAGUUCAGAGAGGACAAUUUACAUGUCACUAAUCUGCUUCUUCCAAAGUAACAUUAACAACUUAACCCCCCCGGCACCAUCCUUUCCAAAGCAAGAUCGAUUGAAAUGAAAUCCCAUCAGCCAGUUUCAAACGAUAUGCAAUCCCAAGGAUGGCUAAUAAACUGCCAAACUUUUGGAGCAGCAGCUUUGCAAGAUGAAGACAAGGUAAACCGAAUUUUUUUGGGUUGAAGUCCCUGAAUUUAGUGAGAAGGUUCAAUUUUGGGGUCUACUCGUUUCAUCUGUCCAUUUGGUCCUAAAAAAAUGUUUCCUUGAAAGCAUCAUCUCACCCGUACAAUAAAGUCUUAUGCGUCUGCUUCUACUUGUUAAACAUGUCCAAAUUUCCUUACCCAUCCAUUUAUUCUUCUGGUUUAAUCAAUGAGCUUUUUGUACAACUCAUGGAUUUAAUCCGUAGCGUUCUUUCUUUGCAUUUAUAGCCGUCACCAGAAACUGACGGUGCCUCAAUUUGGUCGGAAUCCAUUCGAGAAUACAAGCGGACACCCAAUUUGAGAGAGAUUUCUAUCUAAGUACUAAAUAUACUGAUGUAAAAAAAAAAAAGAGAGAGUUUUGAGUGUUGGAAGUGAGUUUUUUGGAUUAGGUAAAAGGCCCUUUACGUAAUUAACCUUUUGUUUGAGGGCCUAGCCUAGGGGAGGAAGAACAUAAUCUUCGUAGAGACAUCAUAUUAAUGACAUGAUAAUGAUUAUAUUGCCAUAUUACUGCACGAAAAGCUUCUUCAUGUGAAGAAGAUAGGCAGUGGAUUUAGGUAUUAUAACAUUUGAGCGCGAUACUUGUGAAGAGGAUGUGGAUAUGUUCUCACAUAUAUAGCAAAAUGACAAACCACAAGGGGGGGAGGGGGGGAGGGGUCGUUUAGGAUGUGGGAACCUCUUUUUUAAUCACACAAGGGAAUAACACGUUUAACAGUGCUCUAUUACACAACUCUACUACUCUCCAGUCCCCAGAUUGAGAACUCUCACUAAUAUCUCAAAAAGUGAUCAUCGCCCCCUGCACUAUAUAGCGCCCCCCUCUUUAUCCUUUUGGACACGAGCCUCAUUUUGUGCGUGUAUAAGACAGUGUGUUCCUGUCUCUGUUGUGCGUCUGUGUGAGCAUGCACAUCUGUUGGUUGCAUGGUAGAAAAUAGCAUCUUCUCUAGUCAAUAUUCCUUGAUUCUAAUCCUUUACUGCAUCAGACUUCAUCUUCCUGACCUAUCAAAAGUCAAGCAAACAAGGAGAAUACACAAAAAGGAAUCAGAUGGAAGCCGAGCAAACCAAAAAGAGCCCGACAGUUUCAGAGGUACAAUUUGCUAAAUCUCAAAAACUUCCAGCAUAUCAAAUAAAAUGGCUAAAGAAAUUACACUGACAUGCCUCUUUUUCCUUGUUUUGCCAGGUAAUUGAGGAACUAAAGAAAAUGAAAGACAUAAGUUUUCCCAUAUUUGCAAUCGGCUUGGCUGGCUACCUGAAAAACAUGAUUUCAGUGACAUGCAUGGGAAGGCUAGGGAGCCUCGAGCUAGCAGGUGGAGCACUAGCUAUUGGCUUCACCAACAUCACUGGUUACUCUGUACUAUCUGGUCUAGCCAUGGGAAUGGAGCCACUAUGUAGCCAAGCUUUUGGCUCAAGAAAUACAAGCAUUGCGUCUCUCAUUCUACGAAGAACAAUUCUUAUGCUACUUGUUGCAUCCUUGCCUAUUGGGUUGUUAUGGAUCAAUCUCAAGCCUCUGAUGUUACGUCUCCACCAAGACCCAGAGGUAGUAGAUAUUUCUAGCAUCUACUGCCGGUUUGCAAUCCCGGAUCUUAUUGCUAAUAGCCUCCUUCAUCCUAUACGCAUCUACUCACGAAGCAAGGGUAUUACAUGGCCACUCCUAUGGUGCACUUUGCUUGCCAUAAUUCUUCACCUCCCAAUCACCACCUUCUUAACCUUCAAUCUUCAUCUCGGAAUUCAGGGAAUUGCAAUUUCAAUCUCUGUUGCCAACUUUAACACCCUAUUCUUCCUACUUGCUUACCUACUUUACUACACUUAUGCACCAAGUGAGGCAUUGUCUAAACCCCUAGCACCCAAAUCAAAUUCAACUUCGUUAGGGGAAGACUGGAGAAUGCUACUUCGACUUUCCCUACCAAGUUGUCUGGCAGUUUGCCUGGAAUGGUGGUGGUAUGAGAUAAUGACACUUUUAGCUGGCUAUCUUGAAAGACCUCAAGUUGCUCUUGCAACAUCAGCUAUAGUCAUACAAACCACAUCUCUCAUGUACACACUGCCUUCAGCACUGAGUGCAUCAAUCUCAACGAGAGUAGGCAAUGAACUCGGAGCAGGCAGGCCAUACAAGGCACGUCUGGCAACAGUGGUUGGCAUAGGCUUGGCCUUUAUAACCUCAGUUUUUGGCUUCUUAUUGACUACCAUAGGGAGAGAAGCAUGGGGGAGGAUAUUUACAAAAGACACUGAAGUCCUAGAGCUAACACUGGCCACACUACCCAUAAUUGGACUGUGUGAGCUGGCCAAUUGUCCACAAACAACAUGCUGUGGGGUGCUCAGAGGAACUGCUAGGCCCUGUACUGCUGCAGGUAUUAAUUUCUACUCCUUCUAUUUGAUGGGAACACCAGUAGCCAUAGCAUUAGCCUUUUUUUGGGGACAAGGGUUUUUGGGCCUGUGCUAUGGGCUUUUAGCAGCUCAAGUGGCAUGCAUGGUCUCUAUCCUGACAGUGAUAAGCAAGACAGAUUGGGAAAGAGAAUCACAAAAAGCAGUAGACUUGGUUGGAGAAACUUGCGAAAAUAGGUACCAAGAUGAAAUUGCCAAAUGUGAAGAAGGACACAACUCUCAGAAACAGAAUAGCUUUGAAAAGGCAAAUGGAUUAAGACUCAAAUAGCAAUCUGAAGAUGGUACUAACAGGGCAGAUAUAGCAUACCCAUCAUUUUACUCUAGGCUAUAUGUAUUGUAUCCCGAACUAUUCAUCUACUACUGAUUUUCUGUAUGUACACUGAAGUCAAACUACUCGUCAAACAUUUAAUAUACGCACUGAAGAAUUUCUGAACUAAUAGCAUGUCCAUUCUAGCCAGAACAGUUCAAUUAACACUCAAGACAAAUGAAAUUCUGCUUUCCCUCAGAAGCACAACAAACUUACCAAGUGAACUUUUAUCGUCCUUAGGGAUAUUCUUUUCUUUGUUCAUUGAAGCAACAACAACAAAUCCCCCAAACCGCCACAAUUCUGCGAUGUAAUUAAUGCUGCAAUUACACCCAAACAUUGAACAUUUUAAACAUAAGCGAGAUAAUAGCAGUAAAGUUAUAAAGAAAUACGUGCAUAACCACAAGGGCUGCUUUGUAGGCAGAAACAUUCAAACAAUUUAUGAAAAUAGUUACAAACAAGAAAGCUGGUGUUUUCUAGCUUUUACCAUUCAGAUGAAGGAAAAACAGUUUAAAAAAAAAACCCCAUUUCUUUAGCUCAGAUGAGAACUCGGUCCUAUUUGGAACUUCAAUCUUUCUGAUUAUCAUCUAUUUAAGACAACACAAACUGGCUCAAUAGGGAGCAUGAUAUCUGAAGAAGCCAGUAGACCCACUUUUACCUGAGAUAGCACCUUUGGCAGUUCCUAGCUUCUCAACCAUGCCAAUAUUAUGCUUCUUUAGGACACAAAUAUCUGAUAGUAACCCAAUGGCAUACUCCAUUCACUUCUCUUACCACAUUAUCUUCCCCUGAUCAGUCUUGACCAGUCAAAAUCCUAGCCAAACCUGUGGAAAUAACUGAAAAAUCAAAUUUAACUCAAUGAAGAUAAUGAAAUAAGCUCUUUCAGUUUCAUGUAUUUCUCAUAUACAAUAUUAAAAAUAUGCAUAGCAACAAAUCUGGACACUUUUGCAAAGACUCAAUGCAUAAUAUUUAAUACUGAACACUUCUUCUUUUGUUCAUUUUACAUUACAUCUAGAAAACUAAUCAUUAACCCACAUUUUUUAGUCACCAAGUAUUGAUUUUUCUUGAUCAUCCCAGUGGAACACGUUCAAGCACCCAGCCAUCUACAUGUAAUUCCAAGGAUCAAAUUUGUGUUUUUGAUUGCCAAGCAUGAGAUGCAAGUCAAUCCAUACCCUCUGAAAAAGGCCCAACACUACAACUGAUAACUGCAUUACCAGCGUAUAUUCAACAGUUCAACUCUUUCCAACAGAUAAUUAACUGAUGCUAAUACAACAGAAAGGACCAUUCAUGUGCACAUCUGCAAAUUUUUUGUUUCCAAUUUCCCAUAGGAUGAAAAAAUUUGCUGGGAUUGAAUUUCAUUUAGUACCUAUUGAGGUCAGAUAAAAACUAGAUUUUGAGAAAUAAAAUUCGUAUUUCGCUGAGGUGACAGAUCAUGAUGGAAAAAGCAACCAAAAGAGAAAAAAAAAAUAUAUAUAUAUAUAUAUAUAUAAAACAAGAACAAACUAAGUUUCUUUUUAUCAUAGGGCAAGUUGUAUAAGCCAGCAGCAUGUAUUUGAAUCCAUAAUAUCCUCCUGCAUUUAGGUAUACAAAGCAAUGGCAAGACAGUGUAAUUUGAUGCAGCGAAUAAGAAGACCUUCAAAAAUAUUUUGAAAUGGCUACACAUUUAUUUCUCUGGAGACUAAGCGCAACAAAAUGGUAGUUAUCCAGAACUGGCAUUCUAUCAAAAUUGAGUUCUUUGUCAAUAUUAAAAAUUAAAAAAAAGUGACAUUUUGACCCAAUUGAUUUGAUGGCUAAAAUGCUACAGUCAGCAUGUAAUUAAGAAUGGAUAGAUCUUUCACUUACUUCUUAGGUAUUAAGAUACUAAGCACUUUAAACAUUUAACUAUUCACAAAUUACAACUAGGUGCUACAACAAGAAUGAAUGAAAUGGCAUAAUACAACCUUCAAAAUGUUUAGAUGGAUAAUACUACCUUUAAUUCUUCUUUGUGUACUAGAGCCUCGAGGAGCAGUAGCACUGAUUUGAUUUCAUAUUUUGGUAACAAGAAAUUACUGAAUACUUCUGGAACACCUGUCAUCAACAUAAACACGCUCCAUUACUCCUGAACAACUGAUUUGAUUUCCUUUAACCACAUCCCUACCAAACGCAUCAAAUAAGCCAAUUUUGCACGUAACUGUUGGAUGACAAAAACACGAAGUGAAUACAAUAAAACACAGAUCAGUUGAUUUAUUGCAAUCCACUCACACACUCGAAUGCCAACGGAAAAAAGAAAGCAACAAGAAGAAAAUUCAAAUAAGACAAUCAAAAGCAUAAUAUCAGUUGAUUUUUGGCCAUGCAGCAGCUGAACAGCAGUUCAACUUAGCCAUUGAUACAAGGGCACUCCCAUUUCUACACACAAAAUCUUCACAGUAGCUCUGACUCAUUUCCCCAAACUAACUUUUCAUUCUUUCAAGUGACCAUAUCUUUAAAUUCUUGAAGCUUUUCGAAAACAUUCACUCUUUGACAUUUCUUGUCGGGAACCCUUAAUUCUGCAACCCACUUCUACCUUUCAAGAAAAUUACAAUUCAAAAUCCAUCCUUAGAAACCUCUCCCAAAUCUUCCUCCAAUUUUAAGAGUGAUUUUAGCAUAAUUUACAGGAAAGAGACAAAAAUUCAAAAUCGUAAAUGGCCAUUAGUUCCUUAAACUCCUAAUCACUUUAUUCAACUUUAAUAAAGCAAGAAGUCAGCUGAAAUUACAGACUCCACCUAGAACUCUGUCAAAGGAUGUGCUCUGCUUCAGUAGACAGGGAAUCCCAUAAAGAAAAGUAUAUCUUUGUGCUUCAAAUGGGAUACCCUAUUUCACCCCGUCAAAUAGAUUUCCAAAAUCAGCAACAAUGUGAUACUCAAAAGCUAAUUAAAGUUACCAUGAUACGGACUGAUCCCAAUUAACCAAGGAUUAUGAUAGUUGCCCAGAUACUCUGCUGGUCUUAAAAGCAAGUUAUUGUAACCCACCCCAGAAAAAGAAAAAUAGUCUACAGCAAAAUAAUCAUUGAAAAUAAGGCAGGGAGAUUUCUGAAGAACGCAGAUCGUACUUGCAAGUAGAAAGCCCGCGCUUGCACAGUGGAAUUCGUGUUGAAGGAGAGUCAUCGACAGGCUUCCAAAUUGAUUCUACAAUCUUUCUUGUUUUUAAAGCAUAUUUUAUUUGCCCUCUCAGGUGUAAACCAGUUUUGAUUCAGCCCCAGUCGUUUAUGAUAUUAGUACACAGUACACACGAACUAGCGCAAGGAGUGGAAAGAUCUACGACAAUGUGUUCAUAUUUGGUUUUGAAAAUACAGAGUUUUAUUUGAUUUGAUUCAUUUGAUGAACCACUUCUAUUGAGAUUUCAUCAACAAGAGUUUGAUUGAGUAAUUUUUGUUUGUCUAGCCAUUGGAUUUUAGAAGAUAAAACAAUUUAUGAACAUUUUCUGACUCGUAGAGGACUUAAAAUAAAGGCUACAGGUACAAUUAUCAUCAUGUUAUUUUAAGUUUACAUUCCGAAAAAUGGAGUAGAAGAUUUUUUAUGGAGUGUUAUUGACAAUUAGAAUGAGUUUAUUCGAAUAGAAAAUUAUAUUUUCAAAAAAAAAUUAUAAUAAUACUAUGUCACUUUUUUCCCAUAGUUGUCCAAAAAAUAAAAAAUUAUUAAACGACAAAAAUUUGUUCUAUUAAACAUUUGAACUCUUUUUGUUUAAGAGCAUAAAUUGCAUUUUAUGUUGCAAGUUUUGAUUUUAUCUUUCUCUAGAACGCUUCUAAUAUUAUUGUCUUUCCACCUAUUUUGAAGUAAUUAUAACCAGUUUUAAGUUUAACAAUUUGCAUUUCCUAACCUUCAUUUAUCAUGAACUCCAAAAUAAAAAAAUAUCCGUAGAGACGUCAUAAUAAAACAUGAUUUUGGCACAUCAAAUAUGCAUGAAUAACUACUAUAAUGAUACGAAAACACAUCCUACAUUCAAGACCUUUCAUUUUUGUGUGUGUGUGUGUAUAUAUAUAUAUAUAUAUAUAUUCUCCAAAUACUAGUAGCCUUAGGAAAUCUAUAUCUAUAUGUAUUCAAGAAAGGGUUUUUAGCAGAAACCCUCUCAAUGACUUCUAAACUUCUCAUUCUUUUUUCUAGAUUUUUGUAUUUAUUUUAAUCAUAAAAGUAGUGGAUUAUAACCCACCUUAUCACCAAUCAAAUUUAAAUUUGAAAUAUUCCCACUAUCCUCCAAUUUAAAAUUUUCACUCUAAUUAAAACUCCUCCAAACAUAGCAUCCUCCAUCAAUUUAAAUAAUUAAUUAAUAUGUUAUUCAAUAUUUAUAGAUAUUUGAUAUACACCUCUGAUUUAUCUGGACCUUCAAAGAUGUACAUGGAAUAUAAAUGUUAGAUUAUUUAGAUUAAUUGAUAUGACGAUAUCUGGAGUGUUUUAGCGUUCAGGGUGCAUCAAAAUGCUUUUUAUUAAUGAUCAGGUAAUCAUUCAAAUCAUAUCUUAUUUAUUAUGUUGAGUUUUAAUAUUUACUAGCUUUUUUAAAAAAUUAUCAGAAAUUUGACAUGCAAGGAAUAAUAAGAGGGAGUAGUAUGCUUAGUAUUUUCGGACAACACCUCCGUGAAGGUAAGAUAUAUUUGUUUCAGAAUAUACAUGCAAUCCCAGCAGAUGCCAAGUACCGGAUUGCACCACAUCAGUUCCAGUUAUCAUUUGAGAAUGAUACAAAAAUAGUGAAGAUUUUAGAUAAUUGUGCAACCAUCCCCCGUUUCAAGUUUAAUUUGGUCAAAUUGAGACGUAUAGAACAGUACAUGGACAAUGAUAUGCAAUUGAUAGGUACGUCCUCACAAUUAAUAUCAUUUUUAUUAUAUUUUCUGCAAAUCACUUGCUAUUAAUUAAAAUUUUUUAUUUAUUACAGAUGUAAUUGGUUUAGUUGUAUCUGUUAGUCCAUACUAUCAGAUAUCUACUAAUAACAAAAUUGGUCGGGAGAUACUAUUGGUUGACAAAAGGUUAGUUAACAAAUUUCGACAUCUUUAAAACUUUUUAUUUUUAGAGAAUUUAGAUUUGCACUUAUCAAAAUUUUGUUAACACAGCCUGACAGUAGCUCGAUUCAUAUUGUGGGAUAAAUUUGCUAAUGAUAAUGGUGAAUGGUUAUAUCAGUCUGCUACAAAAAAUAAUGGGUCAGUUUGGAUUGUAAGUUAUUUGGGAUUAUUUGGGAUAUUUUUACUGUAGCACUUUUUGUGAUGUGAUGUAUGUGAGAUAAAAAGAUAUUGGGAGGAUAAAAAGGUGUAUUGAAAAUUGUAAAGAUGAUGUAAGCAAAUAAAAUUGGGGAAAUAUGAAGCAAUCCAAACAAACCAAAUAUUUUAUUAGCAUUUGGUAUUUGCGUAUGAAAUUUCAGAGAUAAAUCAAUUGCUUUUAGUUAUAUUCUAUAUAUUUUGAAUAGCUUUUGAGCGAACAUAAUCAUACUAUGCAGGACUAUUACUGUGCACAAUUGGAGCUAGCAAAUUGUAUAUUAAUCACAAUUUAAAUUUUGCUCGAUACCUGCGCAGUUAGUGAGUUCCUCAGUAACACUGUAUCAAACUAUUAAUAUUGUUUCGUACUCUUAUUGACAUGUAUUUCAAAAAAAUUGCAGGUUUGAAAAUAAUACAUGUGCUCGCAAGUUAGUUACGUGGCUGCGAUCAAGCAAUUUCACAAACACCACAAGCACUGUUGAUAGUAAAUUUAAAGAGAAUAUGGAUAUCUGAAUAUACAAUUAUGCCUAUGGUAAGUUUACUCAAUUUUAAUUAAUUACUGAACGAUUUUUUUAAUUUAUAAUCAUAACCUAUAUCUUCUUUCAUUCUUAUUAGGUUAAAUAUUUUCGAAUAUUUAAUUAUAUUCAGAGCAUUAACAUAGAAAAUAUGUUCAACGAGUUAUGCAAAAAUUGUGGACAACUAUGUGAAAAUCAUUUUUCAAAGACAGUAUGUAUGCAUUGUAAUGACGCGGUUGAUACUGUUAUUAGGUAAUUAAUUUCAUGUAUAUUUAACUUCAAUAUAUUUUUCUGUAUUGCAUAUAAUAUUUUAUUUGUCAAACAGGUACAAUGUUAACAUAUAAAUUAGAGAUUCCAGUAGUAACAUACAUAUUAAUCUACAAGACAGACAUGCACGAUUUGUAUUUUGUUGUGAUACUUUUUAUCUCAGAAAAUUACAAAGGAAUGUAGAAUUUCUUAAUAUAUAUUUAUUUUUUAUAGUACUAUUUAUAAACUAUGUAAAAAAAAUAUACUAAUUUUGCACGUUCUUAAUUAUCAGGAAAAUGGUGAUAGGUUGUUCGGCCAAUGAAUUAAUUCAUGCAAAAAUCGUGUAUUUUCAUUUGUAGUACGCACUCCACAAAAUUCAACAGAGUUAAUUAAAUCACCAAUUUUGAAAUUCGUAAUAAAAAUGGAUUGGUGUGAAGAGUAUUCACACCUUCAAGCAAGAUUAUCAAAUCGAAUGCUUAGUAUUUGUAAGUAUUUCAUUUUAACAACAUUUAAUUACAUUCAUUUGUAGAAAUAUAUCAUUCCCUUUUUUAAUAUAAUUUUUUUUUCAGGAUCCAUCUUCCGAAAAAAGACAGUUCUUGAAUGAUAUACACACUCUAUUAUAUUUCAAACUAUUAUUAAACAGAUAUUACAUUUUGAUUUUGCUGGUGCAAUUUUUUCACCUUUAUUUGUUCACCAUUUUAUUUUUAUUUUUUUCAAUAAUGUUAGCACCGUGCGUAGCACGGAUAUUCUCACUAAUUAUUAAAAUCUCAAGCAAGGCUAGUUCCCUCCUUGCUUCAGUUUCCAUUGCCAGAAAAUUCAAGCAAAGCAAUAUAUAAAUAAAGAAGGGAAAAAAAAAGGGAUGAAGAGUGGCAUUUGGGCCGUGAUGAAGCAGUCUUGAAAAAGUGUAAGUUGGACUAGAUGAGCAGAUGUCAUCUGUGAAUUGGGUCGGUGGACUGAAUAUGGUCUCUACCUCUCUGUCUCUAUCGGCCGUCCUUCUUAUCGUACACGUGCCCCAACAACUGAUAAGAGUCCAAAAAAGACCUCACCCUCGAAAUCUUGCUGUAUGUGGUUGGUGGGGCCAGUGAGAGUGAAAAGAGAAGAGCCCAUUUUGUUUCUCUCUACGGUGGUUACAUACUUUGGACCCUUUCAACUCACACAAGAGUCUUGUCAUUAUGUGGCCCCCCCCCCCCCCCCCCCACACAAGGCCAAGUGAAAAAAAAAACUCUUCCGAUGUACUAGGAGUAGUACACGUCACCAGCUAAUUAGAGUAAAACAUUGGAGCAACGACCUAAUUUCUCCUUAUUAGAUGGAAUAAGUAAAAACAUACUACCCUUAUUAGAGGUACUAACUUUUGAGAGUUAGUCCACAUACUACCCUUCAAUCUCCAUGAAUGUUAGCAACUCUUCUUCCUUUUUUAUCUAGAAUUAGAUUGUCGGCAAAAGUUUAGGUCCCGUGUAAAUUGAUAUUUUUCAAGGUUUUUUUUAUAGAAAAAUACGUUAUACUAAUUUGACGUAGAACGAUGGAAUGACUACCAAUUCCGGUCCAAUCAAUCUCCAUAAUUAGGGCAACAAUUAGAAGUGGAAGGAAGGUAGGAAAGGUUCACACGCUUGAAAUUGUACCCAAAUCUCGCAAUUCCCUACAAGCCCAAUGCGCAAGAUUUUAUUCUUCCUCAUUUGUAAUUUUGAACUCAACAAGUUGUCAUCCGAAACAUUUGUAGAUUCCAAGUACAAUUUAAAAUUACGGAAAGUGUAUCAGAUUAUAAUCCACUGUGGCUCUCAAUUCUUGGGACAGUUUUUUAACACAACACUAGUAGGAUUUACCCAAGUCAAAGUAAGACACCUAUUAUUAGGAACUGAUGGAUGGAUCCAAAUAUACACAUUGGCAUCUUCUGCCAUUCUAUCUCUAUAGUUAAUUAUAAAAUAAAAAGAAAAACAAAAAUAGACGGUACUAUUAUCAAGAUUUAGAUGAUGACACGCAAUCCACCACCACAAAAGGAAACUUUUUCUCUCUUCUCUCUCUUUUUUCUUUUUUUUUUAUAUAUAUAUAUAUAUAUAUAUAUAUAUAUAUAUAUAUAUAUAUAGCAAAAGUAAAAAAAAAAAUUGGACAAUCGUACACAGUGGAAAGAUACAGAGUGAAUUAGUCGGAUAAGAUAGUUUUUGUUCAGCAGCACUUAGUGAGGAUUGACGCAAUCAAUUAAUAAUGACUCAUCCGAAAUUUGUUCGCAGCCUAAGGUGGAGGGCUGCCGUCUAUCUAUUUUCUCUCCUCUUCUUUCUUUUACUGCUUCACUUUUGUCUAUUCCUGUGAGGUUAAUGCUCGAAGGAAGUUUGUCGAACUUUAACAAGAUGUCACCAAACACAUUCGUUUCGUAUCAUGCAUUAUUCCAAAUGCAAUUUGCUUGCCUCACUAAAAUUCUUAACACACACCAAACAAGAUUGUAUUUCUGAAAUACAAAGUAGAAUAAUUAAUGUUUGAAAAUAUUUUCCUUUGGAUUGCAAUUUUUCAAAGUUUUUUAUGAAAAGAAUGUACUGUAACGAUAUAAUUUAUAUGAGAUAAAAGCGUGUUUAGAAGAAUAUUUUUAUUUUUAUUUUUGCAAAAAUUGACAAUCCAAAAUCAUUAAAAAAAAAAACAAUAUUUUGAAAAUCAGACUAGAUUGGCAGGUUUGUCCGGUCGAACCGCAAAUCGGCUAUACCUUUGGCUCGAUUCAGUGAUUAAUCCGAAAAUUCAAUUGAACCAAUCAAUAAAUCGAUUAACUAGUAAGAUCGGGAGAUUCGGCCGCAUUUCACUAAUUUUUUAUUUUUUAAAACAAAUAAUUCAGUUUAUUCAAAUAUUUUAAUAUUGAAAUAAAUAAAAAAAAAUGAUUAAACUGAGAUUGAAUUGAUUGAACCGAUCAAACUGCGAAUCGAAAAUUCUGCCGUGGUUCGGAUUUAAAAACAUUGCUAAAAUGUGAAUAGGGAAGAAAAAGAAAGCGGAGAGUCUUUGAUUUGUAGGAUUUUUCCUACUCGAUGGUCUAACUUCAUUGUGACUGGUGACCCUCCCUCCCAGAUAGUCGCUGGCGCCGAUGCGUUACAACUUCUGUAAGAAAAGGAAAAAGGUCUUCAUAGAUCAACUUCAUAGUUCAUAGUGCUCUGCUUUCAUUCCACCUGGCAACUGAAAAGCAUCAUCGAAAUCGACCAUUCGUCUUCUUCAUUGGGAGAUUUUUUUUUUUUUUUUUUUAUUAUUAAAGUUGUAAGGGUCGAAUAGCGUGCUAGAGAUAAGCCAAUCAAGGAUCAUGUGUUGUUUGUUUAUUUUGGGAUGUGAUUAAUCACUAGCAAAUUAAUUUAAAUGGUUCGACAGAACAUUAGAUCUAUGCCUUUGACUGCCCACCUGUUUGUUUGUUGUCUUUGCCUGCUCACUACUGUCAGCCUUUUCUCAUCAUUCUUCCCUCGCUGGAGGAAGAUUUUAAUCUCAUAUUAAGGCCUUUUGUCCUCUUCCUCUAUUUUUAUUUUAUAUUUAAUAAAAUCUCUCAUAAAAUAUUCUAGUGAGACUUUUUUUUUUCUUUUCUAACCUAUCAUAGCUAGUGGAAGUCUUAUUUAGUUUUAAUUGUUUUUUUCAGAUUUAUGAUUUUUUUCAUAUCCGUAUGUGAUAUAAAAUAUUUUAAAUCUUCUCAUCAGAUCUCAACAUUAAUUUUGAAUUUGAACCAGUUAUUUAAUUUUUUUUUUCAAAUAUAAGGAGUUUUUUCAAAUCCAUAUGUUAGAUAGAAUAUCUCGAGCCUUCUCGUCAAAUCUCAACAUUAGUUUUGAAUUUGGACCAAUUGAACAGCAGAUAUAUCAGAGAAUAAAUAUGCACAUAUGUUUAUAGAACAACUUGUGCAAUUGAUUAGAUCUUAUAAUUUAUGAUUCACGGUGUAAUCUGUUAUAUUUUGUAAUUCUAUUAAAUUUAAUAAUUUAUCAGAUCAUAUAUAUAUAUAUAUAUAUAUUUGUGACAUAUGCAAUGUAUUUUCUAACAUUAAUGCAACUUUCUUUAUUGUUUUCCAACUAAUUUAUUAAUAAUAUUGACUUCUAUUUUAUAAUAUAUAUAUAUAUAUAUAUAGGUCGACGAGGCGUAGGUAACCCAAGUCGCCAAUCACUGGUAUACUCGACUAGCAAAUUCUGCCACUCGUAUACUCGACUGCUUCUUCAUCAGUGAUAAAAGAAGAAUUAAUCCGCUGGCAAUAAAAUUUCUAAUUCGACUUUUUCUUCUUCCACCUGUUGUUCUUUUGUUUGUAAAGCUCGGAGAGUGCAUGUGGCCUUAAUCAGGAUUAUCAUAGUAGCAACACAAAUGGAAUGGAAUUGUUAGAACGCAGUGGCUUGGCUGUAGCAGUAAAUAUAAAAAGAGUACGUGUCAGAGUCAGAGAGAGGGAGGGUUUUUUAUUUUGAUCAAGGAUAAUUUGGGAUUUCGAUAUGGAAUUUGUGUCAUUUUAAUUAAAGAUUUAUUUUGUUAGCUAGCCAAGUCCCAAACAGUAAAUACAAGAGAGGUUAGUGUCUUUAAAAGAAUUUGAAUGAAAUUAUUAGAAACCUCAAGGGAAAUGAUCCCUUUAAACUAUAAUAAAAUAAAAUAGAGUACUACCGCCUUGCGCUUCCCAGCUGAAGGAACUACGUGCAUCGCUGGGAUGAGCGAUGCAUGCAUGCGUGCGUGCAUGGUUGAUACUACUUACUACUACUACAUAACAAGCACGAGAAGCAACCUCGCCAAAUUCUUUCCUUGUUUGGCAUGACUAAUUUCUUCGGAUCCUCGUAGUAUUUCUUUUGUUAAUCUCAAUUUAAUUACUAAGCUCAAAAUCGACAUGCAUGCACCAAACAAGCCUUGAUUCACCCGUUUCUUGUCUUUUUAAUUUCUGAUUUUCUAAGACGACUAAUCUUAAGCCGAAAACCUCUAUUUACGAAUUAAUUCCAAUGAUGACACUAAUUUCUUCUUUAGUCUGUACGUAAAGAACCCGCUUUCAAUAAUUGCCACACUACUACCUGAUUUUUUUCUCAAUCCCCCCUCCCUCGUUGUGUCUAAGCACGAUUAGAUUACUGCUAACUCAAAUUCGAAUUAGCUAGGGACAUGAAUAUCAAUUUUAUCAGAAACUAUCAACCUCAUAUAUAUAUAUAUAUAUAUAUAUAUAUAUAUAUAUAUAUAUAUAUAUAUAUAUAUAUAUAUAUAUAUAUAUAUAUAUAUUGCUGACUAACUCUCGUGCGUGCGCGUGCGCACACACAUAUAUAGUCAAGAUUUUAUUAAAGUCAGUCAAAGGUUUCUUGCAAUUUUUUCUAGAGUCACAGAAGAAAAAGAAGCAAAUGUUGCUGUCACCCGGCCUUUCUGUGGGUUAGAGAAAUAGGUGUUAUCUUUUGUUGGAUAAGUAUAACUGCAUGAUUUUGUUCCCGUGAGGCACUUAAGCUUUACGUAUAUGUUUCAUGGUUAUCAACAAACACACAAAAAAAAAAUAAAAAUUUAUGUUUCAUGUUUAUUAUGGUACGUGAUUUCAUGUAUGUCCACAAAGCUGGCGGCUUGUUCUUGACUUCGAGAUUAUCUUUUCCCUUUUUUUUUCAUCAGAAGUUGAUUUUGCGAAUUUCUUCGUCUUCUUCUAUGGUUGAUAUAAUUUGUUGACGUUUUUUGAUUUAACAAAUGCACAAUAGACAUGCACGUUAAUUAGUUAACGGAAUAUCUUUUGUUAAAAUUAAAAUCGACAUAGUCACCGUACAAUACAUAUGAGAGGAGAGCCUGGGGUUGAAUUAAAAGGAUUAUCAGUCUAAUGAUUAAUAUUGAGAUUGUAAGAAUUAGAAAUUUUAAUGUUAUAUAUGUUAUAUGUACCCAAACCUGAAGAAGAAACGGGUUGCAUUCCAUAAUCGCAAAAAGUUAUGGGACCAAAACCAGAAGAAGAAGAAGAAGAAAGGAUUCACAGGUGAAUUGCCAGUUUAUCGUGGACCAAACCCAAAAACCGAAUUGAAAAAAAAAAAUCUAAUUACAACUUUGACUCUUAACAAAAAUAAGCUUUCAUCUAUCAGCUGAUGACUUGUCCAAAUAGCUAAGGGCACACAUUCAUAACAGUAAACUGCACAUAAUUUGAAUUCAAGGUAAGAAAUUAAGCAGCCCCUCGAGGUUCGGUUCAGUGGUUGUAGUCCCAGUUGGGGGAGAGCCACGUCCCGGGAUCGAGUCCCUGUUCUACCGUGGCUGGUGAUGCUUGGGGCGAGCCGCUCCCAACCCGCAGUGGGAUUAGUUGGGCCGUACGAUAAUCAGUCUAUGGGUCCAGAUACUCACUGUGUUGAAAAAAAAAAAAGUAAGAAAUUAAGCAAAUAUGGACCAAUUUUGACAUGCCAGAUGCCUUAUGGUGGUCAAAGAAUUGAAUGUCUUGUUGCACACACACACACACAAACACAAAAAAAAAGGUAAAUAAAGAAAAAUUGAAUCGCAAAAUGGUACAUUUAGGAGGGCACAGCAACAUGCAUGGUGUGGUCUUGUAGUUUUUGUAUCUGGGAGGGGGGGGGGGGCUGCCUGUAGAUUUACAUUUACCACUGCAGUCUGCAGGAAGGAAGCAUUAAGUGGUAGCAGUAUAAGAUUCAAGAAUUCAUUCAUGUACUUGACGAAAUUUGGAAGCAUUCUUAAAGAUGUAUUUCAGCUGGCUAUUGAAAAUGAUCGAGGCCCCCCCCCCCUUCCCCCCCUGCUCUUCCUUUAAGGUUAAUUAGCUUUUGUUUUUAGUGAGGUAAAUUCCAGUGUCAUGAUAUGUGGACAGCGUGUCGUGUACAUUUAGCUGCUAACCAAAAUUAAUUACUACUUAUGUGAUGUGAAAGUUUAGCUGAUGAUUAGAUUAGCCUCAUCAAUUCGGGUUCCACGUAAGUUUUUAUCCCUUCAAUCUUAAUGUUGCUGAUGAACUGUCCAUUAACUAGCUUUUGUUCACCUACUUCCAAAGUCCAAUUAUAUAUAUAUAUAUGGACUUGAGUUCGACGGAACUGAUGAUUAAAGCCACCUGCUCACAGAUUAUGCCGCUGUUGUAGCUACAGCUCACGGGUUUUGGCCAAUUAAUCCCUCCCAGCCAGUUACACUUUUAUAGCUUUGGGGUAUCAAGAAUUGGACACACCACCUACAAGCAAGGCUAGCUAGUGCAGGCAUUAGUAGAGUACCACAGCUAUUGUAUUGAAUUAUAAACAAGGGUUUGGAUAACGAGAAUCCUUUCUUCUUUUUUUUUUUUUUUUUUUGUUGUUGUUGUUGUUGUUGAAGGAAAUACCCCUACAUUAAUACUCCCUCCCUUUUUUUAUAACUGACGUUUAAGAAAUUUGCUCUUAAGUACUUUUAUCUGUCGUUGUAUUAUCCCCAUGCAGCAUUAAUUAUUUUUUCACAAUUUUGCCCUUUUAUCUCUCUUUACCAAUACAGGGCUCUUAAUUACUACUCCUAGUAAUUAUUACUUCUCUCUUUACUUUUAACCUAGUAAAACAGCACUAUUUAAUACUCUAGUGAGAGAAAACAUGAGUGAAUUGGACAAUUAAUGAGGGUACAAAAGGAAAGUAGUGUAUAGAUUUAAACAAUGAAAAACUUUUUUAAUUGAUGUGCAAAACCUUAAACGUCAGUUAUAAAAAAAGGAAGGAAGUAUUAGCUGUAUAACGAACCAUUAUAACUUUACAUUAAAUUAUAACAACAAUAUUGAUGAAAAGUUAUCUCUCAUUAAGGCAAUGAAUCAAAACAAUUAUUAAUGAUUAAAGUAGGUUAUAUUCACGGAUAACAAAGCAUAUUAAGUAAGCGCUAGCUUUUUAGAGAAAUUAAAAGUUAGUAACAGUAGUACUAUAUUUUUUUAAUUAAAAAUAGAUUAUAAUUUAAAAUUAAUAAAAAAAUGAAACUAUCAAAAUGAGACGGUAAAAAGAACUAUGGCCAUGCGCAUUCACAUUAUAAAUAAAUUAAACGUAACUUCGUUUAUAUAAGCAUGGCAAAUGAAGCGGUGUGUCUCAAAGGAACACAACGUUUGUGUUACCAAGAAUACAAAGAAGCUAGCUAGCACUGACUCAUUAAAUUGAGUUUGAUUCGAUCUAUCAAGAAUUUUAAUGGCAGUUAGUUCAUUAGAAUCCUCAAUCGCUAUUGGGAACGGAAGUUGUCAUUCUUAUAGAAGUAGAACCUUAUUUAAAUACGUGAGUUUUGGUUGAGCCCUCAAGUCUACCUGGCAUGCCAUUCCUUGAAGAAGACAGGCAAAAAAGCUCAACAGCCCACACCCCAAAAAGGGCAGUAAUAAGUUACAGUUGAGGACUGUAAAACUGUAAGAAUCAAGAAGAAUAGGACAAACAAGAGUUUUUUUUUUUUGGUGAGUUCAAAAAAAAAAAGAGAAAAAGAAAAAGAAAAGCAAACCAACCAAGUACUACGACUAAGAAGAAAUAUGAGUUUAUUAUUUCGAAAUUGAAAGCCACAGGGGGUACGUGGCAUUGAAAGAGCAGUAGAAAUCAAUAUAGUACUAUGUCAGUAGGCUAAGCUACUCUCCCGUCCGUAUUUCCUGCUCUAAAUUUCUCUUCCUCUGCCAUGCUAAAUUAAAAAAAAUGCUCCGUGGAGGGUCCCACGCCCCGACUCCCUUCCCUUUGUACUACUACCACGUCAUUAUUACUAUUUCACCCUUUUAAGAGUUUACAACCCCCACCCUGUUCUCUUGCUUCUAUUUAUUUUUCUCAUCUUUUCAUUAACUGUAUCAUACCAAAUCCCACCACCAGGCACCAGCUCUAGAAGAAGAAGAAGAAGAAGGAGAAGAAGAAGAAGAAAGGGCUGGAGGAGAAAGACCAUGAAAUGGUGGGACUAAGCGUUGUACUAGAAGCAGAAGGAUACGAGGAUAUCAGUAGCAAGAGAAGUGCUCAUCACCAAGUUAUUAGCAAAGCCAGCAUGAUCAUCAAACCAUCUCCUUCUUCUCCAACUCCUCCUACUUCUCCUUCUCCCUUCACAAAAAGGAACAGCUCCUUUAACCUCUCAUGUGGUACUAGUGGAUUUCUUGACUAUUGUUUCCUUUGCAGACAGAAACUUUUGCCUGGCAAGGACAUCUAUAUGUACAAGUAAGUGCUUCUCAUGAUUCACUCCCGUCUUCAACCCUCCAAAUAUAUUUCAACAAGUUUUCGACUUUUUUUUUUCUCUUGCCUGGUGCAAAUUAUUACUCCUAAUAUGAAGUAAAGGUUUACUUGUAGCCCUCUUGGUUGCCUCCUCCAUGCACCAAAGAGGAAGAAUUUUUUCAGAAAAAUUAGAGAUAAAAACACGAAAAAAAAGAGAAAAAUCUUUGAACCACUAUAUAGGCAUUUGAAGUUCCACUUCAUUUGGUUGAUGCUCCAUGUUUGAGCUGGUUUUGCAAGUGAAGAAACCCCCAACCAAAAAAAAAAGCUGUAAAUUCCUCUAGGGUUAAAAAAAAAUUCCAGAGAAAGGAAGAAUGAAAAGGAAAGGGGAUAUAUCUGAGACUGGAGGAAUCUUUCUUUUCUUUCUUUCCUAGUCACUCAAGUGAUUGUCAGCAUCAAUAAUAUGUUGAUAUUUUAACCAAGAAAAACACAAAUAAGCUUAAUAUGGGUCUUUUCUUUUUCUUUCCUUUUUUUUUUAUAAAAAUAUUUUGACAGCUUGAUCUGGAUAUAUAUGUUGACAGAAAUUUACACAGCUGGUGGGUCUUUAUGUAUGCAGAGGUGACAGGGCUUUUUGCAGCGAGGAGUGCAGGUGCAGACAGAUAUUCAUGGAUGAAGAAGAAACUAUUAAGGCUAAAACUGACCACUGUUCAUUGGCUGCUUCAUCAUCUAAUUCCUCUUCUCGUAAAGGGGCCAAAAAAAGAGCAAAUGGUUUUGCCUAUUAGUAUAACUUUAGUGGAAAUUUUUUUUUUUCUUUCUUGUUUUUCUUUUGGCUUAUCUCUAGUUUUGGCUUUUGCCUCAUUUUGUAACGACUCUCGGGCCGACCGGGUUUUGGUUCUUAGCAUGGUUUGCAGCUAAGAAGGCUCUUGGUUUUGGUUUUGGCAAAUAGAUUGCAAGAACAUGAUUGGCUUUUUGGCCAUGUAAUGUCCACGAUGAGAGACUAGGAAUAUUUGUUUGCGUUUUACUUGCUGCUACUGUUCAAUGUCAAAUGUAGGUAAGGAAACGCAUACAUCUUAUCUGUUGUUGAUUGGGAUGUCUAUCUUGUUUCAAGGGUUGACCAUCUAAAAUCUUAUCAGUGCGAGUAAUCCUAGAUUUGUGUUCUGCCUGAUCGCUAAUAAACUAAGACUAAUGGUGCCCUGUUACCUAUGAUAAACAUUAGGCUUGCUUUUUUUUCCUUUCUUGGAGAACUUGUGAGAUUCAUACCAUUUAAAUAAUUUUUUUGUUUUUUGUUUUUUAAAAAACAGGGCUUCAUGACUAUGCCUUAGUUAGUGUGUGUGUCUGUGUGUGUACUUGGGAGGACCUCUAUUCGGUGUUGUUGGGGACACAGGGCACAGAUGAUUGUUUCACCUGUAGUUUUUGGUGGUUCUUUUUGUCUUUUGCUUUAUAUCUAGUUUUUUUUUUUUUUUUUGGGUUUGGGUUUUUGCCUUUAAAUUAUUGACUGGAAGAGAUGGCUGGCUUUCUCAUUCUCAUUUACGAGGUACCAAAUCUGUGGAAAGAAUUAUUGCGGAGGAUAAGCAUAAGCAUUGUGGACUGGAGGAUACAAGAAGACAUAAAUCAACGAGUGAGUGGGCGAAAUCAAAUAUCUGGCAAUUGUGGGUGCCCAUGCCCAUUCUGGGGAGGGUCUGCAUUCCCAAGAGAAUGAUUAUCUAAUUAGGAAUAACGGGGCCCAACCCAAAAAGCGCUUAUUUCCCCAUAUUUUGCUUCUAGCUCCUUCAAACCUCUUAAGGCUCCCGAUUAACAUCGAUCGACGUGGACCGUUUUGACCGCCUCUCAUUUGGCUCACAGGGGCAGGCAAGGCAAUCCAACAUUAUCUCGCACACCAAGUAAACGAAGGUGUGUGUAAUUCUCGCGCCUUCCUUCAUCUUCCACCCUUCCUUCUUUUUUUUUCCAAUUCAUGCCAAGCUCCCACGCAAAAAAGAAAGAAGAAAAUACAGAAAGACAGAGUAAUGAGCUACGGAUUUCUUGGCUUUUAUUUAUUUAUUUAUUUUUUAUGCAGCAGGCAGGCAGGUGGAGCAGAGGAUUUAGAACUUCAAAGCAAGGUCAUCAAUUAGAAUCCAAAACAGAAGGACCAUAGAAUCUAUACCAUUCUGUGUGCCCACGAGGCUUUAGAACCAUAAAUGUGAUUUGAUUCUCUGUGGGAGACAAGGAUGAACAAGGGCCAAGGGGUCAGGGGGCCCAUGCAACCAUUUCAGAAAGAUUAAAAUGUCUAAAAUUUUGGCAACUUUAAAGUCCAACAACAUAUGUCCAGUAAAAAUGGAGUAUUUUUUUUUUUUUUUAAACAUCAAUUUUCACGCUACGUGUCAAUUGACUGAACAGAUUUCGUCAUUUGGCAACAUAUUUUAAUUUAAUAGAACCACCUACAAUGUACAGCUUGUGAAAAAUUUUAUACUCCAUCUAAUGUUAUUAUUGGAAAUAACAAUAUAUAAUUCGACUGAUAUUUGUUCCUAACCCAACUCCAGGUAGAGAGAUUCUCAUACACUCUUCGAUUGGAAUCUUUUGGGUUCACCUUGCAGAACUCCACUAUAUAUAGUGGGGUUUGGUCCACGAAGAUCUUCCUUCGGAAAGGGACAGUUUUGGCCCAGCUUGGAAUUUCGGUAUCCCGAUGUCAAUUAACUUAUUAAGAGCACGUCUUUUCAUUUCCAUUGUACUCUCAAGUCUCAACCCUUUUUUUUUUUUUUUUUGUGGUUUUUCUCAAAAAAAAAAAAAAGUCCCAACCCAUCUUUGUAUCUCUUUUUUGACACUGUUCUGAUUAUAAUAAUAGGAAGUGUACUCCCGUCCGCAACAAUGAAAACAUUUGUUAUUCAUGGAGGAGUUCAGUUGAAUAAAACGGAAGUAGAAAAUUGCAAGGGUCGAGCACUCGAGCCGUAUCGACGCACUGGAAAUCUACCCUUGCUCUAUAUUUACAAUCAAAAAGACUUCACCCUUAGUGAUCAUAUAUAUACUUCAACCUAAGAGCCAAAUGCGAUUCAGCUAUGAGAAAGCAUCCUCAAACGAAUUUCUUCAUUUAUUUGUGUGAAUUGCCAGUUUUAAUGGCCUUCCGUUCGGUAAUAUAGCAGCUAUGCUUGGUUAUAGUAACGCGCUUGGCAAGCUCUCGUAUCUGUAUCAAGGAUCUCAUUGGACUUCCAAACUGAAAGAUAAUUUUAAGCAGGCUGGAAGUAUUACAUGGCAACAUGACACCAGGAACUUAGGCGGCAAUACACAUCGAUCCAAGGAAUCUGAGUAACAAAAGCAGGCUUAAACAACGUUCCAUUUCCACAACACAGAUAAAGGGCAGUAUCAACUUUCAACCAUUUUAGCCCCUGAGAAGGCAAGUUCAGUCUAGAGGUCAAAUAACUUUUUUUAACCUCAGAACCUGAAAAUCAAGGCAACGAGGGUCACUGGGACUAAAAGCAAAAAAAAAAUCAUCGAUAUGUUAGCACAAAUAUGAAUAAUGGUGUUUCACUCCCUUUGUUCACAGUGACCAUGCUCUAUUUGCUUCCUUCCAUCUUCUUGUUGGUUGACAAGCAAAUGUCAAACAAAAUGUGGACAUAGUGCAGUUAAGUCCUCUGAUGUUCAGACACAGACAACAUAGGUCAAAACAAAUAUACAAGUACAUGAAUGUUCCUCUCAAUAUUCUGCACUCUAAAGUCUUUGAAUCUUACAUACAACUACAAGAUAUGUUGUAACCGUGAUGAUUAGCAACCACUGUUGAAUAUCACCACACUUAGCCAGAUUUGAACAGAAGUACAGCUUUUGAAUCCAAAUAGAAGUAAACAAAGUGAUUUGUCUCAUGAGUCACAUAAGAACCUACAAGAAAGAAGAAAAUAGACCAGGAAGUGAUGGUGGUCAGUUCAGGUAGAUCAACAUAGUGACACAGUCAAGAACUUUCUAGGAUCCAUAGGUAAACACACAGAGAAGACUGAUCUUGCUUAUUUGUUUUUCUUCCUAUUCUAAUGGUUGUGGGCUUGUUGUCCUAGAGGGGAUCAUUCCGAAUGUCAUAACAUCAUUCUUUUUCCCUCUAAAAGGUCAAGUUAGCUUGAAAUGUAAAGUGCAUUUCUAACCAAGACAGCUAAUUCUUAAACGAAGUCAUGCGCGGCAAACACGGAUUGUCUACUAUUUGACAAACUGGGACCAUAAAGCAAAUAAGAACCAUCUUGUCCAUGCAACAUCCAUUUUUAAGAGGUAUAUCACCCCUCCACUGUUCUGGACAGGAAUAAGUAUUCUUAAGAUCUUAUAACGAUAAGAUAUGGUAAGAAGAUAAAAAAGAAUACAGUUUUCCACGUAAAAAGUAGACAUCAAAUCCAGAGGCAAAAGCAUUCAGGAAUCUUUAGCAUCAUACCUUAUAGAAGCAGGAAGAUGUAGAAUUUUGAAAUGAUGCAUGCAGUCUAACAACUUAAAACUGAAAAGUGGCAUAAACGGUAAGACAAGCCCCAAGCUUCCAAAUCAAUGUUUUCAUUUAGGAACUGUAGCUACUUUCCAGAACCAGAAUGUUGCAGUGGUACACAUAUAUUUCAUGUUUUUUGGCCAACAGCUGCAGAAAGGACAAAGGAGUAAAGGAAAGUUUUAGUGAGGAAAAUUCAGCUUUGGAAAAACCUUGAAGGCUUUGCAUGAUUUUCUCUUAGAACCAUCAGGAACUGGUUAGUUUUGCCGAGCCGAAAUUUAGACAAAUAUAGAGGUAAUUCUUGAUAUAGACAAUUAAGAAGUAUCAAACAUUUGAGAAACCACCAUUUUAAAGCAUGAAUUGAACUCGUAAGAUUUUUGAAAUAAAAAUUACAAGCCAACAUACCCUUAAAAGCUUCAUGCAAAACUUACCUUCUAUAUUAUGCAGCUCCCUGGAACAACUUUAAGCACCAAAUAUCUACAAAAACUAAACUGAAGCAGCACACUAAGCCUCUACCAGAUUCUUUGAGCAUGCAAGAACUCAAUAGCCAACACAUUCAUAAACUCCUCCCUCUCGCCUCACCAAAACCCCAAGAUACCUCGCUAGAAAGACAAAACAAGAUACCCGAUAUUUGAAUUGAAUUUAGCCCAACAAGAGCUUAUUUUACAUUGGCUUGUUCACUAAUCAAACCAAUCCCGACUCAGGAUCCAGUGUCUGUUAAAAAAAUUAUUAAGCUCGUGUACAAAAGCAUAACAAUCAAAAAAUCAACAUGUACACUUAAUCAAGAUACACGAGCUCAACGUGAUGAAUGCAUCUAACCUCAGCUCAACUAUAAUCGACCCAAGCCAAGCUCACAGAUGCAAUUCGAAGCUCACUAACACAACCAAACCAUUCUUGAACACUCUAUUGUCCGGGUUGAUUAGGCUUUUAUUUACACUCCUUCACGCUCUCCUCCUCUCUCGCUCCCUUUGAACUUCCAACAUAAAAUAAACCUAGAUCCAACUCUAUAUAAACUCACGAAUCAUAACUACGUAUUAACAACACAUAAAUUUAGUGAGCAAGUUCAUAAUAAUCGAUCAAAUUGAUAAAUUGAAGCAUUCGUCUAUAAAAGUUUCUCAAUUUUCCGCAAUAAUUCAAAUAAAAAUAUUUUAAAAAAAAUGGAAAAGUAAAGCAAGAUUAAGUAAAGUUAAUUACCGAAAUUUCUGCCGACAAUGCAGUGCCAAGUAGGUCCAUGCCGCUUAUCAAACUCCUUCUUGAUAUGCUCCGCUACAUCUUUCUCCACACCGUUCUUCUCAAAAGCCUGUAAUUAAAAUAAAAAGAAAAAUUAAAGGCAAAAGAUUUUCUUCCUUAAUUAUUCCUUUUUUUUUUUUCUUUUGCGUUUGGUAACUGAAGUUAAGCUUCAGAGGCAGAAAGAAAGAGAAAGUUACGGCGAUGGCAAUGUCGACGGCCUCUUUCUGCAUGUCUUCCUUCAUAUCUGCGCUUUUGAUGAUGACUUUCUUUCCGACAGCAGAGGAGGUCGGUGCCGAACCGGAGGUGGACUUCCGAUCAUCAGAGAGUGACUUGGCAACUGCCGGAGCUGCUCCGCCCACCAUCCUCUUUGCUUCUUCACUCAUUCCUUUGCUUGUAAUGAUUCACGAUUGAAGCAAAGAAUCACGCAGAGGCUUUGGAGCUCCGAAUGAAAAUUUAAAAUAAGAGCGAAAGAAAGGGAAAAAAAAAAAGCUUAGAUAGAGAGAGAGAGAGAGAGUGAGUGUGUGAGAGAGAAAGUGAGGAGACAGACGGAGAUGAUUUGUGGUGUCUCUGAUUUCUUAGUGGUGGUCUUCUACCCUUUCUUUUGGGAGUUUUUAGCACUUAUAUUCUGAGGCAAAAUUAUACUACUACUACAGUAUAUAUUAUUUGGCAAUUUUUUUUGUAUUAACUUUAUAUUACAGGAAUAUUUUGGCAAAAAAAAUUUUUUUUUUUUUGGAUUGGCUUUAUAUGACUGCUACAACGGCUGGGGAUUUACUACUUGUUUUUACUAUUUUGGACUAAUGAGAAAAUUUUUUCGGUAAAUUUAAAAAAAAAAAAAGAAAAAGAAAAUUAUACUUACGAGUGUUGGCCGGAGGAACGGGAAUUUUUGUGUGGGGGGGUCAACAUUCCCGAUUUCCAUUUUACCUACAAGAAGAUAAUAUAAUAUGAUAAUUUGAUGGUUGCGUAAUUAAGUUUAAGUCAAUCAUUAUCAUCAUCAACAGGGUGGUGGAAACUUAACAACAGGGUGGUGGUCUACUAUUAUUUGGACCUAUCUCCACUCCAGUCGAAGUGCUACAUUUGGAAUUCCACUUGUGUAGGAUUUGACAAAAAUAUGCUUCAGGUGAAUUUUUCGACUUAAACAUGCCAUUUGCACGCGCGUACCUACCGCAGUUGUAUCCAACCAAUUAAUGAUUUCGAGUAUUCGGUGACAUUCACCUAUGAUUAAUGAGGCAUUUGGCUAUGUUUCCUGUGUAGUUCGAGCUCAAGUCUAAAUUCGAAAUUAAGCUCAAUUUUUAAAAUGCAAUAUUGGCGAGAGUAUUUUCAUUAUUUAAUUUUUUAUUUUUAGUAUUAUUUAAUUUUUACUUUCAAAUUUUUAGUUUUUUAGCUUUUAAUUUUUCAUUGAUGGAAUCACUACUUCCAUUUGGACAUGUUUGUUUUCAUCAUCAUUUUAAUACUAGUUUAAGUGUUUUGACUUUACAUGGAUUAUCGAGAAAUUGUAAUUAUAUAUUUUUUUUCCCAACCACAGAUAUAGGUAUUGCGUUUUCUGGUCUUUUGAUGAAAAUAUAUAUUUCUUGGAUGGGUCCCAAGAAUAAUUUCCUAUUUAGCGCUAGUCAUUGUGAAUAUGAACGCUUCAUUGUUCAAUUUCCAUCUUAAAAUGCUAAACUUUGGCCUGUCUCCAUCUCUUCGUCUGAGGAUGAUUCCUCUACGACCCUUCUCCUCUUCGAUCUUUGUCCAUUUGAAAGGCCUCCUUCAUCUUCACCGUCUGAUCCAGAAUCCGCUGCAGCCUUUGGAACAUCAUAUUCGAGGGAUAAUUCGUUAUUGUUUGCUCCACCAUUUCCCUCUUCUCCUUCUUCUGCAUCACCGGAUUCUUCAGAUGAUUCACUCUCUGCACCAUUGCCCUCAUUCUCUUCUGUUUCAUUAGUAGGAUCACCUUCUUCUUCUUCUUCUUCUUCCCCGACGAAGUCUUUGGGGUCUAAUAUCUUGAAGUCCCUCGAAGUACUCCGCUUGGCCUCCCUCAAUAAAUUCAGUUUCGCUGCCUUGCCGAGUUGAAUGAGAUACUUUUCAUAGUCCUCUAUCUGGAAAAUCAACUCUGGGAUGCAUUUGUUUUCCCUUUUGAUUUUGCUCGCCAUUGCUUUGUUGUUCCCGCUCUCUUGCUGAUCCUGCACAAGUUUGUCGAUAACAUAAGAUGACCCAAUUUACUGAAAGCUCUGUAGUCUUAACAACCAGAAACUCAGACUGUAAACGCUUAACUAAGUCAGUGCCUCGUACCUUUUGUAGCUGUUCCAUAAACUUGUAGAGAGGAGCUGUCAGCUGCCUGCAGGUAAUCUCUACCAUCUUCUGAUACUUGAGGCUUGGCAAAACUUGCUUGGAGCCUCUAGGGGCUAUAAGGAGUUUUGCCAUUCGAGCUAAAUCCUUGUACAGUUUUGUAGACAAUCUCAAGAAAUGUUCUGCUUGAGGAUCUGCAGUAAAUGGAGCAGGAUAUCAAAUUUAUCAGCUUGUGAAGAGAGAUUAUCGAUAAAAUAUUAAACUGUAAGUGGUAGUUCUCUUUCCCUAGUCGAUUGACAUACCUUUUAGGUUCAUCAAUACAAAAUUAGACAAGACCUUUAUAAUAGCUUCCACUCUGCAAUAAAGAGUCUCUUCCAAUACCAGCCCAGGUCCAAGACUUUUAUCGGGUUCCAGAGAUACGCCUUUCUGAGUAGCAGAAGAGUACGUCUUCAAUUUUGUUAUGAUCCAAUCCAUGUCAACAAUGUUGGACUCAACUAUCUGCAGUAUAGAAGAAGCUAUCGCCGCGCAAGUUGUUUUGUUAAUAACAUGGAAUGUUUCAGACAAAUCUGGAUCACUUUUCCCUAACCUGAGUACUUUCAGAAGUUCAGAAGCCAUUUCCUGGGAAACAGUCAAGUCAUUUGGAGGUAAGCUUAAGGAAACAACCAGAUAGACCCAACUUCUUGCAAGCUUGGGAUUUCGUAGAUCAAUGCUUUUGCAAAUAUGUAAAAUCCAUGCUCCAACAAGAUUCCGCCUUUCUGCCGGCAGUUGGUUGCCAAUGAUCAUCAAUAUAUCACAGACAAUCUGAGAGCAAAGCUUGCUUAAGAGAUUAUGUCUUCAGAAAAUUAAGUACCAAAGAUACAUCUAAUAAGGAAAAAACAUUUUGGAGAAGGUGAAGCCAUAACUAUCUAUUGCUCUGGGAAAAGGACACUUCCUAUCCUAUAUUAACCAAAACAUCUAAUUAAUAAGGACCAUUUGCAUGUUUCAAGGGCUUAACACAAGUGCACGAGAAUCUGCCACAGAGCAACAAACAAUGUCAAGUCUUCUUAUUUCUCUAAUUAUGCUACUUUUGCCUCAAGUCCGAGUUCAGGAGCUGCUCAAGAGAAAGGAAAGAGUAUUUUCAACUACUAUGGACAGUCAAUAGAAAAUAUCACUUAUCCCAUGUCAACAAAUAAACCAAUAUUGCAGCCUACAUACAGAACAGAAGAUACAAAAUUUCAUUCAAUCAAAAGUUUGAUAAGGAGUUUUAUCUCCACCAUUUUUAAAGGCUUUGCUUAGUCUGUGGAACAAGUUAAGACAAUCACAUGCCUCAAAAAAGGAGCAAUAUAUUGGUGUGCGAAACUUCAGUUAAUGGCAGGGCAGAGGAAAUUUGUGAUUAUAGGGGUCAAGCAUGAUGCUUUACUGACAAAAAUCAAUCAGUUUGACAAAAAGGUUAGAAUGCAUCUACCUCAACUUCACUGAAGAAAGAAGAUUUUAGAAGCUCGGAGAGCAAUGGCAUCAUGCUGUUUUUGAUGAACAUUUCUUUGCUCCUUGUAGCUUGAUUUUCUACACCUUCAGCUAAUUCGCAUUCAAUUCCUCGAUCAUAAUGCAGAAUAUCACUUGCUCCAUGCUCAACUUCAGAGGCUGACACCAAAGCUUCUAUUAGCUCACCAAUUUCAGAGCUACACAAACUUACAGUUAUCAAUUUCUUCAGGCAUAUCAAAGCUAAGUGUAUAUGCUCCUUUCUAUCAUCUACAUUCCUCCCCCUGGAUUCUUUCUUUUUGUGAGACUGUGGUACUGAAGUUAGCAACUGAAUCAAUUUCACCAAAGGAGGUCCCAACAACUUAAUUUCACCAUAGAUCAACAUCUUCAGUGGAUCUUCUCUUCCCACAAAUGGUAAUGAUGUUAAUUGGCACAGGCAAGCAUUCAACACAAAGUUUAUCAAUUUAGAAUGCUGGUCUGAUGCUUUGCAGGAAGAGACCUGGCUAUGGUUCUCAGAAGGUGCACUACUGGUGGAACUAUCAAAUUGCAAUAGUUGAGGAGCCAUUGCUAAUAGCCAAUAGAUGCUUGAAGUUGCCAAGUGAGGAACUCUUUCCUGUGGCAAUGUUGAACCACUUGAGUUACGUUUAUCAGCUGGAUCACUGGCAGUAGAGCGUACUGUCCCUCUUCUUGUUCCAUUUACCUGCCUGGAAUUACAUGUAAACUUUUCCAACAUAUCAUGCAUAGCAACAAACUCAAAAAGCUCAUUCUGCAAUUCCACUUUCUUCACAUUGGUUGCUUUCUCCAACUCAUUGAUGAUGACAUUCAAUACCACUUCUGAAAUCCCUAACAAAACAAACGCACAACAUCUAAUCUUUCCUUCUUCUACAAUUGUAGAGUCUGAAUCAUCAGUUUUACCCAGUAAACCUGAUCUGACAUAUAAAUUAUCAUGAUGUAAGUAAUUGCUUUUGAAUAGGUAUAUGAAAGCCUCAGAAAGAGUAAAUCAGAAAAGAGCUAAAGUCUCAAACAAUAAUUUUUGGAUGUAAAUGAAGAUUUUGUUUAACAAUAGAAGGAAAUUGUUCCUGCUACUGCAUGGACCUCCAUGCAAACUUCUACAAGGAAAGCAAGUAACAAAGAGAUCUCAAAACCAUCUCAUCACGUACAAACGUGUUCCAAGAUUGAAAAAUCUAGCAUAGAGAGUCACACUAACCUUCCAAAUUUGCAGUCCUUAGAAACUUCCGAAUCUUUGAUAAAGCAGUAGAGAAUGACUCUCCAGAGAGUAUUCUUCCAGCCUGAUGAAUUUCAUAUGAUAGUCUUAAGUGAUUAUAGAGCCACCAUCUGCUAAAUGACAACCUUUAAACAACAAAUUUGUAUACCUCGUUCUCCUGUGUCAGAGAGAAGCCAAAACUAGCCCAUGAAUCAGGAGGGUGGCCAGUUUUAUCUUGCGGCUGAAGUAGAAGGAUCCAAGAGAUGCAAGAGAGAAGAGAGUCCAAUGGCUCUUCAAUAUGAAAUUUUCCACUGUCUGAUUUAAUACAAGAAGUAAUGUCCAGUUUGAUGUCUGCAUCCUGGAAGCAAAAUUCUCUGGUUCACAGUUUCAAUUUUUUCAAUAUAUUUAACAGAAAAAGGCCAUUCUUUGCACCCAAAUAAAUAAAUACCUCUUUAUAAUAGCGAAAGAAGUGUGGUAAAAGAAAAUCAAAAACAGAACCAGCAGCUAAAGGAUCCACCAAGACAACCUUUACAAGUCCAUGAUACAGCACCUCUCUUACUUUUGCCUAGGACAACAUAGAAACUGUCAUGAAAAUCCUUUCAUUUCAAUAUCCUCCAGUAAAAGUUACUGGUUUUUGACUUCUCAUUCGUGUUGAACAAAAGAACAAGAUUUGGAGAGGGAAUACAUAAAAAAUACCUGCUGGUAGAGACAUCUCUGAAACAAACCACUCAGCUCCCGGAAAAGACUAGCGCCAGUGGUACAGGGUAUUUCAGCCUGUUGGCUGCAACUGGCUUGACUGCUUGAUUCUUGAAAAGAAAGUGGCCCAUCUCUUUUGCGUUGCUUUUCUGCUAGUAUCAGACUGAUAAUGCAAUUGGUUGCAGCAACACGAACUGAAUCUUCCCGUCUAAACAUAGCCUUCCUUAAGACUAAAAUAGUAUAAUCCUGAAUCACCGAGAAGAUAUAAGGAAGGGGGAAGGAGUGUUUGUUUGUCUGUUAGAGAGACAGGUAAACUGUAAAACUUCUCAUUCCUCCAAGAGCAGAAUUUUGACUGUUAAAUUUAAAAUAAUUAAAUCGUUUAGCCCAAUUUGAAAAAUGAAAAUUGCUUAAAGCUAUCAAAUCUAAUGAUUGCUAAAUUCCCUAGAAAUGGAGUUCAGAUUGUAACAAAACCUUCUUUUUUAUUACAUUAAGAGACACCAAAGUAUUGUGCUAUGGUAGUUAUCAUAGAAAUACUCAAUUUACUAGUUUGCAGUCAUCCAAGUGUCUUCUCUUUCUCCAAGAGAAUGAUAUGAUUGAACUAUGAAUGGGAAAACAAGUACCUGAAGAUCAUGGCUGAAUUUAGUAAGAGGCAAUAGAACAGCCACUAGGUGUGAGGAAAUCUUGGCAUGAGUAAAAGUGAAAUAAUCCAAUAAUUCCUUCAGGUGUGCAACAUGAUCCAACAUUUGGAAUGGAUAACUCUUGACGAGAUGCUCAAGUAGUCUAUGAGAAAAAUGACCAUGUCAACUCAUUCAAGCCAAGGGGAAAAAAAGAAGGAAAAGGUCAACAUGAAAGGAGCUUUGCUUACCUUGUAAUAGGCAAUGCUUGCUCAGGCUUCAAAGAGAGGAUGCGAAAUUUGCAUUGUUCGAUUAUCUGCAACAAUACAACCAACUCACUCUACACAGUUAGAACAUGAUCAACAUGCAUACUAUAGAUAUCUCUAGGUCAUAAAAGGCUCAUACUAAAGACUAAGCAUGGUGUCAAAUUGUGUCAAACUUGCUGAUGCAUUUCUUGGCCAUAAGAAGCCUAGUUUCAGCACUGCCAGGAAAGCAAAUGCAUAAAAUCAUGGAAGCAGCAGUCAAAACUGUAAAUAAUAAUUGAUAGCACAUUAUAAUAUUGAAGACAUUUUCACCCUCGGAGCACGAACCAUAAAUUAUUAAUAAAUUUUUUUCAUCUUAUUGAAUGUAUUUAACUUUGCCUCCUAAUAUUACUUAUUGGAUGAUUCAGAAAUGACAAAAACAAAUUUUGGAGCCCCUCCUCAAAGUUUAUAAUCUGCAUCCUGUGUCCAUAUGAUAAGAAGUGUGAUAAUCCAUUUUCACAUCUAUAGACAUUCUCAUGCUGACCUCCUUUCUUGCCAUGUCAUGAACCUCAAAUGAACUCUUCAGCAUCUGGCUUCCCAGCUCCUCUACACCCAAUAGAUCAUCAGAAUUGUCAAGUCUUCUUUUGCUAACUUCUUCUACUCCUUCAAGCAGUCCAAAUCCAAAUUGGACAAUGCUUGGAAUGAUAUGCUCUCUUCCAGAAUUGCUUUCAUUAACCUGUAGAAGUAAAAGCAAAACAGGAAAAGGAAGUUAAAAAAAAAAAAAAAAAGAUUGAAGGAAAUGAGAUCAACCUAUACGUGAUCACUGUAGAAAGAGCACAAAAUAUGCAGUUGAUACAAUUUUUGUAGCACUAAAUCAUCAAUAGAUUUAUCUAUUAUACUUAUUUGACAUCCUUUGCAUACUACUGGUCCUUUUCUAUUCGUUCUAAAUUACUAUGCACCUAAAAUACUGACAUUACUGAGGGAGAUAUUUCAUUAUUAUUUGCUCAUUCUACUACAAGGAUGCAAUUAUCCACAACGUAUAUAGUUAGAGUUGACUGUAACUUGCAUUCGCAUAGCCGAGAAACAAAUAGACCGAGCAACAAAAAGUUGGAAAUAAGUUACAGCUCUUAUUAUGGCUCUCUCCAUCACUUGAGCAAUCUGCAGAUAUGCUUCCUUCAAAUGAUCUGAUAGCCACUUGCACUCUCUGAAACAUCACAAGACAGAAAACAGGUAUAAAAUGUUACAUUAUUCAGAAUUAGGUAAAGUGAAUUAGCUUAAAACUCAGUGGAUGAAAGUCCUAAGAGAUCCAAAUCCUCAAAACACAAAACAGAAAUUAGGCAUAAAAUGCUACAUUAGUCAGAUUUGGGUAAAGUGAUUAGCUGAAAACUCAGUGGAUGAAAGUCUUAAGAGAUCCAGAUCCUAGAAGAAAGGAAAAAGUACUCUUCCAAGGGGCUCAUAAACAGGAUUACGCGAACUUCAUUACAAAAAUGUAUCUAAUUGUUCAAACUGCUGCAGUUAUCCAGCAACAUUAUCACAAAAAUGUUUGUGGAAGGUGACAAAAUGUUUGUUAUUCCAGAAACAUUGACAAGACAUCAGAGUAAGAUUCCAGCAACAUUAUCAAACUGCUGUGGAAGGUGACAAAAUGUUUGUUAUUCCAUUGAUUUUUAGGCUCAUAAUUCACAUUUACCUCAAUUUAGUGCAAAACAUAAUCCAUAAGACGUCAGAGUAAGAUUCUAUACAGCAUGUAGCAUCCAAAAAAUAUAUAUAUAUCUAUUCAGUGUGUCACAAAAUUCAACUAAGCUUGAAUGUAAAAAUAUAAUUACUUAAGUGCACUAUGAAUAACUUACUUUGCAAACUUGUAGUCUUUAUAUGCAGAAAGCAAUGCUGUUUUUAGGACUCCGAUAGAGCUCUCACAAAAUCUUUUAACUCUAGCAACUGACAACAACACAGCAACAGUAAAAUGAUUAAAUGCCCGCGAAUCCGCCUUUACUAGCCCCAGAACCUCCUGGCCUAAAGAAGGAUCCUGCUUUACUGCAAAAUUCACAUGAAGUAAUACUGUCCCCUCAACUUGUUUUACUAUUGAACUACCCUUUUUUCCCUGCACUUUAUCUCCAAAAUACGUGACAAUCCCCUCAAUCACCUCCUUCUUACUAAACCCUUUUGAAGCCAACACCAAUAACUGAUAAACCAACCCAGGCAAGUCCUGCAAAUCUACGUCCCUCAUCCCAUUAAACACUUUUCCAAGAAAAUCCCUUCUCUUCUCUUUUUGCAUAAAGGAAAAUUCCCUAAUAAUUUCCACCAUUUUCACCAACAAAACCUUCCUCCAUUCAGACUUAAUUAAACUAUCAACAACAGAAUUUACAUACCCAUAAGCAUUUUCAAACUCAUUUGAGGUUCUAAUCAGUUCAAGACACUUUGGGAGCAAAAUUAGCAACUGGGUAUCCUCAGAAUCAGUUAUUUUGGGAAUAUAAGAGGUGAUUAAAUCAAUAAUAGGGGGUAAACUGGAAACUGGGACGGCGUCGAGGUGGGUCGAGAAGAGCUGGAUGGUGGACAGAGAGAGGCGGUCGUGUGGGAUUUUAUGGGCGGUGAAAAGGGAAGCGUAAGAGAGGAGAAGGGAAGAUAGAAGAGAGGAGAGGGGGGAAUGGAGAGAGGAAAGAGAAAUGAGGGCGGAGGCGUAUUCAGAAACUGCGGAAGAGGGGUUCGGAGAAGCGGUGGCUCGAGAUUGGAGGUAAGAUAAGAGGGUUUGGUGGGAGGCUUCUGCGAGGAGGAAUGGGGGAAGUGGCAAGGGGGUGGUGGAUUGGGAGGAGGAGUAGGGGUGUUUUUGGGCCAAUUGAAUAAUGUCGGCGUCAGUUAGUGGCGGUGGAGGGUGGGCUGAGGUGGUGGCCAUUUUGGUGGCGAUGGCGUUCGCGGAUGGCGACUGGGUGGUUUAUGGGCGGCGAACUUUGGAGGAGAUAAAAUGGCGGGAAAACGUAGAAGCUACGAAAAAAAUUCUGAUGCCAGUUGCCAACUUUCUUCCUUUUGAUGCACGGCCUUGAAGGCGUGAUAUAUUAACGCUGUUAAAAAAUUGGACAAUCCAUGCAUGCUGUUUAAGAUAAGAAAAAAAAAACAAUUGAAGUUGCAACAAAAGAAAUUGUCCAGAAUCAGUGAAUGCUACACAUUUUUUUUUUUUUUUAUCGGAGCAUCGAUUUGUGUGAACAUAGGGAAUACCAACUCCCCCUUUGCUCCAACCCCACCGCGUAUUGCUCAUACACAUUGGUGCAGCUAAUAAAUAUACAUUACUGCUAAUCUUUUGCUUGGGGAAAUAAAGCAAAUCAUUAACUGCACACCAAAUCAUUGUUAAAUUGAAUGAUCAAAGAAAUUUUUUUUUUUUUUUUUGUUAAAUGGAGGUAGGCGGUAAUGCUAAUAUACGAUCAGCACACCAAAUGUGUUGUUUAGCAUCCAGUAACGUGACGACGAGUAUGAUUUAUGACUUGUCUGAUGUUUGACUGUCUCAAGCUUUCUAAAAUGUCUGAUGCGCCAUCCGCUUCCCGCAAAACCGUUGCGUGUGGAUUGAAAAAAACUUCGAAAAACACGACAACUCCAGUGUGACGCGCGAAACAUGGUCGUGAUGAGCACCUUCCCAUUCCGAGAGAUUUAUAAUAUAGGAAAAAUCGUUCAAAACGUUCUUUGUAUUUUGUAGGAAUGUUUUGAACGAUUAUUUCUAUAAUUCAUACGCGACUUUAUUGGAAGGUCUAAUUGUAAAUUCACAUGGAUCGAGUAGUAUUUAUUCUAUUUUAUUUUAUUUUUGUAAUAUCAGAGAAAAGUUACUUUGUUAAAAUAUUUGAGAAUAGUUUUAUUUGAACAACUGUAAAACAUUGAAGAAAGUUAUAGCAUUUAUUCCACACACAUAUUACAAAAAUAUAUUAGUGAUGCGUAUAAUUUGUACUUAUUGAGUAGGUAAGGGAAAAAAUCUUAGCCAGCUUAUAAAUCUAAAUGCAAAAGGAGUAAACAAAUGAUGUUUGAUGUUGCAUUCCUUUUGUGCUUGUUUAAUUAGCUUGAUUACGUCAAAUGAACCAUUUAAAGAGGAUAAAAUGACGACAAUGUUGAAGUGGCUAUUGAUAACCUUGUUUAAUGGAAUGAGAAAAAAAAAAUGCUUCAUAUGAAAUUUUGACGACGCACUCACUUGCAACCAUUUCAAUAAUAUAAUAUAGUACUAAAAGUUCGCGUUUGUUUGGAUAGUGGGUUAUUUUCCCAAAUAUAUUUGUUUAUAUCAUCAUUACAAUUUCUAAUAUAACUUUUUAUCUUCCUAAUUACUUUUUUAUCUCACAUACAUCACAUCACAAAAGAUGUAACAGUAAAAAUAUCUCAAAUAAUUUACAAUCCAAACAAACCUUAGUUGCAAAAUUAUACAUUUAGUAUAAUAUAGUACUAAAAAUUCGUAUAAAAAGUCCUACAAAAGCAAUCUUAACUCUAUCCUAAAUACUAGUACAAGUUUAUAAAGUUAACAGAUCAAUUAAGAAUCUGCAAGUACUAAACGGAGUGUUGCAAGAUUCAACGUUUAGAAUCAAGCUAUACAGCCAAACAUUACAUUGUAUCAGAAAAAGCCAAACAUUGUAUCGGAAAAGGAGAAAAAGAGGCACUGAAUCCAAAAAAUCGCACCAGACUUUGUACCUCAAUUUCCAAAACCGAGAGUGGACAUAUCUAUUUAGAAGGAAAAAUCUAAAGAGUGCCCCAUCUAAAUGUAGUAAUAAAAAGAAAAUCUUAAUCAUAUCAUUAUCUACAAUGUAUACCGAGGUAUCUUACAAUCGCCCCUUACGUCAGAGACUAUACUCAGUCCCCACACGGCUCCUCCUCGCCUUGCUUUCUCAAUAAAUACGCUCCGUUUUGCUUGCUUCCGAGUUAGGAUAACAGACGAACCAUCAUCCCAAGCCCAAAUAUCAGCUGAACAAAAUUUGCAAUUUUUUUGAGCUUUCUUUAUUGUAAAAUAUUUGUUUUCCUUUUUUGGCUGAACAAAAAGAAGACAAGAUGAGCAGCAGAAACCCAAAGGGAAGAACAACAAUCGAGGUUGGAGCUGAUGGGGUUGCUGUGAUCACCAUCUUUAAUCCUCCUGUCAAUUCUCUUUCUUUGGAUGGUACUAGAAAUUCGCUACCUGUUAAUUUUAGAUCUCGGCGUCUCAUUUGCAUUUCUUGUUUUUCUUUUUUCCAAUUUUGGUGCGAGUUGUUGGAAAUCAUGUCCAACUCGCCUCCCAAGAUUGUGACUUUAUUAUGUUUGUGAUUUAUUUUUUGGGUUGUCCCUGAAUUUGGACUUGCUUAUUGCAGGAGAGUUUUUAAUUUGUUGCUCUCUUUGUGUUGUUGUAUUGUGGCGGUAAUUUGAACUUCUUAUCGGUUUAUGAUCAUGAACAGUCACGUUUGUUUCGAUAAAAUAGGAACUUCGUCAUUGACUUUAGCAAAGAAGUUUGAUGGAAAUGUGAGGAAUUUUUUAGCUCAUUUAAGAUGACCACUGGAUUAUGGUAGAUUGCUUGGAGCUAAGAGGUCAUAUUGGAUAGGAAUGGCAGAAGGAUAGUGCACUUGUAGAGGCAUAGUUUGUAGGGAGUUGUAUCUGACAUUAGCCUUAUUUUACUCCUUUAGGAGAGUAGAUUUUUGCAACCUAAUGUUUCAAAUUCAAGACUAAAAAUAUAAUGAGAGAAGAAGGAGAACUCGCAAAUAAGGGAGAUCCUUCUGCCAGGACGCCAGCAUACAAAUAUCAAGAGACGGACUGCCAAUCAAUCUGUAACUCGUGGAAUACAGUGUUUAAACAUAUCAAUGCAAGAAGCCAACGAGAAAAGAGUCGGACAACUCCCUUCCUUCAGCAUUCUAAAAGCUAUAUAUUGAAUAUGCAUGGAGUAUAACUCUUUUGCUUCCCAACGCUGGAAGUCAUUUAGGUAGUCUCUAUUUUGCUGUCCUUAAGUUGGGGCAACUCAGGAUAAUCACAGAGAUUCUUUUACGUGGAGAUGUGAAGAGAGUUCACCACGUCCUUACUUUGAAUUGCAUUCAGUUAAUCUUCUGUGUCUUUGGCUUCAUCUUAUGGGUGUUUUUUGUAAGAGAUUACGUAAAAGCAUGCCCAGAGAUGUUUAAUGUAUGCUCAGCAUACGCUAAAAGAAUAUGGGCAUCAGUUUGUCUUCUCUUCUACUAGGCUUUAGUUUUUCAAUUUUCUGUUCAAAUAUAAGCAAGCUUCUAAAUCAUACUUUCUGUCAUUUCAGUGUUAAACAGCUUAAAAGAGAGUUACGAACAAGCUUUGCGGAGAGAUGAUGUGAAGGCAAUUGUUGUCAUAGGUAAAGGGCGAAGCAUAUGAUAGUUGAGGAGUGUGGAUUAGUCGUGUAUGAAGCUAAUCUUUUUAUGCUUGAGCAGGCUCAAAUGGAAAAUUCUCGGGGGGGUUUGACAUCACAGCUUUCGGUGGAAUUCAAGAGGGAAAAUGUAUGUCCUAAUGUAUAUAUAUUUGUGACUGUUAUUGGGGGUGCAUCACUUAUUCUUUGCUAAUAUCAUUUUGUGUCAAUUUCAGUCCCUGCGCCAAAACCUGGUUUCGUGUCAAUUGAGAUCCUCAGUGAUACUGUGGAUGGUCAGUUCUGGAUUUAUUUUCUUCAAUCAGGACAUACAUAGCAAUUUACACUGAGUAUUAAUGAAAUCUCCAUCCUUUCAGCUGCGACAAAGCCCUCUGUGGCUGCUAUUGAUGGCCUCGCCUUAGGCGGAGGGUUAGAAGUUGCAAUGGUAUGUCCAUCAACUCAUUGUGGUUCGAGAAAUUUUAUGUCAGAUUGGCAUGUGCUGAUUUAUGAUUUAUCUGUCCGUCAGGCUUGCCAUGCACGUAUAUCAACUUCAAAUGCUCAAUUAGGAUUACCGGAGCUGCAGCUUGGUAUACUUCCUGGGUUUGGAGGUACAACCAAACUUUUGAGCAAAUUAAAAGGGUCUGCUUUUGUGGCAGCUCUAGAAUUAGUAAAACUCCAACUUAGGGUAAAAAGCAGGUGCAUGCAAAUUUGCUCUAUUAUUAACCAGCAUAUUGCAGUAUUUGCUGUUUUGGCCAUAAUAUCUUAGGUCACAGAGUCGUGAUCUUAUGAUUUCAGGUUUACAAGAUGUAGUGAGCAAUAUGAACAUCAUGAGCUGUCCUGUAAUAAAACCAGUUUUCAGAAAAAAGUGGGCCUCUUCUUGUUAUAAGCUUUGAACCUGAUUUCUUACAAAAUGCUGUUUUUUCUUUUCAGUGGUAAUAGUUAUUGUUAGCAGCAGUGCUUGAUCCUCUGAUGCUUAAAUUGUCAAAGUUCUAGUAGCAUAUAUGUCAGUUGCAGGAAAUAACUGAUCACAUUAUUGCAGGAACGCAGCGCCUUCCUCGCCUUGUAGGUCUUGCCAAGUCUCUUGAAAUGAUGCUGGUAAGCUCUAGCUUGCAACUUUUGGCAGGAUAGCUGGGGAAAACUGAGUUUGGGUGUAAUUCAUAUUCUACUUCUCUUCCAAUCAGAUGUCAAAGCCUGUAAAAGGGGAAGAAGCUCUUAGUUUAGGGCUUGUGGAUGAAAUAGCUGCACCAGAUCAACUGCUGGCUACUGCUCGUCGCUGGGCACUUGAAAUUUUGGACCGAAAAAGACCUUGGGUUUCUAGCCUUUAUAAGACUGAUAAGUUAGAAUCUCUUGCUGAGGCUAAGGAAAUACUGAAGUUUGCACGAGCUCAAAUACGUAAGCAGGCUCCAAAUCUCACACAUCCAUUGGUUUGCAUUGAUGUUGUGGAGGAAGGUAUUAUUUCAGGUCCUCUUGCUGGCCUUUUCAAGGUAUUUAUCUGCUUUCAAUUCUCUUUUCCUGAUGCUUAAGUUUCUCAGCAAUAUGUAAUGUCAGUGAAUUUCUCAUAUUGGCAGGAAGCUGAAGCAUUUCAAGUUCUCCUUCACUCAGACACUUGUAAGAGCUUGGUCCACAUUUUCUUUGCUCAACGUGGAACGACAAAGGUAAAUAAUUUGGUAGCUGUCUAGAGGUUUUUAUUGUGAUUUGGAUAAUAACCAUCACUGACAUUGUAGGCUAGCUGCUCUGAAUCGGCUUUUGCUACUUUGAUACAAUAAUGUGAUUCCAUGGGACUUUGUAGAAUCAAUUGCUCUAGCAGUGAGAAGUUACCCUGAUAUUUGUUUACUUACAUUUCUUUGAAAUAGUCUGACUUUCAUUUCUACUUGGAUAAUCUAAUAAGUUAAACUGCAUCACAACUUGAACUUCAGUUAGGCAUGAUUCUCAAUUUACUAAAUGUUAUCUUUCGCUCUCUAGGUAAUGCAUCAGAUUUAACCAAUUUAAAUUCUCUGUCAUCAUGAAGUUAAUUCUCCAGAUACUGAAGUUUGAAAGAUUACUGCAUUCUAGUCUAAAGUAGACAGCUUUUUUCGUAUUUCAGCCUAAGCUAUGAUUGACUAUAUUUUAAGUGACCAUAUCUCCAACUCCAUGCAGGUUCCAGGAAUCACUGACCGAGGUUUGGCUCCUAGAAGGAUAAAAAAGGUUGCAAUUCUUGGUGGUGGCUUAAUGGGUUCUGGAAUAGCAACAGCGCUGAUCCUCAGUAAUUAUCCUGUGAUCCUAAAAGAAGUCAAUGAGAAAUUUCUACAGGCUGGGAUUGAUAGAGUGAGAGGUGAUGACAGAUUUUUUACCUUUGGAUUAGUUCAUGCAUGUAAGACUUGAUAGGGAACAAAUUUUUUUUUUUUUUUGGUUAAAUACAGCCAAUUUGCGAAGUCGAGUCAAGAAAGGGAAAAUGACUCAAGAGAAGUUUGAGAAGAAUCUUUCUCUACUCAAAGGUGUCCUUGAUUAUGAUAGCUUUAGAGAUGUGGACAUGGUCAUAGAGGUAAAGCAUAUGUAUAAAUUGAGGUUUUGCAGUUGCAUCCUGCACCCCAUCCCCUUCUCUGCAUCAUCCUGUGGUUCCAAAAAUUCAAUCUUGUCUGAUUACUUCAUGCUAUUAAUGUUGAAAUGCAGGCUGUGAUUGAGAAUGUAUCUUUGAAGCAGCAAAUAUUUGCAGAUUUAGAGAAGUAUUGCCCUUCUCACUGCAUACUUGCAAGUAACACAUCGACAAUUGACUUAGAUCUGAUUGGUGAGAAGACCAGGUCUCACGAUAGGAUCAUUGGAGCCCAUUUUUUCAGGUAACCUUUAGUUUGCUCGUACACUAGUUUCUCUUCCCUCCUAAUUGGUAUUGUUGGUUGUGAUUUAAACUUUUUGUAUAUUGUUUAAUGCAGUCCAGCUCAUGUUAUGCCUCUUUUGGAAAUUGUUCGUACCCAAAAGACAUCUCCUCAAGUAAUUGUGGACUUGUUAGAUGUUGGGUAGAAGAUAAAGAAAACCCCAGUGGUUGUUGGAAAUUGCACUGGAUUUGCUGUCAAUAGGAUGUUUUUCCCUUACACUCAAGCUGCCCUAUUGCUUGUUGAACGUGGUACGGAUGUGUACAAGAUUGAUAGAGCAAUCAACAAAUUUGGAAUGCCAAUGGGUCCUUUCAGGUAAGAGAUAUUAAAUGUAGCUGUUUUGUAUCCUUUAAUCUCAUUACUGAUGCCGAAGGCGACAAUUUACUAAAAUGGUGGUGGCCUCGCGGCUUUAAUGUGUCCGUGUAGAUUGUGUGACCUGGUUGGAUUUGGUGUUGCAAUCGCAACCGGCUCUCAGUUUGUCUUAAAUUUUCCUGAGAGAACUUAUAAGUCGAUGCUUAUUCCACUCAUGCAAGAAGAUAAGAGAGCAGGUAAGCUCACUCGUUUGCUGGAGCUCUUGAUAAAUGGCUCACAAUCUAAUAUCAUGUUGCAAGUGUUGAACAUGUUUAAUCGGCCAUACACUUGUCAUAGGUGAAACUACUCGAAGAGGGUUCUAUGUAUAUGAUAACAAACGCAAAGCCAGCCCUGAUCCAGAAAUAAAGAAGUAUAUUGAGAAAUCAAGAGAGAUGUCUGGUGUUAAGAUUGACCCGAAGGUUCUCUCUCUUUCUCCCUCUGUGUGUGUGUGAAAAACCACCUUCAUUCCAUGGCAAUGUCUAAUUGAUAUAUGCGAUUUGAACCUUUUAAUGAAAAAAGUUAUCUACCAACUAAUUGUGGUGAUUUCCUACAUCCAGUUGACAAAAUUAUCAGAUAAGGAUAUUGUGGAGAUGAUAUUCUUCCCUGUGGUAAAUGAGGCAUGCCGAGUACUUGCUGAAGGGAUUGCAGUCAAAUCUGCUGAUCUUGACAUUUCUGCCGUGAUGGGAAUGGGAUUCCCACCUUACAGGUUUGAAAUCUUUUACUGAUUUGAAACAUUUUCCCUAUAUUAGAUAAGUAUUGCAAAAGAAAAGUCAAAAAAUAAAAAUAAAAACUCUGCAACACAAAGGGGUCUAUAUUAAAAACUAUCAAUGUUCUAAUGAUGUUAUCUUCAGUCAGAUUACCGACCUAAUUGCGUGUUAACUAAUCAGGGGAGGAAUUUUGUUUUGGGCUGAUACUUUUGGGUCCAAAUACAUUUGCUCGAGAUUGGAAGAAUGGGCAAAUUUGUAUGGGGGAUUUUUCAAGCCUUGUGCAUACUUGGCUGAUAGAGCUGCUAAAGGUGCUCUUCUGGUAAGAAUUCUCCAGUCAACCCUUGUGUUCAGUGAUUAAUUCAUCCAUGUUUGUCAAACGUCUUCAAUUACAACCCUCUUCUCCCAUCAUUUGGGAGAUGGGCAUGAAUGAUUGUUUGAACCGUGCAACAUUUUGUCAACAAGUUGUAACUCUCGUUAUAAGCUAAAUGUACAACUUCGCAACAGGGACGUAAUUAUUACGUGUGGAGAUCACACGAGCAGUGACUCAAUAUCAAACUACAAUUGUUGUGAAGUUGUACAAGUUGUUAACGAUAAGUUACAAACUUGUUCAAAUGGUAGUAUUUGGUUUGACAAACGUUCUUGCCCCUUUCCCCUUUUAUUUAGCCAUCGUUUUUUCUUCCCCAACUCGAGUUAGAUCUGUCGAUUUCCUAUUGUUUCAGCUGUAAUCCGGGCUUACAUUUUCAAUUACAAACUUGUCAAUGUCAAAUUGGCCAUUUCAUGCUCAUUCCAGAUGCGCACACGCACACACCCCCUAGAUUUUUUUGACACGUCCAUUCUGGUGGUUGUGACUGGUGAAAUUAAAAAAUCUGUUUAUUACAGGGUUCAACCUCGGAUCCUGCACAGUCCCGACUGUGAGAUCAACUUACCUCUCUCGCAAACUGCUCCUCCGGCUCCAGCUGAUGUCUUUGUCUGUAUGUUUCUUCAUGUCUUAGUAUCUAAUGAGCUUAAUAAUGUGGCGGUGUAAUAUAAAAAUCACUGGCUUUCCAAAUAAUUAAAUACAUGGAAGAUUUUGAUGUAUUUAAGGUAGCACAUGAAUCAAUAAUGUUCGUGACAGUUGUUGUUGUCGAAUUUCUCAUUCAAAUUGGCCACCAUUUCUUGCAAAUUCUCACGUGGUCCAGCAAAUUACGAGCAGUGUGGCUCUUUAGCUUUCUAGCAUUCUGAUGUGGAGUUGAUUCAGCAGUUUUCUGCAAUCACGUGGAUCGAGUAAAACAAGACCCAGAAGUGCCAGGAAGUUUCUUUCUCAGUCUAGAAUUGCCGUACUCGAAAGUUGGUCCGAGAACUUCCCGGAACUUUUGUUGUUUUUUUCCCCCUUAGAACCUCCUUGAACCUUUUUCUUUUUCUUUUUUUCUCCGAGGACAACUCCAGGCCUUAUAGGGGGAAAAAGGGCCGAACCAAGAAUCUUAUACUCACUUGACUAAUAUUCUUAGGAUUAAGUUGAGUUUUGGAACCUCAAAACUAUUAUUCACAGUUUAGAAAAUUGCGCAUAUUGACCGUGCUCUAUAAACUGCGUUAUUAAGGGUGCUUGGGCCGCUGCCAUAAUAUGGCAAAGAACAAAGAGAAAAAGAAACUGAAUUGCUUGGCAUGGUGUGUAUGUUCACAGGUGGAAUAGUUGAUUGAUGUAAAUUAUUGUUUGUUCUAACCAAAAGGCGAACAAGUGGAAUACUUGAUUGAUGAAAAAUUAACAAUUAGUAUUAUACUUGAAAAGCUUUUUUUUUUUUUUAUUGAGAAAUCUUGAAUUCAAAAUCCGUUAUUUACAAUUAUUCUCGUUUUAUCAUCCUAUCCGAUCCUCCUCCAUGAAAAAACCAUUCAUUCCGGCUUAACUCGCAAACAAAAAUGUUGCAGCGUUUUCACUUCAUCCAAUGGUUGUGCGACACCAACAUGAACGCUUACGAAUAAUGCAAGUCACAAUCUCAUAAUGCAAGCUCGAGGUCUUGAGCCUGACGCCAUUUUCACCGAUCGUUUACAGCUAAUGCAUAUGUCUACUCGAGUCAUUCUACAAUCACUGUUGAGUCAUACUGCCAUGAUUGGUCCCAAUUGGCACUAUGAUUCUGCUACUAUAAUAAUAAAAUAUAAACCAGCCUCAAAAGAUUUUGCUCUGAUUCCAUGGUGCUUCUUUAAAGGCCUUGGUUUCUUUUUCAUGCCUGUGAAGUUGCAGAGGAUUAGAAGUCCAUCAGAAGAGUGCAUGAACAAGGCUCAGGGCGGAGGCUACAUUAAAGUCAUCUUCUAACCAAGCGAAAUUGGAUACUUCAGGUAAGCAUUAAUAUAUUUUGCUUAGUCAUUAAUUACCAGCGUGUGACGAGGAUGCAAGUAAGAACCAGAUAAGGGAUUAGUGAAAGAGCCUUAGUUUGAUAUCUAAUUUUGUUACCCUUAUGACCAAUACUAUCGUGUAAAGUUGAUGCUGAUAUAGGUGUUUGCAAACUUUGGAUCAUUAUUUAGAUGCAAAAGUCAUGUAUCAAACGUUUUCAUUUCCACACGUAUAUAUGGGAAGACUUAGAUUUUGAUCGCAACAUAAAAAGUACUCAGUUUUGGUAGUGUUCUCUAAAAUUAUGGUAAAUUCCUCUCCUGUAUAAAUAUUUUUAUCGUAAGUUUGAUAUCAAUUUAGAUGGUUCCGUGCUGUAAUACACGAGCUUAUAUCUAGUUAAGAGUAUGGUCUGUCAAAACUUAAUGAUUGGCAGAAGACGGAAGGUAUCAUGGAUUAAUGGAGCUAUUGACAAUUAGACAAUUCGGUCUGUCAAAAAUUAAUGAUUGGCUGAAGACGGAAGGUAUGGAUUAAUGGAGAUAUUAUUCACAUUGCAAUCAUGAGUUCACACAAUUAUUCAAGUAACUGUAGUGGUAGUGGAAGCAACUUUUCAAGUCUGAUUUUCUGCUAUAUGUAAAGAAGAAAUGUACAGACACUGUCAAGAACCAAUGAUGUUUCUUUAACUCAGUGAAUGAAAGUAUGAUCUUACUCUACUAGUCUGUUAUGUACCAUAAUCAUGUAAUCUGAAACUUUUAUAAUUCAACAAUAAAUACUGCUGUUUUACCAUAUCUUUAUGGUAUGUAUCUAACAUCUGAAACAGUCAGUAAACUGACGUCUCAUUUGCACUUCGACGGGAUAUUCAAUUGUUUAGCCAAAUGUUUAGCCCUGAUGAGGCUGUCUCUCUGAGGAAACAAUUCCUUCCUGUGUGUUAACAAAUGCCCUUCUUGAAGACAAAUGCGAAUUAUUAUAUAGCUCCUGAAUAUUAUUUAAUUCCAUCCUGUGUGUUUGCAGUUUUGACCUUCUUGAAUUCUUCAACGUGGGAAUUGAUGCUUUUCCAUGUUUAAAAGUUUUUAAAGACAGAAUAUGAGUUAUUGCAGGUUGAGUGGAGCCUGUAUGCAUAUAUUUAAAGUUUGCUGUUUUGGGGGCAAUAGACCUUAGGCGAAUUGCUCAAAUGUGACGAAUUUGGAGGCCCGAUAAGUGCAUGAAACUAAACAAUGCUUGUUAAUAUAGUGAUGGUGCAAAGUGUCCUUCUAUAUUAAAAUCCUAUUCUUGAAUUUCCACGUUAAAGAAAGUUGUGAACUCGAUGUUGAAUUUUUAUGGAAGUUGUGAAUUCAGAAUUAAAUUUUUGGAGAAUUUACCAGCCCUAGAUUAUAUCUUUGGGAAGAUUGUGAAUCUAAACCACAUUUUUUGGUGGUUGUGAAACCAUGAAUCAAUAAUGUCACACGAACAUGUAUUUUCUGAAGUCCCUAGAUUUGUGAUUUUUUUUUUUUGUUGCUCUUGUCCUUCUUAAUUUUGAAAGAAAAGGGUUUCAAUCUUUUGUCUUUGAUUGUUCUUGUUUAAAACACUUAAUUAGCAAGUAAUCACUCAUUUAGGCUUAAUCAAAGGAUGAGGGGUGGAUUAGAAUUAACUAAAAUUUAUAAAAUAUAAAAUUACCAUGCAUAACACUUUUUUGAGAUGUGAUGUUUGUAAAAAUAAUAAUAAAAAAAAAGAUGACCAAGAAAUUCAUUAAGGAAAUAUUCUCAAAAAAAAAAAAAAUUCCAAAGAUGGCAAUCCAAACAACCAAUCGCACAUGCACAUGACUGUGGGAAUUAAAUGGAUAUGGAGCAUAUUUUUCAAGACGUAAUUGGCUACCUAAAAGAUGUCUUCCUUUGAAGUGUGGAUCAUGUGCCUAUUUUCCAUAAAUUUGAACUAUAGUUACAGCACCUUAAAUGUCUUUCUUUUCUUUUUUUUUUUAAAAAAAGUAAACUAAGAACAAGAAAACAAAGCUUUUUUUCCAUACAAAUCGCUAGUUUGUGAAGUUGCAAGCAAAGCCGCCUCAUCCUCUUCGUCUUAUAAGCCGUUCUGAAGGCCUUUCUUUUUGUGCGUUUUGGAGUGCUGUCGUCAAGAUUUUGGUGGCCUUCACCAAAAAUGGAAGGUUUCACCUUCUUCAUUGGUAUCUUGGGUGAGAAUCUAAACUUCUUGUUUCAAUUGGCUCAUCAGGCACACAACUUUUCAUGAUAUAUUGCAUGCAUUUGAGAUCAUAUCUAUUGUGGUUGGAUAUUCCCAAAUUUCUACUUCUCCAUCUUCAUAUAUACAAGAUAGAAAUAAUAAAAAAUUUCUCCAAUUGGGUUUUUUUUUUUUUUUUUUAAAAAAAAAAAUUAUCUUUUUGGUUGCAGGCAAUGUCACGUCAAUGCUUGUAUUCCUUGCGCCCAUGUAAGCUGGCCCUUCUCCAGUUUUUAAUUAUAUAUAUUCCCUUUUGUUUGUGGGAAUUUGGGUGAGAAAAUGGUAAUCCUGUCAAGAUGGAGAUUGCUCGCUGAUGAUGAAUAUAUUGUGAUGAUUUGCAGAGACACCUUCAAGAGGAUAGUAAAGAACAAAUCGACGGAGGAAUUUGACAGCCUUCCAUACAUAUGUUCGUUGCUGAGCGCAUCUCUAUGGACGUACUAUGGCAUUGUACAGCCCAGCGCAUUUCUUGUCGGCACAAUCAAUGCGUUUGGAAGCGUACUUGGGAUUGUUUAUGUUGGCCUUUUCCUUUUCUAUGCUCCUCCAAGCAACAAGGUGGCUAGCUGCAACCAUCUUCAUCAUGAUCCAUUAUUAUUACUUUCCCCAUCAAUCAUCAUUUCUUUACAUCGAAUCACCAUUACUACUCUCGUUACCAUAAUUUCUUGAUUCUUUGCAGGUUAAAAUUGCACUUAUUGUAGGGACUUUGAAUGUUGGAUUCUUGGCGGGAGCGAUUUUAUUUACGCGACUGGCAUUUAAAGGAGAAGCUCGGGUCGCAUCCAUGGGUUUCUUGGCCGCAGGUUUCAUCAUUGUCACGUACGCUUCGCCGCUUUCUUCCAUGGUAAGAAUACUGAGAUCAUGAAACUUCAAACCAUAUAUAUGCAAAUCAUAUUAUGCAGAUCCUGCUGCAAUGGAUACUCUCAUGAAUCUGCCGGAAUUUCACUUUCAGAGGACGGUGGUGAUGACCAGGAGCGUGGAGUACAUGCCUUUUUACCUUUCAUUUUUCAUCUUCCUGAGUGGGGGCGUUUGGGCUUUGUAUGGUUGGUUGAUAGGAGAUUAUUUCGUUUCGGUAAGUUCACUUUCCUCAUUUCCACGAUUAUUAGUCCUAAUGGUCGAUCAGUUACAAUUUCUCAAAGGGCCCCAUUUAUACACAUCCUAGAACCAAAAAUAAAGAAAAUGAGGAUUUUGCUGCUUCUACUUUCAAAUUCCUAGAGAAAUUCCUCUAUUUGUAAAGGUGAAAUGAGCAAAUUUUUAUUGAGAGUUUCAAUAUGCAGAGAAAAAAAUAUGCAAACUUUUCAAACGAGUUUGUGUUUAGGAGACGGAGAAAGAAGGAAGAGAAGAAGAAGAAUGAAAGUAAAUUUGAGUACUCGUUUAUUGGUUUUGAUAUUCGACGAAAGCGCGAGAGAUAAAAUGAUUCAUUUUUGUUUCUACGUGUGUUGAUUUGACGAUGACAAAUGACAAAUAUAAAAGUAACACCAAAUAAAUUUCUUAUUACUCAAGAGAUGUAGGGAUAAUAUUCUCUAACUAUGAGAGCAACUUCAUAAAUUUUUAUACAUAAACUACCCAUUUUUGUGGGGUAAUAUUCCCCACGUUAUCUCGCCUCUGUGCUUGUCCCAUGCAUGCAUGCAUGGUCGAUAAUGAAAUGCUAGCGACUCUCACUAUCUUCCCCCCCUUUUUUUUUUGGUUGUUGCCUGCCACCUUCAAGAUUAUUGACUAAUUAAAAAAGUUAACCUAUAUUAGACGCAAAUGUUGUGCUAAUUUCUACGAUCUUAACUUUAACCACAUAAACCAAGGCCUCCUCCUCGGUUGUAAUUUGACAUUUUUCGCAUCUAAAUUAUAUUUGCAGGUACCAAAUGGGACAGGAUGUAUACUUGGAACAGCUCAACUAGUGCUGUACGGGAUAUACAGAGACACCAAGCCACCCGCCAGGGACAGCGCCUGCGUCAGCUUCUACGACUUGGAAGAAGGAUGGCAGCGUCAGCCCCUUCUGUCUUCGACCCAUAGCUUAGUUUCUUCCACCCAUAGCUUAGUGAGUUCCACCCAUAGCUUAUUGGCUUCCGGCCAUAGCUUCUUGGAGUCUUGACGGAAAAUGUCAUGUUUGGAUAGCAGAUUAUUAGGGAUAAUUUUUUUUUUACUGCAAAUAAUAAACUAUCCAAAUUAACUGGUAUCAAAUAUCUACCAAUUAGAUCCCCGAAGGACGUGCGUGAUAGAAGGGGGGCCAGAAAAUUUCUCAUUUACGUUAUAUAAUUUUUGUUUUCCUUUUUGGCUUUUUAGUUAAACAGUUUUUUUUUUUUUUUUUGGUUUAUGGUUUUAUAGAGCAAUAUGUAAACUUUUACAUAUGUAUCUUGAUUGCGUCUCAAUUAAUUAAUGGCAAGUUCAUACCAAAUUUAAAUAUUUCUUAUAUAUAUAUAUAUAUAUAUAUAUAUAUAUAUAUAUAAGGUGGGAGGAAUAGUUUAGUAUAAAUAUUCCACCACAGCGUAUAUUACUCGAAAUUCGACCAGUAAUAUCACACAAUUACUAAUAUGCACUACGAUUAUUACACAGUAGAUUCAAUUGUGAUUAUCACACAACUACUCCCUCCCUUUUUUAAUAACUGACGUUUAAGGUUUUGCACACCAAUUAAGAAGAGCUUUUCAUUACUUAAAUCUGUACACUACUUUUCUUUUGUACCCUAAUUAAUUACUAGGGUUGAUACAAAGAGAGAAACAAUAAUUACUAGGAGUAAUAAUUAAGAACCCUGUAUUGAAAAAGAGAGAUAAAAGGAUAAAAUUGUGAAAAAAUAAUUAAUACUGUAUGGGGAUAAUAAAAUGACAGAUAAAAGUACACUAAAGUAAAUUUCUUAAACGUCAUUUAUAAAAAAGGGGAGGGAGUAUUGAAAUACAAACUACCCAACUCUACUCCAUUUCCAUUUUUAUUUAAAAUUUUAAUAAAAUUUUAGGAUUGGCAUCCUAAUUUCAUGUACAGGGAUUUUAUCCAAAAAAUAAAUAAAUUUACUCUAUUUUUCAUAUUCAAAAUUUCUUAUUUACAAUUCUUUCUUUUUUUAACCGACCAACACAAUACUAUUGGGAUUCUGGAGCCCAACACAGAAGCAGACAAAACCUUGGAAAUGGGUCGAUCUUCAGCAUCGGUGGGCUGCACUUGGCGAUUCCACACUCAGCUAACUAUGAUCGGAAUUAAUUUGUUCCAAGAAUCCAAACCAUUUAAAGAAUACCAAGUAUUUUUUUUUUACAGGAGAAGGAUAAGAUUAAAGAAGUAGAGAGGUUAAAUCCAAAAUUUCUAGUUCCUAGAUUUUUAAUUUUUUUUUAUUUUUAACCUUCUCCACUACACGAAGCACAAGUACGCGUGAAAAAUCAAAUGAAGUACCUCUUCAAAAAAAUGCUUUUUCUAAAAAAAAAAAAAAAAUUUGGAUUACUUUUUCUACAAAUGAAGUAUCCAUCCAAAAUAAUGCUUUUGAAUUGCCCUUUUCUACAGAAAAAUUUUGCGAAAGCAUUGUUCAAUUAUCUUUUUACCAGAUAAAUUUCAACUCGUUAUAACACAUUUUUCUACAAAAAUUCUUAAAAACAGCCAUCCAAACAGACUCGCUAGCGCUGCUAAUUGACAGAAUUUAAUGCCUCCAUAAGACGCUUGUUGCAUUUACUUACUGGGCACUUAGAUCUCUUGUAUAGUCUCGUAAGAAUGUUGAUUUACAAUGACUCCUGUAGACUGACAAUCAAUUUGUAUAGAUUCAUAAUGUUAAAGAAAGAAUCUGUUACAGCAAAGCUUUGUGGUCCAAAGUCUGAAACAUAGCACACCGCAAAUACGGGUGGAAAUUGAGAUGUAUUAUGCUUAUGUAAUUCUAUAGCAGUUGCAGGGUCUUUGUCUGAUUAUAUAACAGUAGUGGCCACUACUUCUCCUGGUGGGGUGGGAGGUCAGGGUUCAACCCUUGCCUCUCACCCAAAUUGUCUGCUCCUUAUGGACAGCUCGGUUGGUUUCAAUAAGUCUCUUUAGGAGCUGGUGUCCAGUGCCUGCAACGGCUGCAAGGAUCCGAGUCCCGUGAUUAUCGUGUUCGGGGGAUGGGGCCUCUCCUCCUGACCCGGAGUGGAAUUAGUCGGGCCCUGUAAGGAUUGACCCGGACACCCACUCCGUCAGAAAAAAAAAAAAAAAAUGUAGUCAACAUUAUUGUGAUAUGAUUAAUCUCAUUUGCCUUCUUUUUUUUUUUUUGGGGGGGGGAGGGGGGUUGGGGUUUGAAAUCUCCAUUACACAUGCAAUGACCUCCAAAAAAGGGGAAUAAAUGAAGCUGGAAUGAAAUUAAGGCUUAAUGGAGCAAAACAGAAUACGUUGGAAUAAUUAAAGAAGCUGUAUCCACAAUGACAAGUACGUGGUUCAAGUAGUGCAAUGUGUAAAAGAAAAUUCUGUUCAUACUUUCGGCCUUAAAAAAUAUUUUUAAAAAAUGGCAAAUUACCACCAAGCCUUCUCUUAUUCUUGAAGCACCAAAAUUAGUGUUUGAUGAAUCCUUGAAGGAAAAAUUACCUCACAUCAAGUGUACACAACAUAUAUAUAUAUUUUUAAUUUUCUCACACCUCUUUGCAUCCUUCUCAUCGCCAAAUAUCAGAUAGAGAAUACGUGAUAGUAGAAAAGUUUUUAAGAGCUUUCCCCCAAAAACUUGCUUUUGGUGGGUAAUUUCUCACAAAAACUAGUACAUAGAGAUUGAGAUGACUACUCGGUGGCUGAACAAUCAAUUUAAAAUCUCUAUUCUUUUAUGGAGAAGUAAUUGGUGCUAAGAAAUUGGCUUGAGUUCAAGAUGCAGAAGGUAAUCAAAUCUUUCCUUUUUCAUUUAUCUAAGGCGCUCGUGCCUAAUUCUUGGAAGUGCAGGGAGAUAAACCAGAUGGGUAAUUAACAAACAUUCAAUAUCUUAACAAUGGUAAGUUUCCUUUUGUUUUUUACCCUCAUCUUUUGGCAGCACAAAAAACUACUGUAAACAGAAAAGCGUUUAACAGUCUUAACACGAAAAUUGCUUCUAGUAGUAUCAUAAUCAACUGAAAUGACGAUUGAAUGAAGUAAUGGACAACAGGCUUUAACAUGUCCAAAGCAGAGAAACCAAAAGGAUAUGUUAGAAAGGAAAUGGUUUGAUCCAUGGAUGUUGCAGGCAUGUCGUCCAGAGCAGUGACAAGAAGGGCAGCAGUGUAGGUUAGGGACUAAACUAAACAAGCGUAAAAGUCCAACUAAACUCUGCUCAGAUUCACGAGCCGUCUAUCAGAAGAAGAGACAAAACAAACUGUUGAUCCCCAUGUGUAAGGACUGAUAAACAAGGACUGAUGAGGGCCUUCCUAUCCUUCCUUCCCCUCAACCUCAUGCCCCCUCCUCCUCCUCCUAAGCUUAUUAUUACUUACUAGUAAAAAUAAGAUGCAAAUGUCGUCCAUCCCCACAUGAAUCAUCAGACACGAACUUGGACACCCGAGUAUGAGUGAUCAGAUCAGCUCAGAUCCUUGAUGGCUUCGUUGCCCUCUCAUCAGUCAUGCCUCAAUCCUCAUCACCAUUAUUAGUAUUAUACCUUGUAGGACACCAGGGAGUGUUGUGUUAUCAUCAUCAAAAUCCAUGCAUAUCUUCUUAGGGACUAAAAAAUAUCAAUCCAUGCAUAUCUACUUUAGUCUUAAUUGAUAAGAUAAGUUCUUGCAUUUCCUUCAUCUUUUUUUUUUUUUUAAAUUAAAAAAAAGGCCUUUCUGAUUCCUGUCAUUCUACUAAAAUCAAGUAUAGGAGUAGUACUGUGGUAGAAUUUCCCAUCUGAUGUGUUUAUGGAAUCUAGUUUAAGCAGGAUCAAUUCUGAUUAAAUCUAUCAAAAAUAUGAGAAAUCCGCCCAUUGAGCUUCUAGACAAUAAAUACUACUAUUCUCAUGUUGGCCUUCGGGACUGUAAUACUCUGAGUUGUAGGAGACAAUAGAAAGGCCAAUUUUGUUUGACCAAAUUUAGAGAAUGUUACGAAUAUUUGGAAAAGAAUAGAUUGAAGUUCUUGAUUGCUUGAAGGGAUUUAUUAAUGUCAUUUCACGUGCAGAGCGGCCCCUCAAAAUUCAUUUAACACCUUUAUUUGAAAUGUACAUAAUUUAAAAUACCAAAAUUCAAUAAAGUCAAUUCUUGAGAAAUAUUCUAGUCUGUUUUGUUAAAUAUUAGGAUUAUCAGUGUAAUUUUAUUGCUUAUUUGUGUUGUUUAAUUUAUUAAAUAUGAACUUUUUGAGUAGUAAAAAAAGUGUAUUAAUUAUUUUUUAUUCUUUUAUUAAUACAACUUAUAUACAUGUAUACGGAAUAUUUAUGAAAUAAAAGUUUCAUCUCUCUCCUUAAAAGUAUUUUUUUUAAUGUUACUUUUUUUAAUUAGACUAAUUUUAUUAUCAAGAUCUUAAUCACGGCCACGGGGAGGUUUAUGCAAUUUUGUAAACUUUAGUGGAAGUUAGUGAUUAGCUGAAAUUAUUCCUUGAAUCUUUUCCGGAUUGUGACGGCCCCACCUCCCCCUAAGGCGAACCAGAGGGUUCGGCGGGCCGCCUGCCCAGCUCUCGCCGGGACUCAGUCGUUCACUACAAUCCUCAAAUAUAUUACAAUAUAACUCUCAAAAUUACAUCAAAUUCUCCAAUAAUUACAUAUCACAAAUGCAGCGGAAACUAAUUCCAAUCGUGGGAUGUAUACUUACAUCCGUUUCAAUUCCAAAUAUUGAUACAAGCCCAACUCGUACAUAAAAUAAAUCCAAAUUUAAACUGUACACGAUAUAAGCCAUCCAGUCACGUGAAUAAGCACUCCAAGCUUUUCUUCGCCUUGAGCCCUGUGGGGGGGAAAUAAAACAUUUUUUGGGGUGAGCUAGAAGCUCAGCGACUAACCAUUAAAAUCAGUAAUCAAUUCAGUUUCACAGUCGUUCAUUUCAGUGAUGUCAUGAUUUCAAGAUCAAAGGUACAUUUAUUGCUCUCGUGAGCCAGCGAAAUCGUUGUACUUAAACACCCAACGCUCCAAACAAACAUUAAACAGUAAACAGUCAGUGGGGGAGCCAUUUGCUCCAGAUGAACAGUACACAGAGGUGGAGACGUUGGUGUUCAGCACACGAAUUCCAAGCACUCAUUUAAGCCAAAACAUGUCAUGGGCCACAUGCAAGCACUCAUGAUAUGCAAUCAAGUAAAUAGUGCAAUAAACGGUUCAUAAGUAAUUUUGGAAACAGUUUAGGGUCACUCACCUCCACGGCUCAGAAACCAUCCAUCAUGUAUCAUUGCCUUGCUCAACUCCAAGCCUUAGAUCACAAACCCAAUGCAAACAAGUCCCUUCAAAGUUCGGACAGCACUUCCCCUACAUUUGCUAACUUUUCCAGCCAUCAUGGCUUCAUUAUUACUCCAGCCAGUCCCAAAGUCACACAAAUAAGUUCAUCUAAUAUCCAUUCAGCAAGCUCCAAGUAGUACAAAGACAAGUCAAGCUAGGGAAAAGUCCGGAAAUGAAGGUUAAGCUCAAAACCAGAAAAACAGUUUUGACGUCAUAAUGCGGUAAUGGCACAACUCUCACUACAAUUAUCGGUUGGGGGUGUAAGACCCACCGUUUAGAAGCUAUGAAACAGGGCUACAACAAUGUAGAAGGUCACUCAAUCCAGUUCCUAGCUUAACUAGGUCGAAAAUGCCAAAUACUAUACCAGAAUUACCAAAACAGGUUUGCAAAUCACAUAAAACUGUAAUCGGUAUAUCUCAGUCCAUACAAGUCCAAAUGCCGAAAUUCCAAAGGCAUAAGUUAGCUAAGCCAUCCCGUUACAUUUCAUCAGAAGACACCAACUCCAAAAUCCAAACCAAUUCCAGUCAAAAUGGCCAAUUACUAUCGCAGUUUUCGCAUUCUGAUCAAAGCAGAACAGCUACAGUAUUUUCGUUAUAACUCAUUCUACAUUACUCCAAAUGCCCUGAAAUUUUGCAGGCACUUCAAACUCAUCAAUACCUACAACUUUCAUGUUUUGAGAAAAGUCCAAUUCGGCCUCUAUCUAUGACCUAAAAUUUCGGACAGAAUGUUCAACCAAGAACCCUAAUUUUCCAGAAAUUCUUCCAAAUCCAAAAUUGAUUGCAAUUUUCUAUCAUAUGCACCUACUAGAGCCAAAACCCCUUAUUACCAACCAUCAAAAACAAUCACACCAUCAAGAUCAUAUGAAACCAGAAAAUUCCUCAAAAAAAUAAAAAACUCAACCAAAUCACUUCAAACCAAGAAAUAAUCCACAAUUUCUAACACAAUAGCCACCAUUAGGCAUAAAUUCAACAUCAUUAGCUAUAAGAAAAUGUUCAAUCAUCACUUACCAAGUAAACAAGAGAGAGGAGGAUGUUGGGCACCUUAAUCCUUCAAACAAAGUUCACCUCUACACUCACUAACACUAGAAGAUAGGAUUUUAUGGAGUGAAAUGGAUGGAAGCAAAUGUUUUUGGUUGAUUUGCACCAAGUAGAAGCUUGAAAAUUGAAGAAAUCUCCUUCCUUUCUUGCUCAAGGUGGCCGGCCAACAAGGAGAGAAAAAUGGUGAUUUUUUGGUGAAUUUUGGAUAUUUAAUCCCUUGGUCAAAUAAGUCAAGACAAUGAAUAGUAAUUCUUAAAAGUUCAACCAAUAAGAAAGUGACAUGUGUCACUCUAUUAAAUGCAUCCUUAUCAUUCUUUUCUCUCUCACAUCAAUCACUGCACACACCCUACUUAUCUCUUAAUACCCGAUAAACUUUUAACAGUAUCCGAAACUUAACCUUAUUGGCCGAAUUUUUCCGAACUUUUCGCACUAGUGGGUCCCACGUCCAAUAUUUAUUCUUAAUUUUCUAAAAACUCACCAAUGCUAGAAAAAUCAUCUUAAAACUAUAAUUGCUAAUAAAAUCCACCCAGAUAAUAUUUCUAAGCCAGAAAUGCAAAAAUUAUGCAAUUAAAGGAACUAAAACCCUAGGAAAAUAUUAGGGUUUUUACGGGUUCUCACACUCUUUUUUUUCGGGGCGUCACACGGAUUACCUUGGAGAUAUGAAAUAAUUUUCUGACAAAGUAGGUUGGCUAACCAACGUCAUUAAGCACUCUGGAAUUAAGUACUGCUACUUUUACUAGUACUAGAGAAGCAAUAAAUAAAUAAAUAGACUCAACUCCGUUCUUUUAGCCGUGAAUCUUUUAGCCGGUUUAGCACGAAAGCAUAAAGAUAAUAGCAGUUGUCAAAUAAUUAUUUACUUGCAUUGUAAAACAUAAAUAUAAACGCAUCUUUUAAUACUUUUUUUUUAUUUUUUAAUUACUUUUUUAAAAAAAUUUUCAUACAUCAAAUAAUAAAAAAUGUUAAAUAUAUUUCAAAUAACCUAAGUAGAGAAUUUGAUGGACUAGACCCAUAUACCCAUCUGAUCAAUCUAUCAAUAUAUAUCUCCGAUCGAUAUAUAGAGUAGCAGUGGUCAUUUGGAGCAGAGUUUGCAGAGAGCAGCAGGACAGAGUACAGACUAGAAGCAAUAUUCGCUGCAGCGCGCAAAUAAUAUCUGCUUUUUUAUCCGAAUCUACAAUUAAGUACUUCUUCCUUUCGUUUCGUGGGAAAUUGAGUGUGUUUGGAUGGUGGAUUAUUUUCUCAAAUAUAUUUAUUUAUAUUAUUAUUAUAAUUUUUAAUAUAAUUUUUUAUUUUUUUAAUUAUUUUUCUUCUCACAUACAUCACAGCACAAAAAGUAUUACAGUAAAAAUAUCUCAAAUAAUCCAAUAUCCAAACGCAAUCAAUUAUUAAUGGCUUUGUUUGGGCAAGAAAAAUUCCGUUGAUACAUUUCUCAAUUACUUUUUUAUUAUAUAUAUAUUAAAUUAUUAUAAUAAUUUUUUUAUAAAAAAUUUAAAAAAAAUACAAUUCAAACAAGGUCUAAAAUAUUUUAAACUAUUUUCUACUAUUUUAGAAUGCUUUAAAAUAUUUAUCAUAACUAGAAAAUCAAAAUAUUCUUUGGUCUCUUUAUUUUUAAUCACAUGCAUGUUGUUAUUUAAAUUCAAAUUUAAAUUUUAUGCAAUAAAAUUUAAAAAAAUAUAAACAUUACAAUUAAAUUAUUAUUUUUAAAAAAAUUAAAUUAUUGAAAUAUGACAAGAAAUAGUAAUAAUAAUUAUUAUUAAAAGAAGAAGAAUUGGACUCUCGUGGGGCGGGUGUCUCUAUGGACAUCGUUUAGUGACCAGCCUAGCCAGUCAGAGAUUCGUUUUACGAGACUGUCCUGUGGUGCGUGCCGAUUUUCCAAAUCAAAGAUAUCUGUUUGGAAAAUCGGCACACACCACAGGACAGCUGUUUGGAAAAACAUUUGGAAACAGAUAAUCGGCACGCAUUUGGAAGAGGUUCGAUUAUGUCAAUUUCUAGGUCAUGAUGAGUUUGCUGUCGUUCUAUUUUUUUAAAACCUGAUUUUAAAUUCUAAUUUUGAAUAAAUAUUAUCUGUAUCUAAAUAUUAUAUUUUUCUAAUAAUGAAAAGGUCUAUCUAUGAGUAGUUUUAAUUGAAUAUUUUUUUCUUAAAGUUGCUUUUCAAAAUGAAUUCUUCAAAAUAUGUAUCGAGAACAACCCCAAUAUUAGCUAAAUUCUUCAAAGUAUCUUUUCCCGCGAGUAGAAAGACUUUAUUUUGUGAUUAUGAAUUGUUCGUCUUAGUAAAUUAUCAUAAUAACUAUUUUAAUAACCUCAAGUCCCAUUUUCUCUUUAACAACUGACUAAAAAUUAGUACAGUAUGUAAAAAAUUGUUAAAAUGAUAAGAGUGUUAGGAUAGCAAAUUUUUUUAAUAUACUUUUUUAUAUUCUCAAUCACUUUUUUAUCUUAUAUACAUCACAUCACAAAAAGUAUUACAAUAUUUACUCUAAAUAAUAUUUUAAAUAAUACUCUAUCAAAAUAGACUAUUGCAUUGGUUUCAACUCAAUUUCUUAUAAUAUAUGUAGAUAUUUGCUUUCAAAAAUGACUCAAUUUAAUGCAAACUAUUCAACCAUUUUUGAAUAAAUCUUUACAAGUUUUCCCACAAUUGACUGAAAUCAACUUUUUGGUAAAAAAAAAAAAUUUUAUUAACGGAUCUCUAAAAAAUGUCCAACACGAUUUGAUUUAUAUCACUAUCCGAUUAAAAAGUACCCUAUUUCUAGCUUACUAUUUACAAAAUUGAUUAACUUGUUAAUGCUAUCACGAAUUUCUCAUGAAAUUAAACUCUAGAUUUCAACACAAUUGCAUCAUUAGCGAAAAUUUACCCACUGGGGCACUUGAUUAGCACUACAAAAAGGAAUUGACCAUCAAGGGAUGGAUGGUUAUGCACUUUUGCUUGUCUUAUUCAACAGUAUAAUAAUCUACACUAGUCAGGUUUCCACGUGCUCCUGGGGACUCUCUUCCCAGUCCCCAGUCUUCCUCCAACAGUUCCCUUCUCCUCACCUCGCCACCUCUCCUACUUACUUUAAUGCCAUGUUUUCUUGCUUUCAUUUAUGUUUGCCCCUUUGACCAAUAUUUUCUGCCAUACAUACAAGCCAGAUACUACCCGGCCAAUAUUUGCCCCUCACAUUACAGCCCCCAACUCCUCUCCAGUCUGUGCCAAUCCCCCUUCCUAAAUGUCACUGUUUUCAACCAUUUUCAGGUGUUACUAAUUCUUAGGAGCAGUCAAACAAACCAUCUUCACCUUUCGACUUCAAGAGGAUUCUCCUUAUCACAUGCAUCAUCAUCAUCAUCGUCAAGAAAUCGUCUACAGCUACCAUUGCAUCAGUCCCGCUUUCUGAAUAUCAGUUCAACAAAAGAAAAAUGGUGAUGGAAGUUGUUCAAGAAGAUAUGGGGGAUGGAAACAUGCAAUGCACCGACCAUCCUUACAAGAACAGCACCCCAGGUGGGAUCUGUGCCUUUUGUCUUCAAGAGAAGCUUGGCAAGCUUGUUUCUUCCUCAUUCCCUGUUGCUAUUUUCCCGUCUUCUUCUUCUUCUUCGUCUCCUUCAUUUAGAUCUGACUUUGGUGGUGGCAUUACUAGUGCAUCAUCUUCCUCUGCUAUUCGCCCUCCUCAUCACGGUUCCUCAGCAGCUUCUCGUCACAUUAGUCUAAGCAAUGACUGCGAGUGUCACACCAGAAGGUCUAAGAUGCCGUUUAGUUUGAUUACUCACAGGAGAAAGAAGAAGAAAGAUGGCACCGGUGGUGUCUUGGCUGCAGCAAGUUCAGAUGCCACCAGCAUUGUUUUCAAAAGAAGCAAAUCUACCACAACUCCCAGAAGAAAUGGUAUCCAUUUUUUGGAUGCUGAUGAUGUUGAAGAUUACAGCCCUCACAAGAGAGGGUUCUGGUCAUUUCUUUACUUGCCCAAGCAUUCCACUGCCAAGAAAGGUGAAAGGUCGUUCAAAGAUGUUAGUAGCUAUGCGCCAUCAGUGUCAAGUGCAAGUGGAGUUGGAGCUGCAGCUGGUGGUUCUACGAGAUCAAGGGACAAGAAGAAAGAAGAGCUUGUUGUGGUGGAUGAAAAUGAGAGCCCUGAUCAGGCUGCACUUGAUAGAAAGGUGUCGAGAUCUAGAUCUGUUGGCUGUGGAAGCAGGAGCUUUUCAGGGGACUUCUUUGAGCGGAUUUCCACGGGUUUUGGAGAUUGCACUCUCAGAAGAGUUGAAUCUCAGAGGGAAGGUAAGCCUAAAGUGCCUUCAAUGCACAGGAACAGUGGUGCAGGACAAGAUUGCAUCAAGGAGAGAGUCAAGUGUGGUGGGAUUUUCAGUGGUUUCAUGGUUACUUCUUCCUCCUCCUCUUCUUCAUCUUCAUCAUAUUGGGUUUCAUCUUCAACUGAGGAUAAUGUGAAUGGUGGAAGAUCAGCAUCAACACCAGGGAGCGCGCGACAUGUUGCUCAUGGAAGAAGUAAGAGUUGGGGAUGGGCACUUGCAAGUCCAAUGAGAGCUUUUGGGAAGCCCUCAAAUCAUGGAAAAAGAGAAGCUUCAAAUAAGAAUGCUGCCCCAAAUUUAGCUGCAAUUCCUUCCUUGUUGGCUGCGAGAGGCUAAAGGCUAAGCUACAAGAAGGCAGCUGCUUAAUUUUAAGUUACUGCUAAGGAGUAAAUUAUUUACCACUUCUACCUUAUUAUACUAGUGUUAUACAAAUUUCUUGUCUUAAACCUGUGUUUAUCUUCCCUAAUAUUAUGAGUAACAUCCCUGUUUGAUCACUUUUCUUGUUGUGGAUUCAAAUCCGAUUAAUUGUAUCGUUGUGUGGUGGGACUGUGCGCUAAAUAGAGGGUAUUCCUCAUUUCUUUAGAAUAUUCAUCAGCAAAUGCAUAAUGUUAAUUCAAUUUGAGAAGGACCCAAACACUGCAUGAUUUUUCAGAAGUCAAACGUGUCGUUCUCUUCUUGUUGGUGGAACUUUGCGUUUUGUUGAAAUAUUUUCCCCGUUUUCCUGCCAUAUAUAGACAGGAUAUGCCAUGCAAUUGUUACUUGAUUUUGGAUAUCCAUCUACCUGUAUGUCAAUGUAUUUGGAAUGAUGUGCAACGUAGUUGCAUGUUUAGGGAGCACUGUUUGGCCGCUGCAAUAAUACGGUUGUGGCUUUGGCGGUCGGAUCCUUGUCGUGGUGAUUGAUCCCUAUACGUUUGUCCCUACCCUUCUGGGGCCGAAAAUUGCUAAUGAUAAGAGGAAAAAAGACGAUAGAUAGAUAGAAAUCAGGUUUGGUGAGGAUAGAAUUUUGAGCGACUUUGAUGCAAAAAGUUUGUAGGGGCUUUUUGUCAACAGGAUUGUGUAUUGUUUUGCUUGAGUUGUUAUUGAUGUUUCCAUGGAGGAGUCCCUAUCUAUUUGUGUUUGUUGCGUCAAUCUAGCUGGCUGAAAUUAAUAAAGAACGGGUUGCACGAACUCAAGAAAAGGGCAAGCAGAUUAGCCAUUAUAACCGAGCAUGUGCAAGGGGAGCUGUAAGAACAACUAAUCAUUAAAUUGUGACAAAAAGAACUGUUAAUUGGAGAUGAAGAAUCGCUCUCAAAACUCAAAAGGAAAGGAAAGGAAGAAGAUGAAGAAUCACUCUCAAAUUUUGAGUCAAAUGGAAGCACAUGUAUGGCGGGAUAUGGACACAUGCAGCAACCUAGUCAAGGGCACAACUGGGGUUUGGGUGGAUCCAGACUAGACUCGUAGUAUAUUAUAGUAUUAGAUUUCUUAAUUAAGCUUUGCCCCAACAAGUGCUCUUCACAGUGUUGCCAAGUGGCAAGUCUUGUUUGGUAUACUAACUAUUUAUAAAAGGUUCAUUACUCUCUCUCUUUUUCUAUCGCUUGGCCAUUGGACAAGGAUUUUAAUUAAUUAAAAUCGAGUCAAGUUUGUGAAAUUGAGCUGGAAUUGUAUGCAAACAAACUAUAGUAGGCUUUGAAAUGGCCUUAAAUUAAAAUUUUGAAAAAAAAAAAAAAAAGGUUCCACAUAGGUUAUGGAAUAUACAUAACAGAAAACAAAACUGCUCUGUCGACGACGGUAGGAUUGGGUUGGAUGGUAAAGAGAAAAAAAAAAAAAAUAGAUGCAUCUCUCUAGUGAUUUGGACAUGGAAGCUCAUAGUUUAGCUAAACUGAGAGAGAGGCCCUUUAAAGUUUGCAUCAACAAAUUAUUGAACUUGGUUAUGAGAAAGGCUGCAGAAGUUUUUUGCAAAGGGAAUACCAGCACAAUAGAUUAAUUAAUAUACCAAAUGAUGGCCAUAUGAAUCACCUAUAAUUUGAUUUCCCAGUUGGUAGAUGAUGCCUUUUGCUUAGUAUUUAAUACUAGUAGUUAAUACUAGCUUGAUUGUGUAAUAAUAACAAUUAAUGUACCAGAAGACAUGGUGAUUCGCUUUUUGUUUUUUUUUUUGUUUUUAAAUAAUAGUUAGAAAUAUCGACGAAUUGCAAUAAUGUUAACGAAUUCAUUCGUCUAAAAAUUCGAGGAUCUUUUCGUAAGUUGGCACAAUCAAUUAAUCAUUCUAGGGGAAGUAACCCUAAUCAAGUGUUAUUCAAAAAACUGGUUUUCCCAUUAAUUUUUCAGCUAUAUUUGAUGAGUAUAACAACUAAUUCUACUUAUACACAGAGCAUCCUCUUGUUUCACUGCCAUUACCUCGACAAAAGACCAGAUUGCAAUUGCCAGAUGAUGCCUAAUAAAACAGAAAGAAGUUGACAAUUUCCCAUACUUUCUUGAAAGAAAUUGACUGCAUUUCUACCCCUUUCUUCUUCUUUUUUGCUUAUCGAGAUUGGCUUAGUUUUGGAAGCGGCAUUAAUGGGGUGGAGUAUUCUUGGGGCCUUGAAUAAUACCAAACUGAGGAUAGAGACGUAUGAUAAUGAUGGCACGGGAGGGAGGACACAUGAUAUAUAUAUAUAUAUGCACUCAUACACAUGCAUGCACAAUGACGACAUAGAAAAAGGCUGUCUACUUCAAGGCGGGCAAUUGAGGAUGAGAUGAUAAAAUGGAUGUACUUCAAAAUGAUAUGCGCUAACAUCUGGGUUAGAUUUUUGGGCCCCUUCUGGUCUCGGGGCGGGGAAAGAAAGUCCUUAACCCCUAAGUGGGAGAAGAAGCAAAAAAGGCUACAAUAAUAAUUAGCAGUUGAGGACCCUUCCGCAGUACAAAUUCAAUAUCAGAGAAACUUACAUUUUGGAGGCCGUUUAGGCAAUAUCAGAAAGAAAGAACAUUAGGGAAAUUGCCGUGAUUAUGAGACAUUAUACAUGACAUUUCAUCUGGGAUCAACACAAUUUGCCUUUGCAAAAGCCACAUUUUAUUAGAAAAUCUUUGUAACCAAAUUCUUAGAUGUAGUUUGGCCCUCAAAAAAAAUUUUUUUUUUACUUCGACUCACUAUAUAGAACUAUAAUUGAGAGUUCGCUAACCUAGAACAAGGUCUAUAUAUUUGUCCUAGAACAUAAAAAACAAAUGACAGUCGGCAUAAUUGAGUUUUUUUCUUUAUACUUUAUUUAACGGGUACUUAAUAGGCAUCGAUUUUUAUUACAGGGGUACAAAUGAGUCUAAACAGACACUAUACUUUAGUAUUCAAACUUAUUUGAUUAUUUUGACAAGUUUAAAUUUUGUUCAACUUAUUUACUUUUUGAGUCGAGUUUGAACAAAAUUUUUAUCGAGUUGAAUUCAAGUCGAGUUCAAGUAGUUUGAAAUUUUUAUAUCUACACUUCACAACGCACGACGGUGCCCCUCAUGGCGGCCUUAGGCCGCAUGACGGCCGUUGCCCUGCUAUAUGCUAAUCGAGCCAAGUUCGAACCAAACUUGAAAGUUCAUCAAAUACAAAUUACUGUUGAAGCUUAGUUUGAUUAACUGCAAACAAACUCUUACCAAAUUAAACUCUAUUCAAGUAUCGAGUAAUUGUACUCGUCUUUCAGUCCUAUCAGUUAAGAAGACGCUAAGUAGUAUUAGUUUCUUCAAAUUAAAUGAAGUAAAAAUUAAAUUAAAAAUCUGUAAAUUUUAUUUAUUUUCAAUUCAAUAAAAAUAAAAAUUGCAAAUGUGUUAAUGAAUUUAUGUAAUAAAUUAAGUAUAUCAAGUAAAAACGCAUUUAAAUGCUUCUUUUUAUCAUAGUGCUCCUGUUUCUCAUGAUAAUUUCCCUUGGAGAAAGGGGUCGGACUUUGCAUCUCUUAAUUCCGAGAAUGGAUAGUUAAAACUUUUAGUUCAUAGGGUCCCAUGUGAAUCAUUAAUCUUUUGUAUGUCCCUUUGGAUGAUUGCUGCACUUUGCAGAAUCUUCUGCACAAAUAUACAAUUGCUCACCCAGUGCGAAGGUUAUUUUAGCUUACAAAAUAGAGUGUGUCCUGCUUUUGCAAUGGUAAAUAAAUUAAUGCAGGAGGUUAAUAAUUUGAGAAAGAAUAAAUGAUACUCUGCUAUUGAAAGGCACAUGCACGUCAAUGCAAAUGCAUUUUUUUAAUCAAACUCCUGCUAGGAACACAUUUGACUGUCAUUCUGCAUAAAAAGAAAAUCUUAAUCGUGCAUGACAAAUUGAAAAAUAUACCAUAGCAAUUUUAUAAAUGUAAGGUAAAAAAAGUGAUUGAAAAAUGCAUUCAUGAAAAAUAUAAAUUUUUUUUUUGGGAGAAAACUGCAAUCCAAACAAGACUUAAGAGAAGACAAAAAGUUGAUUUCAUUAUAAAUUAUAUUAUGGUAUUUUUUUUAUUUUAAUUUUGGCGAUAAAGUGGUGUUUUUCUUGAUAAAUGCCAUAUAUGCGACUAAAAGCGUUUUUCCAGGUCGUGGUUGACAAAAAUCAAUAAGUAGGAUUAAAUGUGCUUAACACUUGAAAUGUUUGGGUGUAUAUUGAAUUUCCUCCAAAUUUUGAGGACUAGAAUCGCCCGUACCCUAAAGGGUACAUUUGGGACCAAAAUUACAACCCCCCCCCCCCCCCCCCUUUUUUUUUUUUACAUGUACAAAUUGGUCAUCCAGCCCAGGACAGGAUUUAUGGUGGGAGGAAAAAUGCCUAAGAGGGUAGGCAGGAGCAGGACACUGGAAUCUAACGCAAAAUCGGUCAGACAAGUUAUUGAAUGGCAUGCACGAUAUUAGGCCGUGCGAGAGGAGUGGGUCCAUUUCCCUCGUUAAGUCCCCAUUCAACAGCCCCUUAAAAUACUGCUGCAUCUUAUUGAAAUGAAAACUUUCUAGGCCCGGGUUUCACUUUUGUCAGAUUUCAUUAUCCAGCUCACCUCACCUCACCUCACCUCUGUUGUCACUUCUCUCUGUACUAGCGGCAGCAAGCUGCUGCUGCUGCUGCCGCCGCUGCCGCUGCCCUGCCCAUGUACUCGCCUACUUCUCCUCAUCUUUAAACCAAACAACUUUUUACGUAUGUUACCAUUAUUAGGAAUGAGGACUGAGUCCAAGUUCUAAUAUACACCAUCUUAGAGCUUUUUUUCCCUUUUUUUUUUGGCAACAAAAAUGACCAUAUCUCUUGAUUGAAAAAAAAAAAAAAAGAACUUGUAGUAGCACCUACUGACCAAAAUUGGAGGAAUUCGUUACUUGUUGGGUAUUGAAUUUAGGCCCAUCAAUUUUGGUUAGAAAGCCCAAAUUCAAUUCCGAUUAGGAAGCCCAAAAUACCUAAAAGGCCCGUAAACUUUGUGCGUAAAUUGGGCCUCUGCAUUUUCAGUAUUAGCGUUACUAUUUAUGAUGCUCCAGUUACGUAGGAAGGAGAUGGUUGGAGGAGUGGGCAAACUAGGGCUGCAAAUGCAAGAGGGAUUCAGGAUUGAUUUCUGCUCAUGGUAAUAUAUAUACAGUACAAUUAUUACAGAAACAAUCAAGUCGCAGUCUCGUUGACGUUAAAUGAAAAGGGUUCAACAAAUUUCAAAUCACCAACUUACAAACGGCAUGGCACUGAAAGGAAAUAUUAUUGAUUGAGAAUUUCUUUUUCCCGUUUAAUUUUAAUCAAGAACUUACAACUUUGAUUAUUUUUUUUUUUUUUCAUGCUGUCAUUUCUUUGCUGGUUCUCUUCAUCUUGAACAGCAACUGUACGGAAAUAAUUUCAUACACACAUGAGUAGGCUAUGACGAGAGAGAUCACAGAAGAGAGUGCAUUAAUUUGUGUUUGAAAGAGACAGUGAUCGCUGCCACGUAUUCAACUAGCAUCGAUGGUGUUCAUAACAAUGCAACCCGUCUUCAAUCAUGUGGCUUAUUGACCCUGUGCUGGUUGAAGACCAUAUUACGAAGCUCAGCUGGAUUUGCCUCAUCCAAACUGUUGCAAGGCUUGUAGAAUCCGGUAACGGGGUCCGGGGUCCAUGCAGAAAGGACCCCGGACUUUUCCUCCAUGUUCGCAGCAUCUUUAUCUUCUGCUUUGACACCAAGAUCUUGAAUCCUAGAUCCUGAUUCUUCUGGGCUUGUCACCCAAACGCCACCUCUCGAUGCAACGCCAUAACCUCUCCUAUUAUAUAUGCCACAAAAUACAACCAUGAUUUUUGAGUUUGAGGUACACAAAUUAUUACAAUCUCAAAUCAAGAGUGUAUUAUAUUUUUGGAUCAUCAAAAUUGAGAAAUGAUUAUAUAAUAUUAUUAUGUAUCCAACUUCUUUUGGCACGUCGAUCGAGCGUUGGAGACAGAGUUUUUGUCUUGUUAUAAUUCACCUCGGAUGAUGCAUUAACAUUUCUUGAGCACUUAAAAAUUGUCCCGCAUUUUAUGUCGUCUGAUGAGAAGGCAAUUUCUUGUCAUAGGAAAGAAUGAUGCAUCAUUCAGCGGCAUGAUGUAUAACACUACCUAGCUGCAUAUGCUUCUUUUUUUUUUUUUUCCUUUCUUGUGUACGAUUAAGGUAUAAAAAGAGAUGCAUCUAUAUAUUGCAUAAAUAAAUCUCGGUUGUGUGUAUAUACUCACCGGUUGAGUAGAGAAGCAAAGACCUUGGCGGGGGAGAGAGAGCGAAUCAUUUGAAGACUAAAUUGAUGCGGAGCUUUUCAAAAGAGAAAACAUGAACAAGUUCUAGAUUGCGAGGCAUAUAUAGAAGGAGAAAGAUGGCCUUCGGAUGUGAAGUAAUCCAAUCGAUAAUUUGCUUUGAACAAGUUCUAGAUUUAAGCCGUGUCAAUAAGAUCAUGACACAUCAUGCAUCCAACUAAUCUGUGAUUGGAAAUGUCUCCGAGCUAGUUGCCCCACAGCAAAUAAAAAAUAUUAUCACACGAUGCACCGAAUAUGUGCAAAAUUAGUUGUUCAAGUUUUCUACGUCUUUGAGAAGCACAAAUUGGUAAUGUCAAUGGUACAAGCUUUAUUUAUGCAGAUGAAUUGAAUCUCUGUAAAUAUUAAUUAACUGUCCCCAAGUUAAGCAUUUUCUCUGGUUCUUGAAGGUUUUCAAAAUCGAUUUUUAGGGCCUACAACCAUGAGCUUAACAUCGUUUAAUUUUAUGUUUCUAAAACCAAAAGAUGUUUGAAGCCCUUGUGUAUGGUUUGUUUUUAGUAUCUCCUUGUAGCUUACUUGAAGGUGAAAAGUAUAUCACUCUGCAUUUUUUUCCUCCUCAUUUGUUAAAGAAAAGUAUGUCACAUUGUUGCUCUUGGACUAGGGUUUGCUUUCAACUAUCAUAGUUAGAUUUCUGUGCUCAUUAAGUUUAAACUAAACUUGGGAGUUGGGAUAGUUGAUUGAUUAGGAUGUUUUGUGCUUCGCUCAAAACUUACGUAUUGUGCCCUCAAAACCUUGAUUAACUGUGAGGAUAUAGAUCACUUAAGAGAGCCAAACAUGCACUUACGUGUCAGCUAUUAUGUUGGCAAAUUCUUCUUGCAUUUAGUAAAUCACGGCAAACUCUUCCCGAAUCAAGUAAAUAAAUCACAACAAAAUCUUCUUGCAUCAAGUAACAACAAAAUUUGCAUAUAAAGUAAUAUACCCAGAAAAGAUACCAAAAAAAAAAAAAAAGAGUUUGCAGUUACUUUGUGACUCCCAAUAACAAAAUUAAUUAACUUUACUUUAUGGCUUUCUUUCUUCCUCAUUUCCCCCUUUUUCAAGUUAUUCGAGUCGCUCUGUAUUUCUCUUCUAUUAAUGUCUAGUUCAUGGUUCUUUGUGCCAAAAGAUUCUUUUACUUAUCCAAAAAAAAGAUUUCAUCCCCACGUUUUUCAUAUAUGAAAUUCUGACCAAGACUAUAUGAAAUUUGUCUUACCUCGGUAUUGAAACAAUUCCUUCUCCAAAAUCAGUGAAUUGCUCGUCACACAAUCAUUCCUGCAGUAGCAUAGAUUACGAAUAGUAGUACUAUUAUAGAUUUCCAUAAUUCAGAUUAAACAAGGUCGAGCAUAUCUUGAGCCUUUCCACUUCUUGUUUCAAUUUAAUUGUUUCCCUUCCGGAAUUUGGCUCAAAAACCACCUGAAAUUGCACUUUAAGAUGUAACCUUACAAGGUUGGAACAAAAACUUCUUCUUGUAAAAUGUAGUUCAAUAUUGUUAUUUGAUUUAGUCAGCAUUCCAUGGAAUUUCUUGAAGCCCACAAACCAACACAAAAAAAAGAAAAAAAAAAAAGGAGAACAAAAAACUGUGCCGUGCAGUGACAAAUUAUAAACUAGAAAAGAAAACAUGACUUAUAUUGCAAGCUUGCAAAUUACAAUUGAUCAUCGGCAAUACAUAUAUAUAAUGCAGAAAAUUCAGAGAGAGGGACUUUAACAAUCCAGAUAAGAAGACAAACAGUCACACAGUUUUAUUACUAAUUAAUUAUACAUAAGGAAACACACAUCCUUAAUCCUGAUUCAAGCAUGCCAGGUUGCACUAGUUGGCGAGGCCAGGAAUAAGUCGGAAUCCUGAAGGAAUCAAGUUUGCGAUGUUGAGGAGUCCCAGAACGGUGUCUCCCACGUAUUUGAGUGGUGAUUGUAGGCCUCCGACCGAUGGCAGGUUGACGUUGCAUGUUGAGAGUGGAGUCUUCACAACCACGCUGCAAUUGGUUAUUAAAGAAGAAAGUAACAUUUGAAGAGGAUCCAAGACAAAACCAAACACUCCUGCGCUGUUCGUUGUUGUAGUAGACACCACAUCUCCAUUUCCGCACUGCAAUUGCACUAAUGCAUCUGUCCAGAACCGAAAAAACAAAACAAAAAAAUUGUAGUAACAUUUAUGCAUGCAUGGUUUAGUAUUGGGUAGCGUGAAACUAAACCACUAGGAAACCAUGUGUUUCUCCUCUGAACUAACAAGGCAAAACUUACUCGGAAAGACGGGGGUAGCGGUGCCAUUGAUGCCAAUGUUGCCAUCAAGAGUGCAAAAUACAAUGCCUUUGACAUUAAUAGAACCAAGGAGGCCACUGAUGAGUCCUCCUAAUUGGGCUUCUGCAAUUGGGAUUGCCAUUAUAGCAACCGCCAAGGAAAUGAAGAGAAUGGACCUUAUAGCCAUGGUUGGUAUGUAGAUUGCAAAGAGGUUUCUAGCAGGAAUCUGUGGUUUGGCUGGUGGGAUGACAAGCCCUAUGCAAAGUGGCCAAUUUAUAGGAGGGAGGAACCAUGUUAUUGCAAAAAAUGCAUGGCCGUAAUUUCAUAUGGCUGAUACUUGUCAAAAUGAAGAUGGAGUAGAGAAUUUGUAUCACUUGCAUUUGAAGUCAAAAAGAACAAUUGUUUCCUUUUUGCCUUCAUUCUUGAACAGUCAUAUUCACGAUAGAAGAAUGUAAGUUAAUCAUCGCCAUGCAUGUCACCUUCGUGGUCUUCACCCUAUGAGACUUCUAAUAGGGUCCUAAGCUUCAAUGGCAUGCGUCUCUUGGCAUGUUAUGAUGAAAACUGCACUUUCAACUCCAGAAAGCAAAUUAAUCAUUAUGUAGAUGGUCCAAGUUGCUGCAAUUGGGAGAAGCAAGAGCAAAACACUUCCUACUUUAGCUUUGCUCUUUGAAAAUCUUCGAAUUGAUUUCACCCUUGCAACAGUGACAGUGCUUAGUUUUGAGAUUGGGCUGUGUUACAUCACCACUUGCAUCUAUAUUACCUAAGAGAAUUUGGUAAAUAUAGUAUAAGAUUGUAGGAGAAACGAAGAAAGUUGAAGUUAAGGUGGUCCUUUUGGAAUCCCGCGUUCUUACCCUGUGAUCGAAACUGUUUUGCGACGAGUUUGUGGCUUUCACAAUUCCAGGUGGUCCUACGAAUAUGCAUCAAAGAACUUACAUCAUGUAAUUUUGAUCUCCAAACAAAAAGGAGGGACAAAUUUACAAUCUUCAGUAUGGUGCUACCUAUACAGGUGCAAAUUGGAGGGAAGGCAACUUUGUCACUGUUGAUAUAUGAUGAGAGUAUCUGUUUCGUAAAUGGGAAGUUCGAAACAAGUAAGUGCAUAAUAAGGUGGAAGUUGCCUGAAUAAUGAAUGAGUCAUGGGCUCAUUCACCCUUUUACUGGCAAAUCCAAUAACUUCAGGGGAAAAAGAUGAGGAAAGAAUUUAACAGCAUCGAAAGACCAUUCAAGAAAUGCAUAGACAAUUUGGUUGAACACUACAAAUCAUUGUACUCUUCUAUGGCUCAUCUCUGGACGACGGCAGUGAGCCCUCCAGUCCAGUAGCAAAUCAUUAAAAGAUAGACGACCGUUGCGAGCCCUAUUUCAGAAAUGUGCAUAGUUAGGCAUCGAGUCUGAGAUGUGGGAAUUAAUCGACAUAUCAAAAAUGCUUUUACCAUAUCAUAUCAUUAUUGGCAUUCAUUUCCCAUCAACACGCUGACGACACAGACCACCGGUCAAACAGGGGAGGUAUGAUACAAACAGCAGCAUUGUUUGCUUUGGAUAUCGAGGCUCCUCCCAAAAUGUUGGUUUCUUAUACGUAACAAUAUCCAAUCAUCAACGCAACAACUAAUAAAGAAUUAGAUAAGGUACAGACUCUUGCACAAAGAUAAAAAGUGGCCGAAACAGCACAGAAUAAUAAUCAAGUAUCCAAAAUUCUGAAACAUUUUCUUUUCUCCGCCAACAAACAAAAACUGUUCCCUGCUGCAGUUGCCUGCCCUCCCACAUCUAAUCCGUAGUUCUCUCAACUGUUUCAGUUGCUUUCUUCUCUCCUUUGUAAGUGGUUGUUCGUCUAAUUCACUCAGAUAGGGCAGGGUGGGACGUCCAGAGUUAUACCAGCCUGAAUUUGGCCCCAGCCAAUAAGACGCCAGUGCUUCUCAAUUCUGCGACUGAGGGCAAUUUUCUCCCCUUUACUGGUGCAGACAGGAGAUGUGAGUUGUAAUUUUGCAAAUACGUUCUUCACAGCAACAACACGAGCCCCUGUUGACAUAGACCCUAUGUUCAACAUAAGGAUCUCUCCCUUGGCUAGCUUUGAGACUCUACCCUGUCUCUCAGUAUCCUUUGUCCGGACGCCUAAAAGCCGCCGGAGCAGAAAGAAGUUUACCUGCAUCAACUCAAUUACAUUAAGGCGAUCAAUAAGAGCACCAUGCCAAAUCAAUUAAAGGGAAAGCAACACGGGAAGAAUUUUGCAGGAGGCACUAAAUCAACUGACAGAAACAUUAGCUACAACAUUAAAUAAAGCCUCUCAAAAACGUUCCAAGUAUUAAACUGCAUUACGUUCUCUUCUCAAGCAACUUCUUACCUCCAGUUCAACAAAAACUUCAGGCAACGACCCAACUUCCCCAAGAACCUGACCCACCAAUCGAUCAGCACGAGUCAAUGUAGGGUCCAUAGUGGUUCCAACUCCAAUAAGGCCUCCUGGCACUGCAAACUGAAGUUCAUUUUGUUCGGCAAACAAUGACACUAUUCUGGAAUAUAUUGGUGUACACUUGAUGUUGCCAUUCUCAUCCUUUACAACAAUACCAGGACGAACCUCAAUGUAUUGGUUUACUUUCAACACACCCUGCAUGCAGAAAUCAAUAAAUUCUUAACAUCUUUACUGAGCAUUUAUGGUUUAUAUGUCCUACAUGCCUACUAAAAUGCUUACUGAAAAGUAAGAAAUACCUUCAAGAUACUGCCACCAGCGACACCACCUUUAAUCUCAUCAACUUCAAAACCAGGCUUAUUGACAUCAAAAGAUCGAAUAACAAUCAUAUUUGGCGGUGAAAUGAAGUUCCUUUCUGGAAUAGGAAUCUUCUUUACUAUAUAUUCAGCCACAACAUCGAUAUUGUACUUCAACUGUGCAGAAAUUGGUAUGACUGGCGCGCCAUCUGCAACAGUUCCCUGAGAGAGAAAUUGAAAGUAUUUAGUGUUAACAGAGCAUUAACGCAAGUCUAUUACAUGUAAUUGCAAACAAGGUGAAAAAACGUCUUUCACCUGUAUAAAUUUCUGAAUGGCUUCGUGCUGGUUGAUGGCUAUAUUUUCCUGGACAAGAUCAACCUUGUUUUGAAGAAUAAUUAUAUGCUGGAGCCGCAUAAUUUCAACAGCAGCUAAAUGCUCAGAAGUCUGAGGUUGUGGACAACUUUCAUUCGCGGCUAUAAGAAGUAACGCCCCAUCCAUGAUAGCCGCUCCAUUAAGCAUUGUAGCCAUGAGAAUAUCAUGACCCUAAAAUAAUUCAAGAAAACAAACAAAAGAUCUCAUUAAGAGAAGCAUGAAAUUCAACCAUAAAGUAAAGUUAUCGCCCAGAAGAUUAGCAUAUUUCAAGAAGUAUAAAAAGAAUAGUAAAUCAUCUGGGAUUACAAACAAAAGCAACAGGAAAGUGAAUUUGUCUUUCAUCAUAAGAGGAGGCUGUUCGAUGCUAAGGACUUAAACAGAUGCUACUGGCCAAAAGAGGAGGCACCAAUUAACAAAAAUUCAAAAGUAACAAAAUGUUAGAAAGGACACACCAAAAAAAAUUGGACUGGACUCUCACUUAAUGCAUAAGCAGCAUUGAACCCAGUAUGUACACCUGUGUAGCAGUAACCUUAAAAAUUAGCGAAGACCCAAUAGACAAAUCAAGUGGACAUACUAUGAUAUCAGUGAAUAUAUAUGCCAUUGCGCGAUUAUGUCUAGCAUAAAGUAUAGAGAUCUUAGGAAAAGGAACACAGAUGUAAUUACAAAUCCUAUUAAUCAAGGAGACAUCUGAAAGCAGCUUCAAAAGAUACAAAAUCCUUACAGGGCAAUCAACAAAAGAGACGUGUCUCAACAAUUUCAUCCUGCAGUUCUCAAAACCAGGAACGUCACACAUGGGACUAUCUUCUUUUCCACUUCCAUAAGCCCUGAAGAAAAUGUGAACAUGAGAAAUGCAACUUGAAAUGGAUAACGAUAACUACAACACCCUGUGGACAACAACUUACUUAUAGCACAUGGGUCGAGGGCAUUUAUCAUCCUCACAUUUAUAUAUCUUGGCAUUGGCAUAACCAAGCUUUAUAGUAAUAUUACGCUCCAGCUCAUUUUUAAAACGAACAGUCUGCAGAAUCAAACAAGACAACACGAUAAAGAGCUUAUAACAGCUACUGAUCAGACAACAAGAUACUCACAAAAGGAAAAAUAAAAUAAAGAAUAGACUUUUAAACUGAAAUAAGCUCCUAAAACACAAAUGCACCAAAAAGUAGCAUCUACGCUCAAAAUUGUUAUGUAUGAAGAGAUGUGCCUUUCAUACAAAAACCACAAAACAAACCUUCAGUACUCUGUUGGCCACAAGAUAAUCUGAAUUCAACUCUGAAGAGGUUGUCUUUCCAAGAAUACUCUCACAACUCAUUAACACACCACCUCACAUUAUGAGAGAUUUAGCACCCAAGAAAAAGUGUGAUUGCUUCGGCAUGAAAACAAAAUAAAUCUAAAGCCCCUGAGAAGAAUGCGAUCUAGACCAGUUUCACUUUAUUUUCUUACAUAUCAAUACAGAAUUAAAAUUACAUGACAGGCAAACUUUCCUGUAAACUACAACUUCUUAACCCGAGGAUACAAUCUCUAAGCAAGUUUUCAGGUAACAGCCCAAACUUAAAAAGACAGUGAAAUGAAAUAACCACCGUACUUGGACACCAGAUAUGGCUUUCACAACAGUUGACUUGCCAUGUGCCACAUGACCAAUAGUGCCUGAGGAAAACACAAAACGCAAAAUUAACAGGUGAGUGGAGUCUUCAUAGAGAGACUGAAAAUAUCAAUCAAGCACACAUAAUCACAUGUAUGUUGGAUGAGCAUUUAUGAAUUAGACGAACAUCAACGCACCAAUAUUUAUCGUAGCCUGGCGGGAAAUAACUUCAGGUGAGAGUGGAUGUAGUUUUGUUACAUCCAGCUUGCUUAGAUCCUGCUCCAUUAAACCUUUUCGAGACAUUUUUCUCAAUCUUCAGUAACUUUGUAAUUUACAAGAACAAUUUUCCAAAUUCAGCGAGAGGGCAGCGGGUCACCACACAAAGCAAUUCAACCUGCAUCAAACAAAAGCCAAUCAAUUAGCUAGCAGAUCAAUGACAUCACUAGCAUAGACUUCCAUUACAGACCAGACAUGCGUGCUAUUUCUUUUUUCCAAGGAAGACCCAAAUAACCAAGUUACAAGGUUUCAAAAAACUGCAUGACAAAAAUAAGUACCAAAUCAUGGCUUCACCAACAAUAGAUUCUCCCAGCUUACAUGAAUCAGAAAGAAUUUUAGUGGAUGCUAAUGUCCAAACCAGCAUUAAGCUAAGAAAACUUUCACUUUUCACUUGCUUUGAGGGAUUCACAAACAAGGCCAGUAAGUGCACAAAAUAAGGUAGUUAAAAACCUGGAAUAUUCUUGAUUACUUCAAAGAUGCAUAACAAUGCUUCCUCAAAGAUAUGCAUUACUAUUACUUCUUGUUCAUGAGCUAAUAUCUUCCUUAAACUGAAAGUCAGAUCUAUAUUUUCCAAAAUCAUCGAACAUUCAGUAAGUGCAUCAAUACAUAUCCUAUUUUGCUCCACCUCUGCAUUAAAAUACUCACUCCAAUUCACAUGCUCUUCUCGAUGGACCAAAUUUUAUUAAUAUAGGUAAUAUCCAAUGCCUCAUGCUAAAUAUAGAAAAUUAGUCUUAUGAAAGAAAGGUUGAAUCCAAAGCAACCAAGAUUUCCUGAGCUCUAGAUUCUUUAUUUCUUACACAGAAGAUGAAUCCUAUGCCACAACAGCCAAGCUGCCAGUAUCGGAAGUCAAAACUAUGCUAAAGCAAUGAAUUUACAGAAAGGUAACAAAAUUGGAGCUUUUUAUACUAAAUGAGUUUGAUACGAUUCUGUUAAAGAAACUAUACAUAGAGCCUUCAUGCAUACCCCUUCCCUCACGCCCAAUUAGUAAAUAUGUAUGGAUAUAUAGUAACCAAUUUCAGGCAGCUCAGUGUCUACCCCACAAAAAGAAAUUCUGGCAUUGCUCCAUAAGAAUAGAUAUUAUACUGCAAGCCAUGUGAAGAUCAAUCCAAGAAAGACAAGAUAAAAAAUCACUAAUACCCUAGAGACCCAUCCACAGAAACAUCUUUCCAAAUGCAUCGUUUACUGAAUACAGCAAAGAACUUCACAGGGAGGAAAAGGUUUCUUUUUUCCCACUUUUUUUUCCUUUCCCAUUUUAGUUAGCCCACAUAACAAAAUCAAAUUACUCAGCAAGGAAAAAAAUUGAUUUUUACUUUAAUUUUCCCUAAAAAUAAGAACCCUAAAAUCGAAAAAGGGUACGUUCAAAACCAGACCCAAUAAAAUCGAUAAAUUUUCCACCAUAGCACUGCUAGGGCUUUGUUCAGAAGAGAAUGGGAUUGCAGAAAACCCGCAAGAGCUAAAGGCAAAUCCCAGAUAAACCCACUUUUUUCAUCAAUUUUAGCAAACAAAUUCCUAUUUCUACCGUUGAAUUCUAGCAUACUAACAAUAAGAUUCAAAAUUUCUGUCCUAAAAUAUCCCAAAGGAAAAUGGGAAAAAAAAGAAUAUGGGAGAAGAUGAAUGCAAUAUAUGUGUAUAAAGUAAAUAAAUCAGUAAAUAGAAAGGCCACUUACCAGAAAAUAGGCGAUGGAGAAGCUGUAGAGAGAGAAAGAAAGGGGGUGAGACAGACAGAGCUUGAGAGAGGAGGAGUUGAGAGCCUGAAGCGAGAGGCGUUUGAGGUUAGGGCUUUAGCAAUUGGGGGCAUAGGAAAAAAUUACGAACAAAAGGCAAGUGGUCAAAGAUUCUCAGUAAAAAUUAAAAACUCAAGGUUUUACUACCCUAUACAGAGCUUUUUCUCUGGGUUAAAAUGUUGAGGUUAAUAUUUGCUAAACAUGCAAAUAUACACGUUGCUCUAGAUUGUUAUUUUCUUUUAUUUUGUAAAUAUCCAAAAAAAUGAUAUUUGGUUUAAUUGAAUGAUUUUUUAUGGAUUGGUAUCGCUUAUAGAACAAUGGAUAGUUUAGGGAGAUGCUAUGAGACAAGUGACCAAAUAAGAAGUUUUUUUUACCAAACAAUUGAUGACAAUUUUAUCACAAGGUUUUUUAAAUUAUUCUAAUGAUUUUACAAUUGUAGAUUUUGGGGAUUGACAUGAAUAAUGUUCUCAAUUAUUUGGAAAACAAAAUAUGAUGGAGUCGUUUAUUUUUAUUUGCUUCUCUUUUUUUUCCCCUCCUUGUGAAAGAGGAGAUGCAAUUCUUAUUUGUCCGGUCUUUUAUCUACAAACCAUUAUUAAUCUUCAAAAACUACUGAUGUGAGAUUUUUCAACUUCCAAUCACUCACAAAUCGUAAAAAAACUUUGGAAGUAAUCCAAGUUCUUCUUUCUAUAGUUGCUAUUCACAAAUUUCAUAUUCUUUAAGCUUUUAUUUUCAUAUAGAUUUUUGGGUUUGGUUGGUUGAAUUGCUGCUUAAGCAAUUAUUUCAAAUAAAUUCCCACUUUGCAUACCAAUGUUUUUAAAUCCGAACCAGAGAGUGAACCGAAAAAUCUUCCGAUUCACGGUUCGAUCAGUUCGACCCCGAUUCAAAGAUUUAAUAAUUUUUUAUUCAUUUUAGUAUUAAAAAUUUUGAAUAAAACUAAGAGUCUGUUUGGAUUCCUUGUUUUUGCCUCUAUUUUUGAAAAAUUAUUUUUCACAUUCCAAAUGCUACAGUAAAUGUGUAUUUCCAAAACAACUCCAAAAACACCAUAUCCAAAUAUUAUAUAAAAAACAACUCCAUAGGUGUAUUUCAAUUUGUAUAUUUCAAUUAUGUAUAUUAUAUUAAUAUAAAUUGAAAUAUACAAAUUGAAAAAUUAUAUAUUUAUAUAUUAUAUAUUAUAUAAAUAUUUAUAUACAUUAAUAUUAUACAUAAUAUAAUGUAAUAUACAUAAUAUGUAAUAUUGUAUACAUAAAUGUAUAAAUAUUUAUACAUAAUAUAUUAUGUACAUUUUUUAUAUACAUUAUUAAUGUAUAAUAUUAUUAUGUACACUAUUGUGUAUAAUAAUGUAUAAUAAUGUUAUGUAUAAUAUAUAAUAUACAAGAUAUGUAAUAAUGUAUAAAUGUAUAUUAUGUAAAAUAUAUUAUAUUAUGUAUAUUAUAUUAUAUAUACAAUAUUAUGUAUAUUAUACAAAUUGAAAAUUAUAUAUUAUAGAUUUAUAAAUUAUAAAUUAUAUAAAUAUUUAUAUAAUGAAAUAUACAAUAAAUAUUACAAAUUGAAAUAUUAUAUAAACACCAUAUUUAUAAUAUUAUAACAUUUAUAAUUAAUAUUAAUGUAUAUUAUAUAUAUAUUAAAUAUUUAUAUAUUUAUUUAUACAUAUUAAAAAUAUUUCAUUUUAUUUUAAAAAAAUAUAUUUAUAUAUUUAUGUAAAUAUUAUCUAUUAUAUAAAUUAUAUAUAAUAUAGUAUAUAUUAUAUAUUAUAUAUAUUAUACAUUUAUAUAAAUGUACAUUUAUACAUAAUAUAUAUAUUAGUGUAUAUUUAUAAUAUACAUUUAUAUUAUGUAUUAUAUAUAGUAUAAUACAUUUAUAAUACAUUUAUACAUUUAUAUUAAUAUACAUAAUUUUAAUUUUACAUUUAUACAUAAUAUUAAUAUAUAUUUAUAAUAUAUUAAUUUAUACAUUUAUAUAAUAUUCAUUUAUAACUUAUACAUUUAUAAUAAUAUACACUUAUACAUUUAUAAAUAUAUUUGUAUUAUGUAUUAUAUAUAAUAUAAUACAUUUAUAAUGCAUUUAUAUAUAAAUAUAUAAAUAUAUUUAUUUAUAAAUAUUUAUAAAUGUAUUAUAAAUGUAUAAAUGUAUAUUUAUAUGAAAAUAUAAAAAUUAAAAAUUAUAAUUUAUACAUUUAUAUAAUAUUCACUUAUAAUGUAUACAUUAUAAUAAUAUACAUUUAUAAAUAUAUUUAUAUUAUGUAUUAUUUAUAAUAUAAUACAUUUAUAAUACAUUUAUAUUUAUAUAUAUAUAAAUAUAUUUAUUUAUAAAUAUUUAUAAAUGUAUUAUAAAUGUAUAUAAAUAUAAAAAUUAUAAACAUUAUAAAAUUUAUAAUUUAUAAAAAAACUCAAAAAUAUGUUUUAAAAAUACCUCUAAAAAUAAUCCAAAAAACAUCUACAGUAAAAGUUUUUCAUAUAGUUUUUGAAAAAUAGCCCCAAAAAUAACUAAUCCAAACGGACUUGUAUUUCAAGAACGAAAUGCUACAGUGCUGUAUUUUGAAAAAUAAUCCCAAAAACAGCUAAUCCAAACGGAGCCUAAAAUAUUUAUUUUAGAAAAUAAAUAGUUAAUAAAAACCGAUUGUCUAUUUAUGUAGUGAUACGGUUAAAAAUAUUUUUAAUAGGUGUAAAUACAAAAAUAUAAUUCCUCAUUGUCUAUUCUAAAAGUAGGACAACAAACAAUCUUCACAUUAAAAGUAUUCCAUAUACUUUCAUGGAUAAUAUAAUACAAGAUGACAUGCCCGAAUUUUUCUAGUCUUCAGAAUCACCCCGAAAAUGGCCUUCAAGAAAUUGGUUACCAUCCUAAAAUUUGAACAAGGGAAAGGAUUUCUCAACAAUUUGGUCAUGGCUGCAAUUUUCGCCAAAAUUGGCGAAGUUUCUGCUCAACAAAGAGAUGAGAAAAUGACCGAGAUGGAUAAUAAGAUAUUGUUGGCUUUGAAGGAGCUAUCGAUGACAAUUGCAGAUGUUGUGAGGCACGUGCAACAAAGUGAGGAAAGUAGCUGCAACAAGAGAGUUUUGGGAGUAGUUGAUGACUUGGAGGCUAAAAAGAGCAAGGUAUGUAUUUUUUCCCUUUUAUACCUAUGAUUAUCAUCCCUUUUUGUGGGCUUUGUUACUCAAAAAUAUCUUAAGCAUUAUUUGUUUUGCCCGUAAUUGCUUGGAAGUUUGUGUUCCUGUUCUUUAGGGAAAAGGUAUCACUGCUUAAUCCCAGCGAUUAAUUGUUGGACACCCGCAACUUGCCCAUUCAAUUCAGAAAAAACUAGUCUUCAGAAUCACCCACAAAUGGCGAUCAACAAAUUGUUUAGGCUUCUAAAAUCUGAACAAGGAAAAGGCUUUCUCAACAACUUUGCUGUGGCUGCGAUUUUUGCUGGUAUUGGUGAACUUGCUUCUCAACAAAAAGAAGAGCGAACGAUUGAGAAGGAUAACACGACACUAAUGGCUCUGAAAGAUCUAUCUCUAACCACUGCAGAUAUUGUAAGGCAUGUACGGCAAAGUGAGGAAAGGAUCCUCAACAAGAACCAGCCACUGAAGAUUCUAGGAGGAGCUGAUCACUUAGAGGCUCAAAAAAGACUCAAAGUACUCUAUUUGAUACGUUUUUUUUUCUUCUAUUUUCCCCCUUUUUGGGUUGUAUUCUUUUCCCCUAUUUUCCACCCUUUUGGGUUGUAUUACCUUAAGUUAUGUUUUUACUAAAUUUUCGUCUCUGGAUGAUUUUUUUUUUUGGUUAAAGACAUGCCUUUAUAUGUUAAAAAAAAUCUUAGGGUUAAUAUACGGGUGUAUAAUAAAUGGAUGAGUGGGGGUAAGGUGGCUUGGUUUGCUAUUUCGGCUAAAAGUUAUAAUGCUAUAUUUUAGCUAAAAGUUUAAAUGUUGCUCAAAAAAGUAUUGUAUACUUUUGUUCAACAUUUCUGAGUUUUUCAUUCAACAUCAAUGUUUAAUAGGUUAAUCCUCAUUUUUUUUGCUACAUCUAAUUGGUCAGUGUUGGUGAAAUAAAGACUAAUAGCUUAAUAUUGUUAAUGUUUCUUAAAUAAAGACUAAUUGCUUAAUGGAUUGAAUCAACUAAAAGUGUUUUCAAUCCAUAAGAGCUAUUCAUGUAUUGGAUGAACCGUUUCAUAUAGCUAUUCAUGUUCUUGUAGUAAUGAGUGUUUACUAAAAUUGAUUUACUUUUAAUUUUGUAAUACCUAUAUAUAGAGGUACCUUAGCACUUUUUGGGUGUACUUUUUUGAUUACUUGGAACAAUAAGAACAUCAUUAUGUAAUUUUCUAUUUUCUUCUCUAAUUUUCUAGUUCAUCAUUCUCUAAUUUUCUAUUUCCAUCUCUAAUAUUUCAAUUCCUAUUAUACUAGUUUAUUUUAUUAGUUUUAUAACACGUUAUCAGCAUGAGUCUCUACUUUUGAGCAAAAAAAGUGAAAACGGAGCCUCUACCUUGAGUAAAAGUGAAACAAGAGAUUCUGCUGAAAUUCUGCUCGUGUUUUUCCGUCAACUUCUGUCUACUUAUUGAGAAAUGGAUGCCAAAUAUUUGGGAUUAAAUAAUGGUGAUGAUGACAUUUGUCUCAUUGAUAGUGUUACUACGCACACUAUAUUGAAAAAUAAAUAAUAUUUUUCUUAUUUGAAAAUGGGAGAGACAAAUGUUAAUACCAUUAGUGGUAGUGCAAAAUUGAUUGAAAGUUUCGAAAGAGCCAUUCUAUUUCUUCUUGAAGGGACUAAAAUUAUCAUAAAUAAUACACAACUUUCUCUCAAGUCUCGGAGAAAUUUAUUGAGUUUUAAAAAUAUUUGUGAAAAUGGAUAUCAUAUCUAGACAAUGACUAAGACAAAUAGAGAAUGUUUAUUAAUCACAAGUAUCAUUUUUAGGCGGAAAGAUGUAGUAGAAAAAUUACCUUCUUUUUCUUCUGAUUUAUAUUAUGCACAAAUUAGUGCAGUUGAAAUUUAUCACCUAAUAGAUCAGAAGUCUACUCAUCCCAAUGAUUUUAUGAUUUGGCAUGAUCGUCCCGGACAUCCUGAAUCUAUAAUAAUGGGAUGAAUAAUCAAGAAUUCACGUGGUCAUUUAUUGAAAAAUCAAAAGAUAUUAAAAGCAAAUGAAUUCUUCUGUGUUGUUUGUUCCCAAGAAAAAUUAAUUAUUAGACCAUCGCCAGUUAAAGUUGGGACUGAAUCCCCUACAUUUCUAGAACGAAUUCAUGGUGAUAUAUGUGAAUUUGUAGAUUCAUCAUGUGGAUCAUUUUAAUAUUUUAUGGUGCUAAGUGAUGCAUCAACUAAAUAGUCACAUGUAUAUUUAUUAUCAACUCGCAACCUGACGUUUGCAUGAUUGCUUACUCAAAUAAUUAAGUUGCGAGUAUAAUUAUAGAUUAUCCAAUAAAGAAAAUUAGUUUAAAUAAUGUUGGCGAAUAUUCAUCAUAUGUUUUUGACGAUUAUUGUAUGGUCAUUGGAAUAACUGUUGAACAUCUUGCAACUUAUAUUCAUACACAAAAUGGUCUAGUCGAAUAAUUUAUUAAACAGUUACAAUUAAUUGAUAGAUUAUUGUUGAUAAGGUCUAAACUUCUUUCAUCUGUUUGGGACAUAUUAUAUUACAUGCAGCAAUACUUGUAAGAAUUAGACCGACAAGUUAUUAUAUUUAUUCACCCCUAUAAUUAACUUUUGAUUAUGAGUCCAACAUUUCUAAUUUACAAAUAUUUGAUUGUGCAGUAUAUGUUCCAAUUGCACAAUCCCAACGUCAUAAAUUGGGCCCUUAAAAAAGAUUGGAGAUAUACGUCGGAUAUGAAUCACCUUCAAUUAUUUAGUAUAUAGAACCAUUGAUAGGUGAUUUAUUUAUUGCAAAAUUUGUAGAUUACCAUUUUGAUGAAUUAUAUUUUUCGAUAUUAGGGGGAAAUAAAAAUCAACCGAAAAAGAAAAUCACUUGGAAAAUAUCAUUGGAUUUCUUUGAUUCUCGUGUUAAAGAAUAUGAAUUAGAAAUUCAAAAGAUUAUACAUUUGUAAAAAAUUGUAAAUCAAUUACUGAAUGCAUUUAAUGAUUCCAAAAAAGUUACUAAAUCACAUAUUCCUGUUGAAAAUGUUUCGAUUAAAAUUAAUGUCCCUCAAGAACAAAUUAUAAGUGCUAAUGAGUUUCAAGUGCGCCUGAAGUAUGGGAGACCUUUUGGUUCCAAAAAUAAAAAUUUUUGAAAGAAAAGAAGAGUAGAUAAAUUAAUAAUUAGUGACAAAAUUCAAUCUCCUGAAGAGGUCGCUUGUAAGGAGUCAAUUCUUACAGAGAAUAAAAUUAUAAAAAAUUCAAUAAAUUUUGUCACUUCAAGAAAUAGUUGAAACCGAAAAUAAAUAAUUGUUGAGAAUAUUUUUGCAUAUAAUAUAGCAUUUGAUAUUGUGGCAAAUGACGAGAAUCAUGAGUCUAGAUUGAUUGAUGAAUAUCGACGUAGAAAUGAUUGGCCAAAAUGAAAAGAUGCGAUCCAAUUUGAAUUGGAUUCAUUGGUUAAAAAAAAGGUUUUGACCUGUAGUAUAAACACCUGAAGGUAUAAAGUCAGUAGAAUAUAAGUGGGUAUUUGUGAGAAAAAAAAAUGAGAAAAAUGAAAUUGUGAGGUACAAAGCAUGACUUGUAGCUCAAGAAUUUUCACAAAGGUUUGGAUUUGAUUACGAUGAACGUAUUUAUUUGUAGUGGAUGCUAUCACAUUUAGAUAUCUUAUGAGUUUUGAAGUGCAUAAAAAACUAAAUAUGCGUCUAAUGAACGUCAUUACUACAUAUUUAUAUGAAAAUAUUAAAAAUGAUAUUUAUAUGAGAAUCUCCGAAAGAUUUAACAUACGUGAAGCAUGCAAAUCAAAUACUAAAAAUAUUUAUUCAAAGCAAAUCAAAUCAAAUUUUGGGAUAAUUGUUGUAUAUAUUGAUGAUAUAAAUCUUAUUGGAACUUUUGAAGAGAUUCAAAAUAUUAUUGAAUAUUUGAAAAAAGAAAUUUGAGAUCAAAAAUUUUGAAAAAAACAAAAUUAUGUCUUGAUUUAUAAAUUGAGUAUUUGAAAGGUGAAAUUUUUGUCCAUCAAACUACUUAUACUCGAAAAGUAUUAAAGCUAUUUUAUAUGAAUGAGAUACAUAUAUUAAGUACUCUAAUGAUCGUCAGAUUAUUAGAUCCUAAUAAGGAUCCUUUUAAACCAUAAGAGAAAGAUGAAGAGACAUUUGGUGCACUAGUUUAUCUAGCUAGUUGUAUAAGACCUGAUAUAUCAUUUGCAUUGAAUUUAUUAGCAAGAUUUAGUUUCUCGCCCACAAGAUGACAUUGGAAUAAUAUUAAACAUAUUUUUCGCUAUCUCCAAGAAACAAUUGAUUUUGAUUUUUUUUAUUCAAAUAAAUUCAAACCUGAAUUGUUUGAUUAUAUUGAUGCUGAGUAUUUAUCUAAUCCGCAUAAACAAGAUUUCAGACUGGUUAUCUAUUUAUAUAUGGAGGUAUAGUCAUUAAUUGGUGAUCUACAAAGUAAUUAUUAACCGUCACUUUAUCGAAUCAUACUAAAAUAAUAACAAUUCAUGAGACUAGUCGAAAAUGUGUUUGGUUAAAAUCAAUGACCCACUACAUCCGGAAGAAUUGUGGGUUAUCUUUCGAAAACAAAAAUUCUCUAACUAUAUUAUAUGAAAAUAAUGCAGUUUGUAUAAUUCAAUUGAAAAGAAGAUAUAUUAAAAGAGAUAAGACGAAACAUAUUUCACCAAAAUUCUUUUUUUACUCAUGAUUUGCAAAAGAAUGAUGAAACUGAUGUACAACAAAUCCGAUCAGAUAAUAAUUUGACAGAUUUAUUUACCAAGGCAUUGUCGAUUACAACAUUUGAGAAAUUGGUAAAGAAUAUUGGAAUGCGACGAUUAAAAGAUCUUAAAUGAUGUUUGCAUUAGGGGGAGAAAUUAAUACACAGGAAUAGUGUACUCUUUUUUCUUCACUAGAAUUUUUGUCCCAUUAAAUUUUUUCUUAAUAAGAUUUUAACGAGAUAUAUUCUCUGUGUAAUUGACAUCCAAGGGGGAGUGUUAUGAAACAAGUAAAAGUGUGGAUGUUUAUUUGUAUUCUUAAGAAGAUUAAUUCAUAAUUCAAUGAUUCCAAGAGGAUUAAUUCAUAAUUCAUUACUAUAUUAUGUAAAGAAAUUACGUUGGAUGAACCGUUUCAUAUAGCUAUUCAUGUUCUUUUAAUAAUGUGUGUUUAAUAGAUUUGAUAUACCUUUAAUUUUGUGGUACCUAUAUAUAGAGGCACAUUGACACUUCUUGGGUGUACUUUUUUGAUUAGUUAGAAGUUGGAACAAUAAAAACAUCAUUCUCUAAUUCUCUAUUUCUUUCUCUAAUAUUUCAAUUUCUAUUAUAAUAAUUUAUUUUAUUAGUUUUAUAACACUUAAUGUGUUGAUGGUGACGUGGGCUUUAUGAUAGUAUUAGUACUUUAUCUUUUAUAAAUGCAGGCUCUUGCAAAAAGCUUGUUGGCAGACGAGACCAUUCCUAAAGCAAGCCUCGACAGGGUUUGGAACUUUUUUAGUUUCAAUCAAUGAUUUUGGGUUCAUAGUAUUUUAAUCGUUUCUUCUUUUACUUGAUUAAUUGAGCUUUGAAUUUUUUUUUUCGUUGGUUAGAUUCUCCCAUCCUAUGGUGUGGAGAAAUUCACCCCACAAGUGGGGGAUUCCUUCGAUUCCAAUAAGCACCGCAUAGAUCACUUUGUGAUCAAAGCCAAUCAUAACCUUAACAUGAUUGUUCAUGUGAAUCAGGUAUAUAAUAGGUUAUCAAACUGAUUAGAUUAGAAACACUCCAUAUAGGCGAGAUAGUUAUCCUUUUGUCUUUAUGGAAGGAAAGUUAUCCUUUUCUACCUCUCUUCCUUUCUAUAGUUAGCAUUUUAUUUUGCUUUUGGUUCAUAUUCUGAAACUAUUGUGUUGUUUUUUAUUAGGCUGGUUACCUGUUUGAAGGCGAGGUUAUCAGGAGACUGAUCAUGAUGUAAUUUUUUGCUAGUAAAUGAUUGGUAAUGACUACAAGUCUUUUUGUGUUGCUUAUGAUAUGACUUUUCAGAAGUUUUGGGUUUGGUUGGUUGAAUUGCUACUUAAGUAAUUAUGCUGAUGAUUAGAUACUCUUGUGGCUGAAAAUAUGUAUGUGAAUUUGGGUGGAAGACAAUCAGAAAGAAAUAGAUAGUUUUCUUGAGCCUACUGACCAUUCUUUUCUUUUCUUUUUUUUUGGGCCUAUCGGUUGCUUGCACUAUUGUGCUCAUAACCCAGUUUGUGAUCAAACUCAUGAUCUGCACCAGUUGAUGGGCAUCAAACAAACUGACAGAUUCUAGUUUACUGCUACUGAUGAUCAAGAAAUGUUUAACUUGAACCAUCCAGGCUAGGAUAGGAAUGGCUUGUAUGCUGCUAUGUUUUUAUCCUGAUUUGGCAUGACCGUAGUGUAAACAUAGACAAUGCAGUUCUAGGCAAUUGUUAUGAUUAGACACCAUGAUGAGAUCUCUUAUUAAUUGCAAAAAAUUCCAACAUAUGAAAGUAAAACAGUAGCCUGAGAGUAAAUGACGGCAUGGAGAAUGAUUCUGGCAACUGAGCAAAGCCAAUUAUCAAUGUGAUGAUAGAAAUUUCGAAAGUUGCAAGGACCUCAACCAAAAUCGGACCAAACAGCAAAAAUUAAUUACCAUUUGAUAUCAUUAGAUAUUUCCAUUUCCAUUCGAUAUAAUCAAAUAUUUCCAGAAAAUUGAGUGCAAGAGAGCAUCGAAAUUAUAAAACCCUAAAGAACAAGAAAAACAUUUACAACUGCCCAACUAUAAUCUCGUUUGGAAAACAAACAAAGCAAAGCAUUUGCCAACUAGGAAACAUUUGUUUGGCACUACUAUGAGAUGGUUGCUCGUGCAUUUCAUCUCUGUCCAUAGGUGUUAAUUAAUCAUUCAACUCCAUUAUUGCCUUGUCAACUCAGAUUAUGAUAUCCUAAGCUCAGAUUACACCACGAGCAAUGGCUAAUAACAAAUGUUCAACCUUGUGAUAUCAUGUAGUAUAGCUCGAGUUUUGAUCUUAUGAAUCAGCUAUAUAACUAGCUACAAUUAAGGUCAUUAAUAGUAUUACAACUAUUGCUUCAUUACUCAUCUAUGGGAAGUUGAUGGAUGAUAGUUAGCUCAAGAGGAUGCAGGAGCUAACUGGCCUUAGUGGAUGAAUCAACUUUAAUUCAAAUUGCACUUCUUAAUCGUUGAAUCUCAUCAAUCCCACACAAAUUUUCGAGCAUUACUUAACUUACCCGCAAUCACUUUCUAGUUUUAUAUUUCGAAGUGUGAAUAGCUAUUUCUAGUUUUGAAUGAUCACAAAACUAUUGAAAACAUUACAAACGACAUGUAUUAUUACAUGAUUGUAAUGAACCAUCAACUUUGAAUUUGAGAUUGUUGGCCAUUCGCCGAAAGGCAGCACUGUAGCCCUCCUUAUAUCCUCCGAGAACAGAAAGAAUUGAAUAGUCCUCAAUCACAUGAUGCUUUUGUACGAGGCAUCUUGUGGUAUUCUAGGGAAAAAUGAUUUAGUGAAUAUUAGUUGAACCACGUAUGCCAUGUGACAUGGCAAAUUUUUAUGAGUAUUGUUGAAAAAAGAAAAGUCCGAAAAAUAUGGUUGGCCAAGGGUUUUUUUUUUUUUUUUAAAGUUUUUGAAACCAUCGAGGCUAAAAUUUUUUUCUCUUUUUUAAAUCCAAGGCCCAACGAGAGGGCUCCUUUUUUGCACAAUAGUCCCUACCACCACAUGAAGGGAUUGAUUAGCAAAAAGUACAUGUUUAACAAAAGAUAAUUGUAGAUAAUUGUUUCAGAAACAUGGCAGGCCUUCAUUAGUUUUUUGUUUGACUUUCGUGAGUACCUGUUCUAACUAUCUAAAAAAGUUAAAACUAUGGAACAUUAUCAAAAUAAAUAAAUAAAUAAUUUAAAUUAUGCAACUAAUUGUAUUACUUAGAAUUUAGGGUUUAAAUGUAAAUUGUUCUAAUUAUGCAACUCAUAGUUAUUAAACCCAACUCGGUACUCAAUCCAAAGAGCUGACCAAGUCACCGGUUCAACUGCGUGUUGCACGAUAGGUAUAUCAUAUAACAUAAUAAUAUAUUUCAAAUUAUAAAAAUAAUAAAAUUUUUAAGUUGGUGGUUCAAUUGAUAGUUUUUUUCUCGAUUCACCGAUUAAACUGUCGGGUCGUUCACUAGUUAACGGAUUUAUUGCUUAACUGAUUUAAUUAGCAACCCAACUCGCUCCUAUUGCCGGUUCAUCGGAUUGACUGAUUCGACCAUUGGGUCAAGUUGAAAUUUAUAACUAUGAUGCAACUUUUAAGCAUUUAAAUUUAAGAAAAUGCGAUGGAUAUCUAAUUUAAAUUGCUAAACAAUUACCUUUUACUAAUUGCUCCCUGUAUAUGAUGUAAGGGACUAUUGUGCAAAAAGGGUCCUCGCAUUUCUGAAACGAGGAGGCCUUGAAUUUAAGGAAAAAAUUUUCAGCCCUUUUUGUUUUGAAAACAUGGGGGCCAUAUGUUCAGAAAAAUCCCCUUGACUAGCCACAUUUUCCCGAUUUUUUUUUCAACAAUAUUUAGAGAAUUUUGCCCACAUGAUAUUGUACUAAAACCAAUCAAAAGUUACCAAGUAAUGUGGUGCACCAUUCCUUAUCUGAUAUUUAUGAGACAAGGAACGGUCCGUCGCUAUUAUUUAUUGAUGAAUAAUUCGUAUUAGUACACAACUUGAUAUGUCAUGUGGCAUGUGCGAUGUACGCAAUACCUUCUCAGCAUGCAUUUGUGUUGACUAAUGAGUAAUGAAAGAAUCUUGUUUCUCUGAAUGUAGAAUUCUUGAUAAUUUUGAAAUAUUGUGUUUCUCAUGCACAUAUUUCUACCAAUUACGUUGCCCCGUUGUUAUAGAGUUUUGAAGUAUUAAUAAAGUAUGUUUUUCUCCUUUAAAAUUGCAUUUGGUGGCACGAUUCUUGGUCAAAUUUUUACAGAAAGGCUUUAUUAUAUGACAAACAAAAAAUUUUAAUUCAAGCUCCAAACAAAAAAUAGUAAUCCUACAUGUAGUAUAGAAAGCACUUUGGCAACAACUUUGUUAAGCUUUUCGUCUGCCUCCCCGUGGUUUUUUUUUUGUACUUUUUCAUGUUAUGUAAAUCAUUGAUGGAGCUUGUGGUAUAAUCUUUAAAGAAGGGAAUGUUAGCUUGGGUUACUGAUUUACCCUUUUCCAAGCUUUUGAAGGUUUUGGUUUGUCCAAGAUGGUUGGCGUUUUAGUAAUUUUGUUGUCCAUGUGAAUUUUUUUGUUGAGCCAUGUGGUACAACUCUUGAUGGGAGAUUCUCAGUUUGAUUUACCGAUUUAACCUUUUGCAGCUAUUUGGAAGUGUAAUGGCUCACACAGUUAUUCUCCUGGUAGCCAUUGGGCCUGUUGAUUUUUUUUUGUUUGUCAAAGGUCAACUUCUAUAUAUAUUGGGCCUGUUGAUGUUGAGUACCUCUUGAAUGGUCCUCGUUGAUUUUUUAAGAUUUUUUUUCUUUUUUGGUUCUUUUGGUGUGGUUGUCUUGGUAUGGUGGAGUUCUGCAUAUGAAGGCAAAAAGAGCUUCUCUUGGAUGGAUUCCUGACUUUUAAGCAAAGAGAAAACAUACUGCAUCAGGAGUUUUAUUGUUCUCUCUUUGCUUAAAAGUCAGGAAUCCAUCCAAGAGGAGUUUUUUUUGCCUCCAUAUGCAGAACUCCACCAUUCCAAGACCACCACACCAAAAGAACCAAAAAAGAAAAAAACAAUCUUAAAAAAUCAUCGAGGACCAUUCAAGAAGUACUCAACAUACUGCAAAACCACAAUGUAGGCCUUCAUGAUCAAUUCUCAAUCACCACCACACAGACUUCUGAUUACUUCAAAGAUGCAUAACAAUGCUUCGUUAAAGAUAUGCAUUACUAUUACUUCUUGUUUGUGAGCUAAUAUCUUCCUUAAAUUGAAAGUCAGAUCUAUAUUUUUCCUAAAUCAUCGAACAUUCAGUAAGUACAUCAAUACAUAUCCUACUAUGCUCCACCUCUGCGUAAAAUACUCACUCCAAUUCACAUGCUCUCCUCGAUGGACCAAAUUUUAUUAAUAUAGGUAAUAUCUAAUGCCUCAUGCUAAAUAUAGAAAAUUAAUCUUGCGAAAGAAAGGUUAAAUCCAACGCAGCUAGGAUUUCCUGAGCUCUUGAUUCUUUAUUUCUUACACAGAAGAUGAAUCCUAUGCCACAACAGCCAAGCUGCCAGUAUCAGAAGUCAAAACUAUGCUAAAGCAAUGAAUUUAUAGAAAGGUAACAAAAUUGGAGCUUUUUAUACUAAAUGAGUUUGAGACGAUCCUGUUAAAGAACUAUACAUAAAGCCUUCAUGCAUACCCCUUCCCUCACGCCCAAUUAGUAAAUAUGUAUGGAUAUAUAGUAACCAAUUUGAGGCAGCUCAGUAUGUCCACAUCACAAAAGAAAUUCUGGCAUUGCUCCAUAAGAAUAGAUAUUAUACUGCAAGCCAUGUGAAGAUCAAUCCAAGAAAGACAAGAUAAAAAAUCACUAAUACCCUAGAGACUCAUCCACAGAAACAUCUUUCCAAAUGCAUCGUUUACAGAAUACUGCAAAGAACUUCACAAGGAGGAAAAGGUUUAUUUUUUCCCACUUUUUUUCUUUUCGCAUUUUAGUUAGCCCAUAUAACAAAAUCAAAUUACUCAACAAGCAAAAAAUUGAUUUUUACAUUUAUUUACUCGAAAGGUCCUACGUGGUCUCCUUCCAUCAACCUCAUCAAACCUUCAACCUGCAACAUCAUGCAACAUGGUACGAGUUCUCUCUUCAGGCCCGCAUUCAAUAAACUGGAUGAAAUUUACUAGGAACAAAUUCUGGCAAGGAGCUCCCAAAAAAUAAAAAUGUAAAAGAAACCAACAGGCCAAACCCUUUUGCUAUAUCCUGGAAUCCAUAUCAUGCUUAAAUGAAAUAACUAGCGCAAGAUUGACUGAGAAAUGACAAGGUUGAAGCAAAUUCUAAAAGACAAAUGGCAUCCAUCAAAACAUAGAAGAAGAAAUGCUCAAUUUACGCGCAGGCAGAGAGGCCAUAGACCCUUUACCAGAUCAGAAACGUAUUGGAAACUCCUAGUUUGCUUCCCAUCCCCAUAAACAGUCAAUGGCUCCUUUCUUAAAGCCUGCAAUGCAAAGUAGCGUUACAUUUUGGACCAUUGCAUCUCCAAAGCGAAAGAACACAACUAUAUACUAAUUGGAAGCAAACCUGAGCAACAAAAUUGCUAACCACACGCCCAUCAUCGAUGCACAUACGUGGUCCAUAAGUGUUAAAGAUCCUAGCAAUUCUCACCUAGGAAAAAGGUUUUUUUUUUUUUUUAAAAAGAAUAAUUAGCUCCAUCACUAUCAAUGGUUAAUUAAUUAAAGGUCGCUCCAUGAUUUGAGUACCUCAAUAUUUAGGCCCCUGUGAUAAUCCAUAGUCAAGGUCUCAGCUGUACGCUUUCCCUCAUAAUAACAACUGCGAACGCCUGAAUGAAGAAGCAAACCAAACUAAGGUGUUAACCAAACUAAGGUGUAACUUCACUUGCUUAAUCAUCAUUGUUGAAACAAAUAAAAAUGUCAUCUACCAACAAAGAGAAUAGACCACUCAAUUUUCUCGCACGCAAUCCUAUUUAAUUAACCACUCCAAUCCUUUAGAUUUUGAUUAUUAUAUAAUAUAAUUGAAGAAAGUACUCCAAGGCAAUCAAAGCCAAACACUCGGUCACAAGUUGAGAAGUUUGACAGAUGGAAGUGGACAUGGAAGUUCCUAGAGCCCGUAGUAGGUGGUGAAAAGUAAUCAUCAAAAGAAAACAAGAAAAGAAAAGUGACUCACCAAUUGGGUUGACAUUUUCCCAAUAAGUCUCGACCUGCGGAUGCUCCAAAGGGUCACCGUACACCGUACACCAUUUGGUCAUGGCUGCAAUUUUCGCUAGAAUUGGCGAAGUUUCUGCUCAACAAAGAGACGAGAAAAUGACCGAGAGGGAUAAUAAGAUAUUGUUGGCUUUGAAGGAGCUAUCGAUGACAAUUGCAGAUGUUGUGAGGCACGUGCAACAAAGUGAGGAAAGUAGCUGCAACAAGAGAGUUUUGGGAGUAGCUGAUGACUUGGAGGCUAAAAAGAGCAAGGUAUGUAUUUUUUCCCUUUUAUAACUAUGAUUAUCAUCCCUUUUUUGUGGGCUUUGUUACUCAAAAAUAUCUUAAGCAUUAUUUGUUUUGCCCGUAAUUGCUUGGAAGUUUGUGUUCCUGUUCUUUAGGGAAAAGGUAUCACUACUUAAUCCCAGCGAUUAAUUGUUGGACACCCGCGACUUGCCCAUUCAAUUCAGAAAAAGCUAGUCUUCAGAAUCACCCACAAAUGGCGAUCAACAAAUUGUUUAGACUUCUAAAAUCUGAACAAGGAAAAGGCUUUCUCAACAACUUUGCUGUGGCUGCGAUUUUUGCUGGUAUUGGUGAACUUGCUUCUCAACGAAAAGAAGAGCGAACGAUUGAGAUGGAUAACACGACACUAAUGGCUCUGAAAGAUGUAUCUCUAACCACUGCAGAUAUUGUAAGGCAUGUACGGCAAAGUGAGGAAAGGAUCCUCAACAAGAACCAUCCACUGAAGAUUCUAGGAGGAGCUGAUCACUUAGAGGCUCAAAAAAGACUCAAAGUACUCUAUUUGAUACAUUUUUUUUUCUUCUUUUUUCCCCCUUUUUGGGUUGUAUUCUUUUCCCCUAUUUUCCACCCUUUUGGGUUGUAUUACCUUAAGUUAUGUUUUUACUAAAUUUUCGUCUCUGGAUGAUUUUUUUUUUUGGUUAAAGAUAUGCCUUUAUAUGUUAAAAAAAAUCUUAGGGUUAAUAUACGGGUGUAUAAUAAAUGGAUGAGUGGGGGUAAGGUGGCUUGGUUUGCUAUAUUUCGGCUAAAAGUUAUAAUGCUAUAUUUUAGCUAAAAGUUUAAAUGUUGCUCAAAAAAGUAUUGUAUACUUUUGUUCAACAUUUCUGAGUUUUUCAUUCAACAUCAAUGUUUGAUAGGUUAAUCCUCAUUUUUUUUGCUACAUCUAAUUGGUCAGUGUUGGUGAAAUAAAGACUAAUAGCUUAAUAUUGUUAAUGUUUCUUAAAUAAAGACUAAUUGCUUAAUGGAUUGAAUCAACUAAAAGUGUUUUCAAUCCAUAAGAGCUAUUCAUGUAUUGGAUGAACCGUUUCAUAUAACUAUUCAUGUUCUUGUAGUAAUGAGUGUUUACUAAAAUUGAUUUACUUUUAAUUUUGUAAUAUCUAUAUAUAGAGGUACCUUAGCACUUUUUGGGUGUACUUUUUUUAUUACUUGGAACAAUAAGAACAUCAUUAUGUAAUUUUCUAUUUUCUUCUCUAAUUUUCUAGUUCAUCAUUCUCUAAUUUUCUAUUUCCAUCUCUAAUAUUUCAAUUCCUAUUAUAAUAAUUUAUUUUAUUAGUUUUAUAACACGUUAUCAGCAUGAGUCUCUACUUUUGAGCAAAAAAAGUGAAAACGGAGCCUCUACCUUGAGUAAAAGUGAAACAAGAGAUUCUGCUGAAAUUCUGCUCGUGUUUUUCCGUCAACUUCUGUCUACUUAUUGAGAAAUGGGUGCCAAAUAUUUGGGAUUAAAUAAUGGUGAUGAUGACAUUUGUCUCAUUGAUAGUGUUACUACGCACACUAUAUUGAAAAAUAAAUAAUAUUUUUCUUAUUUGAAAAUGGGAGAGACAAAUGUUAAUACCAUUAGUGGUAGUGCAAAAUUGAUUGAAAGUUUCGAAAGAGCCAUUCUAUUUCUUCUUGAAGGGACUAAAAUUAUCAUAAAUAAUACACAACUUUCUCUCAAGUCUCGGAGAAAUUUAUUGAGUUUUAAAAAUAUUUGUGAAAAUGGAUAUCAUAUCUAGACAAUGACUAAGACAAAUAGAGAAUGUUUAUUAAUCACAAGUAUCAUUUUUAGGCGGAAAGAUGUAGUAGAAAAAUUACCUUCUUUUUCUUCUGAUUUAUAUUAUGCACAAAUUAGUGCAGUUGAAAUUUAUCACCUAAUAGAUCAGAAGUCUACUCAUCCCAAUGAUUUUAUGAUUUGGCAUGAUCGUCCCGGACAUCCUGAAUCUAUAAUAAUGGGAUGAAUAAUCAAGAAUUCACGUGGUCAUUUAUUGAAAAAUCAAAAGAUAUUAAAAGCAAAUGAAUUCUUCUGUGUUGUUUGUUCCCAAGAAAAAUUAAUUAUUAGACCAUCGCCAGUUAAAGUUGGGACUGAAUCCCAUACAUUUCUAGAACGAAUUCAUGGUGAUAUAUGUGAAUUUGUAGAUUCAUCAUGUGGAUCAUUUUAAUAUUUUAUGGUGCUAAGUGAUGCAUCAACUAAAUAGUCACAUGUAUAUUUAUUAUCAACUCGCAACCUGACGUUUGCAUGAUUGCUUACUCAAAUAAUUAAGUUGCGAGUAUAAUUAUAGAUUAUCCAAUAAAGAAAAUUAGUUUAAAUAAUGUUGGCGAAUAUUCAUCAUAUGUUUUUGACGAUUAUUGUAUGGUCAUUGGAAUAACUGUUGAACAUCUUGCAACUUAUAUUCAUACACAAAAUGGUCUAGUCGAAUCAUUUAUUAAACAGUUACAAUUAAUUGAUAGAUUAUUGUUGAUAAGGUCUAAACUUCUUUCAUCUGUUUGGGACAUAUUAUAUUACAUGCAGCAAUACUUGUAAGAAUUAGACCGACAAGUUAUUAUAUUUAUUCACCCCUAUAAUUAACUUUUGAUUAUGAGUCCAACAUUUCUAAUUUACAAAUAUUUGAUUGUGCAGUAUAUGUUCCAAUUGCACAAUCCCAACGUCAUAAAUUGGGCCCUUAAAAAAGAUUGGAAAUAUACGUCGGAUAUGAAUCACCUUCAAUUAUUUAGUAUAUAGAACCAUUGAUAGGUGAUUUAUUUAUUGCUAAAUUUGUAGAUUACCAUUUUGAUGAAUUACAUUUUUCGAUAUUAAGGGAAAUAAAAAUCAACCGAAAAAGAAAAUCACUUGAAAAAUAUCAUUGGAUUUCUUUGAUUCUCGUGUUAAAGAAUAUGAAUUAGAAAUUCAAAAGAUUAUACAUUUGUAAAAAAUUGUAAAUCAAUUACUGAAUGCAUUUAAUGAUUCCAAAAAAGUUACUAAAUCACAUAUUCCUGUUGAAAAUGUUUCGAUUAAAAUUAAUGUCCCUCAAGAACAAAUUAUAAGUGCUAAUGAGUUUCAAGUGCGCCUGAAGUAUGGGAGACCUUUUGGUUCCAAAAAUAAAAAUUUUUGAAAGAAAAGAAGAGUAGAUAAAUUAAUAAUUAGUGACAAAAUUCAAUCUCCUGAAGAGGUCGCUUCUAAGGAGUCAAUUCUUACAGAGAAUAAAAUUAUAAAAAAUUCAAUAAAUUUUGUCACUUCAAGAAAUAGUUGGAACCGAAAAUAAAUAAUUGUUGAGAAUAUUUUUGCAUAUAAUAUAGCAUUUGAUAUUGUGGCAAAUGACGAGAAUCAUGAGUCUAGAUUGAUUGAUGAAUAUCGACGUAGAAAUGAUUGGCCAAAAUGAAAAGAUGCGAUCCAAUUUGAAUUGGAUUCAUUGGUUAAAAAAAAGUUUUUGACCUGUAGUAUAAACACCUGAAGGUAUAAAGUCAGUAGAAUAUAAGUGGGUAUUUGUGAGAAAAAGAAAUGAGAAAAAUGAAAUUGUGAGGUACAAAGCAUGACUUGUAGUUCAAGAAUUUUCACAAAGGUUUGGAUUUGAUUACGAUGAACGUAUUUAUUUGUAGUGGAUGCUAUCACAUUUAGAUAUCUUAUGAGUUUUGAAGUGCAUAAAAAACUAGAUAUGCGUCUAAUGAACGUCAUUACUACAUAUUUAUAUGAAAAUAUUAAAAAUGAUAUUUAUAUGAGAAUCUCCGAAAGAUUUAACAUACGUGAAGCAUGCAAAUCAAAUACUAAAAAUAUUUAUUCAAAGCAAAUCAAAUCAAAUUUUGGGAUAAUUGUUGUAUAUAUUGAUGAUAUAAAUCUUAUUGGAACUUUUGAAGAGAUUCAAAAUAUUAUUGAAUAUUUGAAAAAAGAAAUUUGAGAUCAAAAAUUUUGAAAAAAACAAAAUUAUGUCUUGAUUUAUAAAUUGAGUAUUUGAAAGGUGAAAUUUUUGUCCAUCAAACUACUUAUACUCGAAAAGUAUUAAAGCUAUUUUAUAUGAAUGAGAUACAUAUAUUAAGUACUCUAAUGAUCGUCAGAUUAUUAGAUCCUAAUAAGGAUCAUUUUAAACCAUAAGAGAAAGAUGAAGAGACAUUUGGUUCUGAAAUAUCAUAUCUUAGUAUAUUUGGUGCACUAGUUUAUCUUGCUAGUUAUAUAAGACCUGAUAUAUCAUUUGCGUUGAAUUUAUUAGCAAGAUUUAGUUUCUCGCCCACAAGAUGACAUUGGAAUAAUAUUAAACAUAUUUUUCGCUAUCUCCAAGAAACAAUUGAUUUUGAUUUUUUUUAUUCAAAUAAAUUCAAACCUGAAUUGUUUGAUUAUAUUGAUGCUGAGUAUUUAUCUAAUCCGCAUAAACAAGAUUUCAGACUGGUUAUCUAUUUAUAUAUGGAGGUAUAGUCAUUAAUUGGUGAUGUACAAAGUAAUUAUUAACCGUCACUUUAUCGAAUCAUACUAAAAUAAUAACAAUUCAUGAGACUAGUCGAAAAUGUGUUUGGUUAAGAUCAAUGACCCACUACAUCCGGAAGAAUUGUGGGUUAUCUUUCGAAAACAAAAAUUCUCUAACUAUAUUAUAUGAAAAUAAUGCAGUUUGUAUAAUUCAAUUGAAAAGAAGAUAUAUUAAAAGAGAUAAGACGAAACAUAUUUCACCAAAAUUCUUUUUUUACUCAUGAUUUGCAAAAGAAUGAUGAAACUGAUGUACAACAAAUCCGAUCAGAUAAUAAUUUGACAGAUUUAUUUACCAAGGUAUUGUCGAUUACAACAUUUUAGAAAUUGGUAAAAAAUAUUGGAAUGCGACGAUUAAAAGAUCUUAAAUGAUGUUUGCAUUAGGGGGAGAAAUUAAUACACAGGAAUAGUGUACUCUUUUUUUUUCACUAGAAUUUUUGUCCCAUUAAAUUUUUUCUUAAUAAGAUUUUAACGAGAUAUAUUCUCUGUGUAAUGGACAUCCAAGGGGGAGUGUUAUGAAACAAGUAAAAGUGUGGAUGUUUAUUUGUAUUCUUAAGAAGAUUAAUUCAUAAUUCAAUGAUUCCAAGAGGAUUAAUUCAUAAUUCAUUACUAUAUUAUGUAAAGAAAUUACAUUGGAUGAACCGUUUCAUAUAGUUAUUCAUGUUCUUUUAAUAAUGUGUGUUUAAUAGAUUUGAUAUACCUUUAAUUUUGUAGUACCUAUAUAUAGAGGCAAAUUGACACUUCUUGGGUGUACUUUUUUGAUUAGUUAGAAGUUGGAACAAUAAAAACAUCAUUCUCUAAUUCUCUAUUUCUUUCUCUAAUAUUUCAAUUUCUAUUAUAAUAAUUUAUUUUAUUAGUUUUAUAACACUUAAUGUGUUGAUGGUGACGUGGGCUUUAUGAUAGUAUUAGUACUUUAUCUUUUAUAAAUGCAGGCUCUUGCAAAAAGCUUGUUGGCAGACGAGACCAUUCCUAAAGCAAGCCUCGACAGGGUUUGGAACUUUUUUAGUUUCAAUCAAUGAUUUUGGGUUCAUAGUAUUUUAAUCGUUUCUUCUUUUACUUGAUUAAUUGAGCUUUGAAUUUUUUUUUUCGUUGGUUAGAUUCUCCCAUCCUAUGGUGUGGAGAAAUUCACCCCACAAGUGGGGGAUUCCUUCGAUUCCAAUAAGCACCGCAUAGAUCACUUUGUGAUCAAAGCCAAUCAUAACCUUAACAUGAUUGUUCAUGUGAAUCAGGUAUAUAAUAGGUUAUCAAACUGAUUAGAUUAGAAACACUCCAUAUAGGCGAGAUAGUUAUCCUUUUGUCUUUAUGGAAGGAAAGUUAUCCUUUUCUACCUCUCUUCCUUUCUAUAGUUAGCAUUUUAUUUUGCUUUUGGUUCAUAUUCUGAAACUAUUGUGUUGUUUUUUAUUAGGCUGGUUACCUGUUUGAAGGCGAGGUUAUCAGGAGACUGAUCAUGAUGUAAUUUUUUGCUAGUAAAUGAUUGGUAAUGACUACAAGUCUUUUUGUGUUGCUUAUGAUAUGACUUUUCAGAAGUUUUGGGUUUGGUUGGUUGAAUUGCUACUUAAGUAAUUAUGCUGAUGAUUAGAUACUCUUGUGGCUGAAAAUAUGUAUGUGAAUUUGGGUGGAAGACAAUCAGAAAGAAAUAGAUAGUUUUCUUGAGCCUACUGACCAUUCUUUUCUUUUCUUUUUUUUUGGGCCUAUCGGUUGCUUGCACUAUUGUGCUCAUAACCCAGUUUGUGAUCAAACUCAUGAUCUGCACCAGUUGAUGGGCAUCAAACAAACUGACAGAUUCUAGUUUACUGCUACUGAUGAUCAAGAAAUGUUUAACUUGAACCAUCCAGGCUAGGAUAGGAAUGGCUUGUAUGCUGCUAUGUUUUUAUCCUGAUUUGGCAUGACCGUAGUGUAAACAUAGACAAUGCAGUUCUAGGCAAUUGUUAUGAUUAGACACCAUGAUGAGAUCUCUUAUUAAUUGCAAAAAAUUCCAACAUAUGAAAGUAAAACAGUAGCCUGAGAGUAAAUGACGGCAUGGAGAAUGAUUCUGGCAACUGAGCAAAGCCAAUUAUCAAUGUGAUGAUAGAAAUUUCGAAAGUUGCAAGGACCUCAACCAAAAUCGGACCAAACAGCAAAAAUUAAUUACCAUUUGAUAUCAUUAGAUAUUUCCAUUUCCAUUCGAUAUAAUCAAAUAUUUCCAGAAAAUUGAGUGCAAGAGAGCAUCGAAAUUAUAAAACCCUAAAGAACAAGAAAAACAUUUACAACUGCCCAACUAUAAUCUCGUUUGGAAAACAAACAAAGCAAAGCAUUUGCCAACUAGGAAACAUUUGUUUGGCACUACUAUGAGAUGGUUGCUCGUGCAUUUCAUCUCUGUCCAUAGGUGUUAAUUAAUCAUUCAACUCCAUUAUUGCCUUGUCAACUCAGAUUAUGAUAUCCUAAGCUCAGAUUACACCACGAGCAAUGGCUAAUAACAAAUGUUCAACCUUGUGAUAUCAUGUAGUAUAGCUCGAGUUUUGAUCUUAUGAAUCAGCUAUAUAACUAGCUACAAUUAAGGUCAUUAAUAGUAUUACAACUAUUGCUUCAUUACUCAUCUAUGGGAAGUUGAUGGAUGAUAGUUAGCUCAAGAGGAUGCAGGAGCUAACUGGCCUUAGUGGAUGAAUCAACUUUAAUUCAAAUUGCACUUCUUAAUCGUUGAAUCUCAUCAAUCCCACACAAAUUUUCGAGCAUUACUUAACUUACCCGCAAUCACUUUCUAGUUUUAUAUUUCGAAGUGUGAAUAGCUAUUUCUAGUUUUGAAUGAUCACAAAACUAUUAAAAACAUUACAAACGACAUGUAUUAUUACAUGAUUGUAAUGAAGCAUCAACUUUGAAUUUGAGAUUGUUGGCCAUUCGCCGAAAGGCAGCACUGUAGCCCUCCUUAUAUCCUCCGAGAACAGAAAGAAUUGAAUAGUCCUCAAUCACAUGAUGCUUUUGUACGAGGCAUCUUGUGGUAUUCUAGGGAAAAAUGAUUUAGUGAAUAUUAGUUGAACCACGUAUGCCAUGUGACAUGGCAAAUUUUUAUGAGUAUUGUUGAAAAAAGAAAAGUCCGAAAAAUAUGGUUGGCCAAGGGUUUUUUUUUUUUUUUUAAAGUUUUUGAAACCAUCGAGGCUAAAAUUUUUUUCUCUUUUUUAAAUCCAAGGCCCAACGAGAGGGCUCCUUUUUUGCACAAUAGUCCCUACCACCACAUGAAGGGAUUGAUUAGCAAAAAGUACAUGUUUAACAAAAGAUAAUUGUAGAUAAUUGUUUCAGAAACAUGGCAGGCCUUCAUUAGUUUUUUGUUUGACUUUCGUGAGUACCUGUUCUAACUAUCUAAAAAAGUUAAAACUAUGGAACAUUAUCAAAAUAAAUAAAUAAAUAAUUUAAAUUAUGCAACUAAUUGUAUUACUUAGAAUUUAGGGUUUAAAUGUAAAUUGUUCUAAUUAUGCAACUCAUAGUUAUUAAACCCAACUCGGUACUCAAUCCAAAGAGCUGACCAAGUCACCGGUUCAACUGCGUGUUGCACGAUAGGUAUAUCAUAUAACAUAAUAAUAUAUUUCAAAUUAUAAAAAUAAUAAAAUUUUUAAGUUGGUGGUUCAAUUGAUAGUUUUUUUCUCGAUUCACCGAUUAAACUGUCGAGUCGUUCACUAGUUAACGGAUUUAUUGCUUAACUGAUUUAAUUAGCAACCCAACUCGCUCCUAUUGCCGGUUCAUCGGAUUGACUGAUUCGACCAUUGGGUCAAGUUGAAAUUUAUAACUAUGAUGCAACUUUUAAGCAUUUAAAUUUAAGAAAAUGCGAUGGAUAUCUAAUUUAAAUUGCUAAACAAUUACCUUUUACUAAUUGCUCCCUGUAUAUGAUGUAAGGGACUAUUGUGCAAAAAGGGUCCUCGCAUUUCUGAAACGAGGAGGCCUUGAAUUUAAGGAAAAAAUUUUCAGCCCUUUUUGUUUUGAAAACAUGGGGGCCAUAUGUUCAGAAAAAUCCCCUUGACUAGCCACAUUUUCCCGAUUUUUUUUUUCAACAAUAUUUAGAGAAUUUUGCCCACAUGAUAUUGUACUAAAACCAAUCAAAAGUUACCAAGUAAUGUGGUGCACCAUUCCUUAUCUGAUAUUUAUGAGACAAGGAACGGUCCGUCGCUAUUAUUUAUUGAUGAAUAAUUCGUAUUAGUACACAACUUGAUAUGUCAUGUGGCAUGUGCGAUGUACGCAAUACCUUCUCAGCAUGCAUUUGUGUUGACUAAUGAGUAAUGAAAGAAUCUUGUUUCUCUGAAUGUAGAAUUCUUGAUAAUUUUGAAAUAUUGUGUUUCUCAUGCACAUAUUUCUACCAAUUACGUUGCCCCGUUGUUAUAGAGUUUUGAAGUAUUAAUAAAGUAUGUUUUUCUCCUUUAAAAUUGCAUUUGGUGGCACGAUUCUUGGUCAAAUUUUUACAGAAAGGCUUUAUUAUAUGACAAACAAAAAAUUUUAAUUCAAGCUCCAAACAAAAAAUAGUAAUCCUACAUGUAGUAUAGAAAGCACUUUGGCAACAACUUUGUUAAGCUUUUCGUCUGCCUCCCCGUGGUUUUUUUUUUUGUACUUUUUCAUGUUAUGUAAAUCAUUGAUGGAGCUUGUGGUAUAAUCUUUAAAGCAGGGAAUGUUAGCUUGGGUUACUGAUUUACCCUUUUCCAAGCUUUUGAAGGUUUUGGUUUGUCCAAGAUGGUUGGCGUUUUAGUAAUUUUGUUGUCCAUGUGAAUUUUUUUGUUGAGCCAUGUGGUACAACUCUUGAUGGGAGAUUCUCAGUUUGAUUUACCGAUUUAACCUUUUGCAGCUAUUUGGAAGUGUAAUGGCUCACACAGUUAUUCUCCUGGUAGCCAUUGGGCCUGUUGAUUUUUUUUUGUUUGUCAAAGGUCAACUUCUAUAUAUAUUGGGCCUGUUGAUGUUGAGUACCUCUUGAAUGGUCCUCGUUGAUUUUUUAAGAUUUUUUUUCUUUUUUGGUUCUUUUGGUGUGGUUGUCUUGGUAUGGUGGAGUUCUGCAUAUGAAGGCAAAAAGAGCUUCUCUUGGAUGGAUUCCUGACUUUUAAGCAAAGAGAAAACAUACUGCAUCAGGAGUUUUAUUGUUCUCUCUUUGCUUAAAAGUCAGGAAUCCAUCCAAGAGGAGUUUUUUUUGCCUCCAUAUGCAGAACUCCACCAUUCCAAGACCACCACACCAAAAGAACCAAAAAAGAAAAAAACAAUCUUAAAAAAUCAUCGAGGACCAUUCAAGAAGUACUCAACAUACUGCAAAACCACAAUGUAGGCCUUCAUGAUCAAUUCUCAAUCACCACCACACAGACUUCUGAUUACUUCAAAGAUGCAUAACAAUGCUUCGUUAAAGAUAUGCAUUACUAUUACUUCUUGUUUGUGAGCUAAUAUCUUCCUUAAAUUGAAAGUCAGAUCUAUAUUUUUCCUAAAUCAUCGAACAUUCAGUAAGUACAUCAAUACAUAUCCUACUAUGCUCCACCUCUGCGUAAAAUACUCACUCCAAUUCACAUGCUCUCCUCGAUGGACCAAAUUUUAUUAAUAUAGGUAAUAUCUAAUGCCUCAUGCUAAAUAUAGAAAAUUAAUCUUGCGAAAGAAAGGUUAAAUCCAACGCAGCUAGGAUUUCCUGAGCUCUUGAUUCUUUAUUUCUUACACAGAAGAUGAAUCCUAUGCCACAACAGCCAAGCUGCCAGUAUCAGAAGUCAAAACUAUGCUAAAGCAAUGAAUUUAUAGAAAGGUAACAAAAUUGGAGCUUUUUAUACUAAAUGAGUUUGAGACGAUCCUGUUAAAGAACUAUACAUAAAGCCUUCAUGCAUACCCCUUCCCUCACGCCCAAUUAGUAAAUAUGUAUGGAUAUAUAGUAACCAAUUUGAGGCAGCUCAGUAUGUCCACAUCACAAAAGAAAUUCUGGCAUUGCUCCAUAAGAAUAGAUAUUAUACUGCAAGCCAUGUGAAGAUCAAUCCAAGAAAGACAAGAUAAAAAAUCACUAAUACCCUAGAGACUCAUCCACAGAAACAUCUUUCCAAAUGCAUCGUUUACAGAAUACUGCAAAGAACUUCACAAGGAGGAAAAGGUUUAUUUUUCCCACUUUUUUUCUUUUCGCAUUUUAGUUAGCCCAUAUAACAAAAUCAAAUUACUCAACAAGCAAAAAAUUGAUUUUUACAUUUAUUUUCCCUAAAAUAAGAACCUUAAAAUCGAAAAAAGGUACGUUCAAAAUCGAACCCAAUAAAAUCGAUAAAUUUCCCACCGUAGCACUGCUAGGGCUUUGUUCAGAAGAGAAUUGGAUUGUAGAAAACCCAAAGGCAAAUCCCAUAUAAACCCACUUUUUUCAUCAAUUUUAGCAAACAAAUUCCUAUUUCUCCCCUUGAAUUCUAGCAUACUAACAAUAAGAUUCAAAAUUUCUGUCCUAAAAUAUCCCAAAGGAAAAUGGAAAAAAAAAAGAACAUGGGAGAAGAUGAAUGCAAUACAUGCAUAUAAAGUAAAUAAAUCAGUAAAUAGAAAGACGACUUACCAGAAAAUAGACGAUAGAGAAGCUGUAGAUAGAGAAAGUAAGGGGUGUGAAACAGACAGAGCUCGAAAGGAGGAGGGGUUGAGAGACUGAGCAAGAGAGGUUUAAGGUUAGGGCUUUAGCUAUUGGGGGCAUAGGAAAAAAUUAGAGAAUUUCACCAAUUUGGUCUCUAAACAUUUUCAUUUAAAUCAAUUUCAUCCUUAAUGAAAUAUUUUAACCAAUUUAGUCAUUGAACUAGUUUUUUACUUUCAAUGCAGGACUUUUCAUUACAUCUUACUCAAUUCGCGUGGACCAACAGUGGCGUAAUUGUCACACUAGUUUAAUAUUCUGCAAUUAACCGACAAAAUAAAUUAGAGAUCAUUACAAAAAAGGGGCGAACAUCUGGGUUUGAAACUAUUUCAAUGGGGCAUCAAGUUCGUGCAGCUACCAAAUUUGCUGAUUAAGAUUUGACAAGAUACUUGUAAGUUUUACACUAGUAAAGAUCAUCAUGGGUUGUUUUUUUACUGUCAUUGACGGGUUCGACAACUGUAUAAGAAGAGCCAUCAUCACAUAUUACUGUCAUCUGAUGGGUUAAGUAAGAAACUAAAUUACUUUGUGUCGAAGUGUUGGUUUUGGUUAAGAACUAUGGAGGCCUGAACCUAGACUAGACAUUGUGGUAGAAUUCUUCUGCAUCGAGUUGCAGUUGCAAUAAGCCUGCUGAAGGAUGGAUCAUCAUCCCCUGAAAUUCCAGAUGUCUUCUUCCGGUUCCAUGUUGCAAACUACCAUUCUACCAUCAUCCUCCUGCAUGCUUCCCUACAACACACAUGUCAAAAAGGCCAUGACUAAUACAUGAACUUGCAUCAUCUACUAUGUUGGAUAACUUCGACCUAAUGGCUAAUACUUCCUUCUUUCCACCUACACUGCAAAUUUGCUUCUACCUCAUUCUACUCCAAACCAUGGAAUUCAAUCCUCAAGAGAAGCAAUGCCACCUCUUUAAGUUCAAGCUCCAAUUUUUCUCUUUCGUUCCAUUUCUAUGCAUUCACCUUUCUUCUUCAGCUGUUUUAGCUCCCAUUCUCCAGGAUCCUUCCACUCGGCUUCACUUUCUAUUACUUUACUUGAGAACCCCUUACCAGCAGCUCACAAAACUACUCAUUGACCUCAUUGCCUCUUUCAGCUGGGUGGAAUGCACCUGCAACAACCCCUCUUCCUGUACGUACCGCUACCACCCGCUUCCCUGCGCUUCUCCUUUUUGCAACUGGCUCAAUUCACCUACACUUUCAAACUGUUCUUCUGAACCCACCAAUCCCAUUUGUUUCGACAGCUUGUGCCAUCUCUUCCUCGCAAGACCAAGGAACCGGAAAAGAGUGAGGGUGCAAGCACUAGCUGACAUCAAGCUCUCUUCUCAGUGCUUUUCGUGGCCUACUGGGAGUUUUAACUUCUUUGAAGGUAGCACUGGAUCUUUUUUUGACUAGACCCAAGCAUUCGGACCACUCAUUGGAGCUAUGGUUGGUUCAUAUACUUUCAAGUAAUUGUCUCUUGAGUAAUACGGAUUUGAGUGUUGGUAGUUGCACGAACUUGAUGCCCAAUUGAAAUAGUUUCUCCCUUAAUGCAUCUUACCUAUGCUCCUUUGCAGAUAGAAUUGAGAAAUUGUGAUGAGCCCUAAUAUCUUCAAACCCAGAUGCUUGCCCCUUUUUGUAAUGAUCUCUAAUUUGUUUCAUCGGUUAAUUGUAGAAUAUUAAACCAAUGUGACAAUUAUAUCCCUGUUGGUUCACGCAAAUUGAGUAAAAUGCAGUGAAAAGUCCUACAUUGAAAGUAAAAAACUAGUUCAAGGACUAAAUUAGUUAAAAUAUUUCUUUAAGGACUAAAUUGAUUUAAGUGAAAAUGAUUAGGGACCAAAUUGGCGAAAUUCCCAAAAAAUUACAAGCAAGUGGUCAAAGAUUCUCAGUAAAAAUUAAAAACUGAUGGUUUUACUGCCCUGCAGAGCUUUUUCUCUGGGUUAAAAUCUUGAGGUUAAUAUUUGCUAAACAUGCAAAUAUACACAUUGCUCUAGAUCGUUAUUUUCUUUUAUUUUGUAAAUAUCCACAAAAAAUGAUAUUUGGUUUAAUUGAAUGAUUUUUUAUGGAUUGGCAUUGCUUAUAGAACAAUAGAUAGUUUAGAGAGAUGCUAUGAGACAAGUGAGCAAAUAAGAAGUUUUUUUUGACCCAAUAAUUGAUGACAAUUUUAUCACAAGUUUUUUUUAAAAAAAAUUAUUCUAAUGAUUCUACAAAGAUGUUGGUGAUUGACAUGAAUAAUGUUCUCAAUUAUUUGAAAAAAAAUUGCUUGCGGUGAUUUUAUCUGUUUCAUAACAUAACAUGAUGGAGUCAUUUAUUUUUAUUUCUAUUUUUUAUUUGCUUCUCUUUUUUUCCCCUCCUUUGUGAAAGAGGAGAUGCAAUUCUUAUUUGUCCGGUCUUUAUCUACAAACCAUUAUUAAUCUUCAAAAUCUACUGAUGUAAGAUUUUCAACUUCCAAUCACUCACAAAUCGUGAAAAACUUUGGUCGUAAUCCAAGUUCUUCUUUCUAUAGUUGAUAUUGACAAAUUUCAUAUUCUUUAUGCUUUUAUUUUCAAAUAGACCAAAAUGGAAACAUAAUAUUGCACACAAAAGGAGGAGAGAUCCAUUAAAGGGCGAAAUUUGGAGGUCUCAAUUCUUCAAUCAGCUACGUUCCUCCCCAAUAAGAGAGUACUAUUUCUUUUUGAAGAUUGGACGCAUGCUAUACCUCAAAAGAUGUGGUUGCUAAACUUUCUGUAUCUUCAACAUACAUUUUUAAAAUUUGCCUGUCACAAAUUGGAAUGUAUAUGCUAAUAGGCUAAGAGCCCAUUUGACUUGCUUAUUUCUGGAGUUUUUAUGAAAAAAAAAAUAUUAUAAUAAUUUGAUAUAUAUAAGAUAAAAUGAUGAUUGAAAAAUAUGUUAAAAAAAACAUAAAAAUGUUUUUGUGGAAAAAAUGACAAUCCAAGAUCGUGAAUGUCAAACAAGCAUUAGAUUAACUAAAGGUAGCAAUUGGAUUGUAUACAGAUACAAAUGGAAUUGUUACCACUAGCACUAAUGUAAAACUUUUCUUAGCUUCCUUAUCUAGGACACCAUUAUUCUUGAAGGAAAUAAUAGAAUCAAGCUAUGACCUUUUGUUCUAUCUCAUAUUCUUCCCUUAUUUUUACUCUAUUUAAUUUGUUUCCAUGGUUUCUCCUAGCAACUUUCACCUAUAUAUCCAAGGCGGCGAUAACCUCGUGUUAGAAGCUAUUCUGCAAGCUUUUGACUGCCUUGGGCGUCUUUUUCGUCACCAAAAAUGCGUCUCCGGAAGUCAGAGACCAUGAGAGGAAGUCCCUCGCGAAGGGACACUUUCGGUUCCCAUCCAAGGAGUUUCUUGGCCUUUGAAAUAUCCGGCUUUCUCUUGUGAGGAUCAUCUGCAGUGUUUUCUCUGAACUCUAUCUUUGCAUUUGGAUCAAUUGUGUCUUGCACCACCUGUAUCAAUGCAAUUUGAAGGCUCAAUAAGCAUUUUUUUUCCCCUCCCCUCCUCAUUUCCUCUUUCAAAUAUAUUCUUGGUAUGCGUGAAUUUAUUAUUACCUUGGCAAGUUCAAGCAUGGUGAAUUCACCAGGGUUUCCAAGAUUGAAAGGUCCUACGUGGUCUCCUUCCAUCAACCUCAUCAAACCUUCAACCUGCAACAUCAUGCAACAUGGUACGAGUUCUUUCUUCAGGCCCGCAUUCAAUAAACUGGAUGAAAUUUACUAGGAACAAAUUCUGGCAAGGAGCUCCCAAAAAAUAAAAAUGUAAAAGAAACCAACGGGCCAAACCCUUUUGCUAUAUCCUGGAAUCCAUAUCAUGCUCAAAUGAAAUAACUAGCGCAAGAUUGACUGAGAAAUGACAAGGUUGAAGCAAAUUCUAAAAGACAAAUGGCAUCCAUCAAAACAUAGAAGAAGAAAUGCUCAAUUUACGCGCAGGCAGAGAGGCCAUAGACCCUUUACCAGAUCAGAAACGUAUUGGAAACUCCUAGUUUGCUUCCCAUCCCCAUAAACAGUCAAUGGCUCCUUUCUUAAAGCCUGCAAUGCAAAGUAGCGUUACAUUUUGGACCAUUGCAUCUCCAAAGCGAAAGAACACAACUAUAUACUAAUUGGAAGCAAACCUGAGCAACAAAAUUGCUAACCACACGCCCAUCAUCGAUGCACAUACGUGGUCCAUAAGUGUUAAAGAUCCUAGCAAUUCUCACCUAGGAAAAAGGUUUUUUUUUUUUUUUUUAAAAAGAAUAAUUAGCUCCAUCACUAUCAAUGGUUAAUUAAUUAAAGGUCGCUCCAUGAUUUGAGUACCUCAAUAUUUAGGCCCCUGUGAUAAUCCAUAGUCAAGGUCUCAGCUGUACGCUUUCCCUCAUCAUAACAACUGCGAACGCCUGAAUGAAGAAGCAAACCAAACUAAGGUGUUAACCAAACUAAGGUGUAACUUCACUUGCUUAAUCAUCAUUGUUGAAACAAAUAAAAAUGUCAUCUACCAACAAAGAGAAUAGACCACUCAAUUUUCUCACACGCAAUCCUAUUUAAUUAACCACUCCAAUCCUUUAGAUUUUGAUUAUUAUAUAAUAUAAUUGAAGAAAGUACUCCAAGGCAAUCAAAGCCAAACACUCGGUCACAAGUUGAGAAGUUUGACAGAUGGAAGUGGACAUGGAAGUUCCUAGAGCCCGUAGUAGGUGGUGAAAAGUAAUCAUCAAAAGAAAACAAGAAAAGAAAAGUGACUCACCAAUUGGGUUGACAUUUCCCCAAUAAGUCUCGACUUGUGGAUGCUCCAAAGGGUCACCAUACACCUCACUGGUGCUCGUUAGCAAAAAUCUAGCAUUAAUCCUCUUCGCCAAUCCAAGCAUGUUCAAUGUCCCCAUUACAUUUGUCUUGUGAUCUCUAUCCAUCAAAGUUAAAGGAUUCUUCCAAAAGCCAGCAUUAAAAUCAUGCUCACACACGUGCAUUUUGACAAAAGGGAUGGUGACAAAAAGCCAUUCAACUAUUUUGACAAGACAUGAAACGUAAAUUUAGAAAGUGACACUAAUAAUUGAUAUAGUAACUCGAAAAAGAGAAAGAGAAAGAAAGCUAGUACUGGUACAAACAACUAAUCUUUGGAAGUUAGGUGCAAGAAAAGGAUAUGAUGGUCUUAACGGGGUUGUACUUGUAAUGGACGGGUGAGGCCGGGCAGGCGAGAUGGUAGAUCUGGUCCACUUCCAACAUGAUCGGCUCGACCACAUCAUGCCGAAUCAGCUCGAACCUUGGGUUGGAGAAAUGGUGCACUAAAUUGUCUUUCCGACCGGUGAAGAAAUUAUCAACCACGAUCACACUAUCCCCGCGCUCCAUCAGACGGUCCACAAGGUGACUCCCUACGAACCCCGCCCCGCCCGUUACCAAAACUCUCAGCCUUUUGUUCUUCAACCCCACCGGUAACCUUGCAACUGCAUCAUAUAUACUAACAAUUUAGUCCCAACAACAUCAUCGAACCCGAUUGAUAAUAAUACUCUGCUAUCAAACUCGAUUUCUAGAGUGAUUAUAGAAUUUUUCUAGAUUGAAAAUAAUAUGUUUUUUUAUAUAUAAAAAAAAAAAAGAAAACACAAAACGCAAAAAGAAAUUCUAGUCUAACAUGCAUGAAAAGCAGGAGGUGAAACGAAUGUACAGAGUAGUAUUUUUCAAUACGCAUUAAAAUGUUCUUCAUGUCGCCAAUACUUGUUUCUGAUGUUUUCCUUUCAUCACUAGUGCCACAUCUCUAUACUUGCAACAGAGUAUAAAUAUUCAUAACUAAAUUACCAUAAAGAAUCACUUAUGCCAAAAUUCAGAGAUACAAUUCAAGUAAUUUGAUUACCUCCAUUGGACGAUUGAUCACGGUCAUAAUCGCUCAGCUCAAGAGCAAUUCUUCGAGGGACAUGAUGAGUUGACUCCAUUAAAGAAUCUGGAAUCCAUCCAUGGUGAUUCGGGGUAGAUGAUGAUGAUGAUGAUGUCAAAGCAGGAACGGCAGUGAAAAUGAGAGAUGCAAUGCCAAUCCCGAUCAAAAGGCAUACCAACCUCUGCUCCUCCAGCACAUAUUGAAUCGGAUACGUUACAAAAGAUAGCCUUUUUCUAGGCCUAAUAGCCUGGCUUUUCCCGGAUGAACCCAUAUAUUUUUUUCCGUCUCCUUCCACCAUUUAAGAGUUAUUCUCUCUUGAUCUCAAAAAUGUGAUGAUUUGUGCAUUUGGUGGUCUUAAUAUGGCACAAGAAAUGAGUGUGUGUGUGUGUGUGUUUUUUUUUUCUGAGAAAGAGAAAAGAAAGAGAGAGAUGAAAGAAAGGAGGAGAGUGGUGAGGGAUCUUUAAGUGAGAAAGACUCAAACCAAGAGGAGUUCGGAGAUGGCGGUUUGAAGAGUGGCGAGGUGUAGACUUUUGCAUGAAAUUUCGCCGUAAGAUCGCUGUCCCGCCGCGCGUGACCAAUGGUUCUCUGGUUUUCGGCUCUGCUUAACGCUUUUCAUCUUGAUUUAUGGUCUGCUUUGCUUUCUUAAUUAAAUGCCACCUGCUUUUGACUUUAAUUACAUUUCCUUUAAGCAAUGGUAAACAUCUUCAUCACAUUACAUUAUGGGGUUGGACCACCUUCAUUAAUUCUGGCAACCAGAAAAUAUACUUAGUGCCUUCAUUGCCGAAAUUUGGAGCAACAAUGGAAAAGCCUAUGUAUAUAUACGGAUACCCUUCAAAGCAAUUACCUGAAUCAUUAGUUAGAAUGUAGUUAAUUUUCCUCCUCUUUUUUUUUUUUUUCUUUUUUAGCUUAGAUGGGGUGGAAUGCGGAUUAGUAUUUAAGGAUUUUCUAAUUGAGAUUCUUUUACGCUUAAUAACAUCUUAUUUUUCUAUGAUUGGUGCUAGACUGAACAGUAUUGCUACGAAAGGGGGGGGGGGUCAUAAGAGGCUAAUACUAGUGUAAUUCUCCAAGAGGAUAUAUAAUAUAACACCAAGAAAUUCAUUAAUUUCUGAUUUUUCAGACAGAAAAAGAUCGUCUCAAACACGUGUGCAUUGUAGCAGAAUCAAUUUACAAGCUUGAUAUUACACGUUUUCUUUUGUGGAGGAGGAUGAUAGCUGUUUUUUUGGCACUUUCACAUCAAUAGCAGCCUAGAACGCCUGCUAAUUUGUUUGUAGUAGUCAAGCUGAAUGGUGGUGUAUCCUGCUUUUAAGAUUGUAAAGUUUAUUGUCUAAACAGUUGUAGGAUGUAAUUGAGUCGAGUUGAACUCGAAUAUCGCCAUACUCGAGUUCGACUCAACUUGCAGGAAUGAUACUCGAGUUUGAGCUCGAGCUCAAGCGAGUAGCGUUAUUGGAAUUUGAUACAUUAUUCAUAGAACUGGAACUUGACUCCCAUGGGAUCUGGUUCACCUUAUCGAGUUGGAUUCACGAAAAUUUGGAAAUUUCAUUUUUUUAACAAAUUUUGAGCGAAUGACAUUAUCACUCUUCAAAAAUUUUUAUACAACCUAAGACAUUUUGUAAAUUCAACCAUCCUUGUAAGCAUAAGGAUAAUUUUAUAAAAAUAAUAUAUUAAAAAAUUAAAAUUAAAAAUUUCGAUAAGAUUCGAUGAGCUUUUGAGUUUUACUACUGAAUACUCGAACUCGAUUCGUUAGGGCUUGUCGAGCUACUCGAACUGGGGUUGAACUCGGAUUACUUGAACUCGAUCAAUCCGAAUUUGAGUCGAGUUUUUGAUUAAGCUGCUCACGAGCAGAUCGAUUCGAUUACAACCCUACUAAGUACUGCAGGAUGUGUAAUGGUGUAUCCGGAAGCACUGAGCAACCAAAAUUCAAGUGAUUAAAUUUCGGCAGAAAUUCAGGUCAUCUGGUCCAGAUGAUUUAGUCAAUACUAAUAACAAGUUGAGCAGUAGAUUUAGAACAACUCACCAUGGUAAAAGAUACAUUAGCCAAAAAUAGCUAGUACCAGUUAAUUUUAGGGAAGUCUAGUCGAAUCUGAUGGCUAUAUUGGUGAAACUGCAAAACAUAUUACUAGUACAACAUUUGAUGUCAUUGGAACUUGAUUAGGAGAAACCGCACACCAUGCAGUCCACUGGAAAAGAAAAACAUUCACCUGGUGGUCUUGACUCUUGAUCACUUUCAGCUGUAACACAAGGCAUCCUGAAGACGAAACCGGCUAAUUUGCGGCUCCAACGCAAUGAUUGCAAAAUGCAAAUAUUGCAUUCAUGACCAGGAUGAGAAUCCAGCCACGCCUGUGGCUCAUUCCGCACGUAACGCUCCAAAUCCAAUCCCCUCUCCGCUCCCCAAGAUAAAGUUGGGCUGAAAUGUCUGGUCCAAAACCGAAUAAAAAUGGGUUGGGCCUGCAUUCAUCGUAGUCGGCAAACGAGCCCAAACGUUACAAUGCCGAAAGACACGUGCAAGGCUAACAAUCAAUCGAGAAACUGCGUGGACCUUGCCAACCCAACACAAAAACACGCGUUCCCCAAACUUUUACUUCCAUUUCCUCUUUGACCCAAAGGAACGAAAAAGUGCUUCAGAAAAGCAAUAGGGAAAAAAAAAAAAGUUAAAAAAAAAAGACGAAAAGAUGACGGAAAAUAAGAACGCCUUCGAUUCUGUCCGUGAAUGGAUUGCCGAGCACAAGCUUCGUACUGUUGGUAAAGUUUACUCUUUUUUCCUUUAUUGCUGUUUGUUUUUGUGAUAUUAUAUUUGAUGGGCUCAGUUGUUUUCUUCUUGCUUUAAUACGAAGGGUGUUUAUGGCUGAGUGGAAUAGCGGGUUCGAUUGCCUACAAUUGGUCUCAACCCAACAUGAAAACCAGCGUUAAGAUUAUUCACGCCAGGUUUGUAUAUUUUUGCCCUUUUGCUUCCUCAGAGAUAAAUGUAAGUUGUUCAGGAGUGUGAUAUAGGAACGAUUCUUGAAUCAGCUGUAAUUUGUUACACUUGAUAAAGAUUAAAUUUUUAUUACAUUUUAAAUGUUAUGUUAUUGGAAAAGUACGUUUGUAUGUGUUUUAGUUCUUAGACGUGAUUUGUUGCUCCAUAGAAAAGUGGGGUUGGGAGGUAGGAAUUGGGUGAGGAAAUUUGAAAUCAAAAAUGACCGAUCCCAAAUUUACCUUUUCGCCUGCAGUUCUUUUCUUGGUUCGGCCUCAAGUACCUACUGAGGUUGCUUAAAGCCCUCUCUUCUUGUAUGUUUGAGGAGGAGAAACGUAGAGAUGAAGGUUUUUAUAUGCAGUUCUUCUUGUAUGUUUCAUUGAAGUAAAUGAAACAGUGAACGUGCAUUUUUUUUGAUACCAUUGAGUUUGUUGUGUUUAGGCUAACGGAUCCCAAAUCCUGAAUGAUCUUGUCGUAGUGUGAAAUGAUACGAUUCCACCAGUGACCUCUUUAUCGUUCAAUGGGCAAUAAUGAAGUGAGUUAUGCUUAACUCUCAUGUUUUACCCUGAUCAAACUUAGUUUUGAUAUUGCGCAGCCACCUGGAUUUAGAUAUUAAUAGUUGUAGGAAUUAAUGUGAUAACCACAUCAGAAGCAUUAACUGCUGGUAUAGUGAGCAAAUCAAACUUCUUGUAGAGUGGCUUUCGGUUUAAGUAGUGUGAUGGGAGAUUAAAAAUUAGACUUUAUGAGGUCCUCAAAAUUUUUUGGCAGAAAUAAGGAAAGCAAGAAUGAUAAUUCUAAGUGCCUGGGCACACUAAUUGAUGUAAAUGUAGCACUCACAAAAUCAGUGAUUUUCGUUUCCAGGCUUGUCUAGUGCUGGAUACUUCGCAUGCUUGGUGAUUCACUGUUAUGGUAGGCUGACUAAAUUAUCUAUUGACUACUAUGAUACUGGCCUACUAGCCCCUGAUAAGACUUUCCUGUUUGGAGAUCAGGUUUGCUGAAUUAACAAAAUGUUACCGUCCCUUGGAUUCUGCAGAAUCCUCGGUUUUAUCUAAUGUAUUUUUUAGAGUACAUGGUAGGGGCUGUGGGAGCAGCAUGGCUCUUCUUCUGAAGCUUUACACAAGCUCUUGGUGGCUUUUCCACUCACAUGUCUAUUUCAGGCUCUCCACAUAUGAAGUAGUCAGAUUAAUGAAUGUUUCAAAAUAUUCUCUCUAGCUGAUUUCUAGUCGCCUAUGGUCUAGAUCUGAAAAUUAUUAUGUCUAAGUAAUUUUUUUGAAUUCCUGCUGUGAGAAAUUAGGAUUGUGGUAGGUUGUUUUGGUUAAUAUUCCAGUGCCUAUAUUUUUUCCAUUAUUAUUAUUUUUUUUGGGUUCUGGUAUUUUGACUUUUCUUUUCGUGAAUCAGGUUGCAUGCGCAAGCGCUGACACUUGCUGCAUUAGUUGGGGCUGCUGGUGUUGAAUAUUUUGACCACAAAUCUGGAGCAAAAGCUGAACGUGUUGCCAAGUUUCUUAAUUAUGAAGGACAUCCUCAAAAGGAUUGAAUCUGUGAUUCGUUGAAUGUUAUUACAUCCACUUGGAAUAUCAUUUAAUCUAAUACGAGAUAGUCUUAGUUCCUUAAUAGGAUGUCUUUUCGGGGAAAACACACGGAGCUUUUGUUUUCUUGUGAUAUGUUUGAUUAUUCAGCCUGGAUGCUCAUAGCUUCUGGCCCCCUUAUUGAGAACCUGAAGAAGAGGAAAAGUGAAUGGAAUAUUUCUAUUUGCAGUAGUUAUCUUGGUUUUUUCUUGGGUUUUUGGCUUAAUCGCUUACGUUUUGUUAAAACUUAAAAAACUGAAAAACUCAAAAGGGACGGCAAAUCCCAGUGGUACCAUUAAGCAUACUGCACCUAUGAUUUUAGCUUCGUUUUCUGGCAGUAUCACAUUUCCGUUCAUUUUGGUGCAGUUCUGCUCAUACAAUUGUCUUAUCUUAACCUUGAAAGGGAAUUGUAGAUAACGACUCAGGACUAUCCUACUUUUGAUUCUACCAUUUCAUUUUAUAUGUCACUAAAGCUUCAGUUCCACUUGCUACAGCUGUGCUAUGAAAACAGAACUUUUCCCAGUUACUGAAAAAGUUUGUACAGGACGGAUGUUUGGAACGUUGCUCCAUGCAGCAAAUGCCAAAACUUGCUAUAUUAUCCACGUACUAAGAACACUUGAUCCCGGUAAAACCACGCGAAGUUGUUUGUACAUGAUGGUAAAACUUUCAAGUCAUUUGACAUGCAGGGAGCGGUUAGGACUAACUUCGUGCAAGAUGUUGUGCCCCAAUUGAAUUAUGCAAACAAAUAUCAGAUUUUCCACUAAUUUUCAUGCCAGGCGUACACAAUUUUGGAUGAUAUACAGUGAUUUUAUCGUAUGAUGUUCUUGUUUUCUAGUUACAUUCUUUGCUUUAUAUAUAUAUAUAUAUAUAUAUAUAUAUAUAUAUUUAUAUAUAAACUUUUUACAUGGGGAAAAUGGCUCAAACUGAUUCUAAGCAUUUGAGUCUACCCAUAUCUGGGGUCAUGUCCGUCUUCUGUUACAGUGGAAUCCAGCCCUGUACAAUGACAAUAUUACACGAGUACGAGGAUUAAUUGUUACAGAAUUAAACCGAAUUGUAAUUUCUGCUGAAUUUAACUAACCUUGAUGAGUCCUGUCUCAGUACCACAAAGAAUCAUGUCAUUGGCGGAAAGUAGGCUCGUUAUUUUGCUGCCAGCUGAUAAUCUUCCAACUUUGUGUAGUGUUCCUCUCAACCAGAUCUGGACACAUAUGAAAUACAGGUAAGAUGAGGGCACCAAAUGAUUUUGUCCAGGGAAAAUGUGUUUAAUCUUUUUUGUUCAAGAACAUAUGAAGAUCUUGUUCAUUCCUACUCUACAGUGGAGCAUUGACAUUCCAUAUUUGCCUAGCAGUUAUCUACAUGUGAUAGUCGUCUUGCUCGACUUACCUUAUUUCAAGGCAUUAAGCCCUAUAAUUAAUCUGAUUUUGACAUGAACCAGUCAAUUUAUGAACUAGAUAUUGUUGUUUACCUGAAGACUGCUUCUUGAUGCAGCGGUAUUCAAGUAUAUGAAAUCCUCUACUACUUCCAUAGCGAGCACAUUUGCACCUUUCUCAGACAUCACUGAUACUUGGGGCUUAAUGUUUCGUCUCCAAUCCUGCACGUUUGUCCUAUUACUGAAGUGUUUUAAUAGAUUAGAUGUUAACAAAUAGUAUACCUUUAUUGUAGAACCUUCAACUACUACACUUCCACCAUAUAGCCAGUCCUUGUAAACAGCUAGGGUGUUGACUGGCUUAUUCUGCAUCAGCCACUUCUUUGCUGGUGCUCUAAUCUCUUGUUCUCUGCAGUUUGUUAUGGCCAAUUCCUGAAUCAAGGUGUAUAUUACUGCGUGUAUUAUAUUGGGAACCAGCUGUGUGUUCAUUGAAGCCUCAAACUAACCUGUAUGCUUGAAUCUACACACCCCGCGUAUACCUUCCCUUGUACAACCGUCAUGGCCUUUACACUUUUAUUCUUGAAAAUGUCUUUUGCAUUUCUUGAGGCAUCAAAAACCUAGUAGAUAGGAUAAUGUUAAAGGUAAUUAGUUCGUACACUCAUUCAGAAUAAUGUUCAUGACCAAAUUAUAAGUUCGCUCAUCAUAAUCAUUACCUUCAUUUUAUGACCUCGGCUAAUUGUGAAAAUUAAUUGCCCAAAAGUAUCAAUACUUUGAAUUGAUUCCUUGGUUGCUAUUAUUUCUAUGCAUUCAAGAUUUCUUUGGACCAUUUGCCAAAUCUGCAUGAGGGAAAAAAAAGCAACGCUUCUUAUGAAGAUGCUUGUCAUUUUUCUGCCAUCAGCACAACUGAUAAGAGAAAUGAUGGUUUUCCUACCUUUAUUGAUUUGUCUGCAGAUCCGCUCAGCAGGCAAUUCCCUUGUUCAAGAAGAGCAAAGCAUGUUACUGCCUUAUUGUGAUUUUUCAUGUCCUGUACUAAUGUUGCAGUCUGUCCCUUAAUGUCCCAUACCUAUGAUAUCAAACUGCAGGUUAUGAUGAUUUUCUGCAUCAAAUUCCAUGUUAUGCUUCUUGAGAUCGAGGGAGUCAAAUAUAUUGUUGAAACUCCAUGAUGGGCUAUUAGAAGAUUCUCCCAUGCUUUUGGCCAAGUUCAACAACAUAAAGAGAAGAUAAAAGGGAAAUGCUUGCCCAAAAACUAACUUGGUGGGGAAUGACAUGCUUUUGGCACUAAUUUAGUUUCGUGAUUAAGAAGUGUGAAAAACAGAGACAGAACUAACCUUAAUUGAACCAUCUGCAUAUCCACUGCAAAGCUGUCCCCUGUAGUAUAUGAGAGCAGUUACAGCUCCAUUACGACCAUGACCAACCUCCAAAGUUUGAGUAUGAACACAAGAUAUUCGCUGCAUGAUGCCAAUGUAUCAGAGGUUAGUACUUGAAAACAUAGAAAAACACAUUUGCACAUGUACCAGAUAUCGUGAUUUUUUCUUUUUCCUUGUGAAUUUGAAUGUGAUGGAUCAUGCUUGACGUUUAUCCUAAAUUUCGUGUUGAUGUCUAUUCCAUCGAAACUUGGUUGCUGGAUACCUCUUUGUCAGCUGCAUUCGUUGGCAUUCAUCGUUUCAUCCACAAUGGUAUGUUGUUUCAAACACCUGCAUCCUUUCACUUGGCUUCCUUCUUAAAAAAUUAUCGUACUUAAAGUUAUGAGAUUUUGUAGCUAUAUUCUUUGAGGAAGAUGAGAGGACUUGAAUGUUACCUCAGUACGGGAACAUACAAGAUGUCUAUCACCAGUUUCUUGACAUUUUGGGGAAUAUUAGGUGCAACUAAAUUAAGCUACUAGUGACAUUGCAAGUUUAUUGCGAUUCAUUAAACAAAUUCUAAUGUGUGUUAGAAGUGUUGUUGAGUUGCUAUGGACUUUAUGCUGUAAUUCUACUUUGUAGAUCCAAAUGCCAAGUGCUAGACUUAAGAGUAAAACAAGGCAUAUUUUGUUCUUAAUCUAUUUGCUCCUUUUAUUUAAAGAAGUAAAAUUCUUUUUGUAGGACUUGCCUGCAAAGCUGGAAUCUGUUGAUCCACCAAGCUAAAGAAAGGGGGUGGAAAGUAUACAAAAAAGUGAUGCUUCAUGGAUGAUUACAUCAACACAAAAAUGCACAUCCUGGACUCAAUGAUAAGAAAACUGUGGAUGUAAUUGCAGACCUUACCCACUUAUUAGGUUGGAAAUAGUCAGCUACUCUUAGUAAUUCCUCUGCCAUCCAGGUGACAUUUGCAAGGCGUCUCAGUGAUUCUCGCACUCCUUCUGAAAAGUGUAUCAGCUUCUUCAUCCCUGCUUAAACAAUACUGUGAGGUUAAUUAAUGAGUUGAUUAAAACGGUGUCCUUACUCAAGGUGAUUGUAGGUGAUUAUAGGUUUAAAGUGGAAGAACAUGAUUCGUAUGGUCGUUCAACAAAUAAAUAUGUGACAGAUCCUAGUUUGUUCUCCCAGAAUCUAGUUGAUUAAAAUGGGGUCCUUACUCAAGGUGAUUGUAGGUGAUUAUAGCCUUAAAGUGGAAGAACAUGAUUCUUAUGGUCGUUCAACAAAUAAAUAUGUGACAGAUUCUAGCUUGCUCUCCCAUAAUCUAGCUAAAAAACUGGUCUGACAGUGUAAUGGAAAACAUUGCACAUAAUAGUUUCUUCAUCAGCUCACUGCUUUGGAACCAGUCUCCUCAAGGGCUCACAGAGUAUCUGGCCUUUUAUUUGGUUGCUGUGAACAUCAUUGUGUCUUUCAAUAUGUUCUAACCGUAAUAAAGUAUUUUAAGUUCUUUGCUAAUCAAUGCUUAGAUGUAAAUUAAGUAGUUAUCCUUGUUCUUGCAACAGGUAACUGCUCACCAUAAUAUCGUUUAGUCAGUUAUGUUUGCACAUAUACACUAAGACACCCCUACGAAUUCAGAAGCCAAACUUUCCAACCAUUGACAGUGUAAUCCCUCGUGAAGCCUUUUUGACAAGAUAUGACAGCCUCAGAAGCUGGAAUAUUUUCCUCCUGUUUUUAGUCUAUCACAUUCUUAUUUUUGUUCAAUCUAUAUGAUGCCCUAUCAUGCUAUGGGGACUUUACCUCUACCCAAAGUAUAGUUGUAGAUGCAUAGACAUGCCAAUAGUCUUUCCUCGAGUUCAAAUCCAGGAUGCACAUAUUGCUCGAUUUUGUUCAACAAGAUCUCACAUGCACUGGAUCGCAACUCAUCAGAACUUUUUGCAACUUCACAUCCAAUCCAUGCAAUAGCUGUGAGACAGUCUCGAGAAAUCCUCUUUGACUUACUGUCAAGUCCCUUCACCAGAUCAUGGAAGACAGGAGCGCCAAACUUCAUAAUGCGUCUUGCAAGUUUGCUGCACCAUGCGUCUAUGCCAGCAUCCUAUAGUUCCACAUAAGUUGUUACAGUUGCUCAUGGGUUAUUUUUUCAGAUAAUUGCACCUUGUUUCCUUUUACCGUUCCAAGCUGACAAUAUGAUGACAAUUUACCUGCAAACUUUCAUCUGAGAAGUCAUAAUUCUUUAUCAUGUUCUUGUGAUGUAGUGAGGUUAAACCAGCCCUUUUUGCCAACCACGCCACUGUGUAUGGUUCUCCAGUCCAAGAAUAAGUUCCACCUAUAUUUGAUAGGAUGAAUGCUGAUAAUGCUUGUUUUGCAGAGUUCUCCUCAGAUAUCAGUGAUUCAAGAAGUUCCUUCAUGGCUUCUUCUCGGUACAUGAGCUUGCUAGAUGCUUCUUCCUGAAAUAUGGAAAAUCCUUAAAUCGUCUUAAGUAACAUAUGUGGAUAUUAAUUUUUGUUUAUGGAGAACUUAAACAAAUUUACGUUACCAGCAAGUCUAAUUGGAGUAACAAACUUGCUGCUAAGAGUCUAUGCUCAGGUUGAGAAUUCUGGAUGAGAAGUAGCAAUGCACUCAUGCUGUUGAUGCUUCCUUCUUUUCUUAUCUCUUGCAGCAAUUUAAUUGCUGAUGACCUGAUACAGAAGUGUCUCAUUAGACUGCCACAACUAGGAUCAUGAUCUACUUACAACAUAGGGUCCAGUUAACUUGUUUUUGGAAAUUACUUGUUCCUGUUAAUGCAAGGAGGGUUUUUGCUAUUUUUUAGUGAAGCUCCACCUUGAGUCCACAUUGUUAGUUGAAUAGGUUAUUUAAGUUGAAUAAUGGGUCUAGUCUAUUGACACAUUGAAUCGCUGAAAGAAUGCUGAUGCAUCUGAGAAAGUUUGAUAAAAUUUACCCCAUCUCUCUCGCUCUCUCUCUCUCUUAUUUUUUCAGCUCUUUGCUUUUAGCUAAUGGCAUUACACUCAAAACACUUAAAGCAGCAUUAUAAUACCUUGGCAUGCGAAGCAGUUCAUGAAAAAAUUCCAGGGCUGUUGAUGUUGCUCGUUUCUGAUUGCUUCGUAGGAGAGAGAAAAGUUCAGUAAUUGGAGCGAACUCGCAUAUGAACUUUCUGCAGUGUGCAUCAUAACGCAUGCAUCUUACAAGGAUAGCAGCCAAAGAGAUGAACUCUUCAAGGUUAUUGUUUCCUGGGACAUCAAGGAGCCCAGAAAGUACUCUAGGUGAGCUGAUAGUGGACAGGUGCAUGUUAUUUGUUGUAUAGUCAAAUGCAGUCACAAGUAUUUCAAUAAUCAUCAGUGAUGCUGCCCGAGGUGUCAGCCGAAUUGAUGUUAUAGCAUCCUUGUAGCUGUUAGAAGUGCAGACGACCUCCACUAAACAAGGUAAAAUUCCUAAUGUCUUGAUUUCUUCAGGUGGAGGAUUUAUCAAAUAGAUUAAGAUAGAUGCCUCAUGCACAUUUCUUCUAAGAGCAGUUGCCAAAUCAUACAACUGCAACCCCUUGCGCUUGAUGUCUUCAAUAAUUGUUUUGUUCCCUGAAACUAUUGUUGACAGUAUAGUCACUGAAGCUCUGAUCACCUGCUCCUUUUUGGAGGUUGAAAUAGCCAUUAGCAGUUGAUCCAAAAUUAUGUCCUUCAGUAGGGAAUACUUCAAACCUCUUCUAUUGUUCAACAAUUUGUAUACCGUUGAAAUUUCAACUGUAUAAUCUUCCUCAAGAUUUCCCAGUGUUUCGGAGAAGCAAAGCUUUGAAAUUAGCCUUUCUAGUAUUUGGGCCUGCUCGAUAUGAGAUGUUUCUUCAGGAUAUUUUUGAAGUUGAUGUAAAGUAUCACCAAAAGUUGUGCUUUUCAUUCCCGUAUCAGAAACUAAACUUCUUGUACGAUGCAGUUGGUGGAACUGAUGACCCCUUGGAGGAGUUGCCAACUCUUUAAAACUAGAUUGUCGCCAAUCUUGUAACUCCAAUUUGCCUUGAGCAGCAUCCUUUUUUCUUUUUCCAUGUACAGGGACUUGUGAAUUAUUGUCUUUCGGUCUUGUAGCUGAUACAUCUAUAUCACUGAAUGAGCUGGUUAAUGUUCUAGAAAGGAGAUUGAGAACAGCCAAUCCUCGGCCAUCUCUACGCAUUAGAUGUGUAGAAUGCUGGGGCGUACACGCUGUAAUUUCUGCAUGCUGCUUGUAGCAAGAAGCUUGCAAGUUCCUAUAUUCAGUUAAAUAAAUCAUAUUAGUCUAUCACAUUAAUAUCUUUUGAAAGAUCAGUCACUAAAAAAGAAUUUUAAUAUUUUGACGAUGCACCAAACUGGUCAUCAACUUCAGCUUGCUGGUCGUCUGCAUUUUUCUUUCUGAUUUUCAGUGAGAAUGCCGAGCCUCUCUGGUUUCCCUGAUUCAAGAAGAAGAAGAAGAAAUUGUGUGAUCUAUUUAUAGAAGAACUCCUCGUUCAAAUACUCAUCUUUCUAGGAAGGUAUUACCUCAGUAAACGUUUCUUCUGUUGAACUGCUGUUGCAUGACUCCAUGGAAAUUGGGGUAUCAGACUGUGAUUCAGUUAGGAUAUCUUUUAAGCAUUUCAUACUCGAGCUUCUCAUGGUUUCUGCGUAACAGCCCUGUGUCAAAUGUGGAAUAGCUAUUGCAUCAUUUAGGACCCUGAAAUCUUGAUUAUCAGAUCCCAUUAUUGGUAAUGUAUUCUGUAUAAUCAAGGUGGACCUAACAGACUCGUUUUUCCUCUAGGUUAAACAUUAUAAACAAGUUGAAGGAAUGUAUCCUUUAUGUUUUCUGAGCCCUUUUUUUUUUCUGUGUCGUUUCUGGAUAUGCAACUUGAUUUACAUACAUCGAUAGAUGGUCUGCAUGCGCAUAUGGAAAUAGUUAAUCUUCAAGUUUCUGAAAGAAUUCAAUUCUAUACUUAAUUGCUCCCAAGAUAAAACAUAGGCAAAGUCUUACCCUAAGAUUGCUCCCUUGGCUUUUCCCAUUGGCACUUCUGAAAACUGGUUCCCUGUUCAUAGUCAUUAAUUAAUAACGAGAUAUGGCUAGUUCAAGAGUAUUGAGCAUUUCUCAGAGAAAGAAUUGUUAAAAAAAUUUAUAAUAGUAAAAGACAAGAUGCAUAAGUAUGUAAAUUCUAUUUUACUAGUUCAAAGUCUAAUUUAGCAAUCACUUUGCCAUAAAGCAUGUAAGUGCCAACCAGUUGAGACGAAAUGAGCGUCAAGAAAAACUCUCACAUUAUGUACUUUGAUUUGUCGUCUGGGACAGCAUUGCCUAUGCUUGCAAGGUGCUUUGUAUCAUGCUCACCAUUAGACAUGAUCUGGUAAUAUAACAACCAGGCUUUAUAUUCCUUAGCCAUCCAUCCCAUAAUUUCAUUGGCCUGAUCCUCAUCAAGAUCUAUGACAGUGGCUGAUUUUGAUAACCUACUCCCAGGUCGUUCCUGCCUUUUAUGCCUGAUGUACAUAUGCAUGAUACUUUGGCAAAGCUCUGGCGCGAAUUCAUCACGGACAAGCCUAGGGGAAACAAGAAGAGCUUGAAGAAAGUGUAAUGCAGCCUGCCAAUCAUCUCUUUGGAGCUUCCGGACAACUGAUAGGUAAAAGUAGGAGCAACAGAUCAAAUAUUCAUUGGGAAUUCCAGAUGUAAAUCCUUGCUCAUGGAGUGAAGCAGGAACUUGAAGCAUUUUCUCUGAAUUCUGCAGCCUCGAGGUUCUCUCUUCUUCCCCUUUUGCUUGAGUUGCCGCAUCAAUAGCCUCAAUACCCCAAUACAGAUUUGAUACUAUCGAAUACUCUGAGAAUUCAAAAGUUGGUUGCUUCCGAAUUUUAAGCUUGGAAGUGCAUUUGAAUUUCAAAGACAUCCAUGCCUUAUUAUUUGCAAGCAAUGCAUUUAUGUGCUGAUUGAUUGUAGUGGCAAGUGCACUCACAGACUCAAUGUCUAAUCUCAUAGUGUUAUCUUUGGAAAAGGAUGAAGCAGCAGAACCAGAGAUGGAAGCCAUUGAGUUCUGCAACAAUUUAGCCUCAUCAAGAACAAAAGGAAGAAGAAAAAGAGGCAGAUAAGAGGGGGAUAUGUAUGUAAACGUUGCAGAGCAUUAGAGGUCUGCAACAUCUGCUCGUGAUUGUUUGCUAAAACUCCCAAACUUCUGUGGUCCCUCUCUUACUGAGUAUUAGCAGUAAGACAGAGAUAUGGCCGUUGGGGCUGUCGAAGGAGGGAAAGUAAUCGAGUGAAACAAAUUUAUGUUUUGGCUGCACUUUCUUAGUCACUGAAGAUCAUUAUCCAAGCCAUAUUAACAACAGGUUCCCUUUUUUUUUAAGAAUGUUACAGUUGAUAGUUGGUGAAGAAUGAGUAGGAAAAAUCUUCAAAUGAAUGAUACACUUAUCUGAAAACUAUUCCUGCUAAGCAGAAUGUGUAGUGCCUUUUCGGAAGUUGAUGUAUGUACUUGACUCCUUUCCCAUGUAUGGUCCUUUUUAUAUUAAAUUCAGUGCAUCUUUGUUUUCUUUUGGGCAAAUUGAUUAGUCAUGGUGGAUUAGUGCUCCACCAUGAUGUUUAACCCUUUUCUACAUCUUCUAGACAAGCUUACUCACAUUCAAUUCACGCGUGCUCACCAACAGAGACACCUAUUAUUGUCAGACAAACAAAGAAAGGGGAAACAACCCGACACCUUAUGGUCUUCGCUUUCCAGUUGUGAAAAAGAUAAUUGUGGUUAGUAGCAGAAUAGGAAAUCUGAUUGAUGUUUCAGGAAAGAAAUUAUGCAUUCUUACAAGGGGCAAAAAAAAAAUCUAGUCUUUCUGAUGGAGCUCUGAGUACUGGAGUUUGGGGAACAUCUUUUUCUAGAGGUACAUCCCUAUCUUCUUGAAUUCUCAUCACCUAACAGUGACAGGGGGUGCAAUAUUUCUCUCAAAAUGAUACAAGGGCAUAUUUCGUGCUUAGAUUUUUAACCAUGCUUGCUUAUUUAUCUCAGUCGUUUAUUUUCUUGAAAGAUCAUCAUGUUAAAUGAUUUGCUGGCAUUUUCUAUACAGAAUGAAAUUCUUAAUUUCUACAAGGUCGUGAGUUGAUGUGGUAGUAGAGUAGGUUGCCAUGCAGAGACUGGUAUCACAUAAAACAAAAUACAGCUCGGACACUAAAAAGUUUGAUUCACCCUUAGCACGUAUGAAGACUAGAAGAAGCCAAAUGCAGAACAGAUCGAUUCCUUGACCUGUCAGAACAGAACCGUGCACCAUUUCCCUUUUAUCAACUGGAGUAGCUUUUUUCCACCAAAAUUCCUUGCCAAAAUAUACAUUAUUUGGCAUAACCUAUCUGACACUUGCUUAGCACUAAAACACAAGCCAAACUCCAUACUAAAAGAGAAGAGAUGAAGAAAAAGAAGGUCCCGAUUCCUGAAAAACAGCUAGAUUCUGGGAUAUAAUUCCGAUGACAUAGCGGGUCAUGUGAUCAACAUGGAAGUGUGAUGAUCAAAUUUAAUUUCUUUUGUUGGGUUUGAUGGAGGCCAAUAAUGACAACCCUCGCAAGGCUGUCACGAAAGAGACCCUACAAGAUACAUUAGCAGAGGCUUCUGUAUCACUGCUUGCUUACUCUCUCAGGCCUUCUGUGAAUGACUUGUGAAAAUCAGACUGUGAUUCCAGAAUUUACUGCACAAUCCCAUUACCUCUUUUGCCACAGUGGUAGUGCAAAUUGCAAAGCUAUGAGAUUUCAGCAAGUGGAUGACUCCAUUAUUGAGUUCUUGGAUUGGGGUCCCUAGUGUCACUGCACUGGUAAGGUCUAUUCUGUCACGGGCACAGAAACAUUUGCGUCCUUUUUAAGAUUCUUGAUUUUCUGGACAUUAAAUCAAAUCACAUGUAAUCAUGUGUAGAUGAAAGAUUGAAAGGAAAGUAGGACGAGCAUCUUCAUUUAGCUUCUACAAGACUGUUACCUAAACUCAGAUGCAUCAAAUUCAUAAUUUGUCGACCAAAAUCGUCUAAUGAUAUUAAUCAUGGAGAACCCAAGGAAGUAACUAAAAAUGCACCAAUAAGCGGUAAGCAUAUUUACCAGUAAACCUGACACUAGAAAAAUGAGGGAUGACUGGAAAAUGGUCAGUUCUAUUGCUCUUGUCCUUGUCUUUGCUUUUUCCAUGUUUUCAUUUUUAUGCAUAAUUGCAAGAAAAGUAUAGUUAAGAUUAUUCUAAGUGAUAUGUGAAGCUACAUGUUGGUGAGCAAAUACUACUAUAACUAGAAAAGAAACAUCCAACAUAAAGGUUCUACCAAUUCUUGAAAAAACAAAAUAUAAAAUAUCGGAAGACAUAUAUAUGUGCGUUGGAAUGAAAUGGGUCACAGGCUCACCUAACUCUACAAAGCCAUAUCAGAAGUGAUUGGACUUCGGAGUCUCCGAGUCCAGAGACUUGGUGUUCUCUUUAACUUAAGUGGUUGCCAUGUAACAAGUUCAGCUGUUGAGGCCCGAAUUGAUCAAGACGUUAAGGACUUGGAUAUCACGCACUGCACAUAUUUGGGAGCACGGCCCAAAAUGAGACAGCUUAGUUUUUUUUUUUAAUCUUAUAUUAUUUUAUUUUCAUUUUUGUGAUUUAUUUUGGCAAAUGAUAUUUGCACUCCAAAAUAAUCCUCUGGCACUCCACCAUUCGUCAAGUAAUGAGAUGCUAGAAUGGAGUGCCAGUAGCUAUUCUUGGAGUGCAAAUGUCACUUGCCCUUGCUUUUGUAAAAAGUUGAGCAAUAGGAUUGGUUGAGGUGAAAAAUGAAUUCAUCAUCCAUGUUGUUUUCCACUUCCUCUGCCCCAUAUGCCUUUUGGUACUUUAACUUUCUUGGAAAAGUAAUCCCAACAAAUUUAGAAAAAAAAAAAAGUCUUGACAAUAUUUAUAUUUACAUUGUUGAAUAUCAAAUGUAUGAAGGAGCUUACUUGUGCUUUCGCUUGCUUACACUCACCUAGCUUAUAGUUUGAGUGAUAGUUGAAUAACCUUUACCUCAGCUUUUAAUGAGACUGAAAUGGACUGUUUACGCUAAGAUUAAUAGUAGUGUCACUGCGAUCAAAUAUCUUAUCAUUUUACUCCUAGAAGAACCCUUAUUAGAGGUGCCUUUUGGAUGAUCUGCCUCAGCUGCAAUAUGUAGAUAAUGACAAUUCGAAUAUGUGUGAAUCUUGAUAACUAAAUCUGAACUAUACAUAGCUUUGUUUAUUCGAGUACGAGGCCAUGAGCAUAUGAUGUGUAAGUUGUCAAUGGCCACUAAAUGAAGGCCUCAACAUGUCAAAUUUGUUUUGUUUGAAGAGGUUGAACAUUGCGAUAGCACGCUUUUGAUGAUCUUUUUCUUUUUUCCUUCUACUGUUGAGAAGUCAAAAACUGUGUAGUUAAAGAUGCUUCUCGACCUGUAAACAAAAGAAACAAAGGAUAGAAAAUCAUCUUUAUCAUAUUAUAUAGACAACUUGUAUGAGUCUAUUCAUAUCUACUUCACGUACAUGUUGCAUGCUUAUGAUCAAUUUCAAAGAUGUUACGUUAAGCUCUCUGACCUAAUAAAACUGCCCCGAUUUGACAGACUAAUUAAACUUACCUGCUAAUGUAGACAAUUCAAUAAAUAUGACCGAGUCUUCUUCACACUGCCAUCUGAUGAUCAAGAAGAACCCUUCGUCCUCAUCAAUACAAAAGACCAAUGUCAACUUCAUUUUCUGAUUUCCCAUGCUUAUAACUACCAGUCCAACAUUCCCUUCUAUAGAUGCUGCUGGAAAACGCUCAUGUAAAGCUAUCAUCUUCACUCAUCUUCGGCCCCUUUUUGUCUUAAUUCUUCUAUCGACUUCCCCUGGAUUGACCGCAGCUGAAAGGGAUAGUGCUAAUUCUGCAAAUAUACCAACACAUUAUAAUUUCUUGAGAGGAAGACACAGAGUUUUCACUUGUGCAAAUCACCCAACUUUGUGCUUGGAUCCUGAGAAGAACCCUUGGGGGGGAACCACUUGCUGUUUCCAAAAAUUUUGCAAGGAUACAAGAAGUGACCCGCGCCACUGCGGGGCAUGUGGGAGUACUUGUGCAUUUGGGCUCAUUUGCUGUGAUGGAAAAUGUGUAGACAUUCAAAAUGAUCCUCAACAUUGUGGUGCUUGUUUUGAAGAAUGUUCAGGCCAAAAUAGAUGCUCCUUCGCUAUGUGUGAUUAUGGUGGGUAAUAGUUUUUUUCAUUUUCUUUUUGGAUUUUUUUUUUUUUGAUGAAGAUUUCAGAAUAAUGGAGCUCCUGUUAUGCUCCUAACAAUCAAUAAUUUUAGUGCAUUUAUCAUUUUGUAAUUCAAAUUUCAAGAUGUUGGGCUCAUUGUUCUAAUCAAAGGAAGCUGGUUGCCUUUGUUGUCUCAAAUUUGUGAUGCUACCUCUCUCGUGCGUCUUUGUCUUUUAAAUACCUCUAAUCACCACAGCCUUGCUCCUUUUUUAACUUUUGGCAUAAAAAUAAGUUUAUGCAAAUGAAGGGGGGGAAAUAAAAUAAAAGCCCACAUAUCAUUGCCACCCCUUGUCACAUAAAUCAAUCGGCAAAGUAUAUGCAGUGCUAGUCAAUGGAUCGAAUAUAACUAAAAAUAUUGUUUUUUUUUUAUUUUUUUCGGAGAACCAAAAUGUAAAUUGGUGGUUUCCCUUUCUGUCUGUGGAAUUCUGAAAUAAAUAACAAGAAGGAAAGUACAUUAAGUACGCAUCAGUCAUGUUCUAAAGAAAGAUCACUUGAGGUGGAGUCGCCGACCGCAACGGAUCUUCUGUACCACACCCUGUCUCACAUCUUGUCCCACUCCUUAUAAUCUUGCCAAAUGUCCCUUAAUAAACCAAACCUUCAAACAACCCAACUUGAACCAUGUUAAAUUGAUUAAUCGAUUAACCGCACAGAAAACUUAAUCUCUUUAACCAAAAUCAAGUAAAAUAAAAACUCUUUAACCAAAAUCACAAUUUAUCAAAUUAAAAAACCCUAAAACCCAAACAACCUCUGUCCUCUCUUCAUCAUCUUCACCAUUCAAGCAGACAACUUGAUGAUCCGUUGCGCAAUUUAACAUGCAUCACCAACGCCCACAAACAUUCCCGCACUAGACUAUCUUUCUACCCCAUUCACACACACAAAUUUUGCAGACUAAAAUCUAGCAGGAAAAUUCAAGAUUUCUCAGAGGAACCCAAGUUUUAUUUUCCUUUUUCCUUGUUGGGUUUCUUCAAGGAACUUCCUUUCCAUACCGAAAAGGGUUUGCAGGAAGAUGCAUUGGCAUUGCACAUGGGAAACAUUGUUUUAAACGAAGAUGAGAUAAAGCCUGAAGAUCACGGCGUGCUCAUUAGACAAACGCACAUCAGGUAUAUGAACAAAAACACGAGUACUUCGUCAAAUUGUAGACUUGAAAACAAGAAUGCAGCAGCUAGCUUAUUAAAUAUCCACUAUGAAAAUAAUAAUUUUGUUGAUUGGUAAACCAAAUUUAGAUUAAGUUAUCAAUAUUGCCUCUGCCUCGUGGGUGAUGAAGGAAAAGUAAAGCUAUAUGCAUGACUGGGACGGGGGAUAUAAAAACACGAGCAAUGUAAACUGGAACAUGAUGAUCUUCAGGUUUGUUAAAAAACAUUUCUUUUUUCCUUCCAAAAGUAACUUGCCAUAACUUCUAACCUCGUGAAGUAAUUCAUUCUAAACUUUUAUUUUAAUAUUUUACUCUUUAGAUGACAAAACUACAUUGAAGAUAUAUUUUGUCAAUGAUAUUUUUAAUUUGUGGUUGUCUCUCUUUAAUUAUAUCAGGAAUUUGGAAUUCCAAUAGAAGACAUUUGCAAUAGGCAAAAUAUUAAGAACAUGACACAAUUAUUACAAGUGAAUAGUAUGCUUUUGUAGAUAUUAUGUCAACCAUUAGUUGCAUGUUGUUUCUUAUUUAUCUUAAUUUUUUCCAAGUAUUAUAGUUUUGCAAGUUUAUAGCUGUUUGUUUGUAUGUGUGGUCUUUUAUUUCUUAUUUUUCCGGCAGAUGUUGGACCCUUCUACCAAGGCUAUGAUUUGAUGUCUUCAAAUUUAAUAGCUAGGGAUGGCAAUGGGGGCGGGUGCCCGCGGGUGCCCGCCCCGCGGGGGGCUCUCGGGACAGGGGUUGGGGUGGGGGGUGGGGCGGGGGCGGGGGGGAAUUUUUUCCCCCCGCUUAGAAACGGGGCGGGGGGCGGGGGAGUAUACCCCCGCCCCAUCCCCCGCCCCGCCCCCCGCAAAACAAAAAAAAAUAUAAAAAUAUAUAUAAUUAUAUAUAACAUGUAAGCUAAUUAGUUAUAAACUUAUGAUAAUGAUAUUAUUAGUUAGAUAUAUUAUAUAAUGUAUAUUAGUUUAUGUAAUAUAAUUGAUAUAAUCAAUUAUAUGAAUAAUUCUACAUGUCUACUAAUAGAAUUUAUUAAUUAGUUAUACUAAAUUUACUAAUAUAUUUAUACUAAAUUUCUAAUUACACUUAAUAGAAUAACACUUUUUUCUAAAAAAAAAGCACAAACACAAUAAUGAAUUAGUGAUUGCAUUUGUACUAAAAGUGAAAACUUGACUAUUUUAGUUAUAUUUAUUUCAUCAUAUUGGAUUGUAUUCAAAUAACUUCUGUUUGAUUGUUUUUAUGAGUUUCAAUUGUAAAAUUACAAUGAAUAAUAAUUUGGUGAUGUGUUGAUAUUUUAGUACUUGAUUAUUUAUUAAAAUUUAAUUAUAAUAAAAUUAUAUAAUAAAAUUUUAUUAACCCCGCGGGGGAAGGGGCGGGGGGCGGGGCGGGGCGGGGGGAGCAGGAGGCGGGGGACGGGGCGGGGGACGGGGGGAACUAAUAGGCAACGGGGCGGGGGACGGGGGAGGGGUCCCCCGCCCCAACCCCGCCCCGUUGCCAUCCCUAUUAAUAGCACAACAACAUGCAUCAAUAAGUUUUGUCCAAGUAAGAAAAAACCUUGAUUAAUUAUUUAAUCUUAUAUAUAUUAGUUUGAUAAUUUAUAAUUAUAAUUCAAUAUAUUUGCUAACUUAGCAUUUGUUUUUGUAGGCACAAGAACUUCAAAAUAAUGAUGAUACUGAUCAACAAGUUGCUAAAGAUGAAAUUGAAAAUGGGAAAAUUGAAUAAAGAUGUUUCUGAAGAAAUGGAGGACGAGAUUGUGGGAUUGCGUUCAUAAAUUAGUUAGGCCUUUCAAUGAAAUAAUACUUUGUGCUUAUACUUCAAUUGAUUUUGAUAUUUUUGUUUAAGUUUGUGUUAAUAAACGUUCUUUUGACUAAACUGUAGAAGAGAAGAUAUACUAGUUGAUGCAACAAGUCAAGAGCUUGCGUUUCUAUUUGUUAAUGGAUUUGAAUAGCAUAAUGUUUCUGUAUUGAUGCUUAUACAUUCAGCACCAGAUAUACCUGAUACUUGUUGGUAUAGAAGAUUGAAAAAUGCUCAAGGCCAAGGAAAAGUAAAUCUCGGGUAUGACGUGCUCUGGAUUCUUGAUGCAUACAAGAAAGCGUUUUUGAUGGUGUUUUCUUCUGGUUCUCUUUCUGUCAACUCAUGAAACAGAUGAUCAUUUACAUUGCUCAUUAUACCAAUUCAAAUUGAGAAGUGUGCUAAAGCUUGAUCUGCUGACCGUUGUUUACCAAUGUGUUUACUUGCACAUUUUUCAUGUUUUCGGGUACAUCAGUGCUCUAAAAUCGACAGGUGGGAAGAUGAUAAUGCAAUAAGAGUGCCGAAGUACUGUGACUACAAUUGCUGUAUUUGAUUUGUGCCAAAGUAAGAGAGCCUUUGGACUUUUUCCAAUAAUGUUUGAAAGAAACUAUUGAAAUUCAAAAGAAGAUAUCAAAAGGUAGCCUCCCUGGCUGCUGAUGCUGUACCAUGUAUAUCAGUAUAUGUCCAUAAACCAGGCCCUAUACACCUUUGCACCCUUCUCUUUAGCACAUUCAGCCAUCCAACUCAUACACUGGCUCUCAUGGUCAGACAUAGUCAACAUUCAGCCAUCCAACUCAAGAACCUUUUCCUCUCCUGCACUUCUUGUCCAUCAUCAAGGUUGCACGAGAAUGAUAUAGGCUUCCAUAGUGAAAGAUGCAUUAACACGAAUCUUUCUUGGUUUCUCCAAAACCAAUCUAACGACUUUCCACAACGCAGAACAAAUUCAAGAAAUGAAAAUGUUUUUCUUUUUUUUCCAAUAUCAGUAAUUUAUUCAUUGGCUGAAAUAUUCAAGAACAAGAAUAGAAUAAUCUAAAUGAGUUUAGACUUGGUUUAAAAGAGGAGAAAGGGCAACUAAGCAAUCAGCAUCUAUCAAGAACUUAAUUAAGCAUUUGUAUCCAAACUACAAGACUUUUACCUAACUUUUCCAGAACAGUUUGGUUCAUCUUCCUUUUAGGCAUUUGAUCGAACAGGUGGUGAGCUUCGUCCAAUUGCCCAUUGAGAGCACGAAAUCUGAUGAGCUUUGACCAAACAACAGAAGCUAAAUUAACUUUGCAUCCAAAAAUAAAACUUCGGAAGCGGAAAAAUCCAUUACCCGGUGCAAAUUUACACUAAAACCAAAUAUUUUUCUACAAGAAAAAAGAGCUAAGAAGAAACCGAGCAAGGAAACUGCAACAUUUCGAGAGAAACUACUCGUUCGAGGCUUAUUUGCAGCCAUCAGAAAACUUCUGAUUUCGACUCUUCCUACAAGAGGAAAAAGAAAUUUCUGGAAUUAGAUACAUGACAAAAAUUAAGCUACCAUAUAAGACAGAAAGCUACAAAAAGGAACCCUCAUAUCUUAAUAAAUUAGUAAUCUUUAAACUACAAUUCCUAGGUUCUGGCAAAGAACUAGAGGAAUUUUUAUUGCAAAAAAAAUAAAAUAAAAUAGAACAUUUCGUCAUUUCAGCAUGCAGGUUUUCAAAGACUAGUUGUGGAUAACUGAUUGAGCCAUAUAACCUACGUUCAGAAACUACAGGUUCAGCUUCUCGGAGGCAUUUUGUCAAGCUGUUGGUGUACAAAAUGAUCAAGCUAGCUAUAACUUCACUAGGAUUAUAUGUACACUCAGUUCAAGCCUCAGUACCUUUCUGUCGGAGAAGCCUGAUGAUAUUACUUCUUUCUGGCUUUCAAAUUGUGGUUCUUGAAUACUUGAAACCCCCAAAGUUGGCAAAACAGAGAAAAUGAGGCAAAGAGGGUUCCUCGAAGAAACCCAGCAAGGAAAUAGGAAAAUAAAACUUGGGUUCCUCUCAGAAAUCUUGAAUUUUCCUGCUAGAUUUUAGUCUGCAAAAUAUGUGUGUGUGAAUGGGGUAGAAAGAUAGUCUAGUGCGGGAAUGUUUGUGGGCGUCAGUGAUGCAUGUUAAAUUGCGCAAUGGAUCAUCAAGUUGUCUGCUUGAAUGAAUGGUGAAGAUGAUGAAGAGAGGACAGAGGUUGUUUGGGUUUUAGGAUUUUUUAAUUUGAUAAAUUGUGAUUUUGGUUAAAAGAGUUUUUAUUUUACUUGAUUUUGGUUAAAGAGAUUAAGUUUUCUGUCCGGUUAAUCGAUUAAUCAAUUAACAUGGUUCGAGUUGAGUUGUUUGAGGGUUUAAUUUAUUAAGAAACACUUGGCAAGAUUAUAAGGAAUGGGACAAGAUGUGAAACAGGGAGUGGUACAGAAGAUCCGUUGCGGUCACCGACCAAGUAAAGUCUUAGAAGUGCUCGUACAAUGGAUGGAAGAGUAUGUACUUGACUGGAAUAGAGCUGUUCCACUAAAAAAAGAAGAUUGACAUGAUCUUUUUUAAAAAAAAAAAAUUUUCUCUUGCUUAUCGGGCUUAGUUUUGCACCAGAACUAUGUCAGAGCAUUAUUGUUAUGAUUUUUUUUUCUGAUAAUAAUCAAAGAAAUUAGCUGAUGUCAGACAUAUCUCGAUUUGCCAAAAAAAAAAAAUACGUGCCUAAUUCGUGUAUCCAUUUUCGGUGUAUUAGGUUAACCAAAAGGCCGCCGGGCUUGGUUUUCAAGUUUUUUUUUUUUUUUUUUUUUAAAUUUCCAGUAGCUGUCGGGCUGACUAAACCCAAUGGAGAAAAGAAAAAAUUUUUGUCUACCAGGCUGUCAGGUUAACAGCCUGGUAGAAAGUCGGACAAAUGCCUAGUUUGCUUACCGGGCUUAGUUUUGCACUAGAACCAUGUCAGAGCAUUAUUGUUAUGAUUUUCUUUUUUUUUUUUGGAUAAUAAUCAAAGAAAUAAGCCGAUGUCAGACAUAUCUCGAUUUGCCAAAAAAUGAAAAAUAAAAUUACGUACCUAAUUCGUGUAUCCGUUGUUCUUGCUUCUCAGCAUCUGUCCAUUCCCCCAAACAAUCUAAACAAUUUCUAAAUGUUAAAGUGGCUUGUGAUGUAGAUGCACCAACAAUGUUGGGCCCGCCCAAUUCACAGAUGUUUUUCCACCAACCCCUUCAUCGGUUGUACUGAUUUGAAGGCCGAUCUUGCCCAACCCAUGCCAUGUCAGCCCUAAUUAAGACCGCAGCGCCAUGCUCCACACCAACUGCUAACGUGGCACCAUUGCCUUCGCACGAUUCAUCUGAAAUAAGCUAGACGGCCGGAUCCAAAGUACUCCUAAAAUUUAUAAGGGGAAUAGGGUUACAUUCCUUCCUUCGUCUCUAUCAUUCUGCAUCAUCCCUGUAGCCGCUGCUCUAUCACCACCGGCCUUUACCCAAUUUCAGUUGCUGAAAUUUCUCCGGUAAGAAGAAGAUUUCCUUUCUCGAUAUCUCUCAAAUAGAUUAUGAUUAGUUUCCUACGUGUUUUCUUCUUCUUUUUAUUUAUUAUUUUUUGAGUCGGAUCUAGAAGGUGCUCUAUUUUUUUUUUGUGCUUUUGCUUUUCUUUUCUGAUUCAAUGUGAUUUCCCGUUGUUUGGACGAUAGCUUGCAAUGCUAUCUGGCUAGGGUUUUCUAGAUCUGUUGGUUGGGAUGUAAGUGCGGUUUUGAUAAAUUUUUUUCUCGAUCCGUUGCGAUUAAGUUUGGAUUUUUUUUACUGACCCUUUUUUUAUUCGUUUGGGCGAUAAAUUUUGUCUACGAUUUUACGUUCUCGGAAACAUUAUACAGAAUAAUGUUUUUUUUUUUUUUGGUUUCAGGUCCUACUGCAAUGCUGAUCAUCAGUGAGUUACCUUCCUAUCAUACAGAAUAAUAAUAUAAUAAUAUACAGAAUAUCAACAAGAGCUUUUUUUUAAAAUUUUUUUUUUUGGGAUUUUGGUGCCGGGGGGUGUGGGGUUUAUGAUCCUCCCGUGGAAAUGUUUCUAAUCUUGGUUAGUUUGUGACUGCAGGGAAUGAAACUCUAUUCAUAGCGAGCAUUGGUUCUGCCUAUGUCUUGGUCCAGCUUGGAUUCAUGGCUUUUGAGAAGUGGUCUGGGCGAGAUAAACGGUCCAGGUUGGAGGGCCUGUACGAUGGGACUAGCAAAGGGAAAAGGGAUUAGCUGUUUGUCUAGGUUGCUAAUGGGGCGAUGAAUUGAGUUUGACAUUCUGAUACUAGUAGUGAAAGUGCUGGCAUAGAUAUAUGUAACCUCUGAGAAGUUAUCUUGAAAAUUCUUUUGAUGUCUUCAUUAUGAGAAGUUAUCUUGAAAAUUCUUUUGAUGUCUUCAUUAUGAGAAGUUAUCUUGAAAAUUCUUUUGAUGCGGCAAUAGAAAAUUUGGGCAGAAACCCAGCAAGGCGACAGGAGGCCAAGAACUUGGGCCUGCAAAAAUUUUACCAACGCUGCUUACAACGAGCAUGGCAUUGACCAUAGAAUCCCAAUAAGGAAUAGUACUUUAAUUAGUUGCUACAGCUGUUUUAUUCCUUAAAAAAAAAUCUCGUGGCUCUGUUUUAAUACAUUAAGCUAUUACAGUAGUGUGAUAUCAAGAUUAGGUAAGUUCAGCCGUCAGCUGUCACCAAAACUUGGAAACUGGAUUUUCUGUCUAAAGUCUAAACUAUGUACUCCAGUAUUAAACAAAUACUAGUAGUUCUUCAUUAUGUGACACCGCCGGGUAAUGUAUCUAAUCGAGGGAUUUUCUUUUUCACUUUUAACCAAAAUCUUACAUUGAGUGCAAUUCAAAAUUUUUGUGGUAGUAGAACUAUCAAACUUUGGAGUGAAUUUGAAGGGCCAUACCAGGAUUUUAUAUAUAUGUACUGAGACGUUUUUUUUGGCAAUCUGCCAAGAAAAAGGCGGGACAGCACAACAAUGUACAGAACCAGCACCACCAGGCUUCCUACCUACCAUGAAUGUCUCCAACCGGAGAGGUUGGAAUUGUACAUUUGCAUGCGGGUCACAUGCAACAUCACAUUUGAUUAAAGGAUCCCUUUAUUGGCCUAGCUCGUGAGGACUUAAAUGCGAUUAAUUAUCUUUAAUGCAACUUGAAAAUAUAAUACUGGUGAAACGUUCAUCAUAUGAUGAUUAUGCUCUCAUUGCAUCGCAAAAGAAUCCUCCUGUACAGUAGGAGCUACUGCUAGAUUUAUAUACUAGUAUUUAACCAAUUCUUAGUUGGUAGCCUAUUAAGAUUUUAACUUUAACUUCUUCCAUCAUCUCGGCUCUGUUUAUUUGAAUAGGUCACGGUGCUCUAGUCAAUCUUAUGACCCGGUUGCAAUUUUCUGUGCCCUUAUUUUCGAGGUACACACCAAAGAACACUGGUGCAGCAAAGAAAUUAGAUUGGAUAAUUAGAUAGUUUCAUUGUGCCAGACUCAUAAUACUUAUUCGAAUGUACCUAGUUCUUAAUGCAUUACCAUAUGUUCAAUCUAUUUUAAAAUGUACUAGAGGAAAAAAGUUAAAUUGAUAAUUUUAGAUAUAUAUAUAUAUCAGCUCUUCUUUUAAGAGAACAAAUACUACAUACUCCCUCCGUCCCACUUUGAUAGUCUUGUUUUCCUUUUUCGUCUGUCCCAAAUUGUAGUCUACUUUCCCAUUAAAAAAUGUAGUAAUCUUUCAAAUUGUCUAAAAUACCCUCAUUAAAUAUUUUGUUAUUAAUACAUUGUUAUUAAAUACUAACCCACUACAUUGAAUACAUUGAGUUUUUCCAAUACUAACCCAUUAGCUGUAACUGAUAUUAAUUGGCACUCUUCGUGAUUAGCAUAAGGGUAUUUUAGGAAAUUAUUAAUCUAAAUUUAUGUUUCCAACCAAAUUAAUUACACUUUCUUAAUCUGUGUGGAAAAAAAAAUCAAGACUAACAAAACGGGACGGAUGGAGUAUUAUUUCUUUUUUCCUUUUGGUUCUUUUUAUCGAAUUCAGUGCACUCACAAUGCUCACUUUAUUUUGUAUUCUGGAGAUGUUGAAAACAUGAAAUGCGCUCAAUCUUGAACUCCCCGAUUCUAGAGCUCUGUCAAACAUGUUUUCGAGAACAAAGAUGCUUGAAAACCACAUAUUUUGUACUGUUAAACUAAAAGUAAGGAGGAGGACUCAAUCCUUUGUGGCUCUAGGAUUAUAUGUUCAUGUACUUGCAAACGUGUAGUAGUAACUAAUGACCAUGGAAGUCAAGUCACAGGAUCUCUACUCAUUGUGUACAGACCUUAGAUGGAUACAACGUACAAUGAUGGAGGACUGCAAUUAAAGGGAAGUGGCGCUGAGAAUUGAGUCUUACGAAAAAAAAAAAGAGCGAAUUGUGCGAAAUGUCACUAAACUAUUUCAAAAUGCCGGUUCUGGUCACUAAACUUUUUUAUUAGCGCGAAAUGUCACUGAACUAGUAAAUCUAUACCGUUUUGGUCACUCCGUGUAUUUAUGCCGUUAGCAGAGACGGAAAUCAACUUUUUGAGGGGCAAAUUUGUCUGCACAACCUUUUCCUUGAAGCUUUUACAUAAUCCAUGGUUCCGUAUCCGGCAAAGACAUAAAGGAGAUGGCUGAUCUGAAUGGCGGCACCAUCAAACUUCAACCAAAAAAUGCAGGCACUAUUUUUCAAUUGGAAAUUGGUCUUUGACUCUCUGCCUCUUUUAGUUACCCACUACCCAGUCUUGAUUUCUGUAUUCUUUCACCAUUUGUAACAAAACCACAGAGCACCAGCUCCAAACGGUAAAAAUUGGAAAUUGGGAAUGAGAAAAUCUCCUUUUUUUCCUCAAGAUUUCAAAGAUUAGGCAAUGAGAAAAUCUCCCAUCUCAGAGAAGUUUCAUCCACGUAUGCUCUCAGCUUUGGAUUAUCGGAAUCCAAGUGUAUACUCUCAGCUUUGGACGUCCACGUGUCACGAAAUUAACCCAAGGGCUUGUCCUGAUUCAAUUGCCCUCGGGGCUGAUACUUAAUCCUAAAACCAUGCGCUCUCGGCCACAAUUUAGAUUUGCAACUCUUGCGUUGCCUCACCUGAGCUGACGCUAAUUUGGCACUAAUUUGGGGAGUGGGAGCGUGGGAGGAAAUUUUAUUUGAAAAUGGUGGCAGGCAUCAAUUUGACCUCGCCGAAGUCCACUUUAUUGCCAAAUCAUUCAUCUUCAGGAGAAUCAAACACUACUGCUUUCCUUGGUGGGUCACCUUUAAAUGGCUUAUCUUUUCAAUUAAAACCCAAAGUAAUCAAGAAUGUCAAUUUGAUAGUUGCUUCCGGAAAAGCCAUCAGCAGCACGAGUGGUAGCAGUGGCGGAAGGUUCUACUUCAAUAUCACUGGGUUUCCUUUCCCUCUUGGUCCUUUCCUGAAUAGGCGGACAAUCAGAACUGAGGUUAGUAAUUUGCGCCCUCGUUUUUUCAGUCCUGGCUCUUGACCUUUCUGCAUCAGAGCAAUAAUCCUGUCUAGUUGAAUUUCUGCUUUGCUGCCGUUUUUCUUGUGGGUUAGUUUCAUGAGUCCUGUGCAUAUACUGUCCAUCGAUCAUCCAAUGAAAGGUUAGUUUCGUGCUCUUGACCGAUAAAGGGUAAGUAAUGAUAAAUAAUGUAAGGAAAGGUAAGUAAUGAUAAAGGGUGUUCUUUGUUACAAAUGGUGAAAGAGGGAGGAGGAGGAAGAAGAAAGAAAAAGGGAAAGGAAGGAGAGUGGAGGUGGAGGUGAUGGCGGUGGGUGGCAAUGUAGGUGAUGAAUGGUUGUGGGUGAAGAAGAAUGAGGGCAUAAAUUUUUUAACUAUUGUGUAGACGAAAUUACCCCUUAAAAAGUGAUUUCCGUCUCUCCUAACGGCACAAAUACACGGAGUGACCAAAACGGUAUAGAUUUACUAGUUCAGUGACAUUUCGCGCUAAUAAAAAAGUUUAGUGACCAGAACCGGCACUUUGAAAUAGUUUAGUGACAUUUCGCGCAAUUCGCUCAAAAAGAAAAAAGGAAGAAAGAAGAAGACAUAUAUAUACCCUUUGUUGUAGGGCAAUAUUUGAUUCUUAUACUGUGUGAGCUUUCUUGCUGAUGGACUCAAAUGACUGCUUAGGUAGUCCACCAAGAAAAUUUGUGUGAAAGACAUAUUAUCCUCUCCAUAAAUUCACCUUUAUAGCUGCCUACUGAGUAGUAAGUACUGAUCCACUUUCAAAACCAAAUUGUGCCCCGCAAAGCAAGCCCUUUUUUUCCUUAACCGCUCCACCCUAGUAGUUAUCUCCUUAAAUGCUAGUAAAUUACGUACAUAGAACUUUGAAUAAGCACUCUUACAUUUCUCAUUAUUGUUUUACUCUUCAGUUCCCAGGUCAGUUAUCACCGGAUUCAUCUUUUGCGUCAAUCGGAACUGAUUCAGAUAUCAAAUCCCAUUUGGUAACAGAAAUAUGCAACAUAUCAGACCGUGCUGUCACCUGCGCUCAUCAGCAUCAUUUCCGUUCCACUAAUCCCCCUUUCGUUGAUUGGUAUCUGGUCCUCAAUGUAUGUUUCAUUCCAUCUUUUUUCUGUUGCAAGUGUUUUCUCAAGCUGUUUUUGAACCAACGAUGGCUUGUGAUGUAGAUGCACCAACAAUGUUGGGCCCAAUUCACAGAUGUUUAUCCACCAACCCCUUCAUCGGCUGUACUGAUUUGAAGGCCGAUCUUGCCCAACCCAUACCAUUUCAGCUCGAACAAAGACCGCAGCUCCAUGAUCCACACCCACUGCUAACGUGGCACCUUUGCAUCCACACGACUCAUCCGAAAUAAGCUAGACGGUCGGAUCCAAAGUACUCCUAAAAUUUAUAAGGGGAAUGCGGUUACUUUCUUUCCUUCGUCUCUAUCGUUCUGCAUGAUCCCUACAGCCGCUGCUCUAUCACCACCGGCCUUUACCCAAUUUCAGUUGCUGAAAUUUCUCCGGUAAGAAGAAGAUUUCCUUCCUCGAUCUCUCUCAAAUAGAUUAUGAUCAGUUUCCUACGUGUUUUCUUCUUCUUUUUAUUUUUUAUUUUUUUGAGUCGGAUCUAGAAGGUGCUCUACCUUUUUUUUGUGCUUUUGCUUUUGCUUUUCUGAUUCAACGUGAUUUCCCGUUGUUUGGACGGUAGCUUGCAAUGCUAUCUGGCUAGGGUUUUCUAAAUCUGUUGGUUGGGAUGUAAGUGCGGUUUUGAUAAAGUUUUUUGUAGAUCCGUUGCGAUUUAAGUUUGGAUUUGUUUUACUGACCGUUAUUUUUAUUCGUUUGGGCGAUAAAUUUUGUCUACGAUUUUACGUUCUCGGAAACAUUAUACAGAAUAAUGUUUUUUUUUUUUUCGGUUUCAAGUCCUAUUGCAAUGGCGAUCAGUGAGUUACCGUCCUAUCAUACAGAAUAAUAAUAUAUAUAGAAUAUUGACAAGAGCUUUUUAUUUUUUUUAUGAUCCUCCCGUAGAAAUGUUUCUAAUCUUGGUUAGUUUGUGACUGCAGAUAAUGAAACUCUAUUCAUAGCCAGCGUUGGUUCUGCCUAUGUCAUGGUCAAGCUUUGAUUCAUGGCUUUUAAGAAGCGGUCUGGGCGAGAUAAAUGGUACAGGUUGGACGGCCAGUACGAUGGGACUAGCAAAUAGGCCUGUUAACGGGUCGGGUCCGGAUCGGAAUUGAUAAAUUCGAACCCAAACCUGUCACACUGUAUUAAUUUCGGAUCCGAUCCAAAUACUCGACAGAUCUCUUAAUCUGUCUCCCGGAACCGCACCCGCCGGGUCCCGGGUCCGGGUCCGGUAAGAUUCCAAUUCAGGCAGAAUAUUUCACUAAAAAUGUUAGGCAGCUGGCCAGAUUAUUUAACUUCAAUCAUCAUUAAAUCUUAGCUAAGGCUUGGGAGAAAGAAACAGCAUUUUGCUUCCUCAAGCAUUCAAAAGUAGGAUACAAGUUCGUUUAAUGUUUGCAAACUGAGGCAUACGGCCAAUGCCAAUUUAUGUGAAGGAAGUAAAUUUACUCUGAGAGGUUUAAGAAGUGAACUACAAAGAAAGCGGGUUUCACGGCGGACUGGCGGAGGCAGCAAAACAGAAACUGCUAGAAGCCUAGAAGAGCUGGGCUUCUUUGGAGCUGCAACCAUCAGCGUAGGCGUCAGAAAUGGAUUUGGCUUCGCCUGUUCCACGGCGGACUGGCGGAGGGCGGAGGCACAGCAAAAGAGAAAAGAGAGUGAGAGGGAGAUGUGCGGCUGGGGCAUUAGGGUUCGAAAAAUUGGGGAAAUGAAAGAAGGUGUAUGUCUUUUGGUGAUUUUUGAUAGAUAGAUUGGUAUAUUUUUCUAAUUAUUAAUUAAUUAAAACGGGUCGGGUCUAAUACGGGUUGGAAUGAUAUAUCCCGUAUUCGAUCCGCUUUUCUGUUAGAUAAAAUGGGUUCGGGUCCGGAUCGCGAUUCUAUAUAUUUAUCCAUACCCGAAAAAUAUUGACGGGUCCGAUUCGGGUCCGGGUCCAGACCCGAACCGUUGACAGCCCUGCUAGCAAAGGGAAAAGGGUUUAGCUGUUUGUCUAAGUUGCUAAUGGGGCGAUGAACUGAGUUUGACAUUCUGAUACUAGUAGUGUUAAUAAAACAGAUGUGAAUAUUUCAAUUUACAAUAAAAUAAAUAUAAAUAAUAAAAAUGUUAAUAAGUUGUGAAAAAAAUAACUCGUUCAAUCCGUUCAAUUGUCAGAUAUAAUCUAAUCUAAUCACCAAUUGCAACAUAUGAAACCAAUGGACGGUAAGUGUUUAUGUUUAGUUACAUCAUAACAUUGGGCAGAUGUAAGUGGUUAGACUUUCACACAUGGAAUAAAUAAAAAGGUAAAGAAAAUUUUGGGUAAAUCAUUUGGUCAAGGGGAAGAACCGAAAAACAACUCCAUUCCUGGUUCACGAUAAAGUCUACAUCCACUUCCUGCUUUCGCAAUUGAUCUUGUUUUAUCCUUGUCCCCCCACCCCACUCCUCUCUCGAGAAGUCAUUGGAGCAAAAUCAUAGCUGACCAACUAUUCAGUUCUCCAUUAGUAAUAUUCUUUCUCAACUGGGCAGAUGAGUCAUGCUUGUCGUUUCUUUCAUUUAUUUUUAUUUUUAUUUUUUUGUUGAAAUUUUUUUUUGGCUUCGGAACUUCUAAUGAGGGGUGGGUACUUUUUUUUUUUUUUGUCGACACGAUAGAAUUUCUAUAACCUAAACUAGUCUAUUCUAGGAGGGAAGGGGAGGGGACUCGAUGUGAGUAGAAAUUCCAUCGAAACUGGUCAACGAAGAUCGUCACAUAUUGUGACAAUUUUUGUGGGAGGUAAGGUUCGAAUUCUUGACCUCCCAUACCACCAAAUCUAAGAAGGUUUGGAUGACCACCGGACCAAAGGCCCAAUGACAACGAGGGGUGGGUACGCCCGCCAUAUUUUAUUGGAAAUUUUGGUAUGUCAUGCUCGACCGUUGCAGAAAAUAAAUCAUAUCCAUCAUUCAACCUUCCAUUCGCAUUCUCAUCAGCCUCCAUCAAUUCUUGACAAAGUUUGAUUUUGACUGUUCAUAGAUCCAUGGAGAUGGAAGAGGCACAAGAGUCCACUAGUUUCAGAGUACUGAUGUUCCCAUGGUUAGCUCAUGGACACAUCUCUCUCUUCUUGCAACUCUCCAAAAAACUGACCCAAAAGAAUUUCCAAAUAUACUUCUGUUCUACGGCCAUCAACCUCAGUUUUAUCAAGAAAAACUUAGGUGAAAGCUCAUCUGAUGAUUGUCAGAUGACCUUCCUCCAUGCUAUCACACAACAACGAAACUACCACCCCAUCUCAUGCCAACCCUCAUGCGUUCUUUUCAAAGUGCAAAGGAAAGCUUUAGCAGCAUCGUCACAGCUUUGAAACCUGAUUUGGUUAUUUAUGAUAGUUUCCAAUCAUGGGCCUCUACACUGGCUGCAAUCCAUAGCAUUCCUUCAGUUCAUUUUUCGACUUCAGGGGCAGCUACGAUGUCUUUCUUUUAUCAUCAGCUUAGUUCAAGAAGGGAUAGUGGUAUUUUUCCUUUUUCUGAAAUUUUUCAGAGGGAUUACGAAAGAGAUAAAUUCGAUUCCUUAGUUGAAUCCAAUAGGGGGGUUGCAGAGGAUUUUGCUUUCAGAAGCUUUGAGCUAUCUUCUGAGAUCGUUUUGAUGAAAAGCUGCGUAGGAGUUGAGGAGAAGUAUCUUGAUUACUUGUCUUUCUUGUGUGGGAAGAAGAUGGUAACUACAGGUCCACUCAUUCAAGAAUCACACCACAACUAUGAGAAUGAUGAUGAUGUGGGUACCAUCGAAUUUCUGAAUAAAAAAGAACAAUCUUCGGUGGUUUUUGUUUCUUUUGGGAGUGAAUAUUUUUUGUCCACAGAAGAAAGGGAAGAAAUAGCAUACGGGCUGGAGCUCAGUAAUUUAAGUUUUAUCUGGGUAGUUAGAUUUGCUGAGGGGAACACAAUUAGCAUUGAGGAAGCAUUGCCAGAAGGAUUUCUUGAGAGGGUGAAAGAAAGAGGGAUGGUUGUGGAUAAAUGGGCACCUCAGGCUAAAAUUCUUGAGCAUUCAAGCACAUGUGGAUUUGUGAGUCAUUGUGGAUGGAGUUCUAUAAUGGAAAGUUUGUACUAUGGUGUUCCAGUGAUUGCGAUGCCUAUGCAUCUUGAUCAGCCUACUAAUGCUAGACUUUUGGUGGAAAUUGGUGUAGGAAUGGAGGUUCUGAGGGGUGACAAUGGGCAGAUAAGGAAAGAAGAGGUUGCUAGAGUUAUAAAAUUGGUGGUUUUAGAGAAAAAUGGGGAAGAAAUAAGGGGAAAGGCUAGAGAAUUGGGCAAGAAGUUGAGAGCAAAAGGUGAAGCAGAGCUGGAUGAAGCUUUGGAGGAGCUUAGGAAUCUAUGCAGCAAGCACAAUCAGCAGAGAAGCCGAAGGCCCUCAUGACAAUUUUUUCCAUAUAUAUGUUUGGCCCUACUUAUAUAUCUCUAUUGUUAGAAUAAUUUAUACCAAGCUAAUUAGAAUUCAAAAAUUAAUUGGUGUUUUAGUUGUAUUACUAGUUGGGACGGCCUGCGCAAUAUUUCCCAUGUUAAGUUUCACAAGUUUUAGUUAUUGUAUAUUUGUUGUAGUAUAGAGAAUUAUAUAGGUGGUAUAAGUUUGGCUUGAAUUAUAAAAUAAUAGUGCGGUAAAUUGGUUGGGUGAAUAUAGUGUUAAUAGUUUGUGAAGUAUGAAGGAUAUUUUGUAAUAUAAUGGUUAAUAAAGUACUAUAAUUGAGACAAUGCAGUGUCAACAUUUUGUGUGGUAUGAUUUGUAUAAAUUAUGUGGUUUGGGUGAGGUAAUUAUAAAGAUACCUAUUUAUAUUUAUGUAUAUCUCUAUUACUCACUAAGUUCCAUAAAUAUGGGCCUUUUUUUUUUGCACAAAUUAAAACAUUUAAUCAAUAUAAUCACAAGAAUUGUUUUUCUUUCAUAUUUUUGUAUAAUGUCGCUCACUAAUAUUAGAUCAUUAAUCCACAUUAAGAGCCAUGUAUUAUUACAUUGUUUUUGAAAUUUACAGUACUUUAAUUUUUUUAAUGUAAGAAACAAUGUAAUUAAUGUUGCAUGUUUGACUAAAAGAAUAAUAAAAAAAUAGCAUACAACAUUGCUUUUCAAUUUAGAGUAAUUUAGAGCCAUUAGGAAAAAUAAAUAUAUACACAUCAAAUUUAGAGCCAUUAGGAAACAUUUUAUAAUAAUUAUAUAUAUACAUUAAAUAUGGAUAUCUAUUUAACAAUAUAAAAGUGAGAGUUGCCCUAUAAACAGUGUUUUUUUUGUCGAGCGGUUAUCCUGCAAUUGUUAUUAGAUAUCCAAGCUAUUAGUAAAUAACAAACUAAUUUUUCUUUUUUAUAGAAUGAAAGGAAUAAGAAUAAAAACAAGGGCAUUAAAAAUUUGUAAUAAUUAUAUAGAGUAAAUAUGGAUAUAUAGACUAAUAUAUCUUUAUAAUUGUAUAUUUUAAAAAGUAGUAGGAUUAGAAACCAUUUUUAGUCCAAACCCUUAACACCUUAACUGAUUUUGGUUAUUUGUGAUAAUAAUGUUGGACUUGUCUCUCGCUUUUUUUUUUCUUUUUCUGUUGUUCAAUUUUUAGGAAUCGUGCAGUCAAAAACUACUCUUGAACAUGCUAAAUAACCACUGCAUUCAACAAUUUUACAGAGCACUAUUUUAUUUCAUUUUUUUGCAAUAUAUGCAUUCAUUUUUUUCCAAACAAUUUUUAUUUCAUGUCGCAGUAAUAAAAUCCAUUUUUUAAAGUCAUUAAAGCCAAAAAUAAUUUAUUAAUUAUUUCCUCAAUAAUUGUGUAUUUACAGAACACUCAACAUUAAUUAGAUUGUUUCUUACAUUAAAAAAAUUAAAGUACUGUAAAUUUCAAAAACAAUGUCUUAAUGUUGAUUAAUGAUCUAAUAUUAUUGAGCGGCAUUUUACAAAAAUAUGAAAGAAAAAUAAUUGUUGUGAUUAUAUUGAUUAAAUGUUUUAAUCUGUGCAAAAAAAAAAAGAAGGAAAAACCAACAAAUACACAGAUUAUCAAGAAUAAGAAACAAAUAGAAAUACGUGAAACCUCAUAAUAAAAUUAGAAAAAAUAUAUUAAUCCAACUUGAUUAUCAAUUUUUAUUUUUAGCCCAGAUUAUUUGUAUGAUUCUUGAGCUUUAUUUGACUGAAUUAGAGAAAAUCUAUACAAGUUCAGAAGCUUAACUGCUGCGUCCCUUUAUUGCUCUUUGUACAGAUACAUAGAAAGUUAUGCCUUUUGCCUUUCUUUUUUUUCGUUAUUAUGCUUUGGUUUUCAGCUCAGAUUUCAUCACCGUAGCAUUUGACCAGAACGAUGACUGGAGGCUUCUCAAUGACCAAAAGACCAAAACGCCCCUCAAAGUCACAAAAAUAGCAGCAUAACCGCUUGACCAAAAUUCACUAUUCAUUUUCCAACUCUCUCUUUUAUUAUAUAGAUAUAUUAAUGUCAAGUUUGUGCUUGGUUUGAUUGUUAAAGUUGUACGAGAAUUGGUUUUAUAGUUAUUUAGAAAAUUGUCUACGUGGAACUGAUAAUAAAGUUCAUUUAGGAUUUAAUUAGUCUGGUGUCCUAUUUAAUGGUCCUGUGGCUGGUUUGUGUUAAUUGAGCAAAGCUAUCGGAUAGUAUUAUUGUGAGAAUGAAUCAUUAUUUUGCUCCAAGCCUUCUUCUUCGUUUCUUUUAUCCUUUGUUCAUCCGUUUGAUUGACAUUAUAAGUUUGUUUCUUAAUUUAUCAAUUAUUGAUCAUUUGAUUAGAGAUAUUAUAUUUACUUUCACUGAAUGAUUAUUUUGUGCUAACAUCUGUCGAGAUCUUGAUUGGAUGAUAUUAUUAUCUAAGGGACUUUGACCUAGAAAGAUGGGAAAAAAUUCAAAUGAAGAAAACUUCAAAAGCUCAAAAUAAAAAUGUAGUAUGAAACUUGAGGGCCUGCGCCUGCGGUCUGAUUUACGUUGUUCAUCGGAACCGUCAACUACUGAACACUGAUUUGCUACAUUCUUUCCAUAGUGAUCUUCGGCAUGUACAACAACAAUUCUUUUUGGAUUCAUGAAAAUCUUAAAGAGGCUGGAUUUGAAGUGGGAUUGCAAUAUUGCAUCCACAUUUCUAUUUCGCCAUUACGUAAUUAAGGAUCAGAGAUGUUAGGCCCUUGAUACGUCUAACAUCAUUGGAUUUAUUUACCCACUCUCAACUUUGUAUCUUGUAGAUUUAUGCUUAAUCAGGAAUCAUGAUGCAAGAGCAGGUUGGAAUGUGUAUUUGUGCCUAUCUUAUUUUAGUUGGUUUUGGCUCUUAUCAUCUUUACGAGUCACAAGCAAUAUUCUACCUUAAUACUAUGUCCACAAGAAUUCUACCUUAAUAAUAACUCCUGCAAUCUAUGUCCACAAGAAUUUUAUCUUAAUGCUACUAGAACUCAUGCACCCUUUGCCUCGACCUUCAAGUCUGCAGGGUUUCCAUGGUUAGCUCUUGGCCACAUCUUCCCAUUCUGCGAACUCUCCAAACAACUCUCAAAUAGAAGAAAAUUCAAAGUACACUUCUGUUCUACAGCCAUCAAUCUGAGUUUCAUGAAGAAAAAAUUUUGCUGAAGAGAUGUCUGCUCCAGCUCAUCAAAUAGAAUUUUAGUGGAACUUCAUCUGCCAGAAUUGCCUGAACUUCCUCCGCACUAUCACACAACAAAAAAACCUACCAUCCCAUCUCGCAUCAAUCCUCAUGGGUUCUUUUCAAAAUGCGAAGCCCAGCUUCAGGAAACCCUCAACUGUUUGAACCCUGAUUUGCUAAUAUAUGACAUGACAGCUUCCAAACAUGGGCGCCAAAACUGGCUGCUAUAAAUAAUAUCCCUUGUCUUCACUGUGUAACUUCUGGGGCUGCAUCCUUGUCCUUAUACUAUCAUCUGCACGCUUAUGGAAUCAACACUGAUACUUCUCCAUUUUAGGCACUUUCUCUGACGGACUAUGAAAGAAAGAAAAUGAAAGCCGUGGUUGAAUACAAUAGAGAUGCUGAGGAAGUAGUUGCAUGAUGUUUUGAACUGUCUUCUGAGUUUUUUAUGAUCAAAAGUAGCAGAGAAGUUGAUGAGAAAUAUCUUGAUUACCUGUCUAUCUUUUGUGGGAAAAAUAUGGUAACCAUAGGUCCACUUAUUCAAGAAUCAAAGCUCAGUACUGAGGAUAAUGAUCAUGUGGGUAUCAUCAAAUUCCUGAACAAGAAAGAUCAAUCUUCUGUAGCUGUUGUCUCUUUUGGGAUUGAGUGUUUCUUCUCUAGUGAAGAAAGGGAAGAAAUAGCAUAUGGGCUAGACCUCAGCAAUGUUAACUUUAUCUGGGCUCACAGAUUUCCUGCAGGGAAUGAAAUUUGUCGUAUUGAAGGAGUAUUGCCUGGGGAUUUGCUGAAGGGGUGAAAGAAAGAGGGAUUUUGUGGAUGGACGGGCACCUCAGGCUAAAACUUCUUGAGCAUAAUUGAUAAGGAAUGGAUUGUAGACUCUUGCAAGUUACACCUUAUGGCAUGCUAGGCUUUUUGUCAAACCAUUAGUGAUUUUGGGCCUCGGCCUAUUUUCCACAACCCAUUAAUUUUCUUAUCAAACAAAAAUUAAAAAAAUCACUCUCUCCUUUUUUUUUUUAAAUAAAUUUUAAGUUGUAUAUGAUAUUAACUCAUGCAAUUUGGUAAAACCUAAAUUAAGUGCUACAAAUAUAUAUAUUUUUUAUUCUCAGUGUGCCUGUGCUGAUGUAUAGUUCAGUGGAAAAAAAAAAAAACAAAUUUCGUUGCCCAACUGCAGUUUGCAUUCUGUUAAGAGAUUUUAAGGCUUAUUUUUGUACCAUAAGCAACCAUGACAAGCCUCAAUCAACCACUCCUCCAUUACAUAUUAGAACCGUAUUCCACAUAUGGGUCCUAAUUAAAUUGUCAGUGAUGUGCAUCAGAUAUGAAUAAAGAAAACUUGCAUUGUCUUCUUUUAUGUGUUUACGUACCUUACUCCAUGUGAUGAACUGAUGAUGAUGGGAUCUAACUUAACUCGUCCCUUCAUUUCUUUUUUAAGGUCAAUUUCAUUCAUGCCAUUCAAAUUGUGUCCAUGUUUCAAUCAAGCCUAAUAAGAUAACCUCUUAAUUUGUUAUCUCAAAAAAACCUGUUAAUUUGUUAUCUCAAGCCCUCUUUAAAAAAAAAAAAUUUUCCCCUGAAUGAUGAUAUAUGGACAUUUUACCUUCCAAUUGGAAGUUUUAGUCAAGGACGCCUUAAGCUUGAUAAAAGAAGAAAGAAAACCUACUUGUUAAAGGGGAGGCUUGGCUUCAAAGAUUACCCAUUACAAUAUUUCAGAGCAAGUGACAAAUGACAACUUAACAAGAAAAAUGCCACUAAAUUGGAAUAUAUAUUUUCUUCUAUAUAUAUAUAUAUAUAUUAAAGUUGCGAAUGAGUCGAGUAGAGUCGAACCGAGCCUUGACUUAGUUUUAUAAAAUUCAUACUCGAAUUUGAGAUCGAGUUUAAAAAUAAAAAUUAAUUAUUUUAUUUUUAAAAAAUAAAUAAAAUAAUAUUUUUUAAUAAAUAAUAAAAUAUUAGGGAUAUAUUAUGUAAUUUUACUAUUAAAAUAAAAAAUAUAUACUUUAGCUCAUGAUUAAAAUAAAAUAAAAUAAAAAAAAAAUAUAUAUAUAUAUACUAGAACUCGCGAAUCUAACAAAUUUAAUAUUUUUAAAAUCGAGUUCAAUUUAGCCAGCUUGAAUUCAAUGUUAAUCGAAAUCGAAUCGAAUAUUGACCGGCGAGCGGUUGGAUUUGUUUACUGCCCUAAUAUAUACAUAGCUAAGAGAGAAACAUGUGGUGUAUGUGGUUUGUCGUAAAAGUCGCAAGUCCCGAGUGCAUGGAAACGACCGCAUUUUUUGCUUUGUUGCUUCAAGGCUCCCACACUUUCAAUUCCUCGAAGUCCAUGAUACACACCUAUUGGGCAUUGGCUUUCUUGACUAAAGCGAUGCAACUUUAGUCUUUAUACAAAGCCAUCCCCUUGGCUCCCUCCCAUAAACUAGUACUACUACUAUUUGCUUUGCUGUGGACCUUAGUGAAUAAUUAAACAAAAAAUAUUUAAAUUUCAAAACGCGGCUCCCAUCUGAAGGUGUUUAAUUAGAUGUCAUGAUUCUUGACGACUGAGGAGGCAAAAUAUAUAUUUGAUGAUGCAACCACUACGAGAUUUUGGUUAAUUAAUUUGGUCCCCCAAAAGAAUCUCUAUGACCAUUAGUAGCCAACAGAUGGAGACCACGUAUUCGCCAAUGCCCUCUUUCCUAUUCUUUUGUUAUUACAAGGGUUAAUCACAUUUUAUCCCCUUAAAGAAUAUCCUAUCUUUCAGUUUACCCCCUAACCUUUAAUUUUGCUCACUUAACCCCCUUUAGGACAAAAUUGCCCUUGUAUUAUUUUGACUUUUCAUUUACCUUGUUUUCCUUUCUUUUAUUUCAUUUAUUUCUUUCUUCUUUAUUUAAUUCUUUCUCUUUCCCACAAAAAUCUUCACCUUAACGAUUGAAAUUAAAAAAGAAAAAUUGCAGAUAUUUAUCUUCUCCUUAAAUGAUUAAAAAAAAUAUUCAAAUCACUUUUCUAAAUAUACAAUUUUUUUAGUCUUUCAAUUCUUUUAAUUUUGGGUUUUCCUCUUUCCUUUCUAGUUUCUCAUUUUAUUCUUAAAAAAAUAUCAUAAUAACAAAAGAAUCUCUAUGACCAUUAUUAGCCAACAGAUGGAGACCUCGUAUUCGCCAAUGCCCUCUUUCCUAUUCUUUUGUUAUUAUAACGAAACCUCACUACUUACACUCUAUAACAAAUGCUGCUUGGCAAAAUUUUUAACUAAGUAGUUUUUUACUAUCUUCCAAUGGUAAAUCUGUAAUUGAAUAAGCAUUUCCUUGAAAAGCAGCUAGCACUAGACAAGAUGAACUGCAAUUUUUUUUGAGGGAAUUGCCCGGCUGCUUAUGAGAAUUGAGAAUGAUGUGAUAAAUCAAGAAAUGGAAUAUCAAUGGCAAAAGGGACAGCACUUAGUGAAAUUGAAUGCAGUAGGACAUUGCAUGGAACCUAGAAAGAAAGUCUCUUAUCUCUUUCCUAGGGUGGUUUUGUUUAGAGUGGGAGCAGCAGGCAAAAAUCCUGACGGAUUGAAAAAAAUUGGGACCAAUAUAUUUUACUUUUAACUCAAACAUUAAAGUUAUUGGUUUUUUCUUUUUUUAACUCCUGUUUUGUGGUCAAAAACUCAAAUCUAAAGUUUACUGUUAACUUUUUGGCUCAUUGGCAUACAAUGAAAGUACAAAAAAAAAAAAAAAAAAAAAAAAACACU